rnacentral:lncRNA from 1 species
CUCAGGUCAAAAUACUGAGUACGAGCUUCAUAACUUGAGAAUAAACCUUAUAAUGAUUCCAGUGCCGUGCAAUGAUGUGCAUCCAACUCAUGUAGUUUGCAUGGAAGCUUUGGUAAGGAUUGAAGCCUCUCACAAUACCUUAAGGAGAGCCUUCCCAACUUAGAAAGUUGUAUGAUGCUUUCUGGAAUUCUCUCAAAAUUGUUUUUCUGUAGAUCCAAUUCUUCGAGUGAGGAUAACUGGCCAAUAUUUUCAGGUAACCCUGUGAUGCCACAAUCAGUUAGAUUUAAAUACGUUAGAGUAUGCAAGCCAUCUAAAGAUAACGUGAUAGGCAAUUAUAAACCCAUCUGCUUAUGAACCCUGCUUCUCUGGAAACUUAAGAGGUCAAUGUUGUUCAAACGGAAAACAGAUAAUGGCACUUCUCUUAUAGCAGUUCCUAUAGCAUGCAAACCCGACAAAGCUUCUAAAUUUCUUAGUUCAUCAGGCAGUCUCUGAAGAUUUGAGCAACCAUUGAGAGUAAGAUAUUUAAUGAUUUUAACUUACACAGGCCACUUGGGAGACUCUUAAGGCUUUUGCAAUCUUAAGGGUCCACGUGCAAAAGCUUAUAUAGACACUCGAUGGAUGAGGGCAGCUCUUCAAUUGCAGUUCCAUUUAAAAGCAUCUAUUCUAUAUUAGCAGCUGAUGAGAUAUCUGGAAGCCGCUUCAGUUUUGAACAACCUCAAAGAUCAAGUUCUUCAAGAAAUUCCAAAUGAGUUCCAGCUGGAAGACUUUUCAGGCUUUUGCAAUCCCUUAGAUUCAAGACAACCAGCGUGUUCGGAUGUUGACUCAACGAGGGGUUUGGAGUUUUGGUAAAAAUAUUGUAGGCAGAGAUGAUUUUCUGCUUUAGCUCACCACGACGUUGCUGAGACAAAAAAAAGGUCAAGACAAAUCAUUAGCAUGCUAUAAUAAUUAAAUGUUAUGACUUAAAUAUUGCAUGCAUAUGUUAAGAUAUACAUACCAGGACACCAUCCCAAAGUUGUUGAAUAUUGUUGUGAGGCAUUUCAAGUAAAACUAGUUUCUCUGGAUGAAUAUUUGAAGGCAAUGAUUUCAAUGGAUAUCCAUGCCAGUGAAAAUACCUCACUUCAGCAAAUACAAGUAAUACUAAACGUAUAAACUAUCAAUGUUUGUCUGCAAACUGUUACAUACAAAUUGACAUUGCAAUUAUACAUUAUUGCUACAUCAUGUACCACUGGUUUCUUCUUUCCAAUUUUUCUUUUUCUUUUUCCCUCUUAAGCAUUGCCACUCUAAAAAUUUUUACUUCAGUAUGUCUGAAAAUUUUUGCUUUACAAUUUAUUCGUAUAUUUCUACGCUGCAAUGUAGAAAGUACAACUAUUUAUGAUUUUUCAGAUAUUACUUUCAUGCCUUUCGUUUAGCUAAUUUGUUUGUUUGACAAAUUUGCUCUCUUGGCUCUCCUCUUUAGGCUUUGCCUAGAUUUAGAAGAAGAAAAAGAAAGAAAGAAAUCCCUACAUUAGUGAUGGCAAUGGGGCGGGGUGGGGGUGGGGAUGCCUACCUCAUUCCCCAUCCCAUUAAAAUUUUUUACCUCCAUUCCCCAAUAAAUUUAGUGGGUUGGGGAUGGGGAAUCCCCACGUGGGUAAUGAUUCCCCCAUCCCUACCCCAUUCUCCAUUUACUUAUUUUAUAGUAGAUAUAAAAAUAUGAUUUCAAUAAAUUAAAAAUUAGAGACUUAAAAUAAAAUCAUCACCAUAUUAUAAAGUAUUUAAAUUUUUUUAAAAAAAUCUCUAAAAAUUUGAAACAAUAUCUUAAAAUGAUAUUAAAAGUGAAAAAUAUUUAAAGAGAGCAGCACCUUAAAAGAGAAAAGAAAAUAUAAUAAUGUUUUAAAGUUGAAAAAUAUUAUAGGGUUUUCUUUUAUUCAUAUUCUAUUUAUAUUACAUAAAAAUUAAAAAUUAUUAAUUGAUAUUAUAGUUGAUAAAAUAAAAAUUAUUAAAUAAGAAUUAAAAACAUAUUUAUAUAUAAUGGGGAUUGGGGUGGGGAAUGCAAUACCAAACCCCACCCCAUUAACAAUUUGGGGAUUAUUUUUACCCCACUCCCCACCCCAUUCCCUAAAAAUUAUUAAAAAUUUUUCCCAUUUGGGAUGGGGCUCCAUGGGGCCCCAAACCCGUGGAGAAUUUUGCCAUCCCUACCCUAUAUGGGUUGAAACUUGACGCAUCUCCAACACAUCUCCACGUCAUUAAUUGAUCAAUUCCUUUAAAUCUUGUUGGGUAUUUUCAGCAGCUGGUACUGAUAGUUAAUAAUAACUUGCUGGUGAAACUAAUUGAACCUGACCUUGAUGCUCCGGCCACAACCAACAACUGGAUAUAUGGUGACUAACUUAGGUAGCUUUGAAAUCAAUGGAGCCAGCCAUUUUUAUUAAAUUGAUUAAUUCAUGUACAGCGGUUUAAGAUAAGUAAAUUGAAUUUCUUUUUUUAUAUAUAGUAAUGUAAUAAUUGAUCAUCUCACUAAAUAAUUAAAUUUUGUUCAUAAAAAAAAUAAAGUCUUUAGAGUAUUUUAUGUGUGUGUACAGCACUUUCAUGAAUAUGUGGAGUAAAUAAAGAUAAUUAAUUUAAAAUGUUUCAGCGAAGAUUUUUUUGGCAUUUUAAAAAGUACUCAAAAUAGAAUCCAAUUUUUUUUUAACUAAUAGAAAAGUCUACAAAAUAAUAAAGUGUUUACAAUAAUUUUGAAAAAAUAAUGGAGUUAAAAUUAAACACAAGAAUUUUAUGAGAAAAAUUUCUGAAUUAAUUGGGAUAAAAAAUUACUAAUAAAAAAUAAUUGAUGACUACAACACUUCUUUCUAAAUAAAAUAAAAGAACAACUGCAAUCUCUCUUAUAAGAGAAAACAGCUCCCUUACUAAUUUUUUUUUUUUUAAAAAAAAGGAAAACACCACUUUUAAAGGAGAAAUUGAUUUUUCUCUUUACACUAGCGUACGAUAUUGUGGAAUGUGAGGAUAAUUAAUUAGUUGAAUGAAAUGCUUCAAUUAACUUUAAAAAGUAGACAAAUCACAAAAUUGAAAUGCGCGUGGGACCGAUAUACGUACAUAUGGACGCUUUACUUCACUCUUCGCUAGGAGUUCAAUUUUGUGAUUUGUCUACUUUUUAAAGUAGGGGUGGGCACGGUUCGGUUCGGAUCGAAAUUAAGUAGAACUGAUUUAAAUCAGUUAUUUUAUAAAAAGAACCGAACUCAAUAAGAACCGAACUCAAACGGUUCUUUUCGAAUCGGUUCAGUUCGAUUUGGUUUUUUUGGUUUUUGGCCUAUUGGGUCUAUUUUGAAUUUUCAAAUUUUUAGCCCAUUGGGCCUCAUGAAUGUAAUAAUUUUUUUCAACAAUUAGUUCAUCCUAAUUUCAUUACAAAUAUUAACAAUAAAUACAAAGUAUUCAAAACACAUUUUAUCACUAAUAUAAGAAGCUACGGCUUUCGCGCAGUGAGAAGAAGGUGUUGCGCUGUGAGAAGAAGGUGUUGCACGGUGACACUAUCGCCGGUGAGCAGCGUCGGCCGUGAUUGCAGUGGAUUGGGGUGGGUGAUUUGGAUUUGGUUUCGAUUUUGAAUCUUUGAUUUUAGCUUUAGGGUUUAUUUUGGGGGAAAUGAAGAUUUAUGAAAUUGUAUCAUAUAUAUACUCGUGAUUGUGUGUAUGCAGGUUUAUUUUAGUUAUCUUACACAAUCAAUGAAAAUUUAACACAUGUUAAUUUGAAUAAAAUUUAAAAAUAAUUUGGUUUUUCGGUUCAGCUAAGUGAACCGAAUACCAAACUGACAUUUCGAUUUUUUUUACAAAUGAUAUAUUUCGGUUUUUUAAAAAAAUAAAAACCGAUCCGAAUUAGAAAAAACCGUCGGUUCGGUUCGGUUUUUUUAAGACCACGGUUUUUUUGCCCACCCCUAUUUUAAAGUUAAUUGAAGUGCGUGAGAUGUGUAAUUGACAAGAAAAGCUGAAAUAAGGAGUGAUUCAGGCACACUAAACGGCCGACAAUAUUGCAGCUGGCAUGGACUUGGUGUCCAGAGAGCGGAAGACCGCAGCGGGAAAAUGAAAUGGUGAUUGAGGCUGGAGUGGGCUCAAGGGGCUCAAACAACUCGAAGGGUGAAAAGGGCCGACAAGGAUUAACCAAGAAAUCAAGAAUGAAGGGAUGCUUGGGCCAGGAAAACUUAUAAAGGCUACGGGAAAGAACAUAACUAGUGUGUGUAUUUGUGUGUGCUUGGAUGCGCUCUAAGUGCUUCAACUCCAACCUGAAUAUGUUGUGAUUGUUCCUUGCUGUAAGUUUGCUUCAAUAGGUUAGCUUUACAACUCUUUUAAUAAUAUUUUCUUUUUAUUACUUAUAUCUAAACUUUGGUUAUUUGAUAUUUGUCACAAGUCCUUGCCCAAUAUAAUCAUGUAUAACACGAUCCAAUUAUGGGUUGGUGGAUUUUGUGUCUGCAACUGAUGCUUAAUAAAAAAAUCUUUAUGAUGGUGAUUGUACAUGUUCUAUUCGUAAAAUGUGAUACUUUGUAAGCCGAUGUUCCAAUCACAUAUCUAAAACGUGUAUUUUUGUUGCACUUCAACACUAGUUAUUUUAUCAUUUGACCAUCAUCAUUUAGAGUGUUAUGAAAUAUGCUACUGUGAAAUAAAUGCUGCAGUUUUUAAGUAAAAUUAAUGAGUAUUUUUAUUAAACAUUAAACCUUGUUAAGACUUUGUUUAAUAUUGAGAUUGGAUAAUUCUACUUUAAAAAUUACAGUAUUAAAGUAUUUGGUAAAUAUUAGUAGUUGUAAACACUAUUAAAACUUAUAAUAUCUUCAUUUUUUUCAAAAUUAUUAUUUAAAAAUUAUAUUCAUUAUACAUUUUUAUAGUUUAUUUCAUAGUAAUAUAUUUUACCUCAACACAAAACAACGUCUAAAGUUGAUAACAUUUUGUAAAUGAAAGUUAUUAUUAUUAUUUUUUAUAAUUUAUAUGGACUAAUUUAUUUAUACUGAUUAGUAUUUCGCUACUAAAAUUAAUUAAAAUAUUGAAAUAAAAUCACAUCGCCGGUGAACUGCCAGCAGGUCAAGCGGGCGACAAAAAACUAUCAUUCCGGUGGUUAUGGGCACGUUUUUGAAUCAUUUGAUUACAAUCUUUUUCUAAUCCUUUCAUUACGACCUAUCUGAUAGUGCUCCUUUUGUCUUAAACUAAGUUUCGUAGAUGCCGUAGUUUAAGCUCAAAUCCGUGGCGGUUCGUUGCUAUUAUCUGGGAUGCAGUAUCUUAAAUAGUUAUUUGACAAAAAUACCAACACCAUUUAAUAAAUUGUGUAAUUUAAGUGCAAUGAUGCUAGUUAUGAAUUUACAAGUAUUUAGUGAUGUAAAAACAAACUAUGAAUUUUACAUUUAUUAAUUUCAGUUAGUAGCAAACUUUUCUUGUUAUUGAAUUAAUAAAUUUCGGUUUUUGCAGUUAAAACGUCAUAGGGGCAGGGCAGAUAUUUCACCCACUGUUGUGGGGAAAAAAGCAGAUGGGCUCCCAAAAGCCCAAUUGAAAAGAUUUAUGAAAGUGCAACUGCCUCACAUCUAUCCACAACAGGCCCGUAACUUAAUUCCUGAGGUCUCGGGCGUGGGUAAGUGGGUUGUAGCUAUUUAACAAGCUCAUGGUAGGAGUUGAAGCUCAACUUGCGGCAGACGAGUGAUCCUAUGCCAGUGUUUCGCUUUCUCUGCAAUCUUUCAUUUAACGAAACAAUGUCGCGAAUUGCAGUUGCUAAUUUGUGCUCAUUGUGGUACCUGAUGAGAGGAAUCAAAAUGGAGAAUUGGUUUUGAUUAUGUUGUCUAACAUUCAGUAAAAGUGUAGUUAACUUGGCUACUUCAGCAGUAAGUUGAAGGGCCGCUGUGAUUGUGAAGUAACUUGUUAUACAGGAAAACAUUGUAACAUCUGGCCAAUUCUAGUGAAAUGAUUCAUGUUUCUGAAUACUAUAACAAUUUAGAACACAGAAGACGUGAGGCAAAGAAGAGUGAUUACCGAAUAUAUAUUUCAAUAAAUUAUCCUAAUGUGCACAAUUAUCUUAAUGAAUUAGCAUUCAUGCCUUUACAUAAAAAGCUGGGCAUCAUGCAGAUAAUGUUUUCAAAAGGCAUUCAAGUAGUACUAUGAUGAAAUGAUCGUGCAAAUUAAAAAACAGGACGAGGACAAAAAUUUAGCACUGCUAAUAAGUAAACAAUUAUCCAAGUUAGCUUAAAUUAUAAUACAAAAUGACCCAACAAUUAUGUUAAAACUAUAAAAUGCUUGCGUAUAUGCAUUGUGAAUUUUAUUGACAAACACUCAAAACCCACACAGACACACAAGGAUCUAAACACUAAUCAAACUCACCACAAGUCAAGCACAUAACUGCUUACUCUAUCCAACGCCGAUAUUCACACAAAGGAGAGAACAAAACUUUAAAAGAGCCUGCUGUGGUGGAGCUCGUUGCAACAGCUGGAAGCUUGAAGACGAGAGAGAAAGAGUUGUAAUGAGGGGGAAAGGAAAGAGCCAGACGCGUGAAGGUGAUUGUUGGAUGCGUUUGUUGCGUGUGUGAGGUGUUCCACGCCCAGGAAGAGACGUUUUAUACUUUGCACAAAAUUCACCGUUUUGUGCAAAGUGUUGUACAAAUAUUUGUGAGAAUAUCAUUUUCUAUUCUUAUAAGUCUAGCUCACCAAGUUGGUUAACCACACAAAUCGCCAUCCUUACGUUGAUAGGAAAGGAUUUACCAAUAGUAUUGAAACUCUAUAAAUACCAAACAUUCGAGACCUUGGAGUCUCUUUGGCAUGCAUUCCAAUACUCGACACAUACAAAAAUGGGGGACAGAGAGCGAUCAAGAUAGAAUAAAUGGAUUCCAUGACAUAAAUUUCAGGGAGCGUGUAAUGUUAGCAUUUGACAAGUGCCAUGUUUCUGGAAGAAAUUGACAUGUGUCAUCCCGUGAAAAUUACCCAGAUCCAUAUAUAUCCAUAUCCCUGCACAAUACUAUACGAUCAAAGAAGCUUAAUCACAUUCACAGCUAAAUACCUUUUGAGAUGAAAUUUUGGGGUGGAACGAUAACGUUCUCCAGGUCAACUAUUGCACCCACCAUUUUAAUGCUUUAUUUUUAGAGCCAAUAAAAAUGCAGCCAUAUAGGUAAAAUCAAAGCUUAUAUGGUACAACCAUAUAGGUAAAAUCCAAAAGACACAUUGAAUAACGAAGAGUACUUACCUCAUGUACUUAAAAAGAUAUUUCAACCCUUUUGGGGUGUGGUUACUCUUCCCUCAUUAGAUCAGCUGAAACUUCUGCUUAAUCUUCAUUUGAUUUCCUAGAAUCUUGGCUGUCAAUAAAAUAAAUCCCACAUAUUUCCACCAUCUUGCACCACUUCAUCUGUUCACAAAUUAUUUUUGUCCUCAGAUUGGAUUGAAAAAAAGACCACAUUUUUUUCAUAAUCAUAUUCACUAUCAACAUCCAAAUCAAAACCGCUGAAGGAAUUGCUUCCCAAAGCUAUGUGAUCUGACUGGACAUAACCAUUGAUGUCCCAAAAAUGCCAGGAAGAGAAAUGCCGAUGUCACUGUGCAUUCACACAAAUUUGAACACCGAGGUAGCAAUCAUGAUGGUUACGAAAUGAUACAAUUACGAAGAAAGCAAAGCCGACUAAAUUAUUAUUAUUGAACGAUUCUGGUGGCACCUUCAGGGUUAUAGUAGCUACCAUACUUUGGAAAUUAAACCAGUUAUGAAUUUGACUUCCAAGGAAACAGAAAUGAGAGAUUGCAAUAAAUGUCCGUCAACCCCCCCCCCCCCCCCCCCCAAAAAAACAAUUUUCUUGAGCUCUUCACAACCAUUUAAAAACAGUUGAUAAAGGAAAAGUCCCUGACAUCAGAAUCAAAGUAUUCGAUGUCGCGAUCCAUCGCUUUUAAACAUGUUAGAAUGGAAAGCCAUUUGCAAAGAAUAAAAAAGGCGACAAGAAACGGUUUAAAUGGUUUAUCAAGAAACGCUCCGCGUGGCGUGGCUGUUCAAAAAUACCAAGGAUGAGGGGAUUGUUGUUAUAGCAGUUCCUUCAGCAUAAACCUUCAAAAAUUCCAAAUCUCCAAGUUUGUCGAGCAGUCUCUGAAGAUUUUGAAGAAACGUGUUUUCAUUUCUUUAAUAAAGCAUUAUACAUUGAGAGUUAUUUAUAGAUGCAACGGCUACAUUUUUUCAAAGAUUACAUGUGUGAAUACGGAAGGAAAUGUGUCAAUCCGUUCGGCGCGGAUCUUGUCUUUGACAAGUGCAGAUUACCCCUUUGACAAGUGCAGAUUCUGUCUUUGAAAGUUUCAUUCAAUGCCGUUUUAUAUGAUUCUCAACACUCCCCCUCAAGCUGGUGCAUAGAUGUCUUGCAUGCCCAACUUGUCUAGGAAUUUUGUAAAUGCCCUGCUUGAAAUGGCCUUCGUUAAAAUAUCUGCAAGUUGAUCUUCUGAUCGAAUUUUCGGCAGUUCUAAGAUUUUUUCAUCUAAUUUCUCCUUGAUGAAAAAUCUAUCUACCUCUACAUGUUUUGUUCGAUCGUGUUGAACUGGGUUAUGAGCAAUAUCUCGUGCAGCUUUGUUGUCACAGUAUAGUUGUAUUGGUUGUUGUGAUGGAUAGCCCAAAUCGUUUAAGAUAAAACUUAUCCAUAGCCCUUCACAUAUCCCAAGGGCCAUGCCUCGAUAUUCUGCUUCAGCGCUCGAACGGGCAACGACAUGUUGUUUCUUGCUUCUCCAUGUGACAAGGUUUCCUCCCACAAAGGUAAAGUAUCCUGAAGUAGAGCGUCUAUCACUAACUGACCCGGCCCAAUCUGCAUCAGUAUAAACUUCUAUGUUGCUGUAAUCUUCAUUUUUGGAAAAUAAGAUUCCUUUUCCUGGAUUUGUCUUCAGGUACCUCAGGAUCCGCAUUACUGCUUUCAUGUGUUGUUCUCCGGGAUUAUGCAUAAACUGGCUUACAACACUCAAUGCAUAAGCAAGAUCUGGCCUUGUGUGGGACAAGUACAUCAAUCUUCCAAUCAGCCUUUGAUAUCUUCCUUUGUCUACUGGAACUUGGUCUGAAGUAAUACAAAACUUCAGUCCUUCUUCUAUUGGGGUGUCAAUAGGCUGACAAGCUGUCAUUCCCGUUUCGUGCAAUAGAUCUAAGGCAUAUUUCCUUUGAGACAGAAAGAUUCCUCCCUUAGAUCGAGAAACCUCAAUUCCAAGAAAGUAUUUUAAGGCACCUAAAUCCUUCAUCUCAAACUCUCUUGACAAGUUCUUCUGAAGAGCCUCUGUUUCUUCCUCGUCGUUGCCUGUAACUACCAUAUCAUCCACAUAGACAAUAAGGGCAGUGAUUUUACCUUGUCGUUUUUUAAUGAAUAAGGUAUGAUCUGAAUUGCUUUGGUUAUACCCAAAACGAACCAUAGCCUUUGUGAAUUUCCCGAACCAUGCUCUUGGGGAUUGCUUCAACCCAUACAAUGAUUUCUUCAAUUUGCAUACUUUCUGAUUGAGUCGUUCUGGUCCACUGCAUCCUGGUGGCAGAUCCAUAUAAAUUUCUUCAGACAGGUCUCCAUGGAGGAAAGCAUUCUUUACAUCGAACUGUUGCACUGGCCAAUCCAAGUUGACUGCUAAUGAUAAUAAGAUACGAAUAGUAUUAAUUUUUGCUACUGGUGCAAACGUAUCAGUAUAAUCAAUCCCGUNNNNNNNNNNNNNNNNNNNNNNNNNNNNNNNNNNNNNNNNNNNNNNNNNNNNNNNNNNNNNNNNNNNNNNNNNNNNNNNNNNNNNNNNNNNNNNNNNNNNGGUGUAACCCUUAGCUACGAGUCUUGCUUUGUAUCGUUCAAUAGAGCCAUCUGCUUUGUAUUUUAUAGUGUAGAUACAUCGACAACCCACUGGUUUCUUUCCUGGUGGAAGAUCAACUAGUUCCCAUGUUUGAUUUUUCUGAAGAGAUCUCAUUUCAUCAUUCAUAGCCGCUUUCCACUUUGGAUCUUUUAAAGCUUCCUGCACACUGUUAGGAAUAGAUACAACAGAUAAUUGAUUCACAAAUGACUGAUUUGAUUCUGACAAGCGAUGGUUAGACACAAAAUGACUCAUAGGGUAUUUGACUCUACUAGAGAAGUCAGGCUCAUAUGUGGUUUUAGGGAUACCUCUGUUUUGACGUUGGGGAAGAAUUCUUCUGAUCGGACUUGUGGUAGGAACAUCCUCUGCAGACGAUUGGUUAGGUAUUUCUUCAUGUGACUCAUUCUCGAUUGCAGUUGUGUCUGAGUUAUUGUGCUCCCCAAAUGUGUCUUCACAUAUCUCAGCCUGCGAAUCAUCACCAUUUGCUUUUCCUGUAUCUUGAAGGUUUACUAUCUCAAUGGAAGAUUGACUUUCUUCAGGUGGAAGAUAUGUAAGAGUAUGAAUUUCCUCUUCAUUAUACUCCCCCUGAAAUUCAGACUCUGACAAGUAGUACAUGAUAUCUUCAUGAAAAACGACAUCCAUGGUGAUGUAUAUUUUUCUUGAUGGUGGAUGAUAGCAUCGGUAUCCCUUUUGAUGUAAGGCAUACCCUACAAACACACAACGUAGUGCUCGAGGAGAUAAUUUGUCUUGUUGCGGUAAAUGAACGAAGGCAACACAGCCAAACACAUGUGGGGGUAGAUUCGGCACAUUUGGUGACAUAAUUGCAUCAUUCAGAACUUGGAAAGGAGUCUGGAAUCCAAGGGAGCUUGAAGGUGUUCGAUUGAUCAAGUAUGCUGCGGAUGCCAGUGCUUCUCCCCAAUAAGAUAAUGGCAUGUGGGCUUGGAUUAGUGAUGCUCGAACAACUUCUAGUAAAUGUCUGUUUUUUCGUUCAGCAACGCCAUUUUGUUGGGGUGUCCCCACACAAGUGGUUUGAUGGACAGAUCCUUGUGAUUUCAGAAACUGUUGAAUUGCUGUGCUCAUAUACUCGCCUCCAUUAUCAGUAUGUAGAACUCGAAUUUGUGUCUGAAAUUGAGUUGUCACCAUCUUAUGAAAUCUUUGAAAUAAAGAGUUUACUUCGUCUUUCGAUUUCAUCAGAAAAAUCCAUGUCAUUCUGCUACAAUCAUCAAUAAAUGUAACAAACCAACGAGCACCUCCAAUUGUAGAAACUUUAGAUGGCCCCCAUACAUCAGAAUGUACUACCAUAAAAGGAACUGGAUUUUUAUUUAAGGACAAUGGAAAAGUAGUUCGAUGGCUUUUUGAAAGUUCACAAACAUCACAUUUAAAGUUACAAACAUCAAAUUUCAGAAACAAACUAGGAAAUAAUUUUUUUAAGUAACCAAAUGACACAUGCCCUAAACGUCUAUGCCAUAACCAAAUUUCUGAUUUCCCUUUUUUUAUGUAACUAUCUGCGACUAGUGCGGGGCUUAGCUUUCCAGUGUUUGUUGAUGACAUCUCCAAGUAGUACAAGUUGCCUCGUCUAAUACCAUAACCAAUCGUUUGCUUCGUUUGGAUGUCCUUAAACACACAAUGAUCAGGCCAAAAAAUUACAACACAUGAUAAGUAAGUGGUUAAUUGAGACACAGAUAAAAGAUUAUAAUCCAAAGAUGGAACAAUUAACACAGCGUCUAAAUUUAAUUCAUUUGUGAGUCGUAAAGAUCCUUCCCCAAUAACUGAGGUUGUGGUUCCAUUUGCAGUGGAAAUAUGUUUUUGUGAAGAUGGUUUCAAUUGAGAAACUUGUCGAGAAUCAAAAGUCAUAUGAUCAGUUGCCCCAGAAUCAAUUAUCCAUGUACUAUUAAUAACAGGUGUAAGAGUUUUAAGGGCCUUACCUGGACUGACAGAGGUUGCGAUUUGCACUGAAGAUUCUUUUCUAAGAUCUGUAGUGGAUGUGGAUACUGCAGUUUUUGAUCCAUGCUUGGUGCUCUUUUUUCGAGUAUCCCACCAGUCAGGAUAUCCAAUGAUUUCAAAACAUUGUUCUUUCGUAUGACCCUUCUUUCUACAAUGAGUGCAAUGGAGUGAUGACUUGUCAACAAACUUCCUUUGAGGCUGUUGUCGUGCUAUCAUAGCAGACGUUUCUGAGUCGACCUUCUUGUUUAGUUUGCUUUGCCGUAUAUCUUCUCUUCGGAUCAGAGAAUAACAUUUUUCUAAGUCUGGGAUAAUGUCUUUUCGUAGAAUUUCUCCACGAACUUGGUCAAAUUCUUCAUCUAGCCCAGUAAGAAAAAUGUGCACUCUCAAUCUUUCAACAGACCUUCUGUAUAUUACAACAUCUUCUGGAUCCUUCAUGACCACUUUAUCUCGGUGAUCAAGUUCUCGAAAUAUUUCGACCAAUUCUCCAUAGAAUUUAGAGAGUGGUUGUCCAUUUUGCUUGGUAGAGAAUGCCUUCUGGUUUAGAGUGAAAACUUGUAAUUCAUCGCUUCCAUCAUAGAAGGCUUUUGAUAAUGCAUCCCAGAUUUCGUAGGCUGUAGGAAUUCGUAAAUAUCGCUUCAUGAUCUCCGGAGACAUGGAUAUGAGUAACCAUCUUUUUACUUUUUGGUUCUCACUAUACCAUUUCUCAUAUUCCUUUGAAGAUUCCUCAAAUGGCUUUGUGCUGCUACGAAUAAAUGAGAGUUUUUCUCUUUCUGCAAGAUGCAUCUCCAUUAUUUGAGACCAAACAUCGUAGUUUGUCUCAGUGAGGAUAAUUCCAGCAUUAAAUACUCCAUCAGAUUGAACAGAUUGAAUGACAACAAGACUAGAUUCAGUUGGAGUUUUCUCCAUUUUUUUUUCUUUUUUUCUCUUUUUUUUUUCUUUUUUUCUCUUUUUUUUCUUUUUUUUUCUUUUUUUUUGUUUGUUUUUUUUUUUUCCGUCUAGAUUGAAAGAAGAAAAAAAAAUAACCUUUUUAGGUAACAAAACGACAGGUCGUUUGGCCACUGCUUACCAAACCGACAUGUCGGUUAUGGUGGAAUAUAAACGACAUGUCGUUUUAAUCCUGCUGCGCUUCUGGAUACUAAGCGUCACGUCGUUUUAUCUAUAAUUUAAAAACGACAUGUCGGUUUUAAUAUAACAAAAAACGACACGUCGUUUGUUUACUUCUGCACUUCUGAGAUAAAAACGACAUGUCGGCUGACGUCGUCUUCAACCUCUGGAGCGCGUGAUAGUGCGUGAAUGAUGACAGAGGCGCGUGGUUGACUGGCCGUGGCUUCGGGUGGCGCGUGGGAGCGCGUGGGCAUGUGUUUAAAUGCGAAAUUUUUACAGUUUCCUCACUGAAAACUGAGAAAUUUGGUGGUAUUCUUGGUUUUUGAGGAACACAGUCUCGGAAAAUUGAUGGGAUUGUUGAUAAAUUUGUAAACUCAAGCUUUUUACGUAUGGGUGGCUUGUUUCUUGAUUGGCAUGGAUAUCUGUAAUGGUAGGAAUGGGUUUAAGAAAGAAAAUGGUGGGAAAAAUGGUUGUGGGAGGAAUUUGGUUUCCUCUGUUUUUGUUACAAACAGAGCAGCGGAACUUGAAGAAACUUGAGCGUAUUCAUGGCUCUGAUACCAUGAAGAAACGUGUUUUCAUUUCUUAAAUAAAGCAUUAUACAUUGAGAGUUAUUUAUAGAUGCAGCGGCUACAUUUUUUCAAAGAUAACAUGUGUGAAUACGGAAGGAAAUGUGUCAAUCCGUUCGGCGCGGAUCUUGUCUUUGACAAGUGCAGAUUACCCCUUUGACAAGUGCAGAUUCUGUCUUUGAAAGUUUCAUUCAAUGCCGUUUUCUUUGAUUCUCAACAUCGUGUUCCUCUAAUUACAGAAGCAUUUUGGUCCGAUUAUUGGAGGAUUGGAAUACGCGAUGAUUGCCUCUCUCUACUACACGUAGAAGAGUCGAGACGCUCUUUUGGGUUAUGGAUGGUGAAAGGGGGGUUUUGGACCAAACACUUGAGUUUUGGACCUUUUAUAGAAACUUAUCAUCCAGUUGGAUUUUGGAGAAAUGGCGAAUUCAUUCUAGAAUCAUAUCCACGAGGUGUUGACCGUCGAUUGGUCUUAUAUGAUUCUAACUACGAUCAAGUAAGGGAAUUUGGAAUUACUAGUAUACGGAUUUCAGUUCGUUUUUUGAAAGAAAGCCUUAUUACAGUCCGAGAAUAGGAGGAUAUAUAGCUUGUUGGAUGUUCAUAUUCUCGACGUUACACGGCAUGUUUUGGGUGUGUAUGUUAGAAAUCCUCUAGGACAAGUUAGAUUAAGUCUACGAAGUUACAGCCAGACGUCUAUCCCAACAAAUUUUAUAGGAGAACUUAUUACACACAACCCACAUUGGCGGGCAAAUAUCUACCUUUCCAAUUUUUAAAAUUGCGAGAAGAAUAUGAUCCUAGGAUAUGCCAGAGUUGAACCAAUGCCCUUAGGCCAUGUUUGGUUUGAAUAAAAGGGAGGAGAAGAAAAGAGUGGAAUAAAGCGAAAGGGAGAAUAAAUGAAUGGAGAAGAGUAGUGAAAUUAGAUUUUGUUGUAUGGUUUGAUAUAGAAUUCGAUAAUGAAAGGAAUUAUAAUUUUUUUUGUAGGUAAAUUUAUCAUUUACCUUAAAUAUUAAACUAUUUAUAUUAGUAAUAAUAAUAUAUAUAUUUAUAUAUAAUAAAAUGGCGGUUCGGUAGCCGGCGGUGAAGGUCUAGUGACUUUCCGUUGAAGGUCUGGUGCCUUUUCGGCGGAUGUUUGGUGACUUUCCGGUGAAAGUCCGCGCGAAGUCGGCGGAGAUCCGGUGACUUCCCGACGACAUCCGGCAGAGAUCCGAUGACUUUUCGACGAAGGCCGGUGAUGUCUGGCAAAGGUUCGGCGACUUUCCGACAGCAUCAUAAGGCACAUUGAAUUAAAUAAAUUUCAUAUAACAACUCUAUUCAAAUAAAAAGAAAGAAGAAAAAAAAAUGGGGAAAAGCAAAUGGAGACGCCUACGAAAUUGUAAAUUAAUUCACAAGUAUAGAAAUAAAUUUUUUUAAACGAACGAACAAUUACCGCGAUGAGAAUCGAAUCGCCACAAAAUUGGAACCGCAAAAAAAAUAAUAAUAAUAACAAUCGGGGAGAAAAUUCAACGUGAAACGACGCGUUUAGAGUGAAUUAGCGCCAUAACUUAAAAACUCCAUUUCCCUCGCUUUCGAUUGCUUGGUUUUCCACUUCACACAAACAAAAUUAAUUGCAUUGAUUUUGAUUUUUGAACUUUCAAGUGAGAGAAAAAUCGAAAAUGAAUAACUUUUUUUUUGGGUUUUAAUUUUAUAGAAAUUGGGAAUUAAUUUCAAGAAAAGUUUGUGUUUUUGGGUAGUUUAUAUAUGAAUGCGAGGAAAGCGGGUAUCAGUAACUAAAAGGACCGUUGGAUUAAUAAAACUAGAAAGGGUAAUUUACAUAAGAGUCCUUAUUGUUUUCUUAAAAUUCAGAUACAUUAGUAAAUUUGAAAAAUCAAUCAAUUUCAUUCUUUCUGUUUUUGUAAAAGGGCGUGUGAAUAAGGAAAAAUAAACGCAAUAAUUUUUCACAUGAUUUAGCAACACUAGCUAGCUUAUGGUCAUUGCUUAUUCCACUAAAAUUAGUAUUUUUUUGUUCAUAAAAAGAAGAUGUGUUAAUGAAAUUCUAUGAAAUGAUUUCAUAAGAUCCAGUCUAUUGUCUUUGUUCCUGAGAAAACAUUAAAGAAUUAGGAAUUCAUGUUAUAACAAGAUUUGAUGAGAUUAUUUCCAGUAUGGAGCGACUCAAUCAUUUACUUUGAUAUUUUAUUGAACAAAAAUCCCCUUCUGAAAAUGGAACCAUUUGGACAAAAAUUGAAUCGAAAUAUCUACAUAUUCUCUUGCAGAGUCCAGAUAAUCAUGAACUAAGAAAAGAUCAAGUGGUGGAAUUUUAAAUCUAUCAAAUAUGAAAUUCAAGAUCUCAGUCUCUAUAACAAUUAGAUUUUUAUCGCGUUAAAAGGCCUUGUCAAAGAUUGACUUCUAUGUAUCAAUAAACCUCAAGAAACCAUGUAUUGAUUUAUUUCUUCGAAACUUGUAAGGGAGAAGGAGUCCUCACACUGCUAUGGGCUCGAACCUUCCCCCUCAAAGUGCAUCAUUUUCUAUUGCUGUUUUGUAAUAUUUAUACACUGGAGCUUAAAUUGUAGCAUUAAUUUAAGAAAAACAAUAAAGCGAAUUAAUUCCCACAGUUUCUGUCAAAUUAAACCAAACGCCACAAAUACAAAAAAAAAAAAAGUGCUAAUUUAAUUUCGAUUUGCUUUCACUUCAAAAGUUCAUAUCACUGUUGCAAUUUGCUUAUGUGAAGUAACAAAUUAUCUUGUUCAUAGGUUUAAUAUCACUAAAAUUUUCGUGUCGAAUAAGUGCGGUGCAUCUCUUGGAACUGCUUGAUUAUUCUUUUGUUCAUUCUAUUCGAAACUUUAAUUUGAUUUAGGCAGCUGGUAAUGAGUUAAUGGCAUUAUGGUAAGAGUUGUAUAGCUAUUUUCUGAUUUAUUGUUUCAGAGAUGUGUGAAUAUUUAAUUAACAAAAUAAAGCUAUAUACACUCUAUAUAUAUAUAUAUAUAUAUAUAUAUAUAUAUAUAUAUAUAUAGAAGAAAUGAAUCUAUUUCUUUUUUAUGUUCGUCUUUUCUGUAGGAAAUCGAGAAUGAAAGAAAAUACGGCGUUGUUUUGCUUGAAGCUUCCCCCAUCAAAUGGCUUUCUCUUCCUCUUCAUUUCACCACACAACCCCAACAAUAGAACCGACCUGCAGAACCCUUAAACUGUUUUUUUUUUNNNNNNNNNNNNNNNNNNNNNNNNNNNNNNNNNNNNNNNNNNNNNNNNNNNNNNNNNNNNNNNNNNNNNNNNNNNNNNNNNNNNNNNNNNNNNNNNNNNNNNNNNNNNNNNNNNNNNNNNNNNNNNNNNNNNNNNNNNNNNNNNNNNNNNNNNNNNNNNNNNNNNNNNNNNNNNNNNNNNNNNNNNNNNNNNNNNNNNNNNNNNNNNNNNNNNNNNNNNNNNNNNNNNNNNNNNNNNNNNNNNNNNNNNNNNNNNNNNNNNNNNNNNNNNNNNNNNNNNNNNNNNNNNNNNNNNNNNNNNNNNNNNNNNNNNNNNNNNNNNNNNNNNNNNNNNNNNNNNNNNNNNNNNNNNNNNNNNNNNNNNNNNNNNNNNNNNNNNNNNNNNNNNNNNNNNNNNNNNNNNNNNNNNNNNNNNNNNNNNNNNNNNNNNNNNNNNNNNNNNNNNNNNNNNNNNNNNNNNNNNNNNNNNNNNNNNNNNNNNNNNNNNNNNNNNNNNNNNNNNNNNNNNNNNNNNNNNNNNNNNNNNNNNNNNNNNNNNNNNNNNNNNNNNNNNNNNNNNNNNNNNNNNNNNNNNNNNNNNNNNNNNNNNNNNNNNNNNNNNNNNNNNNNNNNNNNNNNNNNNNNNNNNNNNNNNNNNNNNNNNNNNNNNNNNNNNNNNNNNNNNNNNNNNNNNNNNNNNNNNNNNNNNNNNNNNNNNNNNNNNNNNNNNNNNNNNNNNNNNNNNNNNNNNNNNNNNNNNNNNNNNNNNNNNNNNNNNNNNNNNNNNNNNNNNNNNNNNNNNNNNNNNNNNNNNNNNNNNNNNNNNNNNNNNNNNNNNNNNNNNNNNNNNNNNNNNNNNNNNNNNNNNNNNNNNNNNNNNNNNNNNNNNNNNNNNNNNNNNNNNNNNNNNNNNNNNNNNNNNNNNNNNNNNNNNNNNNNNNNNNNNNNNNNNNNNNNNNNNNNNNNNNNNNNNNNNNNNNNNNNNNNNNNNNNNNNNNNNNNNNNNNNNNNNNNNNNNNNNNNNNNNNNNNNNNNNNNNNNNNNNNNNNNNNNNNNNNNNNNNNNNNNNNNNNNNNNNNNNNNNNNNNNNNNNNNNNNNNNNNNNNNNNNNNNNNNNNNNNNNNNNNNNNNNNNNNNNNNNNNNNNNNNNNNNNNNNNNNNNNNNNNNNNNNNNNNNNNNNNNNNNNNNNNNNNNNNNNNNNNNNNNNNNNNNNNNNNNNNNNNNNNNNNNNNNNNNNNNNNNNNNNNNNNNNNNNNNNNNNNNNNNNNNNNNNNNNNNNNNNNNNNNNNNNNNNNNNNNNNNNNNNNNNNNNNNNNNNNNNNNNNNNNNNNNNNNNNNNNNNNNNNNNNNNNNNNNNNNNNNNNNNNNNNNNNNNNNNNNNNNNNNNNNNNNNNNNNNNNNNNNNNNNNNNNNNNNNNNNNNNNNNNNNNNNNNNNNNNNNNNNNNNNNNNNNNNNNNNNNNNNNNNNNNNNNNNNNNNNNNNNNNNNNNNNNNNNNNNNNNNNNNNNNNNNNNNNNNNNNNNNNNNNNNNNNNNNNNNNNNNNNNNNNNNNNNNNNNNNNNNNNNNNNNNNNNNNNNNNNNNNNNNNNNNNNNNNNNNNNNNNNNNNNNNNNNNNNNNNNNNNNNNNNNNNNNNNNNNNNNNNNNNNNNNNNNNNNNNNNNNNNNNNNNNNNNNNNNNNNNNNNNNNNNNNNNNNNNNNNNNNNNNNNNNNNNNNNNNNNNNNNNNNNNNNNNNNNNNNNNNNNNNNNNNNNNNNNNNNNNNNNNNNNNNNNNNNNNNNNNNNNNNNNNNNNNNNNNNNNNNNNNNNNNNNNNNNNNNNNNNNNNNNNNNNNNNNNNNNNNNNNNNNNNNNNNNNNNNNNNNNNNNNNNNNNNNNNNNNNNNNNNNNNNNNNNNNNNNNNNNNNNNNNNNNNNNNNNNNNNNNNNNNNNNNNNNNNNNNNNNNNNNNNNNNNNNNNNNNNNNNNNNNNNNNNNNNNNNNNNNNNNNNNNNNNNNNNNNNNNNNNNNNNNNNNNNNNNNNNNNNNNNNNNNNNNNNNNNNNNNNNNNNNNNNNNNNNNNNNNNNNNNNNNNNNNNNNNNNNNNNNNNNNNNNNNNNNNNNNNNNNNNNNNNNNNNNNNNNNNNNNNNNNNNNNNNNNNNNNNNNNNNNNNNNNNNNNNNNNNNNNNNNNNNNNNNNNNNNNNNNNNNNNNNNNNNNNNNNNNNNNNNNNNNNNNNNNNNNNNNNNNNNNNNNNNNNNNNNNNNNNNNNNNNNNNNNNNNNNNNNNNNNNNNNNNNNNNNNNNNNNNNNNNNNNNNNNNNNNNNNNNNNNNNNNNNNNNNNNNNNNNNNNNNNNNNNNNNNNNNNNNNNNNNNNNNNNNNNNNNNNNNNNNNNNNNNNNNNNNNNNNNNNNNNNNNNNNNNNNNNNNNNNNNNNNNNNNNNNNNNNNNNNNNNNNNNNNNNNNNNNNNNNNNNNNNNNNNNNNNNNNNNNNNNNNNNNNNNNNNNNNNNNNNNNNNNNNNNNNNNNNNNNNNNNNNNNNNNNNNNNNNNNNNNNNNNNNNNNNNNNNNNNNNNNNNNNNNNNNNNNNNNNNNNNNNNNNNNNNNNNNNNNNNNNNNNNNNNNNNNNNNNNNNNNNNNNNNNNNNNNNNNNNNNNNNNNNNNNNNNNNNNNNNNNNNNNNNNNNNNNNNNNNNNNNNNNNNNNNNNNNNNNNNNNNNNNNNNNNNNNNNNNNNNNNNNNNNNNNNNNNNNNNNNNNNNNNNNNNNNNNNNNNNNNNNNNNNNNNNNNNNNNNNNNNNNNNNNNNNNNNNNNNNNNNNNNNNNNNNNNNNNNNNNNNNNNNNNNNNNNNNNNNNNNNNNNNNNNNNNNNNNNNNNNNNNNNNNNNNNNNNNNNNNNNNNNNNNNNNNNNNNNNNNNNNNNNNNNNNNNNNNNNNNNNNNNNNNNNNNNNNNNNNNNNNNNNNNNNNNNNNNNNNNNNNNNNNNNNNNNNNNNNNNNNNNNNNNNNNNNNNNNNNNNNNNNNNNNNNNNNNNNNNNNNNNNNNNNNNNNNNNNNNNNNNNNNNNNNNNNNNNNNNNNNNNNNNNNNNNNNNNNNNNNNNNNNNNNNNNNNNNNNNNNNNNNNNNNNNNNNNNNNNNNNNNNNNNNNNNNNNNNNNNNNNNNNNNNNNNNNNNNNNNNNNNNNNNNNNNNNNNNNNNNNNNNNNNNNNNNNNNNNNNNNNNNNNNNNNNNNNNNNNNNNNNNNNNNNNNNNNNNNNNNNNNNNNNNNNNNNNNNNNNNNNNNNNNNNNNNNNNNNNNNNNNNNNNNNNNNNNNNNNNNNNNNNNNNNNNNNNNNNNNNNNNNNNNNNNNNNNNNNNNNNNNNNNNNNNNNNNNNNNNNNNNNNNNNNNNNNNNNNNNNNNNNNNNNNNNNNNNNNNNNNNNNNNNNNNNNNNNNNNNNNNNNNNNNNNNNNNNNNNNNNNNNNNNNNNNNNNNNNNNNNNNNNNNNNNNNNNNNNNNNNNNNNNNNNNNNNNNNNNNNNNNNNNNNNNNNNNNNNNNNNNNNNNNNNNNNNNNNNNNNNNNNNNNNNNNNNNNNNNNNNNNNNNNNNNNNNNNNNNNNNNNNNNNNNNNNNNNNNNNNNNNNNNNNNNNNNNNNNNNNNNNNNNNNNNNNNNNNNNNNNNNNNNNNNNNNNNNNNNNNNNNNNNNNNNNNNNNNNNNNNNNNNNNNNNNNNNNNNNNNNNNNNNNNNNNNNNNNNNNNNNNNNNNNNNNNNNNNNNNNNNNNNNNNNNNNNNNNNNNNNNNNNNNNNNNNNNNNNNNNNNNNNNNNNNNNNNNNNNNNNNNNNNNNNNNNNNNNNNNNNNNNNNNNNNNNNNNNNNNNNNNNNNNNNNNNNNNNNNNNNNNNNNNNNNNNNNNNNNNNNNNNNNNNNNNNNNNNNNNNNNNNNNNNNNNNNNNNNNNNNNNNNNNNNNNNNNNNNNNNNNNNNNNNNNNNNNNNNNNNNNNNNNNNNNNNNNNNNNNNNNNNNNNNNNNNNNNNNNNNNNNNNNNNNNNNNNNNNNNNNNNNNNNNNNNNNNNNNNNNNNNNNNNNNNNNNNNNNNNNNNNNNNNNNNNNNNNNNNNNNNNNNNNNNNNNNNNNNNNNNNNNNNNNNNNNNNNNNNNNNNNNNNNNNNNNNNNNNNNNNNNNNNNNNNNNNNNNNNNNNNNNNNNNNNNNNNNNNNNNNNNNNNNNNNNNNNNNNNNNNNNNNNNNNNNNNNNNNNNNNNNNNNNNNNNNNNNNNNNNNNNNNNNNNNNNNNNNNNNNNNNNNNNNNNNNNNNNNNNNNNNNNNNNNNNNNNNNNNNNNNNNNNNNNNNNNNNNNNNNNNNNNNNNNNNNNNNNNNNNNNNNNNNNNNNNNNNNNNNNNNNNNNNNNNNNNNNNNNNNNNNNNNNNNNNNNNNNNNNNNNNNNNNNNNNNNNNNNNNNNNNNNNNNNNNNNNNNNNNNNNNNNNNNNNNNNNNNNNNNNNNNNNNNNNNNNNNNNNNNNNNNNNNNNNNNNNNNNNNNNNNNNNNNNNNNNNNNNNNNNNNNNNNNNNNNNNNNNNNNNNNNNNNNNNNNNNNNNNNNNNNNNNNNNNNNNNNNNNNNNNNNNNNNNNNNNNNNNNNNNNNNNNNNNNNNNNNNNNNNNNNNNNNNNNNNNNNNNNNNNNNNNNNNNNNNNNNNNNNNNNNNNNNNNNNNNNNNNNNNNNNNNNNNNNNNNNNNNNNNNNNNNNNNNNNNNNNNNNNNNNNNNNNNNNNNNNNNNNNNNNNNNNNNNNNNNNNNNNNNNNNNNNNNNNNNNNNNNNNNNNNNNNNNNNNNNNNNNNNNNNNNNNNNNNNNNNNNNNNNNNNNNNNNNNNNNNNNNNNNNNNNNNNNNNNNNNNNNNNNNNNNNNNNNNNNNNNNNNNNNNNNNNNNNNNNNNNNNNNNNNNNNNNNNNNNNNNNNNNNNNNNNNNNNNNNNNNNNNNNNNNNNNNNNNNNNNNNNNNNNNNNNNNNNNNNNNNNNNNNNNNNNNNNNNNNNNNNNNNNNNNNNNNNNNNNNNNNNNNNNNNNNNNNNNNNNNNNNNNNNNNNNNNNNNNNNNNNNNNNNNNNNNNNNNNNNNNNNNNNNNNNNNNNNNNNNNNNNNNNNNNNNNNNNNNNNNNNNNNNNNNNNNNNNNNNNNNNNNNNNNNNNNNNNNNNNNNNNNNNNNNNNNNNNNNNNNNNNNNNNNNNNNNNNNNNNNNNNNNNNNNNNNNNNNNNNNNNNNNNNNNNNNNNNNNNNNNNNNNNNNNNNNNNNNNNNNNNNNNNNNNNNNNNNNNNNNNNNNNNNNNNNNNNNNNNNNNNNNNNNNNNNNNNNNNNNNNNNNNNNNNNNNNNNNNNNNNNNNNNNNNNNNNNNNNNNNNNNNNNNNNNNNNNNNNNNNNNNNNNNNNNNNNNNNNNNNNNNNNNNNNNNNNNNNNNNNNNNNNNNNNNNNNNNNNNNNNNNNNNNNNNNNNNNNNNNNNNNNNNNNNNNNNNNNNNNNNNNNNNNNNNNNNNNNNNNNNNNNNNNNNNNNNNNNNNNNNNNNNNNNNNNNNNNNNNNNNNNNNNNNNNNNNNNNNNNNNNNNNNNNNNNNNNNNNNNNNNNNNNNNNNNNNNNNNNNNNNNNNNNNNNNNNNNNNNNNNNNNNNNNNNNNNNNNNNNNNNNNNNNNNNNNNNNNNNNNNNNNNNNNNNNNNNNNNNNNNNNNNNNNNNNNNNNNNNNNNNNNNNNNNNNNNNNNNNNNNNNNNNNNNNNNNNNNNNNNNNNNNNNNNNNNNNNNNNNNNNNNNNNNNNNNNNNNNNNNNNNNNNNNNNNNNNNNNNNNNNNNNNNNNNNNNNNNNNNNNNNNNNNNNNNNNNNNNNNNNNNNNNNNNNNNNNNNNNNNNNNNNNNNNNNNNNNNNNNNNNNNNNNNNNNNNNNNNNNNNNNNNNNNNNNNNNNNNNNNNNNNNNNNNNNNNNNNNNNNNNNNNNNNNNNNNNNNNNNNNNNNNNNNNNNNNNNNNNNNNNNNNNNNNNNNNNNNNNNNNNNNNNNNNNNNNNNNNNNNNNNNNNNNNNNNNNNNNNNNNNNNNNNNNNNNNNNNNNNNNNNNNNNNNNNNNNNNNNNNNNNNNNNNNNNNNNNNNNNNNNNNNNNNNNNNNNNNNNNNNNNNNNNNNNNNNNNNNNNNNNNNNNNNNNNNNNNNNNNNNNNNNNNNNNNNNNNNNNNNNNNNNNNNNNNNNNNNNNNNNNNNNNNNNNNNNNNNNNNNNNNNNNNNNNNNNNNNNNNNNNNNNNNNNNNNNNNNNNNNNNNNNNNNNNNNNNNNNNNNNNNNNNNNNNNNNNNNNNNNNNNNNNNNNNNNNNNNNNNNNNNNNNNNNNNNNNNNNNNNNNNNNNNNNNNNNNNNNNNNNNNNNNNNNNNNNNNNNNNNNNNNNNNNNNNNNNNNNNNNNNNNNNNNNNNNNNNNNNNNNNNNNNNNNNNNNNNNNNNNNNNNNNNNNNNNNNNNNNNNNNNNNNNNNNNNNNNNNNNNNNNNNNNNNNNNNNNNNNNNNNNNNNNNNNNNNNNNNNNNNNNNNNNNNNNNNNNNNNNNNNNNNNNNNNNNNNNNNNNNNNNNNNNNNNNNNNNNNNNNNNNNNNNNNNNNNNNNNNNNNNNNNNNNNNNNNNNNNNNNNNNNNNNNNNNNNNNNNNNNNNNNNNNNNNNNNNNNNNNNNNNNNNNNNNNNNNNNNNNNNNNNNNNNNNNNNNNNNNNNNNNNNNNNNNNNNNNNNNNNNNNNNNNNNNNNNNNNNNNNNNNNNNNNNNNNNNNNNNNNNNNNNNNNNNNNNNNNNNNNNNNNNNNNNNNNNNNNNNNNNNNNNNNNNNNNNNNNNNNNNNNNNNNNNNNNNNNNNNNNNNNNNNNNNNNNNNNNNNNNNNNNNNNNNNNNNNNNNNNNNNNNNNNNNNNNNNNNNNNNNNNNNNNNNNNNNNNNNNNNNNNNNNNNNNNNNNNNNNNNNNNNNNNNNNNNNNNNNNNNNNNNNNNNNNNNNNNNNNNNNNNNNNNNNNNNNNNNNNNNNNNNNNNNNNNNNNNNNNNNNNNNNNNNNNNNNNNNNNNNNNNNNNNNNNNNNNNNNNNNNNNNNNNNNNNNNNNNNNNNNNNNNNNNNNNNNNNNNNNNNNNNNNNNNNNNNNNNNNNNNNNNNNNNNNNNNNNNNNNNNNNNNNNNNNNNNNNNNNNNNNNNNNNNNNNNNNNNNNNNNNNNNNNNNNNNNNNNNNNNNNNNNNNNNNNNNNNNNNNNNNNNNNNNNNNNNNNNNNNNNNNNNNNNNNNNNNNNNNNNNNNNNNNNNNNNNNNNNNNNNNNNNNNNNNNNNNNNNNNNNNNNNNNNNNNNNNNNNNNNNNNNNNNNNNNNNNNNNNNNNNNNNNNNNNNNNNNNNNNNNNNNNNNNNNNNNNNNNNNNNNNNNNNNNNNNNNNNNNNNNNNNNNNNNNNNNNNNNNNNNNNNNNNNNNNNNNNNNNNNNNNNNNNNNNNNNNNNNNNNNNNNNNNNNNNNNNNNNNNNNNNNNNNNNNNNNNNNNNNNNNNNNNNNNNNNNNNNNNNNNNNNNNNNNNNNNNNNNNNNNNNNNNNNNNNNNNNNNNNNNNNNNNNNNNNNNNNNNNNNNNNNNNNNNNNNNNNNNNNNNNNNNNNNNNNNNNNNNNNNNNNNNNNNNNNNNNNNNNNNNNNNNNNNNNNNNNNNNNNNNNNNNNNNNNNNNNNNNNNNNNNNNNNNNNNNNNNNNNNNNNNNNNNNNNNNNNNNNNNNNNNNNNNNNNNNNNNNNNNNNNNNNNNNNNNNNNNNNNNNNNNNNNNNNNNNNNNNNNNNNNNNNNNNNNNNNNNNNNNNNNNNNNNNNNNNNNNNNNNNNNNNNNNNNNNNNNNNNNNNNNNNNNNNNNNNNNNNNNNNNNNNNNNNNNNNNNNNNNNNNNNNNNNNNNNNNNNNNNNNNNNNNNNNNNNNNNNNNNNNNNNNNNNNNNNNNNNNNNNNNNNNNNNNNNNNNNNNNNNNNNNNNNNNNNNNNNNNNNNNNNNNNNNNNNNNNNNNNNNNNNNNNNNNNNNNNNNNNNNNNNNNNNNNNNNNNNNNNNNNNNNNNNNNNNNNNNNNNNNNNNNNNNNNNNNNNNNNNNNNNNNNNNNNNNNNNNNNNNNNNNNNNNNNNNNNNNNNNNNNNNNNNNNNNNNNNNNNNNNNNNNNNNNNNNNNNNNNNNNNNNNNNNNNNNNNNNNNNNNNNNNNNNNNNNNNNNNNNNNNNNNNNNNNNNNNNNNNNNNNNNNNNNNNNNNNNNNNNNNNNNNNNNNNNNNNNNNNNNNNNNNNNNNNNNNNNNNNNNNNNNNNNNNNNNNNNNNNNNNNNNNNNNNNNNNNNNNNNNNNNNNNNNNNNNNNNNNNNNNNNNNNNNNNNNNNNNNNNNNNNNNNNNNNNNNNNNNNNNNNNNNNNNNNNNNNNNNNNNNNNNNNNNNNNNNNNNNNNNNNNNNNNNNNNNNNNNNNNNNNNNNNNNNNNNNNNNNNNNNNNNNNNNNNNNNNNNNNNNNNNNNNNNNNNNNNNNNNNNNNNNNNNNNNNNNNNNNNNNNNNNNNNNNNNNNNNNNNNNNNNNNNNNNNNNNNNNNNNNNNNNNNNNNNNNNNNNNNNNNNNNNNNNNNNNNNNNNNNNNNNNNNNNNNNNNNNNNNNNNNNNNNNNNNNNNNNNNNNNNNNNNNNNNNNNNNNNNNNNNNNNNNNNNNNNNNNNNNNNNNNNNNNNNNNNNNNNNNNNNNNNNNNNNNNNNNNNNNNNNNNNNNNNNNNNNNNNNNNNNNNNNNNNNNNNNNNNNNNNNNNNNNNNNNNNNNNNNNNNNNNNNNNNNNNNNNNNNNNNNNNNNNNNNNNNNNNNNNNNNNNNNNNNNNNNNNNNNNNNNNNNNNNNNNNNNNNNNNNNNNNNNNNNNNNNNNNNNNNNNNNNNNNNNNNNNNNNNNNNNNNNNNNNNNNNNNNNNNNNNNNNNNNNNNNNNNNNNNNNNNNNNNNNNNNNNNNNNNNNNNNNNNNNNNNNNNNNNNNNNNNNNNNNNNNNNNNNNNNNNNNNNNNNNNNNNNNNNNNNNNNNNNNNNNNNNNNNNNNNNNNNNNNNNNNNNNNNNNNNNNNNNNNNNNNNNNNNNNNNNNNNNNNNNNNNNNNNNNNNNNNNNNNNNNNNNNNNNNNNNNNNNNNNNNNNNNNNNNNNNNNNNNNNNNNNNNNNNNNNNNNNNNNNNNNNNNNNNNNNNNNNNNNNNNNNNNNNNNNNNNNNNNNNNNNNNNNNNNNNNNNNNNNNNNNNNNNNNNNNNNNNNNNNNNNNNNNNNNNNNNNNNNNNNNNNNNNNNNNNNNNNNNNNNNNNNNNNNNNNNNNNNNNNNNNNNNNNNNNNNNNNNNNNNNNNNNNNNNNNNNNNNNNNNNNNNNNNNNNNNNNNNNNNNNNNNNNNNNNNNNNNNNNNNNNNNNNNNNNNNNNNNNNNNNNNNNNNNNNNNNNNNNNNNNNNNNNNNNNNNNNNNNNNNNNNNNNNNNNNNNNNNNNNNNNNNNNNNNNNNNNNNNNNNNNNNNNNNNNNNNNNNNNNNNNNNNNNNNNNNNNNNNNNNNNNNNNNNNNNNNNNNNNNNNNNNNNNNNNNNNNNNNNNNNNNNNNNNNNNNNNNNNNNNNNNNNNNNNNNNNNNNNNNNNNNNNNNNNNNNNNNNNNNNNNNNNNNNNNNNNNNNNNNNNNNNNNNNNNNNNNNNNNNNNNNNNNNNNNNNNNNNNNNNNNNNNNNNNNNNNNNNNNNNNNNNNNNNNNNNNNNNNNNNNNNNNNNNNNNNNNNNNNNNNNNNNNNNNNNNNNNNNNNNNNNNNNNNNNNNNNNNNNNNNNNNNNNNNNNNNNNNNNNNNNNNNNNNNNNNNNNNNNNNNNNNNNNNNNNNNNNNNNNNNNNNNNNNNNNNNNNNNNNNNNNNNNNNNNNNNNNNNNNNNNNNNNNNNNNNNNNNNNNNNNNNNNNNNNNNNNNNNNNNNNNNNNNNNNNNNNNNNNNNNNNNNNNNNNNNNNNNNNNNNNNNNNNNNNNNNNNNNNNNNNNNNNNNNNNNNNNNNNNNNNNNNNNNNNNNNNNNNNNNNNNNNNNNNNNNNNNNNNNNNNNNNNNNNNNNNNNNNNNNNNNNNNNNNNNNNNNNNNNNNNNNNNNNNNNNNNNNNNNNNNNNNNNNNNNNNNNNNNNNNNNNNNNNNNNNNNNNNNNNNNNNNNNNNNNNNNNNNNNNNNNNNNNNNNNNNNNNNNNNNNNNNNNNNNNNNNNNNNNNNNNNNNNNNNNNNNNNNNNNNNNNNNNNNNNNNNNNNNNNNNNNNNNNNNNNNNNNNNNNNNNNNNNNNNNNNNNNNNNNNNNNNNNNNNNNNNNNNNNNNNNNNNNNNNNNNNNNNNNNNNNNNNNNNNNNNNNNNNNNNNNNNNNNNNNNNNNNNNNNNNNNNNNNNNNNNNNNNNNNNNNNNNNNNNNNNNNNNNNNNNNNNNNNNNNNNNNNNNNNNNNNNNNNNNNNNNNNNNNNNNNNNNNNNNNNNNNNNNNNNNNNNNNNNNNNNNNNNNNNNNNNNNNNNNNNNNNNNNNNNNNNNNNNNNNNNNNNNNNNNNNNNNNNNNNNNNNNNNNNNNNNNNNNNNNNNNNNNNNNNNNNNNNNNNNNNNNNNNNNNNNNNNNNNNNNNNNNNNNNNNNNNNNNNNNNNNNNNNNNNNNNNNNNNNNNNNNNNNNNNNNNNNNNNNNNNNNNNNNNNNNNNNNNNNNNNNNNNNNNNNNNNNNNNNNNNNNNNNNNNNNNNNNNNNNNNNNNNNNNNNNNNNNNNNNNNNNNNNNNNNNNNNNNNNNNNNNNNNNNNNNNNNNNNNNNNNNNNNNNNNNNNNNNNNNNNNNNNNNNNNNNNNNNNNNNNNNNNNNNNNNNNNNNNNNNNNNNNNNNNNNNNNNNNNNNNNNNNNNNNNNNNNNNNNNNNNNNNNNNNNNNNNNNNNNNNNNNNNNNNNNNNNNNNNNNNNNNNNNNNNNNNNNNNNNNNNNNNNNNNNNNNNNNNNNNNNNNNNNNNNNNNNNNNNNNNNNNNNNNNNNNNNNNNNNNNNNNNNNNNNNNNNNNNNNNNNNNNNNNNNNNNNNNNNNNNNNNNNNNNNNNNNNNNNNNNNNNNNNNNNNNNNNNNNNNNNNNNNNNNNNNNNNNNNNNNNNNNNNNNNNNNNNNNNNNNNNNNNNNNNNNNNNNNNNNNNNNNNNNNNNNNNNNNNNNNNNNNNNNNNNNNNNNNNNNNNNNNNNNNNNNNNNNNNNNNNNNNNNNNNNNNNNNNNNNNNNNNNNNNNNNNNNNNNNNNNNNNNNNNNNNNNNNNNNNNNNNNNNNNNNNNNNNNNNNNNNNNNNNNNNNNNNNNNNNNNNNNNNNNNNNNNNNNNNNNNNNNNNNNNNNNNNNNNNNNNNNNNNNNNNNNNNNNNNNNNNNNNNNNNNNNNNNNNNNNNNNNNNNNNNNNNNNNNNNNNNNNNNNNNNNNNNNNNNNNNNNNNNNNNNNNNNNNNNNNNNNNNNNNNNNNNNNNNNNNNNNNNNNNNNNNNNNNNNNNNNNNNNNNNNNNNNNNNNNNNNNNNNNNNNNNNNNNNNNNNNNNNNNNNNNNNNNNNNNNNNNNNNNNNNNNNNNNNNNNNNNNNNNNNNNNNNNNNNNNNNNNNNNNNNNNNNNNNNNNNNNNNNNNNNNNNNNNNNNNNNNNNNNNNNNNNNNNNNNNNNNNNNNNNNNNNNNNNNNNNNNNNNNNNNNNNNNNNNNNNNNNNNNNNNNNNNNNNNNNNNNNNNNNNNNNNNNNNNNNNNNNNNNNNNNNNNNNNNNNNNNNNNNNNNNNNNNNNNNNNNNNNNNNNNNNNNNNNNNNNNNNNNNNNNNNNNNNNNNNNNNNNNNNNNNNNNNNNNNNNNNNNNNNNNNNNNNNNNNNNNNNNNNNNNNNNNNNNNNNNNNNNNNNNNNNNNNNNNNNNNNNNNNNNNNNNNNNNNNNNNNNNNNNNNNNNNNNNNNNNNNNNNNNNNNNNNNNNNNNNNNNNNNNNNNNNNNNNNNNNNNNNNNNNNNNNNNNNNNNNNNNNNNNNNNNNNNNNNNNNNNNNNNNNNNNNNNNNNNNNNNNNNNNNNNNNNNNNNNNNNNNNNNNNNNNNNNNNNNNNNNNNNNNNNNNNNNNNNNNNNNNNNNNNNNNNNNNNNNNNNNNNNNNNNNNNNNNNNNNNNNNNNNNNNNNNNNNNNNNNNNNNNNNNNNNNNNNNNNNNNNNNNNNNNNNNNNNNNNNNNNNNNNNNNNNNNNNNNNNNNNNNNNNNNNNNNNNNNNNNNNNNNNNNNNNNNNNNNNNNNNNNNNNNNNNNNNNNNNNNNNNNNNNNNNNNNNNNNNNNNNNNNNNNNNNNNNNNNNNNNNNNNNNNNNNNNNNNNNNNNNNNNNNNNNNNNNNNNNNNNNNNNNNNNNNNNNNNNNNNNNNNNNNNNNNNNNNNNNNNNNNNNNNNNNNNNNNNNNNNNNNNNNNNNNNNNNNNNNNNNNNNNNNNNNNNNNNNNNNNNNNNNNNNNNNNNNNNNNNNNNNNNNNNNNNNNNNNNNNNNNNNNNNNNNNNNNNNNNNNNNNNNNNNNNNNNNNNNNNNNNNNNNNNNNNNNNNNNNNNNNNNNNNNNNNNNNNNNNNNNNNNNNNNNNNNNNNNNNNNNNNNNNNNNNNNNNNNNNNNNNNNNNNNNNNNNNNNNNNNNNNNNNNNNNNNNNNNNNNNNNNNNNNNNNNNNNNNNNNNNNNNNNNNNNNNNNNNNNNNNNNNNNNNNNNNNNNNNNNNNNNNNNNNNNNNNNNNNNNNNNNNNNNNNNNNNNNNNNNNNNNNNNNNNNNNNNNNNNNNNNNNNNNNNNNNNNNNNNNNNNNNNNNNNNNNNNNNNNNNNNNNNNNNNNNNNNNNNNNNNNNNNNNNNNNNNNNNNNNNNNNNNNNNNNNNNNNNNNNNNNNNNNNNNNNNNNNNNNNNNNNNNNNNNNNNNNNNNNNNNNNNNNNNNNNNNNNNNNNNNNNNNNNNNNNNNNNNNNNNNNNNNNNNNNNNNNNNNNNNNNNNNNNNNNNNNNNNNNNNNNNNNNNNNNNNNNNNNNNNNNNNNNNNNNNNNNNNNNNNNNNNNNNNNNNNNNNNNNNNNNNNNNNNNNNNNNNNNNNNNNNNNNNNNNNNNNNNNNNNNNNNNNNNNNNNNNNNNNNNNNNNNNNNNNNNNNNNNNNNNNNNNNNNNNNNNNNNNNNNNNNNNNNNNNNNNNNNNNNNNNNNNNNNNNNNNNNNNNNNNNNNNNNNNNNNNNNNNNNNNNNNNNNNNNNNNNNNNNNNNNNNNNNNNNNNNNNNNNNNNNNNNNNNNNNNNNNNNNNNNNNNNNNNNNNNNNNNNNNNNNNNNNNNNNNNNNNNNNNNNNNNNNNNNNNNNNNNNNNNNNNNNNNNNNNNNNNNNNNNNNNNNNNNNNNNNNNNNNNNNNNNNNNNNNNNNNNNNNNNNNNNNNNNNNNNNNNNNNNNNNNNNNNNNNNNNNNNNNNNNNNNNNNNNNNNNNNNNNNNNNNNNNNNNNNNNNNNNNNNNNNNNNNNNNNNNNNNNNNNNNNNNNNNNNNNNNNNNNNNNNNNNNNNNNNNNNNNNNNNNNNNNNNNNNNNNNNNNNNNNNNNNNNNNNNNNNNNNNNNNNNNNNNNNNNNNNNNNNNNNNNNNNNNNNNNNNNNNNNNNNNNNNNNNNNNNNNNNNNNNNNNNNNNNNNNNNNNNNNNNNNNNNNNNNNNNNNNNNNNNNNNNNNNNNNNNNNNNNNNNNNNNNNNNNNNNNNNNNNNNNNNNNNNNNNNNNNNNNNNNNNNNNNNNNNNNNNNNNNNNNNNNNNNNNNNNNNNNNNNNNNNNNNNNNNNNNNNNNNNNNNNNNNNNNNNNNNNNNNNNNNNNNNNNNNNNNNNNNNNNNNNNNNNNNNNNNNNNNNNNNNNNNNNNNNNNNNNNNNNNNNNNNNNNNNNNNNNNNNNNNNNNNNNNNNNNNNNNNNNNNNNNNNNNNNNNNNNNNNNNNNNNNNNNNNNNNNNNNNNNNNNNNNNNNNNNNNNNNNNNNNNNNNNNNNNNNNNNNNNNNNNNNNNNNNNNNNNNNNNNNNNNNNNNNNNNNNNNNNNNNNNNNNNNNNNNNNNNNNNNNNNNNNNNNNNNNNNNNNNNNNNNNNNNNNNNNNNNNNNNNNNNNNNNNNNNNNNNNNNNNNNNNNNNNNNNNNNNNNNNNNNNNNNNNNNNNNNNNNNNNNNNNNNNNNNNNNNNNNNNNNNNNNNNNNNNNNNNNNNNNNNNNNNNNNNNNNNNNNNNNNNNNNNNNNNNNNNNNNNNNNNNNNNNNNNNNNNNNNNNNNNNNNNNNNNNNNNNNNNNNNNNNNNNNNNNNNNNNNNNNNNNNNNNNNNNNNNNNNNNNNNNNNNNNNNNNNNNNNNNNNNNNNNNNNNNNNNNNNNNNNNNNNNNNNNNNNNNNNNNNNNNNNNNNNNNNNNNNNNNNNNNNNNNNNNNNNNNNNNNNNNNNNNNNNNNNNNNNNNNNNNNNNNNNNNNNNNNNNNNNNNNNNNNNNNNNNNNNNNNNNNNNNNNNNNNNNNNNNNNNNNNNNNNNNNNNNNNNNNNNNNNNNNNNNNNNNNNNNNNNNNNNNNNNNNNNNNNNNNNNNNNNNNNNNNNNNNNNNNNNNNNNNNNNNNNNNNNNNNNNNNNNNNNNNNNNNNNNNNNNNNNNNNNNNNNNNNNNNNNNNNNNNNNNNNNNNNNNNNNNNNNNNNNNNNNNNNNNNNNNNNNNNNNNNNNNNNNNNNNNNNNNNNNNNNNNNNNNNNNNNNNNNNNNNNNNNNNNNNNNNNNNNNNNNNNNNNNNNNNNNNNNNNNNNNNNNNNNNNNNNNNNNNNNNNNNNNNNNNNNNNNNNNNNNNNNNNNNNNNNNNNNNNNNNNNNNNNNNNNNNNNNNNNNNNNNNNNNNNNNNNNNNNNNNNNNNNNNNNNNNNNNNNNNNNNNNNNNNNNNNNNNNNNNNNNNNNNNNNNNNNNNNNNNNNNNNNNNNNNNNNNNNNNNNNNNNNNNNNNNNNNNNNNNNNNNNNNNNNNNNNNNNNNNNNNNNNNNNNNNNNNNNNNNNNNNNNNNNNNNNNNNNNNNNNNNNNNNNNNNNNNNNNNNNNNNNNNNNNNNNNNNNNNNNNNNNNNNNNNNNNNNNNNNNNNNNNNNNNNNNNNNNNNNNNNNNNNNNNNNNNNNNNNNNNNNNNNNNNNNNNNNNNNNNNNNNNNNNNNNNNNNNNNNNNNNNNNNNNNNNNNNNNNNNNNNNNNNNNNNNNNNNNNNNNNNNNNNNNNNNNNNNNNNNNNNNNNNNNNNNNNNNNNNNNNNNNNNNNNNNNNNNNNNNNNNNNNNNNNNNNNNNNNNNNNNNNNNNNNNNNNNNNNNNNNNNNNNNNNNNNNNNNNNNNNNNNNNNNNNNNNNNNNNNNNNNNNNNNNNNNNNNNNNNNNNNNNNNNNNNNNNNNNNNNNNNNNNNNNNNNNNNNNNNNNNNNNNNNNNNNNNNNNNNNNNNNNNNNNNNNNNNNNNNNNNNNNNNNNNNNNNNNNNNNNNNNNNNNNNNNNNNNNNNNNNNNNNNNNNNNNNNNNNNNNNNNNNNNNNNNNNNNNNNNNNNNNNNNNNNNNNNNNNNNNNNNNNNNNNNNNNNNNNNNNNNNNNNNNNNNNNNNNNNNNNNNNNNNNNNNNNNNNNNNNNNNNNNNNNNNNNNNNNNNNNNNNNNNNNNNNNNNNNNNNNNNNNNNNNNNNNNNNNNNNNNNNNNNNNNNNNNNNNNNNNNNNNNNNNNNNNNNNNNNNNNNNNNNNNNNNNNNNNNNNNNNNNNNNNNNNNNNNNNNNNNNNNNNNNNNNNNNNNNNNNNNNNNNNNNNNNNNNNNNNNNNNNNNNNNNNNNNNNNNNNNNNNNNNNNNNNNNNNNNNNNNNNNNNNNNNNNNNNNNNNNNNNNNNNNNNNNNNNNNNNNNNNNNNNNNNNNNNNNNNNNNNNNNNNNNNNNNNNNNNNNNNNNNNNNNNNNNNNNNNNNNNNNNNNNNNNNNNNNNNNNNNNNNNNNNNNNNNNNNNNNNNNNNNNNNNNNNNNNNNNNNNNNNNNNNNNNNNNNNNNNNNNNNNNNNNNNNNNNNNNNNNNNNNNNNNNNNNNNNNNNNNNNNNNNNNNNNNNNNNNNNNNNNNNNNNNNNNNNNNNNNNNNNNNNNNNNNNNNNNNNNNNNNNNNNNNNNNNNNNNNNNNNNNNNNNNNNNNNNNNNNNNNNNNNNNNNNNNNNNNNNNNNNNNNNNNNNNNNNNNNNNNNNNNNNNNNNNNNNNNNNNNNNNNNNNNNNNNNNNNNNNNNNNNNNNNNNNNNNNNNNNNNNNNNNNNNNNNNNNNNNNNNNNNNNNNNNNNNNNNNNNNNNNNNNNNNNNNNNNNNNNNNNNNNNNNNNNNNNNNNNNNNNNNNNNNNNNNNNNNNNNNNNNNNNNNNNNNNNNNNNNNNNNNNNNNNNNNNNNNNNNNNNNNNNNNNNNNNNNNNNNNNNNNNNNNNNNNNNNNNNNNNNNNNNNNNNNNNNNNNNNNNNNNNNNNNNNNNNNNNNNNNNNNNNNNNNNNNNNNNNNNNNNNNNNNNNNNNNNNNNNNNNNNNNNNNNNNNNNNNNNNNNNNNNNNNNNNNNNNNNNNNNNNNNNNNNNNNNNNNNNNNNNNNNNNNNNNNNNNNNNNNNNNNNNNNNNNNNNNNNNNNNNNNNNNNNNNNNNNNNNNNNNNNNNNNNNNNNNNNNNNNNNNNNNNNNNNNNNNNNNNNNNNNNNNNNNNNNNNNNNNNNNNNNNNNNNNNNNNNNNNNNNNNNNNNNNNNNNNNNNNNNNNNNNNNNNNNNNNNNNNNNNNNNNNNNNNNNNNNNNNNNNNNNNNNNNNNNNNNNNNNNNNNNNNNNNNNNNNNNNNNNNNNNNNNNNNNNNNNNNNNNNNNNNNNNNNNNNNNNNNNNNNNNNNNNNNNNNNNNNNNNNNNNNNNNNNNNNNNNNNNNNNNNNNNNNNNNNNNNNNNNNNNNNNNNNNNNNNNNNNNNNNNNNNNNNNNNNNNNNNNNNNNNNNNNNNNNNNNNNNNNNNNNNNNNNNNNNNNNNNNNNNNNNNNNNNNNNNNNNNNNNNNNNNNNNNNNNNNNNNNNNNNNNNNNNNNNNNNNNNNNNNNNNNNNNNNNNNNNNNNNNNNNNNNNNNNNNNNNNNNNNNNNNNNNNNNNNNNNNNNNNNNNNNNNNNNNNNNNNNNNNNNNNNNNNNNNNNNNNNNNNNNNNNNNNNNNNNNNNNNNNNNNNNNNNNNNNNNNNNNNNNNNNNNNNNNNNNNNNNNNNNNNNNNNNNNNNNNNNNNNNNNNNNNNNNNNNNNNNNNNNNNNNNNNNNNNNNNNNNNNNNNNNNNNNNNNNNNNNNNNNNNNNNNNNNNNNNNNNNNNNNNNNNNNNNNNNNNNNNNNNNNNNNNNNNNNNNNNNNNNNNNNNNNNNNNNNNNNNNNNNNNNNNNNNNNNNNNNNNNNNNNNNNNNNNNNNNNNNNNNNNNNNNNNNNNNNNNNNNNNNNNNNNNNNNNNNNNNNNNNNNNNNNNNNNNNNNNNNNNNNNNNNNNNNNNNNNNNNNNNNNNNNNNNNNNNNNNNNNNNNNNNNNNNNNNNNNNNNNNNNNNNNNNNNNNNNNNNNNNNNNNNNNNNNNNNNNNNNNNNNNNNNNNNNNNNNNNNNNNNNNNNNNNNNNNNNNNNNNNNNNNNNNNNNNNNNNNNNNNNUGAUAUAUCCCUAAGGUUAAAACUACACCUUGGAAGAAAGAAUAUAAACCUAAUCAAGAUACAUUAGUCCCUAUAAAUAAUGCUGGAACAUUUUUAAAUUUAGAUUGUAAAAUAGAUCCUCGUAAAGCACUAGCCGAAUGGGGCAUACAAAUGAAACUAUUCUUCAUAUAUAAUGGAGCUAAUGAUGAUUGGAAUGUAGAGACAGAAGAAGAAAAAAUAAAUAUAUUCACUUGUAUCCUAUUGGCCAGUUUUACAGGAAAUGUAUUUAACUGGUGGAGAGGACUAAGUGAUGAUACACAAAGAUUGAUAAAAGAUUCAACCAAGAUAGCCUUUAGAAGAAGUAAAACAUUAGGCAUUGAAAGAAUAAUUGAAUACAUAGCAAGUGAAUUUUUAGGAGAAGAUUGGUUAGAAAAUUCCGAGAAAGAAGCAAAUAAUGAAAAACUAAAUGCUAGGCUAAAAUUAAUGAACUUAACAAUUUGUAAUAUGUGUUAUGUUAAAGAAUACACGUGUGAAUUUAAUAAAUAUUAUUAUGAACAAUAUGUGAGUCUAGAAGACCAAGAAGUUUAUAAAAAUUUAUAUUAUUCUAAAUUACCCUAUCCUUGGAAUAGUUAUUUUAUAAAUGAAUAUGAAAAAUACAGUACUACAAAUAGACUCCCAGAUACAUUAGGAGCUAGAAUAAGAUUCCUAAAUACUAGGCUUAGUGAUAUAUGUAUCCAAAGAAACCUAAUAAAAAAGAGCAGAAAUAUAACAGAAAUAUGUUGUGAAAAAACAGAAAUGCCAACUCAAUGGGGUUGUUAUGUACCCCAUAAGCGAAAAAGAAAAUUAUAUAAGAAAGAGAAAAAAUAUAAAAAAUAUAAUAAUUUUAAAAAGAAAUAUAAAAAACCUAGAAGGAAAUAUUAUAAGAGAAAAUACAAAAACCAAAGAAAACAAUUAGAUAAAUCUAAAUGUAAAUGCUGGAAUUGUGGAGAAAUAGGACAUAUUAGUAUAGACUGUACCAAAAGAAAGGUUAGGAUUUUGCAAGAAGAUUUUCAAAUAAUACAAGAAGAUUUAGAAGAGAUAAGCAGCAUAUCUGAUUAUGAAGGAACAUAAGUUUAUAUGAUAAAGGAUUCUGAAGAUGAAUCAGGAUAGAAGAGAAUUAAAUGAAAAAGAAGAGAUAGAAGAAAUUGAAGAACUAGAAAGAGAAGAAAAUAAAAGUGGAUAUAGUCUUGUAGCCACUUUUAACAAAGAAAAGUAUAAUAAACUUUUAAAAUUGAAUGCAGAAAGACCAGAAUAUGGAUUAAUACAAAAACUAAGAGAUUUAUUUAAAAGAAAAAGAAUAGUGUUACAUGAAUAUUAUGAACAAGAAAAAGCUGUAACGAUCACACAAGCUGAAGGAAAUAUCAGAUUCAGCUUAAUAAAUAAAAUAACAAUAGAUUUAGCAUUAAGAAAAAUAAAAAAUGAAUCGACAAGAGAAAAAAUGCAAUAUGUAUAUUUGGCGGAAAUCCAAAUCUUAAUAAAAUCUCUCUUCAAAGAAGGAGUAGAUAGCCCUAUAGUCUUGUCAAUACAUGAUCAACGGUUCCAUGAUCCUAGUAUAGGACAUUUAGGAACAGUAGAAGGGAACUUAUGUUAUACUAAAUUAUUAUUUACGUGUCACCCUAGGUACUGUGUACACAUAAAAGAUAGAAAUAUAGAUGAAACACUAAGUUUACACUUUAAAUUACUAAAAAAGAAUGUAAUGAAAGAAGGAAAUAGAUUGAUGACAAUACAUUAUUCUGCAUUAUACAGUUUUUGUAAUUCAAACUAUGGAGAAAUUUAUGGAAAUAAACCAUAUAUAGAAAUAAAUAAAGAAUGUGAAGAUAUAGCAACUCUUAUAGAACCUGUCAUCCAGGAUUAUAGAAUCCCUAUAACUUAUGAGUUAAACAUAGAUGACAAAAAAUAAUUUUUAAAUGAAAACAAUGAAAACUCUAUAAUUCCUAUAAGUUUUGCAGGAAGAACCUUAAUAAGAGGAAGUUCUUCUAGAAGAUUAAGCACUGAUAGACAAUUAGUCAAUAUAGAUAAACAAAUAACUAGACCGACAAUGACUAGUAAUGUAGUAAGAAUACUUGGACAAUAUUUUAAUGGAAUAGAAUAUACAACCAAAAUACCCAUUUUAGUAGACACUGGAACAAGCCAUAACUAUAUGAAUCAUACAAAAAAUAAGAGACUUUUGGUAAAAGAAAAGGAAAUCCCAUAUGAAUAUACUGAUUUCAAUGGAAAUAAAUAUAUCUGUAAACAAGAAGUAAAAGUUCCGCUAAUUAUUGAAGGAAUUAGAAUAAUCGUCUCUUGUUACAUAGAUUCCUUUAUGACUACAGACCCAGAAAAACAUAUAGUAUUAGGAAAUAGUUUCCUAAAUAGUCUAGAAUAUUAUAAAAUUGAAAAAUAUCAAAUAACUCUACAAAUAGAAGGGCAAAAAAUAAUAUGUGAAACAUGUUAAAACAGGCUUAUAUAAAAUAUCCUAUGUCUGUAUACAUACAAAUAAAUAUUACAGAAAAAGACAUAGAUACUUGUGCCCUAAUAGACACAUGAAGUGAAAUUACAAUUAUGAAAUCCUUUUUAUCAAAUCAAUGGAAACCAAAUGGAAAAUUAAAAAUUAUUGGUAUAACAGGGGAUAAACAACAAGUCAAUAAAUCUUUACUAAAUUUUGAAAUACUUUUAGGAAGUAAAAUUGUCCGUAUAAACCAAAUUUACCAGUAUGAUCAAAUGGAUUGUGAUAUCCUUUUAGGAAAUGAUUUUAUACAACAAUUUCAAUAUUACCAACAAACUCCGUUUAUGAUCACCCUUAAAACGCCCUGUAAUCAUAUCCUUCGCAUCCCUAGAGAAUUCAAACCCUACAGAGUUCAGCCAGCCCAACGUGGUGGUAGCCUGAUUUAUGAAAAACAUUAUUUAAUUUCUAAAGGACGGAGUUAUAAUAUACAACUAGAAACAAUAAAAUCUCAGCUUGAACAAGUUUAUAAAGAUAAUCCAUUAGCAUUAUGGAAACCAGAUCAUCCUAGAGCAAAAAUAGAAUUAAUAGAAAAUAGAAUAAUAAGACUUAAACCCAUGAUGUACACAGAAGAAGAUAGGGAAGAAUUCAAAAUCCAAAUAAAAGAAUUAUUAAACCUAAAGUUAAUUAGAAACAGUAAUAGCCCACAUAAUAGCCCAGCCUUUAUGGUUAGAAAAAGGACAGAACAAGUUAGAGGAAAAGUGAGAAUGGUAAUUAAUUAUAAGGAAUUAAACAAAUAUACAAAAUUUGAUGGAUAUUUUUUACCAAAUAAAGAAGUACUAAUAAAUCUUGUAAAAAAUAAGAUUUACUAUUCAAAAUUUGAUUGUAAAUCAGGGUUUUGGCAAAUAAAAAUGGAAGAACAUAGUAUUCCAUACACAACUUUUAGCACUCCUCAGGGUCAUUAUGAAUGGCUAGUAAUGUCUUUCGGAUUAAAAAAUGCUCCUAAGAUUUUUCAAAGUAGAAUGGAUAAAAUAUUCAGGGAUUACAAAUACAUUAUAGUAUAUGUAGACGACAUAUUAAUAGCAUCAGAAACACUAGAGGACCAUAGAAGACAUUUAAAAGAAUUUGUCAAUAUAUGUAUUUGGGAAGGAAUAGUACUGUCAGAAAGAAAGGCAGUAAUAGAACAUAAGAAAAUAGAAUUUUUAGGAAUGAUUCUUGAUAAACAAAGAAUCAGGCUUCAAAGCCAUAUAGGAAAAAAGAUUACUGAAUUUCCAGAUAAGUUAGAAAAUAAACAACAAAUACAAAAAUUCUUAGGUUGUUUAAAUUAUGCUGAAGGAUUCAUAAAAGAUUUAGCAAAGAAAAGAAAUAUACUUCAAAAACUACUUAGAAAAAAUAAUACUAGAGGUUGAAGCAUAGAUCACACAGAAACUGUUAAAAGUUUAAAAGAAGAAUGUAAGAAUCUCCCUUCAUUAAGACUACCAGAAGAAACUGAUAGAUUAGUAAUACAAACAGAUGCAUCUGAUCUGCAUUGGGGAGCUAUACUCAAAACUGACAUAAAUGAAAUAUGUCGAUACACUAGCGGCACUUUUAACCAAGCACAAGUUAAUUAUCCAGUACAUGAAAAAGAACUCCUUGUAAUAUACAAGGAAAUAAAAAAGUUCUCAUUAUUUUUAUUACAAAAACAAUUUAUUAUGGAAACAGAUAAUUCUCAAGUAAGUUCAUUAAUCAGUAAAAUUUUACCAAAUGAACCUCAGUAUAGGAGAUUACACAGAUGGCAAACAUAUCUGUCAUAUUAUAAUUUUAAAGUCGUACAAAUAAAAGGAACUAACAAUUGUCUUGUAGAUUUUUUAAGCAGGAACAUAGAAUUUGGGGAUGAAUCCAGGAGUAAAUAAAACCAUCGGCGUGAUAAAAGCCGAGAUAGAAAGGCUCAAGACAGAGGCAUUUGACAUAAUUGAUGCAAUAAAUUACAUAAAAGAGGCCUCAGAGGCCCAUGAAAAAGGAGUACAUUUGUUAGAGUCAUGCAUAAACGACCUAACAAAAGCACUCUUUAUAAACACAGGCCCAAUAAACACUGGCCCAAUAAACAUUGAUUCAAUAAAUGCAGGAAGCAGUAGUGGACCCCUCAGAGAGCAUAAACCAAUCUCUGAUCCAGUUCCUAAUCGAACCAUAUCCAUAGAAGUCGAGUCACCAAAAUCAAGCCCUUCAAAAAAGUUCAUCCAAAUAAACAGUCCCUAUACAGAAGAAGAGGAGAAACCUCUGAAUCCAAAAGAAGAAGAAUAUAAACAAUUCUCCACAUGGGUAUAUUCUACUUGUUCCCACAAUAACACGAUAUUCAAAGCACCUGGAAAAAAUAUGUACCCAAGAAUGAUAGCCACAAAAGGAGCAGAUCCACUCCUUGUUGGGAAAAUAGCAAAAUAUGGGUAUUUAGAUUUAGUAUAUCCAGAUAUAGACCUACGGGAAAUAACCAGUCUAGACGAACUAUUAGUUAAAGAAGUCUCAAGGUUUGCACAGAAAAGACCCAUAUACCUAAAAUUCUACACCAUAAGUCCAGAAUACCAUCAGAAUGUAGAAUACCAAGCCUUUUAUAUGAUCUCUGUAGGUCACCUCACAAAGAAUUUCAAAGUUGAGGUAGGAACAGAAUACACAAACGUGCCUCACGUAAAUGAAACCUGGAUCAGGACCCGAAGAGCCAGAGGAAUAAAAGCCAUAUGGAGCAUUGCUAAAGAUUUAUAUAAAAGGAAUUUCAGAACCAUUAUCAGAUUCCAGAACUAUAUCCUUAUAACUUCAGAAGACAGUCAUACACCAUCAAAUAUACUGCUAGAGUUCAUUAACGAAAUAAGCACUAUGCGUUUCCCCAGUAGCAGUGAAACCAUGCAGCAGGCUUACCAGCUCAUGGAGAUAAGAUAGCCAGACAAAUAAAACAAUGAUUGUGGCAGACAAGAUAAAGUAGAUGCCCGACAAGAUAAAAGGUGAAAGUCUUAAAGUAAAUGCCCGACAAGAUAAAAGGUGAAAGUCUUAAAGAAGAUGCCCGACAAAGUAAAAAGUAGGAAGCUAAUGAUAAAAAAGAGAGGCCCGUGAUAAAAGAAAGAACAGAGGAAGCACUGAAAAGAAAGUUGUAAUAAUGUAGUAACGUAAGCAAUGAUGUAAAAGCCCAAUAAUGUGAGGGCAAUAAAGUAAUAAUGUAUCAUAUACAAUUUUGAAAUAAAUAGAGAAACGAAGGAGAAAGCUCUCAGAGCUUAUCAUUGUCAUAACUCAAUCGUUUCCAACAUUCUCUAAAAGAAUGAACAACUAAACCACUCCCCGGCUCUAAAUCCUAAAUCAAUACAUCAUUAAUUAGAACAAAAUCACCAGAGAAAGGAAAGAGAAACCUAAACUUAUUCUACGUUUCUAAGCAUGACGAUCAGAAUCCAUACAGUAAGGCCACUCGAGUCCGCUGAUCCCGUUGAGGCAAGGAGGUCGUUGAGGGAAUAAGGACAACCAGGCUGCAGGUCACUGGAAAAGGAUCGGAAGGCAAAGAAACAAGAAUAACUUAGGUAAUAAUUCUCAAUCCUUAUCUGUUGGUGGAAGUUUGUUGAUGAUUGAUGAUGAGGAGAUUUAUGGAGGAAGAGCUAAUCUCCAGAAGUGAAAUACUUUAAAUAAUUAAUUCAAUAUGAAUAACGAUAUUUUGUUAGGAAAUUCUAAAGAAUAUAUAAUAAACUCAACAACUAGGAUAACUUAUAACAAUUACAUGAUGAUAAUAGAUUUUAACUUAGGAUCAUUUAAAUAGAGUUCAUAUCUUUUAAGUAAACAAGAACUUGUUAGAACAGAAGACUUACAAGCAGUAUAUGCGCUUGAUCUACCACAAGAAAUAAAACGAAAAAUUAUAAAACAUAUUGAAAUAGAAAAUCUGAAACAUAAUAUAAUCAUGUUAACUGUAGAACAAGGAAUUGACAUAGCCAUAGCAUAUAUGGAACAUGAAAGUCGAGAAAUUGGAUCAUCAUAUAUAAAUUAUAUAGAAAACUCAGAUAAUGAAGAACUUGAGCUAUAACACAUGAGAAGUAUAUCGGCUGGAAACCACUUCGGGUUGCGGGCUACUGGUCCAAAGAGCUACCUGGAUAGCUGUACCUAGGGGUAGAACAACGCCACGUACUUCUCCAAUACACUGUUAUAAUUAAUUCUAAUUUAUCAUAAUAAAAUUAAAACAAAAAAAGUAUUAUCAUUUUAUGUAUAAAAUUGUACUUAUAAGAUUAUUCUUGUAUUUCUACUUCUUAUAAUUUUAUUUAUCUAUUUCUUGGUUUUUUUUUACCUAUUCUGUUUUUUACCUAUUCUGUUUUUAAUGCAAAGGCACAAAAUGGUAUCAGAGCCAUAAGAGCCAUAAGAACCAUAAGAACUCAAAAAAAAAAAAACUUUUUUAAUGGACCCAAUAGAAGGUAUAGUAAAUAGUCUAUAUGCAUUAAGAGUAUGUAAUAAGGAAGAAAUAAAAAACUUAAUAAAAGCUAUAAAAACAGAGAAAAAUAAUAUAAGAAAUAUUGAUCUUGAACUAACCCAAGAAUUACAAGAAAGAUCUAUAGACACAUUAGGAAGUGAACUCUUGAUAGAAAAGAAGAUGAAAUUUAUAGAUAAAUUUAUAAAAAUUUUGGUAUAUUGGUACAAAACAGAAGCAUUACCAUGAAUCAGCAUGAAUUUAAUGUAAUAAAUGAAUUGGCAGAAGCCGUAGAUCGCAUGAAAUUAGUAUGGGAAAACAUAAUAACGCUCUAUAUAAAUCUAAUAAAUCAAAAAAUAGAGAUAUUAGAACAAGAAAGAAUAGGAAUAGUAAAUUUAUUCUGAAUGUAUGGAUUUAUAUGAAUUUGAUAAUCAUUUAAUGUUAUUUAAAGAAAUAAAGAGAACAUUAGAAAGAAUGAAAAAUAGGUGCAUAAUUGAUAGAAGAAGAGAAAUACAUCAGUAACUAUAAAAAAUUGAAAACACAAGGAUCAAAAUGAAAUUUGGUAGAAAAGAAAAAGACAAAAAACGUAAGAUACGUUUAACGUAACUUAGAGACUCCCGAAAUAUAAUUAUAUUCAUCCAGAAAAUUUUGUUUCUUUAUAUUCUCUACUAUUUCGUUUCGUCAACCAUAUUACGAAGUGUGUCCAACACAAAAGAAAAUAUAUCACAUUUCGAAAUAAAUAUAUAGCCCUGCCUAGGGAUGGCAAUGGGCACCGCCCGCAGCGGGUUUGCCAUUACCAAACCCAAACCCGCAUAAAAUUUAAAUUAGCAAACCCACCUGCAACCCGCAGCGGGUUUUAAUUUUUUUACAAAAACCCACCCGCAGCGGGUUUUAACAAUUACCAAACCCGUAAUGGUAUCCGGCGGAUUUUUGGCGGGUUUCCGUAUUUAAAAUCACAAAUGUUUUAUAUAUAAAUUUAUAAUAAUAACCUCAAAUUCCAUAUAACAUACUUAAUUUUAUAUUUAAAUAAUGUAAAUGAAAAAUUAAAAUUUCCACAUCAAUUCAACACAAAUUCUCAAAUUUAAGUAUAAAUUACACAAAUCCAUUUAAAAAACACAAACUAGUAUCUAAAAAUAAUAAUUACAUUUCAUAUUAUCAUUUAAAACAAGCUCCAAGAGAAGAUAUUCAUUUCAUUCACCACCAUAAGCACCCAUCCAACACAAUGCCUAUAAUAAUAAUUAAGAUUAAUAUUUUCAAAUACUAAUUCGAAGGAAAAUGCCUUUAGUUUUCUUUAGAUUAUGACUUUAGAAUAGGAUAUAGGCCACAUACACACAUACACAACUUUGAGCCUUUGGCUAUUUGGUAAUUUAAUUAAUGACAUUAUUUUCUUUAUACAUUUUUAGAUUAAAAUUAAAUUAAAAAUAUUUGAAAAAAAUAUUGCGGGUUUGGUGGAUAUCCAUGCGGGUAUCCACCAGAUAUAAUGUUAAUACCAAACCCACCCGCAUCCAUGUGCGGGUUUUAAUUUAUAAUACUAAACCCGCCCGCAACGGGUAAAAUUACCCGCAACGGGCAGAUUUUGGCGGGUGGGUUUGGGCGAGUUUGCGGGUUUGCGGGUACAAUUGCCAUCCCUAGCCCUGCCCUUACAAUAAUAUUCUUCCACAUGAAAGAGCGUAAUCACAUUGCAAAAGUACGUACAUAACCAAAACAUACAAACGAAAACACGUAUACCGCAUCCAAUUGCACUGUCAAAAUAAAUAAUCGCCGCAAGCUUUAGCAUCAUACAAACUCAAAAAUGGUUCAAAAAUUUGCGUUUUUGGUUAUAGGAGCAUAAUCAUCAAUAGAGAAGUAAAUAUAUGAAAUAAAAUGUAUCCCUCCACUUACAAGAAUUUUUCCAAAUCAUAGAGAGGCAUGAGUCCAAAAGUAUUAUAUAACCAGUAUUGAUACAAGCAAACACAACAAUAUCGUCCAAAAAUGAAAACAAAAACAAAAUAAUAAAUAAAGAACGUGAUAAAAAUAAUUUAGCUAUGUUGCAACUGGGGUAUUAUACCACAGUUUUUGUCCUUUUUUAGCAUGGUCGUUGAAUGCUUCCUUCUUGAAUCUAGCGGCUGAAAUUAAUUAUUGGUAAUUCGCAGCGGGUUGUUUAUUGAUGUAAUUUCAGUUAAGUCUAUUUUGUUUUGUUAUUUUAUUUUGUUCUUUCUCUUCUUUCCUCUUUUGUGUGCCGAAUGCUUAUCUAAUCAUUCUGUAUGGCGAAAUUUGCCAUAGACUUUCAAGAGACAGUUGUAUGGGCCAAUGAAAUUCCUCAGGCCGUUUUGGAUGUAUUCACAAAGUUGAAGCAAUGAAAGCGUUACCAUGUGCACAAAAAAAAAAAGGAUUAGAAAUGUUGUCAGAGUCAGACGUUGAUAACAAGAUUCCAAAACAAGGUUAAUUUCAUUUCUUAUUUAUUUACUUUAUAAUUAUCGUGUCCUGCCGCUUCAGCUUAAGCGCAGCUUAUGAUCUCAACAAUUUUAUUUAUAGUUAUUUCUCUUAAAAAAUUAAUUCUAAAAUUAAUUCUAAAAUUAAAAUAAUAACAUAAAAUUUAUGAAAAUUAUUAUAUUACUUUUAAGGAUAAUUUGAUAGAUUAUUAUUUUUUUCUUUUCAUUAAUAUUCUCAAACAAGAGUAUUAUUAUAAAAAAAAGAAAAAAUAAGAGUAAAAUAGUAAUAUAUUUAACAGUAAGAGUGUUUUAAAAUAUUUUUUAUAAUAUAGUAAGUAAAUGUAUAUACAAGUCAAAAAAUAAGGACAAAAAAAAACAUUUAUCUUAUAUAAUUCUAUGGUUUCCUUAAUCGUUUUCAACACAUUUUUUUUUUUUUUUAGAUUUGACAAUCUUACGUUUAACAUAAAGUAUAGCCUCUCAGACAAUUGAGCCAUGAGCACUAAUAAGACCCACCACCGAUAGAGAGGACUGUACCUUACAUUAAGGGCUCGUUUGGUAUGCCGGAUUAGAUUGGAUUGGAUUGGAUCGGAUUGGAUUAGAUAAGAUAGAAUUGGAUUGGAUAAUAUUGGAUUAUAUAUAAUACUAUGUUGUAUUUUGUAUGCCAUGAGAUUAGCUAGUAACUAAUAAUAUGUCUUAUAUAUUAAUUUAUUAAAAUCAUCGUAGAUUUACUUUAAAAUGAAAUGUAAUAUAAUCUAAUUUAAAUCAAUAAUUAUUGGUAAAUUUAUUAAAAAAAUGCAAAAUCUUCCCUUAUUUUUUUUUAAUACUUAACAUGUUAUAGUUUUUAAUUCCAUGAAUAGUAGAGGACAAAGUUUUAUCUUAGAAAAUGUAAUCCCAAGGGUCCCCUUAGGAUGAAAUUUUACCACUAUUGGGAGUAAGUGGUGGGCCCAUUAUUGUUAUCCUACCCUUACUUUUUUUAACACCAAACAUGAUAUAAGAAUUAUUUUACACUAAAGUUAUCCAAUCCCAUGAUAUAUAACUAAAACCAAACGGGCCCUAAAUAUACUAUUUUUUUUCUUAUUUAGCUCUUUACUAUAUCUCCCUCCUAUUAAUUGUUUGCACUUUUCAGCCUUUGUUUGGCUCAUAUUCCAAAAAGAAAAAAGGGAAAAGGAAAGAGAAAAAGAAAAACAUUUUUUUUAUGCACUUACAUGAUUCCCUCUAAGUAGUAGGGGUAUGCAGAAUCCAAUCUGAUCCGCUUAAUCUAUCUGAUCCGUGAAAAUCCGAUCCGUAUAAAUUCGAUUCGUAGAUUGGUGGAUUGGAUAUGGAUUGAAAAUUUAAAAAUCCGCGGUCGAUAGAUUGGAUAUGGAUUUACUUCUGUAAAUCCGUAAAAAUCCGUGAAUUCACAAAAAAAAAUUAUUUAUUUAGUUAAAAAUUAUUAUAAAUUUAAUUAAAAAUAUUAUAAAUGUGACAUUACAUAGUUACAUAAGCAUUAUACAUAUCUUAGUCAUUACCCAAUAAUAAUAUAAAAUGAAAAAUAAUUAAAUAAUCAAAUAUACAAAUAUUGUUAACAUGAAUAUGUUAAUAAUAUUGAUUUUGAUGAUAACAAACUUUAAAUGGUUUUUGAUAAAAAUGUUGGAGCUAUUCCUUAAUAAACGAAAGCCUUAAUAAUCAUUCCAUUCAUAUUCAUAAAAGAUGGACUUUCAAAUUAGAAAAAGAUUCUCUGCAAAAUCUGGUUUAAAAUGUGAUUCUGGAAAUAAACGGUGAACCGUUUUAUUUUAAACAGUUAACCGAUUAAUACCAGAGAGCAACAUAUUGCCUAAGCUCUAACCGUUUAUGAAAAACGGAAAACACAAAAGAUGGGAAGGCUACUAGAAUUUAACGGUGAACUGUUUAUAGAAACGGUUAACCGAUAACAUCCAGAAUUGAAGGUUGUACUCCUUUGGCACUGUUUAACAAAACCGGAUAAGGCUAAAUUGCUUUGCAGGAUACUGGAAACAAACGGCGAACCGUUUAUCACAAACGGUUAACCGAUAAUAUCCAGAGAAGUCAUUUCAUGCAAAUCCUUAACCGUUUAAUGUAAACGGAUAACUGAUGUUCAUCUUGCAGGUCUCUGGAAUUUAACGGCGAAAGGGUAAUCAUGAAAUGGCAAACCGUUUAUUUGAAUUUUAGCCCAACGGUAACUUUUGACCAGCCUAAACGGUUAACCGUUAAUGGUUAACGGUGAAUUGUUUUCGGGCCAACAAUUUGUAACGACUAGUUUUUCAACUCCAAAUAUAAAUAUGCCCAUUCAAAUUCAAAGAAGAUUGAUCACAACACGACUAUUGAGCUUAUAUUCGAGAAUACAAUCUUCAUAGAGCUUAGAACACAUUCUUGCUUCAUCUAUUCAUAUAUUGGGCAUCAUUGUGUAAUCUUAUAUAUUGUGAGAGGCAAACCAAAUUUGAAAUCUUUUGUUUUGAGUGAUUGUAAGUGUUGGGAUACACUUGGGUUAAAGAGAUUGGGAUAAUCUCUUGUUGUAAAGGUUAUUGACACCUUGGAAGUCAAGUGUAAGCAUUUGAAGCCUUGGAGGCUUGCUUAGUGGAAUCCUCAAGCCCGAAAAGCUUGGAGGCAUGGACGUAGGCGAGGUUGAUCGAACCACGUAAAAAUCUCUAUGUUUGAAUUUCUCUUCCCUUAUCUUUUUAUAUUGUGAUCAACUUAAUUGUUAUUGCUUUAAAUUCAUUCUAGAUUUGCAUGAUAAUUUGUCUUAGAAUCAAAUAAUUUUUAGAAUCCUAAUUCACCCCCCUCUUGGGUUGCAUACUUGUAUUUCAAAUAUAACUUGUAAAAAUUGUAAAACAAAAUAAAAGUAAAGUCACACGCACUAGCAAAAGCAACCUAAGAUAAUACCAAGUUACCAACAAUUUGCAAAGUCACCCAAAAACAAAGUAACAUAAUGCAAGUCACCAAUAAUUUGCAAACAAAAAACCCUAAGCUUUCCCGCCAUCACACGCACUAGCAACACCCAAUACUGGUUCAAUACACUCUCAACACCGAUUUGAAGGACGUCGGCCGUGCAAUGUCGGCUAGAGCAAGUCAUCUUCUUCCUCGAGUCCAUCGAGCCACUUCACAAUCACAUGUUCCAGCCGAACAAUUGCACUAUCACAACCUUCAAGAUCACAACCCGUACGGCUUCUCCUGGUUCCCAUCGUUGACGGCUCCGUAAUCACCACUUUUCGACAGGCACAACAGCCCUGGUGAAAGAUCAAACUGUGUUUGGUUUCAGAAACUUCGCCAUUUCAAUUAAUUGUGGCUUUAUUUGAACAAUUAAUUUCGGUGUUAUAUUAAUGUAUUAUUGUUACUUUAUUUGAACAAUUAAUCGUAUUGUGUUAUAUUUUAAAACUUUGAACGUAUUAUUGUAGUUUUAUUUGAACAAUUAAUCUCGAUGUGUUAUACUUUAAAACUAUGAAUGUAUUAUUUUAUCUUUAUUUAAACAAUUAAUUUAUUUAAAUUUUAUUCAAUUUUAAAUUUAAUCAGUAGUAAAAUUAUUUUUAUAUUAGAUUUUUUUAUUUCAUUAGUUCAUGGUAGAGAUGUCAAUUUUUCCCGAUGGGAUCCCUCCCAUUUGGGACGAGAUUGAGACAUAUUUUUAUCCCAUAAAAAAAUUUAGGAACGGGAGUGAGACCUUUUUUUAAUCUCACUUGCAUACAUAGUACACAUAGCGGGAGUGAGAUUGGCAAAUUUCGUCCCAUCCGUCUCAUUGCCGACUCAGAAUGAGAAUAUUUUCAAUUGGCGGGAUCCCAUCUCUUUUGGGACGGGAUCAGAGCAUAUUUUUAUUCCAAAACAAAUAUAGGGACGAGAGUGAGACGUUUUUUCAUCUCACUUACAUAUAUGAGAUGGGACUAGGAUUGUUAAAUCCCAUCCCAUCUCGUCCCAUUGCUAACCCUAGUUCAUGAAUUGUAGAGAACUAAAAAUUUUUAAUUCGGAAACUAAUGCGCAAAAUGGUGGAUUGGAUAUGGAUAAUGUUAAAUCCGCAUCCGAUCUACAGACGUAUGGAUUGGAUAUGGAUUGAGUUAAAUCCGCAUCCAAUCCGUAGAUGUAUGGAUUGGAUUUGGAUUGAAUUUAUUCAAUUCGUGGAUUGGAUUGAAUUGAAAAAUUAUAAUCCGUAAAAUCAUGGAUCGGAUAUAGAUUGAUGUCUAAUCCGUAAAAUCCGAUCUGCGAACACCCCUACUAAGUAGUUUUCAACGAAAUUGUUAUUCCCUAUGGGUGAUAAGUUGUUCCCUCCAAUUUACCUUUUAUUUACCGGCCAAUCAGGUCUUCAACACUGCUACGUGUCAUACUUUUGUCCUUUCCGAUUUUAUCUACAGAAAAUCUAAUGGUUGCCUCACAUAAGGACAAAAAACAUGUUAGUCAUUGCAUCAAUUACUCAAUAAUUAAUUUCAACCGUUCGAUUGAAGAAGAAAGCAUCCAACGAUCUUGCUGAAAAAGAACAAAGCUGUAGUAUGGUACGACAGCCGCAACAUGUCAAAUACACUUUGAAUUCAUUGUUUUGACAUGGGCUUUUGCUACCUUACAUGCAAUGUAAGGUACAACCUCUCACAAGGCUGGCGGGCCUAAGUGGAACCCACAAUUGAGUUUGUGAGAGGCUGUACCUUACAUUACAUGUAAGGUAGCAGCUCCCUUUGACAUGAUGCAAGCCAUAAAAUCCUGACAUCCAGGCAGUAUGGAAUCCUGAGUACACUAACACCCUCUUCUAAACAAUCAGCAAUUUCAAUGAAGAUGCUUAAAAUGACAGUUAACUUGCAACUGGAAGACGUAGAAAAAAGAUUUAUGAUAAAUAUCUGCGAAAACUAUUUUGAAACAAUAUUUCGAAAUUUAAUUUCUUUUUUCCAUUUUGAAGUCCACCAAAUAAUUUCUUGGACGCUCUCUUAUAUUAGCUGCAGAGGAAUUUUGAGUUUGUUACGAAUAUGCAACUGGAGAGAAAUUUCAAAAAAUAAUAGAGACAAAAUUACACACAAGAAUUUUAUGCGAAAAAUUUCUGAAAUUAUUGGGAUAAAAAAUUACUGAUAAAAAAGAAUUGAGGACUACAAGACUUUCUUUCUAAAUAAAAUAAUAGAACAGGUACACUCUCUCUUACACUAAGAGAAAACAACUCUCUUACUAAAAAUUAAAAAAAAAAACAUUUUCAAAUGAGAAAUUGAUUUUUCUCUUUGCACUAGCUUACAAUAAUGUGGAAUGUGAAGAUAAUUGAUUAAUUGAAUGAAAUGCGCGUGGGACCGAUAUACAUACAUACGGAUGCUUUACUUCACUCUUCACUAGGAGUUUAAUUUUGUGAUAUGUCUACUUUUGUCGAAGUUAAUUGAAGACCGUGAGAUGAGUAAAUGACAAGAAAAACUGAAAAAGGUAUAAUUCAGGCACACUAAACGGCCGACAAUAUUGCCGCUGGCAUGGACUUGGUGUCCAGAGAGCGGAAGACCGCAGCAGGAAAUGGUGAUUGAAGCUGGAGUGGGCUCAAUGGGCUCAAAUACUUGGGGGGGGGGGGGGGGGAAAGGGCCGAAAAGAAUUAACCAAGAAUGAAGAGAUGCUUGGGCCAGGAAAACUUAUAAAGGCUACGGGAAAGAACAUAACUAGCAUGUGUGUAUUUGCGUGUGCUUGGAUGCGCUUUAAGUGCUUCAAUUCCAACCUGAUUAUGUUUUGAAUGACUUGUGAUUGUUCCUUGCUGUAAGUUUGCUUCAAUAGGUGAGCUUUACAACUCUUUUAAUAAUAUUUCUUCUUAUUACUUAUAUCUAAACUUUGGUUAUUUGAUAUUUGUCACAAAUCUUUGCCGAAUAUAAUCAUGUAUAACACUAUCCAAUUAUGGGUUGGCGGAUUUUGUGUCUGCAACUGAUGCUUAAUAAAAAAUCUAUGUGAUGGUGAUUGUACAUGUUCUAUUUGUAACAUGUGAUACUUUGUAAGCCAAUGUUCCAAUAACAUAUCUAAUGUGUGUAUUUUUGUUGCACUUCAACACUAGUUAUUUUAUCAUUUGACCAUCGUCAUUUAGGGUGUUAUGAAAUAUGCUGCUGUGAAAUAAAUGCUAUAGUUUUUAAGUAAAAUUAAUGAGUGUUUAGUAAACAUUAAACACUAUUAAGACUUUGUUUAAUAUUGAGAUUGGACAAUUGUAUUUUAAAAAUUACAGCACUAAAGUAUUUGGUAAAUAUUAGUUGUUGUAAACGCUAUUAAAACUUAUAAUAUCUUCAUUUUUUUCAAAAUCAUUACUUAAAAAUUAUAUUCAUUAUACAAUAUUAUAGUUUAUUUCAUAGUAAUAUAUUUUACCUCAACACGAAACAACGUCUAAAGUUAGAUAAUAUUUUGUAAAUGAAAGUUAAGGUUAUUAUUUUUUAUAAUUUAUAUGGACUAAUUUAUUUAUACUGAUUAGUGUUUCGCUACUAAAAUUAAUUAAAAUAUUGAAAUAAAAUCACAAUCACCGGAGAACUACCAACAGGUAACCGCUGGCGACGAAAAACUAUCAUUCCGGUGGUUAGGGCAUCUUUUCGAAUCCUCUCAUUACGAUAUAUCUGAUAGUGCUACUUAAAAUGCAGAAUCUUGGCUGUCAAUAAAAUAAAUCCCGCUAUUUUAAUGCUUUAUUUUAGAGCCACUAAAAAUGCAGCAUUAUCAAUGGCCACAACCUCGUAAACUUUACAAAACUUUCAAUUAAAACUUAUAUGAUACAGCCAUAUAGGUAAAAUCCAAUACACACAUUGAAUAACGAAGAGUACUCACCUCAUGUACUUUCUUAGAAAGAUAUUUCAACCUUUUGGGGUGUGGUUACUCUCCCCUUAUUAGAUCAGCUGAAACUUCUGCUUAAUCUUCAUUUGAUCUCCUAGAAUCUUGGCUGUCAAUAAAAUAAAUCCCACACAAAGGAUGAGGGAAUUGUUAUUAUAGCAGUUCCUUCAGCAUAAACCUUCAAAAAUUCCAAAUCUCCAAGUUUGUCGAGCAGUCUCUGAAGAUUUGAACGACCAGCUCAAAGACAAAGAUAUUGAAGAAAUCUCAACUUACAUAGACUGCUUGGGAGACUCUCAAGCCUUUUACAAUCAUUACUAAGGUUCAACAUAGCUGGUCUAGAUAGAUAAUCAAUGGAUGAGGGCACUUCUUCAGUUGCAGUUCCAUCUGAAAAUAAAUUUUUUACAGUAGAAGAUGAGAUGAGAUAUUUGGAAACCUCUCCAAAUUUGAACAACUCGAAAAAUAAACCUGUGAAGCAAUGUGAUGGAUCCAAACUUACAUACAUAAACGACAGCGUUUUUGGGUUUUGUUUAUAUGCUUAGGUGGUCACGAGGAGCACACAUGUUCCAGUUAUUGUCUUGCAAGCAUCAAAAUGGCAACAUUUGGAGCCGUUUUGCGUUAAGUUUAAGUGGUGCACGUGAAGAGCACGUGAGAAGCUUGCUUCAGUUCGUUACAAAAGCCGUUAUACACGUGGUCGAAUCUGGUGCAAUCUGGGUUCUAAGAAUAGCUGGUAAGAAAGCUGUUCAUGGAGUCAGUUUGUUAUCAAUCUAGAGAGCAUUGUCGAGAGAGACAAUAGCGAAAGAAAUUUCCAUCUUGUUCUUUGUAACCGUCCUGUAAAGCUCUGAAAAUUUUCCACUGAUUCAUCAAUAAAGCUCAAUCUAAUGGCUUCUCCUAUGGAAAUAGGUUAUGCAUUCUUGCUCAACUGAACCACGUAAGUCAGUCUCUUUUGAUUGUAAUUACUUUGAUUUCCAGAAUGUUUCUUAUGUUUUCUUUUUACGGAGAUCUUGGUUAAUGUUCUUGAUUACACAUUGAGUCAUCUCAAAUCAUUAUUUGGCUGAUACAACUUGAUUUCGUCUCUUCAAAUAUCUUGGGCAGUUUUUGGUCUUGUUAAGUUCAACAGAUCAAACACUACAACUGGUGUCAGAGCAAGGUGCUUUGAUCGGAUCCAAGUAUGACUAUUCAAAGAUUGAUCUUGAGAAGUUCAAUAGCAAGAAUGAUUUAGUUAUGUGGAAGGUUAAGAUGAAUCCAUUUGGCACAUGAUAUAAUCCUCGCACAUUUUUCAAGAUUCAUCUUUAUCCCAAAAUUAUCAAGCAACUAGCAAUUUUGGGCCUCUGCGUCCUCGUAGCCCAACAAAGGAAAUAAGUUCAAAUAAAAUUUCUUCCGACAGCCAAACAUCGAGGCAAGAUAAGAGACGAAAACUCAUUUUCCUUUCAUAAUAGUUUCCAACAAAAGAAACAGAAAAUUAUUAAUUCUAGCACUGAUUCAACAAAGUUUACUGAUAAAAAAAAAAAAAAAAAAAAAAAACCUCAUCCACCAACCAAUUCAAUCAAUCCUUAAUUUAAAAGUCCAACCCAAAUUCAGUAAUCAAGUACAAACUGAGAGUCAAACCUUCAGCUUGAUGAUCAGGACAAUGAAGAAGAGGCACGGCGGCAAUGAAACAGUGUUGUGCACUGAUGAGAUCAGACGGUACAAUGGUGGAGGAGCUGUGGUUCGCGUGACAUGAUGGUGAUGAAGCUGGGGGUGUCUCGUGGCAUAGCGAGCUGGCGUGAUGGUGAUGGAGCAAAGUUGGCCGACCAUGUUUUUUAUGGAGACAUUUAAGACAACACUGGGAGAUUUCACAAGUUGUUUAAUUUUUUGUGCUUUGUCCUUUUAGAUUGAGAACUUGAUCUAUGUUUGAUUCCAACUUUCAAAGAUCUCAUGAACAUCCUCGGAAAAAAAGCAAUGGGAUUUAAUUGAAUCUUGAAAAAUGUUACCUUAUUGAAUAGACUCGCUCAUCUAUUCAAUAUCAAAGAUGAGCCAAAUUUUGAAGUUGUUGCAUUAUAGUCAAACAUUGAAGUUCUUUGAAUGCAUUCAAAUAUUCAAGUUCUUUGAUUCCACCUGGGAAGUUAAUGAUAUCUUUGAAAGGAAUGCUAAUUGGAAGACUCGUCAGGCUUUCGCACUUUCGUAGAUAAAGAACUUCAAGUUUAUUUAGAUGUUGAAUAGAUGAGCGAGUCUCCAUCAAACUUAAACAGCCGCCUAACAUCAGAAUCUUAAGAUUUUUGGCCUGUGACAAGUCUGGGAGUUUCGUUAACGACUCGGAUCCACUGAGGUCUAUUUCUUUUAAGUUAACAAGAUCCUGUGCCCCAAAAAAUUAUUAUUAUUAUUAUUAUCAUCAUCAUCUUUAUAAAUAAACAGAUACUAUCACAUAUAUUAAUUAUAGCAUCAAUUGUAUUUAGAAUUUAUUACUGAAAGAAUUUCAAAUAAAUACAUACCUGAACAUCAUCCCAAAGUUGUUCAACCUUGCUGCAAGGCAUUCUAAGUGAAACAAGUUUCUCCGCACAUAUAUUCAACGUUUUCAAAGGACAUUGAGCCCACUCGAGGUGCCUCACUUCAGCAAAUGGCACACCCUCUAAAUGAGAGACCAUACAUUUGUUCUCAUCUCCAUAGAUUCUCAAGAAUCUCAAGUUAGGCAUCUUUGAGAAAGCAUCGGAAUUCAUGUGUAUCUCUCUAUUGACUUUAUUCAUAUCCAAAAAGAUACCCUUGAUUUUUUCAGUUCCCUAACAAUCAAAUAGGAGAUCAUAAGUUGGUAUAUAAUUGAAGCAAACAAAUAAACAAUUAUUUUUAAGCCGUCAAACCCAAAUAGAGAUAUUACAAUCACUUUAUAAUAAACUAUUUGGGUAAGACUUUUAGAAAGUGUAAAAUAGAAAAUUCAAGAAAAUGCUUAAUAUGUAAACUGUAAAAUUAAUUCAAUCAAAUUUUUUUAGUGAAAAAUAAGGAUAGGGGCAGAGCUUGAGUUGAAAAGAAAAUGCAAUAAGAUUGAGGUGUUUUUUUUUUUCUCUUUGAGUCUCUCUCCGAAGGCGCUAGUUUGCUGGGGAUUUUAGAGGCAUGUUUCAAACUGACUUGGGGAAACAUCGGAUCUAUCUAUUUCAUUUUACCAAUUUUUUAAUAUUAUUUUUCAAUUAAUUUUAAGCUAUAUUAAUGCUAUUCUUAUUCAAAAAGACAUAUUCAGACAAAUUGCUAAUAUAAAUGUAACACAAAUAAGAUACAAUUAAAAACUUAUUAUUCCUCACCGAAUUGUUCUUCAAAACUUCAUAAAUAUCCUCGUGAUACCACAACCUACUGCGCUCUCCUGGAUGUUCGAUAGAUUCAUUUCGAACAAUUUCUCUUCCCAUAUCUCGUAUCAAGUCAUGCAUUCUUAUGUGGUUAUGGAAGCAAGUUAUGAGAGACUUACCUUCAAGAACACUUAAUUCUAUUUUAGCUUCGAGGCCACUAGCAUCAAAAAAGCUUGUCACCUCAUCUCCAUGCUCUCCUUCAAAGAAAAAUGCAAUAUCUAGAAAAACAUUCUUCUGAGAGUCAUCCAAGCUAUCAUAACUUAUUUUUAACACCUCCUGGAUUUCCUCGUGAGGAAUUAUUUCCAGUUUUCUCAUUGCACUUUCCCAUACCUCUUUGCUCCUUCCGCAUAGAUGGCAACCUAAAACUUUAAGAGCUAAAGGAACUCCCUGUGCAUAUUUGAUUGCCUUGUCUGUGAGCUCUGUAUGACUUGCAUCUGGAUGGUCUCCUCCAAAAGCACACUGACGGAAAAGCUUAUGAGCAUCAGCAUAUACUAAUUCCUUCAUCCGAUAUAUUUGAUUGGCCCAACAAUUUUUAAGGACUUGUUUAUCUCUUGUUGUUAUUAUUACUCGACUCCCUGAAGCUAACUCAUCAAGGCAUCCAAUUAAUGAUUGUAUUUGUCUUCGAUUACUCACAUCAUCAAAAACAAUUAGAACCUUCUUGCGAGCAAGUCUGUAGAGUUCAAACUCGAUGUUCCUCACAUUUCCAUCAUUCAAUAACUUGGACAGAAGUUCCUUUUGUAAGUCCUUUAUUCUGCCAGUUUCUUCUGCUUCUCUAACAUUAUGCGCAAAGUAAGAACCUUCAAAAUGUCUAGAGAUUUUGUUAAAAACAGCAUCAGCGAUUGUUGUCUUGCCUAUACCACCGAUGCCCCAAAUCCCUAGUUUCCAAACCCCCUCAGACCCAGUGCCUAACAAUGAUUCAAUUUCUUCAAGGGGGCAUUCAACUCCGACCAAGCCUUUGUUUUCACUUUGAAAAGUCGCAUCUAGCCUCUUCAAAACGUCAUUGGCAAUUUCCUCAAUAAGUUUAGAUUCAGGCCUAGUAAAAAAAUAACAGCAAUUAUAUAGUUAGUUAAGAAGUACCAGACUCUGUUUGUUUAACAAGAAAAUAAAGAAGAAAGAGAAAGAAAAUGCUUAACGAGAGAAAUCUAGAAGCUGGAAAAUUUGUUUCUAUUAAGCUCACAUAACAAUGUAAACAUUACAGAGCUAUUUAUAGUGUGAUCUGGAUUCUUCUACAACGUGUAAAGCAUGAGUUGAGAACUAGCUGAUAGUAACAAACUUUUGGAAGGAACUUAACAAACUUCGAAUCUAAUGACACUCUGCAUAACAGAAUGACAGCUUGGCAACUGAUGACGUGGCAAUCUGACUCAGCUUACAUUUUCUUAACAUAGUUCAAAUAUAUGUAAGCGAGACAGAGAAUCGUGUGUUUUUAAUUAGUUGCAAUAUGAAAUAGCUAAUUAAUAUAAUGUGAAUUUCAUCAAAUAAAAUAAUUGGAAAGUUAUUCAAAUGUGCAAGAAAAAAACCUAAUCCCCAUUAUUAAGAAUGAUUUAUUUAACCAAACGGUUGUGGCUCAGUUGGCAACGCAGGCUGGGUAAGUGGGAAGAGCUCUCGGGUUCGAUCCCCACUAAACACACCAUUUGGGAGGGGUAAAGAGCCUUAACUGUGACUACACCCCGAAUCCGAAUUAGUCGGGGCCCAAUGCGGUCGCCGGAAAUCGGGUGGUUUAAACCAAAAAAAAAAAAAAAAAAAAAAGAAUGAUUUAUUUAAUAUAUUAUGGAUAAAUAUUUAAACUCAUUGUCAUAGUUAAUGUAAUACUAAGAAUCAGAUAGAAAAUUAUUGUACCUAAUGACAUGAGAAUCAAAGCCAGAGAGGUUGGCUGCUUCGGUCAAAGCAUUCUUCCAUCUUUGCAUCUUCUCUGGAUAAAGUUUUUCAAGCCCACUAAAAUACUUCCCAAAAGAAGAAUCCUGGCUUUGCGAUCUCACAUGUGAUGGAUCAACUUGAUAGAAAACUGGAAUCACAAUCUGUCCAUAAUCGUGCUUGCAUUCGAGGAUCUUCAAAAGUUCAUCGAGACACCAUCUAGAAGAAGCAUACCGUUCUGAGAAAAUGAUAAUUGAGAUGCUUGAUGCUUCAAUUGUAUCAAGAAGAGAAUGAGAAAUGUUCUCUCCUCUGAUAAGUUGGUCAUCAAUGAAAGUUUUGAUACUUUUCAGAGACAAAACAUAGUGAAGAAUGCUAGUAAAGUUGUCACGGGUGUCCUCUCCUCUGAAACUCAGAAAAACAUCAUACAUCUUCUUAGCGUUUCGAGGUGGACAAGAGGAAGAAGAAGAAGCCAUAACAGUUCAGUGGAUGAGAGAUUUGAUCAGAUGAGAAAAUUUGGGAUGUGAAAAUAAUUUAAUGCGACUGUGUCAAUGGAGGUUAUAUAAAGAUGCUUUAUUAGAUAGUUCCGUGGAACCUACCGGGAAGUUUUGUAAUGAAGUUUUCUUUUAAAUUUAACAAAAAGAAACACGCUGUUUCGUGACAAUUUGUUUUCCCUUUGGUAAAGUACAGAUGCAAUAAUCCAAUGAAGAUGCCUAGAAUAACGGUUUAACUUAUUGACUGUAGGUUGAAAUUAUAAGACACAGAAAAAGGAGUUACCAUAUAAUUAAAUUUGUAUGCUGGAAAUUAUUUUGAAACAAAAUACAAAAUUUAUUUUAUGUGUCCAUUUUGAAGUCCACCACCCAAUCUUUUCUUUUCAUUUAAUCUCUUGUAUUUAUUUUCAUGCACGCUGAGCCCAUUUUCUUUAAUUCUUUUAAGUCUUCUAUUAAUUACUAAUCACUUCUAUUAACUGUCAAUAAUAUGAAAUUAGAUGCAAAAUAAAUAUGUAAAACAUUUACUGAAGAGAUGGGAAAAUCAGUGUUGAUGAAGCACCAAUAAAUUUUAUGUUGAUGUUCAUCCCGUAUUAUCAUCGUCAUCUUAUAUUACCUUAAAACUAAUUGAAAAUAGUUAUUUGAACUUUGGUAAAAAAAUUAUAUAAAAAGAUUUUAAAAAAAUGUUGAAACCUCAUCAAUACAUUUAAUACUUGUAAUCUACUCCAGUCUUCUUCUUUUUUUCGGCCUUUUUAAAGUUGGCUUGUGAAUUAAACUUUUUUUCCUAUCUCUUUUCUAAUAAGUGACACAAUAAUUUCAAUAAAAACUCUGGUUAGUUAUUCGGACGGUGCAAGUUGAAACAAUAAUGUGGGAUGUAAGAAUACUUAAUUAAUUGAAUGAAAUGCGCGUGAGACAUAUGGGUGUUUCACUACUUCUGAAGACCGACUAAUGUGAGGCAAUGACAAAAAACUAAAAUAUUUCCCCAGAAAAUGCGACGUGUUUCGUUCAGUUAAUGACAGAGAGUUCAAAGAUCUCCUCAUAUAUUUCUCUCUUCCACAGUGCUUUUUCUCUGAAAAAGUAUAGGAAUGAAAGAUGACUGAAGCCCCUGUGGCUUUCUCAAUCACCCACUAGUUGGGUGUUCUCUACAAUUUUAUUUCUGCAACGCAUUUAAUUUCGGUGGUUAGAAAUUUGGUGAGAAGAUUUAUUCAUGGAAUCACAGUAGCUAAUGGAUGCUGAGGAAUUAUUACGCAAGUGUCAGGCGAGUGUUUCAAAAGAAGAGGAGACCGACAUAGUAACAUUCAUGGGGCGGAUGAAGAUAAAGGGAGAGGAGGUAGCUGCAAAUUGUUUAGUAGGCAAAGUGCUAACAUCAAGAAGUAUAAACAAGGAGGGCUUGAAAGCUGCAAUGCAAAUGGCUUGGAGAACUGUCAAAGAGGUUAAAAUAGAAAGUAUGGGGGAUAAUAUUUUCCUGUUCAAGUUCGCAUCUGAAGAAGAAAAGAAAAGGGUGCUCAUGGGAGGGCCGUGGCAUUUCAACAGAGCAUUGAUAAUUCUGACCAAACCAACAGGGAUUGGAGACAUCAAAAAUCAAUCUUUUACACAUGUCACAUUUUGGGUUCAGAUUCAUAACAUACCAAUAAUGUGUAUGAACAAGGAGGCCAUCCAAAAGUUGGGAGAAAAAAUUGGAAUAGUCAAGGAAGUGGAGACAGACGACGCUGGGGAAUGUUUUGGGCAGUUUGCUAGAGCCCGGAUAUCCAUUGAUAUUUCACAGCCUCUAAAAAAGAUUGUAUUCCUACAACAAGCGGACGGCAAAACUCCAAUGCCAAUUUUGUAUGAAAAACUUCCAGAUUUUUGCUUUUGUUGUGCGCAUAUCGGUCACCAGUACAGGGAAUGCUUGCGAUACAAAGGACAACAAAAGGAGGACUUGCCGUAUGGUGGUUGGAUGCGAGCUGUUACACAAACUGACAGGAUAAAGCAAAAACGUAGUAGGGAGAAAGGCAAUCGAGAGCAAUCCAAUCUCAACGAAAAUGUGCAAGUACCAACUAGUCCAAGCUCAAACAACCCGAUUGAUCAAGACGGGUCAAAAUUAAACAAUUCGGAUCCAGAAAUAAGAGAUGGAGCAGAACCAGAGGAUACAAGAAACCUGCUGAUCUCUGACAAAACGCAUUUAAUGUUGACCUCUCCAGACACGAAAAACCAGCAAGUGGGGAGUCAGAGUAUGGGCUGUGACAUCGACGAGGUGCAGAAUAGGGUGGCAAGUAAUGAUUGCCACUAUAGCUAUGAAAGUACAAAGGCGGGAGAAAAGAUUUUGAAGGAGAACGAAAAUCCUGUGGAUAAAAUAGGAUGGGCAAUACCAAAAGAUAAAAGGAAGCAGAUUGACGAGAGUGCUAGAUCUGAUGUGGAAGAAAUGGAUAGUGGGCCAAGUAAGACCAAUGCGAAGCCCAAAGCGAGAAAAUGGAAACUUAAGGCAAGAAUUCCCAUAGCCAAAGGAGCGAAGAAUCAUGGGUUAAUAGGAGCAAAAAGACUUAGCAGUGAUGACCAUCAGCUCAGCCCACAACACAAAAAAAAAGAGUUCUCAGUCCACCAAAACAAUCACACGUGGGAAACCACACAAGCUUAGCAAUUAACUCAGACUACAGCAACUUCAUUAGCUCAAACAGACCAGCCCGGAAGCUACAGAUAACAGAACAGAUAUCAGAUGAAGGGGAUUAUGUGGCAGCUAUGGAAGAAGAAGUAUCGGCGGGUGCUGAAUUUCAGGCCCGCCGACAACCAUGAAACUCUUAAGUUGGAAUGUUCGAGGUCUGGGGAAGCCUCGAACGCGCCUAACUCUCAAAAAAAUUCUCCACCUGCACCGGCCUCAAAUUUUCUUCUGUUGUGAAACCAAGAUGUUGGCUAGGCAGGUUGAAUCGGUUUGUAGAGAUUUUAACUUCGAGAAUUAUUUUGCUGUAGAUAGAACGGGCAUGGGGGGAGGUCUAGCUUUGCUUUGGAGGGCAGAUGUUAAUGUUAGCAUUACCUCGUACAGCUCACAUCAUAUAGAUGCAAUAGUGAGUAGUGAAAGUGGUUUGAGGUGGAGAUGCACCGGGAUCUACGGCCAUCCUGAGUUCAGCCAGAAGCAUAAUACUUGGACUCUCAUGAAAAAGUUAGCCAGCCUAUUUUCCUAUCCUUGGUGCUGUUUUGGUGAUUUCAAUGAGAUAAUGCAUAUGCAUGAGAAAAACGGGGGCAAUGAGAGAAACCUGAAUAGGGUUGCCGAGUUUAGGGAAGCUGUGCAAAGCUGCAAUUUGCAGGAUAUGGGGUGUAAGGGAUAUCCCUAUACGUGGUCAAACAAAAGAUACGGAGAUCAUUUUAUUGAGGAGAGAUUGGACCGUUUUCUGUGUAGUAAAGAUUGGGGGAUUAAUUUCAAGAAUCUGUAGGCACAAAUCUAGUGAACUGGUCUUCAGACCACUGCCCAAUCAUUCUAGAUUUCCAUGAGCGAAGCAAAAAUUCGAGACAUGCGGGCAAAUCUCUCCCCCGAGAUUAUUAUGAGGAUAUGUGGAGCUCCCACGAAGGCUGUAGGAGUAUAGUCCAGGAAGAGUGGAGCCGGUAUGGGGCUAGAGCUUGGGAAGCCCCUGUUCAGCAAUUUCAGCGAAUAGCCAAAUCCUUGGCCCAGCUAAAACUUUGGAGCAAAACCUAAUUUCAUGGUAGGCAAAGAAAGCAAGAAAAGCUGAUACAGAGCCUCCAGGAUGCUAUGAGAGGGAAUUCAAAGCUGGAUGAUGGCCAGGAAAUUAGGAGAUUGGAAAGUCAGAUUAACUCUAUGCUAGUUGAUGAGGAGAUUUACUGGAAACAUCGUUCGAGGGCUGACUGGCUUAGAGAAGGGGAUAAGAACACGAAGUAUUUUCACGCCAAACAAACCAUCUGCCCACAAAAGGAAGAACAAGGUGUGGGGGAUUGAGAAUGACCAGGGCAUUUGGUUAAAGGAAAGGGAUGAAAUAGAGGAGGAGAUUUGCAGCCAUUUCCAAAAGCUUUUCACUACUUCCAGCCCAACUCCAAGCCAAAUCCAAGCAACCCUUCAAGGCAUGACAGCAAAAGUAACUCCGGAGAUGAAUGUUCAACUGGAGAAGCCGUUCACCACUGAAGAUGUUGAGGAAGCCCUUGCCAACAUGUGUCCCACAAAGGCCCCAUGGCCUGAUGGUCUUCCAGCUACCUUCUUCCAGAAGCAUUGGAAAUCUGUCCGUAACAGAGUGAUCUCAACGUGCCUUAAUGUCCUUAAUGAGCAAGGUAACCCAUCUACCCUCAAUCACACCUUUAUAGCUUUGAUUCCAAAAAUUGCAAAUCCUAGGAAAGUGAGUGAUUAUAGACCUAUCAGCCUCUGUAAUGUUAUUUAUAGAGUUGUAGCUAAGGCCAUUGCAAAUAGAAUGAAGCCGAUCCUUUCCCAAAUCAUCUCCCCUAUGCAAAGUGCAUUCAUCCCCAAUAGGCUCAUUACCGACAAUGUUAUUAUUGGUUAUGAAUGCCUUCAUAAAAUUAGGCAUAGCAAAGGAAAGAAGAACGGACUUGUGGCUUUAAAAUUGGAUAUAAGUAAGGCUUAUGAUAGAGUUGAGUGGCCUUUUUUGGAACAUACUAUGCUAAAGAUGGGGUUUCCUAGUAAUUGGGUAGCUUUGAUAAUGAGAUGUGUUAUUUCCACUUAAUUCUCGGUGCUAAUUAAUGGUGUGCCAAAAGGAAUGAUCCAGCCAGAAAGAGGCUUGCGACAGGGUUGCCCGCUAUCCCCGUACCUUUUUAUCCUUUGUGCAGAUGCUCUCUCCAAUUUGCUGGUUGUGGCAGAACAGAAUCAGCUAAUCCGAGGGCUCAAAUUUGCGCGGGAAGUUUCAAUUACGCACUUGCUGUUUGCGGACGAUAGCUUGGUAUUCUCUCGUGCAUCAGUGGAUGAAUGCAAGCAUUUAAAAGAAAUGUUUGAUAAAUAUGCUGCAGCAUCAAGGCAGAUUUUUAAUUUCCAUAAAUCCUCACUGUUCUUCAGUGGAAAAAUUCCAGAGCAUCAACGGGCUGCUAUAAGGGGUAUCUUUAAUCUAAAUGUAGUCUCAAAGCACGAGAAAUACCUCGGUCUACCAUCAAUGAUUAGGAGAAAGAAGAUGGGGUUUUUUUAACGACAUCAAGCUGAAAGUGCUGAACAAGAUUGCAGAAUGGCAGCAUAAAAUGUUGUCUAGUGGGGGGAAGGAAGUUCUGAUCAAAGUGGCAGCCCAAGCAAUUCCGGCGUAUGCAAUGAGUGUUUUCAAGCUCCCAAGAGGCUUUUGUGAUGAUAUUCAGCGAGCUAUAGCAAAGUUCUGGUGGGGCUCGAAAGGGGAUAAGCGCGGAAUCCAUUGGCGGAAAUGGGAGAAGCUCAGCCAGGCAAAGAUUAGAGGGGGGCUGGGAUUUCGAGAGUUUUCUAGCUUCAAUCAAGCGCUGGUAGCUAAGCAAGCUUGGAGGUUACUGCAGUACCCAAAUUCGCUGGUCUCCAGAGUCCUUCAAGCAAGAUAUUUCAGGAAUUCCAGCUUUUUAUGUGCAAAGGCAGGAGCCAAUGCCUCGUAUAUUUGGAGAAGCAUCAUGUGGGGUAGGUAAGUGAUUAAGAAGGGUAUGAGAUGACGGAUAGGUAAUGGCAAGAAGGUAGCAAUUUUCUCAGAUAACUGGCUGCCAAGACCAGAGACCUUCAGACCUAUCUUCCCUCCAUCUUUACCCGUAAGCUCAGUUGUUGCAAAUUUAAUUAAGGCUGAUAAUCAAUGGGAUGAAAUAAAGCUUCGACAGCACUUCAUGGAUGUAGACACAGCAUAGAUCCUCAAGAUUCCCCUCCCAGCUGAGAAAGAAGAAGAUGAAGUGCUUUGGCAUUACGACAAAAGAGGGAUCUACUCUGUCAAGAGUGGGUAUCAGCUAGCAUUGAGAUCAAAAUUUCUAGAUUCCACCAGCUGCACAGAGGCUUCCCACAAGUAUUGGAGUGCCCUUUGGACACUGGAGUUGCCUGAGAAGCUUAAAAUUUUCAUGUGAAGGGCCUCUAAUAAUCUGCUUCCAUCGGUGGAAAAUCUAUGGAAAAGGAAGAUAGUGGAGGAGCCAACUUGUAAGCGAUGCAAACUAAGUGUUGAGACUAUCAGCCAUGCUCUCUUGGAGUGUAAGGCAGCGAGAAAAAUUUGGCUCCAAUCCCCCUUUUCAGCCCCUAGAUUAAAAGCCAAUUCUCAGGACAUUUUCAGCACUUUGCAAAAUAUGGCUAAGGAGCUGAGGAAAUCAGAUCUGGAAUUAAUGGUAGCUCUGUGUUGGUCUGCCUGGUAUGCUAGGAACAAAUGUAUCUUCGAUGGAAGGGAGAUUAAUCCUAUUAUAUCAGCUGCUAAAGCGGAGUCUGUUUUGUCAGCUUUUCAGAGAGUUAGGAAGCCCCAGCAAGCUCACAUCUCUAUCUUCAUAAAAGAGAAGCAGCAGGAGUGGCUCCCCCCUCCCCAGAAUGUUUUUAAAGUUAAUGUGGAUGCUGCUCUUAAUUCAAAGAAUCUAAGUGCAGGAGUGGGGGCUGUGAUUAGAGACUCUAAUGGAAAGAUAGUUGCGGCUGGGGUAAAUCAGAACCUCCUAAAGGGGUCAGCUAGCUUGGCUGAAGCAGAGGCGGUGCUUUGGGGCCUUCAGCUGGCAAGAAAGGCGGAUGUAUCCUCUUUGAUUAUUGAGUCUGAUUGUUUAGAGGUGGUCCAGCUAGUGAACAACACCAAGGGCAGUAGAUCAGAAAUUUUUUGGACAAUUCUGGCAAUCCAAAAACAGAUGAAGAACUUCCAGAAAGUGGUUGUCAAUCACAUUCCAAGACAUUGUAAUGCUUGUACCCAUUUCCUAGCUAAGAUAGCUUUGGGGAAAAUCUCUCCCUGUAUGUGGCUGGGAAAUAUUCCAGCUGAAUUAUAUGGUAUUUUCAAGGUGUUGUGAUUAAUGAAAGGUUUACUUUCUUUUAAAAAAAAAACGACAGAGAGUUCAAAGAUUUUGACCAUAAAUUUUUUUUUCCUCCCAAAUUUACAUUUGUAAAUUCAUAUCUCAAAUCACAGCUCAUUUAAUUAACUAUAGAGUGUCUAUGGACCACUCACUUGUAGAUCAAUAUAUGACUUAGAUUUUUCAAUACAUUUUUUCUAUAAAUACACGAUUUACGCCACUUCCACAAUAUGUAGAAUUAUUUAACAACUUUUUAACGCUUCUUCUUAAACACAUGAUUUAUUUAAACUUGGGCUCGCCUACCGUACAGAUUAUGUUAGGCACAAUUAAGAUAAGCCAAAUGGAUUAACUGGUGGUGGGUCUAAGUGGAUCGGACACCCCAUUUUAUAAUUUGUAAGGUAGUAUGAUCAUUUAAAUUUAUAUGUUAAUUGUGGUACUGGUAACCUGAAGCCAUAGCAGAAACAGUUCAAUUGAUUAGAUAGAUUUUGAUCAGAUAAAACAUUAAUUGAAUCAAAGAACCGUGGAAUGUGUCGAUGCUUGGAAGUUGAAUCACUUUGUUGACUCAUUUUGAUCAGGAAACAGCGAAUGACAGCUAAAAAGUUAAAUGGUGUGAAUUUCCCAACAAACGCCAUUUACUUUCGUUCCAACAAUGUCCAAUACUACUUUUUAUCCUUGCAUUUGACCGUGCUCAAUUCUCAAAUUGGCGGGACCGUUGGCAGUCACUGUUAUCGGCUUUUUAAUAACACCACCACAGAACCUGACCCUUUCCUCAAGUUCAUAACGUUGGAUGGAUUGAGGAGGGAUAACUAAAAGGGUAAUUAAUUAUCAGAAAUCUCCCCUAAGUUUUAGCGUAUUCUCAGUUUGAUAGAUUAUAUUCAUGUAUUCUCAAAUACCUCCCCUAAUGUCAGCAUACUAUUUUGUAUAAAUUAGGUUGGUGAGGAUAAAAUCAUAAAAGCACCCAUCAAUGAUUAGAAAAAGGGAUGAGGCUAUUUAAAUCCUCCAAAAUAUUCAUUAGAUCCUUUUUAAUUAAGUUUUUUAUUAAUAAAAUAACCGCAACAUAAAAUACUAUUAUAACCUAAACAAAAUAAUUAAACAAGAAAGCAACUCACUGCUGCUCCAUUAAAGUUAAUUGUUGGAUCGAAGUUAACUUUCUAAUUUUAGCAAUUUAAUGAUUACAAUGAUGCUCAUAUAUACUGUUGGGGAAAAAUUAGGUUUUUAAAUUUUUAUUAAACCUUUUGAAGAUCGCUCUCAUAUAAUAUAUAAGAAUACGUAAUCCAGAAAUCGUACCUUGAAAAUCCGAUUUGGCUUUUUCCGUUGAAGUGUUUUAGGCUCCUAGAUCACGAUCCGCCACCACCACUCCUGUUAGAUCACGAUCCGUGACCACCACGCUUGUUAGAUCACGAACAGUCUCCAAUGAUCUUCCAGGUUAUGACUCAGGUUCGAUCUGCACUUGACGUGUGGGCGCCUUUAUCACUACCAAAGCAACUAGCACGAGAAAAUUUUUCUCUCAACAAUAGAGAGAAAAAUCUUUUUCUAUGAUCUGUAUAAAGUGGCUUCCGUAUUUUUCUUUAGGGAAAAAUAAGCCUUUUAUAUCACCCUUUAGUGAAAACCCUAGGCUCCAAAUAAUGCUCUAAAUAAAACUCACGUUAUUUUCUUUUUCAAUAGGGGACCCACCUUGUAAAAUAACAUAAGGCCCCUUAUACAAAAGCUAAUUAAAUGGAGCCUCUCACUAAAUGAUAUAUUUAGGCUUUUGACCCAAAUAGCUAGUUAUCUUACUUAUUAGUCCAGUAGUGGUGCAGUCAAUUAAAUGAGCUAACCCGGGGAUCAUUUGGGAACAUACAAUAGUGGCUACAAUAAUUAGGCCUGUAAUUAAACUAGCCCAAUUAUUUAAUUCCAAAUCUACUCCACUAAAAGAUUGGAACUGACUUCCAUAAUUGUAUGCUCGAAUAAUAAUUCGUCCCAAGCCACAUUGAUUUCUUUACUGCACAAUCCUUUGUAUCACAUCGUUAAUUAAAUUGAUAUCUCAACUGUCCAAUCAAUUUAAUAACAUCUUAUUUCUUGAUCCUUACUGGUUUUCUCUAAUGAUCAUUUUCAACAUACUAAAUAUGUUGACACACUCUGGCCAGAGAAUUCUAUAAUCAAGUGCCGAAAACCCAUCAAGAGAUGUGUUGUACAAAUUCUAUAUUGUUAAUCCAUAACUCCAAUACUCAUAAUUGCUCCCACCAAGAUACCGGGUAAUCUUGACCACAAGGAUGUGUCGUGCCCAUUGGUAACUCAAAUGGAAUAACAAUUACAAUCAUGAAAUCAUAAUUAACUCAAGAUUAAGAUUACAGUAAAAUCAACGCCUAUGAGAUUUAAUAAGUCUGACAGUUAUUACAAAGUUAAUUAAAUCUCAUAUGUGAUCCUGUUCAAUGUAGUCAUACUACAUCAAUAAAUUCAUACAUGAUUAAGACAAAUCAUUCAAUGAAUUUAUUACAGUCUAUACCUAAAUAAAGUGCCCAACUUUAUUUAUCAACUGCGAACUAAAUUUAUUUAAUCAUAAGAUAACUUGUAUUUAUGUCUUCUGUGAAUCCACAUGGUGAUCACAUAAAUACAUAUAAUAUGAUUAAAUGGACUUUAAUACAAGUAUUAAUGCAAUUAAGAUAUUUGAAUAAAAUAUCUCAUUUAUUUUAUUAAUCAGAAAAAUAGUUUAUUACAAUUAAAUAAACACAUAUGCUUUUAAAGAGCAUAUUUUCCCAACAUAUACAUCUACCAUUCAAUCAGAAUUGAAACUGACCUUGAUUAGCAGUCUUUCAUUGAAAUUAUAUAUCCUCUAAAUUAUAUAUCCUCGAAAGAUAAUAUAAAAGACGAUUAAUUUCAAAGAGGAAUUGUCAGCAAAGAUAUAUAUGCACAACCAUUUUCAUACCCCGGAUUGGUUGCUAACAUGUUUAUUUUCUUAAAAAGUUUGAAAAAUAAUCCUUCACGGUUUUGCUCCAUUAAUGAAUUGAGUGAUGAUACAACCACAAACUCUUGUACAAACUGAUGUGGCAUUAAUUCAUUGGUUGAAUAAAAAUAUAAAAUAAUAGAAAUAAAUCAUGUAGACCAAGAGAUAUUUAAUUCAACCAAUGAAUUAACGCCACAUCAGUUUGUACAAGAGUUUGUGCUUAUAUUAUUACUCUAAUGAAUUUGAUUAGUUUGACCAAGCUCACGAAAUAAAUUAAUUGAAGAGAUAGAACGUGACAGGUUGGUUGAAUGCAGAAUGGAUAACAGAAAGCUGACUACGCGAGAUAAUUGAUUACGGAAGAAAAUUCAUACGUGAUCAUGAAAACCCAUAUAUUUUUCAACUGAAUUAAGAUUGCAUGAAGUUGUUAUAUAUUUUGAUUUGGCCAAAAAGUUCUUAUUGCUCAAGGCUUGAAUUUAGCCAAUAAGUUUUUUUUCUUAUGAAUAUCUUUUGGGAUCGACUAAAAUUCUCUCUCCCUAAUCAAGCUUUCGUUAUGUAUAAAAGAAAUUAACCAUGAAUGAAAGUGCAAAUGCUGAUUACAAAUAUUGUUUAAGUUAUAAUUGUUUUUUUCUCUAACAUAAUAUUUUCAUGGUUUGGUGAUUUCAUAUAGUAUCUCUACAAUUUUAAGGGAAGAUGUGCUCAUGAAAUGAAAAAUAGAAAAUUAGAAAGAGAGACACAAAUCGGGACACCAAAAUCUUCACCAAGAUUGAAAGAAAUUUGAUGUAGAAAGCAGAGCAAUGAGGCAAAGUGCGAAAAAGCUUCCUUUCGAAUUCUCUGAUAUUUGACAUAAGUCAAAUCUUUUGUUUGUUUCAUCCAUCAAAGUCAUUUUAAAAAGUAGUGGGGGGUGAUUUGGUAUUUUAAUUGUAUUUACAUUCCUUGGCGCCAAAACAAACAUGUUGGUACAGAAUUCUUUAUUUUCAGUAUACAAAUAAUCAAUUUCGUCUUAUUUUCAUUUCAAGGGUUUUGCUAAUUUACAAUUCAUAUAAUUUACAAUCCAUGCAAAACAUGUAAAAAUAUGUAAUUUACAACUCAUGCGAAACAUGUAAAAAUCAAAUUACAUGAGUUGUAGCUUAGGAAGACCCAACUAAUAAUCAAUUUCGUCUUAUUUUCCAAGCACUGCGGAUAAGAAUUCCAAUGAAGAUGCAGCUUUACCGACUGUUUCAUUUCAAUUGAAGAAGGAAAAUAGUGCAUGACAACUAAAAGGGUUAAAAGGGUGCAAAUAGUAGGUCUUGUCGUGCACGCGCAGAGCAAGAAACAAAUAAUUGAUGACAGCUUAUAAAAAAAUAUAUGAAAGUUAAAUAAAAAUAAAAUGAAAAUGUUGAUAGUACAUCAACACCUUUUACGCGCCACAUUCAUUCGUGUAUUUUUCUCAAAAGUUUGACUCGUGACAAAUGACACACGAUUUCAUCUUAUGUUUUUUCAGUAUUAAGAUUUUUUUUUCUUAUUUCUAUUUUAAAAUUAAUGUAAUAAUUUAAAUGAAAAUUUCUAUUAAUUGUUACGACCGUGCAAGUUGAUACAAUAAUAAUAUGAUGUGGGAUGUGAUCAUAAAUUAUUUAAAUGAAUAAAAUGCGCGUGGAAUAUAUGGCUGCUUCAGUAGUAGGGGUGGGCAAAUUACCCGACCCGAUCCGAUCCGAUCCGACCCGACCCGAAAAAUUUCGGGUUCGGAUCGGAUCGGGUUAUGAAGAAAACCCGAUCGGAUCAAAACAAUGAAACCCGAUCGGGUUAUGAUCGGAUCGGGUUCGAUCCGAUCCGAAACCCGAUCGGGUUGCUAUAAAAAAAAAAAAAAAACUAAACCUAAAGCAAGCAGCCACAUACACGCCGCACACACAAAUCACAAUUCCCAUUUUCACAAUACACGGUUACUUUACACAAACACUCACAACUCUCCUCAAUCCCCAAUCUCACUACACAAAACACAUACACAGUCACCCCCAACGGCGUUGGGCCAACGCCAAGCCGCCAACGGAGGCCGCCGCAGAAGUCACAGCCUCACCCGCAUCUCCAUGGACGAUUUGCCGCGCGUCUCCAUGCCUGAUUUGCUGCAAGUGCCGCCGAUCUGCUGCUACGCGUCCGUCAGUCUGCUGCUACAAGUGCCGCGGCCACCGAUCUACUGCAAGUGCCGCGGAUCUGCUGCAAGGUGCUUCUGCUGCUCCAAGCCUUCAACCCGAGCUUCUCACCUUUGACUUUGAAUCUUGAGUUUUCACACUUUUUUUAAGCUUUUUUUUUUUAAAGAUUUGAAUUGAUGGUGUAUAUGGUUAAAUUAAACAAUUAAUAUUUAGUAUUUAAUUGUUGUAAUUAUGUGUUUUUAAAUGGUUGUAACAAAAUCAAGGAAAUUGGCCAACCCGAUCCUACCCGAUUUCAACCUGAAUUCACAACCCGACCCGACCCGAUCCGAAUAUAAAUCGGAUCGGAUCGGGUCGGGUGGGAAGUUCGGGUUGUAUUCGGAUUGAUUUUUGUUAAACCCGAAUGACCCGAAAUCCGAUCGGGUUGAUCCGAACCCGACCCGAACCCGGUUUUGCCCACCCCUAUUCAGUAGUCCCUCACUUGGAGUUAAUUUUGUGGUAGUUUCAUCUCCUUAUCUAAAAUUAAUUGAAGACCGACUAAUGUGAAUGGAAGGCAAUGCGUAAAUAACAAGAAGAAGAAUAAUUGUACCCACCUUUAAACCUUUAGCAUUUCUGCCCCCAAACUUUACUUUUGAAGAGAAAAAGCAAAAAAUUUCCCGGAAAAUUCGGCGUAUUUUUCUCGAGCAAACGUUGGUGACUGCAGUGUCUGUGCAGAGUAAAACGAUGCUUGGAACCUUCCAGGGAAAAAUGUGGAAAGGGUGUAAAUUUCCCAACAAUCCACCAUAGAAAAUAGUAAAUGCUUCUGUGCUCAAUUCUCAAGGGGGCAGUGACUCGUGCCCUAUUAACAAAUUGUAUUUGAUUAGCGAGGAUUAUCAAUUAGACGAGAUUAUUUACACUCUAAACAAUUAUUUUAUGCACUUACAUUCAUAUAAAAAUUUUAUAAUAGAAAUACUCAUGAUAUAAAUUAUUAUUAUUAAAAGUAAUUUAUUAUAAGUAAAUAUAAAUAAUUAUUAAUGCUUGGAAUCUUCCUAAAAGUUUCUUUAAAAUUAUCUUUAUCUCAUUUUCCAGGAAGCACUGUGGACAAUAAUUUCAGUGAAGAUGCAGCUUUGUUGACUUUUAUUUCAAGUGAAGAAAUAAUUCGUGUACGACAACUAAAAAGGUUAAAGGGACCGCUUGGAGUAUCACCCUACCAGGCUAUACAAUCCCAGAAUUAUCAAUUGAUUUUUCAAAAUAAAAUUCAAUGAGAUCCACUGAAACGCUACGUGAAAGAAUCCCAAGUGGUGGGACAGUUCCAUAUUAAUUUUUCUCUUAAGUUUCCUAGCAAACACCAUCUAAUUUUUCUCUAAAUUUGUCUUAUUGUGAAUAAAAAUAUUAUUUUUAUUAUUUGAUAAUUUAGUAACAUAAUAAUUAAAUAUAAAUAUAUCUAAAUAAUAUUAAUUUGACACAAAUAAUAAAAUUCUUUUUACUUUCAUGAUAUAAAAAUUAUUCCCAUCAUUUUACGUUUAUUAUUUAGAAAAUGAAGUAAUUUAUUGACCAGUUUGAGAUUGUUGUUGGGACUUUCAAAAGUGAUAUUGAGAAGCUAAUGAUGAAUUUAAAUGGUUGGUAAAAACUUUUAAAAUUACUUCUUGUAAAAUCAAUUCAUUGCCACAGGAGAUUUUGAUUUUGCAAAGCAGUGAAUGAGUUACUUUUAAAAUAAACAAAUUAGAAGACUAAAAAUAUUGUAUUUUCAGUAAAAAUAAGAUUAUUUAUUUUUUAGUACCAAUUUUUUUUUUAGAUAAAAAAAAACGGGAGGGGAUAUUUUAACUUAAGAAUAUGAUUGUAAUCUAAGCAUCAAAACUUUAAAAUUUAUUUAAUUCAAUCUAAGGUAUGAGAUGAUUGAUUAUGUGAUAGUAAAACUUUAAUAAAAUAAGAUUCAGAAAACAAAAAGCAUAGAUGACAUAUUAAAACUUAAUAAAGGAAGAGAGAGAGAAUACCGACUCUUUUUCCUCAUUCUUUUUCCUCAUUCCUCAAUGAUUAUACUAGUAAUAGCAAUUCCUAACCUAAAUUGGGGGGAAAAAAAUUCAUCCCCAUUCUCACAAAUCAUAUUCAUCCCCAAGAAAUCAAUACUCCAUAAUUUUGUCAACGACAUAUUCCGUAAGGCCAACAUAUUUGUAAUUCAAUAUUAGAUCAUGCCCACUGUUGUUCCUCUCCACUUCUGUUCAUCGAUCUUUGCCAUAGAUUUUUUCUAUUCCUCCAUUGCUUUACUUUCCCACUCAAUUUUAGCCUCUCCAAUCAACAAACAAUCCAAGGGUCUGACCAUAAAUUCGUGGGUUAAUUGGUUGAACGAAAUAAAUGGUCAUAUUUUGAUGUCUAGAUUGAAGUUGAAUUCUUAAAUUAAUAUAACCCCCGCCCAAAACAAAAAUAUUACAAAUACAUACAACAUAUAGGGCAAAGCUAUGGUACCACAGUUGUAUGGUACCGCAGCUGGAUCCAACCAUUGGAUCUAGCCCACAAUUGUCACCAGAAUUAGAUCCAAAGGCUGGAUUUAGCUGUGGUACCAUAUAAUUGUGGCACCAUAACUGGACCCCAACAUAUCUUCAUAACUCUUAUAACAUUGGGUUAUUUGCACACUGAAUAGACUAAAACACUCUAUAUUACUCUUGUGCACCCUCCACAAUAAUUUUGCUGAAGAGUAGGGCCUUAAAUUGCAGCUUUAUAGUUUUUGUUGAACCGCGUUUUUCCAAAGGAAAGAAAUAGGGAAUGAUAGCUAAAAAUUAAUAAUAAAAAAAGGCGUAAAUACUAUUCGCCACCGUCACUAAAGAAAAUAAUAAAAAUAAAAAUAAAAUAAAAGACCAAUUAAUCUAAAAGAACAAUUAAUCUCAGAGCAUAUUUUUCAAUAGAUUCAUACUCACGAUUACUUACUUUCCUUGAGCCUUCCUGGAUGUUUGAAAUCUAGAUUUGUUUAUAAACUGGAUGCAAAAUUCAUGAGCCAGUGUGAGAAAAGUUCUCCAACAAUUUGAAAACUUAACGUGUGUUUUAUGAGAAGCAAUCUUUAGUAACUGAGAUAACUAAAAUGCAAUUCUUUAAGAAUUUGGAUUGUAAGAUAAAUAUUUCAAUAUUUAUAUUCCCUAUUUUAAUAGUGGAAUAUAUUUUUUUUUUAUCUUUCCCCGUAAACACUGACUUUUCCGUGUAUGCUUUAUGUGAUUGAUAUUUGCCGUAUAUUAUGUGAAUGACAGUUUAAUUUGAUGACGGUAAGUUGAAUUAGAAGACGAAGAGAAGAGAGCACCAAAUGGUCAAUGAUCAGUCAAUGUCAUCGAGUAGCUUGCAAUCACACGAAAGACAAAGGCGGAUUGUGGUCCAAAAAAUUUAAAAUUUCAUGACGGUGGUCCAAUAAAAUUUAAUUUCUUUUCUCAUUUUGAAGUCCACCCAGUAAUUUCUUUGAAGCUGCCUUAUGUUAUUGUAUGUGAAUUUCAAAAAAUCGUCUCUGUAGGACAAAAUAAAUAUGCAGAAUUUUUUCACAUACGAUGUUAAGGUUGAUGCAAAAUAAAUAUGCGGAAAAUUUACUUCAAAUCCAAAAUAUUGAAGCCAAACAAUGGAGAGGAGAUGGAAAAGGAAUUCAUCGGAACAUGGAUUUGUAGCUCGAAUUAAAGAAGACAAAGACAAAAAAGAAAAGAGCUGGCACUACCUAAUGCUAUAUUGCUAAUGGUCAAUGAGUCAGUGACAGCCAGAAGCAAAUAAUCCCAAUUCAUAAACAGAACAGAAUGUUGCAUUUUUUGGUUAAUAGCAUUCAGAGAACCUGAUACGUGCCAUUACUCAUGGAGCCAUGCAAGCCAUUAUUCACGCCAUCAUUCAUGGAGCCAUGCAUGCACGUGUUACAUUUAGUUUUUUUUUUUAGUUGUGGGUUUUGUUCAAUAAUCCCGUGAUGUGCUGAUUUUCAGCGAAGUGGGAAGUUGGUUUCCUAUUUUUUUGGCAUUGUUUGUUAAUUUUCAGUAUUGUAAAGACUAUUAUAUAUAGUCGGAAGUGUUUCAAUAAAGGGGGGGAAAUUAAUAAAAUCAAACCAUCUCUUCUUUCUCUUCACUUCUUUCUUUAUAAAUUCAAACAUAUCAGUGGUAUCAGAGCCAGGUUCCAACCAUGGACACUCGCGGCAAAACAAAUGCAGAGUUCCGCAAUGACGUCACCACGACUUUAGCUCGACAUGAAGCAAGUUUUGACCAAGUUAAUGAUGUCUUGCAAGCUGUGUUAACUGAACUUCAAGCUCUUCGUCACUCUCGGAACCCAAGUUCCAGUCAACCCGAUACCAACCCAUUUGCUCCUGAAGAAACCUCUCGUUCAAAUGCUGUCAAUGAACGUUCCAUCCACCAUGAGCGGCCCCAUCACCACCUCAAGUUGGACUUUCCAAGGUUCAACGGCGAGGACCCAACCGGCUGGGUUUACAAGGCAGAGCAAUAUUUUGAUUUCGAAGAUAUUUCCCCAGACCAACAAGUUCAGCUAGCAUCUUUUCACUUAGAAGGCAUUGCUUUACAGUGGCAUAGGUGGUUGACAAAGUUUCGUGGGCCACUCACAUGGAAAGAAUUCACCAAGGCAGUACACCUUCGUUUUGGUCCAACAGAUUACGAGGACCCAUCAGAAGCUUUGACUCGCCUUAAACAAACCUCGUCGGUGGCCGCAUAUCAAGAAGCUUUCGAAAGACUCUCACACCGGGUUGAUGGCUUACCUGAAAAUUUCUUGAUUGGUUGUUUUGUUGCAGGACUUCGCGAUGACAUCCGGUUGGACGUGAAAAUUAAACAACCUCGGACAUUGUCGGACACGAUAGGUGUGGCGCGAUUAAUUGAGGAGCGAAACCAAUUACAACGGAAACCGACCCAAGCAGCUCGCUCCCAAUCCACUGUGAUCACGCAAAGACCAGGACUCAACCCAACGGCUGGUGUGCUAGGACCCCCUCCAAACCAGCGCCCAAACCAAAAUCCUGUGACACCGCCAGCAACAUUCCGUCGUAUCACCAAUCAAGAGGCACGUGAAAGGCGUGAAAGGGGAUUAUGUUACUAUUGUGAUGAGAAGUUCACACCAGGCCACCGCUGCGAACGACCACAAUUAUUCAUGAUCGAAGACCUGCCCUAUUUAGGAAGUGAGGAUGUUAACGGCGUUCAAUUCGAACAGAACACUCAAGAAACCAUACCUGAGAUUUCGUUUCAUGCAAUGGCAGGAACUGAACAUCCCCAGACCCUUCGCGUCUCGGGCAAGCUGAAAAAUAAGGAAGUAACUGUAUUGAUCGAUGGCGGCAGCACUCACAACUUCAUUGAUCAAUCCAUAGUCUCCAAAUUUGGGUUACCAGUGGUCAGAGACAAGAAGCUUCAAGUUAUGGUUGCAAACCGAGAAAAGAUAGAGUGUGUUGGGCAGUGUCAAGCGCUCACGCUCAUCAUUCAAGGACUUCCAGUCACAACGGAUUUCUAUGUCCUUCCAGUCACCGCAUGCCAAAUGGUCUUGGGAGUACAGUGGCUUGAAACUCUCGGACCCGUUGAAAUUGAUUACAAAAAGCUAACCAUGACUUUCCAAGUUGGAGGAGUCUCUCAUACCUUUCAAGGCUUGGGCCAAACUAGCAUCGCAGCUUUAACUGACAAGGAACUUAAUGGAAUACAUGGCAUGGGUUUUUUUUUUCAAAUCAUUAUGACAAGCACUAGCAAGCUAGAGGUGCAUUCGCUAGAUAUGAGUCGUCUCCUAGCAGAUUUUUCUCACGUUUUUGAGUCGCCCACCAGCUUACCACCUAGGCGCUCUCAUGAUCAUCAAAUUCCAUUACAGCCAAGUGCAGAACCAGUGAGUGUACGACCAUAUCGUUACCCAUACUACCAAAAGACUGAGAUAGAAAAGAUGGUGCAGGAGUUUUUACAGUCGGGGUUGAUAAGGGCUAGUAAGAGCCCAUUCUCAUCACCUGUUCUGUUGGUAAAGAAGUCAGACGGAGGUUGGCAAUUUUGUGUGGACUAUCGCGCCCUAAACAAUAUUACAGUUAAAGAUAAGUACCCAAUACCUGUAAUUGAUGAAUUGUUGGAUGAGCUUUAUGGUGCCAAAUUUUUCUCCAAACUAGAUUUGCGAUCAGGUUAUCACCAAAUUCGAGUAAAAGAUGAAGACAUUCCAAAGACAGCCUUCCGAACACACGAAGGGCACUAUGAGUUUGUGGUAAUGCCAUUCGGUCUUACGAAUGCACCCGCAACUUUUCAGAGUCUCAUGAAUGAUCUUUUUCGUCCUUAUCUCCGGAAGUUUAUCUUAGUUUUUUUUUACGACAUCCUGGUUUAUUCAAAGUCAUGGAAAGAUCAUCUCAGUCAUUUGCCAACUGUUUUACAUAUUUUAUCUACUAACAGUUUGUUUGCAAAGGAAUCAAAGUGUCAAUUCGGUGUUUCACAAGUCGAAUAUUUGGGACAUAUAAUUUCUGAGCAGGGAGUAGCAGUGGAUCCAAUCAAAAUUCAGGCUGUCAUUGAGUGGCCUAAACCGGUGUCAGUCAAAGGAGUGCGUGGAUUCUUGGGGCUAGCAGGGUACUACCGGAAGUUUAUCUGUAAUUUUGGGAGCAUAGCAGCGCCUUUAACUCAACUCUUGACGAAGGAGGGAUUUCACUGGAAUGAAGCAGCAGAGGUGGCUUUCAAACAAUUGAAAGAGGCGUUGACUUCACCACCGAUUUUACGCCUGCCAGAUUUUACCCAACAAUUUGUGAUUGAGUGCGACGCAAGCGGCACUGGAGUUGGAGCAAUCCUUUCCCAACAAAAUCAGCCAGUAGCUUAUUUCAGUGAAGCCUUGAAAGGGUCAGCCUUGGCCUUAUCCACCUAUGAAAAAGAGAUGUUGGCAAUCGUCAAAGCUAUUAGGAAAUGGCGUCCUUAUUUAAUUGGGAAACCCUUUACGGUUCGAACUGACCAAAAAAGUCUCAAGUACUUUCUGGAGCAGCGGAUUACUACACCAGCACAAGCAAGAUGGUUGCCAAAGUUACUUGGAUAUGAUUAUAAAAUUGAGUACAAAAAGGAAGCCGAAAAUCAGGGUGCAGAUUCUUUGUCACGUGUAGUUGAGUUCCAAUUCUUAUCAAUUUCUAUGUCACAUGCAGAGUGGUGGCCAACUCUCCAAGAAGAAGUUCACCGGGAUUCAUUUUACAAAGAUUUGCUUGAAAAGAGCCCUCCUCAAUCACGCCACCAAUUGUACCAACGAGAUGGAGUUUGGUUUAAGCGCAACAGAAUUUAUCUUAGCCCCACCUCAACAUUAAUUCCAAAAAUAAUGGCGGAUUGUCAUUCAUCUCCAAUUGGUGGUCACUUUGGUUUCCAUAAAACUCUCUCUCGUAUCAAACAUAACUUCCUUUGGUCUAAUAUGCGCCGAACGAUAAAAGAAUUUUUACAGCAAUGUGAUAUCUGUCAACGUUAUAAGACUGAUUGUAUGAAGCCUGCUGGAUUACUCCAACCACUGCCAAUUCCAACUCAAGCAUGGACUGAAAUUUCGAUGGACUUUAUCGAGAGAUUACCGCCAUCUAAUGGGUAUACUGUCAUCAUGGUAAUCGUCGAUCGAUUAACAAAAUAUGCGCACUUCGUAGCCUUGAAGCAUCCAUUUACUGCAAUCACUGUCGCCAAGGCAUUUGUUGCAAAUGUGGUUCGCCUCCAUGGCAUUCCAACCUCCAUUGUCAGUGAUCGAGACAAGGUGUUUAUUAGCUCAUUUUGGCAGGCACUGUUCCAGCUGCAAGGAACCCAGCUCUGCAUGAGUUCGAGUUAUCAUCCUCAAUCCGACGGUCAAACCGAGGUAGUAAAUCGCACCUUGGAGCAAUAUUUACGGUGUUUCACAGGAGAUCAACCACGAAAAUGGACAGAAUGGAUUCCAUGAGCUGAGUUUAGCUACAAUACGUCCAUUCAUUCAUCUACUAGAAUGACCCCUUUUGAGGCUGUUUAUGGCUUCCCACCUCCAAGCCCGCUAGCCUAUGUUUCGGGCACAUCCCGUGUCCAAGCUGUUGAUGAGUAUCUACGUGAUCGUGAUGCUAUUUUACGAGAGUUACGGCAUAAUCUUUCAGUGGCCCGAGAUCGAAUGAAAAGCCAAGCAGAUCAGAAUCGGCGUGAAGUCUCUUUCAUGGUAGGAGAUUACGUGUAUUUAAAGCUUCAACCAUACCGCCAAACUUCCGUGGCUUUUCGACGUUCCAUGAAGCUGGCUCCCCGUUUUUAUGGUCCAUAUCAGAUAAUUGAGAAGGUGGGUGCUGUGGCUUAUAAGUUGGCUCUUCCUCCGGGUUCUCAAAUUCAUAAUGUAUUCCAUGUUAGUUUGUUACGGAAGCAUGCGGGAACCAACGCUCCGACCUCUACUCAACUUCCUCCAGUUGCAGAGGAUUCUACCAUUCUUCCUCAACCUGAAGCUGUUCUGAACCGUCGUGUCAUUCGUAAAGGGAAAUAUCGUCCAAGGUCUGAGAUCUUAAUUAAGUGGAAGGGAGCCCCAAUGGAAGACGCCACCUGGGAGAAUGAAUGGCGCUUCUCCAAGUCAUUUCCUGAUUUUGUCCUUGUGGACUUGAGUGCAAUGAAUCCAAAACUCAGAGUCCCAAAACGGUUCGUUUUGAUUAAGUGAUUCAGUCUUUUGUCACAUGCUGCACGUGGUGUUUUAAUUCAAAAGCUAAACGACUCAGCAACUGUCGUUUUGGAGAAACUAAAGUGAUGCACGUGAGUCAGCUCGUGAAGAAGGGAAUCAAGGCUGUUAAAAGCCGUUACACACGUGUCCAGAUUCUGUGCAAUCUGGGUUUCAGCAUCAGGGAUAUAAAACUGGUUGCUGAGGGGAAAAUACGUGUGGUUUUGAUAGAGCUUUAGAGAGGGAUCAGAAAGUGAGAGAGGGUAAUCUUGUUGCUUGUAAUCUCUUGUUAAGGAGCUCUGUAUUUGUCUUCUUGAUUCAUCAAUAAAGCUUUUCCUGUGGCUUUUCCCGUGGAGGUAAAUUGUGCAUGUAAUGCACAAUUGAACCACGUAAUAUUCUGUUCUUGUGAGUUGUUUCUUGUUUUAGUUAAACACUGUUAUUAAUCAUUAGAUCUAGAGCAUACAUAGAUUGAGUUGAGAACUUGGCAUCUAAUCUUGGUUUCUUCUGCAACUUGUUUGAUCAAGAACUUGAGUCUCCUGGGCAGUGGCUUAGUAUCUUGAAUCUUAAAGGGUACUAAAUCACUACACUUGGUAUCAGAGCUGGAGUCUUGAAGUCAAAGAUCCAAGUAUGACUUCUACCAAAGUUGAUCUCGAAAAGUUCAAUGGAAAAAACGAUUUCAAUAUGUGGAAGGUGAAGAUGGAAGCAGUGUUAAUAACCCAUGGUCUUGGAGAUGCCCUGUUACCAGUUACCAAGAAGGAGGGGAAAGAUGUCUCUACAUCAAAAACUCCAGAACAUAUGGCAGAGAUUGAUAGGAAGGCCAAGGGAACUAUCAUCUUGAGUCUUGCAGAUUCUGUGAUAAGAGAAGUAGCUAAAGAACCUACUAUUGCUGACCUAUGGGCAAAACUAGAGAGCAUUUACAUGAAAAAGUCCUUGGCUAACAGAUUGUAUAUCAAGAAAAGGAUGUUCACAUUGAAAAUGCAUGAAGGCUCAUCUCUAGACGAACAUCUCGAUGAGUUUAACAAAGUGUGUGACACCCUUGAAACCAUAGAUGCAGCAUUGGAAGAUGAGGAUAAAGCUUUGCUUCUGAUAAGCUCUUUGCCUAAGUCAUACGAGCACUUUAUUGAUGCUUUGAUGUAUGGAAGGCAGACAUUGUCACUGGAUGAGGUGAAGUCAGCUCUUAGCACUAAAGAAUUGCAAGGGAAGCAAGAAAGCCUUGGUAAUAGCUCUGGUGAGGGGUUAACUGCAAAAGCAAAACCAGAAUGGAAGAAAAAGAAGCAAGGAAAGAAUAGAGAAAAGCAAAAGAAUUUGAGAUGCUUCUUGUGUCACAAGGAGGGGCAUUUCAAGAAGGAUUGUCCAGAAAAGAAGUUUCAGAAAAAGGGAAAGGAUGGUGAUGCAGCUGUUGUAGAGGAAGAAGGAUAUGAAUCUGCUGGUGUGUGUGUAGCAACAGAGAGCACAGACAGAGGUAAAUGGGUGCUUGAUUCUGGUUGUACUUUCCAUAUGUGCCCUUAUAAAAAUUACUUAACUGAGUAUCAUGACUUAGAUGGGGGUAGAGUUAUGAUGGGUAAUAAUGCCAUGUGUAAGAUCAUAGGUAUUGGAAAUAUAAGGCUUAAACUUCAUGAUGAAACCAUAAGGGAGCUAAAACAGGUGAGGUUUGUACCUAAACUUAAAAGAAAUUUGAUUUCUUUAGGAAUGCUUGACCAAAUGGGAUAUAGUGUUAAGAUUGAAUCUGGUGAAAUGGUGAUAAUUAAAGGCACUGAAAUCAUCAUGAAGGGUUUAAGGAAAAAUGGAGUAUUUGUCUUAGAUGGGGAAGUAGUUACUGGUGAAGUUAGGGUAUCAGUAGAUGCCAAUACUGAUAAAACCAAGCUAUGGCAUUUGAGGUUAGGGCACAUUGGGGUGAGAGGGCUGAAAGAAUUAGAUAAGCAAGGUUUAUUAGAAGGUGAUAAGAUUGGUGAUCUGGAAUUCUGUGAGAGUUGUGUCUUGGGGAAGGCAACUCGAGCUAGUUUUAAUAGGUUAGUAUACAAGUCAAAGGACAAGCUGGAAUACAUACAUUCUGACCUAUGGGGACCAGCUCAACAAGUAUCUCUAGGUGGUAACAGUUACUUCUUAUCCAUUAUAGAUGACUACUCUAGGAGGGUGUGGGUUUAUACUCUUAAGAGCAAAGACCAAGUUUUUAAGAAGUUUCUUGAAUGGAAAAACUUGGUUGAAAAUCAAUGUGGUAAGAAGGUUAAAAAGCUCAGGACAGACAAUGGUUUAGAAUUCUGUAAUCAAAGGUUUGAUAGUUUCUGUGCAAAGGAAGGAAUAGCUAGGCAUAAAACAGUGAGGUUAACACCUCAGCAGAAUGGGUUAGCUGAAAGGAUGAACAGGACACUCAUGGAGAGGGUGAGGAGUAUGCUGGUUCAAUCCAAGCUUCCAAAGACUUUGUGGGCAGAAAUACUUUUAACUGCUUGUUAUCUGGUUAACCUGAGUCCCUCUACAACAAUUGAGUUCAAAACACCCUAUGAGAGAUGGACAGGACAACCAGCUAACUAUGGGAACCUGAGAGCAUUUGGCUGUCCAGCCUAUGCUCACACAAGCCAAGGAAAGCUAGCUCCUAGGGCUUUGAAAGGUUUCUUCAUAGGAUAUCCAGAGGGAGUAAAGGGCUAUAAGAUCUGGUGCACAGACUUAAGUCCACCCAGAUGUAUCAUAAGCAGGGAUGUGACCUUUAAUGAAAAAGAGUUACUGAAUCAGAAGUCAGCACAACAUCCAACUAAGAAAGAUACUGAGACUGGUAAAAAGCAACAACUUGAGGUGGAGCUUCCUAGGUCUGAUGACUUUCUGGAAGCUGAAGAUUCAGGUGGAGUCAUUGACAGCUCAAGUGAUCCAAAACUUCCUCAACAAGAACAAGAGUCUCAGAGACAUGAGCAAGGAUACCAACUAACUAGAGAUAGGGCCAAGAGACAAAUCAAACAGACUAGAAGAUAUGGAUAUGCAGACCUUAUCUCAUAUGCUCUAGCAGCUGCACAUCAGAUUGAUGAAGAUGAACCAAAAGCCUACAAAGAAGUAGUCCAAAGUAAGUUUAGCAAAGAGUGGCAGCAAGCCAUGGAUGAAGAAAUUAUGUCCCUUUAUAAGAAUAACACCUGGGAACUGGUUAAGAAACCUGAUAAGAGGAGAGUUGUAGACUGCAAAUGGAUCUUUAAAGUUAAAGAUGGAUUGACAGGAGAUGAACCAAAGAGAUUCAAAGCCAGGCUGGUGGCAAAAGGGUAUACACAAAAGGAAGGGGUUGAUUUCAAGGAGGUAUUCUCACCAGUGGUCAGGCAUGCCUCCAUAAGAGUAAUCCUAGCUCUGACUGCAGUACAAGACAUGGAACUUGAUCAACUCGAUGUCAAGACUGCAUUUUUGCAUGGAAGACUCCAAGAAGAAAUCUUCAUGACUCAACCAGAGGGGUAUGUGGACUCCAUGAAACCUAGACAUGUAUGCCUACUCAAGAAAUCUCUUUAUGGUUUAAAACAGUCCCCAAGCCAGUGGUAUCUCAGAUUUGAUGAGUUCAUGAUAACAAAUGGAUUCAUGAGAUGCAAUUAUGACUGAUGUGUGUAUUUCAAGCUGCUGGAAGAUGAUCUCUACAUUUAUCUCCUCCUCUAUGUAGAUGACAUGCUGAUAGCCUGCAAAAGAAGGGAUGAAAUAGAAAAGCUGAAGGUAAUGCUGAGCUCAGAAUUUGACAUGAAAGACUUAGGGACUGCUAAGAAGAUUUUGGGUGUAGAAAUUAAAAGAAACAGAACAAAGGGAGAAAUAUUUCUCAGUCAAGAGAGAUAUUUGACUAAGGUUCUGGAAACCUACAAGAUGCUGGAUUCCAAGCCUGUACUAACUCCUCUAGCAGCUCACUUCAGGCUGAGUAAUCAGUUGUGUCCAAAAACUGAUGAAGAGAAGCUUGAUAUGAAAAAUAUCCCUUAUGCAAAUGCUGUAGGUUGCCUAAUGUAUGCUAUGGUACUCACUCGACCAGACCUAUCCCAUUAAGUGAGUGUGGUUAGCAGAUAUAUGGCACAACCAGGGAGAGAACACUGGAGAGCUGUUAGAUGGAUCAUGAGAUACUUGAAUGGCUCUUUAAGCCAUGGACUGGUAUAUGGAAGAUCCAAAGGAAGAAGUGAUGGGCUGCUGGGUUUUUUUUAUUCAGAUUAUGCAGGAGACUUGGAUAGAAGGAGGUCACUUACAGGCUUCAUGUUUAUGUAUGAAGGAUGCCUUAUCAACUGGAAAGCUUCCCUGCAACAUGUGUUUGCUCUCUCAACAACAGAAGCUGAGUAUACAGCUGCUACAGAAGCUGUAAAAGAAGCUUUAUGGCUGCAGGGGCUGCUUGGUGAAUUAGGAGUGAGGCAGAAGUCAGUGACUAUACAUUGUGACAGUUCCAGUGCCAUUCAUUUGUGCAAGAACCCUGCACACCAUGAAAGGACUAAACAUAUAGACAUAAAGCUUCAUUUCAUUAGAAACAAAGUGUCUAAAGGAGAUGUAAAGAUGGCCAAGGUGCAUACAGAUGAGAAUCCAGCCGAUAUGCUGACUAAGGCAGUUCCCUCUGCAAAGUUCAACAUAUGCUUGGACUUAGCUGGUUUGAGUAGCCUUUAAGUUGAUAAGCAGAAGGAGAAGGAAGCAGGAAAAGGAGUUUUUUGAUUCAAGGUGGAGAAUGUAGACUUGAGUGCAAUGAAUCCAAAACUCAGAGUCCCAAAACUGUUCGUUUUGAUUAAGUGAUUCAGUCUUUUGUCACAUGCUGCACGUGGUGUUUUAAUCCAAAAGCUGAACGACUCAGCAACUGUCGUUUUGGAGAAACUAAAGUGAUGCACGUGAGUCAGCUCGUGAAGAAGGGAAUCAAGGCUGUUAAAAGCCGUUACACACGUGUCCAGAUUCUGUGCAAUCUGGGUUUCAGCAUCAGGGAUAUAAAACUUGUUGCUGAGGGGAAAAUACGUGUGGUUUUGAUAGAGCUUUAGAGAGGGAUCAGAAAGUAAGAGAGGGUAAUCUUGUUGCUUGUAAUCUCUUGUUAAGGAGCUCUGUAUUUGUCUUCUUGAUUCAUCAAUAAAGCUUUUCCUGUGGCUUUUCCCGUGGAGGUAAAUUGUGCAUGUAAUGCACAAUUGAACCACGUAAUAUUCUGUUCUUGUGAGUUGUUUCUUGUUUUAGUUAUUAGUUAAACACUAUUAUUAAUCAUUAGAUCUAGAGCAUACAUAGAUUGAGUUGAGAACUUGGCAUCUAAUCUUGGUUUCUUCUGCAACUUGUUUGAUCAAGAACUUGAGUCUCCUGGGCAGUGGCUUAGUAUCUUGAAUCUUAAAGGGUACUAAAUCACUACAGUCCUUGAGGACAAGGAUCCUUGAGCGGGGAGGAAUGAUACGUGCCAUUACUCAUGGAGCCAUGCAAGCCAUUAUUCACGCCAUCAUUCAUGGAGCCAUGCAUGCACGUGUUACAUUUAGUUGUUUUUUUUAGUUGUGGGUUUUGUUCAAUAAUCCCGUGAUGUGCUGAUUUUCAGCGAAGUGGGAAGUUGGUUUCCUAUUUUUUGGCAUUGUUUGUUAAUUUUCAGUAUUGUAAAGACUAUUAUAUAUAGUCGGAAGUGUUUCAAUAAAGGGGGGGAAAUUAAUAAAAUAAAACCAUCUCUUCUUUCUCUUCACUUCUUUCUUUAUAAAUUCAAACAUAUCAGAACCUUCAAUGGAGAAGAAAAUAUAUCGCAUUGGGGAAUAAAAUGUGAUAUUUCCAAAUGGUACAUGUGUAUAUAUAACCGACCAGAACUGAUCAAACAUAUACAAAAACAAAAUAAUGAAGAGAAGAUUAGAAGAAUAUGCUUAAUGGAUUUCAAAUGCACUUUAAUUAAAUAUUUUUGUUUUGACAUGGAGGAAAGGGGCACACGUAAAAUCCCAACGUUCAGGAACCAUAUGUAGUCCAAAGUACACAAACAUAUUUCCUCUUCUAAUGAUUCUAAUUAUUCUAAUAAAUUGAAUUUUAUACAAGGUGCAUGGUGGGACUGGGAUCGUGGAAUGGGUUGUUUAAGCAAGGCUUCACGUAAUAAAAAUAUGCAGUCAUGAAACUAUGAAUUAUCGACAAAAAUCAUGGGAUGCUUUUGAAGUUGUUGGUUGAAUUCCUCUACUAAUGAUUCUAAUUAUUCUAAAAAAUUGAAUUUUAUACAAAGUGCGUGGUGGGACUGGGAUCGUGGAAUGGGUUUUUUAAGCAAGGCUUCACUCAAUAAAAAUAUGCAGUCAUGAAACUAUGAAUUAUUAACAAAAAUCAGAUGCUUUUGAAGCCGUUGGUUGAUGAAGAUAUGAGAGUUGCUUCUAGGGAUUUUGCUUUUGAAGUUGUUGUUUGCUAUGUAUUUGAUGUUAGAUUUGAGUGUAUAAUAUACUAUUUUGUAACUUAACAAAAUUUGACAAAUCAUCUGUAAUUACUUUUGCUUCUCUUGUUAGGAGAUUCAAACAAUCUAUUAUAUGUAUAAAUCAACAAAUAUAACCUUUGUUAAACUUACAUUACAAAGACAAAAUCAUCUUUUUGUAAAAAUUCAUAUAUAUAUGUAUGUAUGUAUGUAUGUAGAUGUACAGUUGAAAACAAAUAGAAAAUGAGUGUUUGGCUAAUAAGAAAAUAAACUGAAAUCUGGAAAACUUUCUUCUUUUAUUUAUCAAGCUUAAAUUGCUACUGAACGAUUACAAGCAUAUAUAUAUGCAAGCAGAGUUGCUCAGCUAAAGGUUACUAAACUAACUAACUAAUAACUAAUUGAUUAACAAACUUAUCACGUGUAUGAGUACAAACAGCUACAUAACCACCUGGUGCCAGCUGGCAGUACAUGUCAUCAACUUGCAACUGAUUAUAGAAGCUGCUGUGAUCCUCUGCUCUGUGAUCCUCUGCUUGACUGCAAAUGUGAGCUUCCUUAACAUCCCCCCUCAAGCUCAAGGGUCUGCUAAUGACAUUGAGCUUGGACCUGAAGUACCUGAAUUUUGGAAGAGAUAAAGCUUUUGUGAGAACAUCAGCAACUUGUUCAUCUGUAGGAAUGUAUCUCACUUCUAAUUGUUUUUGAAGUACUUUAUCUCGAAUGUAAUGAAUGUCCAACUCGAUAUGCUUAGACCUGGAGUGAAAAACAGGAUUUUUGGCUAAUUCCCCAGCACUUUGAUUAUCACACCAAAGCACUGGUGUUGGCAGUUUUACAAUGUUGAGCUCAGAAAAUAGAGAUUCCAGCCAAGAGAUUUAUGAACUUGCUGAUGACAGUGCUCUAUACUCACUUUCAGUACUGGAUUUUGCCACUAUGGCUUGUUUCUUAGAGGACCAUGAAAUUAAAUUGUUGCCAAGAUAGAUGCAAUAUGCUCCAAUGGACUUUCUAUCAUCUGUAUCACAAGCCCAAUCUGCAUCGGAGUACCCAUUCAAACCUGUAACUUCAAGUUCCCCUUCCUUCUGAAUAUAUAUUCCAUGAGUGACAGUUGAUUAAAGAUAUCUAAGUACCUUCUUACAAGCAAGCCAAUGCUGAAGUGUAGGAGCACUUAGAUAUUGACUGAGUUUAUGAACUGAGUAUGCAAUAUCUGGCUUGGUGAGUAUCAGGUAUUGGAGCCCUCCAACAAUACUUCUAUAGAGAGUUGGAUCUUCAAAUUCUUUCCCCAAACAGCCAUUUGCUACCUUUUCUAACUUUUGACCUGUGCUGAGAGGUGUAUCAGAACCUUUACAGUUCUGCAUUGAAGCUCUACUCAAGAGGUCUUUGAUAUAUUUUGUUUGUGAUAAGUGCAUCCCACUAUCAGUAUAACACACCUCAACACCAAGAAAAUAGGAUACCAAUCCCAAAUCGUUUAAGUAAAAACCUUACUAAACUUAAUGAUGAAUGUUUCCAACAGGGAAGAAUCUGGUCCUGUAAUGAGAAUGUCAUCCAUAUAGAUAAGAACAAGAAUGAUACCUCUGGUGUCAUGCCUGAUGAACAGGGAUGUAUCAGCCUUGGAGUUGAAGAAAUUCCAGCUUGUAAGACACCCUUUGAGUUUGUCAUACCAAGCUCUAGAAGCUUGCUUCAAGCCAUAAAGAGCCUUGCUAAGCUUACAGACAUAGCCCUCUUUGGUGAUGAAGCCCUUUGGUUGUGUCAUGUAUAGAUCCUCUGAAAUAUCUCCAUUAAGAAAGGCAUUAUUUAUAUCGAUUUGUCUGACUUUCCAACCUUUCAUCACUGCCAAACUCAGUAUAGUUCUAACUGUAGAAGAUUUUACCAUAGGACUGAAAGUUUCCUUAUAAUCCACUCCUGCUGUCUGGUGAAAGCCCUUGGCCACCAAUCUUGCUUUGUGUUUAGAAACUGUACCAUCUGUAUUGUACUUGGUUCUAAAAACCCAUUUACAUCCAACCAACUUGUGCUGAGAUGUCACAGGUACUAGAGUCCAGGUAUUAUUUCUGGUUAAAGCAUCAAAUUCAGAUUGCAUUGCAGUUUUCCACUUAGGAUCAGACAAAGCUUCAUCAACAGUGGAUGGUUCCAGGCUGUUAUGUGAUGUUAAGAAUGCUUUAGGCUUGAAUAUACCAGCUUUUGCUCUGGUAAUCAUGGGAUGAUUUGGCAGAGAAUGUUGGGAUGGUUGUGUGGAUUGAAUAAGAGAAGAUGAUGGCUGUUGUGUAUGUGAAGUAGCUAUGGUAGAGGGUUGAAGAUGUAUUUGAGAAGGUGAAACAUUAAGGAUUGUAUUAUGGCUGUCAGGUGAGGAAUGAUCACUGAAAUGAUGAGAUGGAGCUUCAUCUUCUGCAGAGCUAGCUUCAAAGGUUUCUUGAUUGCUAUUGGGAAGUGAAACAGUAUAAGUUUGAAGAAGACUGUAAUGAAAAUCAGAGGGUUUAGAUGGUGAAGUUAAGAAUUGUGAAUCUGAUGUGUAAGGAAAAGAGGUUUCAUCAAAUAACACAUGACUGGCUAUAUAAAUCUUUCCAGAAGAAUGCAUACACUUGUAACCCUUAUGUAAAGGGCUGUAACCAAGAAAUACACAUUUUGAGGUAUGAAAAUGGAAUUUGUGAGUAUUAUAGUCCCUUAAGAAUGGAAAGCAUGAACAACCAAAGACUUUGAAAAAUUUGUAAUCAGGUUUGGUUUUGAAGACACAUUCAUAAGGUGACUGCAUAGAUAGUAUGGGUGUGGGAAGUCUAUUGAUAAUAUAGGUGGCUGUAUGGAAGGAAUCCCACCAAAAUUUGAUAGGUAAAGUGGCUUGAGCAAGUAAGGUGAGACCUAGUUCGGUUAUGUGUCUAUGUUUUCUCUCAACUAAGCCAUUCUGAUUGUGAGUGUAGGGACAUGAGUGCCUGAAUUGAAUACCUUCCUCAUGAAGAAAAUUAACAAAUGAUCUAUACUCUCCACCCCAAUCUGAUUGAAUGCACUUAAUGGAUCUAUCUAGCUGUUUUUCAAUUUGCUUCUUAAAAAUUUUAAAGACAGCUAGUGUUUCAUCCUUAGUUUUCAAUGGGAAUAUCCAUGUGAACCUCGAAAAAUCAUCCACAAAGCUCACAUAAUAUAUGUAACCUUGAACUGAAAGCACAGGGGCAGGUCCCCAUAAAUCAGUGUGCAAAACUUCUAAUACAUGCUUUGUUUUGGUAGUAGAAACUGGAAAAUGUAAUAUGUGCAUUUUGCCCAUUUUACAUGCAUCACAUGCAUCAAGAAAUUUAGUUCCAUUAAAAUUCUUAAAGGCUGAACAAGAGUUUAUUACAUGACUUAAAACUUUAGAAUUAGGAUGACCAAGUUUCUGAUGCAAAACAGAAACACUCAGCAUACAAUUUGGACUGAUACAAGGUGCUGCUGCAGUAUGCAAGCAGGGACUUGUUUGAUUAUUGACAACUGACUGAACAACUGAAAACAUAGACAGAGGAACAUCUGAAAUUUUGGAUUGAGUGGCUUCAAGAGACCUUUGAAAUGACUGAGAAGAGACUUUAUUAGAGGGAAAAAAUAGCAAUCUGUAUAAACCUUUUUCAGCUUUGCCCUGCAGUAUGAUCAAAUUCCUCACCUUGUCCUUCACAAAACAGAAUUUAUAGUAAAUUCAAUAACAAUGCUGUUAUCUUUGGUUAGCUGAGAUAUGCUAAUAAGAUUCUUGGAUAUUUGUGGAACAAGAAGCAUGUUGUUUAAUUUGAGUGUGUUAUGAGCUGAAGAGUUAUGCAUUCUCAACACAACAUUUCCAACAUGUGUUAUGUGUAAACCAGUACCAUUUCCAAUGAUGAGUUUAGAGUUACCUGCAAAGGAUUCUGCCAUAGUCAUAUUUCUCAUGUCAUUGGUAAGAUGGUGUGUAGCUCCACUAUCCAGAUACCAGUUGGCAUCAGCUGCACCAUCCAUAUCAGCUAGAUAUGCAGCUUUGGGAUUUCUGUUUGGAGGAGGUUUGUAAGCACCAGAAGUAAAGAAUUCUUCAAGUUUCCAGCAGACAUAUGCAGUAUGACCAGUUUUGAAGCAGAUUUGACAAGUUGGUUUAGAAGCAUUCUACCGAGGUUUAGGAUUCAUUUGUGGCCUGAUAGAGUUAUUGUUACCACCCCCACCAUUCACUACUACAAAAAUGACCUUUACUGACACUUAGUUUCUGACAUUUUUUAAAAAGUAUCAGUAAUUGUAUGCAUAUGCACCAUUUUCCGCUUUUAACAAAUAGGUAUCAUAAAUUACUGAUAUCAGUGUGUCAGUAAAUUAAGUAUCAAAAACCACUGGCACUGAAGUAUCAGAGGUUAAAAAAAAAAUUACUAUGAUUUGUAAAUCUUCCGACUCGAACCAAAGACUUUUAAAAUUUAAAAUUUUUACAUUUGAACCAAAGACCACAAGACCUAUAGAUUCAAGAUACAAGUAUUUUUUAAAAGAAUUAAAAACAAAAAUAUAAUAGCAAAAGCAAAAUCCCUAAUCUCUUUCCCCCAUUUCAUCAUCUUGUCAAUCAAAAACAAAACAAAUCACCACCACGCCGCCGACAUACCCAAAAUCUCUUCCGCCAAUGUCAUCACUACGCUCGACUAGCCACUACCGUCACUACUUUCGACUAGCCAUUGCCGUCAUCUUCGAUGCACCAAAGUCUGUUCUCUAUAUUUUUGUCUCUUUUGCUGUCGUCAUCUCCUGUCAUAUCUCGUGCACCAAAGUUGGAAACCCACUGUCGUGACUUAUGAUUUUUGACCAUCACCGGUAACUAAUCCACUGCGGUCAUCACCAAUAGGCUGUAACUACUUCCAGUUAUCAUCAAUACUCAGUCAUUCAUCACUGGUAAUAACUUCUCAGCCUCUGUCAGUUGCUGCCGUCACUGUCGCACUGCCUCAAUCUCCGUCGUCGCUGCUAUACCGCCACAAUCUCUGUUCAAGGUAAGCUUAAAUGGAUAAAUAGAGCAUGAAGAAACAAGAUAAUGGACCUAAGUGUCCUGUGACUAGUAAGAGAAUUCAACGGGUGUCCAUGCCUUUUUUUUUGUAUAGAGAAUUCUUUAAAAUUGCUCUACUAAAUGUCAUGUACUUCUUAUUGAAACUAACUGCUUCUACAUAUGAUUUUAUAACAAACUUUUAAGAUCUAUUAACAUUGUGGCUUUAGGUUCCUUGAAGCCACAAUUGAUUUUAGAUCUAUUGAUUUUAUUUUAAAAAUUUUUUUAUCACAAAUGAGCAGCUGAUUUUUUUUUUCUGGAAUAGAAAUUGCAAGAGAGUUGACAAUACAAGGCAAACAACCAUUGUCAAAUAUCAUACAUCGAAUCCUUUGGCCUCGAAUAAAUUGCUCAUCUGGGUGGUAUGUUAGGACUUUUCGUUCUUUCUCCAUUUAAAUUGAUCCAUUUUAUCUCUUUGCACAUGAAAGAAAACAGAGAUGUUGUUUGGUUGCUGAGAAAAUAGCUCAGAGAAAGAGAUGUUUCUGGAAUCUGUACAUUACACUAGAAACUAAGUAGGGCAGUGCCCUUACCAUUCGCUGUAAUAUAAUUACUCUUCUUCAUGAUUCAAUUAACUAGAAUGAGAUUCUCAUAAAGUUAAGUGGAGUGCUAUGGAUAGCAGUAAAAUUAAACUGCUUUUUUCUUCUUUUUUUCUCCUCACUGGAUGAGAAGUUGGUUAAGCCAACUCUACUGCAUAUAAAAUUAUUUGUGAAGAAAUGAAAUCUUUAGCCAGGAUACUGUUAGGAGUAUUAAGGAAACAGCCUUUUGGGCAGCAAAGAAAUAAUUAACUAUGCGAUUAGUUUAAUAGUAAUCAUUGAUUACCUUCAGAAAUCAAACCUCAUGUUUAAGUGGCUGGAAGAGCAUACCUCUAUUUUUGAUAGCUAUGAUCAUACCUCUAACUGCGUGCAUUGGUAUCAUAAUUUUGACUGAAGGUUACUGGUUUUGUCAACUUGUAGACCUGCUUCUUCUGCCAAUUUGGGCACUCAGUGGCUUGUGCUGACUAUCUUACACUUUGAAAGUGGUUUGUGCUGACCAGCUUACACUUUGAAAGGGGUUCAUCAUGGUAUGCAGUUUUCCUGUUUGUGUAAAUGAUAUGCCUUUACAAUUUUUAAAAAUAAACACAACAUCUCUGUUUUACUCGGCACAUCAAAUCUAUGCAUCAUUCUCUCUGUUUGUUUAUUCUUAUGUACUGUUUGAAAAAGGCUUGCUCCCAGUCUUUAAUUCAUGUCAUGAAUCCUCCUUUUUGUUUGGCUAUCACAGAAGCCAGUGUAACAAAUACUGAACAAGCUCAAAUUAUAAUUUCAGGUUUUAUUGGAUAGAGUAGAGAAAUUUAUCCAGUCUGUUGCCGUAUAUGAAGAUCAAAUCUUUCAGAAGAGGACACGUAUACAGCAGGUAUGUUAGCUUCCUCCUGUUUUUGAGUCAUUUUUCACUUUGUAAUGGCAUUGAUUGUAUUUACUGUAUAUAGUUGGAUGAAAAUAGAAAUAUGUGCAUAAAUGCCCAAAUAAAUAAGUUGUUUUUUCUACUAAAGUACAAAAGAUAGCUAAACCUGGAAAUGUAAUUCACAAUAUGAGUUCCUGGGGAAAUACACCAAGAAAGAUGCAUGAUACCUUUCUAUGUUACUUACCUGGCUUGAAAAAAUGCCUUUAGGAAUACUUCCUUGACUUUGUAGUAGGAAUCACCUGGCCAAGGCACACAAUACAUAUCAGAAACAUUGUUCUUUAUAAGACCAUGAUUGAAGUUAUAAGCUUAUAAGGAUCAAUGUUUGUAAUAGGCCUUUUGAAGUCGUAACACAUUGUUUAUUCUAGUCAUCAUAGAAUUUUUUUUUUUUUGGAGAUGUUCUCGUAAUUGUAAAUUCUCGGAGUGCUUUUGGGGCUAGUGGACGUGUUCACCCUUUGUAAAUCUUUUUCUGUAGCAUACAAUCUUUUAUUAACACCCCCAGGGGGGGGCUGUGAUUGAAGUCAAAUCUACAAGAAGUCUUAACUGUUUAUAGAGUGUGCAUAGCAGGGUAAUAAAGGACAUGUUCUUCCAGGCAUAUGGUAACUAUACAAUUGAACACUUGAUAUAUCCCUCCAAACUUAUAAGUGCUAUCAAAGGAAGAAAAUUUAAGGGGUGGACUUCAUUGUGUUUGCAACGUCGAUGACAAAGCGAUAUCUAACAUCGGCUUUAGCAAGGCGCUCCAGGGCUGUGUUCACAUAGUCGGCCGGUAUGACCUCAAUAUCAGCUCUGAUGUUGUGUUUAUUUUAAGUCUUAAUUUUUAUUAGUUACUUCACUUAUGAAUUAGCUCGACUUAUUAAAAAGCCACUAAGGCCCAUCUUACUGCUCAUCACUCACUUAAGAUUUAAGAGAGGUUAAUGACAGCAAUAAAAAAAGUGGUAGCUAGAUUCUUUUUUAAAAUUUUUGUCUCUCUCUAUAUUAAUUAACUAAUGAACAUUUAAUGAUUGGUACACUGCGUAUUGUUGGAGAGAUUAUGUGAAUAACCAUGAGAUGUACAAAACAAUUAUAUGGAUUAAUUGCGAGGUUGUUAUUAGUGGGGAUAUGUUACAAUAUUGUUGCUUGUACGUCACAAAAGAGCUCUUGCGACUUCAUAAUCAAUGGACUACAUAUGUUGCCAAGUUAAUUAUAGCCCAAAAUUGCAAGGUAAUAUAUGAGUAAUUUAUGAUGAUUUUUUCUUCCAAAUAUCCAAGAUUUAUUAUUUGUUGUGUACUAAUUGAUUUUAUGUACUUGUAGGUGGGAAAAAAAUGAAGCCACAUAUGGAUAUUUAUUGACACUCUUGUGCUUCUUUUUGUCCGUUAAUGUUUGUUGAAACUUAAUUUAGUACUUUACUGUUUAGAACUUGUCGAAAGCUUAAUUUGAUACUUAUGUUUUUCUUUUCCAAACAGUGGUGUAGUUGAAUUACAUUAAUUUAAAUGAUGUAUUUGAAAUGUUUGUUAUGUGAAUUGUGUUGUGAGAUUUGGUAUAUUUAAUAUAUUUUGAGUUUUCUUUUGAUUGUAGAAAAAAAAAUAUAAUUAAAAUAAAAAUAUACUAUUAACAAAAGUAGCAUAACAUCAAUAAAUACUGACACUAAAUAUUUUAAAAUGACAUUAAUAAUAUUUUACGUUAAUGAAUCAGUGUGCUCCUGAUACUGUAGUCACAUUAAUCAUUGACAUGUAAAUAAUAUCAUCAAACACUGAUACCAUCGUGUCAUUAUUUUAGUGAUACUAUUGUGACAAAAAUUAUUGACACAAAAAUCACUGACACUAAUUUUCACUGUCAGUGUGUUCUGGCUGGAGCAUUAUUGACACAAUUAACAAGUGUCAGGAAAAGUAAUUAGUGACACUAAUUUAGUAUCAGUAAAGCCUAUUUUUCUAGUAGUGAUUGUUCCAAUUUCCUGAGCCUGAUCCCCUUUGAUUAUCACCUUGAAAUCCUCUGAACUGGUUAUUAUGAUUAUUUCCAGAACUAUUGCCAAAGAAACCAGAUCUUCCAUAGCCACCUCUGUAAUUAUUUCCAAAAUUUCCAGCAUUAUCUAAUCCAGUAAAAUAGUUUUGAUUACCAGCUCCUCUACCACUUGAGAAGUUUCCUUUCUUGAAACCUUUGUUCUGAGCUAAAUUAGCUUUAAAAUUAUGCUUAACAUCCAUUCCAGAAAGCAUAUGUGCUUGUUGCUCAAUUCUAGCCUCUUGAGUCAACAACAUAGCAUAAGCCUCAUUCAAAUUCAUUUUAUCACUACUUAUUUGACCAGUAAUAUAAGUAGCAACAACAUUAUAAUCUGGUCCUAGUCCUGAGAGUACAUGCAAAAUUAGAUCAUCACUGCUUAAGGCACUUCCUGCCGCAGCCAUGUUAUCAGCAAUAUUCUUCAUUUUAAUGAAAUACUCAUUUACUUUCAGAUCAUCUUUCCUAGUUGAAUUCAUCAGAUAUCUCAAAUGUAAGAGUCUAGAUUUUGACUGUGAUCCAAAUUGAGUUUCAAUAGCCUUCCAUACCUCAAGAGAAGUUUCCAGAUUAAACACCAGGCUUAUAAUACCUUCACUCAUCGAUGAUAGCAACCAGCCAAGAAGUACUUGAUCUUGUGCUUUCCAGCUUGACGAAUCUGGAUUCUCAACAGAUCUAAGUUCAUCGUCAAUCCUUUGAGCAACAUGAGAUGGAGGAGGAGUGACAGUUUCAUCAAUGAAUUUCUCUAGCCUAUUGCCGCGUAUGGAAGCUAGAACUUGAGACCUCCAGAUCAGAUAGUUUGCCUGAUCCAGUUUCACAGGGGUAUUAAACGUGAAUGAGAAAUUUGUUGAGUUUGUAUGAAUAUUCGAAGUAUGAUUUGAUGAGGCAAUAUUCAGAGACGCCAUGACAAGGCUCUGAUACCAAGUUGAAAACAAAUAGAAAAUGAGUGUUUGGCUAAUAAGAAAAUAAACUGAGAUCUGGAAAACUUUCUUCUUUUAUUUAUCAAGCUUAAAUUGCUACUGAACGAUUACAAGCAUAUAUAUAUGCAAGUAGAGCUACUCAGCUAAAGGUUACUAAACUAACUAACUAAUAACUAAUUGAUUAACAAACUUAUCACGUGUAUGAGUGCAAACAGCUACAUAACCACCUAGUGCCAGCUGGCAGUACAUGUCAUCAACUUGCAACUGAUUAUAGAAGCUGCUGUGAUCCUCUGCUUGACUGCAAAUGUGAGCUUCCUUAACAUGUACAUACCACUAGAGCUGAUCAAAUAAAUAAUCUAUAUCCUCAAAAAAUGAGGGGAGGAUUAAUGAAAAAUGAAAAUGAGAAAGCAAAAACAAAAUAAUGAACAAUAUAAUUAAUAUGAUAAGUGGAAUUCAAAUACACUUUGAAUCCAUUGUUAUGACAGAAGGGCAGACCGUACAGUCCCAACAAAUAGAAACUAUAGAUAGUCUUAAGUACACAAACACGUACCCUCUUCAAGUGCUGGGGGGAUCAUGGAGUAGUUAAGCGGCACUUCACCCAACAAAAGUGAAAGAUGAAUUAUUUGAAGCAGCUCUUUAAUCGUUGUUGUGCUUUUUGUAGUACCCAAAAUGCCGCACUAUCAACGUGGUAAGCGAGAUAAAAAAAAAUAAUAAUCAGACGAUGGUCAAUGGUCAAGAUGGUCAAUUUAAUGAUAUAUUUUCUAAAAGAAACUCCUAUAGAUGCAUCACUAGGAAGUGUUAGAAAUACUCAAACCAUACCAUGUCUAAAUCGAUCCUAAAAUUUGUGUGCUUAUACUAAUUAUGUUCUGGUUUCAAACUGUCAGAGGAUUACAAGUUGUUGAUGGUUAAUCAAACGGCUACAAAACGAUUGAGUUUUGUACAUUGAAGUUUUACAUUUUAAUCGUUCAAGUCCAAUGCAAGUCUGUUUUUAUAGCAAAAUUGUGGUCACAUGUGAUACACACGUUAGUCGCUUGUUCUGACCUAAGUUUUGCCAAACUUCUGUCAAGUGUGUUAGAAAGAGCGGCAAAUCUCUGAAAUCGGUUUCUUGACUUAAGAGAGCGAUUACAGGGAUAUUUCCCAUUAUAAAUUGUUCUAUGUAAAGUUUUUAAUAUUCUUGUAAUCUUUAGGUCGUUAAAUCAAUAAAUCAAUCGAUUUGUCACUUGCAUGGAAGUAGGCCACGUGUUCAUCUUCUUUUCUUGAUCUAUUUUGCUAAUUCUUUGUUUAUAAUUGGGAUAUCUGUGUCUUUUUUCAUAUCUUAUGAGUGCAGUCUUGGUCUAAUGAUGCCAGUGGCUAUCUUUUUUCAAGUAGGAAAAGGCAGAGACAUCUUUUCUCUACGAAAUAGCACCUCUUUAAAAUGUAAUUUUAUUUUAUUUAAUAUUAUUAUUUUUCAUUUAUUUAUAAGUUUAUAUACUUUGACUAGUAACUUUCUAAAAUGUUAUUUUAUUUUAUUUAACAUUAUUUAUCUUUUUAAAAAAGAAUAAAUAUAAUAAUAAGUCUAUGACUAAAUAAUAUUAAAGUAAAUAAAAUAAAAAAUAUUUUUUAAAAAAUAAAUAAUAUUAAAAAUAUUUUUAAAAAAUAAAUAAUAUUAAAACGUUAUUUUAAAUAAAAUAAAUAAUAUUAAAAAUGAUAUUGUUUUUAAGACACUAUUGAAUUUUUAACAUGAUUUAGUUUUAUGAAAGAAUAAAUAUAAUAAUAAGCCUAUGACUAAAUAAUAUUAAAUAAAAUAAAAAUAAAUAAUAUUAAAAAUGAUAUCUAUUUUUAAGGCUCACUACUGAUUAUUUUAUUUUAUUUAAUAUUAUUUAUUUUUUAAAAGAAUAAAUAUAUAAUAAUAAGCCUAUGAUUAAAUAAUAUUAAAUAAAAAAAUAAAAUUUUAAAAAUAAUAUUUAUUUUUAAGGCUCCCUAUUGAUUAUUUUAUUUUAUUUAAUGUUAUUUAGUUUUUUGAAAGAAUAAAGAUAAUAAUAAGCAUAUGACUAAAUAAUAUUAAAUAAAAUGGAAUAAAUAAUAUUAAAUAACAUUUAUUUUUAAUAAAAUAAAUAAUAUUAAAAAUUUAUUCUUUUAAAUAAAAUAUAUAAUAUUAAAAAUAAAAUUUAUUUUUAAUACUCACUACUAAUUAAACAAUAUAAAUUGUAAACAAUCUGGACUUAUGUGCUAAAACUUUUACAUUUUUAACUUGUUUGUGCUUUUAAUAAAUAUCAGAAAGUGUAAUGUUAAUAUUUAAAUGUACAAAUCUCUACUAUUGAAACUACAUUUUCACUAAAUCUAAUGACAAAAGACUGAAAUCAAGAAAAGACAAAACUUGAUGGUACCUUGUAACUGUUGCAAGAUAGCUAAGUCCCUAUCUCGUCCGUGAAAACAAAAACAAAAUAAUGAAUAAAGAAUAUGAUAAAAAGGGAAUGAUCAAAUACACUUUGAAUUCAUUGUUUUGGCAUGAAGAAAGCCAUAAAAUCCUAAGUACACAAACACCCUCUUCGAAUUAACGAUUCAAUAAUUUCAAUGACGAUGCCUAGAAUGACAGUUUAACUUGCUGACUGUGAGUUGGAAUUAGAAGACUUAGAAAAAAAGAUUUAUGAUAAAUAUCUGUGAAAAUUAUUUUGAAACAAAAUUUCAAAAUUUAAUUUCUUUUUCCUUUUUGAAGUACGCCCAAUAAUUUCUCAGAAGCUGCCUUAUAUUAGCUGCAGAGGAAUUUUGUGUUUGUUAGGGAAUUAUGACAUGCAAUAAUUAUAGUGAAAUUUGAAAAAAUAUUGAAGAUAAAAUUAUACACAACCACUUUAUGUGGAAAAUUUUUAAACUUAUUGGGUUAAAAAAUUACCGAUAAACAAAAGAAUAGAGGAUUAAACAAUUUUUUUUUUAAAAAUGAAAAAAAAAACAAGAGAAAACAACUCUCUCACUGAAAAAAAAAAAAAGCACGGAGAAAUUUAUUUUUCUCUUUACACUGGGUUACAAUGAUGCGGAAUGCAAAGAUAAUUAAUCAAUUGACUGAAAUAUGCGUGGGACCCAUAAAUACACAUAUCACAUAUGGGUGCUUUACUAAUGAAGGGAUGCUUGGGCCAGGAAAACUUGUAAAAGCUAUGGGAAAGAACAUAACUAGUAUUAUUAUUAUUAUUAUUAUUGUUAUUUGUGUGCUUGGAUGCUCUUUAAGUGCAGGAGUUGUCAUAUUUGACUCCCUCAUUAUAUCUCACCAACUUUCACUAAUCACUUUUAUACUCAUAACUAUUUUAUCCUUAUAUAAAAUAACUUAAAAGGAUAAAUAGUUUUUAAGUGCACUCACAUGAUAAUUUCUAUUAAUGUCUAAUUUAGCUAAUCUAAUUUCUUUAACCUUAAUUUAUUUUAACUUUUUUAAAUUAUUGUCUCUUCUCAAUUAUUGUAUACUCUAUUUUUAUAAUCAUGAAAGAACUUAAUUUACAAUACUCAAUAGAGGAUGAUGAAGAAAACUCAAUUUUUUUUUACGGUUAUGGUCACGGUGAAUAAAACUUUUAAAAAGAAAGAGAGAGAUUAUAGUAACUCUAAAUUUUUUUUCUUUUUAGAAUAGAUUUUAUAAGUUUUAUACGAUGUUUUGGAAAAAAGAUAAAAAUUAUAAUAAGGGUAAAUUCGAUAUAAGAUGGGGUAUGUUGAGAGAUAAAGAUUAAUUUAAAAUUUUUAAUAGGGUUAACUAAAAAAUAGGGGCUAGUGAAAUAUAAUGAGAGGGUCAAGUAUCAGCACUCCAAGUGCAAUCCAACUCCAACUUGAAUAUGUUGUGAUUGUUUCUUGCUGUAAUUUUCCUUCAAUAGGUCAGCUUUACAACUAUUUUAAUAAUAUUUUCAUUUUAUUGCUUAUAUCUAAACUUUGGUUAUUUGACAUUUGUCACAAAUCCUUGCCUAAUAUGAUCAUGUAUAACACUAUCUAAUUAUGGGUUUGGAAGUUUUGUAUCUGCAGCUGAUGGUUAAUAGAAAACCUAUAUGUUGGUGAUUGUAUAUGUUAUAUUUGUAACAAGUCCUACUUUGUAAGCCGAUAUUCCAAGAACACAACUAGUGAGUGUAUUUUUGUUGGACUUCAAAAGUAGUUAUUCUUACAGCAGAAUCUUCAAUUUGUAUAGAAAAAUUUGUUAAUUUUAAUUAUAGAGAAGUUUACAAUAAUUAUAAGGUACUUUUUUCUUCAUGUUAAUUUUUGUAAACUUUGCCAUACUUAAUUUACUUACAAAAAUUAAAUGAAAUUAUAAUUAUAAAACAUUGACAUCUUAGAUUUUGAGAUUUAUUUGUUUUAUUAAUUUAGGGGUAUUCUUGUAAUUAUAUUUUUAUUUUUCAAAAUUUUAAAGAAUAAAAUAAUAUUUUAAUUUAUUUGGGGGUAAAAUAGUCAUUUGUAGUAUCAAAGUGGUUGACCGAUACAAGUUGAGAAACAAAAAUGGUGCAAAGAACAUAUCAAAAUUUUACGGUGAUUAGAUAUAUAUAUGACAAAAUAAAGACAGUACAAAGAUAAUUUCCCUAAAAAAUAUGUGAAAGCCGAUUCCUGACCACAAUUUGUGAUCCCUAACCAUAACUAUUGAUUGGCAAAGAUUGUUCUAGGCUUUUUAUUUAUUUAUUUAUUGUUAAAAGAUGAGUGGUAACAAAAAAAAUGCGCCGGAUUGUUCUCAUGCAAACUUGGGCAUUGAAAACAAAAAUAAAAUAAAAUUCAAACAAAUAAUGCCGAAGGAAAACUUAUUAAGUAAUUUCGGUGUUGCCCUAGCAGCCUUGCUUCAUUAAAUAUCUAAGACAAAAAAAAAAAUUUAUAUGAUGAGACACCAAUUGAACUGUCAAAAAAAAUUAAUUGCCCCAAGCCCUAGCAUCAUACCAACACCGAAAUAGUUCAAAAAAUUGUAUUUUUGGUUAUAAUAGCAGAAUCCUCAAUAGAGAAAUAAAUAUAUGAAAUAAAAUGCAUCCCUCCACUUACAAGAAUUUUUCCAAAUCAUAAGGAGCCAUAAGUCCAACGUAAUUGACCGAUUGGGUAAGUAAUCUCAUUUGAUAAUGCCGAGGUAAAAGUGCAUUACGUAUAAUUCAUCCGGACAUUCUAUUUAAGGCAUAUUUUCAAUGGGGGAGGAGAAAGUAUUAUUUCUAUGAACAUCAUUAGUAGAAAAACAGCAAUACCUUGAAAUUUGAACAUGGAAUUUAAAUUCCAGGGAAUGGACAUUAAGAUUGUUGGAAAAUGAUAGGCAAUGCAAGGUGUUUGAUAGAAUAGACAGAGUGCUCGACAAAAUGCCUCAAUGAACCCCUCAUAUCCAAAGCUCUAUCGUGAAGACGACUCGUGCGCAUCAGACAGUAUUGUGGCAUAAAUAAGAAAUUGUGAUGACGUGUUGGAUGAAUCAGUAUUUGAUCAGAAUACUCUAGAGGUCAUGAGGAUUUCUAUUUGAAAGCAUGUGAAACUGUCCUUUGUAAAGGACAAUUCAUAAUGGCCAUAAAUCAAGUUUGCUAUAACUAUUUUAGAUGAAAUUACAACUAAUUCCACAGAUACUUUUACAAAAAUUGAGCCAAACAAAGGAGAAAAUAUUUCAAAAUGAUACAGUGCCAUCAUAGUCCAAAAGUAUGUACAUAACCAGAACCGAUACAAAGCAAAUACAUCUAUAUCUCGUCCAAAAAUGAGGGGAGGAUUGAAAAAAAAUGCAAAGAAAAUAAUAUUGAAUAGAAGAGUUUGAUUAAUGGAUUUGAAAACACUUUCAUUGUAUUGUUUUUGUUAGGAAAUUGGUGGGUGAAGCAGACACGCAGCUAAAGUAAAUUGGAAGAAAAAUAAAGAACAAGCACAAAAAGAGGACACCAGAAAUUACGUGGUUCGGCUUUUAGCCUACGUCCACGGGCAAAGACAGAAGGAAAUAUUUUACUAGUGAAAAGGAGUUACAAGUAUUGUAGUAUUUUAGCUCACUUCCCAAAAUCCCAAUACACCCAAACUCUCAAAACACUAAAACAAGAGCUUAUAAUUUCAAGCUCUCUAAACUUUCUCUAAAUACAAGAAAACUCUUCUCAAAAUUGGAUAAACAAAUGAGGGAAUGAAUCCCUCUAUUUAUAGCCAAAAUCUUGGCUACUAUUCACGUAUUUUUUUUAAUUAUUUAUUAUUGUUCAAAAUUUCAAAAUUCAAAGUUUGAAUAUCAAACUUUGAAUAUCUAGAAUUUUGAAUUUGAUAUUCAAAGUUUGAAUAUCUAGAAGUUUGAUUUUGAUAUUCAAACUUUGAAUAUCAAGACACCCAAUCUUGACAUUCUCCCACUUGGAGAUUUGAUUGAGAACCAAUCAAUCUCCACACCAUCCUUUCUGCUUCGCCAGAAUUAUGUUGCCUACGUUUCUGCUAGGCCACAAGAGGAUCUACUCCAGAUAAACUUGUCAGUAUUGAUCGGCUUGGUCAUCACAUCUGCUAGGUUCUCCUUGGUAUGGAUUUUCUGCAAAUCCACACUUCCGUCUUCCAUUACUUCUCGAACGAAGUGAUACUGAACUCCUAUGUGCUUUGUCCUGGAAUGAAAGGCUGGAUUCCUUGCAAUGUGCAAGGCACUCUGACUGUCACAAAACACAGAAAUUUUCUCUUGUUUGUGCUCGAGUUCCUCCAAUAAUCUUUGUAUCCAAAUAGCUUCCUUGCAAGCUUGUGUAGCUGUCAUGUACUCUGCUUCUGUUGUAGAUAAAGCCACAACUGUCUGCAGUUUCGAAACCCAGCUUACAGCUGCUCCCGCAAGUGUAAACACAUAACCAGUAGUGGAUUUUCUUUUAUCAAGAUCUCCUGCAAAAUCUGAAUCCACAUAGCCCCUGACAGUAAACUUUGAUCCUCCAUAACAUAAUGCAACAUCUGAGGUUCCUCUGAUGUAUCUCAGAAUCCUCUUCACAGCUAUCCAAUGCUCUCCACCAGGAUUCGCCAUGUAUCAACUGACUGCUCCCACUGCUUGUGCAAUGUCCGGUCUAGUACAUAUCAUAGCGAACAUCAAACUUCCCACUGCUGAUGCAUACGGUACUCGAAACAUCUCAUUCCUCUCUACUUCAUUACUAGGACACAUACUUGAGGAUAAUUUGAAAUUAACAGGAAGUGGGGUAGAAAUUGACUUACAAUCUUGCAUGUUGAAGCGUCGCAAGAUUUUCUUCAAGUAAUUCUUCUGCGAAAGCCAAAUCUUCCUGUUAUUUCUGUCUCGGUGAAUUUGCAUCCCUAGAAUCUUGUUUGCUGGUCCCAAGUCCUUCAUUUCAAACUCCCUAGCCAACUGUGCCUUCAAUUCUUGGAUUCGAUCUUUGUUGGGACCUGCUACCAACAUGUCAUCCACAUACAACAGCAAAAUAAUGAAAUCAUUAUCUUCAAACCUCUUGUAAUAUGCACAAUGGUCUGAACUGAGUCUGUUGUAUCCAAGGCUCAUGAUGAAGGAAUCAAAUCUCUUAUACCAACACCUCGGCGCCUGUUUGAGACCGUAAAGAGAUUUGUUCAACCUACAAACCAAGUUCUCCUUUCCUGUUUCUGUAAAACCUUCUGGUUGGAGCAUAUAUAUUUCUUCUUCAAGUUCUCCAUGAAGAAAUGCAGUUUUCACAUCUAACUGCUCAAGAUGUAGGUCAAAUGUAGCACACAUCGCCAAGACUAUUCUGACUGUUGUGAGUCGAACUACCGGUGAAAAUAUCUCGUUGAAGUCAAUAUCUUCUUUCUGAGCAUAUCCUUUCACCACCAAUCUUGCACGAUACCGCUCCACUUGGUCAUUGCCAUCACGCUUGAUCUUAUAGACCCAUUUGUUUCCAAUGGCUUUUCUUCCACGUGGUAGUGGUACAAGUUCCCAUGUCUUGUUCUUGUGUAGAGCUUCAAUUUCUUCCUGCAUUGCUGUCAUCCACAAAGCGAUAUCUGAGCUUUCUAAAGCUUCAUAGAAAGUUGAUGGCUCUCCAUCCUCCGUUAGAAGACAGUAUGCAACGUUGAUCUCUGUGACAUACUCCGAGUGCCAUGUUGGUGGUCGUCUCUCACGAGUUGACCGACGAACUUCUGGAGCCUCGGACUCGACUGGUUCUUGUUCCUCGUGCUCUGGUGCUGCUUCAGAAGAAUCUAAAUUUUCUGGAUUAUUUUCGACACAUACCGGCACAGUCUCUGACUUUUCUUUUACAGUGCCAUCAUCUCUAUCUUUUCUUUGCAGUUGAUCUUCUACAAAAAUAACAUCUCUGCUGAUGACGAUCUUCUGGGCAGUGGGGUCCCACAGACGAUACCUCUUUACUCCAUCAGUAUACCCUAAGAAGAUACAUCUUCUAGAUUUUGGAUCCAGCUUUGUUCUUUCUUGGGCAUUGUACAUCACGUACACAGGACAUCCAAAUGCAUGUAGGUAGGAAUAAUCAGCUGGCUUUCCAGUCCACAUCUCCAUCGCUGUCUUCAGCCCAAUUGCUGUAGACGGUGAUCGAUUUACUAUAUAACAGGCAGUUUUGGCUGCUUCUGCCCAGAAUGAAUUGGGUAUACCAACAGUCCUCAACAUAGCUCUUAUUCUUUCUGUAAGAGUUCUGUUCAUCCGCUCUGCCAUUCCGUUUUGUUGAGGAGUGUAUGCCACCGUGAACUGCCUCUGAAUAGCUUCUUGCUUAUAGAAAGCAAGAAACUCGCCGUCUGUAUACUCUUCACCAUUAUCUGUCCUCAAGCACUUGAUCUUUUUACCAGAUUCAAGUUCCACCCGCGCUUUGUAUUCUUUAAACACAGGAAAUACAUCUGACUUUUUCUUAAUUGGAUACACCUAACAUCUUCUGGAAUAAUCAUCAAUGAAAGUCACUGUGUACUUGCACCUCCCAUGGAUAUAUCCGGUGAUUCCCAAACAUCAGAAUGAAUCAAGUGUAGAAUGCAUUUACUUCUAGCAAUAGAUCUACUGAAUUUUAACCUAUGCUGCUUACUUAUAACACAAUGCUCGCAAAAUGGUAAACUUACCGAUUUGAGCCCGGAAGCAAUUUUCGCUCAGAGAGAAUCUUCAAACCUUGUUCUGACAUGUGGCCAAGUUUGAGAUGCCACACCAUAGUUGACUCUUUUGCAUUUGAUGCGACACACGCAUCAGGCUCCUGUAGUGUUUCUCCUUUAAGCAUGAAUAGAUUAGCACCGAUCUUUUCUGCCUUCAUCAAUACAAGCGCGCCUUUAACGAUCUUCAUAAUUCCAUUCUCCACAUGAGUUUUGCACCCAUGAUUGUCUAUUUGUCCCAAAGACAAUAGAUUUUUCUUCAGGCCGUUGACAUGUCGUACCUCCCCAAUUGUGCGAAUUGUACCAUCAAACAUUUUUAUUUUGAUAGUACCAUUACCAGCGAUCUCCAAGGCAUGAUCGUUACCCAUAUAUACAGAUCCUCCUGAGAUUGGUUCAUAUGUGUGGAACCAUUCUCUCCUAGAGGUCAUGUGCCAGGUAGCUCCUGAGUCUAUAAGCCAGACAUCAGAAAGUCGUUUUCUGCCUUCUGAAACAGUUGUUGCCUCACUGUAGAGAAUUUCGCCAUCAUUCGAGGUACUUGCUACACACCCCUGAGCAUUUGAUGACUCAGGUUCUUUGCCCUCUCUUCUCUUCUGGUUACUCCAACACUCUUUCUUGAUAUGCCCUUUCUUGCCACAGUUGUAGCAUUUAACAUUCUUCUUACUUCUAGAUUUUGAUCUACCAUGAUUUUGACUCCCAAUGGGGCCACAUUCUGUUGAUCUCCCUCUCGUCACCGAUAGCGCCUCCGCUUGUUGCGAACUUGCUUGUCUGUUUUUCUUAUUUUUCCGCCUGCUCUCCUCAUUUAAUACGGAGGCUGCAACAUCGUCGAAAACCAGACUGUCCGCUGGAUUAUUGUUCGUCAGGUUGAUGAUGAGUUGAUCAUACGAAUCUAGUAGACUUUGAAGUAGAAGCUCUGCACGUUCAUUUUCCUCUAUAUUAUGACCCAACGUUGUGAGUUGUGAAAAUAGAGUCUUCAAGGUGUUGAUGUGGUCAGUCACUAUUGUAGAUUCCGCCAUUCGAAGAGUAUAGAGUUUCCUCUUCAAGAAGAUUUUGUUGUGUAGUGAUUUGGCCUCGUACAAUUUUGUGAGAGUAUCCCAUAUUUCCUUCGCCGUAUUUUUCUCUGCCACGCUGGAUAAUACUCCAUCCGCAAGUGCCAAGUGUAGACCAGAAAUGGCGUUGCCGUCUACCUCGUUCCACUUGUCAUCAGUUAUCUCCAUGGGCCUUUCUCCAAUUGCUACCAAAUAAUUAUUUUUCCUCAAUACAGCUUUCAUCUUCAUUUUCCACAAUGAAAAAUUAUUUCCGUUAAAUUUCUCAAUUUCAUACUUUGCCGCCAUUUUGUUGAUAAAUACUGCACACAAGUUAGUGUACCACCUUGAAUAGUUGUGAGUAUGUGUGAGAAUGCACACCAGGAAAGUUCCCAGGAAAGACUGAGGGGUCACAAUGGUCCCACUUAAAACCCAGACUCCUUAAGCUCUUAUCGCCUUUGUGACAGAACUUUCCUAGACAUGUACAACACCACACAGUUGCUUUACUCACACCACUAUUCCCUGCUUUGCACUGCCAAAUUCUUGGAUCGCUUCCACCGUUUCACGUGAAUAGUACCGUAUACGUGAAUAGUAUCGUAUACGUGAAUAGUACCAUUUAUGUGAUCAAAACCGUAUAUGUGAACAGUACCGUAUACGUGAAUAGUAUUAUAUACGUGUACAAUGCCGUAUACAUGAAUAGUACCCCUUACGUGAACAGUUCCUGACUCCAAAAAAUACAACUAAUAGCUCUGAUACCACUGUUAGGAAAUUGGUGGGUGAAGCAGACACGCAGCUAAAGUAAAUUGGAAGAAAAAUAAAGAACAAGCACAAAAAGAGGACACCAGAAAUUACGUGGUUCGGCUUUUAGCCUACGUCCACGGGCGAAGACAAAAGGAAAUAUUUUACUAGUGAAAAGGAGUUACAAGUAUUGUAAUAUUUUAGCUCACUUCCCAAAAUCCCAAUACACUCAAACUCUCAAAACACUAAAACAAGAGCUUAUAAUUUCAAGCUCUCUAAACUUUCUCUAAAUACAAGAAAACUCUUCUCAAAAUUGGAUAAACAAAUGAGGGAAUGAGUCCCUCUAUUUAUAGCCAAAAUCUUGGCUACUAUUCACGUAUUUUUUUUUAAUUAUUUAUUAUUGUUCAAAAUUUCAAAAUUCAAAGUUUGAAUAUCAAAUUCAAAAUUCUAGAUAUUCAAAGUUUGAAUAUCUAGAAGUUUGAUUUUGAUAUUCAAACUUUGAAUAUCAAGACACCCAAUCUUGACAGUUUUGACAUGACAUGGGGGUGCCUCAAAAUCCUGUCAUUCAGGGGCUACAAUCCUGUGUACACAAACAUUCUCUUCUAAUGAUUCUAAUACAGUGAAUUUUAAACCAAGUGGUGAUGGUACCAAUGGAGUGUGGUAGGUAAAGUUUUUCUCUUGUUUAAUUAUUAUUUCCUUGAAAAUGCUACAAAUUUGCUAUAUAUUUGAUUUUUAAAAUUUUACAAUGAUUAUUAUCAAUACUUUUCGGUUGCUCUGCCUCUAUUAAUUAAUAGAAAAAAUAACACACCGAUUUGAGAGAUUCAGCAAUGUGCAGGAACUAGGAUGCCAAGCAAUAUCACAGUGUUGCUAAGUAUAUUAUACAUUUAUACCGUUCAUUUGAUUUGUCUUAAUAAUCAGUGGCUAUUGUAUCUUUAAAUGUGAAAUUAUACUAGCCACGUGAAUAAAUGAAUUUUGUCCCCAACAACUCAUAUUGACAUUUCCUAUUAAUAAUGAUAAAAGGUUGUGCAGUAGCAUAUUAAUAGCGAUUACCCAAAAUAAUUAACAAGGCUUGUCGGCUUCUACUUUAGAUCCAUUUCCAAGUAACCAGCAACCGCCGAGAUUACAGGAAUGAACAACUUCAGGAAAUCCUGACGAUAAUGAAGACUUAAGAUACCUCCUACGAGGAAUCAUAUAAAUUGUAUUGAAAAUAUUAUUCCACAUUGGUUGAGAAUAGUGUUAGACUAAUAAUAUAAGUUUGAGGCAAUCCUUAAUAUUUGAAUCAUUGUUUCCCUCAUUUCACUGAGGUUUUUUUCUAAAAAAAAAUUUUAGUAGUGGCAAGCAAAAGAAAAACAAUAAAAUUACAAUUACAAAUAUUUCAGACUUUUGGGUCUGGUUCCUCUUCUUCAAAAAAAAUGGAUCCCCCAUUUUCUCAUCCCGCAACACUUGCACUCUAUCUCCAACGAUUCGGAACCCGUAGCUUUCUCAACACCGAACCGGACUGCCCAGGAACGAUAUUGUAUUCCCAAUCAUGAGGAUGUGUGAUGGUAAGAGGUAUAGUGAAAUAGUAACCCAAAAGUAAGUGAUCUGAAUCUACAAAGUUAACAACUCCCAAAGAAAUCUUUAUGACAUGCGGAUCGAAAUAUUGAUUUUUUUCUUUUUUCUUUUUUCUUUUUUAUGUAGGAUUUGACUUUGAAUUCACCGAACAAUCGAAACUUCCUUUCCGUGAAAUGAUGGUGUGGGAAUGCUACAAUAGCGCUAAAAGCAAAGCUGAGUAAUUUUUUAUUACUCAAGCAACCUGGUGGCAAGGUAAUAGAAGAUCCCAUACUUUGAAACCGAAACCACGUUGGAAUUUCAUUCCCAGGUAAAAUGACGAGACCAUCACAUGAUGGGAAAUAUCUCUGCAUCACCAAAAUAAUAAUUAAAAAAAUAAUGUUAAUUUUUAUUUAAAGUUAUUAAAGAACCAAAAAAAAAGCCUUGUGCAGAUUUUUUUAAAAAAAAUAAAUAACCACACGCACAGACAUUUUGCUCUUCUUCUUUCCAGCGAGUAGUCGCCAUAAUCUGAAUUUCUAGCAUAGCAUCUUCGACAAUUCCUCUGAGCUGAUUCUGGUUCAAUUUAAAAUUAUUGCUCAGGUCAAAAUUUUGCCGAUAAGAUUCGUAACUUGAGAAUAAACCUGACAAUGAUUCCAGUGCCAUGCAACGACGGGCAUCCAACUUAAAUAGACUGCAUGGAAGCUUUGGUAAGGAUUGAAGCCUCUGAGAAUACCUUAAGAAGAGAAAUUUCAACUUGGAAAGGUGUACAAUGCUUUCUGGUAUUCUCUCCAAAUUGUUUUUCUCCAGAUACAAUUCAACUAGUGAGGAUAACUGACCAAGACUUUCAGGCAAUCUCUGAAGAUUUGAGCAACCAUUGAGGUUAAGAUAUGCAAGAGAUUUCAAGUUACAUAGGCUGUUUGGGAGACUCUUGAGACUUUUACAGUCUUCAAGGAAUAAGCCCAAAAGCCCACGUAGACACUCGAUCGAUGAAGGCAAUUCUUCUAUUGCAGUUCCAUUUAAAAAUAUCUUUUGCAUAUUACCAGCUGAUGAGAUAUCUGGAAGCCUCUUCAGCUUUGAGCAACCGCUUAGAUUCAAGAUAACUAGCAUGUCCAGAUGUGGAAUCAGCAAGGGCUUUGGAGUGUUGGUAAAAAUAUUACAGACAACACUGAUUAUCUGCUUUAGCUUACCAUGAUGCUGCUCUCGAAAAAAGAGUCAGAGAAAAAUAUUAGCAUGUAUGAUCAUAGUUAUAACAUUAUCACUGAAACAUGAAUAUAUAUAUAAACAUAUACAUGCCUGGACACCAUCCCACAGUUGUUGAAUAUUGCUAUGAGGCAUUUCAAGUAAAACAAGCUUCUCUGGCUGAAUAUUCGAUGGUAAUGAUUUCAAUGGAUAUCUAUGCCAGUGAAGAUACCUCACUUCAGCAAAUCCAGGGCCUUGGAAAUCAGACACCUUACAUUUGUUCUCUCCUUCAAUUGAGCUAUAAAAUUUCAAAAAUCUCAAUCUACACAUCUUUGUGAAAGUAUUGGAAUUUAUAUGGAUCUCCUUCACUUUAGACAUAUCCAAGCAGAUGCCCUCAAUUUUUUCAGUCCCCUUAUAACCAAUGAAAGACCAUAAAGUUAAAAUCAAAAUUACGUAACAAUAGUACUAAGUGUGCUUAGUUUAAAUACUUAAUUCGGAUACAAUUAUGUAACGCAAGUUGGUAAUUAUUGUUAGGCGGCCAAACUCGUUAUUGCAAACCUACAAAAAAAGGGUAAUCAUACAAGUAACACCAAACAUAUAAACUAUGUAUGUUUGCUAUACAAAAGUGACAUAUAAAUUUUAUAUUCGUACAAAAGAUAAUAUAAAUGUUGGCAUGGUAUUUAUUAUUUAUUAAUGCUACAUUACAUGAUCUAAAAACUUUUUUUUUUAAAUCAUUGUCACUUUUCUAUAGAUUCUAUGAUUCUUUAGUUUCAGCGUAUAUAAAUAUAUGUACAAUAUCAACUUAGUAAAUGCAAGAUAAUUCAGAAAUAAUAAUCCCAACAAAAUGCUUACCAUAUUAUGUGUAAGAACUUCAUAGAUAUCCUCGUGAUGCCAUAAUCGACUACGGUUUCCACGAUUAAUUGAUUCUUGCUGAACAAUUUCCCUACCCAAUCCUUGUAGCAAAUCAUGCAUUGUUAUCUUGUUGCACGAAACAGCAAUGAGAGACUUAUCAAUAAGAACACUAAUACCAAUUUCUGGGUAGAAGCCACUUGUAUCAAGGAACUUCAUAACCGAAUAUAUAUCCUUACCAUUUAAGAAACAAGCAACAUCUAGGAAAAUGUUUUUCUCUUUAUCAUCUAGACUAUCAUAACUUAAUUUUAGUACCUCUUGGAUACUAGGAUGGAGAAUCCUUCUCAAUUUGUUUAUUGCAUCUUCCCAUACUUCUUUUUCCCUUUCAAAUAGAAAGCAGCCCAAAACUUUAAGAGCUAAAGGAACACCUUGAGCAUAUUCCAUUACCUUCCUUGAUAGUUCCUCAUAACCCACAUCCGGAUAGUUUUGUCUGAAUGCAUAUCGACUAAAAAGCUCAAGGGCAUGAUUAAACAUUAAUGCCUUCAUCUCAUAUAUUUUUUUCACUCCCCAAUUCCUAAGAAUUUGUUUAUCUCUUGUGGUUAUAAUGAUUUGACUCUCAGGCAUGAACCAAUCGAGACUUCUAAUUAAGGAUUCUACUUGGUUGAAGCAAGUCACAUCAUCAAAAACAAUCAAAACCUUCCUGCUGCUGAGCCUUCUAAAGUUUUGAUCAAUAUCAAGAAUCACAUUUUCUUCCUUUAAUAAUUUUGAAAAAAGUUCUUGUCGCAAAUAAGCUAAUCCUCCCGGUCUUUGUGAUUCUUCUCUAACAUUUUGAAGGAAGCAAGAACCUUCAAAGUUACUAGAGAUUUUAUCGAAAAUAACUCGAGCAAUUGUUGUCUUCCCUAUACCACCGAAGCCCCAAAUCCCUAAAGUGUAAACAUAUUUUGACUCCGCACCUAAUAGAGAUUCAAUUUCCUUAACUCUUGAUUCUACUCCAACCAACUGGUUUUUGUAGUUACGUGGAGACAUUUCAGCCAGUCUCUUCAAAAUGUGAUGAACAGCUUUCUUUAUAAGUUCCGAUUCAAGCCUAACAAAUAUGUUAAAUAGCAGUAAAAUCAAAUAGGAUGGAUUUGCACCAAGUAUGAAUCAAUAACUCUUAAAUUUCAAGAAUAUGAGUGACAUAUUGAAACUACUUAAAAUAUGACAGGACACCCAAUGAAAUCACAUAAAAACCGUUUUUAUUAAUCCUUCAAAAUUCUUUUAAAAGAAUUUAAAUUUCGAAAAAUCUACAAGUUGUUCACGUACAGAAUUCAACACACCAAUUGUCACUAUCAAAGAUCAAUACCACAAAUCACUUGAGAAAAGCAUUAGGAUACCUAAUAAAAUUGAAGUAUAUAGUUCAGCAUAUUUGACAAAAAAUAUCACUAUAACUACCAGGAGUGCUGGUAAUUAAUUGAGCAGAAAAUAACAUUAUGUGGCAUCAUCAUUAUGGUAUGAGGAAAGAACUUUAAUUACCUAAAGUUCUGAGAAUCAAAGCCAGAAAAACUGGCCGCCUCCUUCAAAGCAUUCCUCCAACUCUUCAGCUUCUCGGAAUUCUCCUUAAAUCUUUCUUCAAGCUUUGAAAAUGAAUCCCCAAAAGGACCUGUUUGGUUUCUCACGUCCGAUGGAUCAACGCGAUAAAAAACUGGAAUCACAAUCUGUGCAUUCUCUCUUUUGCAUUGGAGGAUUUUUACAAGUUCAUCGAGACACCAUCUGGAAGAGGCAUACCCUUCAGAGAAAAUGAUGAGUGAAAUGGCUGAAGUUUCAAUUGCAUACACAAGAGACUGUGAAAUUUCAUCUCCUCUAUUAAGUUGGUCAUCAAUGAAAGUUUGAAUACUUUUUUGCGACAAAGCAGAAUAAAGAUGGCUGGUAAAGUUGUCACGGGUGUCCUCUCCUCUGAAACUAAGAAAAACAUCAUACUUGUUAAUGUUUCGAGGAGAUAAAGAAGAAGAAGAAGAAGAAGAAGCCAUAACAGAAGUAGUUCAAUUGAUCCGAAAGUAUUUGACAACGGAAUAUAUACAUAUAAAUACCAAAAUAGUAAUUCACUAAAGAAUAGUGAAAUAAUGAAUGAUAACACGACGCAACACAUAUUUUCCAUGGAAAGACGUAUCAUUUCCAAAAAUUUUUAACACUGAAAAGUUGAAUCUGUGAUCUCAAAACAGAGCGACAGACAAUGUCGUCUGUGGUUUUGGAAUUAGCUGACGUAUAUUAUUUGGAAAUGGACGACAGCACAUACAGGAAGCUAAUCCGAAGAACCGACAGCCAGAGGACAUUGUUUGGAAAUUGGAACCAAUCUUGUUGACUCACGUGCGUGCCACAUGCUUUUACUAACUCGCGCGUGCCAUAUUUGAUUAGAGAACAUUUAUGUAAUUUUGUAACAAUUAUCUUCUCCGGCACUCUGUGAUGCAGAGUACGUAUUUGAGUGAAAUGAAGUUAGAUAUCUAUCCAUAUGUUAGAGAAUAUAUAGAGAAUCUCCUCCCGGAGUUAGAGAAUAUCGGAAAGGAAAUGGUAAGCAGUUUUAUCAGAUAAAAUAUGAAUUAAUCUUACGUCUUGUAUCAAAAAGCAGCUUACUAGCAUUGCAUUUGAAGCAUUUCUUGGGUGCAAGUGAAGGAACAUUGUCAUGAUCAAUGCCCUGCUCUGCUUGUAAAUUCAUCUCUCAAAUCACAGUCAACGUUAACACUUGUUAUUACAUGUGGUCAACACUUGUUAAAUGAUUCAUAUAUGUUCCUGAAUCCUAUAAAAAUUUAGAAAAAAAUGGCCAGAGGCAAAGAAGAUUUGAAUAAAUAGAGAUUUUAGUAACAGGAAUAUCUUAAUGAGCACAAUUAACUCCCGUAAUGAGCAAGGACUUUGGCGUAGGGCACAUAAACCAAUUCAUCAAUGCUUUCUGAUAUUCUCUUGUAAUGGUUUUCAUCUAGAUACAAAUCCCAUAGAGAUAGUAAUCGAUCAAGACUUUUAGGUAAGUCCGUGAAAUUGGCAAUGAUGAAGCCAUUUGCUCAUGACCUCUGCAUCUCUUGAAAUAUAAUUAACAAGGUACUUCUGUCACUGCAUUUUCCUUCAGAACCUUCUAAAUGACUAAAUCCAUGUUUAACUGAAAAUCUCUGAAGAUUUGAACAACCAUUUGAAAUAAAGAUCUCAAAGACAUUGCAACAUGUAUAGGCUGCUUGGGAGACUCUUAAGCCUUUUAAAAUUUGAAAGACUCAAGGUAACUGGUCGGGGGGAACAUGCCGUGGAUCAAGGCAUGCGAUUCUUUGAUUGUUGUUCCAUCUAAAUAUAACAAUUUAAUAUACAAGAUGACAUAUCUGGUAUCCACUUUAGAUUUAUGCUUCUAGAGAGAUUAAGAUCUUCAAGAUAUUUAAGCUUAAAUAUGCUUCCGAGAGAUGGUCAAGCCUUAACUGUUCAUAAGAUAAGGCAACAAGUCCAGAUAAACACUCUAUGGAUGAAGGCAGUUCUUCGAUUGCGGUUCUAUGUAAAUAUAAACUUUUAUAUUACAACAAGAGAUCAUUGGAAACCUCUUCAAAUUUAAACUGGAUAGACACUAAGGAUGAGGACAGUUCUUCGAUUGCAGUUCCAUCAAAAUAAAACCCUUUUGUGUUACCAGAUGAGAUCUCUGGAAACCCCUUCGGAUUUAAACAAUCGGAAAGAGCAAUAUCUCAAAAACAUUUCAACUUUCAUAUGCUUCUCGAAAGCCUCUAAAUCCUUGAACAGUAAAUAAGCUCAAAUUUAACUAAUAAGAUCUCAUUGGAUGACGGCAGCUCUUUGAUUGCAGUUGCAUGCAAAUGGAGCUGUUAGAUCCUACUCAGAAAAUUCCCCUGUAUCACAAAUUUAAAACAAGUACUAUAUAUCUUGAAAUCAAGAAACUUUCUACAAGGCUUCAGUUCUAGAGAGGAUAUUAUCACAUUCUCGUUUACGUAUUAGUUUUUGCCUUUCACAUUUCUCCAGUUAUAUAAAUGAAAAGAGUGUAAGCAAAACCAUUAGAGAAUCAAACUUUUUACUAAGCUACUUGAAAAUUUGCCAGCACAAGAAGAAAUAACAAAAAGAAAUUAAACUCACCCCGCCAGUCGUAUUGUGUUAUAGAAACUUAUCCUCAAAUUUGCAGCAAAGUUGCAAAGCCAGAGAUCUCGUCCCCUAGCGCUCCGGACCAUCAACUCACCCAGCUAUUGUUGCUGGGCUGUUUUGCAAAAGAUUGAAAGUCAGCUGGAUUAUGUCAUAAAGGCAUAUAGUUUGGGGCCUUUGUUACAUUAUCCAAACUGAGGUGCAUAACCGACUAAAUAAGAAUCUAAUAAGAGUUUGUUACAAAAAUCUGUGCUGAGCGUUGGGCCCUGUUUCUUCGCAUUGUUCUCUAUAAUCACUUAGCCAUUUUGUGAAAAAUUUGUUUCUUUGUAAAACUUUUCUACUCUAUUCUUGGUCAAUUUCUGUGUGAUUCUAUCAAUAAAAGUGUACUGAUUGUUCCUUCAAAUUGGUUGUAUUGUGCUGUUCUUUAAGUCUCUAGUUCUUGAUUGGUUGUUGUUUAUUCUUGUACUUUGGUUUAAGCUUAGAAUUUCUUCCAUCUUUUUCUCUUAAACCUUAACAGCUGCAAUAACUCAUCCUGAAAUAUUUGAGAUUUCAUUUAUAACCUGCGGAGCAGAUUUAGAACCCGGACUUUCAAACACUUGCGAAUCUGCGGAGCUAGAGCAUCUAGCAGAGCUAUUUUGCCUAACUUAUUCUGCUAAUCACUGGUCAGUGUGGACUUGAGAGCGUCGAGAGGUUUCUAUGGAGCUCUCUAAGAUUCAAACAUUUCAAGCAAUUGACAAUAAUUGACAGUUGAAAUUGUUCAAAUGACUGUUUGGUUAACAAGAAAAUAAAAGAAGGUUAAAAGCGUAAAAACUGCAGCUUGGAGAAUUCUAGAAUAUCAUUUGAUUUAUUCUGAAUGAAUUACAAAGUGAUUACAUCGUUUGUUUAUAUACUCAGCUGAAGAUAACAACUCAAACUUAUUACUAACUAUAACUAAUCAAAAGGAAUCUUCACGUGUGCUAGUAAUUACAUAACCACCGGAUGCCACAUGGACAGCUAAAUCAUCAACCUUUAACCGUGUGCUGUAGCUGCUGCAAUCCUCUGCUUUAUCUUCUGUUUGGCUUAUCGUACUGCAAGCAAGAUGAGCUUCCUUAACAUCCCCCCUCAAGCUCAAUGGUCUGUUGAUGACAUUGAGCUUGGAUCUGAAAUAGCUGAACUUUGGUGGAGAUAAAGGUUUAGUGAGAAUGUCAGCCACUUGCUCUUCAGUAGGAAUAUAUCUGACUUCUAAUUCCUAGCUGAGAACUUUAUCUCUAAUGUAAUGCACAUCUAAUUCAAUAUGCUUUGAUUUAGAGUGAAAACAGGAUUUCUAGCUAGUUCCCCUGCACUUUGAUUGUCACAUCAAAGCACUGAAGUAGGCAACUGAGCUAUGUUUAAUUUAGAAAACAAAGAUUAAAGCCAGGAAAGUUCUGAACAUGCUGAUGAUAAGGCCCUGUAUUCACUCUCAGUGCUGGACUUUGCUAUAACCCCUUGCUUUUUAGAAGACCAGGAAAUUAGAUUGUUGUCGAGAUAAAUGCAAUAUGCUCCAAUGGAUUUCCUAUCAUCAAUAUCACAAGCCUAAUCUGCAUCGGAAUAGCCAUUUAAACUAGUAACUCCAAGUGAUCCCCCCCGCUGUAGAUAAAGACCAUGAGUAAUGGUAGCUUGAAGAUAUCUGAGAACCUUUUUACAAGCUAACCAAUGCUGGAUUGUGGGAGAACUCAGAUACUGACUGAGUUUGUGUGCAGAAUAUGCAAUAUCAGGUCUUGUUAGUACUAAGUACUGAAGACCUCCAACAAUGCUCUUAUAGAGAGUUGGAUUUUCAAAUUCAUGUCCUAAAGGUCCUCUUGCUUGCCUUUCCAGCUUAAGACUUGUACUGAAAGGUGAGCCAGUACCCUUACAAUCUUUCAUUGAAGCUCUAUUUAACAGAUCCUUAAUGUAUUUGGUUUGAGAAAGGUGCAUCCUAUGAUGUGUAUAACACACUUCCACACCAAGAAAAUAAACAAGCAAACCCAAAUCCUUUAAAGCAAAGACCUUACUUAGUUUAGCAACAAAUUCCUCCAAAACAUCAGAAUCAGGACCUGUGACUAGGAUAUCAUCAACAUAAAUCAGAACUAUAAUCAACCCUUUGGUGUCAUGCUUAAUAAACAAAGAAGUAUCUGCUUUAGAAUUGAAGAAGUGUCAGGUUGUAAGACAAUGUUUUAGCUUGUCAUACCAGGCUCUUGGAGCUUGUUUAAGCCCAUAAAGGGCUUUGUUGAGCUUGCAUACAUAAUCUUCUUUAACUGUAAAACCCUCUGGUUGUGUCAUGUAUACAUCUUCUAUUAAGUCUCCAUUAAGGAAGGCAUUAUUUAUGUCAAUUUGCCUAACCUUCUAGCCUUGCAUCACAGCCAAACUUAGAAUAACUCUAACUGUUGAGGACUUAAUCACAGGGCUAAAUGUUUCUAAGUAGUCAACCCCUGCAGUUUGAUGGAAUCCUUUUGCAACCAGACGAGUUUUAUGCUUGGAGAUUGAUCCAUCAGUGUUAUAUUUAGUCCUAAAUACCUACUUGCAACCAACAACCUUGAAAUCUGAACACAUGGGUACAAGACUCCAGGUUUUGUUUUUAAUAAGGGCAUCAUACUCAGCUUGCAUUGCAGCCUUCCAAUUUGGAUCAGACAAUGCUUCAGAAGGGGUAUUUGGUUCAAUGCUGUUGUGAGAUGUUAAAAAGGCCUUGGGUUUAAAAAUGCCAGCCUUUGCUCUGGUAAUCAUGUGGUGAGUUGAGCCAAUGGAUUUGGUCUGAGAACUAGGGACUGGAGUAGGAGAAAGUGGAUGAGAUAAAGGCAUUUGAUCUGAAGAUGAUGGGCAGUGAGAUGGAUUUUCAAAUGGGUAGUGAGAUGGAUUUUCACUUUGUGAAUUUGAAAAUGAAGGAAUAGGUAUUGUACUAGGUGAAUUGGAUAAAGUAUUUGUAUCUAGACAAGGAGAAAUGAGAUCAGUGCCUGUUGCAUAAGCUCCAAAGGUGUUGAGAUUGCUGUUAGAUGUUGGCAAGGAAUAUGUCUGUAUAAGAUUGUUUUGAAAAACUGAAGUGUUUUGUUGUGAAGAAUGUUGAUUGAAAAGUGAUGAAUAUGGAAAAGAGUUUUCAUUAAAGAGAACAUGCUUGAUAUAUACACUUUUCCAGAAGGAUGCAAACACUUAUAUCCUUUAUGGAGAGGACUAUAGCCUAUGAAGAUACACUUGGGUGUAUGAAAAGAGAAUUUGUGUUUAUUAUAAUCUCUGAGAAAAAGAAAACAUGAAUAGCCAAAGCUUCUAAGAAAUUUGUAAUCACGUUUCAAAUGAAAAAUGGCUUCAUAGGGUGAUUUUCAUGGAAAAUGUAGGAGUGGGCAAUCUAUUUAUGAUGUAAGUAGCUGUAUGAAAAGAGUCCCACCAGAAUUUAAUAGGUAAGGUUGCUUGUGCAAGCAAGGUUAAACUAAGUUCUGUGAUAUGUCUAUGUUUUCUCUCUACUGUUUCAUUUUGGUUAUGUGUGUAAGGACAAGAAUGCCUGAAUGUAAUGCCUUCUUGAUGAAGAUAAGUGACAAAGGAUCUGAAUUCACUACCCCAAUCAGAUUAUAGGCAUUUAAUGGAUGUGUUUAGCUGUUUUUCAAUCUGAGUUUUGAAGACUUUGAAGACAAAGAGAGUUUCACUUUUGGUUUUUAAUGGAAAUAUCCAGGUGAAUCUUGUAAAGUCAUCAACAAAGCUUACAUAAUAUCUAUAGCCUUGUGAAGGAAGUUCAGGGGCUGGUCCCCAUAAAUCAAUGUGUAAAAGUUCUAAAGGACUAUUAGUUUUAAUGAAGCUAGCUGGAAAAUGUAAUCUAUGUAACUUUGCCAACAUACAAGCAUCACAAGAUUCAAAAGAUUUACUUCCAUUGAUUGCCUUCAAGGCUGGAUAAGUUUUGAUUACAUGAUCUAAAAUUUUUGAACUUGGAUGUCCUAGCCUUUGAUGCAAAACAGAAGUACUUAACAAGCAUCUAGAAUUCAUACAUAGAGCUGAGACAGUGUAUGAACAUGAAGUUUUAUUUUGUAAAUCAGAAGGAACAACAGAAAACAUUGAAAGAGGAACAACUUGAGCAGCUGACUCGACAUUUGUGAAAUGAUUUCGAGAAUGAGUUUUAUUCGAUGACAUCAACAGUAAUCUGUAUAAACCUUUGUCAGCCUUGCCCUGCAGUAUGAUCAAAUUCUUCACCUUGUCCUUCACAAAGCAAAAUUUGUCAGUGAACUCAACUGCCAUAUUAUUGUCUUUGGUUAACUGGGAUAUGCUAAUGAGAUUUUUGGUGAUUUGAGGAACCAGCAGUAUAUUGUUCAGGUUAAGUGUAAAUGAAGCUUUUGUAUUACAAUCAUGCAUUUUUAAAGUGGCAUGACCAAGAUGUGUAAUGUUUAGACUAGCACCAUUACCAACUACAAGUUUAGAUAUACCUGCAAAAGGCUCAGCAAUGUGCAUGUUGUUCAUGUCAUUAGUGAGGUGAUGUGUUGCCCCACUGUCAAGAUACCAGUUGGUAUCUGAACCACCAUCCAUGUUUGCAAGAUAAGCAGACUUUGGAUUCCUGUUUGGUGGUGGCUUAUAAGCUCUUGAAGUAAUGAACUCUUCAAGUUUCCAGUAGAUAUUAACAGUAUGACCUGUCUUAAGGUAAAUUUGACAGGUAGGUUUGGAAGCAUUCCAUUGAGGUUUAACAUUUCCAGGUGUCUUGUUAUUAUUGAAGUUGCCAUAUCCUCCAGAAUUCUGAUUCCAGUUCCCUCCAUUUCUUUGAUUAUCUCUAGAAUCACCUCUUUGCUGAAAAUUAACACUAGAUAAAUUUCCUCCAUUGGCUCCAGCACCUCUAGAAUUUCCUUUGUAGCCACCAUAGCCAUAAUUUCCAACAUUACCAAAACCAUAGCCACCAAAAUUCUUACCUCCUGAUAUGAAACCUUUCUUAAACCCUCUGUUCUGGACUAAAUUAGCCUCAAAAUUCUGUUUCACAUCUAUACCAACAAGCAUAUGUGCUUGUUGUUCUAUUCUAGCUUCUUGAGUGAACAACAUUGCAUAUGCCUCAUUUACAUUCAUUUUUCCAACACCUAUUUGACCAGUUAUGUAAGUAGCAACAUAAUUAUAUUCAGGUCCUAAACCAGAAAGUAUGUGCAAAAUCAAAUCAUCAUCACUUAAAGCACUUCCAACAGUAGCCAUAUUAUCAGCUAUGUUCUUCAUCUUAAUGAAAUAAUCAGUGACUUUCAUAUCAUCUUUCCUAGUUGAAUUCAUCAUGUACCUCAGAUGUAACAAUUUAGAUUUAGACUGUAAACCAAAUUGUAUUUCAAUAGCUUUCUAUACCUCAAGUGAAGUUUCUAGACUGAAGACCAGACUGAUGAUGCCUUCACUCAUUGAAGAAAGCAGCCAUCCAAGCAGCAUCUGAUCUUGUGAUCUCCAGGUGACAUACUCUAGAUUUUCAAUAGAUCUGAGGUCAUCACCAAUUCUUUGAGCAGUAUGAGAAGGUGGAGGAGUUACUGAAUCAUCAAUGAAUUUUUCAAGUCUAUUUCCACGAAUAGAAGCAAGAACUUAAGAUCGCCAAAUCAAGUAAUUUGAUUGAUCCAGCUUAACAUGAGUGUUAAAUGAAAAGGUAACUGUGCUCGUAUUAAUGGUAGCAUUAUGGACUGUAUUAGAAGAUGAAGCAAGAUGUGCUGAAGCCAUACUGGCUUUGAUACCAAGUUGAAAUUGUUCAAAUGAUUGUUUGGUUAACAAGAAAAUGAAAGAAAGUUAAAAGAGUAAAAACUGCAGCUUAGAGAAUUCUAGAAUAUCAUUUGAUUUAUUCUGAAUGAAUUACAAAGUGAUUACAUCAUUUGUUUAUAUACUCAGCUGAAGAUAACAGCUCAAACUUAUUACUAACUAUAACUAAUCAAAACGAAUCUUCACGUGUGCUAGUAAUUACAUAACCACCAUUGGACAGCUAAAUCAUCAACCUUUAACCGUGCUGUAGCUGCUGCAAUCCUCUGCUUUAUCUUUUAUUUGGCUUAUCGUACUACAAGCAAGAUGAGCUUCCUUAACACUGACGAAGCUAUUUAUUUACCAAAAAUAAAUUAUCUAAGCCACAUCAGUUUUUAAAGCAGAUCAAGAUCUAGAAACAUUAACAAAUGCUCAACCUUGUUUAAAAUUCGCUGCUAGAAGAAGUCUCUAGACAUGGCACCAAAAUAGAAAUAAAAAUGAUGUAGAACACCUCUGUUCUGUUCUGUUAUUCUUUGUAAUUUUUAAAAUUUGGUAUUUGGUAGGUCAAACAGAUCUUGUAAUUUGCAGAAAUACCAUCUAAAUUUAUCAUAAGUAUUAAACCUGCAAAUAACUCAAAUGAAAUUGAUGGUAAACCUGCAGAUAAUGCUUCCAGUGACGUGCAACAGCUUAAUUCGAGAAAUUCCAAAAUAGAAAGAUGUCUAAUGCUUUCUGGUAUUCUCCCCAAAUUGCUAGUUAUUAAGAAUCAAACUUUGCUAGCGAGGUUAAUUGACCAAGGCUUUCUGGUACUUCUCUUAUAACAGUUCCUUCAACUCUUAAAUAGGACAAGGCUCUUAAAUUUCUAAUUUCAUCCGACAAUCUGUAAAGUUUUGGGCAAUCAAUGAUUGAAAAAUGAAAACAAAAAAGCAAAAACAAAAUAAUGAAUAGAGGAAUGUGAUAAAGGGAAUUCAAAUACACUUUGAAUCCAUUGUUCUGACAUAUUUAUCAAUGCACAGAAUGGAUAAAGAAGUAAGUAUAUGAAAUAAAAUACAUCCCUCCCCUUACAAGAAUUGAUGCAGAGAGCAUCAACCUGACACAAAUAUAUAACUGAUUCAACAUUUCUUCCUUUGCUUUUUCAACUUGGAAAAAAACAACUACAAACAGUCACAUAAGUCUUAGAAAUAGUAAGUAACUGUAGUGAAAAUUCAAUUAGCAAAGCAGCCAAAAUAUUGAAAUCUUCUCUAUGAUAUAACUACCUACUUCUUGACACAUAUCCAUCACAGCUCUUCUUCAACGUUCGCAAGUGUACGAGCCAUCGUGUCCUGCAUGUAUACCCUGUUCAGAAUUGCUAGCUUGCUUUCCUCGAAGAUCGGGCCUUGACCUCCUUUUCAUGGCACUGUAUUUCCAUUCUAGUAAAAGCAAACAGAUUUCAGAGGACUUUGGGAAAACAUCUUCUCAACCAUUUCACAGUUUUCAUCGAACCAUUGAUCCCAAAAUGUUAAACAAAAGAAAAAUGACAAUGUUCACGAUAGUUAGUUUGCUCUGCCUCAUUUCCAAACAAUACUAUUGUGGCAAGGAGAAAAGGAAAUUUGAACCACAUACACGUCAAAUUAUGCAUGUACGUACACAAAUAUUAUGUGACAUAACCUCUCUCUUGAACUUGGCAUUUGCAGCACCACAAAAUACCUUAACCAGAACUAUAUGUACUUGUUUAAUAAGUCAGCCAGUAACUUCAUCAAUAAAUAGAACCAAGAAUUGCCUUGGUAUUAUAUUAGUGUAGAAUAAGAAUAUCCAAAUCAUGCACCCAACAGGGAGCAAUACUAUCUAUGUAGGACCCAUCAAUGUAUCUGAUGUAAAGAAUCUAAACUAUGACUAAAAUAAAAACUCAAACAUCCAACAUCAUAAAAAGGGUAAAAGGGCAAAAGCCUUUAAGAAUUAGAAAUAAGAAGCUUUAGAUUCAGAUGGUUCGAUUGCCUUAUUACUGUAAAGACAUGAUAGUUCUUUCGCAAGCUCGAGGAAACUUUUAUUAGAGAUCCCAAACCCUUUUCAAGGGAUAUUAGAUAUGGCGGGUAGCCAUCAGCUUCUAACACAAUCGAGUAGAAUUUGAUAAUGUAUACGAGAAGCUUGCUUAACUUGCAAAUCCUGCAAAGAUUAAAAGAUCACAAAGAGAAUUGGCAUAAGACAAUCCUUGCAUUAUGACAGCUAGAGAGGAUAUUAUCACAUUCUCAUUUACGUCUUAGUUUUCUCCUUUUACAAUUCUCAAAUUAUAUAAAUGAAAAGAACAUAAGUAAAGCCAUUAGAGAAUCAAACUUUUUAAUAUGCUACUUGGAAAUUUGCAAGGACAAGAAUGUUAGAGUUAUAAAUAUAAAGAAUAUUUUUGUAAUGAUUCUGCUGAUGUGGCAGCUGAGUAAGCAAGGCUGUUAUUUGUUAGUUUGUAAGUUUGUUAUAGAGCUGAGAAGUUUGUUAAUCACAGCUCACUCUCAACACGUGUGUGAGUAUUGCAGAAGGUUCUGGAUCUUAGUAUAUAAGAUCAACCUCUGUAUUCAUAAUUCAUUGAAUAAAAUUCGAUCUAUUUUUCUUAUAGUUUCUCUUAUUGCUCAUUAAAUUUUCCUUCAUUUUCUCUGCAACCAAACAAGCAUAAAUAGCUUGGUUAAACUUCAAUUUGGUAUCAGAGCCACAUCUAGUCUAAUCUCAUGGCAUUAUCAAGCUUGACCACAAACAUCUCUUCUUCAGCAGCAACCUUUACUUUCACAACUCCAAUAAAACUUGAUCGAUCAAAUUACUUAAUCUGGAAAUCUCAAAUUCUAUCUUCAGUUCGAGCAAAUGAGCUUGAGAGUUUGCUUGAUGGAUCCAGAAUCUGUCCAGAUCAAUUUCUCUCAAGCACUCAAGGAAAUUCAGAUGCUAUGUUCAAUGCUUCUGCAAGUUCAACUGUUACUUCAUAAGAGAAUCCUGAGUUUCAUGUGUGGAAGAAGCAAGAUCAGAUGCUGCUGAGCUGGCUGUUAUCCUCUAUCAGCAUUGAAAUCCUCAGCCUUGUGGUAAACUCUAAAACCUCUUAUGAACUGUGGUCUAGUUUAGAGCAACAAUUUGGAUCUGAAACUGCUGCUAAGAAAGUUCAUCUCAAAAUGAUGUUGAAUAAUCUGAAGAAAGGAUCUAUGACUAUGACAAAAUAUUUUAGUAAGUUGAAGUUAGUUACAGAUGAGCUUGCUAUUGCUGGAAGUCCUGUUAGUUCUUUGGAUUUUAUAACUCAUCUCAUCUCUAGAUUAGGUCAACCUUAUUAUCCAGUAGUUGUGUAUAUUGAAGCAAAUGUUCUAAAAAUGAGUAUUAAUGAGGCUUAUUCAAUGUUAUUGACACAUGAGGCACGUUUAGAAAGCAAUCAAUCUAAUUCUUUCAAAGAAGUGAAACAGAACUAUACUGCUAACUUAGCUCAGGCUGGGAAUAAUCAAAAGAAAGUUAACAAUCAGGGAGGCUGGAAUAAUAAUAGUCAAGGAGGCUGGAAUGGAAACACUGGAAACAAACCUGGAUUUCAUAAUUGGAAUGGAAACUUUACAAACAGAGGAGGUUUCAAUCCAGGAAGGGGACAAAAUUCAAGUAGAGGACAAUGGAAUAAUAAUUGGAAUAACUGGAAUGGAAAUCAGGGUAGAGGCAAUUUUGUUGGUGCUGCUGGAAAUUUUUCUAGUAGAUUUCCUGGUGGCUAUAAUGGAUUUGGAAGAGGAGGAGGCAGAGGAAAUAUUGUUUGUCAGAUUUGUUUCAAACACAAUCAUACUGCAGCUAAUUGCAAAGACAGAUUUAACAGAAAUUUUGUUCCUAAUUUUUCUGUGCAAGGAAACUUUCCAGAUCAGAAUCAAACUUCCAGAGCUGCUUUCAUGGCUACAUCAGAAGGAGUUGCUGACCAAGAAUGGUAUCUGGAUAGUGGAGCAACACAUCAUCUCACAAACAAUAUGGAGAACCUAGCUGAAGGUAAACCUUAUCUUGGAUCUCAGUUGCUAUUAGUUGGUAAUCGACAAGGUCUUAGAAUUACUUCCAUAGGCAAUAUCUGUCUCUUUACAUCCUUUAGUAAUCAAUUAAACCUUUCCAAUGUUCUGUGUGUUCCCAAAAUUACCAAGAAUCUGAUUAGCUUAUCUAAACUUCUCUCUGACAAUCAUUUAAUCAUUGAAUUUGUUUCUAAUCUUUGUUUCAUUAAGGACAAGAUGCAAGGAACUUUGCUGGCACAGGGGAUUGUUGAGGAUGGUCUCUUUAAGCUACUGACUCAAGAUACACCUCUUUCUGAUUCUAAAGCUUGGGUCUCAAACCUAGUUCAAUGUUGUCUGUUUUUUCUAAUAAAGAGAAUGUACACUCUUUGAAAGAGUUGAAUCACCAAACAAAUGUCUGUUCAAAUUUGAUCAAUUCCAAUAAUGAGAAUUCUGUCAGUUUUCUAGCUUCCAGUAGUAAGUCUAUGCAGUUGCUACACAAUAGGUUUGGUCAUCCAACCAAACAUGUCUUGCAAACAAUAAUGAAAAGUCUUCCUAUGCAUUCAACCCAUUCUCAAUCUCUUAAUUUUUGUGAUGCUUGUCAAUAUGGUAAAUUACAUCAAUUCCAUUUUCCAGUCACUGAUAUAAAAUCAAAAUUUCCACUCCAACUCUUAUAUGCUGACUUAUGAGGUCCAGCUUCUGUGUUGUCUAUGGAUGGAUACAAGUACUAUAUUUCUUUUGUUGAUGAUUUCACAAGAUAUUGUUGGGUAUUUCCACUCACACUCAAAUCUGAUGCAUUUGACACCUUCAAAUAUUUCAAAUCUCUUGUCGAAAAACAAUUUUCUUUAUCCAUCCAAACACUACAAACUGAUAUGGGGGGUGAGUUUAUAGCCUUCAGAUCAUUUCUCCAACAAGAGGGUAUUCAAUUUAGAUAUAGUUGCCCCCACACUCACCAUCAAAACGGUGUGGUGGAAAGGAAGCAUAGGCAUGUUGUUGAAACUGGACUCACACUCUUAGCUCAAGCUCAUUUACCUCUCUCUUUUUGGUGGGAAGCUUUUCAUACAGCCACUUACUUAGUGAAUAGAAUGCCAACACAUGUUCUAAACAAUUUAUCUCUUUUUCAGAAACUAUACAAUCAACUUCCAGAUUACAAGUUUCCUAAAGUGUUUGGCUGUUCCUGUUUUCCUUUUCUUCGACCUUAUCAUCAUCAUAAGCUAGAUUUCCAUACUCAAAAGUGUGUCUUCAUUGGUUAUAGCCCCAUUCAUAAGGGCUACAAGUGUCUUGAUCGAACUGGGAAAGUCUUUGUUGCCAGACAUGUUACUUUCAAUGAACUGGAAUUUCCAUAUUCUGAACUGUUUUUGAAAACCAAGUCCAACACCUUAUCUCAUUAUGCUACCUCCACUCCAUCUUCAGUUCAUUUUUUUCUUCCUCAAACACCUGUUCUUAGUCACAGUAGCAAUGAAGAGCCAUCAGCUGCAGUCUCCAGUUCUGCUCUGUCUCCUGCAUCAGAGUCUCAUUCCUUGCCACAUUCUGUUCAUUCACAACCUCUAGAUCAACCCUCAAGAUCUUCAAAUUCUUCUCCACCAGUAAUCUCUACUCACCCUAUGGUUACCAGAUCUAAAGCUGGUAUCUACAAACCCAAAACCUACUUAGUUGUUUCUCAAGACCUUGAACCAUCCAAUGUCAAAACAGCAUUGACAGAUCUUAGGUGGUACUCAGCUAUGAAAGAAGAAUUUGAAGCUCUCCAAAGAAAUCACACCUGGACUUUAGUGCCUCCUAAAUCAGCUGGGAAAAUUGUUGGCAACAAGUGGGUUUACAGAGUUAAGUAUAAUGCUGAUGGCAGUAUUUCUCGGUAUAAAGCUCGGUUGGUUGCCAAGGGAUAUCAUCAAACUUAUGGGGUUGAUUUCUUUGAGACAUUUAGCCCUGUGAUCAAGCCUUGUACUGUCAGAAUCAUUUUAAGCUUAGUAGUCAUGCAUCACUGGCCUAUUAAACAGCUGGAUGUAAACAAUGCUUUCCUCAAUGGCAUUCUUACUGAGGAUGUGUACAUGCAUCAACCACAAGGGUUUGUUGAUUCCACUUACCUUUCUUUUGUUUGUAAGCUUAACAAGGCCUUAUAUGGUCUCAAACGGGCUCUAAGAGCCUGGUAUGAUCGAUUAAAGGAGUCCCUAGUUCAAUAGGGUUUUCGAGUCUCCAAAUCUGACACUUCUCUGUUCAUUAAGCAUGCAAGGAAAGAUAUCUUGCUCAUUCUCAUUUAUGUGGAUGAUAUUUUAGUCACGGGUUCAGAUUCAAAGCUCAUAGGAAAUGUUAUUCAGCAAUUACAUUCUGAGUUUGCCUUGAAGGAGCUGGGGGAUUUUCAUUACUUUCUUGGUAUUGAAGUUACUCCAUCUGUUCAAGGUAUUCAUCUAUCUCAAACUAAGUACAUUGGUGAUAUUCUUAAAAGGGCAAAUAUGCUGGACAGUAAAGGUUGUGUUACACCUAUGAGUACUUCUGAGAAGCUGCACAAGGAUACAGGUGCUGCAUUUGAAAAUCCAUCUUUAUACAGAAGCAUUGUGGGAUCUCUUCAAUAUGUUCUGUUAACUCGACCAGACUUAGCUUUCACAGUCAACAAGCUUAGUCAGUUUUUAUCAGCUCCCACCAUUCUUCAUUGGCAAGCUUGCAAGAGGGUGUUACGGUAUCUUCAAAGUACAGCUGAUUAUGGUCUUCAAUUUUUCAGUUCUGGUUCUUUAAAGUUAACUGCCUACUCUGAUGCUGAUUGGGGAGCAGAUUCUGAUGAUCGCAGAUCUGUUGGAGGUUAUUGUGUGUUUUUAGGUUCCAAUCUCAUCUCUUGGUCCUCUAAGAAGCAGCCCAUUGUGUCCAGAUCAUCAGCUGAGUCAGAGUAUAGAGCUCUUGCUAUGGCUACCUCUGAAGUUCUCUGGAUUACAUACUUAUUUCAAGAGGUUAACAUAUCUUUUGAUCAGAUUCCUCUUCUGCAUUGUGAUAACAAGAGUGCUGAAGCUUUGGCCAGUAAUCCUAAAUAUCAUGCUCGUACUAAACAUAUUGAGCUUGACCUCCAUUUUCUCAGAGAUCAUAUUGCUCAACAACAGCUUUCAGUCACUUAUGUUCCCAGUUCAGAUCAAUUAGCAGAUGUUCUUACUAAGCCCCUCUGUUUUGAUCAGUUUGCUUAUUUGCGCAGCAAGUUUAAUGUCCUUUCAUGACAUCAAGCUUGAGGGGGGAUGUUAGAGUUAUAAAUAUAAAGAAUAUUUUUGUAAUGAUUCUGCUGAUGUGGCAGCUGAGUAAGCAAGGCUGUUAUUUGUUAGUUUGUAAGUUUGUUAUAGAGCUGAGAAGUUUGUUAAUCACAGCUCACUCUCAACACGUGUGUGAGCAUUGCAGAAGGUUCUAGAUCUUAGUAUAUAAGAUCAACCUCUGUAUUCAUAAUUCAUUGAAUAAAAUUCGAUCUAUUUUUCUUAUAGUUUCUCUUAUUGCUCAUUGAAUUUUCCUUCAUUUUCUCUGCAACCAAACAAGCAUAAAUAGCGUGGUUAAACUUCAAUUAAGAAUAAACAUCUAAAACAAAUUAAACUCACCUACACAGUUGUAAAGCAUUGCGGAAACUUAUCCUCAAAUUUACAGCAAAGUUGCAAAUCUAAAGAUCUCGUGCCCUCAGCACUCUAGACAAUCUGCUCACCAAGUUGUGCUAACUAAUCCUGAGAUAUUUUGGACUUUCUUUGUAACCUGCGAAAAAGUUUUACGAUUUGGACUUUCGUACACUUGCAAAUCUGCUGAGCUAGAGCAUCUGGCCAAGCUAUUCUGCCAAAUUUGCUAUGAGGAGAACCAGUGAAUAUGGACUGGUGACUUUCACACUCUGCCCUCCAUGCAGUUUCUAAGGAGCUCUCUGAUUCAGACUGUGCAGCUUUUAAAGGACCUCCAUUUAAUAGGAGAGCCUUCACAGCAAGCAGAGGUUUCUAGUUUGCAUAAGGUCAAUUUUACUUCACUACAAGAAAAUGGGGCAUAAGUGACGCUGUUUGUGUGGGCGAAAUCGCCAGUUAUACAAAAUACUGAUAUUUUGAAUUUAAUUUAUUUAUUAUUUUGCGUAUGUGACUGAGAAUGAGAAUCACUUUGCAUAUGUGACUGAAAUGAACACCAAAAAAAAUAUGUAACAUAUUGAGACGAAAGAAAUGAAGUCAUUUCAUCUAAUUUUAAAAAAUAAAUAAAAGCCCAAAUCCGCCAAACCCAAAACAUUAGACAGACGAUUUGCUUCGUUGCUGCUGAAAAAUCCGACGUUUGAGCUGAUCGCCAACACGCAGCCAUAAACAGUACGUAACCGAUGCUUCUACUGUUCCGUAUUUGAUUCGCAUCUUAUAAUUUCUCUAGCUUCUUCGAUCUGAUUUGCUGAUACUUAUGCCCUACAGCGGUGGUUUCAUUCUACAUUUGCUUGGGUUUGUGGAAUUAAGAUUGGAUCUCAAGUAUUUAUGUCAUCUCAUUUUUCAAUUCUGGUUUUAUUUUUAUUUAUUUAUAUUUUAAUGGUUUACUGAUAUGUUAAAUUUGUGUUUGGAUCCUGUACAUUGGCACUUAACUGCUGAUGUCAGCUGAAAUUUUUCUAACAAGAGUCUUCAAGUUGUUUGAUGAAAUGCCUGAUAGAAACAACGAUGCUGAUAUCAGUUCUAUUAUUCAAAUAUGAAGUAUGAAAAUGAAUACAAUCCAACCACUGUCCUUGCUUUGUGGUUUCCGGUGGAGUUCUAUUUCAAGUUAGCCUUUCUGCUGCUUCUUGGUAAUAAUAUAUUGAAUUAUAUUAUGACUUGAUAUUUCCAUAAUUCUGUGUAGGUUAAACCUCUUGGAGAUGCAUUUACAUAAUUAAUUGUUUGAAAUGGGUUAUUACGUAAGUUACUGUCUUAAUUUUCAUGUUUUAGCUCUUCGACUACGAAGGUUUUACAACAUGUUCUUUUGACUGAAGGUAAUAUUUCCUGUCACAUUUGUUAUCUUCACUUUCUAGCUGCAAUUAAAAGUUGGGGACCCUGCUUCUCGCAUCUGUUAUCAUGUUAUUUAUGUUUACCAGGGUGAAGAAACCACCAGAUUAACUAAGUGAUUUUCAAUUUUUGGUGCGCGAGUUAAUCAUAAGAUUUUGGAUCCCUCUUGUUUGUGGUACCUUUUUUCUUAAUAACAUUAAUAUAGAUGCUUCAUAUAGUUCUGUAGGUACCUUUUUUUUUGGAUUCCUUUAACUUUUAUUUAUUUCACGUUAAUCUUUUGCUUAUAUUAAAUUGUCGAUUUCCGAAUUGCUUGGGUACAUAUAAUUAUAAUAAUAAUUAUUAUUAUAGGCAUACCAUGGACUUCUCAGCCACUAGCAGCAAUGCAGGCAAAGGUCACUUCACCCAACAUAUUAUGGAGAUACCAAAUCUCAAAGUGUUCAGUUUCUUGGAUUUGAAUUCUGCAACCAAGAACUUCAAGUCUGAUACUUAGUUGGGUGAAGUGGCUUUGGGAAAGUGUACAAAGGUGGUUGCUAUCAAGAAAUUGAACCCCCAAAGCAUACAAGGAUUUGAAGAAUGGCAGGUAUUUCAUUUUAGUUUACUCUUUCAAUUCUUAUCCAAAAGUCGAAUUUUUAGGCAUCCGAAAAAGAAUUGAAACUAAUUAAGAAAUGGAGAAACAAAAAAGAAAGACAAGUGCUGCUGACUCGUGUUGUUGGCUAACAACCUAGCUUCAAUCAUUUCCCACUAUCUAGAAAUUCUAGUCCCACAUGACAUAAAACUCCUUUUGCAUUGAUUAAACUUUAAUAUAGUUGAAGAAAUGUGUUCAUAAGUGAUAGAAAUUCAAGUGUUUGUGUUUGGGAAGCGAGAAAGCUAAAGGAAAAUGAAAGAAAAACUCAUAACGAAAAACUCUUAGAAACUUUCUUGUUAAAACUAAUCAGUACAGUUUACACCAAUAUAUAUAUAUAUAGCUCAUGAGAGAUGCUUGUUACAAUUUGUUAGUAAUAUGUUACACAUAUGAAGAGCAUUUAACCAACGAAACUAACUAGGCCACGUCAGCUGAGAGAGUAAACUAGUUGCUGUCAAGCAUAUAGUAAAGGGCUGCACUCAAUUCCUCUAUUCUUCAUAUUUAGCAGCUUCACUAACAUCUCCUCUUAAGCUAAGCUUUUCUUUUGUUCUCUACAAAUUAUCAGUCUCACUAACAUCCCCUCUUGAGUUGGAGAUUCGAGGAUGAACAUUCAACUUGUUGCGUAAAUAAUGAAACUGAGUGAAAGUAAGAGCUUUAGUUAAGACAUCUGAUGCUUGAUCUUCACUGGGUAUAUAACAAACAACUAAUUCUUUAGGUGCUACUUUAUCUCUGAUGAAGUGAAUAUCCAGCUCAACAUGCUUUGUUUUGGCAUGAUAAACUAUAUUGUAAGCUGAUUAUCACAUCAUAUAAUAGGUGUAGUACUUAGUUGAAUUGUUAGCUCAGCAAACAAAGACUGUAUCCAAAUAACCUUUGAUGCAGCAUGAGCCAAAGCUCUAUAUUCAGCUUCAGUACUAGAUCUUGAGACAACUGAUUGCUUUUUAGAUGAUAUGAAACUAGAUUGGCACCUAGAUAAACACCAUAUCCAGCAACUAAUUUCCUAUCAUCUCGAUCACAAGCCCAAUCUGAAUCAGUAAAACAAUUGAUCUGCAUAGCUCCACAAUUGUAGAACGGAAGACCAAAAUGAAUUGUGCCUUUGAGAUAUCUCAACAACCUUUUGCAUGCUUCCCAAUGUGUAGUUCUCGGAUUGGAUAGAAAUUGGCUAAGCUUGUUUACAGUGAAGGCUAUUUCUGGUCUAGUGAGAGUGCCAUAUUGUAGUGCUCCAAUAAUGCUUCUAUACUGAGAAAUAUUCGAAAUUUCAGAACCUGAAUUUUUGGUAAGUUGCUGACCUAUAGACAUAGGUGUUGGCACUGGACUGCAGUUAACUAAAUCAUGCUUUGCUAAGAUAUCUACAAUGUAUUUGGCCUGUGACAAAUGAAUGCCAUUUUGAAGUUUGGAAACUUCAACGCCUAAGAAGUAGGUGAGUUCUCCUAGAUCUUUUAAGGCAAAAGUCUUCUGCAUAUCUUGAAUGACUUACUGAACUUUGACUGAACAAGAAAUAGUAACAAUAAUAUCAUCCACAUAGACCAACACCAAAAUUAAGUGACCAUUUUCUCUCUUAUAAAAGAGUGAAUUAUCUGACUUGGAAUUCUGAAAAUGCCACUGAGAAAGCAUAGAUGUUUUAAGUCUAGCAAACCAAGCUCUUGGAGCUUGCUUCAAACCAUAGAAAGCUUUCUUUAGUUUACAAAUGUGCUCAGAUUUAUGAGGAUCAAUAAAACCUUUAGGUUGUGACAUAUACACUUCCUCAUCAAGAAUACCAUUCAGGAAUGCAUUAUUGACAUCUAUUUGCCUAAAAACCCAAUUGUUCGUAAUAGCAAUGCUUAGAACAACCUUGACAGUAGAUGCUUUGACUAUUGGACUAAAAGGUUUCAGUAUAGUCAACACCAUGGGUUUGAUGGAAUCCUUUAGCAACCAGCCGUGCUUUGUACUUCAAAAUAGAUCCAUCAGGGUUAUAUUUGAUUCUGAAAGCCCAUUUGUUACCAACUACUUUAACAGGAGCAGUAGGUAGAACUAAAUCCCAUAUGUGAUUGGCUUUUAAGGCUUUAAACUCUUCUUGCAUAGCUUAGAACGAUAAUGGAUCAGAUAAAGCUUAAGAAACAGAGGUAGGUUCAGAAGUCUAAGCUAAAAGGAUAGAAAGAUAAGAUUUUGGCUUGUAAAUGCCAUUAUUUGAUCUAGUGAUCAUAGAAUGACCAAUGGGAGGAGGGGCAGGAAGAAUAUGAGGUGGGGAGUUAUUUAAAGGAGAAGUAAAUGUUGAGGUAUCAGGUGUGGCAGUAGUUGAAUGUGAUAGUGAGGGAUGUGUAUUAAGGUUUUGAGACAAUACCUUAUUGUAGUUGGGAAGUGGAGAUGUAAAAUCGACUGCUGAAGUUGCUGCUAAAGGAGCCUGGAAUUGUGUUACAGGAGAGGACAAAAAAGACUCAAAAUUUGACUCAACUGAAGAACUGAUGGGAACAAUUUGUAUAACUAAUGAAAAGUCUACACCAGGAAGAUAAGGAAAGGAUUUUUCAUCAAAGAUUACAUGAUUAGAAAUAUAAACCCUCCUAGAUGAAUGAAGACAUUUAUAACCCUUAUAAUGAGAGUUGUAUCCAAUAAAAAUGCACCUUUUAGUUCUGAACUUAAGCUUGUGUCUGUUAUAAGGUCUAAGAUAAGGGAAACAUGCACAGCCAAAGAUUCUAAGGGUUGAAUAAUCUGGUGUUUGAUGAAAAAGUUUUUGAUAUGGAGAGAUAUUGUGUAGAGUUGGUGUAGAAAGUCUAUUAAUAAAAAAGACUGCUGUAUGAAAAGCAUCCCACUAAAAUUUUAAGGGUAGAUGAGCUUGAGCAAGUAAGGUAAGACCAAUAUCAACAAUGUGUCUAUGUUUUCUCUCAAUUUUUCCAUUUUGAUGAUGAAUGUGAGGACACGGAUGCCUAAAAUGUAUCCAUGAGUUAUUGAGUCGAGAAGAAAAAGACCUGAAUUCCCCACCCCAAUCUGUUUGAACACCUUGAUACUUUUUUGUAAGUGUUUUUCAAUUAAGCUCUUAAAACUAACAAAUACAAAUAGGGCAUCAGAUUUUGCAUUUAAUGGGAAAAUCCAAGUAAACCUGCUAAAGUCAUCGAGUAUGGACAAGUAAUAAGUGCAACCUUAACUGGAAACAACAUGAGAAGGUCCCCAAAGGUCUACAUAAAGAAGUUGUAAAGGUGUUGUAGAUGUGGUUGGAACAGAAUUAAAAUGAAGCAUAUAGUUCUUGCCAAACUAACAUGCAUCACAAAAUUCUAACUCUUGAAUUUUAUUAAUAUCAACAAACUUUUUACAUGAGUUUAGAGUUGUUUUUAAUGUGUGAAUGGUAGGGUGCCCCAAUCUUCUAUGAAGAAGAUUUACAUCAAAAGACUUUGUAGCAACAGCAGAAAAACAAACUUUUUCAUUGUCCUGACAGAAAUUUGAGCUAAGUUUUCCACAAGUUGAAUGAGGAAGAUAAGCAAAAAGAGACUGAAAUUUAUUCUAACAAAGAAGAACUGAAUUGACAGCAACAGACUAAGUGACAAACUGAGAAUGGGAGGGACUUGGACUUUGAAUUUUGUAGAGACCUCAUUUAGCAACUCCUUCAAGCAAGAUGAUCCCUGUGCUCCUAGCCUUAAUAAAAUAAGAAAUUCCAACAAAUUCAAGUGUAACAUUGUUGUCAGCAAGCAAUUUGGAAACACUAAGUGAUUUUUUGGUGAUUUUUGGUACAUGUAAGACAUGACUAAGAAAUAAUGAUUCAAAGGUGUUUGUGACAAGCUGAACUGAUCCAAUAUGUUUGAUAAGCAAUGCAUUUCCAUCACCAACAAACAAUUUGUUCAUUACCAACAUAAGCUUUAGAAUUAACAAGCUUGCCUAAAUCAUUUGUGAUGUGAUUUAUGGCUCCACUAUCAAUAUACCAUAAGGGAUCUUCAAUGAUCUUAGGAUUUGCAGCACAGUUUGCCUGAGUUGAUGGAGCUAAAGUGCUAGGUACUCCAUUAGGAACAUUUCCAGGAAAAUAUGGAGAAAAACUAUUAGUGAAUCUAGGAGCAGAAAAACCAUGUGUGCACCUAAGAGUAAAAGCAUUGAAACUAUUAAUGUAGUUGAGAGGAGGAUAACCAGAAAUGAUAGUAGGAUCUGAGUAUGCCAUAUUCGCUUGAAAAGCAGCUCCCCUUGGCAUAUAGGAAUUUCCAAAAUUUGAACCAAAGUUGGGUCUAGGAAACACUGAGCCCCUUCCAAAACCAUUGAAAGAUCUGCCUCCUCUACCAUACUGACCUCUGAAAUUUCCUCCACCAAAAUUCUUCUGAGGGACAAAAGAAGGAUUAAAUAUGUUCUUGCAUCGAUUUGCUCCAUGACCAGGAAUGAAGCAAAUUUGACAGAUACCAUCUGAGAAAUUUCUUCCACUAGCAAAUUGAGAUCCAUUAUUAUUACCACCAAAAUUCUGACCAUUAUCACCACCAAAGUUACCUCCAAAAUUUUUCUGAAAGCCAUUGUUAUUUUUACCAGAAUAUGGACCUUUCUGAGCUACAUUUGCUGACAUAUGAUGCAUAACAUCACUAACAAUUUUUCCUUUCUUUUGUUCAAUCCUAUUUUCAUGAUUUAGAAGCAAUGAAUACAUACCAUCUAAAGUAACAGUUCCUUCUCUAGCUAGAACAAUAGUUAUCAAGGAUUCAUAAUCAGAAAAGUCAAGGCUAGUCAACACAUGCAUAGCAAAAUCAUUCAACUCAACUGGCUUUCCUGCUAAGGGUAAGGUAUUUGCUAUUCGUUUUAUUUUAGUAAAAUACUCAACCAUACUCAUAGAUCCUUUCUUAAUAGUUUGGAUCUGCAUUCUAAGAGUUUGAAUUCGAGCUUAAGACCGAGAAAUGAACAUACUGUUAAGUGAGUCCCAAAGUUGUUUUGAAGUAGCACAAUCGAUCACAGUUGUCAGCAAGCUCUGGUGAAUAGAUGAUAGCAUCCAGCUCAAGAGAAGUUGAUCCAUUUUUGUCCAAGUAAUGAAAUCAGGAUUUGCAGAUCGUGACUCUCUUGCAUUUGAUGUUGAAGCUUCAUCAGGGCUAGCAAAUGGAAGAAAUUGUUCUGGACACUUCAGAUCACCAUUGAUGAAGCCUUCCAAACCGUUCCCUUUGACUGAUGCUAAAAUUUGUGUUCUCCACAAGAUAAAAUUGUUCUGAUCUAAUUUUACAGGUGUAACGAAGCUAUAGGAAGUGUUGGAUUGAAUCAUGUUUGCCAUUGAUGGCUCUAAUACCAUGAUAGAAAUUCAAGUGUUUGUGUUUGGGAAGCGAGAAAGCUAAAGGAAAAUGAAAGAAAAACUCAUAUCGAAAAACUCUUAGAAACUUUCUUGUUAAAACUGAUCAGUACAAGAUUACACCAAUAUAUGUAUCUCAUGAGAGAUGCUUGUUACAAUUUGUUAGUAAUCUGUUACACAUAUGAAGAGCGCUUAACCAAAGUAACUAUCAUAGUUAAUUCACUAUUUUUAAAUUUGGAAUAAAGUUUAUAACUUUUAUUUUUAUUCCUGUUUUACUUAGGUUAUAAGCUUUUAAUUCAAUUGUAAGCUUUAUUAUAGGAUUGGCCGUCCUUUGCUAGUAUUGAAAUGUAAGGUAUUAUUGUUGAUCCGCAAUUUUGAGAAAUUAACGCUUAAUAAACUAAGAUUUACAAUUUUUUUUUUGGGUGAAAGAAUGACAGCUGUCAUUUGCCAUCUAAUGUCUGCAAUGAAUGCAUAAUAGAUUUUAUUUCCUCUUAAUAUAUUGUUAUUUGUUGGUAUUUGGCAUGAUUAGAUUUCUAAUCAAUAGAAAGCAGGACACUGGAUAUCUUAUGGAUGCUACGUCUUGGAAUUGUGAGUUCGCGACGGCAGUAAGCCGUCAAUUUUUUUUUUUUUUUUUACCGAUUCUGCCUUCUAAGAUGGCUAAAUAGCUGUUACAAAAGACCCUCUGUAGCCCCAGAUCUGCGAUCAUGAAGCUUUUGCAACGCCGUGUAUGUAAACCCUCUUUGUGGCCGUCACAAAAGAUAAUAUGUAACGGCAAAGUAGCGGACACACAAACCUCCUUUUCUUGUGGUGCUUAUUGCACCAACUGUUUCGGAGCCUGUCAUCAUCAAAGUAAGAUGCCAAUAAAUGUCCUGUCAUUUGAAGAGCACUGCAAAGAAUGCACCAAUGCACUAAAGCUUAUGAAAAGUAAACUCAUUACUUCUUGGGUUACAAAUCCAAAAUGUACCAACAAAAUUAUCUUAAAAAUAAAUGAAAGGUCACUAAGUCAAUUACCAUAUCGAUGAAACUGAUGAAGCAAUUUCAGGUGCUUGGGCUGCAGCAGGAAUUAUGACUAGUACAAUAGCAUCAUUGUGCUCGACAUAUAACUGACCUACAUAAGGGCCAUAAGAAAAGACUACAGCUAUAAACUUCUGAUUUACCUCCACACCACAUGAAAAAUGGAGCACAUUUUUCCUUCAAUAUUUAAAGCAGACCAACACAUAGAAACAUUAACAAACGCUCACCACCGACUCGUGAAUAGUCCUUUGGUCCAAUAAUGAAAGAUGCAGAAAACCUUGAAUAAUUCUGCAAUCCAUUUUUAAAGCAUGCCUGCUAAAUUGCUUUAUGGCAUAGCACUAUCAGACCAGCAAAAUACAAAAUGGUUCCUCUGUCUUUUGCCUAGCAAAAGCUACUUUGAAGUCUAUCAUUACUCGUGCCUAACUGCACAGCAAAAGAAAUUAAGCGAUAGAAUCUUCAAUAUAAACAACGUUACCAAAGAGUUUCCAAUGUUUCAAAUGAAUUUUGGACCAUGUAGCAUGUCAAGCCGCUGUGAAAUGAAUCAUGCUUGGGUCCAACAGGAUGUUAGACUAUUUAAGGUAAAAGACAUCAAAGACUAAUAAAUAACAAAAUGACCAACCUUAAUUUUGUGUAGCUUUAGAUGUAUUUCAUUCCAUCUCGAAUCUUGCCUCUAAGGUCUUGGUUCCGAUUGAGGUGCUAUAACUUUUAAGCUAUACUGCUGUAAAAAAAAAAUGUAAUUGUAAAACAAAAAUUAAUAAUAUAUAAUAAAUACAAAUUUUAAAUAAUAAUUUUAACAAAAUUAUUAAAGAUAUAAUAGAUUUUUCAUCAUAUAAGUGAAAAAUCAUAUCAUUAUAUCUUCUAAGUUACAAUAGCCAGUGUUUACUAAACACUUUAGUGCGAUAACUUAAAAUCUACAGCUGCACAAACUUUCAAUUUCAAACGCACCCUGAGGCACCUGGGCCAGCUUGUCUAGUAAAAAAUGCCGUAUAGCACUUACAGAACAAUGAUGAUUUAUACAGCACAUGAGAAUGUAAUGACGGGACCUAUACAACAGUGUAUCAUUUCACCGUAGCAUUAACGUGAUCAUUGGAAAUGGAAAUGGAAACUUGAAAUAGAAUGGUGGAGUUUAUUUACUGAAACAGAUAACCAAGGGCUCUGUUCUGUUUGUUAUUUUUUAUAGUUCUUAAAAUUUGGUAUUUGAUAAGUUAAACAGAUCCUGUAAUUUAUCACAAGUAUAUAUUAAAUACGUACUUUGCUGUCUUGAUAUGAUAAUUUAUCACAAGUAUAUAUUAAAUACGUACUUUGCUGUCUUGAUAUGAUUAAUACUCACACGAAUACUUAUUCUCACAGCAUCACACACCAAGUCAAACCUAACUAGUAAUUAAUUUAAAGUAAGAUAAAUUUAAUUCUCAAGAGUAAAUUUGUAUUUUCUUUUAAAUUCAAACCUCAAAACUUAAAAAAAAAACGAUUUUAUUAUUAUAGAUUUUGAAAACUGAUUAAGUAUAAUUGAAAUAAUCUUAAUCAGCUCGCUAUUAGUUAUUACACGGAUAUGUAACCUUGGGGAUAUUCCAGACAUGAAUAUGAACACAAACUAAAGACAAAACAAAAAGAAUUCAUACACGUACAUUGUCAAUUAAUUACCAUUUAUUUUGAAUUCAUUGAUUCGUCCAUCCAAUAACAAACAAUUAAUAAAUAGUACAUAAACGAACGUAUUGAGAAACGCAUAUAUAAAAAGGAGACAACAACGAGGUCUACGGAAUGAUUAGCUGCGAUGGAGUUGAGGAAUAUUUCGGUCUUUUGGGGUGUGGUUCCUCUUCCUCUUCCUCUUAUGUUGAUUCCAUAGAAUCUUGAGCGUGCACAAAAUGAAUCCCACAUUUUUUCACUUCGCAGCACUCCCGAUGUUGACCAUAUGAACCCUUAAUAUGGAAAGAGAACUCGUCGUAAUUCGCAUACGAAUACUCACGGUCGAAUGGAUAGGAUCCUAAAAACACGUGAUCUGACUCUACAGGACUAAUUUUCCCCAAAAAAUGAGGGUAAAGAAAUCCUUUGGAUUUGAAUUUCCAAUCACAGAACACAUUAAGCAGGUUGCAUUUCCAGUCAUCCUCCACACUUUCAUGCCUAAAGCAGUCUGAAACUGGAAAUGCUACAACAGCGCAAAAAGCAAAGCCCAUUAAUUUAUUAUAGGUUGCUGAUGGGGGUUGCGGCAUCUUCAAGGUUAUAGUAGACCCGGCACUUUGAUGCCUAAACCACUUUGGAAUUUCAUUCCCAGGGAAAUACAUACUCUUGAUCCAACUUUGACCAUGAAAUGACUGCAACACAAAAAUAAAGAAUUACUAAUUUUUGAAAAUAAUGUUAACUUUAAUUAAAGUAAAAAGAAAAAGAAAAAGGAAAUAGAAUAAAAGGAGUGAGUUAAGAGACACACCAGCUUCCUCCACCUAUCAUUGAUGAUUUCACUGAGCACAUUCGGAACCAAAUUCAAGUCGACAGAUAAAGUGAACAAUCUAUGCUUAAAAUUGUUGUCGAAUAGUUUCAAAUAUUUUAUUGAGGAUAACUGAUAGAGACUUGCUGGUGUUCUCUCCAAAUUGUUAUUAGAUAGGUCCAACCUUACUAUUGAGGAUAACUGACCAAGACUUUCUGGUACUUCUCUUAUUGCUGUUCCUUUAACUAUCAGCACCACCAAGCAUUUUAAAUUUCCAAGUUCAUUAGGCAAUCUCUUGAAAUUUUUGCAAUCGAUGAUUGCAAGUGAUGUAAGAUAUUUAAGCAUACACAGGCUGCUUGGGAGACUCUCAAAGCUUGAACACUUGAUCAUUUUCAACUCACAUAAUAAGGCUAACUGGCCGAGGCUUUCGGGCAACCUCUCGAGCUUUUUGCAAUCAAUGAUUUGAAGAGAACUCAGAGAUUUCAACAUACACAGGCUGCUUGAGAGACUCACAAGACUUGAACAUUUCUCCAAUCUCAACCUAGAUGAGGAUGGUCGCUCAAUUCCAGUACUUCCAUCUAUAUAACAAGAUGGGAUCUUCGGAAAGCUCUUCAAAUUUGAACAAUUAGAGAUUUCAAUAUAUAUAGAAGACUUCAACUUAAAUAUGUUACUCGAGAUGUACUCAAGCUCUGAACAGUUCUUCAACACCAACCUAGAAAAUAAGGGUAAUUGACUGAGGCUUUCUGGUACUUCUCUUAUAGCAGCUCCUUCAACUCUUAGCUCUUUCAAGGUUUCUAAAUUUCCAAGUUCAUAAGGCAAUCUCUCGAGUUUUUUGCAAUCAAUGAUUUGAAGAGAACUCAGAGAUUUCAACUUACACAUGCUGCUUGAGAGACUCACAAGACUUGAACAAUUCUCCGAUCUCAACGUAGAUGAGGAUGGUCGCUCAAUUCCAGUACUUCCAUCUAUAUUACAAGAUGGGAUCUUCGGAAAGCUCUUCAAAUUUGAACAAUUAGAGAUUUCAAUAUAUAUAGAAGACUUCAACUUAAAUAUGUUACUUGAGAUGUACUCAAGCUCUGAACAGUUCUUCAACACCAACGUAGAUAAUAAGGCUAAUUGACUGAGGCUUUCUGGUACUUCUCUUAUAGCAGCUCCUUCAACUCUCAACUCCUCCAAUGCUUUUGAAUUUCCAAGUUCAUCAGGCAAUCUCUCAAGUUUUGGGCAAUUAAUGAUUUCAAGAGAUGCAAGAGAUUUGAACAUACACAAGUUGUUUGGGAGACUCUCAAGACUGGAACAGUCUUCCAAUCGCAACUCAAAUGAGGCUAGUCGCUCAAUUCCAGUACUUCUAUCUAUAGUACAAGAUGGGAUCUCUGCAAACCUCUUCAAAUUUGAACACCUCUUGAUUUCAAUAUAUUGAAGAGACUUCAACUUAAAUAUGCUACUCGAGAUGUUCUCAAGCCUUGUACAGUCUUGAAUCGACAGUCUAUCGAGUUUGGAUAGGCACUCGAUGGAUGAGGGCAGUUCUUUGAUUCCAAAUUUUAUUAAAAAUAAAAGAGGUAUAAGAGAAGAUGAGAUCGCUGGGUGGUUCUUCAACUUUGAGCAGCCCACAAAAUCAAGCUCCUUGAUAUAUUUCGAAUGAAUGCUAGUUGGUAGACUCCCUAGGCUUUCACAGUGGCGUAGAUCAAGGACUUCAAGCUUAUUUAGAUAUUGAAUAGAGGAGUGAGUCUCCGUCAAACUUGAACAGCUACCUAAAUCCAAUAUCUCAAGAUUUCGGGCCAGGGAGAGGUCCGGGAGUUUCGUCAAUGACUCGGAGUGGCUGAGGUCUAUAUAUUUUAAGUUUACAAGAUUCUGCCCUCCCAAAAAAAAAAACAAUUUUUAUUAUUAUAAAUUAACAAAUACCACCACGAAUAUUAAUUAUAGCACCAACUGUAUUUAGAAUUUAUUACUGAAAAAUUUCAAAUAAAUAUAUACCCGAACGUCAUUCCAAAGUUGUUUAACUUUGCUACCCGGCAUUUUAAGUGAAACAAGAUUCUCCCCAUUUAUAUUCAACGUUUCCAAUGGAAAUUGAUGCCACUCGAAAUACCUUACCUCAGUCAAUGCCACACCCUCUAAAGAAGACACCAUACAUUUGUUCUCAGAUCCAUAGAAUUUUAAGGUUCUCAAUUCAGUCAUCUUUGAGAAAGUAUAUGGAUUUAUUUGUAUCUCACUAUUGACUUUGUCCAUAUCUAAAGAGAUGCUCUUGAUUGCUUCAGUCCCCUAACCAUUAAAUAGCAGGUCAUAAGUUGGUAUAUAAUUGAAGCAAACAAGUAAGCAAUUACUUUCAAGUGGUCAAACACAAACAAAGAUAUAACAAUUACUUAAUAAUAAACUAUUGGUGUAAGUUCUUUAAAAUUGUAAAGCAUAAAAUUCAAGAAAAUGCUUAAUAUGUAAAUUGUAAAAUUAAUUUACAACAUUUCCAUGAAAUAUUAUUCCAUUCAAUUAGAAAUACAAGCGCUGUAUUUUAAUAUUUUAUUUUAAUUAAGGGUCGGCGCAGAGCUUGAGUUGAAAAGGAAUAACAAUUCUUUUCCAGUAAAAAUUAACGGUAGGGGCUGGGCUUGAGUUAAAAUGGAAAAGCAAUUUUUUUCCCCCAGUGAAAAACAUUGAGUGGGUUAAUUUUUUUUCCCCUCUCUCCAAAAGCGCUCUUUGCUAUGGAGAUUUUAAACUUAGCCCAACAAGGGCAUGUUACAAACUGAGCGGGGAACAAGGGAUCUAUCUAUUUUAUUUUACUAACUUUUUAAUAUUACUCUUCCAUUAAUUUUAAACAGAAUUAAUUCUAUUCUUAUUCAAAAAGAAAAAUCCAGACAAACUACUAGUACAAAUUUAACAUAAAUAAGAGACAAUUUAUAAUCUAUUAUUGCUCACCUUAUUUUUCUUCAAAACUUCAUAAAUAUCCUUGUAAUACCCCAACCGACUGCGAUUUCCUGGAUGAUCGAUAGAUUCUUUUCGAACAAUUUCUCUUCCCAUAUCUCGUAGCAAGUCAUGCAUUCUUAUCUGGUCGAGGAAGUCUACAGUUAUGAGAGACUUGCCAUCAAGAACACUUAAUUCUAUUUUAGCUUCGAAGCCAAUGGCAUCAAAAAAGCUUAUCACCACAUCUCUACGCUCUCCUUCCAGGAAAAAUGCAAUAACUAGAAAAAUAUUCUUCUGAGAGUCAUCCAAGCUAUCAUAACUUAUUUUUAACACCUCAGGGAUUUCCACACAAGGACUUAUUUCCAGUUUUCUCAUUGCACUUUCCCAUACCUCUUUGCUAUUUCCGCAUAGGUGGCGACCCAAAACUUUAAGAACUAAAGGAACUCCCUGCGCAUAUUCUAUUGCCUUGUGUGUGUUGGAGGUUGAACUUGUGGGGAAUGGCAAAUGUAGAGAAAUACAACAAUAAUGGUGGAACUUUAUUAUGUAAAGUAAUGUGUUUACAACUAACUCUAUAUGUAGGAAGAAAAAUGAUAGUAAUAAGUAAACUGCAGAAAUUUUGUGUGCUUCAAGGCACGUUACAAAUGUCGCUUUCCUUAAGACAUUAUUUGCCCCCACCAAUUGAGUGAUGCACAUGGGUUAAGCAAAUACGCCUCCAGGAUACAAUGAAGCACUUGUUUGUUUGCUUGUGUUGUGCAUCGACGAAAGCAAACCAGAAUACUCUUGAAUGUUGCAAGCCUGCCAAGAAAACAAUAUAUUGUUCCUGUAGAAAACAAUAUAUUGGAUUAUGAAUGCACAAAAGAAAUGGGUGUUUUGUGUUGAAAUUCGUACUAGAAAGGAAUGCUAAGAAAAGAGUGGUGUAGGAUCAUUAAUUUCAUGUCUAAAUGGCUUAAACAUGACCCCUAUUUAUAGAUAUGCUUGUGCCCCCUCAUUUGGGUUAUCAUCUUUCAUGAUACCCCUUCAUUCAUGGCCAUUGGAUCUAGAUUUGAUUUUAAUCAAUGGUCCAAAUUGUACCAUCACCAUUUCAAAUGAAAUGUCACCAUGAAAUGAUGCAUCUCCAAGUGAAAUGUUGCCAUGAAAAGUUAUAUCAUUUAGUAAAAAGAUACCUAUUCUACAAGACACAAUUAAAUGGACAUGUCCUUACAACAAGACAUCAUUUAAUUAGACAUGUCUUUAGUGAAAGGUACCUUUUCUAUAAGGCACAAUUAAUAGGACAUGUCUUUAUCAUAAGACACAUUUAUUUUAAAAUUUUCCAACAGUGUGUGAGCUUCGUAUAACUUGCAUCGAGAUGGGCUCCUCUAAAAGCAUAUUGACAGAAAAGCUUUUGAGCAUCAGCAUAUUCUAAUUCAUUCAUCUCAUAUAUUUGACUAGCCCAACAAUUUUGAAGAACUUGUUUAUCCCUUGUUGUUAUUAUUACUCGACUCCCUGAAGCUAACCGAUCAAGGCGUCCAAUUAAUGACUCUGUUUGUCUUGAAUGAUUCACAUCAUCGAAAACAACUAGAACCUUCUUGUGAGCAAGUCUCUUGAGUUGAAACCGGACGUUCCUCACAUUUCCAUCAUUCAAUAACUUGGACAGAAGUUGCUUUUGUAAGUCCUUUAUUCUGUCCGUUUCUUCUGCAUCUCUAACAUUAUGCACAAAGUAAGAACCUUCAAAACGUCUAGAGAUUUUGUUAAAAAUAGCAUCAGCAAUUGUUGUCUUGCCUAUACCACCGAUGCCCCAAAUCCCCAAUAUGUAAACACCCACAGACCCAGUGCAUAACAAUGAUUCAAUUUCUUUAAUGCGCGGUUCAACCCCAACCAGUCUGUGUUAUCACUUUGAAAAGUAUCAUCAAGCCUCUCCAAAAUUUCAUUGGCAAUUUCCUUAAUAAGUUUAUAUUCAGGCCUAGUAAAAAAAUAGCAGCAACUAGUUCAAAUAUAUAUAAACGAGACAAAGAAUCAUGUUUUUGUAAUUAGUUGCACUAGAAAAUAACUAAUUUAAUGUGAAGAACAAUUUCAUCAAAUAAAACAAUUGAAAAAAUUAAUUAAAUAUGCAAGAUAAUAACCUAAUCUUCACAAAAAUGAUUUAAUGAAUAAACUAUUGUUAAGUUAAACCCAUUCUACUAAUGUAAUUUAUUGCGCAUACUAGAUUAAUUGAUAGUAAGAAUUAGAUAGAAGAUCGUUGUUACCUAAUUACAUGAGAAUCAAAGCCAGAAAGAUUGGCUGCUGCGGUCAAAGCAUUCCUCCAUCUUUGCAACUUCUGUGGAAAUCGUUCUUCGAGCUUCGAAAAAAAAUCUCCAAAAUUCCCCGUUUGCCUUCUCACGUGUGACGGGUCAACGCGAUAGAAAACUGGUAUCACAAUCUGUCCAUAACCGUGCUUGCAUUCGAGGAUCUUUAAGAGUUCAUCGAGACACCAUCCUGAGGAAGCAUAUCUUUCUGAGAAAAUGACAAUUGAGAUGGUUGAUGCUUCAAUUGUAUCAAGCAGAGACUGUGAAAUUUCAUCUCCUCUCUUAAGAUCGUUGUCAAUGAAAGUUUCAAUUUUAUUUUGACACAGAGCAGAAUAAAGAUGGCUGGUAAAGUUGUCACGGGUGUCCUCUCCUUUGAAACUAAGAAAAACUUCAUACUUAUUACUGUUUCGGGGAGAUGAAGAAGAAGAAGCCAUAAGAGAGACAGUGAGAUUUCGACGAGAUGAAAUCAAUUACUAAAAUGAGCGUGACAAUGCAGGCUAGAUUAUGUUGUUGUAAACAAAUAAGCUGCUGUCUUCUUCUUCCUUGUUUCUUCCUCUGUUUGAGUUCUUGAAUUUCUUUCCUGCCUUGGCUUCUAUGAAUUGAAUUCCCCUUGGCGCCUUUAACUUCUAUGCUUCAUCUUUUCUUUAUUUUCUUUGUUUCUGCUCUUCUUCUAUGCUUUAUCUUUUCUUUAUUUUCGUUCUUUUCUUUAUUUUCGUUGUUGCUGCUCUUCUAUGUUAUUUGCUGUUGCUGCUGUUCUCUGUGUUUGCACUUGCCGCUUCCUUGUUGCCUCUGUUUUGGCCCCCUUUACUGUCACAAUCUUGCCCCUUUUAUAGAUAAUUUUGUGCUUAUCUAAUACAGGUGUCAAGCAAGCCAAACUACACUUGUCUUCAUUUUAAUCUCCUGCAUGCUAACCUUAUCACCCAAAAAUUAUCUAUUUAAAUUAUAGAUAAUAAUCUGAAUUUAUGGUAGUAAUAUUUUAUUCACUAACAGAUUAUGCUUGGAAAUUGGAAUCUUUAUGAAAGUCUCGUGAUAAUUAAUUUCACAGAACAUGCAGCUUUGUUGGCUUUUAACCUUUGGAAAAUGCUUCUCAGCGAGAAUGUUGAGAGAAUACCGAGAGAAACAGCAUUACUGUAUGCCGUUUCUCUCGCUGCCCCCCCCCCCCCCCCCCCCCACAUGAACUUUUGCUCCUUUUGCUUUUUCCACAUUUUUUACUCUUUGUCCCUCACGUUUGAUUCUAGCUGAAAAGCACUACUCCUCACGUGAAAGGAUUGAGUUGGGAUUUUUCUCUCAUUUCAGAAGCAGGAAAACGGCAUUAGGGCAGGAGUAUUUGCUCAUUCACGUGAAAGGAUUGAGUUGGGAUUUCUCUCUCAUUUCACAAGCAGAGAGAACGGCAUUAGGGCAGGAGUAUUUGCUCAUUCAUUAGCAGCCUAGCAGGAGUAGUUCAUCACCAGCUUGAAGUAAAACACCCAGCUGGUAAAGAGUGAUUUUUUAUUUUUCCUAUUAUUUUUUGUUAUAUGAUAAUGAAAUGAUAAUGAUAAAUUUGAUUAAGAAAUUUUUAGUUUAAAUUUUGUGUUGGAUUUAGAAUUUCUUUUAAUAUAAAUGUUGUGUUUGAUUUAGAAAUCUUUUUAUUUAGAUUUUUUUUAAUUUAAAUGAUGUGUGGGAUUUAGAAUUUUUUAAUUUAAAAUUUUGUUUCGAUUUUGUUUCAACCAAUACGGGGCUUUAGGCUACUAUAAUGUAAAAAGUUAAUUCGUAAAGAAAUUUUAGUUUAAAAUUUUUAUUUUUGAUUUUACAUAUAUAAUUUUUAAUUUUUGUAGGGACCUAUAUACCCAACCUAAGGUGGUGUGCACAAUAUUUUUCAACCAUUUCCUUAUAAUUGGCACCAAGUAAGAUUUCAUCUUAAAAUCACAAUUUGUUAGUGUAUAUUUAUAUUUUUUUAAUAUCUAAAAUCUCAUAUCAUGUUUUAAUUUUUUAUAUAUUACAGCAACCGCUCCCGCCGUAUGUUUUGCAACCACAUUAUCCUUCUCAUUCGAUGACGUACGAAGGAUCUGGAAGUGGAAGUGUCCAACAUUUGCUACAUCAACAAUGUAAUGAAGACAACAAUGAAUGUGAUUGAUGUUUGACUUAUAUUUUGUUCGAAUAAGUUUUUCUAGCAUUUCACUUAAAUUUGGCUAAAUCGAACUAAUUACAGUGAUGAACAUGUAAUUACACAAUUGUAUUUUCAACAAUGAACAUGUAUUUGCACAAGUAAUUACCAACAAAAAUUUAUACCCAACCAGAAAUUUUCACCAAAUAAUUACCAACAAAUAUUUCAACGUAUAAUACAUAUACCAACCGACAAUUUUCACCGAGAAAUUACCGACAAAAAUUUAUACCCAACCGGCAAUAUACCAAAAAAUUUUCAGAACCACCCAGCACAAAAAACCAUACCCAGAAUGCUGGUAAAUCUGUAAUUUUACAUGCAAAUCAAACCUCAACUGUCAAUAAGCCACCAUCCAGUGUGCAAAACCAGGCUCAAAGUUCGGAAUUUUCUGAUAAAGAUCAAAUUUUGAAGGCGAAUCAAACCUCAGUUGUCAAUAAGGCACCAUCCAGUGUGAAGAACCAAACUCAAAGUUUCGAAAUUUCUGUUAAAGAUCAAAAUUUGAAGGCAAAUAGAGUGCUGCACCUGCUAGCAGGAGCACUAAUUCAAGCUCAUUGGUGAAGGAUGGAGUGGCAUCGAAUGACUCGGCGUCUUUGGUGAAGAAACAUGGUAAUGAUGGGAAGAAACAGAGGAAUGGAAAUGAUGCAGCGGUAGUGGUGAAGCAGGGGAAUGAGGGUUGGAUUGAUGGAGAAUGGGUUCAUAUCCGCUUUAAAAUAUGAUUUUGAUGAGCAAUUAUAAAAAAUUAACAAAAAUUAAUUAUCAAAAUAAAUAUAAAAAAAAUUAAUUACCAACAAAGAGAGGGAGACGGAGACGGAGACGAAGCUGCUGCUGGAGCGAGAGGGGAGACGGCGACGGAGCUGCUGUUGGAGUGAGAGGAAAAACGGAGCGAGAGGAAGAGGGUAGAUGGAGACCGAGUAAAGUUGCUGCUGGAGGGAGUGAGAGGAAAAACGGAGCGAGAGGGGGAGAGGAGUGAGAGGGAAAACAACACUGUUUUCUUUUUCUUUUUUUUCGUUUUAUACAUGCAGAUUUUAAAAUGCUUUUGCUUUUUUUUUAAAUUGAGGGUAAAACGCUAAGAGUACUGCCGUUUCUCUCGCCAUUCUUUCGGCAUUCCUGCCGAAUAGCACUACUCAAGAUGCAGCUUUCUUCUUGACUUUCAUAUCAAGCGAAGAAAGAAAAUAGUGAAGGCAGCCAAAAAGGUGGAGAGGGCGUAAAUUUCCCAACAAUCCACCUACUGACAUGUGCCCUAUUAAGAAAUUGUAUUUGUGUAGGGAGGAUUAUCCAUUAGACGAGAUUAUUUGCACCCGAGACAACUAUUUUAAGCACUUAAAUUUAUAUAAAAAUUUUAUCAUAAAAAUACUCGGUAUAAAUUAUUAUUAAUAAAAGUAAUUUCUUAUGAGUAAAUUUAAUAAUUAUUGACGCUUGGAACCUUCCUGGAAGUUUCUUUAAAAUUAUUAAAAUAAUUUCAGUGAAGAUGCAGCUUUGUUGACUGUUAUUUCAAGUGAAGAAAUAAAUCGUGUACGACAACUAAAGAGGCUAGAGGGACCGCUAAGAGUAUCACCCUACCAGGCUAUACAUCCCAAUAUUAUCAGUUGAUUUUUCAAAAUAAAAUUUAAUGAGAUCCACUUAAAGGCUACGCGACAGAAUCCGAAGUCGUGGGACAGUUCCAUAUUAAUUUUUCUCUGAAGUUUCCUAAUGAAUACCAUCUAAUUUUUCUCUAUAUUUGUCUUAUUAUGAAUAAAAAUAUUAUUUUUAUUAUUUAUUAAUUUAUUAAUAUAAUAAUUAAAUAUAAAUAUAUCUAAAUAAUAUUAUUUUGAUAAAAAUAAUAAAAUUAUUUUUACUUUUAUGAUAUAAAAAUUAUUUCCAUCAUUUUACGUUUACUACUUAGAAAAUGAAGUAAUUUAUUAACCAGUUUGAAACUGUUAUUGGGAUGUUGAAAAGUGAUAUUAAGAAGCUAAUGAUUUAAUAUAAGUGUUUGGUAAAAACAUUAAAGUUACUUCUUAUAAAAUCAAUUCAUUGCCACAAGAGAUUUUGAUUUUGCAAAGCAGUGAAUGAGUUAUGUUUGGGGGGAUAUUAUAGCGUGAUCUGCCAUACCCAAGCGAGGAGUUGACCUUCUCGUAAGCGAGGAACAAUGUGACGUCCGAGAGCAGGAGUUUUCUCCUCGUCUAUGAGGAGACCAUCUGCUGGGACCAUAAUACGAGCAGGUUCCUUGCUAGGCAUCGAGAACAUUUCCUACUGGGGGCUAAAUCAGCAGACCCAGUCCAUGGCAGUUAAACAAGACAUGCGCUAUUAUUCGAGAAUCCAGGCACGAAGCCCACUCAGCUAUGACCACCACGUUCAAGCAUCCACUUCCAAGGAUUCUGGCAAAAUGGCAAAUGUGAGUUAAGGAGGGUUGAAUUCUCAGGGAGGCUAUAAAAGAGGCAAUCAAAGAAGAUAAAAGGGUUGGACACUAGGACACUAAAAAUUAACUAAAAGAAAAUCUAGAGGGCAUUCUUAUUGAAACCUCGGGAGAAUUAAGAUAGAUUACAGUACUUUAGAAAUAGUGAUAGAGCCACCAGAUUAGUGGCAAGGAUUUUCUACAGUAAACCUAGAUUACUAACUUGAGCGUCGGAGGAUUUACGUUGGGAAAAUCCCCGGCGUGCUCUGACUUGUUUUUGUGUGUGCAGGAGCUUAAAGAGGAAAAGUAGCAAGCCUUAUGGUCUGAUGCAUCUAAAAGGAGCAACACGAAAUCAUCCCCAAUCAAUUACAAAUUCAAUUGUUGAGGAGGAAUCCUAGUUGUGCACAAGCAGACCCGAAAUCCCGUAUCAAUAUUUUGGCGCCAUUUGUGGGGAGCUGAACAAAAAGCUUCCCUUAAUAGAGAGAAGGAAGGGAAGAAGAGCAGGGAGACUAUGGACGUAGGUAGGAGUAGUGCCCAAGGAGGAGAUCUGGGGCUGAACGAGUCCGUAACAUUGAGAGAGAUAACUAACGAAGCGCGAGAAAAGGCAAUGGAUGAGUGGAUGGAACAGAUAAAAAAAAAUGGAGACUCUGACAACCAUCUUGCACGAGCUGAGAAACGAACAAAAAGGAAUUCAAGAGGAAGGGAUGAGAAGUGGCGGAGUUACACCGAGGCACGUUAACAAAAGGAACAACGGUGAAGGUACCACCGCAAUGAGAGGUCGAACCACCGGGAGGCUUGGUGGUGGAGUGGAUGAUCAAUCUCUUCGGAGAGGAAGUCAGGAAGGAGGGGAUCAAUCCCCGGGCAAGCAGAACUAUGGUAAUAAUGAUAGAGCUGUGAAUGAAGAGGAAAGGGAACUUCGACAGCACCUGCGUGAUAUUGAGCAAGAGCGAGACUAGGUUGUGGCAUGUGAUACUGGUCGAGCCAUACAGCUGGAGGAAGAAGUGCAGAGACUAGCACAGAUCAUAGACGACAUGCAUGGGCGAAACAGAGGACCCGAUUAGAGAAUAAUGCUCGACGGUGAAUCCCCCCUCUCAGCAGAAAUCAUGAGUGUUGUCAUCCCAAGGGACUUCCGUUUCCCUAACCUCAAGUACGCGGGACGAAUCGACCCAUUGGUGCACAUAGAGUGUUUUAAUGACAUAACCAGAGUGCAGGGAUUAUCUCAAGCCCAGAAGUGCAGGGUGUUCCCACUGUCUUUAGAGGGACGAGCACAUGAGUGGUACUGAAGGCUUCCUCGAGGGAGCAUCAGAACAUUCGAGUAGAUGUGCCAGGAAUUUACAGAGCAAUUUCGGGGGGCAAUGGCACCCGAAAAUAAUAUGAUGGAGCUGACGAGUAUGAAGCAAUGAGAAAAUAAGACUCUUCGGGAAUUUAUUAAAAGAUACCAUCGCGUUGUCCUCGAUCUUAGAGCCUUCAAUCAUCCCCAAGCCUUGAGGGGACUAAAGGAAGGAGUAAGAAUAGGACGUCUGUGGUACAACUUGAGGAGUCCAGUAGUUCAGUCAUAUUUCGCGGCCUAUGAGCAGGCCAAGAGGGACAUAGAAAUCGAGGAGGAAAAUGAGGUGAGGAUUAAGACGGACCAACUGGAGGGGUUGAGGAGAAAAGAAAAAAAAAGUCCUAGCGGAAAGCGGGCCAAUUAAACGGAAGGACCACUAUACCCAAUUGGCAGUAUGAUGCAGCCUGCUCGUUCACCAGCCAUAGAUUCUCGGGGAAAGCCUGACUAGGUGUACAAUCAUCCUUAUCAUCAUCCCACGAUGGCUCAGCACCUGCAGGGUAUGAGAGCUGGCAAACUAAAGGCACCAAUGCCACCUCCUGCUCAAAACAACGCCCACAGAGAAAGGGCAAUGCACAUGAUCGAUCAGAGUUAGAGCUAUGGGUCGUACACUUCCUCGAAGGCGCCUUUGGACGAGGUGUACAAUGAGAUAAAGGACCGUGGUCUGCUGUAUCCUUAUAUCCCAAUAGCAAAACUACCCAGCAGACGAGGUAAGGGCCGGUUUUACGAAUUCCAUGGCACCCAUGGUCAUACUUCGGCCCAAUACAGGGAUCUUAAAAAUCAGUUGGAAGAUUUAGUGAGGAAUUGCUACUUGGACGAGUUCGUAGAUAGAGCUAUCUUAAUUGCAGGCUCAUCAUGUGGAGCAAAGCAGGGCACUAAAAAUGCAGGCCAUGGGCAGCCCAUCGUUAGAGUUCUCGCUAGGGGCCUAACAUUGGCUGGGGAUUCCAAUACAUCUAUAAAGAACUAUGCCAGGUAUGCAAUGACUAGCAAAGAAGUAUUCUUUAACACUCCGGUGGCAAAACGAGCAAGGACCGAGCAGGUGCCGAUCAUGUGGACGGAUGAGGACGAAGAAUGAGUGUUAUACCCACACGAGGAUGCACUUGUCAUUAAAGCCACCAUCGCCAGCAAGAAGUUUGAUCGAAUCCUGGUAGAUACUGAAAGCUCGGUCGAUGUCCUGUUCAAGUCAGCUUUAGAGGAAAUGGGAAUAGCAUAUUUGAGGAUAGAACACACUAACACAUCAUUAAAGGGGUUCGGGGGAGGAAGGUUAACCCCACUUGGAGUGGUCAAGCUACCCAUUACUAUAGGCUCUACUCCAUCAGAAAAGACAAUAAUCCUGGAUUUUAUUGUGGUCGAUGAAGAGAGCUCCUACUAGAUGAUUUUAAGCCGCCCCUUCGUGAGGAUGAGUAAGCAGUGUUAUCCAAUCAAUACUUGGCUCUCAAGUACUAGGUAAAUGGGGUGGUUGGCGUGGUACGGGGAGACAAGAGAAUUGCUCAAGUUGUUACACUACAAUAGCGAAAAAGGAGAUGCAAAUUACCUCAUUUGAUGCCCGGGUAGAAUUUAUGAGGGGCAGACAGGAGCCGGUUGAGGAGCUGGAGACUGUCAACUUGAAUUAUGAUGGCACAGGGAAAACACUUAGGAUUGGGUUGAAAAUAGAAGGGAGCUGAAGCAAGAGUUGAUACACUGCAUGUGAUCUCACACAAGUGUGUUCGCCUGGACGCAUGAUGACAUGCCGAGGAUCGACCCCAAGGUGGUUUCGACCCCAAGGUGGUUUACCACAGGUUGGUGAUAAAGAAGGGUGCCCGACCUGUGAGGCAACAGAGAAAGUGUUUCAACCAGGAGAGAUAAAAAGCUAUAAAUAGCGAAGUGGAGAAGCACUUGAAGGCAGGGCUCAUUUAGGAAGUGAACUACCCCGAAUGGAUAUCGAAUGUCGUUUUGGUAAGGAAGGCCAAUAGUAAAUGGAGAAUGUAUGUUGACUUCACUGACCUCAACAAGACAUGCCCGAAAGACAGCUUUCCCCUACUGAAGAUCGAUCAGCUAGUUGACUCAAUAGCAGGGCAUAGUCUGCUCAGCUUCAUGGACGCAUUCUCGGAAUACAACCACAUCCCAAUGUACGAGCAAGACGAGAAGAGUACUGCGUUUAUCACUAACCAGGGUUUGUUUUGUUAUAGGGUAAUGUCAUUCGGCCUUAAAAAUGCGGGUGCUACAUACCAGAGGUUGGUGAACAAAAUCUUUAAGCUAUUGAUUGGGCGAACGAUGGAGGUUUAUGUGGACGACAUGAUAACCAAAUCAAAAAGCCCGAAUGAAUACGUCAAGCACCUCGAGGAGACAUUUGGGCUUUUGAGAAAAUAUAAGAUGAAACUCAACCCGGAGAAGUGUGCUUUUUGAGUUUGAUCAGGAAAAUUCCUUGGGUUCAUGGUAAGCCAUCGAAAGGAUUGAGGCGAAUCUUGAAUAGAUCCAAGCAAUUGUAGGAAUGAGAUCUCUUUGUAAUUUGAAGGAGAUACAGAGCCUCAUGGGAAAGCUUGUAGCGUUGAAUUGAUUCAUAUCCAAGGCCACGGGCAAAUGCCACACCUUUUUCCAAGUGAUAAGGAGAGGAAGAAAAACAGAAUGGACCCCUGAAUGCGAAGAGGCCUUCCAGAAACUGAAACAAUACCUGCAACAAACACCCUUAUUGUCCAUAUCAUGAGAGGAGGACAUACUGUUCCUAUAUUUAGUUGUAUCUAAUCAUGCUACGAGCUCAGUUCUGGUGAGAGAAGAAGAAAAGGUCUAGUACUCAAUAUACUACACAAGCAAAGCUCUGCUCGAUGCCGAGACCAGGUACCCACCAUUGGAGAAGUGGGUACUCACCCUUGUAAUGGCUGCUCGAAAGUUGAGACCGUACUUCCAAGCAUUCCCAGUUGCGGUAAUAACAGACCAACCAUUGCGGCAGACACUGCACAAACCCGAUGCUUCCGAUCAGCUAGUGAAGUGGGCAAUAGAAAUAAACGAGUUCGAUAUAAGCUACAAACUCCGAGCAGCAAUUAAAGCCCGGGCGAUGGCAGACUUUGUGGCAGAGUUCAUUGGGCCUGAAGUAGACUUUGACCAAACGAGUGCUGCUGCAGGCAACAGCGGAGGCCUAGUCUGGCAGGUGUCGGUGGAUGGAUCCUCAGGUGAAUAGGGUGCCGGAGCAAGGAUUGUUUUGGAAAGCCUAGAAGAGGAGAAUAUCUCUUACGCUAUUAAGUUAGAGUUCACGGCCACAAACAACCAGGCCGAAUACGAAGCCCUAAUUGCAAGGUUAGAGUUAGCUAAAGUAGUAAGAGCAAAUAGGGUGAAAAUUUGGACCGAUUCCUAACUGGUCGCCAGCCAUGUCAGUAAAAGAUUCUAGCCCAGAAAUGAGAAGAUGGAACAGGAUCUAAAGAAGGUCAGAUAAAUGAUUGGGAAGUUCGAAUCAGUGGAUGUAGUACAAAUUCCAAGGAGUGAGAACUACGGGAUGGGGCGUUACUAGUAGAUAAGUUACGAGCACAGAGGAUCAGUUGUCAGCGUCGAGGUACACGAUCAUUUAUGGGGUGCUGUAUCGAUGAGGAUACACUCUACCGUUCCUUCGAUGUCUAGACGAAGACAACGCGGAUUACAUGCUAAGAGAAGUACAUGAAGGGGUUUGUGGAAACCAUUCUAGUGCGAGAUCUCUUGCCUACAAGGCUCUUAGUAUUGAGUGUUAGAAAAUAUAUAUUUAUAAAGGAGAAAAUCGUCAUUUUACAUUUUAAGUCUUACUAACAACCCUUACUUUUAUGUAUUUAAGAUUCUUGUAAUUUAAUUAUGUGUGUUUUAUUUUAAAUAAGUAUUUUGUGUAUUUUAGGGGCAUUAUAGUCAUUUCACAAUAAACGAGAGAUCAAACGGCAAAACAGACAUCACUUUUAAACUCAGGACGGUCGAAAACCUUAGGAGGAGCAUAAAAGGAAAAAUGCAUUGUUCACAUGUACAGUACUAUUCACAUGUACGGUACUGUCUACAUUACUGUUCACGACACUGUUCACAUAGACGGAUCGAUGACGUGGCAUUGACCGAUGAUGUGGCAUUAACUGAUGAGGUGUCAUGAUCCUGUUGGUCUAAAAUUCUUAUGAACUGUUGAUGGUGACGUGGCAGCAUAUUAGUGGACCAAAACUUGCGCGUACGGUACAUGCAUUACACAAGAUUAUUUUCAACCAAACCGUAUUACUGUUCAAAGCUGGGUCAAAUCGUGUUACUGUUCACCCACGUAGUCAAACCGCGUACUGUUGACUGAUGACGUGGCGCAAUCCUGAGCGUUCAAACUGUUUUUAAUCCGAUGGCUAUGAUUUACUCAAUGUAUCUAUAAAAAUGAGGCCUCCCCCCCUAAUUUGAUAACUCUGAAUCUAUUUUUGGGAUCCAUUUUCUGUAAUUUCUUCUCCAUCUUGUAUUUUCUAUGUAUUUUAAUAAAUUUCCAUUUUGCCCCUAAUUCAAUUAUGAGUAGCUAAUUUUCUUUCAAGCUUGGGUUGAAGGUGAAGUCUCAACAUGUGUCAUGGGCUUUAUUUGGUAAAUUUAUUUUCUCUUCUCCUCUAGUUUUUGUGGAUGUUUUGGCUUCUCGUCAACAAAUAAUAAUAAUAUUGUUUAGUACCACCUUGGUUUCACCGGCUCCCUAAUACAAGGUUAUUAUUAUUUGGCACGAUAAGCCCUUAGCACCAUAUUGAUUAGAGUGUGGUUCAUGAGGUGUGGAUUCCCCCCUCAUAAUUUAAUUGGUAUUAAUAAGGAAUUUUAGCCCAUGAUGCAUGUUGAUACGGAUCCAGAUACCCAAGUACGUCAUUUCAAUAGAUUUUUAUUCAAUUUAUUCUCGCCAUUUAAAUUCCAAUUUUAGGAUAAUCUAAGUUAUUUUCACCACAAAUCCAACCACCCUAAUACAAAAUUAAUUCUAUAUACGAUUAAAAUCAUCCUUCUCGUGGGAUCAACACUCGUUACCAUUAAUCUACACUACAAUAAAUUCGUGCACUUGCGAGUUCAAUAAAAUUUGCACAACACUUAGGCAAGGGUAUUUCUGGCCAACGAUGCACCAGAACGCCUAGGAAAAAACUAGGAGCUGUAAAAGCUAUCAGAGCUUUGCCAAUUUCCCCACCUAGCCACUAGAAAAACUCACUUCUAUGGCUUCGCUGUGGCUGUUUGCUUAAUGAGGAAUCGAUCUGAUUGGGCCUUUGCCAAAAGGACGUGGAGCAGCCACGCAUGCAGUGGUAGCAAUCGAUUAUUUCACGAAAUGGGUCAAGGUAGAAGCCUACAGCAGGAUCACAGAGAAGAAGACGACCGACUUCGUUUGGAGGAACCUAGUCUGUCGAUAUGGGAUCCUAUAUGCCUUGAUAGCAGACAAUGAUAUGCAAUUUGACAAUCAUAACUUAAGGGAGUUUUGCCAGAACCUUAGAAUAGAGCUGAAAUUCUACUCGCCUUCUCACCCUCUGUUCAAUGGACAAGUAGAAGCAGCUAACAAGGUUAUAAAGAGGCUUUUGAAGACCAGAUUAGGAGAGAAGAAUGGUGCAUGGGUUGAUGAGCUACCAGAAGUAUUAUGGGCGUACAAGAUGUCUCAUAAAACAGCUACCGGAGAAACCAUGUUCGCUCUAGCCUUUGGACAUGAAGCAGUCGUGCCCGCGGAGAUAGAGGCAACCACGCAUCGAACCAAGCACUUUGAUGAGCGUGAUUGUUGAGUGUUAGAAAAUGCAUAUUUAUAAAGGAGAAAACCGUCAUUUUACAUUUCAAGUCUUACUAACAACCCUUACUUUUAUGUAUUUAACCUUUUUGUGAUUUAAUUACAUGUGUUUUAUUUUAAUUAAGUAUUUUAUGUAUUUUAGGGGCAUUAUAGUCAUUUCACAAUAAAGGAGAAAUCAGACGGCAAAACGGACAUCAUUUUUGAACUCAGGACGGUCAAAAACCUUAGGAGGAGCAUAAAAGGAAAAAUGGCACUAUUCACAUGUACGGUACUAUUCACGUGUACGGUACUGUAUACGUUACUGUUCACGACACUGUUCGCAUAGACGGAUGAUGACGUGGCAUUGACCGAUGAUGUGGCAUUGACUGAUGAGGUGUCACGAUCCUGUUGGACUAAAAUUCUUAUGUACUGUUGAUGGUGACGUGGCAGCAUAUCAGUGGACGAAAAAUCUCGCGUACGGUGCAUGCAUCACACAGGAUUAUUUUCAACCAAACCGCGUUACUGUUCAUCCGGGUCAAACCGCGUUACUGUUCAUCCGGGUCAAACCGUGUUACUGUUCAUCCGCGUGGUCAAACCGUGGACUGUUGACUGAUGACGUGGCGCAAUCCUGAGCGUCCAAACUGUUUUUAAUCCGAUGGCCAUGAUUUACUCCAUGUAUCUAUAAAAAGGGGGCCUCUCCCCCCUAAUUUGAUAUCUCUGAAUCCAUUGUUGGGAUCCAUUUUCUGUAAUUCCCUCUCCAUCUUGUAUUUUCUUCGUAUUUUAAUAAAUUUCCAUUUUGCCCCUUGUUCAAUUAUGAGUGGCUAAUUUUCUUUCAAGCUUGGGUUGAAGGUGAAGUCUCAACAUGUGUCAUGGGCUUAAUUUGGUAAAUUUAUUUUCUCUUCCCCUCUAGUUUUUGUGGAUGUUUUGACUUCUCGUCGACAAAUAAUACUAAUCUUGUCUAGUACCGCCUUGGUUUCACCGGCCCUCUAGUACAAGGUUAUUAUUAUUUGGCACGAUAAGCCCUUAGCACCAUAUUGAUUAGAGCGUGGUUCAUGAGGUGUGGAUUCCCCCCUCAUGAUUUAAUUGGCAUUAAUACGGAUUAUUUAGCCCAUGAUGCAUGUUGAUACGGAUCCAGAUACCCAAGUACGUCAUUUUAAUAGAAUUUUCUUCAAUUUAUUCUCGCCAUUUCAAUUCCAAAUUUAGAAUUUAUUCUCGCCAUUUUAAUUUAAGUUUUAGCAUAUUCCAAAUCAUUUCCACCAUAAAUCCAACAACCCAUUUACAAAAUUAAUUCUACAUACAAUUAAAAUCCACCUCCUCGUGGGAUCGACACUCGUCACCAUUAGUCUAUACUACAAUAGAUUCGUGCGCUUGCGAGUACAUUAAAAUUUGCACAACAAGUUUUUGGCGCCGUUGCCGGGGAGGUAAGUAAUUUUAAUUAAUAGAAUUAAUUUUUGUGAAUAAUUUCUUUUAUUUGUUUUCUUGUAUUUUUUAUUUAUUAUAAAAAAAAAAAGAAAAAAAGAGUGAAUCUACAUUUAAAGGUUAGUAUUUCUUUUAUUUUUUCUCUUCUUUAAAAUUCUGUAAUUUAUUUUUCAAUUUAUUUUUCGUUGUAAUUUUAUUUUAAUUAAUUUAAUUUUUAGUUAAUUUCUUUCACGUAUUUGUUUUUGUGUAUUUUUAUAGAAAGGUUUUAAUAGCGCAAUAAGGUUAGUAUCGUAAUUUCUCCCUCUUCUUUAUUUUUAUUUGUUUUGUUCUCAUCCUUUUUUUAUUUAUUUAUUUGUUUUGCAUGCAUGGUCGUAGGUCAUUAUUACCUAAUCUUGAACCUAUAGACCUUGAAUUAGAAAAAACACUUCGCACACACAAACAAAUUAAAAAUAAAAUGGAUUUACAAGCACCACAGGAGAGGCCAUUUAAGGACUAUUUUAGUCCCUUAGCUAAUUUGAGCACAUCAUGCAUAAGAUACCCAAAUGUAGCUGCUAGGAGCUUUGAAUUAAAACCUAGUGUGCUAAAUUGUCUCCCCACAUUUUAUGGCCUAGAAAAUGAGGAUCCAUAUAAUCAUCUGAAUGAUUUUCAUGCCAUUUGUCAAACUUUUAAAUAUGAAAAUUUUUCAGAAGAUGAUGUUAAACUCAGAUUAUUCCCAUUUUCUUUAAAGGAUAGAGCUCGUUCAUGGCUUUGCCUGCUAAUAGCAUUUCAUCAUGGGAACAAAUGGUAACUAAAUUUUUAAAUAAAUAUUUCCCAGUGCAUAAAACCAAUGCUAUUCACAGGGAAAUCUCGGAGUUUACCCAGAGAGAUGACGAGCAGUUUUUCGAAACGUGGGAGCGAUUCAAUGGGCUACUCUUGAAGUGUCCACAUCAUGGGUACGAGAAAUGGCACCAAUGUCAAUACUUUUUGGAGGGAUUACUACCAAAUGUGCAAGAAUGGCUAAUGGCAACAAGUGGAGGAGAGCUAAUGUCAAAAAGUGCAUCAGAAAUUUGGGAAUUCUUCCAGCGACAAGCAGAUAAUUCCCAACAAUGGAGUCGAUCACUCAGGAAUACUAGAAGAAUUAAAGGAGUGAAUGAGGUUCAAAUUGGCGAAUCAACUUCGGGAAUCAAAGAAGUCAAGGAGAUGGUUGAAGGUCUUGCUCGACAAAUAGCAUCGUUAUCAACUGCGAAAUCAACAUAACCACAUGACCAUGACUCAUACUCAGAUCAAGCCAAUGCCAUAGGUGUAAUGAGAAAGCCAUUAAAUUACAACCCAUACUCCAACACAUAUAACCCUGGAUGGAGAGACCACCCCAAUUUUUCAUGGUCUCAAGGAUUCCAACAGAAUGGACCAGCAGCUCCAGCUCCAGCUCCACCAAUGCAACAAAUUUCUCAAAAUCCUCAAGCCUCUCAGCCCCCAUUUAGACCAUACAAUCAGAACCAGAACUACUCUCAACCUAGACCAUGGGAGGAUUCAUUCCAGAAUCUCAAGAAUCUUACUCACUCUACGAUUGAGCAACAGAACCGCACCAUUGAUGGACUACGAAAUGAGUUGAGAGCAGGCUUCAACUCACAAGCUCAAUCAGUUUCAAGCCUCGAGAAGAUAGUGGGACAACUUGCUUCUUCAGUUCAGACCUUGGCAAUGACCGUUGAGAAAGGUAAGUUUCCAAGUCAACCAGUGCCUAACCCUAAAGGAGUGCAUGAAGCAAGUACCAGUUCACCAUAGCAGCAUGGAGAGGUCAAAGCAGUAAUGACCUUGCGAAAAGGAAAAGAAGUCGACAACAAAGUGGAGAUGCCGGUGACAAAAGAAAAUCAAAUUGUACCUGUGAAUGUUGAGGACUCAUCACCGGAGGAGAAAGAAGAAACUAACCCACGAGAAUACGUUCCCAAAGCUCCAUUUCCUCAAAGGUUAGCUAAAGGAAAAAAGGGAAAAUCCACAGGUGAGAUUCUUGAAAUCUUCAAACAGGUAAGUGUUAACAUCCCUUUGCUUGAUGCUAUUAAACAAGUUCCAUCUUAUGCCAAGUUUCUUAAAGACCUUUGUACUAAAAAGAGAAAUAUGCAUGUUCAAAAGAAGGCAUUUUUAACAGAAAACGUUAGUUCUAUACUCCAACAUAAAAUUCCUUUAAAAUGCAAAGACCCAGGCUCCCCCACUAUCUCAUGUAGUAUAGGGAACCACACAAUUGAGAAUGCUUUGUUGGAUUUAGGAGCUAGUGUAAAUCUGUUGCCUUAUUCAGUAUUUGUGAAACUUGGAUUGGGAGAAUUACACCCAACUCCAGUGGUGUUACAGCUUGCAGAUCGGUCCACAAAAAUACCUCGUGGUAUUGUGGAGGACGUGCUUAUCCAGGUAGACAAGUUUUAUUUUCCUGUUGAUUUCAUUGUAAUUGACACUCAACCAAUACAGGAUUCAAGGAAGCACAUCCCCAUUAUCCUAGGCCGACCUUUCUUGGCAACUGCGGAUGCUCACAUUCAAUGUAGGACUGGAAAUAUGCAGUUGUCCUUCGGCAACAUGACUAUGGAGCUGAACAUCUUCAACAUUGCCAAACAACCUCACAGUGCAGAUGAUGGAAUUGUUGAUGUGGAUUUAAUUGAAGCAUUAGUUGAUGAUACUUUUCUUUCAAACCUUAGUGAUGAUCCUUUACAAACAUCUUUAACUCACUUUGGUUUGGAUUUUGAUAUUGACAGAUCAGUCGAUGAGGUCAACGCCCUGCUUGACUCAGCACCAUCUAUGGAUACUAAUAAAUGGAAGUCAAGAGUUGAACAACUAGCACCAUCAGAGAAGAAACUCAUCCCAUCAUCAGAAUCACCACCGAAACUCGAGCUCAAACCAUUGCCCAACACUUUGGAAUAUGCAUUUUUGGGAAAAGAAAGUACUCUGCCGGUAAUCAUCUCAUCAUCUCUUAAUGAUGAACAAAAAGGUAAGUUGUUGGAUGUUUUAAAAGAGCACAAAGGGGCAUUAGGAUGGACCAUAGCAGACAUUAAAGGUAUAAACCCAGUAGACUGCAUGCAUUACAUUCACCUUGAUGAAAAUGCUAAAACUAUUAGGGAAAUGCAACGUCGGUUAAAUCCUAACAUGAAAGAAGUUGUUAGAACUGAAGUCCUUAAGCUAUUAGACGCAGGUAUCAUUUACCCCAUUUCUGAUAGUUCAUGGGUCAGUCCUGUGCAAGUUGUCCCCAAAAAGUCAGGAAUCACAGUAGUUACGAAUGCUGAUAAUGAAUUGAUACCCACUAGAGUAACUACAGGAUGGCGUGUAUGUAUUGAUUAUAGGAAGUUGAAUUCUGUCACACGUAAAGACCAUUUUCCUUUACCAUUUAUUGAUCAAAUGCUUGAUAGAUUAGCAGGCCAUGAAUUUUAUUGCUUUCUAGAUGGCUACUCAGGAUAUAAUCAGAUUCCCAUAGCACCAAAAGAUCAAGAGAAAACUACUUUCACUUGCCCUUUUGGCACAUUUGCAUAUAGGAGAAUGCCAUUUGGAUUAUGUAAUGCACCUGCUACAUUUCAACGAUGCAUGUUGAGCAUUUUUUCUGAUAUGGUUGAACGAUUCCUUGAAGUCUUUAUGGAUGACUUCUCUGUCUUUGGUGACUCGUUUGAUCAAUGUUUACAUCAUCUAACACUAGUUCUGCAGAGAUGUAUUGAGAAGAACUUGAUCUUAAAUUGGGAGAAAUGCCAUUUUAUGGUAAAACAAGGUAUUGUUCUCGGUCACAUCAUUUCGAGCAAAGGUAUUGAGGUUGACAAAGCCAAGGUGGAUCUCAUUUCUAAUCUUCCUCCACCCAAAACAGUCAGAGAAGUAAGAUCUUUCCUUGGGCAUGCUGGGUUCUAUAGACGUUUCAUUAAAGAUUUUAGCAAAGUUUCUAGACCCUUAUGCAAUUUACUUGCUAAGGAUGUACCUUUUGUCUUUGAUGAUUCAUGUCUUGUUGCGUUUGAAAAAUUAAAGCAUUUGUUGACAUCAUCACCCAUCAUUCAGCCCCCGAACUGGAGCUUACCAUUUGAGCUCAUGUGUGAUGCAUCUGAUUAUGCAGUAGGAGCAGUAUUAGGACAAAGAGUUGAUCGAAUUCCCCACGUUAUUUACUAUGCUAGUAUGACAUUGAAUGAUGCACAGUUGAACUAUUCAACUACUGAAAAAGAAAUGCUAGCAAUAGUGUUUGCAUUAGAAAAAUUUCGAUCAUAUCUCAUUGGUUGUAAAAUAAUUAUAUUCACGGAUCAUGCUGCUCUUAAAUAUCUUCUCACAAAGAAAGAUGCAAAAGCCAGACUAAUUCGUUGGGUGUUACUUUUACAGGAGUUCGACUUGGAAUUCAAAGAUAAGAAAGGCACAGAGAAUGUUGUGGCGGACCACCUCUCUCGUCUCCAUUUUGACACAAUUACAGGAUCAUUACCAUUGAAUGAGUCAUUUCCAGAUGAACAAUUAAUGAAUGUGGAAGUAUUACCUUGGUAUGCUGAUAUAGUUAAUUAUCUUGUUACAGGUAAACUUCCAGAGCAUUGGACCAAGCAAGACAAGGCUAAAUUCUUUGCAGAGAUAAAGAAUUUCUUUUGGGAUGACCCAUAUUUAUUCAAGUAUUGUGCAGACCAAAUUGUUAGACGAUGUGUCCCAGAAAGUGAAAUUCAGAAUAUCCUUUCAUUCUGCCAUGAACAAGCUUGUGGAGGCCAUUUCAGUGCUAAGGAAACAGCGACUAAAGUUUUACAAUGUGGUUUCUAUUGGCCAUCUAUAUUUCGAGACGCUUACACUUUCUGUUCUUCAUGUGAUAGGUGUCAACGAAUGGGGAGCAUUACACGAAGGAACAUGAUGCCACUAAAUCCAAUUUUAGUGGUUGAGAUUUUUGACGUAUGGGGUAUCGACUUCAUGGGACCCUUUCCCCCGUCUUUUGGCCAUCAAUACAUAUUGGUUGCUGUUGACUACGUAUCGAAAUGGGUAGAAGCAAUUCCAUGUAGGACCAAUGAUCACAAGGUGGUGAUAGCAUUUUUGAAAAGCAACAUUGUUUCACGCUUUGGAUUCCCACGAGCGAUAAUCAGUGAUGGUGGUGCCCACUUUUGUAACAAAGCAUUCAAAGCUCUUUUGACAAAGUAUUCAAUCACACACAAAGUGGCCACUCCGUAUCAUCCGCAAACCAGUGGCCAAGUUGAGAUAUCCAAUCGAGAAAUAAAGCACAUAUUAGAAAAGACGGUGAGGCCGGACAGAAAAGAUUGGUCAUUAAGACUUGAUGAUGCCUUAUGGGCAUAUAGAACGGCUUUCAAGACCCCGAUUGGGAUGUCACCCUACAGGCUAGUGUAUGGAAAAGCUUGCCACCUACCUGUGGAACUCGAGCAUCGUGCAUAUUGGGCUAUCAAGAAAUUCAAUUUUGACAUGCAGCAAGCCAGCUCAGAAAGAAGAUUACAGCUGGCAGAACUUGAAGAAAUUCGCAAUGAUGCAUACGAAAAUGCCAAGAUUUACAAGCAACGAAUGAAAGUCUUCCAUGAUAAGCAAAUUAUGAGAAAAUCGUUCCAGGUCAGAAAGUGCUUUUAUUCAAUUCUCGCUUGCACCUAUUCCCAGGUAAGUUACGCUCUCGUUGGUCUGGUCCCUUUAUUGUUCAUACUGUUUUUCCACAUGGGGCAAUUGAAAUUAAAGACCCAAAGAACGGUGUCACGUUUAAAGUUAAUGGUCAAAGAUUAAAGCCAUAUCUAGAGUACCAACCACAUGAAGAAGACACCGAAAUAAAUUUGAGUGACCCACCAAAUUUGAAUUGAUUUUUUUUCUUUUCGUUGAUUUGAUUUUUCUUUCUUUCUUUUUAUUACUAUUCUUUUGCUAAUUGAAAUUGUUUUUGCAUAAGUGUGUUUAUUUUACCAUUAAGUUUUCUCUUAUCAUUUUUAAUCAUGAGUCUCAUACUUAGACCGUUCCUCCUGAACAUUCUUAAACCACUUCAACGUGUCAAAACUCAUCUCAAAAGGCAGAUUCAAUUUUGUAAAACACAACGCAUUUGGGCUCUACAACCACCAGAGUUAGUAGCCUAUGUUGAGGGUUUAGAACACCAACUCAGAGACAUUGAGAGAAGUGUUUACGACAUCCAGUUGGAGCUUGAGGUAAAUUCAAUAAGAGGACGAUUUUAAUUUUCUUUGUGUGUUUUAAAUUGUUUUUCUGUUUGUGUGCUUUAGUUUGUUACCCCGGUGAAGUGGCGGAUAACGGUACUCCGUGACAAUCAAGUCGGUUACUUCAGUUUCCCAUAAUAACUGAUAUUCUGAGGCGAAGGUAUGGACAGAAACGAGAUUCUAGCGAAGCUUCACAAGCGAUUCCCUUCACUUCCUCAAAAUGCCCUCCUUACGAUUUAUAAAGCUCGGUCCGAACGCAUGCGAUUACUCAUGAGGAAUAACAUACCUGCUGACAUCCGUUGGUUAAUCGAAGCGAAAGUACGAUCGGCAGGUGAGUUACCUCCAAAAUUUAUUGCAUACAUGCCUGGUUGUGGUAAAGGAAAUUAUGCAAGAAAACGACGAGCUCGAAGAAUUUAUGUUGCUUGUCAUAAGUGUGCCAGAAUGAGUUGCAAUAAAAACCCAUGUUCUUUAGGAAUGGUGUCUGAUAACAGGGAAGAUAAGAUUCAAUUCAUUAGGGAUGGCUUGAAUAAAGAGUCAUUGGAUGAUAUCCUUUUGUCUCUUGAAACGCAUCCCAGUGGAUAUGUGCAAGGAGCGAUUCUCCAGUUAUGGCCAUUAUUCCAGAAAGAGCAUGCCCGAUAUAGUCUCGGGAAUCUGACUAUAAACGACCCUGUUUGCCAGUUUAUAAGAAAACUGGAUAGGAAGCCUAUCCUCGACCCAUAGAGGGCGUUCAAGCCGUUUCUGGACGUAAAACCAGAGGAAGAUGUGAGCCACAGUCGCAACUACCUGUAAAUAUCCUUUUACUUUAUUGUUAUUUUAUUUCACUAUUGUCUUAUUGUUUGCAUUAUUGUCUUUAAUAAUUUUAUUACUGUUUGCUUUUUCCUUUUUACUGUUUUCUUUUUUACUUGCGAGCCACGUGCUUUACGCGUUAUUUGACACUGACAUAUUACCUCAUACACAACCAUGACCCACUAUCACCAAGACUCUUAAAUGUGAUUUCUUUUUUGUCAAUCACUCACAAAUUAUUUUUGCGAAGUAUCACAAUGGCAGCUACUCCCAAUAGACAAUUCAAGAACAUUUGUGUGCUUUCUGGAUUUACAUAUGGCAAACAUAAAGAGUUCGUUGAGGCAGCCAUAGAUCUUGGUCGACGUAUAGCAGAGAGAAAAUUACACUUGGUGUAUGGAGGAGGUAACCGAGGAUUAUCAAAAAUGGUCUCAGAAGCAGCUUUUAUCAGAGGAAGUCAGGUGUUAGGCAUCAUCCCAAGAGUUCUAAAACCAUUGGGCAGUUCGUCUGACUCAUCAACUGGAGAAGAGUUAGUCGUCUCAGGUAUGCAAGAAAGAAUAACUGAAAUGCUUAAUCAUGCUGAUGCUUUUAUUUUCCUUCCAGGAGAUCUUGCAACACUAGAGGCACUUAUCACGCUAGCAUCUUGGGCCCAUCUGCACAUCCACAAAAAACCCAUCGAUUUGUUAAAUGUCAAUAACUUUUAUGAUGGCUUUAUCGCAUUUCUUAACCAUGCAAUAAAAAACUAUUUCAUUCCCGCUAAUGUGAAAAAACUCUUUAUUUGUGCUCACACUGCUAAUGAGCUACUUGAUCUGUUACAAGCUUAUAAACCGGAGCCAAACCCCUGGACCUUUGUGUUGGAGCGCCCAAAUAAUGAUGGUAACAGUAGCCGCAGUAAGAAGUACAAAUUAGAUUUAACUCUCCGCUUGUAAAUAUUGUUUUCUGUGUUGCACCACCCAGGUGAUGUCUUCUAAACUCUACUUCUUUCCUUUCAAACAUUGAGGACAAUGUUUCGUUCUGGUUGGGGGGAGGGAAUAGUCAACAAUUGUGGAAUUUUGGUUAAGUUUUUACUAAUUUUUGUUGUAGAAACUAACUGUUGCUAACUUUUUGUGUCGAAGAUGGCUGAAUAUGGAGUGUAGUGACUCUAGAAACGCAUCUUCAUCGUAAAAAAAAAAAUUAAAAAACUAAAAAAAAAUUUCAGACAUUUUCUUUUUCUUUAUUAUAUGUUUAUGUUUAUUUUUCUUCUUUUUAAUUUCUCCUCUAUCAAUAUACAUUUUCCAACUUUUGAGUCGAAGAUGGCUGAAUAUGGAGUGUAGUUCCUCUAGAAACGCAUCUUCUUUAAAAAAAAAAUAAAUAAAUAAAAAAAUUAUUUUCGUUUUCUAUCAUUUUACAUGUAACUUUUCUAAUUAGUUUUUAUGCAUCAUUUUCACAUUUCUGCAUGCAUAUUUUCCUUUCAUGUUUAGAAUAGGUUGGGGGGUAGAAUGUUGUUUAAAAAAAAAAAAAAUUUGUGUGAUUUGUUUUAACAUUGGGUGACAUGAUUAAUUUUAAAUUUUAGUAUUUGUAUUAUCUUUGGUCUUAAGUGAUGUUACAUUAUGUUUGCUACUCUACAUGUUGAUGUCGGAGACAUAUAUGAGUUGCUUGAAGGAAUGAACAUGUCAUAAUAAGUACCAAGUGAGUUUUUGAGCCUAUCAUUUUUCUUGGAGAGUAACCAUUUUGCCCAUUCUUUAUACAGCUUAACAGUUUAUUAUUGUAUACACGAUCUCUAGAUUUCUUUUGAGUUAACCCUUAAUAAAAAUAAAAAUAAAAAAAAGAAAAAAAAAAGUGUGUUGCUACAUUUGGAGGCCCAUCUAACUAGUAGAUAUGGAAGGUUAUUUAGAGCCCUAAAAGACGAUGGAAAGGCCAUCUUUGAUCCGUUUGAGCCUUUCUAGCCAUCCCUUUUAUUAAAUAUCCAUAGUUAACCCUUUUGAGCCUUUAAAAAAAAAAAAAAAAAAAAUUUUCUUUGUCAACUUAUCAUCUUGACCCACUCCGAUUUGGAGUAUUACCCGAUAUCUUAUAAGUUCCAUCACCUAUUUAUGUUUGAGAAAAUGUAAAUAAUUAUGUUGUUCAGUGAAGUUAUAGCAAAAAAAAAAAAAAAAAACAACAAAACAAAAGUUGUUGUUUCAAAAGAAUAAAAAUAACAAUAAUAGGUGAAAUCCACCUUGCAAUUUCCAAAAAAAAAAAAAAAAAUUCUCUGCAUUUUUCUCAAACAUACACUUUGUUUUCCUUAUUUCCCUUCUUUGUUAACCAUGUCCCUAACCUACGUUACGUCCUAAUAAAAGUCCUUCUUGAUUUUAGGGAACUAUAAUUCGAAGUAGAAGCUAGUUAUAUGGGCUAAAAAGAUGUAGUGAUGCAUAAUUAAAAAAAAAAAAAGAUAAAUAAAGUGGGUUGACUUACAUUUUAUUUGACUUGAGAUCGUAUUAUUUCUAAGCUGAGGGCAUAUUUAUUUCAUCUUGGUGAGAGCAUGUGAUAUCACUUCUUUAUUAUUUUCUCUCUCAAUUACCAUUCAUUGGAGUGACUAUUUUUAUUGGGUUUAAUUUAUUUGUGAGAGUGUCACUACUUCCAGUGAGAUUUUGGGGUUUGACAUGUCAUUCUUGAAAGUAGCUAUAACAAAGUCUACUGGGCUAAUUCAUGUGGAUGGUUGAUGUGGGUGUGAUGUUGCUUUAGACUGGAGAUAAUGCUUAUACUUUUAUUUGAUUGCUAUCAUUAAUCUGACGGAAUAAAUACGAGUGUUUCUAUUAAAAAAAAAAAAACAAUAUUUUGAAUUUGAAUUUUGUUUUUGCUUUAUUUGCUAGGGACUAGCAAUAAGCUGGUUGGGGGGUGUGUUGAGUGUUAGAAAAUGCAUAUUUAUAAAGGAGAAAACCGUCAUUUUACAUUUCAAGUCUUACUAACAACCCUUACUUUUAUGUAUUUAACCUUUUUGUGAUUUAAUUACAUGUGUUUUAUUUUAAUUAAGUAUUUUAUGUAUUUUAGGGGCAUUAUAGUCAUUUCACAAUAAAGGAGAAAUCAGACGGCAAAACGGACAUCACUUUUGAACUCAGGACGGUCAAAAACCUUAGGAGGAGCAUAAAAGGAAAAAUGGCACUAUUCACAUGUACGGUACUAUUCACGUGUACGGUACCGGCCCUCUAGUACAAGGUUAUUAUUAUUUGGCACGAUAAGCCCUUAGCACCAUAUUGAUUAGAGCGUGGUUCAUGAGGUGUGGAUUCCCCCCUCAUGAUUUAAUUGGCAUUAAUACGGAUUAUUUAGCCCAUGAUGCAUGUUGAUACGGAUCCAGAUCGCAUAGACGGAUGAUGACGUGGCAUUGACCGAUGAUGUGGCAUUGACUGAUGAGGUGUCACGAUCCUGUUGGACUAAAAUUCUUAUGUACUGUUGAUGGUGACGUGGCAGCAUAUCAGUGGACGAAAAAUCUCGCGUACGGUGCAUGCAUCACACAGGAUUAUUUUCAACCAAACCGCGUUACUGUUCAUCCGGGUCAAACCGCGUUACUGUUCAUCCGGGUCAAACCGUGUUACUGUUCAUCCGCGUGGUCAAACCGUGGACUGUUGACUGAUGACGUGGCGCAAUCCUGAGCGUCCAAACUGUUUUUAAUCCGAUGGCCAUGAUUUACUCCAUGUAUCUAUAAAAAGGGGGCCUCUCCCCCCUAAUUUGAUAUCUCUGAAUCCAUUGUUGGGAUCCAUUUUCUGUAAUUCCCUCUCCAUCUUGUAUUUUCUUCGUAUUUUAAUAAAUUUCCAUUUUGCCCCUAGUUCAAUUAUGAGUGGCUAAUUUUCUUUCAAGCUUGGGUUGAAGGUGAAGUCUCAACAUGUGUCAUGGGCUUAAUUUGGUAAAUUUAUUUUCUCUUCCCCUCUAGUUUUUGUGGAUGUUUUGACUUCUCGUCGACAAAUAAUACUAAUCUUGUCUAGUACCGCCUUGGUUUCACCGGCCCUCUAGUACAAGGUUAUUAUUAUUUGGCACGAUAAGCCCUUAGCACCAUAUUGAUUAGAGCGUGGUUCAUGAGGUGUGGAUUCCCCCCUCAUGAUUUAAUUGGCAUUAAUACGGAUUAUUUAGCCCAUGAUGCAUGUUGAUACGGAUCCAGAUCGCAUAGACGGAUGAUGACGUGGCAUUGACCGAUGAUGUGGCAUUGACUGAUGAGGUGUAGAAUUUAUUCUCGCCAUUUUAAUUUAAGUUUUAGCAUAUUCCAAAUCAUUUCCACCAUAAAUCCAACAACCCAUUUACAAAAUUAAUUCUACAUACAAUUAAAAUCCACCUCCUCGUGGGAUCGACACUCGUCACCAUUAGUCUAUACUACAAUAGAUUCGUGCGCUUGCGAGUACAUUAAAAUUUGCACAACAGUGAUAACAACGACCAGGUAUAUUUAAAUAUGGACCUAUUGACUGAGAAGAGGGAGGUAGCAUCGAAGAGGUUAGCUACUUACCAGCAAAGGGUAGCUCACUGUUACAACUAGAAAGUGAGUGUACGACAGUUUAGGGUGGGCGAUUAGGUGCUUAGAAAGGUGAAUGAGAACACUAAAGACUCGACACAAGGUGUACUCGGUCCUAACUGGGAAGGGCCAUAUAGAGUCAAGUAGGUGGUCAGACUCGGAGCCUACAAGCUCGUUCGCACGGAUGGACACGAGGUGAAGCGACCAUGGAAUGCAGCUCAUCUCAAAAAAUAUUUUCAGUAAGACCUAGUAGUACUUAGAGUUAUUUCUGUUUAUUUCUGUUGCUAUUUGUUUUUCUUGUUCAAUCAAUUUCACGUAAGACGAGCUCAGUGAUCAAUGAAGUUUGAAGGAAUUUCAUUCAACUAGCACUGAUGUAAAAAAAAAAAAAAAGGAAAAUUUCUAAGGCAUACAAAGGGUUCAAAGUCUCAAAGUCUGCUCGAUAGUGAGACAAGAAGCCAAGCUUGCCAGAAUUUGCUCAACCAUGAGAAGGCGAGCAGACAAUCAUAAAUUCAAUAAAGUUUCUAAGGCAUACAAAGGCUUCAAAGUCUCAAAGCCUGCUCGAUGGCGAGACAAAAGGCCAAGCUUGCCAGAAUCUGCUCGACCAAGUGAAAGCGAGUAGACAAUCAUAAAUUCAAUAAAAUUCAUAAGGUAAGUAAAAGCUUCAGGAUCUCAAAGCCUUAUCAUAAGUGAGACCCAAAGCCAAGCUCACAAAAUCCGCUUAACCACAUAUUGGCCAGCAGAUAGUCUAAUGCCUGAAAAAGCUUCCAAAGCAAAGCAAAGAGUUUGAAGUCUUGAGCUAAUUCAAUAGCGAGACAAGAAGUUCAAAUAUGUGUGAUUAUGCUCGGCCAAAGAAUAGCGAGAAAUGUUCAAUUGUUCCAAAAGGUUCCUAAGGCGAAGCGUUUUGACCAAGUAAUUGCGAAUAGGCAAUCAAAUGUUUGAAAGAAGAUUUCAAAGUUAAACGAGCAUUCUUUUAGUGAAAAUCGCUGAUCCUACUCGAUCUAGGACAUAAUGUUGCAAUCCUCCAACAGUAAUAAAAAAUAAAAAAGAGAGAAAGAGCAAAUAAACUGAGGAAUGUCAUUAAUAAUUUGGCAGCAAUAGUAAAUAGUCAACAAACUGGACAUACAACGUCUAUAAUAGAAACUUGUGAUACAUUCAAGAGGAUGGAAGGUCAGUAAGCAGAUCAUCUACUGGGUGGUCAACUUGGGGAGUAGGGGGAGCCUCGCCAGUUAUGCCUGGCGGGGGGUGCUGGCCUCGGCAGCAUCAGUAGGAGUAGGACGAGGACGGGAGGUCACCUCCUUCGUUACGUUUGGCUCCAGCUCUUCCCCACCUUUUUUUUGUCGCCUCCUCGUUCAUGUAUUCAGUUAUGCCAGCAACGCUCAUCCAUCUUCAAACCAGGGUGCUGCUUCCUGAGAACGGCCAUGAUGCAUUGAUAGGAAUACCUGAGUCCCUCGUCGUAUUGAUUAUCGACCUCCUUCUCCAAGUUCUCGAUCUGAGUCUGGUGAGAGGCAUGAAGUGACUCCAGUAGAGUCUCAUAGGAAACCCUUUGUGCCUCUAAAUCCUCCUUAUCCUUACUCAACUCUUCUUCAAGAGUGAUAGCCUUCGCCUGGGCAAAGAAGGCCUACUUUAUCAAUUUUAAGUUCUUGGGAAUAAGAUCUCUAGCUUUUUUCUCAACAGCGUCAAUUUUACUUUUAGCGGAUUGAAUGUCCUCUUUUAUCUUACGGUUAUAGCGGUCGACCUUUGCCUAAUAGUAGGUAGCCAUACAACCCAGAUGGAAAGUGCUAAAUUGCAUACGCCCAACCAGCUCGCCAAGGGUACUGCCAUCAAAGUCCUCCAAAUCCUUUUUGCUCAUGAGCUUAGAAAACUCGUUGAGUAAGGAGUCAGGUACUUUAGUCGGUCUUUUGGCAAUCGAUGUUUUGGUCUUGCUGGGGGAGGGAGAGUAGCGGGACUAGCGCUGCUUGUAGCCCCAUUAGCUUCACCAGCCGUUGGAGGAGGAGGUGGCAAUUUCUUGAAAGGGGAAGUUCACUCUGCAGUAUUGACCCGUUUUCCAGGGGAACCUCUUUGCUGCCACCUCCCUUAGGAACAUUAGGGCGAGAACAUUUUUUGCUCAAAGCCCCGAUCACAACAUCCUCCAUAGCAUAAGCGUCGGAUACUAGGCAAGAUUCGACCAGGCUGCAAGUAGACAACAUGUCUCUACACGAGUAAGAAUUCACUAAUGCAGUCUUAACCCGCUUCCGUAAUUUAGGCUUAAGGCCGUGAUGUACACCCCAAGAACCUGCAACACAAGCAAAGACCAUGAUAAAAACAAUUAUGUCACUAGGACAGCUAAGGGUGCAAUACAUCUAAGGAGAGCAGGCAACAUGGAACUAUGAAACGAGAGGGAAUGUAAACGUUUCCUCCAUCAGUAUAUGCCACUUGACCCCAAGGACCCCCAGUGAAAAAGAAUUUCCUCUUCCAAUUCCCACCACCACCUGUUGGGAGAUCAGUUAUAGGUUUCCUGGCCUUGGUACUCAACAUGAAAUAGUACUGUCCGUCAUCUUUUAGGGCUGCUCUUUAGCUGAUAUAGGUGUUUGAGACCUCAUCAACUGUAGGCUCACUCUGACCAUAUCUAUCCCACAGAACGAACAGACUAGAGAGAACCCUUCAUCCGUUAGGAUUAAGUUGACUAGGAGCUAUAUGUAGUCCACUAAGCAUUUGGAUGAAAUAAGGUUGCAAAAGAAGCCUCAUUCCCAAUUUAAAGCUUUCUAAAAACAAAGUAACUAACCCCUUGGGAGGUCGACUGGGAGUAUCUUUUUUCCCGGGAAUUCUAAGCUCUAUGCCACCAGAUAUCUUGUAAAUGAUUUGAAGCUCUUCAAGGUCGUCUACUGUGGUUAAAUAGGUCAUAAGGUCAACAGGGUAAUGCUCGGCUAGAGUUAUACCACUCAACUUCCUCUUUUUCUCUGGUCGAGCUAGUUCUGGUGAGGAUGCUUCACCAGAUUCUUCACUUGGGUGCCCAUUUAUGGUUUUCUUUUAGCCAGAAGAUCCCUCAUCAUCACUGUUGCUAGGCGAGGUGGUUACUUCAGGAGACAUCCUCCUGGCACUACUCCUAACACUAGAGGGUGCUACCGGCUCUAAGGGGAUCCUGGGGUCGAAAGCGGGCUCUGCAAGUAGACCAAGGAGGAAAUCUAGUUCGUCGUCAUCAAUCUCGAUUACCUUUUCCUUGCUUUUUGACAUUUCCUAAACUAUACCUAGAACAACACAACUAAACGGCACUCAACCCAAGAAAAAUGACAAUUAUCCAAGAUUGAAGAAGAGAAAAUAAUACUUGGAACAGUGGCACACUAAGACAGAGGUAAGAAAAGUGACUUCAACUUCGGGGGAGAAAGAUCACUCGGGCACCGGGGGUGAAAAGAAGACUAAAGGAGGAAAAUUUCCUUUGAGAGUUAGGGUUCCCAAGUAAUGUGAAAACCCUUGGUUUAUUGGCAUUUAGCGACGCACACUUCGAGGGUUUCAUAACUGUCGGUUUGAAUUUUGAACGAAUGGAUAAAUUCCUGCCACCUCACCUGCAUUCAAUUACGAUUCGAUUCUUCAGGGAAAUGAUUGUUAGGAGCUGAAAAGGGGAGUGAAUGUAGAAAGUGAGCAGAUCCUCCUCCCAACAUCAAGAGAUCGAAAUAUACUGCGAGCAAACUAAGGUUAUUAAGUUUCUAGUAUUGAUCCAUUGCAUUACCAAUGCCAAAAGCUGGGGGACCGGUGUUUGGGAGGAUAUUAUAGCGUGAUCUGCCAUACCCAACCCAGGAGUUGACCUUCUCGUAAGCGAUGAACAAUGUGAUGUUCGAGAGCAGGAGUCUUCUCCUCGUCUAUGAGGAGACCAUAUGUUGGGACUAUAAUACGAGCAGGUUCCUUGCUAGGCAUCGAGAACAUUUCCUGUUGGGGGCUAAAUCAGCAGACCCAGUCCACAGUAAUUAAACAGGACAUGUGCUAUUAUAUGAGAACCCAGGUACAAAGCUCACUUAGCUACGACCACCACGUUCAAGGAUUCUGGCAUAAUGGCGAACAUGAGUCAAGGAGGGCCGAAUUCUUAGGGAGACUAUAAAAGAGGCAAUCAAAGAAGGUAAAAUGGUUGGACACUAAGACACUAAAAAUUAACUAAAAGAAAAUCCAGAGGGCAUUCUUAUUGAAACCUUGGGAGAAUUAAGACAGAUUACAGUACUUUAGAAAUAGUGAUAGAGCCACCAGAUUAAUGGCAAGGAUUUUCCACAAUAAACCCAGAUUGCUGACUUGAGCGUCUGAGGGUUUACGCUGGGAAAAUCCCCGGUGUGCUCUGACUUAUUUUUUUGUGUGCAGGAGCUUAAAGAGGAAAAGCAGCAAGCCUUAUGGUCUGAUACAUCUAGAAGGAGCAGCACGAAAUCAUCCCCAAUCAAUUACAAAUUCAAUUGUUGAGGAGGAAUCCUGGUCGUGCACGAGCAGAGUUACUUUUAAAUUAAACAAAUUAGAAGACUAAAAAUAUUAUAUUUUUAGUAAAAAUAAAAUUAUUUAUUUUUUACUAACAAUGUUUUUUUUAAGAUAAAAAACAAAGGGGCGGAGAUAUUUUAACUUAAGAAUUUGAUUGUAAUCUAAGCAGCAAAAUUUUAAAAUUUAUUUAAUUCAAUCUAAGGUAUGAGAUAAUUGAUUAUCUGAUAGUAAAACUUUAACAAAAUAAGAUUCAGAAAACAAAAGCAUAGAUGACAUAUUAAAACUUAAUAAAAUAAGAGAGAAAGAAUACCAACUCUUUUUCCUCAUUCCUCAACGAUUAUAGUAGUAAUAACAAUUCCUAACCGAAAUUGAAAAAAAAAUAAAAAAAUAUUCAUCCCCAUUCUCACAAAUCACAUUCAUCCCCAAGAAAUCAAUACUCCAUAAUUUUGUCAACGACAUAUUCCGUAAGGUCAACAUAUCCAUAGUUUAACAUUAAGGGUGCGUUGGGGAUUGAGGUGUUGUAGCUUGCUGUAGAAAAAAAAUUGUAACUAUAAAAUAAAAGUUAAAAAUAUGUAGUAAAUAUAAAUUUUAAAUAAUAAUUUUGAUAAAAUUAUUAAAGAUAUAAUAGAUUCUCUAUUAUACAAGUAAAAAAUCAUAUCAACAUAUCUUUCAAGUUACAGCAGCUAGUAUUUACUAAACACUUUACUAAUGUAGCUUUUAAGCUACAGUUGUCCAACUUCAAUCCCAAACGCACCCUAAAUCGUGCUCACUAUUCAUCUCCACUUCUGUUCAUUGAUCUUUGUCAUAGAUCGUUUAUAUUCCUCCAUUGCUUUACUUUCCCACUCAAAUCAUAGUUUUAGCCUCUCCAAUCAACAAACAAUCCAAGGGUCUGAUCCUAAAUUCGUGAGUUAAUUGAUUGAACGACAUAAAUGGUCAUAUUUUGAUGUCCAGAUUUAAGUUAAAUUCUUAAAUUAAUUUAAUCCCUCCCAAAACAAAAAUAUUACAAAUACAUACAACAUAUAUUCAUAGCUCUUAUAACAUUGGGUUAUUUGCACACUAAAUAGACUAAAACACUCUAUUACUCUUGUGCACCGUCCACAAUAAUUUUGCUGGCCUUAAAUUGCAGCUUUAUGGCUAUUGUUGAACCGCGUUUUCCAAAAGAAAGAAAUAGUGAAUGAUAGCCAAAAAUUAAUAAUAAAAAAGGUGAAAAUACUAUUCGCCACUGUCACUAAAGAAAAUAAUAAAAAUAAAAAUAAAUAAAUUUUCAAUUAAUCUCACAACAUAUUUUCCAAUAGACUCAUACUCACGAUUACUUAUUUUCCUUGAGCCUUCCUGGGUGUGGAUGACAAAAAAUCAAAAUUUUCCUAUUUACUUUUGAAGAGAAAAAACUUUCCUUGUCCCAAACUAUACCUUUGAAGGGGGAAAAAAAAUAACUAAAAUUUUCCCUGGAAAUUUUGGCGUAUUUUUUGAAGAUUUUGACCAGAAAAAUCCUUUUAUCACCGACAAUUACAUUUGUAAUUUCAUCUCAUCAGAUCACAAUCAAAGCCGAUACAUUGAGUCGUCCGAUUAACUACAACAAUUGUGUCUACUAACAACUCGCGUGUACAUCAAUACAACACUUAGAUUUUUUAGUACAUUUUUUCUUUAAAUACACCAUCUACACUAUUUCUAGUUAUUCACGUUUCGAUAGUUACAGUCGACUACAAAUUUUUUAUCGUGCAAUUGGAAACAAGCCAUGUUCGUUGUUCACUUUUUCACCAAGCCUAAAGUCGGAGACUUCGCAUUCUAAAAGUCAAGAUUUGCAUGCUUUAAUUGCGAGCUAUUAGAGCUGAUUUUGUUCCGUUAUUUUUGACGUUGAAAUCUAGAUUUGCCUAUAAAUUGGAUGCAAAAUUCAUAGGCCAGUAAUUGAGAUAACUAAAAUGUUCUCGAGUGAUGUGGGAACUUGAUUGUAUUAAGAAUUUGGAUUGUGAGAUAAAUAUUUCAAUAUUUGUAUUCCCUACUUUAAUAGUGAAAUACAUUUUUUUUUUCUUUCCCCGCAAAUAUUGACUUAUCUGUGUAUGCUUUGUGUGAUUGAUAUUUGCCGUAUAUUAUGGGAUUGUCGCAAAAAAUAAUUUCAAUGAAGAUGCCUAGAAUGACCGUUUAAUUUGAUGACGGUAAGUUGAAGUAUAAGAUGAAGAGAAGAGAGCACCAAAUGGUCAAUGAUCAGUCAAUGUCAUCGAGUAACUAGCAAUCAGAUGAAAAGACAAAGGCAGAUUGUGGUCCAAAAAAUUUAAAAUUUCAUGAUGGUGGUCCAACAAAUUUAAUUUCUUUUCUCAUUUUAAAGUCCACCCAGUAAUUUCUUGGAAGCUGCCUUAUGUUACUUGAAUAUGAAUUUCAAAAUAUUGUCUGAGUAGACAAAAUAAAUAUGCAGAAAAGUUUUCACAUACAAUGUUAAGGUUCAUGCAAAAUAAAUAUGCAGAAAAUUUACUAAAGAGGUAAGAAAAUGUUGAUGGGACCCAUUGAUCUCAUAUUAUUAUUUUUCCAUAAAUUAAUUAAAAGUUAUUUACUUUAACUCUGGCUGAAAAUUGGGUGCAAAAGUAGAAAAAUUCAAAUGUUGGUGCUGCGUUAACAUUCAAUACCUUAUGAUACUUGUGAUAUCUACUUGAGUUUUUGUCAAAAAUUGGGUGAUGUAAAAUAUAAACUUUUUUAUAAUAUUAUUAAAUUUUAUUUUAAUUUUUUGAACUUACACUUUUAUAUCAUAAAGUAUUCGAAACUUUGUAUGGCAAUGGGUGAGAAAUUGUGAUUCCAUUCAAAUCCAAAAUAUUGAAGCCAAACAAUGAAGAGGAGAUGGAAAAGGACUUCAUCGGAACAUGGGUUUGUAGCUCGAAUUAGAGAAGAUAAAGACAAAAAAGAAAAGAGCUGGCACUACCUAAUGCUAUUUUGCUAAUGGUCAACGAGUCAAUGACAGCCAGAAGCAAAUAAUCCCAAUUUAUAAACAGAACAAAAUGUUGCAUUUUUUGGUUUAUAGCAUCCAGAGAACCUUCAAUGGAGAAGAAAAUUUAUCGCAUUGGGAAAUAAAAUAUGUGAUAUUUCCAAAUGGUACAUUUGUUUAUAUAACCGAUCGGGACUGAUCAAACAGAUACAUCUAUAUCGUCCAAAAAUGAGAUAGGAUUGAAAAAUGGGAAAAAAAAGAGAAAAAAACAAAAUAAUGAAGUGAAGAAUAUGCUUAACGGAUUUCAAAUGCACUUUAAUUAAAUCCACUGUUUUGACAUGGAGGCAAGGGGCACGCGUAAAAUCCCAACGUUCAGGAACUAUAUGUAGUCCUAAGUACGCAAACAUAUUUCCUCUUCUGAUGAUUCUAAUUAUUCUAACAAAUUGAAUUUUAUACAAAAUGCGUGGUGGGACUGAGAUCGUGGAAUGGGUAUUUUAAACAAGGCUUCACUCAAUUAAAAUAUGCAGUCAUGAAACUAUGAAUUAUCAACAAAAAUCAUGGGAUGCUUUUGAAGUCGUUGGUUGAUGAAGAUAUAGGAGUUGCUUCUAGGGAUUUUGCUUUUGCAGUGAGUUUGCUACGAAUUUGAUGUUAGAUUUGGGUGUAUAAUAUAUUAUUUUGAAUUUCUUAAUGAUAGAGAUAAAAAACAUAACAAAUUUUUUGUCAAACUCUUUCAUAUAAUACCUCAAAAAUUUAUGAAAUCUUUUUAAAAUAUUCGAACAGUUUUUUGAGGCACUGAACCACAAAAUUUGUCAAUGCAUUUGCAAUGACUAUUGUCCCCCUCGUCAAGAGAUUCAAACAACAUAUUAUACACAUAAAUCUAGCCCAUGCUGAAAAAUGCUUUACAUCAUUAAAUUACAAAGACGAAAUCAUCUUUUUGUAAAAAUCCAGUACCAUAUUCUAACAUGUUAAUGGCAAUUUUUUCUUUUUUCUUUUUUUUUGAGAAUAUGACUAGGUGUUAUAAAUGGUAUAUUUAGAAAUUUCGAAUACACAAAUAGUACAUUUCAAAGUAUUGUAAUAUUUUUUACUUUUUGCCCUCAUCGAAGUGGAAAAAUGGCAAUUUCCCAUUACAUAAUCAUUUUACACAUAUUUCCUAGCUGAUGCUAUCAAAGUUGACCAAACACACACACACACACACACACACACACACACACACACAUAUAUAUAUAUGAGAGAUUACCAAUUUUCCCUACUGAAAUUAAUAUAUACUACUUAUCUCUUAUUAUUUUUGUAAUAGAAAAUUACCCUCCUGAUAGUAUAAUUUUAUAAUAUUACCCUUAUUUCCAAAUAUACUUUACAAUAAAUUAUAUAAAUAGAAAUUAAAAUAAAAAAAUUAGGUGAAUAAAAGAUUAAUAAUAAGAUUCUUAUACUUUCUGUUAUUUUAUAAAUAUUUUGUUAUAAUAAUAUGAAUAAAAAUGUUUUUGAAAAUAAGGAUAAUACUGUAAAAUUAUGCGGUCAAAGAGAUCAUUGAGUAUUUUAAAAACAAUAAGAAAUAAGUAGUAUAUAUUAAUUUCAGUAUGGGAAAUUGACAAUCCCGCUAAAUAUAUCUAUAUCCUCAUUUUAUGAGGGGAGGAUUAAUGAAAAAUGAAAACGAAAAAGCAAAAACAAAAUAAUGAAUAGAAUAAUUAAUAUGAUAAAUGGAAUUCAAAUACAUUUUGAAUCCAUUGUUAUGACAGAAGGGCAGGCCGUACACUCCCAACAUCCAGAAACUAUAAAUAGUCCUAAAUACACAAACACGUACCCUCUUCAGGUGAUUCUAAUAAAGUGGGAGUGGUUAUGCAGCACUUCACUCAAUAAAAGUAUGCAGUGAAAUAUGAAUUAUUUGAAGCAGCUCUUUAAUCGUUGCUGUGCUUUUUGCAGUACCCAAAAUGACACACUAUCAAUGUGGUCAAUAAGUCAAUGACAGCGUAGACAAACGUUGGUCACACAAUUAAUGGCAAUCUAGAUCGAAAAAGGAGGGGGGGGGGGAAGACAAUGGUCCAUGGUGAAGAUGGUUAAUUUAAUGAUAUAUUUUCUAAAAUGAACUCCUAGAUGCAUCACUAGGAAGCGUUAACAAACUCAAAACAAACCAUGUCUGAAUCGAACUUUAAAAUUUAUGCGCUUCAUACUAAUUAUGUUCUGGUGUCAAACUGUCUAAGGCGUAGUGAUGGUUAAUCAAUAAUUAACAUAGAUGAUUACAAGUAUUUGAUGGUUAAUCAAAAGCAGGUGCAAAACGAUUGCGCUUUGUUUAGUGGAGCUUUGCACUUUAAUCGUUCAAGUCCAAUGCAAGUUUGGUUUUAUGGCAAAUUUGUCGUCACAUGUGAUACGCACGUUAGUCGCUUAUGCUGACCAGGUCAAACUUCUGUUAAGUGUGUUAGAGAGAGCUGAAAUCAGUUUCUGAGCUUAAUGACCUCAGCUAUAAAAGGCUGGCUAUCGGCAUAAAUUCAUGGAUCACGUCGUGACUUUAGAGAGGGAUUAUAGAGAUAUUUCUUAUUAUAAAUUGUUCUAUGUAAAGUUUUUAGCAUUCUUGUAAUCUUCAGAUCGCUUAAUCAAUAACUAAAUCGAUUUGUUACUUGCAUGGAAUUAGGCCAGUUGGUGGCUGAACCAUCAAAAUCAUCUUCUUUUCUUGAUCUGUUUUGUUAAUUGUUUGUUUGCUGCAAUUUGGCUUUCUGUGUCUCUUUUCAGAUCUUAUGAGUGCAGUCUUGGUCUAAUGAUGCCAAUUGUUGUCUUUUUUCAAGUAGAACAAGGCAGAGACAUAAUAAAGUUUACCCUAUAAACGUGCAUGAAACAGAAGUUACAGGAGAGAAAGACGACAGGAAAAAUGCAGGCAGAAAGAAACUUUACCUUCUAAACAUGCUGCGAAAGAUACAGCCAGCGUUGAACUUCAAAUUGUGUUUAGAAUUGGGAGUAAAAAGCAACUAAGCUUCAAUAAUGAAGAACCAAUAAGAUAAAAAACACAGUUAACUUGGCUGAGGGGGCAGUAAGUUUUAGGGAAGCUGAAGUUAGUUAAAACCUAAUAUACAGAGCGACAGUGUUCCAUAUGGCCAAAGUUUGUGAAUUGAUUCCUUCAAAAGUACGUAACACAGUAGACCAAAGGCAAAGAAUAAUGACCGCGUAGAACUUUUAACAGGAUUAAUUGAAUGUUCAAAAUUAACUGAUACCAAUUCAACAACAUAAUUGUUGCAUAUCGCAAUUGGCAAGCAAUAAGAUUCUGUAUUUGUACUCUGAAAAAGAAUCCCAUGUUGACAUACACACCAUUCAAAAUAAAAAUAAGAGAAAUUAUCAGCCAUAUACCCUUAAAUGACACCUGUAUCAAACGUGUGUGAACACUUUUCAAGUGUAUCACUCGUAUACCCUAAGCUGACAAAACACUUCUGCCGUCCACCAAUCCGUUAACUUCCGUUUGCAAGUGCUGACAUCAUAAGGGUAAUUUAGUCUUUUAAGAUUGACGAAACUUUAAUUAAAAAAGACAUGUUAUCCUAUUUACCUAGUAAAAAAUUAUAUGUCAUAUAAUAUAUAUUGAUAAAAAUGACAUGUCAUCCCAUUUAUCGGAUAAUUUUUAAUAAUUGCUAAAAAAACUACUUUACAACCGAAUCUACUCCUCCAAGCUCCAACUAGAAAUUUUUAUGGUAUAAUAUGUAUAAUUGUAAAUAAUAUGUUGUUAAUAAUUUUUUAUGGUAUAAUAUGAAUAUUUUUUAUGGAUAAUUGUUAAUAAUAUGUACCAUUAAUAAUUCAUUUUUUAAUCAAAAAAAUGUAUUGUUAAUAACAAAAUAAAAAAAAAUUGUGUAUUGAAAAUUUAUGUUAAUUUUUGGGGUAAAUUUAUCUUUUUACCUUAUUUUGAGUUUCAAGGGCAAAAGUGUUCACAAACGUUUGAUACGGGUGUCAUUUAAAGGUAUAUGGCUUAUAAUUUCCCUAAAAAUAAAAAUAAAUAGAUUGAGAUAGUUUAUCCACAAAAAUGAGUAAUGGUGGAGCAAUUGUCUGAUGGAACAUACUGAAUCGAGUAUCUCAUCUUUAGGAAAUAGCACCUUUUUGGAUUAAUUAUUUCUCUAAAUGCUUAGACAAUAAUGGGUAUUUUCUAGUUUCCUCCCCUAAGGUUUCAUAUAUCUCCACUUUGAUAGAAAGUAUUAUCGUAUCUCCACUUUCCUCCCCUGCCAUUAGUCCGUUGCCUUUUUUUUUUAUAGACAUUAAUCCGCUGUUAAUUGAGUUGUUUGUUGUUUGAAUUAAAUGACCAAGAUACCCUUGACCAUUAAAAUCAAAGAUCUGCUGGGUAAUAGCUUCCUGUAAAAAUUGGCGCCAAAAUGUAUAAACAGUAUCAAAUAAGAAUACUAUUCUUACGAAAAUAUCAAUUUGUCUUUGCUAUUCACAAAUCAAAAUUUAACCCAAAAAAGCUUAAAAAAAUACUGAACACUGCCAAUAUUACUGUUGCAGGUAGUGAAUUUGGCUAUUUAUAUAGCCUCAAACAAGCUCAACAUUCAUAGCUGUUUUGCUGCUCAUCUUCAUUACAAUCAAAAGCUGAAAUAACAUCUCAUUCACAUAAAAAAAUCACAUGACCAAUCUUAUUCAUCAUCCAUCUCAAGCUACACACACAAUCAUCAACUACUUUUAGAUCAAAACAACAGAAUCAAGUCAAUGAACCAAAUUCCAUAAAACCAGCUCAAUAACCAGGAACAAUACACAAAUCAAAGGAAUCAAUCUUAGCAAAAAUAUACAAAAAAUAAAAACAUUAUAGGUAUUAAUUCAUUGCAGUAGCAAUUACAGUUUAGACAAUUAAUUUAGGCUAUAAUUUAGGUAGCCAACACAGAUCAACAUAAGCCCUAUAUACAUAACCGCAACUAUUAAAAAAUUGCUAUGUUAACACCUUGAAAGGCAACACAUGCCUUGUCAAAGAUGUGAGUUUGAUGGUAUCUCACAAUAUACAAAAUAUAUGAAAAAACUCAAACCUAUACCUAUGGCUGAGUAUCAAAAGAUGAUAAAACAUUUUAUCAUUUUAAUGCUUAUAGUUAGAAGCUGAUGCAUCAUCUGCUCCCUAUAAAAAAUUAUAUGUAUGUGAAUAGAUUGGUCUCUACUGCAAUUUCUCAGUAGGCACAGCUGCUGUCUUCGCAGUUGCUGCUGGAUCCAUAUAUAUGAUGCUUAGAGUUAACUGCCCUGAAUGAAAUAUCCAUUCAACUAAUUAUUCAUUAUCAGUAAAAUGUCUAAAGGAACGAAAUUUUGUAAGUUGCUGUUUGGCAGCAAGGAAAAUGUGAUAAAAUUUAUUUGCAUUUGAUUUUUAUUGAACGAGUAAAAUGAAGCCACAACUUAUGUAUAUUUGAUGUAAUUCUUAAGCUCCCACUAAUUUUGUAUUAACCUAACAAAUGUAGAGCAGCACAUCAAGCAAUAUAUAACUAACUAAAUGCUAAGCUCUAACUAGUGAAUAAAUACACUAAUCUCAUGUCGGGCAUAAUUUAUUUUUCACCAACAAAUUCUAUCAUGCAGUUCUUAAUUUCAACAUUAACAAAACCAUUAACAUAAUUCUCAGUAACAAUAUAAGUAAAACCACACAAAAAAGUAGAAACUGAACUGGAUGAUGUAUAAAUAACCCCACCAAAAAAAAAAAAAAUGAGCAAGUUCUAUUUUUCUCUACUUUGAAUGAAUGCAUGCCAAAUAUUCUUGACUGUUCAACUUGAGUCAAAAAAUCUGAAAAUGCACAAAGUAUAUAUAUCUUCUAAUCCAUCAUUUUUAACAUGCCUUGUAAUAAUUUCAGUUAAAUAAAAAUAAAAAACCCCAUCAUCUCAGAAAACCCCCAUAAUCAGUAACCAUCACCAAGAUUUUCAAAACCAUCUUCAAUUUUGAGUAAAAUAAAAACCCCAAAAAUAUAAACAAUAUAUAAUGAGAAAUUUGAUACAUUUCAAGUAAAAUCAUCUGUACGAACCACCAUAAUCAACAACCAUCACCAAUCUUUUCAACACAAUCUUCGAUUUCAAGUAAAAUAAAAAACCUAGCAAGAAAAACAACAUGCAAUGACAAAUUUGAGACAGUUACCUUGAUCGUGGCUCAGUUCUAAAGGGAUAGUUCGCCGGUCGUGCAGCGAUGCUCGCAGGAACUGUCUGAGCUCGAGUUCUUGAAUCGUCCACCGCUAAUAUGGAUUUCAAAUGGUUCGUCCUCAUCUUCUCUUGAUUAGAAACAAAUUUAUUCACAACAUCGAUCAGAAUCUAAGAUAAUGUUGCUCUUCCUCUUCUGUCUUCAGUUUGGUUUUGUGAUGGAGAGAACCGUGAUUUUAUUUUUGGUUUGUUUGUUACCACGAUAUCCAAAGUGCAAAUUUUAAAAUAGUUUGAAUAUUUAAUCAAUAAAUUGUGCAAUUACUAGCUUGUCCUCCAUUGCUAACCAUAUACGAACAUGUGUACAAACAGCAGGGGAACAAAGUGGAGAUACCCUGAUAUUUUUUAUUAAAGUAAAGAUACACCAAAUUUUAGGGGAGGAAAUUGAAAAUUACCCGAACCAUAAUAGACCAUAGACCAGAGGCAAACACGAUAGGCCGAAAAGAUACCUUAAUCGAAGAGUCGGCAUGUUGGCGAGCUACUGGUCCAAUGAAAUCCUUGAAGUUACGCGAAUGGUACAACCAAGGUAAUGUAAUUAUCCAGCUCCACUUAACUUUUUGCUUUUGACAUGUGUAAAUGAGUUCUGCAAUGCAUAUAAGAAGGGCUGCAAAUGACAUUAACAUGCUCAAAAGUCAAACGCGCAUACUGGGGUUUUUGCGUAGAAGAAAGUUGGUCAAAAACAGCUAAUGGAAGCUCUAAGUAGGGGUGGGCAAGUUCGGUUCGGAUCGAAAUUAAGCAGAACUGAUUUAAAUCAGUUAUUUUAUAAAAAGAACUGAAUAAUAAUCAAACUCAAUUAAAAGUCGAACAUAAAUGGAUCUUUUCAGAUCGGUUCGGUUCCCUUUUUUUGGUUCUACGCUUAUUGGGCCUAUUUUAAAUUUCUAAAUUUUUAACCCAUUGGACCUCAUGAAUGUAAUUAUUUUUUUCAACAAUUAUUUCAUCCUAAUUUCAUUACAAAUAUUAACAAUAAAUACAAGGUAUUCAAAACACAUUUUAUCACUAAUAUCUUACUAACUACUAAUAAGGUACUCACAAAUAUGAAAUGUUAAGAUUUCAAAAUACAUAACCAAACUCCAAUACUCCAUUUAUAUAAACAUAAUGUUGCAAAGACAAAUAAAAAUAACAACAGUUACAACUUAUAACACAAAAUAAAAAGAAAAUUUGGAAACAAACGCCAACAACAUUCUCCCAUCUUCACAAAAAAAAAUAAAAUGCAAACGAACGCCAACAACAUUCUCCCAUCUUCAUCACUAUCAGCAUCAACUUUAGGCAUUUUCCAACUCAAUAUUUGGAUAUAUAAAAAAAAUUAAAACAAUAAAUAAUUAAAUAAAAAAUUAUAUAAAUAAGAUACUAGUUUUUUUUUAAAAAGAAAACUUACUGGUCAGCAACAUCAAUCAACUAUCAUUUGCUCCUCAGCGACUUGUUGUUGUUGUUGAGAUUGUCAGAUUGCAUUGGCCUAAAAAAAUCUUCAAGAAAUUGAAACAAUUAUAUUAAAAUAAUUAAUUCUAAUAUACAAAAUGUUAUAAGUGAAAUCACAAAAAAUAACAUAAUAAAUUACAAUAUUGCCUGUUUCCACUAAUUUAUAGAAUUCAGCUUCCUCCUGACUUGGUUGUAUUGUACGCUCUCCUAAUAGAGUUGAGCGAAGUCAAUUUUGAGUGCAGAUUAAUGACUCGAAUGUUUUAUGAGUUAAAGAACUCCUAAAAGGAUCAGGAAUGCGCCCUCCUGUGCUAAAUGUUGAUUUAGAAGCCACAGUAAACACCGAAAUUGCCAAAACAUCUUUUGUAAUUUGAGACAAAAUUGGAUAUCAAGGCCCAUUUAAUUUCCACCAAGUCAAAAUAUCAAAAUGGGCAUUACUAGCACUCUCACAAGUCUCUGACAAGUAUUUUUCAACAUUAGUUUUUCACUAAUGUCAUCAUUUGAACUUUCUUUCAUCUUUCUAAAUUGUGUAAAAGGAUCAAAUGACCUAUAACUACUACUAGCACCAUCAUGCACAACACUACUUCUCUCACCUCUGUUUGGAUUACUCUCACCACCAUGGCUUUCAAAAAGCUUCAACAACAACUCUUUAAUGUUAACUCUCAAUUCAUCAACCUUUCUAGUAUCAUACAAGCUACUAAAACACCAUAUAACAAAGUCAAGUUUGCAGCGAGGAUCAAGCACAUUUGCCACAAUCAACAACAUGUUAACCUUUUCAAAAGAAUGACCCCAAUAUUUGACAAACUUUUCCUCCAUCUUGUAACCCAUUUGAUUUAACAAAAAAUCAUUAGAAUCAACAAGUGACUUCAAAUGAAUAUAAACUUUCCACAUUUCAUUAAAGUAAUUAUUGGAAGUGACAGUUAAAGAGCUACUAAAUUUUAAAGUUACAUGAUAAAAAAUUGAAAGACACUUGACUAACCUUUUUUCAUUUUCCCAAUCCUCAUCAGUCGGUGGCCCCACCCUCCUUUUUUCACUCUCGUCCUCAUCAAACUAGUUUGUAUAAUGGCCAUCAUCUUCCUUUUAGCCUAUCAAAUGCUUUCUCAAAUGCUACCGAUUUUUCUAACAUCAAAGAUGUUGAAUUCUACCGAGUCGACAUGUCUAACACCAUAAGCCCUUUCCAUGAACUCCAAAAACCCUUCAGCCUCUACAAAUCUAAAAGGCAACUCAUCUUUGAUUAUCAUUUCAGAAGUGUCAUUCUACAAGCCUCUCUAUUAAAUAAUACGUGUAUAACCUUAGCAGUACUAUCAUUUUUGCCUUUACCCUUUUUACGAACUAAUGUAUGUUGUUUUGCAUCAUUUGCAGCCUUUAAUUUUUUGCGCACUUUACAUCACCCCAAAUGAGUCUUCAAAUGGCUUGUUCCAAAAUUACUAUAGGCUGCAUAACUUUUGCUGCAAUAAUGACACUUAGCUCUUUGUCCUCCAGGUAGCUUCGAAAAAUGCUUCCACACAAAUGAUCUCAACUCAAUUUUUCUUUUUUUACUCCUGCUGACCUUUUCUUCACUACUGACUUGUUGCACUUCAUCACUAAUUUCUUGCACUUCAUUAUUAGCCUUUUGUACUUCACCAACAUUGUCAACCAUCCUACAAAAUUAGAAAAAUCAUAAUGUCAAAAUAAAAUCUAAAUAUAGCCAUUGUCUAACAUACAAUUGAAACGACCCGCCCCGAAUCCCCCCAGGCGAGUCUAUCUAAUCUCAUCAAAACAGACUUGAAAAUAAUUCUAUUCGUAAAGAGUUUGCCGAAAAUUCAGCAGAGUCUCCUUUAUAUAUAUAACACUCCCAAACUACAAAUAUGAAUAUAACACUCCCAAUACAAUCCAAUAUACAAUAAACUCCAGUGCUCAACAUCCUCAACCAAAAUGCCGAGUCUUAUAUUAUACAAUCCCAAAAGAACAAGAUGACCAAGAUGUCCUAACAAAAACAUUUAUAUAUUCUAGCACCAUCACGUGGCCAAGACUCAAAAUAUAUAUAUACAGUUGCUGGGUCGGUCUGGUGUACCUGCAACCUCCUAGUGAGGGAGGAAAAAUAUAAUAAAAAGGGGGUGAGUUUAAAACUCAGUGAGAUCAGUGAGUAGAUAGUAGGUUUGAAAAUUAAAUCUUACUUUAAAAGAAAUAAUAAUUUCAUUUCCAAACACGAUUUCAUUAAACCAUAAGCGAAAAACCAGUGAUAAAUCAUUAAUCAUUUAAAUCAUAUUACCAACCAUAAAAAUCAUAUCACCAUAUCAUACAGAAUUCACAAAUCUGAAAAUCAUCACCAAACAAGUACCCAGGGAAACAAUCUCGUCAUAUCCGGACCUCAACGGACAGGCAAUGACGUACUAUCUGGGUAACGUCACACCUCGGAGCUACACGGAUAGACAGGGAAAUACCAUCUCAUAUCUCAUCAUAUCUCUGCAUGCAUAAUCUAGUCCCCAAAGGACAAAAGCGCCCAAGCACACGGCCCAAAGCCUCUGUGUGUACUCAAACGGGCCCCAAAGGCCUGUAUCUCAUCUAUAUCAUCUGUAUUACAAUAUUUGUCUGUAUCUCAUGGCUGUAUCAUUUGUAUUUCAAUGUCUGUCUGUAUCUUAUAUAUGUAUCACUGUAAUCAUACCGCAUGCAUAUGCCCCCAAAAAGGCAAAAGCGCCCAAACACACGGCCCAAAGCCUCUAUGUGUGUUUAGACAAGCCCCAAAGGCCUCUAUCUUAUCUCAUCUCAUAUGUAUCACUGUAUCUGGAGGGAAGGGUACUGUUUAAUGAUUUCAAAAACAAUCAUGAUACUCAUAUUCACAUACCUCUUAACCAUAUUUCAAAUCAUACCACAUUUGAAUCCACUUUUCUUAUCUUUAAAAUACUAUCAUGCUUUAUUCAAAAUCAGUACGCAAAAUCAUUAACCAAACAUUUCGAGAAAUCAUUAAAUCAGAACAUUUAAAAUACUUAUUUCGCAAACAUGCUUUACUAUCAUAAUUAACUCUAAAAAUAGGUUUCGUAUAUUCCACUCACAGUGACGGUGUUCACGGUUGGUUAUCGUCCACGUCCGUGGACCGGUUCUCUCUCGCGGAUCCUCCUAAAUCAAGGAAACGACAUAAUUAUUCUCCGUAAGUCAGAAUUCCGACUAAAUAUAUGCAAUAAACUCGAAACGAACAUUUAUCCAUAAUUACAACUCCCGUGUCGAUAAAAUUACUAAAAUGCCCUUGAGUCCGUAAAUCAUUAACAUGCUCCGAAAUCGUAAAUCACCGAAUUACCCUCGGAAUCGUAAUUACACCCAAUUCUCAAUUCUAGGAAUUACUAAAAUAUCUACAGGCUCAGAAAUGACAAAAUUGCCCUCAUAGUGUGAAAUUACCAAAAUGCCCUUGCCGGUCAACGGUCACCGGAAUUUGGUCAACACUGGCCAGGAAGCUCAAAUCUCAAAGUGUCAAUCACGCUGAGUUCAAUGGUACCGGCGGUGAGCUUCAACGCGCGACAACGACGCCGGAAUCUAGCUCGACAGCCGUGAGUUCCAAAAAUCGACCGGCAGCAAAACAACGAGUCUCAGUGCCUAUGGAUGAUCGGAAAUAGAAGAGGAAGUCAUGAGGAACAAAUUCCAACCGGUGGUGUCACCCAAAACCGGUGAAAAUCCCGACGAAGUAAAGUGAAACAGUCGCGGGUUUCAAGCUUCGAUCGCCGGCGUUCCGGUUGGUUUUCGGCAACGAGGAUGGGAGGGGAACGACGGUCGGCUUCUAAGUUUCAGAUCGGUACCAAGCUCGGCCAAAACGGUGGCCGGAAAUGGGAGAUAUGGCCGGGUCAAGGUCGCGGGUCGGGUCGGGUUUCCGGGUCUGAAAUUGGGUCAGUUGACAGCUUCUCUCUCUCUCUCUCUCUCUGUGUUACACGUGCAUAAGUUUCCUCUGUUUAUAGUUUAUUCCUUUGCUUAAAAACUCCUUAACCGCCUCAUAUCAUUUUACAUUCACAGGUGUUACAACAAUUGGUAGCCAUAUUAUAAACAUAAUCAGCAGCUAAACAGAUUAAAUUUGAUGAAUAAUACACACAAUUUUAGACAUCAUUACGUUUCACUCAAAAAAGCCAGCACUCCACUUAGCCAAAAUUUUGCUUUCUCUCACUCACACACCAACUAAUUGUAGACAUUUGUUAUUGAACAACAUAUAUGCUUUGUAAAUGGAUUAAAUUACUUAAUUGAAUAAUUAUUAAUCGCAUCAAAAUAGAAAAAAAUUGUAUAUGUAUGUAUACAUACACACACACACAAACAAGCAUAUAUAUCAUCACAGUUCUUAGGUUUCCCUUUUGAUAAAUCAAUGAGUGCUGCUAUCAUGGAUAAAAUAACAAAAUAUGGCAUCAUCAAAAUGGUGAUCAAUAGCUCUGAAUCUGAUCAAGUAAUGAUAAAAUCAUACAUAUGCCAUUUCUCCAUAAAUUUUGAUUUUGAGUGUUUCUCACUAUAACAAACAGAGGAAAAGAAAUAACUAAAGCAGGGGACCAGGGCAGAGAAAAUAUUACCCUAUAUUAAUAAUAUAACAUCAUGAUUAGAAGAGGUUAAAGGGUUAUAUACUGCCAUGUACAACCACACAGAAUUUGUCAAGAAAUACUUAAGCUAGCAAGGACAAUGCAACAUACCUACUGGUGCAUGGUGGUUGGCGAGCAGAGCAGAAGCUAUCACACGGUUGCCUAUGAGUUGAAGCUAUCUCACGGUGAAAAGAAGUUGUGUGCUUUCGCGCGGUGAGAAGAAGAUAAUGGUUGUCGCACAGUGGAAGAAGGUGUUGCACAGUGAGCAUAGCUGUUCUUGGGUGGGUGAUUUGAUUUCAAUUUUGAUUUUAGCCUUUAGGGUUUGUUUUGGGUGCAGAAAUUGUAACAAAUAUAUACCUGUAAUUGUGUGUGUGCAUGCCUAUUUUAAUUAUCUUACGCAACCAAUUAAAAUUUAACACAUGUCGAUUUAAAUAAAAUCCCAAGAAUAACCCGAUUUUUCGGUUCAGCUGAGUGAACUGAAAACCGAACCUGCAUUCCCCUUUUUUACAAACUAUAUAUUUUGGUUAUUUUUUAAAAUUAAAACGGUCUAAAUUGGAACUAAACCACUGACUAGGUUCAGUUUUUUUGAGGCCAUGGUUUUUUUGCCCAGUCCUAGCUUCAAGACAAAGUUGAUGAUUAUAAAGACCCACUCUAAAUCAACCUACAUUGAAAAGCGCAGCAAACUAAUAAUUGUUAGAGAAGCAACUAAAAAUUACCUUCAAAGAAUACCUAUUUCAAAAUGAGAUUUAAUCUACUUUUUUUUUAAUUUUAUGAUUGAAAACAUCUACAAUGUAUGCAGGAGAAUUUAGCAAGAUUUAUAUUACAUGAUGAGAUCUCCGGAAACUUCCUAGAAUUUGAGCUCAACCAAAGUUCAAGAUUUUCUAGAGAUUAUGGAUGAAUGCUAAUUCGGAGACUCAUCAAGCUUUCACAAAAUUCUGGAUAUAGAAUUGAAAUUUUAUAAAUUUAUAUGAAUAUUUUGCAUUCGGACCCCUCAUUUCUAAAAAUUAUGAUUUCUCCAUUAAAGUCAUCAUCUUUGGGCCCCAAUUUUUACUAAUUUUAUAUUAUAGCCUAUUUAAGUUUAUAGUUUCUGCAACUUGGCCCUUGUUGAACUAAAAUAGUAGUUCCAUCACGAUCAAGCUUGAACACAACGCUAAAAUCAGUCUAUCUUAUUUCUAAUGGUAAAGUUAAUGCUAGUAGUUCUUUACAAAUGUUCUUUGUUUUUCUAACUAAUUCUAUAUUUGAUGAAUUAAAGAAUAUUUUACCUCCUAAUUUGCUUUUACUGUACAAAGGUCAUACUAGCUUACUAAGGUCAUUUACGUACAUCCUAGCAUAAUUUAAUAUUCCUAAAAAGGCUUGUAAUUUCUUAGUACCUUCUAUUUUAACCAGAAAAUUGAAAUACUAACUAGGCAAACCAAGAGGGGGGGUUGAAUUGAGAUUUUAAAACUUAAGCUAAAUAAAUCGCACAACAAUUCAAUCUAUUGCCUCAAUGAAAUUAAAAACAAUAAAUUUGAUAAAGCACAAUAAUAAAAGAGUAAGGGAAGAGAAAAAUAAACACAAGAAUUUUUACGUGGUUCGGUAAUCCCCGCCUACAUCCAUGCCUCCAAGCAAACCAACCUUAAGGAUUUCACUAUCCAAGCCUCCCAAGACUUCAAAUUCUUACAAUUGACUUCUAAGGUGUCAAUGGAUCUUUACAACAAAGAGAUUAUCUCCCAAUUUCUUCACCCAAAUGUUUCUCACACUUAUACACUCACAAAUUUGAUGAGAAAAUAAAUAUUACAACAAAAACUCUAUUUAAGAGUGGAUAUACAAAUAAUAACUCGAUGAAAAUUUAAUCUAUGAUGAUUUGCGAAAUGGAAGCUUAAUAUAUGUUGUAUUCACUUGUUUAUACUAGUUAAGCUUGCUAAAAAUGAAUUGGAUAUAUAGUUUGAGCCCAAAGACUAGUCAUUAUUCACUUUUUAGUGAUAACCGGCUUGCCGCUUUCUGAAUUCGGUUAGCCACUUUUAUGUUACCAUUACAGUAAAUAUUUGAAUUUUUGCACAUUCGGCAUGCCGCUUUCGGAAUCCAGUUAACCGCUUUCAUUCUAGUGAGCUACUGCCUAUAAUCCAGUUUGCCGCUUGUCAAAAUCCAGUUAGCCGCUUUGCUACAGUGAACUAUUUUCAUAAAUUAUAGUUUUACCCCAAAACUUUCUAUAAUUACAUUAUGGCCCAAAAUGUUUAAAUAUUUGUAAAUAGGUCCAAAUCCAGAAUUCAAACACAAUACUUGUUCAUUUCAAAGUUUUCAAAACUCUUUCAAUUAGACCAUAAACUUGAAAAAAAACUAAUUUCAUAAAAUCAUUUUUCCAUUAAAUAUAAAACCUUUAUAAUGUGAAAAUAAUGAUUUAUUUAAAAUGUAUGAAAAAUAAUUUGAGCUUUUAAAAACUUAAUCAUUUUUAAUUUUGUUUGUUAUCAUCAAAAUCAACAUUAUGGAUACAUAAAUGUUAACAAAAAUCUAGUAUCAUUUUUACUAUAUGUUCUUGUAAUUUAAUAUUUCGUUUUCCUAUUUUCAUUCCUAAAGAUUAUAUACCCAUUUUCUUCUUACUAAUUGUAAGUCCGUUAUUAACAAACUCAUUUAAGACUAUAAGUAGUACUAUAAGCAAGUGAUUAUAAUGAUUUUCUAAAUUCUAACUAAAAACUAAUAUGUUAUCUAUAUAUACCACACAAAAAUUACUCUAUUUUCUAAAUAUUAGAUCCAUCUUACGUUAAAAGGUAGAAGGGGUAUUUUUUAGUCCAAAUGGCAUAACAAUCCAUUUGAAAUGCUCUCUAGGACAACUGAAAGCAAUCCUACCCUCUAGGACAACUGAAAACAAUCCAUGGAAUUGAAUUAUCAUUGAUCUUAAUUUGCCAAAAUCUUGAUUUACAAUCAAACCUGCUAAAUAUAUUUGCAUUUUGGAUGCAAUUAAGUAACUGAUCUUUAUCAAGGAUUUUUUUAUUGAUCUUCAUAUGUAUUAUCAUUCAAAUGCUUAUAGUUUAUGAUCAUUCACACUUUUCCUCUUUUAAUUUCUAGAAGAUUUCUAACCAUAGAUGUUGUUGUAACACUCGUUCUUUGUUUGUUUGAAUUUAAUUAUACUUAUCUAUUUAAUUGUUUAUCUUUGUUUGAGUGAAUUUAUUUUAAUUAGCAUUAUUUGAGAUAAAGUUUAAUAUCUUUUUAUUUAUUAAUUAAUUUAUUUUUUAAAAUAAAUUAUAAGGGAUUAUCAUGUUUAUCGUAUAAUGUAUUUUUAUAAAAGCAAGUGUUUCUAUAAAACUUAAAUUCUUCCUAUCUCCUUAUAAUUUAAAACUCUUUAACUAAAUAAAUGUAUGAAAGCAAAGAAUUCUAGGGUUUUCUUUUAUGCACAUUUGAAAGACGUUUUCAGGUAUUUGUCUUUCUUUAAUACGUGCUCUCUAAUACAAUCUUAUCUAUUUGAUGAUGAAUGCAUCCAUUGUUUUCUUGAUCAUGAAUGACCACCUAGGCAUUAUGGGGCAUGAGUACUGUGAUUUGAUUACUAUUUUUCCUUUAAUUUUUUAUUCAAUUUAUGCAUGAAAUUUCCAUAAAAUUAAGAUAGAUAUCUUGCUUUCAAUGAUGUAUUUUGUACAAAGAGAUUCUAAGUAACCAAUUUGUUUUGAGAUUCUAAGAGAUUCUAAGUAACCAAUUUGGAACAGUGGUGCUGGAAAAUUUCGAUUUUUAGUAGCAUGUCUGACUUCACCGAUGUUUCUGACUACCAAAUGAUCUCUAAAAAUUUGAUUUUUUAUUUAAUCAUUAUUAUGUCUACAUACUGUAUAUGUAAUUUCAUAAUUUUUGGUUGAGUAUAAAAAUUAUUAAAAAUCGUUAUGUUGGGUUGCUACAAUUCUGGAGAUUACUUUCUAGAAUUGCGAUGCCUGAUGGUAAAAUUAUUUUAGGUUAUUAAAAUGCCUUAGAAUGACCUAUAAAAAUUAUAUUCGUAUAAUCUUAUGAGUCUUGUAUGAUUUAAAAUUUAUUUGACUAAUGUUCAUUGAGUUGACAUUAAGUAUGAAUUUUUGAAGUGCAAAACACAAACCUGAAAAUUUUCUGGAUAGGUUUGUUGGUCUCUUAAUAUAAAUUCGUUUAAAAUAGUUUUACAUAAUAACAAAUUCUAGAAAUUUGAUAUAUUGUUUCUUGAUGUUUCUACUAUUGUAAAAUAUAUUGGUCUAAUUUUUAUGAGUUCUAUUAAAUAUUUUACAAGCUUUUUAAUUCAGCGAACCCUUUUUUAUCACUGCUGGACAUUGUGGAUAUGUACUAGUAAAAUUCUUUUCGCAUUAUGUUUCUCACUUUUAUUCUUUUUUUAAUUUUUUUUAUAUGAAAUACUACACAAGUUUAUGGUUUCUUUUCUUAAUUUUUACAAUUUUCCAACAUAUGAUUAGCUUGGUAAAAAUUAGCUUAUAUAGGAUGGUCAAGUUCAGACUACCUUUGAUGGUUUAGUUCUUAUGAUUAGGCUUGAUUAUGUUGGAUUUAUAUCGAGGUCAGAAUGAGUAGUAAUAUUGAUAAGAAUGUAUCUUGAUGUUUUAGGACAAAGGUGAGCUCGUGGUUGAGGUUACUGCUCUUUUAAUUGUUGAGGAUCGAGGUAAGUAGAUUCAUGCAUGGUACAUGUAUUUCACUAUUAAAUUAGUUUAAUUUAAUUUAUGUAUUAUGUUGAAUGAAAAGUAUACAAAGCUGACCUAUUUAGUCUAUUACAACAUUUUGUUAAGUAAAAUCAUUUUUUAAAAUUAUUUAUAACAAAACUUUAUUUAUUAAGAACUUGUUUUAUAAAUUGUCUUUAAAAUGAAGACUUUUAUUAAAUUUUUUAAAGUCAAAUAAUUUGAAAUAAUUAUCAAUUAUUUAAAUGUAAUUUAAAGAAGCUUACAAAUGAUUAAAAGUUUAAGGAUGGUUUCAAAUGUUUUGGUUCAUUGUCCGUAGUAAUAUUAUGUUUUGUUAUAUUAUGUUAUGUUAUGGAAGGCUAGGUGGAUUUUGUGCACAUAUGAUGUUAAUGUUAAGGAUUUUCAGGGGAUACAGUACCCUAAAUGAUGUUAUAUAGUCGGGUCACCAAGUCCAUAGGUGAUACUAUGUGACAUGAGCUAAUUACGUUUUAUGUGUUUAAAAUGUUAUUAAUGUUAAGGAUUUUCGGGGAGGGGGGGUGCAGUACCCUGAAUGAUUUUAUAUGGUCAGGUCACCAAGUCCAUAGGUGAUAUUAUGUUUAAAGGAUUUAAAUGACUUGAUGAUGUUUCUAUUUAUAUUUGUUAAAUGAUGAUUUACAAAGGUAAUUUCCCUUAUUAUUAUGUAUCUCUAAAAAAUUCAAUCAAUUAUAUUUUAAUGGUUUUUAUGCUAUGCAUGAAUUUAUUUACCGAGUUGACGACUCACCCCUCAUUACAACAUUUUUGCAGAUAGAGUUAGAUAAUAUGAGCUUAUGGUUUUAGGAGGAAGAAUAAGAGCUCGGUUUCUUUUGGGGAACAAUGUUACGUUAAUAAGCUACAAAUAUUUUAGUUUCCCUUGGGAUGGUACUUAUUUAAGGAUAUGUUAUUUCAUUAUUUAUUUUCUUUUGGAGGUUUAGAACAUUAAUAAUUUAGAUAUUAUUUUUAGAAAUGAGAAUGAUGAAAUGCAGUUUCACUUUAAUUUUAUUGUAAUACCUUGUUAGUAAAAUUGGGGUGGUACAUUUGUGGUAUUAGAGAAAACUAGGAUAGGAUUAUGUAGACUUUUAAGAACAAAAUUUAGAAAAGUAAGAUGGAAAUAUGAUGUAGUUGAGGUGGUUCACUUAUAGGGAUAAUUCCUUCAGUUAUUCUGGGUAAUAACAAGAGCUAAUUUUAGGUAGGUUGGAAGAAAAGUAUGUGUUUUUUUGUUGAUGAAUUUAAUGAUUGCAUUGAUUGAUGAUUUUGCUCGUUUAUUAAAUAUUUGACCUUUUUUAAAAAAAGAAAAUGGUUGAGUUAAUUGUAUAUGAACUUAUGCAAUAUUAUUAUUGAAGAUGAAUGUUCAAUUGAUUUUGAUGUGUGUAUGUUUGAUGACCAAUAGCAAAAUGCCUCCUAAAAGUAGAAAUAAUGCUAACCGAGGCCUUUCUAAUGUAACUAAGGCCAAUUCCAAAUUGAGGGUAGAGCGGUCUCUAGUAUAGUUAAUGCCCCGCGUGAGGAUGGUGAGGGAACGAGCAAUCCUCGCUGGGGAGAUGGUGGGGCAAACCCCACUCUUCGUGAGAAGGUUUGUGAGCGUAUGCCAACCAUGCAGGUGUUAGCUGAUAUUAUGGAGAGGCAGACUAGGCUGAUUGAGGGGAUGGCUUAGGGUGGUGGUCCUACUCAGAAUGUUAGAGCUGAAGGGCAUAAUAUUGCUAUUGGAGGCAGAAUGGUGGUGACUUUAGAAUAGUUCUAGAAGUUGGGGUCACCUAUAUUCCGCAGGACAACUAAUCCUAUGGUAGAUGAGGCAUGGCUGAAGCAAGUACAAAAGAUAUUUGAGGCCAUUGAGUGUACUAACGAGCAGAGGGUGGCUUUUGUCUCAUUCGUGCUUUAGGGUGAGGCAGAUCAUUGGUGGGAGACUAGGGCUCGAUUGUUGAGGAAUGGCUUAGGUGAUGGACCAAUUACUUGGAAGAUGUUUGUGGAUGCCUUCUAAGAGAAAUACUUUCCUUGAAGUGUCACCGAGAAGAUGGGCAAGGAGUUUUUGGAUUUGAUUCAGGGUAAUAAGUCUGUAGCAGUGUAUGAGGACACCUUCAAUGCCUUAUCUCGAUUUGCUCCAACACUGGUUGAUACUGAGGAGAACAGAUAUAGGCGCUUUCUUGAUAGAUUAAAUUUGUCUACUAGAGAUCCUUUGGAACCCUUGAGGAUAACAAAUUUUGCUGAUUUGGUGGAUAGGGCUCUUUUUAGGCAGAUUCGUGUUUAUGAAUCAUGAAAAAAAAGGAGCAAUGAAAGAAGCAUAGACGACAAGGAGGAUCACAAGGGAAAGGCUCUAAUAAUAACCAGAAGAGUACAAGUGGCACUGAAGGUCUUCACAAAAAGGUGAUGAAGCUUCUUUUCAUAGGAAUAUUCCUCCAUACCAUACUAAAUGAAUGAUGAAAUGAUCAUGGAAAGCGCUCCGAAAAGCAUGGACAUUCCAAUUACGUCGGCAGUCGACCGUUCAACUAAGAAGACAAAAUUCUAGGAACAAGGGGAGGAUGGGGAUAACCCCUUGCCUCCAUCUUUUGCAGAUAUUGUGAUAAAGAUGCAAGCGAGGUCUGAGAAUGUGCUAUUUGGUAAGACAGGGGAUUGGGAUUUGGAGGAGGAUGAUGUUAUCUUUUGGGAUGAGGAACCUAUGCCUUUUAUUGCUUUUUCUAAUAGAGUUCAUGAACGGCUGGCGCAUCCAUGGGAACACUCCAUGGUGGUUAAGAUUUUAGGGCGGAACUUGGGGUAUCGCGUGUUGUUGACUCGUUUGAAGUCGAUCUGGAGUGCCACUAAGGGUUUUACUGUGGUGGAUCUUGCUCAGGAUUAUUAUUUGGUCCGGUUUUCUAAUGAGAGAGACGUGGAGUACGCUCUUACGAAGGGUCCGUGGACAGUCAUCGGUCAAUGUUUAAUCGUCCAGCAAUGGUCACCGUCUUUUGAUGUUGCAUCUAAUAAGAUUGAGAAGAUAGUGGCCUGGAUCCGUCUUGCGGAGAUGAAUAUACACUUCUAUCAUAAGAACAUCAUUAGACGCUUGGGAGAAAUUGUUGGCCCUGUGGUAAAGAUCGAUCAUAAGACGGUGGAAGCGCAACGAGGGAAGUUCGCUCGGAUCGCGGUUGAGAUUGAUCUUACUAAACCAUUAAUUUCUCAAUUUAACUUGGAGGGUAGAAUUCAACGGGUGGAGUACGAGUAUUUACCUACAAUCUGCUUUGACUAUGGUAAGGUAGGUCAUUACAAAGAUGCUUGUCCGGAUAGUGCUAAAGUUGUUCCUCCUAAGCAAGUACUUCCAGUCCCUCACAUGGUAGCGGAAACACAGGCAGCUGUUGAGACGGAGUUGGCUGGUCGGAGUGAGACAAAAUUUGGGUCGUGGAUGGUGGUGGUUCGAAAACCUCGGGCUAGGAAGCUCAAUGCAAAAGGUAUCCCAAAAAAUAUGGUAACAGGGCACCAACGCCCUAUUUUUCAGGAUUCUCGUUUUGGAAUUCUAGAUUCUGUUAACGAGGAGGAGUCUAUCCCUGAUUCCACGGCAAAAGCAGUAAGCCCUAACCAUGAUGAAGUCAUGCCCGCUUCGACGUCAUUGUCGUUUCGAACUAAACAUCCCAAAAAGAAAAACCAUAGCCAUCCUUAUAGGAAAAUCCCCACCCGAUUGGACUCUUCACCAUUGUUUCUAGAAAAUCCCAUUUCUAAUGAAGGAAAAAUCAACACCAAUAUCCAGAUUUGGUCCAGAAGCUCUAUCCCUACGUCCAGCCCUAAUAAUAGCCCCAUUGCCAUGCAAGGCAUGCUUGCUCAAACUGGAAACCUGAGUGCCAACCCCAACGGUGUCCCUACUCUUAUGCAUGGCAUGCAUGAAAAUUUUAAUGACCACAACACUACUUUCCCACAUGAUCCACAUGCCAACCAAUCUCCCAUGCUAGACAUGCAUGUUAUUUCUAGCUCCAGAAAUCCCAUGCACGUCCCCACAUCCUUAAACCCCCUUCAUCAUAGUGUUGUGUCCUUUCCUAAAAUUCCUAAGCCUCCUAAUCUAGAUAAAGCCCCUUCCUCAUCUAGAACUACCCGAGAUAUUUCCCUGGCGGAGGGGCAUGAUAAUUAUCUAGAUGGGGACCCGUCUGAUAACUUUGUUUUUUAGGGCGAAAACCAUUGCAGGGAGCUGGAUGGGGAUCAAAGCUUUCAUAGUGCAAAUGGAAAAGAGGCGUCUGUUUCUGAUGAGGAUGAUUCGGUUGUAGCUGAGUCGGCCAUGGAUAUAGGAGCUAAGUUAGUGGGGUUGUCUCAGUGAAGACCCUUCUCCCUUAAAUUUAUCUUUUAUGUGUAGACAAAUCAUGUUUUGGAAUACCCAGGGUGCCGCGUCACCUUUAUUUCGCCGUACCUUUUCUAUGAUGGUGAAGAAUUAUCAGCCCUCUAUGAUUGUCUUGUUGGAACCUCGAAUUAGUGGCCUAAAAGCUGAUGCUUUUAUUAAAAAAAGUGGGUUCGAUAAGUCUCAUCGUGUGGAGGCUGAAGGUUUUUCAGGUGGUAUUUGGAUCUUGUGGAAGGAUAUCUUCGAUGUAGAGAUUAUUCGGAAUCAUACUCAAUUUAUUCACCUACGGGUUUCACAGAAUAACCAGCUGAUUUCUUGGAUUACUGCUAUUUACGGCAGCCCCAUCACUAGUAUCCGAAAAUCCCUUUGGAGCGCUUUGGAGCUAUUGGCCUCGUCGGUUCAAGGCCCCUGGCUUUUGGGGGGAGAUUUCAAUACCAUUUUGUAUGACUCUGAAAAGAAAGGGGGUUCUCCGACUGGGUUGGGAGCUUGUAGGUUGUUUCAAGCUUGGUUCCACUCUCGGGGAAUGCAUGAUCUGCACUUCCAUGGGCCGCGGUUCACGUGGUCAAGAGGUACUCUCUUCAAACGCUUGGAUAGAGUUAUUUGUAAUAAUGAUUGGGUUCAGCGUUUUGCAGAUUACACUGUCCUUCAUUUACCAAAAUUAUCUUCGGACCAUCGUCCCAUUCUGGUUAAGUGUGAGACUCGUGCUUCUAACAUCUCCCAUGACCGUCCUUUUUGUUUUCAAGCUGCAUGGCUUACGGAUAAUAAGUUUAGUCAGUUUGUUAAGGAAGCUUGGAAUAAGGAGCUUACUUACAAUGAUGCUGCUAAAAGCUUCACGCUCAGUGCCUUGGAGUGGAAUAGGCUCGUGUUUGGAAAUAUUUUCUAGAGGAAGAAAAGGUUGUUGGCUAGGUUGGGAGGUAUUCAGCGGGCCUUAGAGGAUUACUAUUCCCACGGGCUGAUUGAUCUUGAAAAACAACUUAGAGUUGAGCUGGAGGAGGUUUUGAGUCAGGAGGAAAUUAUUUGGCUUCAAAAAUCUCGCCAAGACUGGUUGUGUCUUGGGGACCGCAAUACCACAUAUUUUCAUAAAAAAACUGCGUCUAAAAGGCGUCGUAAUAACAUUGCUGCUGUUCAAGAUGACUCGGGAGGUUGGAUCUAUGAAAAGGAGAAUAUUAAAGAAUAUGCUAUUCAGUACUUCUCAUCACUCUACAAUUGCGAGCAUCGGGAUUUUCGGCCGUACCCUCAUCCGAGUUGCUUCCCUGUUAUUGAGGAUGCCUUACUUUUAAUGCUUCGGAAUCCAGUUGAAGACGAGGAGAUAAAAAACACUGUCUUUGGCAUGCAUCCUCUGAAAGCCCCCGGUCCCGAUGGUUUCCACGCCAUUUUUUAUCACUCUCAAUGGGCCACGGUUGGUCCCUCAUUCUGUAAGCUAGUUCAGGAUGUCUUCAAGCAUAAGUGUAUUACUGGUGAGUUGAAUUCCACUCUUUUGGUCCUUAUUCCGAAGGUUGAGAACCCUACUUCUUUAAAGAUGUAUCGCCCUAUUUCCCUGUGCAAUGUGGCUUACAAAACCAUUACGAAAGUCAUUGCUAAUAGACUCCAGACGAUUUUACCUCAGUUGAUUGGUUCUCAUCAAACCAGUUUUGUUCCGGGAAGGCAAAUUACUGAAAACAUAGUGAUAGCUCAAGAGGUAGUGCACUCUAUGCGUAGAAAGUCUGGCAAUAGAGGGUUUAUGGCCAUAAAGGUUGACUUAGAGAAGGCCUAUGAUAGACUUUGUUGGGAUUUUAUCAAUGAAACUCUUUGUGAAGCUCAUAUUCCGCCGGACCUUAUUCAAGUGAUUAUGGCUUGUAUAACAUCUGCCUCUAUGCGGGUUCUCUGGAAUGGGGAGAAUACAGAGUCUUUUAAACCUUCUAGAGGGGUCCGUCAGGGAGAUCGUUUAUCCCCUUAUCUCUUUGUGCUUUGUAUUGAAAGACUCAGUCAUGGGAUCCUUAAUGCUGUUGCCGCGAGGAAAUGGCGUCCUAUCACUCUAUCGCGAAAUGGGGUCCCUUUGUCCCACCUCUUUUUUGCUGACGAUCUUCUUUUGUUUGCUGAAGCCUCUGCUGAGCAGGCUAGUGUUAUUUCGUCUGUGUUGGACUCCUUCUGUUACAGUUCUAGUUCGAAGGUUAAUAAGUCCAAAACAUUAAUACACUUCUCCAAGAAUGUAGGUGAUCGCGAGGCUAGUGCUAUUUCGGGGAUGCUUGGGUAUUCGGUUUCUAACGACCUUGGAAAGUAUCUGGGAGUUCCUCUGCAUCACUCUAGAGUUUCCAGUGGUAUGUAUCAGUCAGUCCUUCAAGCUAUCCCCAUCUAUGUGAUGCAAACAGUUAAGCUCCCCAGUGGAGUGCGUGAUAGAAUUGACAAAGCUUGUAGAGGCUUUAUUUGGAGUGGUGUCUCUCCGCAGCAGAAGCUCAGUAUGGUGAGUUGGCGGAAUGUUUGCAAGCCCAAAUCUAUUGGUGGCCUUGGUUUUAAAUCGUUAUCUAUGAUGAAUAAGGCAUUGCAUAUGAAACUGGCUUGGGGUUUUAUUUCCUCUCCCGAGAGUCUUUGGGUUACAGUCUUGAGAACAAAGUAUGGGGUUGCUAAUGACACCCUUCCCGAAACUUUGCACACUCGCUAUGGUUCUCAUCUUUGGAAGUUUAUUGGCACAGUUUGGAGUGAAGUUCUUGCUAGCCGAAGGUGGUGUUUAGGCAAUGGUGAGUCUGUUCGGUUUUGGUGGGACCUUUGGGUUACGAAAGAUAUGCCGUUGGCAGCCUAUGCCAUGGAUACUAUUCCUGUUAAUAUCCUUGAUUGUAAGGUGUCGGUUUUUAUAAAGAAUGAUAGUUCUUGGUGGUGGGAUCAAUUCGAGCAUUUACUUCCCAAUAACAUCAUUCUUCAGAUUGCAGCUGUGCUUCCUCCUUCCCCCAUGCAUGGUACGGACACCUGUUUUUGGGCUCACUCUAGUACGAGGUUAUUCACUACUAAAUCGGCUUAUUUAAUGCUCGCUGGAUCAAGUUCGGUUAUUGAGGAUUACCGCUGGAGGUCUGUUUGGAGGUGGAAAGGUCUCCAAAGUGUGCGUAUCUUUCUUUGGCUAGCUUUACAGGACCGUUUGAAGACCAAAACUGAAUUGGCUCGGCGUCAUAUUCCCAUUUCAGAGGCUUGUGAUCGUUGUGGAGCUUCAGUCGAGGAUACUCUCCAUGUUCUCCCUAAUUGUAUGGCCGCCAGGACUUUUUGGCUCAAAACUGUCCCUUUGGAGAAGCGGCAAUCUUUCUUUAACUCCAAUCUCUCAACUUGGUUAUGUGGGAAUGUGGAGGACGUGAGUAGAAGUCAGAAUAUCUCCAACUGGUCGGUUUCUUUGGUAUUGGAGUUUGGAGGAUUUGGUUUUGGCGGAACCAAUUUGUUUUUAACAAGGCUUUUAUGGAUCCUACGGCUUUAUUAGUGGAUGUUUCCCUGCGUACUGAGGAGAUGAGCAAGAUUCACAACCAUUGUUUGGUCACGAGAAGGUUAAAGAUUGAGAAGUGGAUUCGGUGGCACCCUCCCGAUUGGCCUUGGUGUACUUUGAAUACUGAUGGGGCUCAUAAGGCCAAUGGUGUUUCUACUGCUGGUGGCUUGAUUCGCGAUUAUUCGGGAAUUUAAAGUGGAAUUCCUAAGUUUUUAAUGAUGUAUUUUGUGCAAAGAGAUUCCAAGUAACCAAUUUGUUGUGAAUUUUUGAAGUUGGAAAAGUAGUGCUGGAAAUUUUUUAUUUUUAGCAGCAUGUCUGACUUCAUUGAUUUUUCUAACUAUCCAAAUGAUCUUUGAAAAUUUGAAUUUUUUUUAAGUCCUUAUCAUGUCUACUUAUUGUAUAUGUAAUUUCAUAAUUUUUGGUUCAGUAUAAAAAUGAUUAAAAAUCGUUACAUUGGGCUGCUGCAAUUCUGGAGACUGCUUUCCAGAAUUGCAAUGCCUAAUGGUAAAAUUAUUUUAGUCUAUUAAAAGGUUUGAAAAUGACCUAUAUGAAUAUAAUAUAAUCUUAUGAGUCCUGUAUCAUUUAAAGUUUAUUUGAUUAAUUUUUGUUGAGUUGACAUUAAGUUAUGGAUUUUUGAAGUGCAAAAUACAAACCUUAAAGUUUCUAAACAGGUUUGUUGGCCUCUUGAUAUAAGUUCGUUUAAAAUAGCUUUACAACUUCAAAAAUUCUAGAAAGUUGAUAUAUUGUUUGUUGAUGUUUCUACUGUUAUAAAAUCAAUCGAUCUAAUUUUUAUGAGUUUUAUUAAAUAUUUUACAAAUUUUCUAAUUCAGCGACCUCUUUUUUUAUCACGGUUGGACAAUGUGGAUAUGAGCAUGUAAAAUUCUUUUCACAUUAUGUUUCUGACUUUUAUUCUUUUUUUUUUUUGAAUUUUCAUAUGAAAUGCUACACCUGUUUAUGGUUUCUUUUCUUAAUUGUUAUGAUUUUCGGACAUAUGAUUAGCUUAGUAAAAAUCAGCUUAUAUAGGAUGGCUAGGUUUAGACUAGCUUUGAUGGUUUAGUGCUUAUGAUUAGGCUUGAUUAUGUUGGAUUUAUGUCGAGGCCAAAAUGAGUAAUAAUAUUGAUAAUAAUGUGUCUUGAUGUUUUAGGAUGAGGAUAAGCUUGUGGUUGAGGUUACUGUUCUUUUUAUUGCUGAGUAUCGAGGUAAGUAGAUUCAUGAAUAUGACAUGUAUUUCACUAUUAAAUUACUUUAAUUUAAGGUAUGUACUAUGUCGAAUGAAAAGUAUAUAAAACUGAUUUUUACAAUAUUUUGUUAAGUAAAAUCAUUUCUUUAAAAUUAUUUAUAACAAAACUUUAUUUAUUAAAAACAUGUUUUAUAAAUUGUCUUUAAAAUGAAGACUUUUAUUAAAUUGUUUUAAGUCAAAUACUUUGAAAUAAUUAUCAAUUAUUUAAAUGUAAUUUAAAGAAGCUUAUAAAUGAUUAAAAGUUCAAGGAUAAUUUUAAAUGUUUUGGCUCAUUUUCCAUAAUAAUGUUAUGUUUUGUUAUAUUAUGCUAUGCUAUGGAAAGCUAGCCAGAUUUUGUGCACAUACGAUGAUAAUGUUAAGGAUUCUGGAGGGAUCACCGAGUCUACAGGAGAUACAAUGUGACAUGAGCUAAUUACGUUUUAUGUGUUUAAAAUGCUAUUAUUAUUUUUAAAGGAUUAAAAUGACUUUAUGAUGUUUUGAUUUAUAUGUGUUAAAUGAUGAUUUACAAAGGUAAUUUCCCUUAUUACUGUGUAUAUCUAAGAAAUUCAAUCAAUUAUAUUUUAAUAAUUUUUAGUACUAUACAUGAAUUUACUUACCGAGUUGACGGCUCACCCCUCAUUACAAUAUUUUUGUAAAUAGAGUUAGAUGAUAUGAGCUUAUGGUCUUAGAAGGAAGAAUAAGAGCUUGGUUUCUUUUAAGGAAUAAUGCUACGUUAAUAAGUUACGAAUAUUUUAGUUUCCUUUGGGAUGAUACUUAUUUAAGGAUAUGUUAUUUCAUUAUUUAUUUUCUUUUGGAGGUUUAUAACAUUUAUAGUUUAGAUAUUAUUUUGAAGGUUUUAGAAGUGAGAAUGAUGAAAUGUAGUUUCCCUUUAAUUUCACCGUAAUACCUUGUUAGUAGAAUUGGGAUGUUACAUUUGCGUCAUGACCCAACCCAGAACUGGCGAGAUAUUGUCUGCUUUGGAUCUUAACAAAACCCUCACAGUUUUGUUUCUGGGCCGUCCAUAUGUCCUAAAACACAUCUUGCCAAUUAAGAUGUGGAUCACUCCUUAUAAACCCAGUAUCUCUCUCGUGUUUUGUAGAUGUGAGUUUGCCUAAGGUAUUACAGCUGUAAUUCUAUGCCUACUAUUACUAUGCCUAAUCACUCCUAAUUUUAACAAUUCUGCUAUUUGAAUACUAAAUUCUCCCAUGUCUUGUGGACUAUAGUCUCCUUUAGCUAUUUUAAUAUGUAAAUUUUUUUAUGUCCAAAUGAGCUUUAAAUUUAUUUCUAUCCCAAUAUUUGAUUGGAUCUUCCCUUAAGACUUGUGUAGUUUCUGCUAAUCAAAUUAUUUCUUCUAAAUUCUGUUUUUUAUUUUUUUAAAAAAAAAUCUAGUUCUUUUUAUCUGUAUAUCUAUAUUUUUUAAUAUAAAAUUAAGAUCGCAAAAAUCUUCUAAAUCUAAAUCAUAAAAAUCUAUUUCUUUAUUGAUGUAUGGUCUUUCUAAAUCACCUAAGAAAUUAUCUACAUGUUGUUUACAAGUUUCUAUUAUUAGAUCAUACUGAAAAAUGAAAUAAUUGCAGAUUUCUAUUUCUAAAUCAUGUCACCACAGUCUGCAUGUAACUCUGAGUGAACAUGUUGAUGUCAUGAAAAAUGAGAAAGAUAAAAAUCAGUUCGGGAAACAAUUGCUCUUUUAAAAAAUGUAACAUAAUUACAAUUGAUUAAUAUACCACCUUUACUACUACAUACAAAAUUUAAUCCUAGAAUGAAUUCAUAUUUGUAAUUUAUUCAACUAACCCCAUACUUGCAGUAAGGGAUGAUAUUCAUCGAAUGCAUUUUCUACUGUGUAGAAACUCAUUUGUGCAUCUUUAAUACAUUUAUCAUACCUUAAUUUAGCUCUAUUCAUUUGUUCAGUAAAUAUCGGUUGUGAUAAUGCUUGCAAAUAAUCUGUUGAAACUAAAUUAAUAUCUAUAUGAGGCUUGCUACUUCUUGUAUCUAUCAUGGUUAAUAAUUCUAUGGUAUUACCAUUUCUAAAUUUAAUCUUACUAAUAAUACUAAAUAAGGAAUUUGUCCAAAUCUUAGAAUGUUAAUCUAGACAUUCGUCCAAAUCUUCCUACUUUGUUUCAAUAAUUGUUUAUUCUUUUGCCUAUUUUGGUUCGGUUCUAAUUCAAAGAUUUUCUGUCUAAAAUCAAAGUAUUGUUUUUCUAACUGAAAUUUUAAUCUUUCUAUUUCUAAUUUUAAUCUCUCGAUUAAUUUCUAAAUUCUAGGUUUCUAUAGUUUGCUUAGAUUGUUGUAUUUCUACAGGCUAAUUUUUAUAGGUUUUAAUUAAACAAAAUUUGCAGACUUCUAUCUUACAAUUUUUCCAUUUAUAUCUAAGUUCUAUAUUGGGAAAAAGUUUACAUAUAUGAAUCUAACAUUAUUAGAUCCCUUUUUAUGUACAAAUCCAUAUUAACAUUCUAUUUUUCCAUCUAGUUGUUCUAGGUGUAAUCCUUAUAGAUCUAUAUUCAUAAAACUAUAAUCUUUAUCAUAAGAAUCGAUAGAUUGUUCAGAACUAGAUUCUAAAUUUAAAUGUGUUAGUUUUAAAAUUUCAUAAUCGCUAAUUAUACUACAGGCUUCACUAUCAUCACUACUUAUACUUAUUACAUGAUCUUCUAAGUUAUGUAUUAGAUUUACUCGUUCCUCGAAAUAGUCAUUUCUUUUGUUGGGACAAGCAUUGAUAAGAUGUUUUGGAUCUCCAUAAAUGAAACAAGUACAUUUAUUCUUGCUAGGCUUCUUAACAUAUCUAUCACUCUUUUUUUCAUUUCUUAUAUGUUCGACUUUUCCUAAGAAAUUUUCUUUUAUUACCGUAUUAUAGGGCUUAAAAUAUUUUUUUAUACUUUUUCUUUCAGUACUUUUGGUCUCUAUAUUAUUGUGGAGUAUAAAUAAUCUUUUUAAAGAACUCAUAAGACUACUUUUUGAGAGUCUUUUGAAUAUUGGCUUGUACAUUUUUUUCUCUAACCAUACUAUAAGAGAAUACUAUUCUUGGUCCUAUUUAUAAACCUUUCUUAAAUUUUUUACUCUUCCAAUAGUUUUCUAUUUCUCUUUCUAAAAUUCAUGGUAACUUUCUAAAAUAUUUAUAGUAACUUUCUAAAGUAUUUAUCUCUUAUUUUUUCAUCAAAUAACUUACCAUUUUUGCUGGCCGUUAAUGCAUAAUUAUUGCUGAAUUCCCUAAGGUAUUUCCAACUUGAAAAUUGAAUUUGGUCGAGGUCUCCUAAAGUUAUAUCUUGUAUUUGCCUCUAGUGGGAUCGACUUCUAUACAUAUUUCUCUAAUAAGGCUUGUAAAAUUAUAUGGGUUAUUUCCUAAUACUUUGGUCUCUGAGACUUUUUUAGCAAAAUCUUUGUUAUAAGUAUUGUACCAAUUUCCUAUUGUUUCUCUUAAUAAAGUCUCUAAAAGUUCUCACAUAUCAUCACUAUGAGUUCGGUUUUGUCAAGCUCUAACUGCAUUUGUUUCCCACCUAUCUAUGACUUUUGGCCAUACUUGUGGAUCCCACACUACUAAAUUUGAUAUGCUACCAGAAUAACUUGGUUUUGGCAAUGUUCUAAUCUCAUCUAGAAGUUGUCAUCUGCUAUAAGUUUUAUAAUCUUUAUUAUUACUACUGCUAUAAUUUCCUUAAGUUAUAGGAUAUCUACCUCCUAGGUUACAUGUCGUAUCUCUUGGUACUGAUUGGCUAAAAUUGAUUCUAGCAUGUUUGGGUGGAUUAGUAAUGCUGUCACUUGCUUCUUCCAUAACAUCAUCUAUUUUGAUGGAUUCUUAUGUUUUAAAUAUCAUAUUGGCUUUUAUCUUUCCUUCUAUUAUAUCAUCUAUAUAUUAAGUAUUAUAUUCUCUUUCUAGAGCUUCUGCUGCCUGAUCAUGACUCGUUAACAUCAUUAGUUCAUCAUAUCUAAAAUUGACAAUUUAAUUCAUUUCUUUCCAUAUAAAUUCUUCUUUUAUAGUCAUUAAAGUACUUUCUAUUUUUUGUAGAUCAUCAUCCUGACUCCUGGUUGUGCCUGCUUGGUAAUUAUAAUUCCCAUAUAAAUUACAUUAUAUUUUGGUACUAACAUUGGCUUUUCUAUAAAUUUAUCUAAUUUCCAAUCUAGUCCUGCAUCAGUUUCUGCUGAGAAACUUUUUGCCCGAAUAACCUUAAUUCUUUUAGUUCCUAGAAUGUUUAUUGUCUUAUUAUUAUCUAAUUUGUAUUUAGUUGUGCUAUUUUCAUUAAAUCUUCCUAUAAAUCCUGUGCAAAAUUAAUAAAUUAUCUUCAUUUCUUUUCAUAUGGCAGCCUCCAGUUUUUAUUCCUUUUCUUUAAUCAUGUAAAAAGUGUUAGCUUUUACUAAAUAGUCAAGGGUAAAACAUACACUUCCUCCCUUAUUAUUCAUGUCUAGUUCUAUACUUCCUAAAAGUCCUUGUUCUAUAUUUGUAAAUCGAUUGUCAUAAAGACAAACUAAGGCUUUGCACCUACAUUCUCUCUAUGUAAUCCUUUUACUCCGAUUAUAACUAAUCCUAAAUGGGCCUAUUGGAGGUCAUUAUUACUAAUCUGAUUAUAAGAAUGCUUAUCUAUCAAAUCUAAUUUUAUCAUUUGAUCCUCAUGUGUACAUGACACAUAUAUUUCGUUAUAAUGUUAAUAUAGUAAAGAUUUGCUAAAUAAAAUUUUCUUUUUAUAUAUUAUGUUUAGAUCUAAUUUAUUUGCUCGUCUAAAUCCAUAAGACUUUCUAUUUUAAUAUCCUCAUCUUUUUUUUCUUUUACUGAAUAUUCUUUUUAAAUAAUUACCUUCCAAUUUACUACCACUAAUUAUCUGCUUGCCUUUAUCGAUUAAUAAUAAUAUCUAUAGCUCUUAGUUUUUAUAAGUUGAAGGCUUCCUAUAUCAGUGUUGAUUUUAAUUUUUUCAAAUCUUCCUAUCAAUCUUCUAAUUUUAAAGCAUGCGUUACUUCUGAACUCUUAGUAUUGUGUAAUUGCUUUAAUUUUAAUUGUCCUUCCUCUAAUCUUGAGAUUUUAUCAAAUUCUACUAUAUUUUGAUCUUUUAUAAAAUUUAAUUUUUCUUCUAGAUAUUUUAGAACUUCUCUAUGUUCUCUUAAAGUAUCUAUGACUAUUUUAAAAUUCUUAUUAAUCUUAUCAAAUUUUUAUUUCAAAUUUCUACCUAAAUUAACUAUCAAAUCUACUAAACUAUUUAACGGAGAAAUUUUUGUAUGUUGAUUGUGUCUAAAAUUGCCAUCUAUGUUACAAUAUCUAUCUAAAGUCGUCUUCUUACUAUGAUAAGUGCUAAGUUCUAAAUCUAAAUAUUCUAUUUUCUUCAUAAACUAUUAGACCUUCUAAUUAGAAUUAACUAAUUAAACCAUGCUCUAAUACCAGUUCGUCCGCUUAUCUUUUAGCUUAAUACUAAUGCAGGAGUGUAAAUGACUAAUUUGUAAACAAUUAAAAACUUUAGUAGUGUAACUAUUAUGAAACUCACCGUUCGGUACUUAAUGAUGUUCUCUUUGUGGUGAGAACAUCGUUUUCAGUAUUAAAAUAGAAAGUGAAGUUUAUUUUUCUCAAUAGGAGCAGAGGUGAAUGCGAAGAACUCGAGCAAGGAAUAAGCAUUAGAGCAUCUUCAAAGCUCACGAAGCUCAAAGCCGAAAGAAUUCAAGCAUGCAACAAGUCACUUAAGAUAUUCAAGUUAUUAAACACAGCAUAAAGUAAUCAUCAUCAACAGAAGAUGAUCAAGAAAAGCUUCGUCAUGAACUGAAGAAGACGAUCAAAGAAAGGCUUCAAUACUAUCAGUUUAUAGAAAUUCAUCUGUGAAGAUUGAAGAUGUACAUUUUACAUAAAAGACUGAUGUCCAAGCCAGAGAACAAAAGAUUAUGAGAGAGCGACGAAGAAGAACACAAAAAGCUAGUUGAAGAGACAUCUAACACAGAGAAAAGAAAAAGCAGCAAGCACAAGAUGUUACUCAAAUUUCUGACUACACCAUACGCCAGUAAAGCAUCCCGAAAUAAACAAAGACCCAAAGAGAAAUGCUGACAAAGACUACAAGAAGAAAACGCUCCUCCAUGCUAAUACGGUGAUUUGUAUGAGGGGGUGCGACUUGGGAGCAUUUGAUUAUGAUAGAAUUUGAAAUGAAAUAUACUGUAAUAGUAAUAACCAAAAUUUACUCGUUUUAUCUUGACGCUCUUCCACGAACUUCUUGAGAUUGAGCCGUCGUGUCCUGCAUGUUUACCCUGUUCACUGUUGCUUUUUUUUUUGAGAGACUGUUCACUGUUGCUUGCUCUGCCUCUUUUGCUUUCUUUGAAGAUUGAGGCUUCACCUUCUUUCGGUGAUGUCUUUCCAUCCUAAUAAAAGCAAAGAGAUGUUCAGAGGACUUCUGGGAAAGCACUUUUGCAAAACUUUAGCAGUUCUGAUGAACCAUUCAUACCAAUUCGAAAGGUUAAAAAAAAGGAAAAUGACCCAGCAAACUAUGUUUAAACUAUGAAAUGUCUCCUUACAUGUAUUAUGAAUUUGAUGAAUAGACUUCUCAUGCUGUGCCAAACCCAUAAACAAGCAAGGAUCUAAAUAUACUAUCAAAACACAAGUCAAACACAAGAAUAUCCAUUAAAGAAGCUCAUACUCUUCCUCCGCACCAGAUGAACCAAAUGUUAGGAAGGGACAAAAGCUCGCUCUAUAUGCUGCGCGACCAUCAGCUUUUAGCUUCAUUCUUGGACCCAUCUAAUGCAGGCAGCAACUUGUAAGGCCACAACCGCCCACAAGCUUCAAUUUUGAAACGUUUCACAUAUUCUAAUAAUUAAGAAGGAAAUUUGAACCACGUACAGGUUAAACUAUGAACGUACAUAGACAAAUAUUAUGUGAUAUUCUUGGUGGACCUUCAUUUAAUAGGAGAGCCUGCACAGCAGCAAGAGCUUUUUGGUCUGUAAAAGCUUGAUUUAUUUUACUUAUUAUACCAACGGUCCCGGUACCUGUCGUCAAAGUAAGUUCCCAAUUUUAUCUUGGGUUACAAAUCCAAAAGGUACCAGCAAAAGCAAUUUAAGACAAUACAUAAAAAGUCUAAGUCAGUUAACCAUCUCCCUCAUGGUCCUUGGCAAAUCUAAGAGCUUGAGAAGAAGCAAUUUCAGAUGCCUAUGCUCUGCACAUUCACCAACCUACACAAGGGCAUAGCAAUUUGUGAUAUACCUGCCAUACCACGAAAACAUGCAGAACGCCACAUCAAUUUGAAGUGGAUCAAGGCCUAGAAACAUUAACACUCACCAUUGACUUGUCUAUAAUUCGUUAUGUUGAUCCAAACCAGGCAAGUCAAUUAAUUUCAAUGGAAGUGCUGGAAAAAAAAUAAAGUCAGAAAAGAUCACGAGACAUGGCACCAAAAGAAUGGUUUACAAUCCAUUUGUAAACCCAUGCCUCGUAAAUUGCUUUACGGCUUACCACUAAUUCGACUUCCACUUUCACAAUUUCCUGUGUCGAACUGCACAGCACGUCAAAAUACUCUCUUAGAUUCAAUCAGAACUUGAGCUCUAGAAUCAUCAAAAUAGCUGACUUUACUGAGAAGUUUCCAAUAAUCCAAAUAAAUUUUUGACCAAACAACAGGUCAAGCCUCUAGCUCAAGAUAACAUGCAGGAAAACGCAAGUCUGCAAUCAGUUAAUUUUGAGGUGAAAAGAGUCAUCUUCGGGUUCAACAGGUAUGAUAGUCAAUGCACUUUCCCCCAAAACUAUUGCACAGAGAGUAGGCCAAAACAUUUUUUACUAAGAUAUUAGACAAAGUCCGAACAGAUAGAACAAUGUAAAUAAUAAAUAAGCAACCUGUACUUGUGUGAAAUUGUGUUCAAUACAUCCCUCAAAACUUAACAAAUCAAAUUUUAUUCUUAUAAAUUUUCGAAACUGAAAAAGAAACUACAAAUGUAUAAUUUAAAGAAUAUUAAUCAGCAUAUAACGUAUUUUCAAAUGUUAAAUUAUGUUAUUACAUGCAUAACUAUUGGGAUUCAUAGCCCCUUUUAACUUUACAGAAAAUUUGACACGAUUUUCAACCUCAAUUCUCUCACUUAAAUUCCUUAGGAAUUGCUUUCUUUAGCAAGCAGAGCACAAGAGACCAGAAACUUGUAUUUGAAAAAUAAAACUUGUAUUUGAAAAAUAAAACUUGAAUUGAUUAUUUUGUUUGUUUACAGACCAUUGUCCAUUUAUACACAAGGAAACAAAAGUGAUAGCUGGCUAAAAAUAACAAAUUCAGAUAAAACAAAAUAAUCCAGCAAUCAUUAGCCAAUGAUAUGAUGCUUCCAGAAUCUUCAUCCAUUCAUUCCAUGUGCUGGUAUUUCUCUGUGUAGCAGUUUUGCCACCUCAUUGAAUUUGCAUCAGCUGGUAAAUAGGUGUAGCUUAGGUGGCAUGCCAAUGUGUCACAUAGCUCAGCUGAUGACUUGUCAUGGCUGCUAUCUUCAACACCCUCUCUCAAACACAAGGUUUUGUCAAACACCUUGAGUUUGCUUCUGAAACAGCUGAAUUUAUAGUAAGGUAAUGGCUUGGUUAGGACAUCAGCUAUUUGGUCUCUGCCUGCAACAAAACUGAUUCCAACUCUCCUCUUGCUACCAUGUCUCUGAUAAAGUGUAGAUCUAUCUCGAAAUGCUUAGUUUUGGAGUGAAACACAGGAUUGGUUGCUAUUGCAGCUGCACUUGUGCUAUCACUUAGGAUUGUUGGUGUUCUUUGCAUUUCUAUUUUCAGCUCACUUAGCAGAGAACCAAUCCAUGUGAGUUCUGUGGUGCAAAGAGCCAUUGCUCUGUAUUCUGAUUUAGCCGUAGAUCUAGCAAAUAAGCCUUGCUUCCUUGAACUCCAAGCAAUGAGAUUUCCACCCAAGAAUACACAAUAACCACUGAUAGAUCUCCUGUCAUCCAAGUCAUUUGCCCAAUCUGCAUCCGUAUAAGCUAUUAGAUCAAAGUACUCUGAUCUUUUGAAUUUCAGACACAUGUUCAUGGUGCUUUUGAGAUACCUCAACACUCUUUUGCAUGCUAUCCAGUGAGGUUGCCUAGGAUCAGACAUGUAUUGGCUAAGCUUGUUCACUGAAUAAGCAAGCUCAGGUCUUGUGAGUAUUGAAUACUGCAGGCUACCUAUAAUACUUCGAUACAAUGUGGGAUCAUAAAACUUUUCUCCUUCAUUUUUCUUUAGUUUCUCUGUAGUACUGAAAGGUGACUCAAUUCCUUUACAGUCACUCAUCUCUAUUCUGGCAAGCAGAUCUUGUAUGUACUUGGUUUGAGAUAACAGAAUGGCAUUUUGGUUUCUGUUCACCUGAAUCCCCAGAAAGAAGUUCAGCUCCCCCAAGUCUUUUAAGGCAAAUGCUCUAUUUAAAUUACUGACCAGCUCUUCAAUACUACCACUGUUGUCACCUGUAAUGAUGAUGUCGUCAACAUAAAUCAGCAGUAUAACUAUCUCAGAUUUUAUUCUUCUAUAGAAUAGUGAGGUAUCACACUUUGAGUUUUCAAAUCCCCAAGAGUUCAAAGCACCCUUUAGUUUAUCAAACCAUACCCUGGGAGCUUGUCUCAAACCAUACAAUGCUUUCUUUAAUCUGCAUAUGUGAUUAGGCUUACUUUUGUCCACAAAACCUUCAGGCUGUGGCAUGUAAACCAUUUCUGUCAGCUCACCAUUCAAGAAGGCAUUAUUUAUGUCUACCUGCCUCAAACUCCAAUCAUUGUUUACUGCCAAGGUGAGAAUGAUUCUGAUUGUUGCAGCCUUAACAACAGGGCUGAAAGUUUCUGUAAAAUCAAUGCCUGGAAUCUGCAAAAAUCCCUUCACCACUAGUCUGGCCUUAUAUUUGUUUAUGGUUCCAUCUGGAUUCUCUUUAACUCUGUACACCCAUUUAUUUCCAAUCAACUUGCAACUUGAGUCACUUGGUACCAAGGUCCAUGUUUCAUUUUUCAGCAAGGCAUUGUAUUCAUCUUCCAUUGCCUUUUUCCAGUUUGGUUCUUUUAAGGCUUCUGAGGUGUUGAAGGGUAAUGCAGUCUGUGGUUGGGUAGAAGCUUGGUAUAUCUUUGGUUUAAAGAUACUUGCCUUAGAUCUUGUUACCAUAGGAUGUGAUGGUAUGGCUUCUUUUGUGUUUGGAACUAUGAUAGGAGAUGUAGAUUGGUCAUUUUCUUGAGGUUGGUGAUUUGUAUAGGGAGAGGACAUUUGAUUAUUUGACAUCAUAUCAUUGCUCAAGUUCUGAUGUGUCUUACCUUGGUCAAGGUUCUGGAAUUGUUCUGAAGCUUCAGGAGUUUCCAGAGAGUGGCCUUCAUCAACUGCUGUCUGAGUGUUUUGAGGAGUAUCAAGAGAAAAUGACACAACCUGAAAUUUUUCUAAGAGAGUAAUAAAAUCAUUUUGACUUGUGGACUCUUGUCUGCUGAACUUGGUGUCAUCAGAGAAAGGAAAUGAGCUUUCAUUGAAUCUGACACUUGCAGAGAUAUAUAUUCUACCUGAGUGAUGCAUGCAAACAUAUCCCUUGUGAGUUAUGCUUAUUCCUAGCAAUGUGCAUUUGACAGUAUGGAAAUCAAGCUUGUGUUUGUUAUAUGGCCUCAAAAAUGGAUAGCAUUCACAUCCAAAUACUCUGAUUUGUAAGUAAUUUGGUUUGUAAUGGUAAAGCAAUUCAAAGGGGGUUUUAUUUCCAAUAACAGGUGAGGCUAAUCUGUUGAUAAUGUAGGUGGCAUAAGUGAAAGCUUCUUGCCAGAAUUUUAAUGGCAUUUUGGCUUGUGCCAGCAAUGUGAGUCCAGUUUCUACCACAUGUCUGUGUUUUCUCUCAACCUUGCCAUUUUGUUCAUGUAGAUAUGGACAUGAUUGUCUCAAUGCUAUGCCCUCUUUGUCAAGAAAAGCCUUGAAUGGUUUAAAUUCUCCUCCCAUGUCUGUCUGUAAUGCUUUAAUUCUCAAAUUCAAUUGGUUUUCAAUUUGGCUUUUAAAGGUGAUGAAUGUAUUGAGAGCUUGGGAUUUUGUUGUCAAGGGAAACAGCCAGGUGUAUCUUGUCAUGUCAUCCACAAAAGAUAUGUAAUAUCUAUGUCCAUGACUUGAGGGAAUUGGUGCUAGUCCCCAUAAGUCAGCAUGAAUCAAUUCUAAGGCCUUGCUGGUUUUAAUUUCUGUGCUUUUAAAGUUUUGUUUAGAUUGUUUUCCAUACUGACAUGCACAACAAAAUGAAGGAACAGAAUUCUUGUUUAAUUUAAAUUGAUUACAAGACAACAUGGUGCUUUUCAGAGCAGACUCAUUUGGGUGCCCUAGUCUGAGAUGCCAGAGAUCAAUAUCUUUUAAAGCAUCAUUGCUUGAUCUAUCAAUUUCAGAGGACUCAACACAAACAUUUGCUAACUUGACACUACUCAAAUUAAAUGACAACAUAGACACUGGAUUGCUGAUGUAAUUUAUUGACUCAGGCAUGAAGGAAGAAGAUAAGACAGCAGCAUAACGAGUUUUGUUCCCACUCAGGUGAGUAGGUAAGCACAGCAGUUCAUAAAGCCCCUCUCUAGCCACUCCUUUCACAAGAAUUUUCCCUUGCCUCUUGUCCUUAAUAAAACACACAGAUUUUUUAAAUUCGAUAUCAAUGUCAUUAUCAUGCAAUAAUCUGGAAAUACUAAUGAGAUUUUUAGUGAUGCUUGGCACAAAUAAUAUGUCAUUCAAGGUGAUGUGUUUAUGUGGAUUUAAAGUGGAAAGCAUAGAGUUACCAAUGUGAGAAAUCAGGAGUUUUUCACCAUUUCCAACAAUUAGCUUUUCAUUACCUUGAUACUCAGAGUUGGUGUUUAUGUUGCUAAGGGCAUUUGUCACAUGGUUUGUGGCACCACUGUCCAAGUACCAGGCUCCACUGCUUUGGCCAUCAGUUGCAGCCACAUAUGCACCUCUUGGUUCCCUCAUUUGGCUUGGUUGUGGCACAUAAUUCUUUUUGAAUCUGUGCCAGCAAUCAGCAGCCGUGUGUCCCAUUUUCCAGCAAAUUUGACAAGGCCCCUUAGGAUUUGCACCAUCAUCAUCACUUACAGCUUUGCUCUUCCCUUUGUCAUGAGGAUUCUGAUUUCCUUGACCAUGACCAGAACCAUUGCCAGGGGUUCUGAAGACUAUGCCAGGUUGAUAUUGAUUUCCAGCCCUGUUCUGGUUGUUCCAAUUUCUUCUCCCAUUUCUCAUUUGUGUGUAGUUUGCUUCUAUAGUUCCUGAGCUUAGGUUGUGUUCAGUUUUGUUUUCCUGGCUGAGAAGCAUGCCAUAGACUUCAGAAUGUGAGGGACUUUCCUGCAUUGAAUUUAUGCUAGCAAUUACUGAAUCAUAUUCUGAUCCCAAACCAGCAAAUAUACACAUGAUAAAGUCAUCAUCACUCAUAUUACUCCCUGCUGCCCUAAGAGUAUUUAAUAUAGACUUCAUUCUAGAGUAAUACUCAUGAAUGGUUAGUGAGCCCUUUUUGAUGGUCUGGAUUUGUGUUCUGAGGUGUAGGAUUCUAGCUCUAGAUCUUGCACCAAAUUGAUUGGAGAGAGUUGUCCACACCUCAAAGGAGGUGGAACAAUCUACCACAGUGCCCAGUACAUCCUCACUAAGUGAAGAUAACAGCCAACUUAAGAGAAUGUGGUCCUGCUUUUUCCAGACUUGGUAAUUUGGGUUAGGUGUGGUGAUUAUUGUUUGAUCUUGUCCAAGGUUUAUGAAAUCUCUAGGAGGGCAGACAUGGCUGCCAUCUAUGAACCCCUCAAGUUCAUUUGCUCUAAUGCUGGAAAUCACUUGUGAUCUCCAGAGCAUGAAAUUGUUUUGAUUUAGCUUAAUGGGAGUUGUGAACACAUAUGUGCUGCUGGUAAUGUGUUGAGUGGGUGAGGGUGAGUUGUGACUCGAGUUUUGUUCAAUGUUUUGAGGAGUGUUUUGAUUUUCAUUUUGAUUCAAGUUUUCCAUCUGGUCGUUUGCUUGUGUGCUGCUGCUGCUUGCCAUAGCUUUGAAGAUGGCUCUGAUACCAACUUAAAUUCCUUAGGAAUUGCUUUCUUUAGCAAGCAGAGCACAAGAGACCAGAAACUUGUAUUUGAAAAAUAAAACUUGAAUUGAUUAUUUUGUUUGUUUACAGACCAUCGUCCAUUUAUACACAAGGAAACAAAAGUGACAGCUAGCUAAAAAUAACAAAUUCAGAUAAAACAAAAUAAUCCAACAAUUAUUAGCCAAUGAUAUGAUGCUUCCAGAAUCUUCAUCCAUUCAUUCCAUGUGCUGGUAUUUCUCUGUGUAGCAGUUUUGCCACCUCAUUGAAUUUGCAUCAGCUGGUAAAUAGGUGUAGCUUAGGUGGCAUGCCAAUGUGUCACAUAGCUCAGCUGAUGACUUGUCAUGGCUGCUAUCUUCAACACUCUCCCCUUUAUAAAUAUUUCAGUCUUUUGGGGUGUGGCUCCUCUACUUCCUUUCGGUUGAAAACUUUGCUUGGAUCUUCCAUUGAAUCCAUAGAAUCUGAGGCGUGAAAUAAAUGGAUCCCACAUUUUUUCACCCCACAACAGUCCAAAGUUUCAGUUUCAGAACCCAACACUUUCUUAAAAUAGAAUUGGACUGCCUCAGGAACGCAAUUGUAUUCCCAACAACCAUUUAGAUCCUGAUGAUUGAAGAAAUAGUACCCCAAAAGUAAGUGAUCAGGCUCUACAUAAUUAACUCGCCCCAGAUAUCUCUGUAUGACAUGCGGAUCACAAUCUUUGAGUUUGAUUUUGAAUUCACAGUAGAAUUUAAAAGACCAAUCCCUGACAUGAUGGUCUCGAAAUGCUACAAUAGCACAGAAAACAAAGCCGAGCACUUUGUUAUUACUGAAGCAACUUGGUUGCAUCUUCAAGGUUAUAGAAGAUCCCAUACCUUGAGAGCUAAACCACAUUGGAAUUUCAUUCCCAGGUAAAACGACAUGGCCUUGAAGAGCUGGAUAAGAUAUCUGCACCACAAAAAUCAUAAUUUUUAAAAUUAUAUUGUUGGCUUUAAUUUCAAGGAGAGGGGGAAAAAAAUUAGCAAACAUUGUAUAAAUUAAAAGGAAAGAGUUAAAGGCACACCUUUUCCCGUAUUUCUUUCCAACGUGCAGUUGCCAUUAGCUGAAUAUUUUGCAGAGCAUCUUCGACAAUACCUCUGAGCUUCCGAUCCAAUUUAAAAUUUUCGUUCAGGUAAAAAAAGACACAUUUAUAACUUGAGAAUAAACCUGAUAAUGAUUCCAAUGUCGUGCAAUGUUGUGCAUCCAACCAGUAUAGAUUGCAUGGAAGCUUUGGUAAGGAUUGAAGCCUCUCACAAUAACUUACGAGGAGACUUGACAACUUAGAAAGUCGUAUGAUGCUUUCUGGUAUUCUUUCAAAAUUGUUUCUCUCUAGAUACAAUUCUUCAAGUGAGGACAACAGGCCAAGGCUUUCAGGUAACUCUGUGAUGGCACAAUCAGUUAGAUAUAGAUACGUUAGACUGUACAAGCCAUCAAAAGGUAGUUUAAGACUCUUGAGACUUUUACAAUCUCCAAGGUCUAAGACGCAAAGCGCUGAGAGACACUCGAUGGGUGAGGGCAGCUCUUCAAUUGCAGAUCCUGUUAAGCAUAUCUCUUCCAGAGAUUUCAACUUACAUAGGCUGCUUGGGAGACUCUUAAGAUUUUUACAAUCUCCAAGGUUUAAUUCCAAAAGCCUAGAUAGACAUCCGAUGGAUGAGGGCAGUUCUUCAAUUGCAGUUCCAUCUAAAAGUAUUUUUUCUAUAUUACCAGCUGAUGAGAUCUCCGGAAGGCUCUUCAGUUUUGAGCAACCACUUAGAUUAAGGAUAACCAGCUUAUUCAGAUGUUGAAUCAACGAGGGGUUUGGAGUUUUGGUAAAAAUAUUGCAGGCAGCCAUGAUUAUCUGGUUUAACUUACCAUGAUGCUGCAUGCUCAAUCAAAAAAGAGGCCAAGACAUAUCAUUAGCAUGUACGAUAAUCAAAUAUUCCUAACACAUUGCCAAGAUUUAUUAAGAAAUAUCUACCUGGACACUUUCAGAAAGCUGUUCAAUAUUGCUGUGAGGCAUUUCAAGUAUAACAAGUUUCUCCGGAUGAAUAUUUGAAGGUAGUGAUUUAAAUGGAUAUCCAUGCCAGUGAAGAUACCUCACUUCAGCAAAUCUAAGGGCUCGAAAAUCAGAGACUUGACAUUUGUUCUCUCCAUUUAUUGAACUAUAAAAUUUCAAAAAUCUCAAUCUACACAUCUUUGUGAAAGUAUCGGGAUUUAGACAAAUCUCUUUCACUUUAGACAUAUCCAAGCAGAUGCCCUCAAUUUUUUCAGUCCCCUGAUCAUCAAUAAAAGACCAUACAUUUAAAAGCAAAUUUAGAAAAUUCAAGCUUGUAGUCAAUGUUGGGCAAGCAAACUCUAAGUUGCAAACUAAUUCAAGUAAUACUAAAUUAUUAAUUAUCAUUGCCAUGUCAACUUGAAAUUAUAAUUCAAUACAAAAGAUUACAUGCAAGUUGACAUGGCAAUUUUUAUUGCUCAUCACCUAUUCCCAGUUUUUGUGUUUUCAAUCACUGUCAAUCUUCUAUUAAUUCUAAAACUCAUCAUUUCGAGCUUAUAUAAGUAUUUGUAUAAGAAAUUUGUCAAUGCAAUAUUAUUCCAAAAUAAUAAUCCCAACAAAAUGCUUACCAUAUUAUAUGUAAGAACUCCAUAUAUAUCCUCAUGAUACCAUAACCGACUGCGGUUUCCAGGAUUAACUGAUUCUUGAAGGACAAUAUCCCUACCCAAUUCUUGUAGCAAAUCAUGCAUUGUUAUCCUGUCAUUGUUUGAUAUGACAAUAAGAGACUUAUCAACAAGAACACUUAUUCCUAUUUCUGGGUAGAAUCCGCUUGCAUCAAGGAACUUCAUUACUGAAUAUACAUCCUCACCUUUAAAGAAACAAGCAACAUCUAGGAAAAUAUUUUUCUCUUUAUCAUCCAAACCAUCAUAACUUAUUUUUAGUAUCUCUUGGAUACUUGGAUGGAGAAUACUUUUCAAUUUGUUUAUUGCACUUUUCCAGACUUCUUUUUCCCUUCCAAAUAGAAAGCAACCCAAAACUUUAAGAGCUAAAGGAACACCUUGAGCAUAUUCCAUUACCUUGCUUGAAAGUUCCUCAUAACCAACAACUGGAUGGGUUUGUUUGAAGGCAUGUCGACUAAAUAGCUCAAGAGCAUGAUCAUAUUCUAAUGCCUCCAUCUCAUAUAUUUUCUUCACACCCCAAUUUCUAAGCACUUGUUUAUCUCUUGUGGUUAUUAUUAUCCUACUCCCAGGCAUAAACCAAUCAAGACUUCCAAUUAAGGAUUCUAUUUGGUUGAAACACGACACAUCAUCAAAAACAAUUAGAAUUUUCCGACGGCUGAGCCUUCUAAAGCUCAGGGCAAUAUUAGGCAUCACAUUGUCAUCCUGCAAUAAUUUUGAAAGAAGUUUUAGUUGCAAGCAAGCUAAUCCUCCCGGUCUUACUGAUUCUUCUCUAACAUUUUGAAGGAAACAAGAACCUUCAAAAUCACUAGAGAUUUUUUCGAAAAUAGCUUUAGCAAUUGUUGUCUUGCCUAUACCACCGAUGCCCCAAAUCCCUAAAGUGUAAACAUCUUCCCAUUCAACACCUAAUAGAGAUUCAAUUUCCUCCACUCUAGAUUCUACUCCAACCAACUGGUUAUUGUUAACACACGGAAAAACUGUAGCCAGUCUCUUCAAAAUGUGAUUGACAACUUCCUUUACAAGUUUCGAUUCAGGCCUGGCAAAUACAUAAAAUAGUAGUAAGUUCAAAUAGGAGGGAUUUUCACCGAAUAUGUGUGUGAGGGAAUUCCCCCCGUCCUCUAAUGGUAUGUGAUGAAUGAUAGAUUGAAAUUGCUUAAAAUAUGACAGAACCUCAUUAAUUUUAUUAAACUUAUAAACUUCUCGAGCUUUUAUUAAUUCUGUCAAAUUUCUUUUGUAGGAGUUUAAAAGUCGGGAAGUCCACAAAACUAGAAUUUGUUCAGACGAUUCAGAAUUUAGCACACCAAAUGUAACUACCAAAGAUCAAUACCACAAAGCAGUCAGUCGAAAAAUAUUAUGAUGCCUAAAAAAUUUUAAGUAUAAUUCAGCAUAUUUAGCUCAGCAAAUGCAACAAACACUUUAACUAAGAAGUUAAAGUAACCUUUUACCUAAUGUUGAGGGAAUGAAAACCAGAAAAACUGGCCGCUUCUCUCAAAGCGUUCCUCCAAGUCUGCAGCUUCACUGAAUUCUCCUUAAAUCUUUCUUCAAGCUUCGAAAAUGAAUCCCCAAAAGACCCAGUUUGGUUUCUCACAUCUGACGGAUCAACGCGAUAAAAAACUGGUAUCACAAUUUGUGCAUAUUCUUUCCUGCAAUCGAGGAUCUUUAAAAGUUCAUCGAGACACCAUCUUGAAGAGGCAUAGCCUUCAGAGAAAAUGAUGAGUGAAAUGGCUGAUGCUUCUAUUGCAUUCAUAAGUGACUCUGAAAUUUCAUCUCCUCUGUUAAGUUGGUCAUCAAUGAAAGUUUCAAUACUUUUUUGAGACAAAGCUGAAAAAAGAUGGCUGGCAAAGUUGUCACGGGUGUCCUCUCCUCUGAAACUAAGAAAAACAUCAUACUUACUGUUUCGAGGUUUCAUCAAACUCAAACUGGUGGAUGGAUAAGAAGAAGAAGAAGAAGCAGAAACAGAAGCCAUCAGAGUUCAAUUGAUCUCAAAGAUUGUGAUCAAAUGAAAACAAUUAUUGACUCAAAUCUCAGUUACUGUAGUCUUGUACAGAGAUUAUAACGAUCUUGGAACCUACCAGGUGGUUUCUUGAUAAUUUUCAUCUCCUUCCCUAAGCAAUGCUUUGUUAACUUUUAGUUGAAACUAUUCCGCGUUAUUCAAGUGUAGAAAGAAAAAGUGAAUUCUAGCUAAAAAGGUGAAAGGUGUGAAUUCCCCAAAGGCACGAUAAUUUGGACAUGCACAACUUUAAAUCCUACUCUUUGCUUUACUGACAAGUUUGUCGGACCAUAACUAUUGGCAAUAGGGUCCUGUUCUAGGCUUUUCUAUUAAAAUGUGAACUCUCAAUUGCGAAAAAAAGCUAUUUAUUUUUCUAAAAUAUUCCAUAAACAUGCAAGAGAAUCCAAGGAGAGAUAUAACACUAAGACAGCGAUUGAACUGUCAAAAAAAAAAAAAAAACCUACACAAUUGAGACAACAGCAGAACUGUUUGCCUUUUUUAGUAGCAGAAUCUUCAACAGAGAAGUAAGUAUAUGAAAUACAGGGCCAUAAGAAAGGGGGCAUAAUAGUUAAUAUUUAAUAUAUUGGAUUUAUUAUUUUAAUAGUUUCUUUAUCUUUUAAUUUGACUCUUUCUUAAUGUAAUUAUUUUGUAUUUGAAUUGUAUUGUUAUAACACCCCAAUUCCACUAAUAAAAUACUAUCAUGAAAUUGAAGUGAAAUUGCAUUUCAUCAAUCUCAUUUCUAAAACACCAAAACAAAAUAAGUUAUAAAAUAACAUAUCCUCAAAUAAAUGUCAUCCUAGUGAAAGCUAAAAUACUCAUAAAUUAUUAACGUAACAUUAAUCCCUAAAAGAAAUUGGGCUCUUAUUCUUCCUCCUAAGACCAUAAGCUCAUACAUCAUCUAACUCCGUCUACAAAAAUGUGAUAAUGAGGGGUGAGUCUUCAACUCAGUAAGUAAAUUCAUGCACAAUACCAAAAAACCAUCAAAAUAUAAUUAUUUGAAUUUCUUAAAUAUACAUAAUAAUAAUAAAAGAAAUUACCUUUGUAAAUCAUCAUUUAACAAAUAUAAAUAAAAACAUAAAUUCAUUUAAAUCCUUUAAAUAAAACAAUAGCAUUUGAAACACAUAAAACAUAAUUAGUUCGUGCUACAUAGUAUCACCUAUACACCUGAACCGGCCAUAUCACAUCAUUCAGGGUAUUGUACCCCGCGAGAAUUAUUAAUAUUAACAUCGUAUGUACACAAAAUUCAACUAGCCUUCCAUAACAUAACAUAACAUCACUACGGAGAUUGAGCAAAAACAUUUAUAACCAUCCUUGAACUUUUAAUCAUUUGUAAACUUCCUUAAAUUACAUUUAAAUAAUUGAUAACUAUUUCAAAGUUUUUGACUUAAAACAAUUUAAUAAAAGUUUUCAUUUUUAAGACAAUUUAUAAAACAAGUUUUUAAUAAAUAAAGUUUUGCUAUAAAUAAUUUUAAGGAAUGAUUUUACUUAACAAAGUAUUGAAUUAGACUAAACAAAUCAGUUUCAUAUACUACUCAUUCAAUAUGAUACAUAUCAUAUUAACAAAGUAUCAUACAUGAAUCUACUUACCUUGAUCCUCAACAAUAAAAAGAACGAUAACCCCAACCUGUCAACCAUGAGCUCACUCUCGUCCUAAAAUAUCAAGAUACAUUCUUAUCAAUAUUUUUACUGAUUCUGACGUUGAUAUAAAUUCAACAUGAUCACGCCUAGUCAUAAGCCCUAGACCAUCAAAGCUAGUCUAAACUCAACUAUCCUAUACAAGCAGAUUUUUACCAAGCCAAUCAUUUGUCGGCAAAUUGUAAAAUCAAAGAAGAAAACCAUAAACAUGUAUAGUAUUUCAUAUAAAAAUUCAAAAAAAAUGAAGAAAAGUCAUAAAUGUAAUGCAAAAGGAAUUUUGCAUGCACAUAUCCACACUAUCCAACAGUGAUAAAAACAGAGACUGCUGAAUUAGAAAAUUUGUAAAAUAUUUAAUAAAACUCAUAAUAAUUAGAUCACUUGAUUUUCCAACAAUAGAAAAAUCAACAAACACUAUAUCAACUUUUUAGAAUUUUUGAAAAUGUAAAAUAAUUUUAAACAAAUUUAUAUUAAGAGACCAGCAAACCUAUCCAAAAACUUUAAGGUUUAUGUCUUGCAUUUCAACAAUUUAUAACUUAAUGCUAACUCAAUGAAAAUUAGUCAAAUAAACUUUAAAUCAUAGAGGAUUCAUAAUAUUAUAUGAAUAUAAUUUUUUUAUAGGUCAUUCUAAAGCCUCUUAACAGCCUAAAGUAAUUUUACCAUCACCCAUCAUAAUUUUGGGAAGUAGUUUCUGGAAUAGCAGCUGUAACACCCCAAUUCUAUUAACAAGGCACUAUGGUAGAAUUGAAGUGAAACUGCAUUUCAUAAUUCUCAUCUUUAAAACUUUCAAAGUAAUAACCAACAAUAAAUGUAACAUCCAAAAACUAACACGUGCGGAGCACGUGAAGAAGGAGGUUACUUACAAAUCGUAAACCUUACUCAUAAAUUUCAAACUGAAAUACCUCAAAUUCUUAUUCAAAUAAAUCCAUAAAUUCAUACGUCUAACACAAAUAAUCUCUCCCAAAACAUAACAAUAAAAAAAGUCUCAAACUCUAAAUUACAAGUUCAUAAUAGAAAUAAACUGAAUAGAAACAUGAGUCUAUUCCUCUUCUUAUUCAAAUAGCAAAUGGAAAGGAAAUCACUAACUCCAAAGCUACGCACACCUCUUAAAUGGAACUUAAUAUGUAAAAAGUAAUGACAAGGGGUGAGCCAUCAACUCGGUAAGUAAAAUCAUUCCUAACACACUAGGUUUUUUCGUUAACGAAGAUAUUGCAAGCCUUCUUUUUAGUAAAACAUAUUUCAUAAAUUCAUAAAUUUUAUAAAAGAGAUAUCACGAUAACAUAACAUAAAUUCUUAAUAAUUCAGAAUAUCCAAAAGCAUAUUUACUUAUGAAGCAAAUCAUAUAACACGUAUACAGAAAACAAAAGGUUAGCUCAUGUCACAUAGCGUCACCUAUAGUCCCAGUAACCCGGCCAGAAACGGAAUCAGAAUAUCGUGUUCACACUCAGAACAAAACCCAAUACUAGUCCAGAUAGAUAUAUCGUAUAUUACGAUCAGAAUCAGAAUAAAAAUCAGAAUAACUGUAACACCCCAAAAAUUACCCAAGAAAAUACAAGGGUAAAAUUGGAAUGAAAACCUCACAUCUUUUAUCCUUCUUAAUAAAUCUCAAGAUAGACAAUUAUUAUUCAUACUCCAAUUGAAUCCUUACAUAAAACAUCUGAAAUAAAGUCUCCAAAAUAAAGUUUCUAAUCCAAAAUAAAAAGUCUAGCCAAAUUUAAUCUUUAAAGCAACUCCAAAGAUCCACUAAGAAAAAUUCUCCAUUUAAGCACCCAAGCCAUAUUUCUAAUCAAUCUGCAAAAUAUUAGAGACGAGGAGUGAGCCGUCAACUCGAUAAGCAAAUCCAUGCACAAUAUUUGAAAACCUUUGUCAUGUAUCGUUAAACAUUUUAUAACAACAUCUUCAUUUAGCAUAAGGGGUGGAUUCAUAUAAAAACAUUAAAACAUUUAUAAAAACAUUAAAGCGUAAACAUUGGUAGCUCAUGCCUCGUAGUCAUCAUCAUUCAUCAUUCAUCAUUUAGGGUGUUGUACCCCGCAUUGUUCCUCAUUCAGAGUACUAUACCCCACAUUGUUCGUAACAUCCUUGUGCACAAGAUCAUCAUCAUACCAGCAAGCUGGCCAUAAUAUUUCAUAACAUCAUAACAUUAACAUCAUAUACAUUACUACGGACUAUGAGCCAAAACAUUUUUGAAUCCACCAUACAUUCUUUCAUAAAUAGCAUUUAAAGUCUUCUAAAACAUUUAAGAACCUUUCUUUGAUCAUUUAAUUCUUUUAGGAAAUUCUUUAAGAAAACAUUUUGUUUAAGAAAACUAAUUUCUUAAGAAAAAUUCAUUUUAAAAUAAUUUUAUAUAAAUUCAUUUAAAAGUGUUUUUAUUUUACAAAAUUCAUUUAAAUAUUUUAGAAAUCAGUUUUGUAAAAAUUUCUAUUUAAACAUAAUUUUUGUAACAUAAAUUGCAUUUAUUAUAAAGCACAUCAUGCAUGAAUCUACUUACCUUGAUCCGUAGCAAUCAAUUCAAUACCUCAAGAAUAACCAACGAGCUCACCCUCGUCCUAUAAUCAUCAUAAAAAUAUUCUUAUCAAUAUCAUCUCUAACCUUAAACAUAAUCCCAAUCAUCCUUAAAUCAUAGACACUAAUACUACGUUAAUACUUAUACAUAUUCUAAACAUAUCCUAUACUUAUGAGUAUCCUGCACAUGCUGAUUUUUAAUAACCUAUACACAUGUCGGAAAACCAUGAAAAUUUACAGAGGCACUGUGAACAUGCAUAACAUUGCAAUAUUUCACAAAAAAUCAGCACAAGUCAAAAUCGAGUCAGAAUAUUGACCUUUCACCAAAGUAACAAAAACUGUCCAGCACUGACCAAAACAGACCUUUUCUAUUAAGAAAAUUCAUAAAAUAUUCUUUGGUACUCGAAAUAAUAUGCUUCUUUUUUCUAAUUACAGAAGACACAUUCAAAAAGCAUAUAAUUAAAAUUCAUAAUUUUUGGACUCCUGAAACUAUUUUAAAACGUUUUAUUUCCGAGAACAUCUAACCCGUCCAGAAAAUUCCAGAUUUGAAAACAGAAUUUCAAAAAUUCGUAUCUUUUAUUUUACAUGCCCAAAAAUCGCGAUUCCAGUUUUUAAAGACAGAGGAAAGAUUGAAAUUUCAUUAUAAAAUCCUAAGAUGGCCUGUAAUAUUCAUAAACUAGCCCAACUGUUACACGUUUCAGCUUCUGAAAUUCUGGAAAACAGUUUCCAGAUUUGCAGCAGCCAUAUGUUACGAUUUUUAGUAAUUCAACCAUAAAGAAUAAAACUACGAAAUUAAACAUGCAACCAUAGGAGACAUAGAUCUGUUGGUACAAAAAUCGGCAUAAUUUUAAAGGAUGUGUAACCUUAUAGAAAAUUUUCCAGAGUUGAGAACCACUGCUGAAAAUCGGAAUUUUCCAGCACCGGUUACCCAACUUCGAAAACCCAUAACAAUUUGCAUACUCAGACAAUUUCAACACAAAACCUAUCAAUGGAAAGCCUAGGAUGUCUAGUUCCAUGAUAUGUAAGAUAUUCACGUGAUUCUAAAUAAAGAAAACGAUUUCAAGUAAGGAAUAGAGAGUAUUCAUAUCAUCACAACAUUACAAACACACACAUAUUACCCAAAUCAUACUACAAGUAAUUAAAGGCAAACAAUUCCAUAAAAAUAAAUUAUAUAAGUCGAAGAAAUACUUAAUACCUUAAGGCAAACACUAAGAAAAGAAGUGAUAAAACUUUCUUUUCUUUCUCCAAAGACUUAUAUUUCCUUCUUUUCAUUCUAGGGUUUGUAACGGUGUAAAAAUAAAAGACGGCUUCUUAAAAAGAUGACUUUCUCUUAAAUACUUGGUAAUUAAUAAAUAUUUUAAAAAAUUAAUAACUUAUGGAACUUAUUUAAAAAAAUCCGAUAAAUUUUACUCACACACAAACACUCAAUAAUAACUAUCCUAUUCAAUUUAAUAAGGGCAAAAGAGGAAAAAUAAAUAAAUAAAUAAAACUAGGCGUUACAAUAACUAUGGACAAUGAGCCAAAACAUAAUGACUUAUAUGUGGCACUUUGCACUAUAUGUGGCACUUUGCGACGCUUUGGCCUUCAAGAGGUGGCCCCUAUAUAGUCCCAAGAGGUGGCCCCUGUACAAUCAUAAAUAAUUAAAAACAUUCAUAAGCACAAAAAUAUUCGUAUCAAUUUCAUAAAUGUCCAUAACAACAAUUUAGGCUUGCAAAAUAUUUUAUAAAUAAAAUCAUAAAAGUAGGCAUGUAACAAAAUAAUUUGCAUAUUUAAAAAGCAUUUGUUAAAUACUUUGUUCGAAAGAAUUUAGGUUUGAAAACAUUUUCAUAAACUAAUUUUGUUAUGAAAAUCCAUUAAUCUUCUAAGUAGUAUAAAAACAUUUAUACUUAUAAUAAUAAUAUCAAAAUACUGAUACAUAUCCAGUAACUAGGAAUGAAGUUGCUUACCUCGACAAAAGAAUUUGAAUUAACACACCUCUAUGCUUCUAAGAGCCUCAAUCACCUCCAACACCUUAAACAAAUACAAGGUAUGACAAUUAAUAACUUAUUCUAAGAACCUGGUUUUUCUAAUUUAUACAUGUGCAGGUCUGAUUCUCAGACUUUUAACUCUUAAUCGAAAACUGAGAAUGACAUAAUAUUCUACAAGACUAUUCUGGACAUCCAUGGGUACCUCAUGUAACAUUUUCAAUAGGAUCUGAUACCAAAAACAUUUUCAAAACUAUUUAUUACUAGACAAAUUCGAAACUGUUUUCACAGUACCUUAACCAAACAGAAUGGGUUCUGAGAUUUUUAUAAAAUACAAUACUGAUCAGAAACUUAUAGAAUUAAAACUGGGAAUACUAGACACAUAUAUUAACUUCCAUAUACAAGUUCAUAAUUGUUAGAGUUCAUUUGAUAGUACAAAUAAAUUUCUCAUUCUGAUCACAUUGCUGAAAUCGCAGUUUUCCAGUGCAGUGGUGUCUAUUUCGAAAAUACAUAUAAAAUUGAAAACGAAGUCGAAUUUAAUGAAAUAAAAUUUAUUCACGAAUCCAUACAUGUCUAGUUUCCAGAAAUAUAAAUUUCAUGAGAAAAAUCGUUCAGAAGAUAUAGGUUUAAAUUCGAGAUACUCAUGCUGUCCAGAAUUAUCCUGUGUGCUUAAUACGUCAAGGGUUGAUUAACUAAACUCAUAAUAAAUAAAAAACCCUAAAAAAAGCCUAAACACGUUCUAAAUAUCAUGCAUUAUGAUCUAUAAAAAUCUAAAAUCAUGCCAGUAUAAACCCUAGAUAGAGUGAUUUGAAAUCUUAUGGGGAAUAAGGGGAGUAAACUUACCAAUUGCUUUGAUUCUCUUCUAAACAAAGGCUUGAAUCCUAGUGUUUGGGUAAGAGCGUAAUGAGCAGCAAAGAAGAAGAAGAAACGUCGUGAAUUUAGGGUUAUGGAAGAGGAAAAAUAUGAAUUUAUAGGGAGUCUUAAGUAACCCUAUUGAAUUUGGAAAAAUAAUCAUUUUCCAAAAUUAUCUCAUAAAUAACCCUUAUUUAUAAUUUAAUAUCCCUUUCUAAUAAGGGUUAUAGGCCACACAUGAUUCAUAAUGAAAGCCCAAUUUCCAUAAUUUAAUGUUAUGGAAAUUUGCGGCGUUACAAUAAAAGUUCUAAACCUAUAAAAGAAUUUAAAUAAAUUCUAAAAUAACAUAUCCUCAAUAAAUAUCAUCCCAAAGGAAGUUAAAAUUGUUCUUAGAUUAUCAACAUAACAUUAAUCCCCAAAAGAAACAGAGCUCUUAUUCUCCCUCAUAUGACCUUGAGCUCACAUAAUCUAAGUCUAUCUGCAAAAAAUGUGGUAAUAAGGGAUGAGCCGUCAACUCGAUAAGUAAGUUCAUGCACAAUACUAAAAACUAUUAAAAUAUAAUUUAAUAAAACUUCUUAGAUAUACAUAACAAUAAGAGAAAUUAUCCUUGUAAAUCAUCAUUUAGCAAAAAUAAAUCACAUCAUAAUAAAGCCAUUUAAAUCCUUUGAACAUAACAAAAGCAUUUUAAACACAUAAAACUUAAUUAGCUCAUGCCACAUAGCAUCACCUGUAGACCCGGUGAGCCGGCCGUAUAACAUAAUUCAGGGUACUAUACCCCACGAGAUUCAUUAACAUUAACAUCAUAUGUACACAUAAUCCGGCUAGCCUUCCAUAAAAUAACAUAACAAAACAUCACUACGGACAAUCAGUCAAAACAUUUAAAAUCAUCCUUGAACUUUUAAUCGCUUGUAAACUUCCAUAAAUUACAUUUAAAUAAUUCAUAAUUAUUUCAAAAUAUAUUACUUAAAACAAUUUAAUAAAAAUCUUCAUUUUUAAAACAAUUUACAAAGCAAGUUCUCAAUAAAUAAAGUUUUGUUGUAAAUAAUUUCAAAGAAUGAUUUUACUUUAAAAAUAUUGAAAAAGACUAAACAAAUCAAUUUCAUAUAUUUUUCUUUUAACAUAAUACAUACCUUGAAUCAAAAGUAAUAAAUACAUGUACCAUGCAUGAAUCUACUUACCUCAAUCCUCAACAAUAAAAAGAAUGAUAACCUCAACCACGGCUCACUGUCGUUCUAAAACAUCAAGGCACAUUCUUAUCAAUAUUAUUACCCAUUCUGACCUUGUUAUAAAUCCAACAUAAUCAAGCCUAGUCAUAAGCACUAAACCAUCAAAGUUAGUCUAAACCCGACUAUCCUAUACAAGCUCAUUUUUACCAAGCUAACCAUAUGUUUGAAAAUUGUAAACUCAGAGAAAAGAAACCAUAAACAGGUGUAACAUUUCAUAUAAAAUUCAAAAAAAUGAAUAAAAGUCAGAAACAUAACGGAAAAAGAAUUUUUACAUGUAAAUGUCAACAUUGUCCAGCAGUGAUAAAAACAGAGAUAGCUGAAUUAGAAAAUUCAUAAAAUAUUUAAUAGAACUCAUAAAAAUUAAUUCACUUGAUUUUACAAAGUAAAAACAUCAAGAAACAACACAUCAAAUUCCUAGAACUUUUAACUAUUUUAAACGAAUUUAUAUUAAGAGACUAGCAAACCUGUCCAAGAACUUUCAGGUUCAUGUUUUGCACUUCAAAAAUUCAUAACUUAAUGGUCACUCAAUGAAAUCAGUCAAAUAAACUUAAAAUCGUUGAGAAUUCAUAAAAUUAUAUGAAUAUAAUUUUUAUAGAUCCUUCUAAAGUCUUUUAACAUCUAAAAUAAUUUUAUUAUCAGCCAUCGCAAUUCUAGAAAGCAGUUUCCAGAACUGUAGCGGCCCAACAUAAUGAUUUUUAAUAAUUUUUGUACUCAACGAAAAAUUAUGAAAUUAAAUAUGCAGUAAGUAGACAUAACGAAGAUUAAACAGAAAAAUCAACAUAAUUUGCAAACAUCAUUUGGAAUUUUCCAGCACCACUGUUCCAACUUCGAAAAUUCACAAAAAAUUGAUUACUUGGAAUCUCUUUGCACGUAAUAUAUCAUUGAAAACCUUAUGAUGUAUAAUUUAAUUUUAUGAAAACUCCGUGCAGAAAUGAAAUCAAUAAUAAAGGAAAAAUAAUAAUAAAAUCACAGCAGUCAUGUCUCAUCAUACCUAGCUAGUCAUUCAUGAUAAAGAGAACAAUGUGUGCUUUUAUUAUCAAAAACAUAGAUUAGAGAACAUGUACUAGAGGAGGAUAAUUACCUCAAAAUUAAUUUCAAACGUGCAUAAAAAAAAAAGCCUAGAAUUCUUUGCUUUUAUACGGUUAUUAUGUUAAAGAGUUUUAAUUGUAGAGAGAAAGAAAGAGUUUGAGUUUUAUAAAUAUACUUUUAAAAAAAUAAAUAAAUAAAAGAAUUAUGCUUUAUCUCAAAUAAUGCUAAUUCAAAUAAUUUAACACAAACAAACGAUAAACAACUAAACAAAUAAGCAUUAACAAACAAACAAGGAACAGUUAUUAUAGCAGUAGCCCAACAUACCGAUUUUAAUAAUUUUUAUACUCAACCAAAAAUUAUGAAAUUAAGCAUAUAGUAACUAGACAUAAUGAGAUUAAAAGAAAAAUCAAAAUAAUUUUCAGACAUCAUUUGGAUUGUCAGAAAAAUCGGCAAAAUUAGACCUGCUGCUGAAAAUGAAAAAUUUCCAUCACCAUUGUUCCAAAUUCGAAAAUUCAUAAAAAAUUAGUUAUUUAGAAUCUCUUCGCACAAAAUAUGUCAUUGAAAACCUUCGGAAUUUCUAUGGAAACUUUCGUGCAGAAAUUGUCAAAAAAAUAAAGGGAAAGCGUAAUCAAAUCAUAGCACUCAUGCCUCAUAAUGCUUAGGUAGUCAUGUUAUUCCCUAAAUCUUCAUAAGAAUCCAGAUUAAAAUUAUUGAGUACUAUAAUUUCGAAAGCGUACCUGAAUCCAUCGUUGUUGCACAAAGAUUUCUUGAUUUUAAGUGAUGGUCUUCCAAUCUAAUCUCUUCUCCUUGAUUAAUAAUUCUCGUUGAGAGGAUUUUUUGAAUUACUAAGAGUUAAGAGAGAUAAGGGACCAUAACCUCCUUUUCAAAAUAAUGUAAUCGACAGUUUUAAUAAAAAAACCGUUUAGCAGUUAUCAUGUGUUUAUUAUCACUUCAGCCCCUCAUUAAAGUGAUAAUUAAAACUCUGGUAUCUAUGCAUUUAACCCACAACAAUUAUACCCUUAGCCAUUUAAUUAGUAUUAAAUAGAUCACAUAAUUAUUAGAUAACUAAAUAAUAGCACACACAUUUUAUUUGUUUCAUGUGUGGCCCCGAAUAUUAGAUUAAUUAAAAAUUAAUCUAACAAUCUCCCACUGGGCCACAAAUGAAAACAAAAUGUGUUUAACUUAAUGAGCUCACAAAAUAGCUAUUAUGUCCUUAGAGUAUAUUUGGGCAAUCUCGUCCAUUAACCACAUUGAUAUAGGAUCAUAGCGGCCUUUGUUACAUUAGUCGUAACUCAACCCAUCAAUAGUCACAUAUAUCAAUACAGUUAAAUGACAUAGACCGAUUGUGGAUACAUAGCAUGGAAAUUACAUGGAAUGUGAUUUAAACAUGUCUAUUCCCAACUGGUCAUACUUUAAUUUAUUGAGAUCUAAACUUAAUUAUCCUAACAGAGUGUAAAGAACUGAAAUACUUUAUUUCUGCAUAAAAUAAUCCGAAUUACAUAAUUAAAAUCCAAAAGCCACACAUAGUAAAUAAUACAAACUCUCACUAAAUCUGAAUAUCCUCAAGUAAAAUCACACCCAUAUGAGCAAUGUGCUCAUGAAAGACCUUAGGUGGCAAUCCUUAGUGAGCGGAUCCACUAUCAUGGAGUUUGUUCCAAUGUGCUCUAUAGAUAUUUGUCCACUCUGCACUCUUUCUUUCACAACAAGGAACUUGAUUUCAAUGUGUUUUGACUUUGUAGAGCUCAUGUUGUUGUUGGAAUAUAAAACUAUUGACUUAUUGUCACAAAAUAUCUUGAGUGGUCUUUCUACACCCUCUAGAAUGCGUAGCCUAGUGACAAACUUAUGCAGCCAUAUUCCUUGAUUGGAUGCCUCAUAACAUGCUACAAACUCUGCUGCCAUAGUCGAUGAAGCUACGAGUGUCUGCUUGGCAGAUCUCCAAGAAAUUGCUCCACCAGCCAACAUGUAAAUAUAGCCUGGUGUGGAUCUUCUACUCUCUUUGCAUCCAGCAAAAUCAGAGUCGGAAUACCCAAUGAUCUCUAAUUGAUCCGAUCUCCUGUAUGUGAGCAUGUACUCUUUUGUCAUCUGUAAGUACCUCAUAAUCCGCUUGGCUGCUUUCCAAUGAUCCAUGCCAGGAUUGCUUAAAUAUCUGCCUAACAUGCCAACUAUGAACGCAAUAUCUGGACGCGUACAUACUUGAGCAUACAUAAGACUCCCUAAAGCUGAAGAAUAAAGAAUCUUUUGCAUUUCCUUGAUUUCAAGAUUGGUCUUAGGGCAUUAACUAAGGCUGAAUUUAUCUCCUUUGGCGACAUGGGUGUCACUUGGUUUACUGUUUUGCAUGCCAAACCUCUUCAAAACUUUAUUGAUAUAGUUCCUUUUUGACAAUCCCAGAAUACCCCGAGAACGAUCCCAAUGUAUCUCGAUUCCUAAAACAAAGGAGGCAUCACCAAGAUCUUUCAUCUUCAAAUGUUUUGAUAGAAAACUCUUGGUGUCGUGCAGUAUGCCUAUAUCAUUUGUGGCAAGCAAUAUGUCAUCAACAUAUAAAACCAAGAAUAUAUGUUUACUCCCACUGAACUUGUGAUACACACAUUCAUCAAUAACAUUUGCCUCAAAACCAUAUGAGAUAAUUAUUUGAUGAAACUUAAAGUACCACUGAUGAGAAGCUUGUUUAAGCCCAUAGAUGGAUUUGGUUAGCUUACAAACCAUAUUCUUUGGAUCUCCUGACACAAAAUUUUCUGAUUGUACCAUAUAAAUUGUUUCAUCUACGUCACCAUUGAGGAAUGCUGUCUUAACAUCCAUCUGAUGUAACUCAAGGUCAAAAUGUGCAACAAGUGCCAUAAUUGUCCUAAAAGAGUCUUUCGUAGAAACCGAAGAGAAAGUCUCUUUAUAGUCAAUUAUUUUCUUUUGAGUAAAGCUUUUAGCUACAAGACGUGCUUUAUAUCUCUCCACAUUACCAUUUGAAUCUCUUUUAGUUUUAAAUAUCCAUUUACAACCAAUGGGCUUCGCACUAGAAGGUAAUGCGAUAAGUUCCCAAACUUUAUUGUCUUGCAUCCACUUGUACUCUUCAUUCAUGGCUUCAGUCCAUUUGUGAGAGUUGGAACCUUGCAUGGCUUGAUGGAAAUUGAUUGGAUCGUCUUCCAUCACUCCAGUUUCAUCCCCAUAUUCCUGAAGAAAUACUAUGUAAUCAUCCGGAAUUGCAUUUCUCCUUUCUGUCGUGGAUCAUCUUAAUUGCACAGGCUCUUGAGGUUGUUGAGUUUGAUUCUCAUGAACAAUUAUCUCAUUUUGAAUGAGGGGUUGAACAACAUUGUCUAAUGAUUGAGGAUCCAAAUUUACUUCUUGCUUAAUGACAGGUAUUGAAACCUGUACAUUGUCAAAAGCAACAUUGGAUCUCUCUUCCUCUUCAAAGACAAUUGUCCUCACUGGAUUUCUCUCCCCAAACUCAACAUCCUAAAACAAUACUGCAGUUCCCGUCUAAAAAAUUAAUUGUGUAAUAGAAUCAUAAAACUUAAACCCCGUUGCUUAUAGUUUUGGAAUCCAAUUCUUUUCAUGAGGCCUGUAAGGCCUCGCUUCAGCUGGACAUCCCUAAAUAUGUAAAUGCUUUAGACUAGGCUUUCGACCCGUCCAAAGCUCAUAUGGCGUUUUAGCAGCCACUUUAGUUGGCACUUGAUUUAAGAUAUAAGCUGCUGUUUUGAGUGCUUCACCCCAGAGUGAUUCUGGUAAAGUAGAAUAACUAAUCAUACUCCUCACCAUAUCCUUAAGAGUUUGGUUUCGUCUCUUAGAUACACCAUUCAUGCUAGGUGAUCCUGGCAUGGUAUAUUGAGGGACAAUUCCACAUUCUUCUAGGUAUUUAGCAAACGGUCUUGGGCGUUGUUCACCUGAACCAUCAUAUUUAUCGUAGUAUUCACCACCACGAUCAGACCUGACGUUUUUAAUCCUUUUGUUGAGUUGUAACUCAACUUCGGCUUCAAACAUUUUGAACACAUCCAAAGACUGUGAUUUUUCAUGAAUUAGAAAUAUAUAGCCAUAUCUCGAAUAGUCGUCUAUGAAUGUAAUGAAAUACUGUUGACCAUUCCAAGUAGCUGUGGAGAAUGUUCCACAGACAUCUGUAUGAAUUAAUUCUAAGACGUCUGAAGUUCUGUAGGCUCCUAAUUUCUUACUUUUGGUUUGUUUUCCCUUGAUACACUCAAUACAAACAUCAAGGUUUGUAAAAUCAAGAGAUCCUAAAAUCCCAUCAGACACUAAUCGCUCAAUUCUAGCUUUAGAGAUGUGACCUAAGCAUUUGUGCCAUAAUGAGGCUUAAUUUUCUUUCUCUAAUUUACGCUUUGUACUUCUGGAACUAAAAUGCAGGUUUUCAUUAUAACUUGAAACAGUUUCUAACAAAUAUAGAUUGUCAUAAGCAUUAAGCAAACCGGUUCCAAUAACAUUAAAAUUGAUAGAUAAACUAAAUUGUCUGUUUACAAAUGAACAAGAAUAACCAGAUUUGUCCAAAAUAGAAACUGAAAUCAAAUUCCGUCUAAAAGACGGAACAACAAAAGUAUCUAACAAAUCCAAAUAACAACCAAUUUUCAUAAGUAAUCUAAAAUGCCCAAUUGCUUCAACUUCUACCGUCUUGCCAUCUCCUACAUAAAUGCCUCUUUCAGCAUCACUUGGCGGCCAAUAGCUCAGGCAACCCUACAGUGAAACACAAAUGUGAGUAGUAGCACCCGAAUCUAUCCACCAUGUGUUUCUUGGUAUUGAAGCUAAAUUAGUUUCAGAACAAACUAAAGUAAGAAAUGUACUUUUCUUUACGCGCCAUGCAUGAUAUUUUUGACAUUCCUUCUUCACAUGUCCAGGCUUGCCGCAGAAGAAACAGCCAUGCUCGGCCUUUGGUUUCUUUGGCUCUGGACCCUUAGAAGCAGCAGCUUCACCCUUUUUCUUUCUUUUGCCCUUAUCUUUAAAAGUGCUUACAAUAUAUGCAUAUUCAGUUUUCUCUUGCUUCAGUCUCUCUUCUUCUUGCACACAAAAGGAAAUCAAUUCAUUGAGAUUCCACUUCUCUUUCUGACAGUUGUAAUUGACUUUGAAUUGAUUAAAUUGUGCUGGGAGAGAAAUAAGGACCAAAUGCACAACCAAAUCAUCAGAUAGGUCGAGCCCUAAUGCCUUAAGCUUAGAAGCAAGAUGAGACAUCUCCAUGAUGUACUCCCGAACGUUUCCCUUGCCUUUAUACUUCAUUGAAAUCAAGCUCGCUAAAUGCGUACUUGUUUCAGCCUUAUUAUUUUUUGUAAAACGUUUCUGAAUUUCGGCAAGAAACUCACUAGCACUUGUAACCUCAUCGAUUAUAGCACUCCUAAAUACUUCUGGAACACCGCGCUUCAUGAUCAUAAGACUCAUCCUGUUAGAUCGAUUCAACUUCUCAUAGUACAACACAUCCUCAGAUGUACUAUCAUCAGUGAGUUCGUCCAGCUUAGGGUGUCUGAAUGAUAAAUCUAGAUCCAUGCAACCUAAGAGAAUCAUCAUAUUCUCUUUCCAAUCCUUAAAAUUAGUCCCAUUCAGAACCGAGAUACUAUUCAUAUUUAUAGAUAUAGAAGUAGCAGACAAAAAAGCUGAAUCGAGAAAAAAAGUAAAUAAAAUAUAAAUAAAUAAAUAAUGCUCACAUUAAACAACUCAAUUAAUAAUCUUUAAAAUUUAAAAGCAAAUUAUAACAAUUCAAGAUACCUAGCACAACAUUAGUAACAAGUCUUUGGACUAUAAUACUAACUGUAAAUGGUACUCUUGUUGCAAUGAUCAAAUUUUGACAAUAAGUUAUGUCAAGUAAUGAACCUAUCUUUGGAUUAGUACAUUACUCACAUUAAGUUAUCCUAAUAAUCGUCAUAAAUUUACCAUCACAAGUGUGUGUGCAAUUAGGCCAAAUAUUAACCUUCCUUAGGGUCGAUUAACAUCCGCAGGAAUUUCACAAACACAAACAUCUAACACCCCAAAUAAACUAAUCUACACAAGAGAUAUCACUUUGGUGACUUCCCGCUUUAAUUAGUAUAUUUUCAAUGUUAGACCAAUAAUUAACAUAAAUGUUACAAAGCAUUUUAAUUUAAAGAUUAUAAAACCGGAACUGUACAAAUCAAAUUGAUUUGAUUUCAUUAGCAUAUUAUAUAUUUGCCCAGUUUGAAACCAAUUAUAAUGCACUUAAAACAUGGCCACUGAAAGAAUUAAAAAAACUCAAUUCAUGUGAUUGAAUUUGAAAUCAUUAUUAAACCCGAAACCGUGACAUACAUGGCCACUGCAACUUUAUUGAUUUGAUUUAAUUUAAAAUUAUAAUUAAACUGAAAUCGAAAUUAGAACAUGCAUGGCCACCGAACUUAGAAUCAAAGCAAGAUCUUGAAACUUUGCACAUGAUUUCACGUGUGCAAUCCACCAAUAGUUUCGUUUCGUCAUGAGGCCAAUAAAACCAAUUCAACUAUUCCCGAUAACUAAGUCAAGGAUUAACAGUUUAAUUCUAAUAUAACCAUUAAUCAAUAAUUACAACUCAAUAAUCUAAUCAUAGAUGAGGCUCUGAUACCACUUGUUAUUCCCUAAAUCUUCAUAAGAAUCCAGAUUAAAAUUAUUGAGUAUUAUAAUUUUGGAAGCGUACCUGAAUCCACCAUUGUUGCACAAAGAUUUCUUGAUUUUAAGUGAUGGUCUUCCAAUCUAAUCUCUUCUCCUUGAUUAAUAAUUCUCGUUGAGAGGAUUUUUAGAAUUACUAAGAGUUAAGAGAGAUUGGGGACCAUAACCUCCUUUUUAAAAUAACGUAAUCGACAGUUUUAAUAAAAAAUCGUUUAGCAGUUAUCAUGUGUUUAUUAUCACUUCAGCCCCUCAUUAAAGUGAUAAUUAAAACUCUGGUAUCUAUGCAUUUAACCCACAACAAUUAUACAUUUAGCCAUUUAAUUAAUAUUAAAUAGAUCACAUAAUUAUUAGCUAACUAAAUAAUAGCACACACAUUUUAUUUGUUUCAUGUGUGGCCCCGAAUAUUAGGUUAAUUAAAAAUUAAUCUAACAAGUCAUUCAUGAUAAAGAGAAUAAUGCAUGCAUUCAUCAUCAAACACAUAAGAUUAGAGAACAUGUAUUAGAGAAGGAUAAUUACCUCAAAACUUCUUUCAAAUAUGCUAAAAGAGAACCCUAGGAUUCUUUGCUUUUCUAGGUUUAAUAGGAAGAGUUUAAGUUUAUAAAAACACUUGCUUUUAUACAAAUACAUUAUACGAUAAUGAUAAUAUUCUCUGAUAAUUUAUUUUAAAAACAAAAAUAAAAAAUUAUACCUUAUCUCAAAUAAUGCUAAUUAAAAUAAAUUAACACAAACAAACAAUAUACAAUUAAAUAGAUUAGAAUAAUCCAACAAACAAGGAACAUGUGUUACAAUUUCUCCCCAGUAAAAAAGAAUUCAUUCUCAAAAUUUAGUAUGUUACCUCAAUCAUCAACAAGUUGAGGAUACUUUUCCCUUAUCUCAACCUCUCGCUCCUAAGUAGCCUCCUCUACAGUAUGAUUCAUCCGGCGAACCUUUACUAGUGGAAUGACUUGAGUUCUUAAGACUUGCUCUUUCUUGUCAAUAAUCUCCAUUGGUUGCUCUUCGUAAGUCAAAACAUUCGAGAUUUAGAGAGGUUGGUAAUCCAAUAGGCUUAAGAUGCUUGGAGGCAAGGUUAUUCAAUAAGCAAUUGUACAAAUCCUCUCAAUAAUCUAAAAAUGCCCAAUAAACCGUGGGUUGAGUUUACCUUUCUUUCAAAAUCGAAAAACACCAUUCCACAGUGAGACUUUCAAGAAGAUAUGGUCUCUAAUAUGAAACUCCAGAUCUUAUCUAUGCCGAUCAACAUAACUUUUCUAUAUGUUUUGAACUAUACGGAGACUGUUGAUAAGCUUAACCUUAUCUGCAGUAAUCUAAACCAAUUUUGGCCCUAAUAACUUGCUCUCACCAACUUCAUCCCAACAAAUGGGUGAUCAACACUUCCUCUCAUAAACAGCUUCAAAGGGUGCCAUACUAAUGCUAAAGUGAAAGUUGUAGGCAAACUCCACCAAAGGCAAGUGAUCCCCCCAUCUAUCUCCCAAAUCCAGUAAACAAGCUCGCAACAUGUCCUCAAGAGUUUGGAUAGUUUUUUCUUACUGACCAUCCAUCUUAGGAUGAAAGGCUAUACUAAAACGCAACUUAGUACCAAAACUCUUAUGCAAGCAGCCCAAAAGCUUAAAGUGAAUCGUGGAUCUCUAUCUGAAACAAUAGACAUUGGCACUCCAUGAAAUCUCACUACCUCUUCAAGAAAUAGCUCUGCCAACUGCCAAAGUUUGAUGGUACUUUUGACUGGUAACACCAUCAUCAACUACUCUAAACUCAGAACAACCACUUUUUACUUCCUCGACGGUCUUCUGAGUUUAGGAUCUUCCUUUUGUGCUGCCUUGAUUCUAUCUAUCAAGGUAGGUUGAACACUUAAGUGAUAUAAAACAUUCGUCUCACCACAUGUAACCAAUUCAAUUCCCAUCUUUCUGAAGUCCUUCUAUAUAUGGCCUUAAGUAGUAAUCAUAUGUUCUAACCAAAGAAGAGUUACAGCGGGCGAAGUAGGAACCCCAUAGAGCCCAUCUUCAAAGGGGCGUAGCACUUGUUUUUCACUCUCAAGACAAGACAAUGGUAUCUCUCUUCUUUCCCGUUCUUUCUUCGGAGGUUAGGGCAAAAGCGCUUUCCUGCUGAUUUCAAGUGAAGUACUCAAAUAAAAACUCUAUAGCUAUUUAUUUGCCUACUUACUAGACUGAUAUAGGCUACCUGAGCAGGAUUAUCCUGCUCAUGCCUCAUAAAAAGAAAAUGGUGGUAGAAUGAUAAAAAAAAAAUUCUAUAAAGCCCUCUCACUCGCCAAGUGGACAUAACGUAACCACAAUUAUGCAUGUUUCGGUAUGCUAGCAUAUGGGAAUUUGUUUCAAUAUUCCAUGGACUCGUUAGUCACCCUUCAUGAUUGGGGUUGGUUGGCGAGGUGAGGUCUAACCGGAUAACUUCCUACUCAGAGCAACGACCACUACAUUUGCCUUAAUAGGAUGGUAAUUGAUCGAAUAGUUAUAAUCCUUCACUAGCUCAACCAUUUUCUUUGCCUUAAAUUUAGCUCCUUCUAGGUGAACUAGUACUUCAAACUCUUGUAGUUCGUAUCGAUCUCACAAGUCUCACCAUAAAGGUUGUGUCUCCGGAUCUUCAAGGCAAAAACUACAGUUGCUAGCUCUAGAUCAUGGAUUGGAUAAUUCUACUCAUAACUCUUUAAUUGUCGCGAAGUAUAAGAAACCACUUUACCAUGUUGCAUCAGCACACAUCCCAACCCUUUUCUAGAGGCAUUGCUGUAAAUAAUGUAUCCAUCAUCAUCAAAUGAAAUAGUCAAAAGAGGUGCAGAGACCAACAUGUUCUUCAACUCUUGAAAGAUUUUCUCUCAGUCCUCAUUUCAUUCAAACUUCACAUUCUUCCUGGUCAACUUGGUCAAAGGAACUACAAGAUUGAAGAACCCAUUCGAGAACCCAUUCACAAAUCUCUGAUAAUAUCCAGCCAAGCCUACAAAAUUACUAACCUCAGUAAUGUUAGUCAGUCUUGGCCAUUUCACCACUUCUUAGCUGGAUCAACUAAUAUACCAUCCUUAGAAACCACACGGCCAAGGAAAACCACACGGUCUAGCCAGAAUUUACACUUCUUAAACUUUGUAUAAAGCUUUUUUCCCUCGAAGUGUUUGAAGAACCACCUUCAAAUGCUCGUCAUGCUCCUUCAUAGUCUUAGAGUACACCAUAAUGUCAUCAACAAACACAAUAACAAAUCGAUCAAGAUAUAAUUGUGAUUACUCUAUUCAUUAAGUCCAUGAAGGUUGCAGGGGAGUUAGCUAACCCAAAAGGCAUUACCAAAAACUCAUAAUGCCCAUACCGACUACGAAAAGGAGUCUUUGGUACAUCAUCGUUCUUCACCUUAAACUGAUAGUACCAGAUCAUAAAUUGUAACAUAUGUGAAAAUAAAUAAAAAUGAGGUGGUUAAAAAGUUAAAAAAAGCAAAAGAAGAAGCUGGAAAAUAGGGGAAACAUAUACAUGUGUGUGAGAGUAAGAGAGAAGCUGUCAAAAUAGACCUAAAAACCCGACCCGUUUGACUCGUGAACGUGACCCAACCAUAUCUCGCGAUUCUAGCCACCACUCUGGCCAAGCAAGGUAUCAACCGGAAGCCCAUGAGAUGCUGAUCAUACCCCAGUCGUCAUUGUCGCUGAAAACUAACAGGAUCGCCACCAUUACCAACUUGAGAAAUCGCACCCGAAAACCCAUCACCACUGUCGUUGAUUCUACCAGAAUUUUGCCACGUAACCACCUUAAUUUUGUUCCCCAUGACUCCCUCUUCCAUUUCCGACCAUCCAUAGCCACCGGGAGUCACUGUUUCGCUGCUAAUCAAUUGUUGGAAUUUCACGGCUACUGAGCUAGAUUCCGGUGUCAUUGUUGCGCGUUGGAGCUCACCGCAGGCACUAUUAGACUCAACUUGAUUGGAACUUUCAGACGUGAGCUUCCCGGCCAGCGUUGACUAAAUUCCAGUGACCGUUGACCGGCAAGGGCAUUUCGGUAAUUUCACACUAUAAGGGCAAUUUUGUAAUUUCUGAGCAUGUGGAUAUUUUAGUAAUUCCUGAAAUUGAGGAUUGGGUAUAAUUAUGAUUUCGAGGGUAAUUUACGAUUUUAGAGUAUUUUAACGAUUUAUGGAUUUGAGGGUAUUUUAGUAAUUAUAUCGACACGGGAGUUGUAAAUUAUUGAUAGAUGUUCGUUUCGGUUAUAUUGCAUAAAUUUAGUCGUAAUUCCGAUUUAUAGAAAAUAAUUAUGUUGUUUCCUUGAUUUAGGAGGAUCCGCGAGCGAGAACCAAUUCGCGGACGUGGACAAUAACCGAGCAUGAACACCAUCACUGUGAGUGGAAUAUACAAAACCUAUUUUCAUAGUUGAUUAUGAUAGUAAAGUAUGUUUGCGAAAUAAGUAUUUUGAAUGUUCUGAUUUAAUGAUUUUCUCGAAAUGGAUUUUAUACACGCAUUGAUAUGAUUAUUGCUUUUAAAGUAAGAAUUAAUUUUCAAAAACUACUAUCCACUCAUUGAUCUCACUGAGUUUUAUACUCAUCCCGUUUUGAUUAUAUUCCCCCCUCCUACCAAGAGGUUGCAGGUACACCAAAUCUAUCCAGCGACUGUAAAUAUAUUUUGAGUUUUGGCCACGUGAUGGUGUUAGAAGAUAUAGAUAAUUUUUAUUAGGAUAUCCUGAUUGUCUCGUUAUUUUGGGAUUGUAUAAUUUUGUUAUAUUAUUCUUUUGGGAUUAAGAAUAAUCUUGAGUAAAACUCAGCAUUUUAGUUGAGGAUGUUGGUCAUUGGAGUUUGUUGUAUGUUGAAUUAUUUUGAAAGUGUUUGUUUUAUAAAUUUUCAGAUUGGGAGUGUUAUAUUUAUAAAGGAGACUGCUGAAUUUUUGGCAGAAUCUUUACUAAUUAGAUUAUUAUCAAUCCAAUUUGGAUAAGGUUAGAUAGACUCACCCUGGGGUUCGGGGCAGGUCGUUUCAGUUGGUAGCAGAGUAUGGUUUUAGAUUUUGUAGACUUUGUUGUCUUAAUAAGAAUAAGUUUUAUCUUUAUUAAAGUUAGAAUUUAUAUCUUGUAGGCACCAUCAUGCUUCGUCGUAACAGUAUAUGUGGUCGUGGCCAUACUAGGCCAGUAGCUGGGUUGACUUCUUGUAGUGUACUUGCGGGGGAAAGUGAACCUGUGAAUGAGGGGGUAGUUGAAUCCUCCAUGCAUGAAAUUGCACAACAAGCACCAGGGAAUGCCCCGAAUAUUGAGUAGUCAUUUGAUAGGCUGGCUCAAAUUAUGACUACAGUUGUGCAAAAUCAGACUCAAGCACAUGCUGGUAACGCAAACACUAUUCGAGCGAGUGAAGAGUUUAGGGGUGAGGAGCUUUAAUGGUUCCGGAGAACCACAUGAGGCUGAGUCAUGGUUUGUUAAGUUAGAGCGCAUUUUUGACGUGAUGAAGUGUUCAGAGGAUGACAGACUAUCCUUCACCACUUUCCUACUCGAGGAUAGAGUUUACCAUUUGUGGCAGACGGUGGAGAGACGAUAUCAAGGGCAUGCUGCGAUUACUUGGGCCAUUUUCCAUAAGGAAUUCUACGAUCAUUAUUUUCCUCCUGUGUAUCAGGAUAUUAAACGGAGUGAAUUCCUUCAGUUGGUUCAAGGAUCUCUGACAGUUGAGGAGUAUGAGAAGAAAUUUUUAGACCUCUCAAGAUUUGCUACAUCUGUAGUCGGUAAUGAGAGAGAGAGAGAUGCAGGCGAUUUGAGGAGGGCCUCCAAUUUGAUAUUCGCACCACUGUGACUGCAUUACGAUAUACUGAGUUUGGAGAGGUAGUUGAGGUAGCUAGGAGAGUAGAGCAUAGUAUUUCAAAAGGACGCAGAGUUUACGCAUUGAAGCAGAAGCAUAGCCAGAGCUGUGCAGAGGGUGGUUCUAGUAGUGGGCCACCCAAGAGAGGGGGCAUUCCUAUGAGUUAUUCUGAUAUUACGCAAAGGAGUCAAGGUACAGGCUUCACGGGAGACUCGAGACAAGCUGUCAGUCGUAGCUCAGUGCAACCAUCAGUGGGGAGUAAUACUAGGAAUCAGGGACAGUACGACCGCAGUGGUAGGGGAUGUCGUGAUGAUCGUUCUAGGAGUGUCCAGCAGACUUGUUGCCGCUCAUGUGGGAGGAAUCAUCAGCCUGGAAACAUAAGGAGAUUAUGCCCUACUUUAUCUCAGGGUGAUAGUUCUACAAGAAGGACAACCUCAUGGUAUCAGCCUUCCUCUGGUUAGUCUCAGGGUCAGAGAAGAGUGCAGACAGUUGGUUUUACAUAUACCUCUAGGAGUUAGACAACUGCUCCAGAUCAGAGAGGUUAGCCUGGUCGACCUCAUACUCAAGCUCGAGUUUUUUACUUUGACACAGCAGAAGACAUGUGCUGCACCAGAAGUUAUUAUGGGUAUAUUAUCUAUCCUUGGCCGCGAGGCUUAUAUUCUUAUUGAUCCUGGAUCCAUACACUCCUUCGUUUCCCAUACUUUUGCUAUGCAAAUAGAGCGAGAGCCCGAAUUGCUAGAUUGUGGUUUAGUUGUUCGUACACCUACCAGAGAGUCAUUACUUGCUGAGAAUGUGUAUCGGGAUUAUAUGAUUGGAAUGAGUGAACAUGAAUUUGAGGCGAAUUUGAUUUCCUUAGACAUCCAUGACUUCGAUGAUAUUUUGGGCAUGGAUUGGGUUGAAUCUCAUUAUGCUACGGUGGAUUGUUUCAAAAAGGAAGUUAUGUUUAAAAAGCAAGGCAAACUUGAGGUGAAAUUAUAUGGGGAGCGCAAAGUUCUACCCUCAUGUGUUAUAUAUGUUAUUAGUGCAAGGCAGUUGCUAAGAAAACGAUGCUCAGCUUAUUUAGCUUAUGUGAUAAAUACAGAAGCUCGAGAAUUAAGAUUGGAGGAUAUUGCAGUAGUCAAAGAAUUUUCAGAUGUAUUUCUAGAUGAACUUCCUGGGAUGCCACCUAACAGGGAAGUUGAGUUUUCUUUUGACUUAGUCCUUUGAACAUCUCCUAUAUCUAUGGCACCGUAUAGGAUGGCUCCAGUAGAGUUGAAGGAACUGAAGGUUCAAUUGCAAGAGUUGAUGGAUAAAGGGUUUAUUAGACCUAGUGUGUCCCCGUGGGGAGCUCCAGUCUUGUUUGUUAAGAACAAGGAUAGGACUUUUAGAUUUGCAUCGACUACAGUUAGUUGAACAAAGUUACUGUACGCAAUAAGUAUCCACUUCCGCGUAUUGAUGACUUAUUUGAUCAACUCUAGGGGCAAAAGUAUUUUCUAAGAUCGAUUUGCGCUCAGGGUACCAAUAGCUUAGAAUUAAAGAUGUCGAUGUUCCUAAAACAGCAUUUAGAACUCGUUAUGGACACUAUGAAUUUUUAGUGAUGCCAUUCGGGUUGACAAACGCUCCAGCAACUUUUAUGGAUCUUAUGAAAAAGGUAUUUCGUCCAUACCUGGAUCGGUUUGUGAUUGUAUUCAUUGAUGAUAUCUUGGUGUAUUCCUAAAGCGAGGAGGUGCAUGCAGAGUAUUUGUGGAUUGUUUAACAGCUAACAGUUUAGUGGAUGACAGACACGUCAGCAAGUGCGAGUUCUGGUUAGACAGAGUAGUAUUUUUGGGUCAUGUGAAUCAGCUGAAGGUAUUUAUGUUGAUCCUCAAAAGAUUGAAGUUGUUGUAAAAUGGGAACGGCCUACAAAUGUCUCAAAGAUUCGGAGUUUCCUUGGAUUAGCUGGUUACUAUCAUAGAUUUGUGGAGGGAUUCUACAAGAUUGCUACUCCUCUGAUACGGUUAACCAUAAAGAAUGCUAAGUUCCAGUGGGAUGAUGAUUGUGAAAAGCGUUUUCAAGAACUUAAGACACGUUUGACCUCAGCACCAGUUCUUCCACUUCCGUCUGGUAAUAAAGGAUUUAUGGUAUACAGCGAUGCCUCUAGACAGGGAUUGGGUUGUGUGUUGAUGCAGCAUGGCAAAGGGGUGGCUUAUACUUCUAGACAACUUAAAAAGCAUGAGCAAAACUACCCAGCACAUGACUUAGAGCUAGCAGUGUUGAGUGUUAGAAAAUGCAUAUUUAUAAAGGAGAAAACCGUCAUUUUACAUUUCAAGUCUUACUAACAACCCUUACUUUUAUGUAUUUAACCUUCUUGUGAUUUAAUUACAUGUGUUUUAUUUUAAUUAAGUAUUUUAUGUAUUUUAGGGGCAUUAUAGUCAUUUCACAAUAAAUGAGAGAUCAGACGGCAAAACGGACAUCACUUUUGAACUCAGGACGGUCGAAAACCUUAGGAGGAGCAUAAAAGGAAAAAUGGCACUGUUCACAUGUACGGUACUAUUCACGUGUACGAUACUGUAUACGUUACUGUUCACGACACUGUUCACAUAGACGAACCGAUGACGUGGCAUUGACUGAUGAGGUGUCACGAUCCUGUUGGACUAAAAUUCUUAUAUACUGUUGAUGGUGAUGUGGCAGCAUAUCAGUGGACGAAAAAUCUCGCAUACGGUGCAUGCAUCACACAGGAGUAUUUUCAACCAAACCGCGUUACUGUUCAUCCGGGUCAAACCGCGUUACUGUUCAAAGUCGGGUCAAACCGUGUUACUGUUCAUCCGCGUGGUCAAACCGUGGACUGUUGACUGAUGACGUGGCGCAAUCCUGAGCGUCCAAACUGUUUUUAAUCCGAUGGCCAUGAUUUACUCCAUGUAUCUAUAAAAAGGGGGCCUCUCCCCCCUAAUUUGAUAUCUCUGAAUCCAUUUUUGGGAUCCAUUUUCUGUAAUUCCUUCUCCAUCUUGUAUUUUCUUUGUAUUUUAAUAAAUUCCUAUUUUGCCCCUAGUUCAAUUAUGAGUGGCUAAUUUUCUUUCAAGCUUGGGUUGAAGGUGAAGUCUCAACAUGUGUCAUGGGCUUUAUUUGGUAAAUUUAUUUUCUCUUCCCCUCUAAUUUUUGUGGAUGUUUUGACUUCUCGUCGACAAAUAAUAAUAGUCUUGUCUAGAUACCGCCUUGGUUACACCGGCUCUCUAGUAUAAGGUUAUUAUUAUUUGGCACGAUAAGCCCUUAGCACCAUAUUGAUUAGAGCGUGGUUCAUGAGGUGUGGAUUCCCCCCUCAUGAUUUAAUUGGCAUUAAUACGGAUUAUUUAGCCCAUGAUGCAUGUUGAUACGGAUCCAGAUACCCAAGUACGUCAAUUUAAUAGAUUUUCUCUUCAAUUUAUUCUCUCCAUUGCAAUUCCAAUUUUAGAAUUUAUUCUCGCCAUUUUAAUUUAAGUCUUAGCAUAUUCCAAAUCAUUUCCACCAUAAAUCCAACAACCCAUUUACAAAAUUAAUUCUAUACACAUAAUUAAAAUCCACCUCCUCGUGGGAUCGACACUCGUCACCAUUAGUCUAUACUACAAUAGAUUCGUGCGCUUGCGAGUACAUUAAAAUUUGCACAACAAGCAGCAGUGGUGUUUGAACUCAAGUCAUGGAGGCAUUACUUAUAUAGGGCAACGUGUCAGAUUUUCAUCGAUCAAAGAGUCUCAAGUAUUUAUUUACUCAAAAAGAGCUAAAUUUGAGACAUGGGAGAUGGAUCAAACUGAUUAAGGACUACGAUUAUACUAUUUAUUAUCAUCCGGACAAAGUAAAUGUGGUAGUUGAUGCACUAAGUAGAAAAUCUUCCAGCUCUAUAGCUCACUUGCGAGUGACAUAUAUGCCUCCGUUGAUCGAGUUAAGAUCUUUGGGAAUCGAGUUGAACGUUGAUAAUUAUGGAGCUUUAAUAGCAAUUUAUUUCACGUAUUUAUUUUUUGUGUAUUUUUAUAGAAAGGUUGUAAUAACGCAAUAAGUUUAGUAUCGUAAUUUCUCCCUCUUCUUUAUUUUUAUUUGUUUUGUUCUCAUCUUUAUUUUUAUUUUAUUUGUUUUGCAUGCAUGGUCGUAGGUCAUUAUUUCCUAAUCUUGAACCUAUAGACCUUGAAUUAGAAAAAACACUUCGCACACAAAAGCACAUUAAAAAUAAAUUUGGAAUGGAUUUACAAGCACCACAGGAGAGGCCAUUUAAGGACUAUUUUAGUCCCUUAGCUAAUUUGAGCACAUCAUGCAUAAGAUACCCAAAUGUAGCUGCUAGGAGUUUUGAAUUAAAACCUAGUGUGCUAAAUUGUCUCCCCACAUUUUAUGGCCUAGAAAAUGAGGACCCAUAUAAUCAUCUGAAUGAUUUUCAUGCAAUUUGUCAAACUUUUAAAUAUGAAAAUUUUUCAGACGAUGAUAUUAAACUCAGAUUAUUCCCAUUUUCUUUAAAGGAUAGAGCUCGUUCAUGGUUAAAUACAUUGCCUGCCAAUAGCAUUUCAUCAUGGGAACAAAUGGUAACAAAAUUUUUGAAUAAAUAUUUCCCAGUGCAUAAAACCAACGCUAUUCGCAGGGAAAUCUCGGAGUUUACCCAGAGAGAGGACGAGCAGUUUUUCGAGACGUGGGAGCGAUUCAAUGGGCUACUCUUGAAGUGUCCACAUCAUGGGUACGAGAAAUGGCACCAAUGCCAAUACUUUUUGGAGGGAUUACUACCGAAUGUGCAAGAAUGGCUAAUGGCAACAAGUGGAGGGGAGCUAAUGUCAAAAAGUGCAUCAGAAAUUUGGGAGUUUUUCCAGCGACAAGCGGAUAAUUCCCAACAACGGAGUCGAUCACUCAGGAAUACUAGAAGAAUUAAGGGAGUAAAUGAGGUUCAAAUUGGCGAGUCAACUUCGGGAAUCAAAGAAGUCAAGGAGAUGGUUGAAGGUCUUGCUCGACAAAUAGCUUCGUUAUCGACUGCUAAAUCAACAGAGCCACAUGACCAUAACUCAUACUCAGAUCAAGCCAAUGCCAUAGGUGUAAUGAGAAAACCAUCGAAUUACAACCCAUACUCCAACACAUAUAACCCUGGAUGGAGAGACCACCCCAAUGUUUCAUGGUCUCAAGGACUCCAACAGAAUGGACCAGCAGCUCCAGCUCCACCAAUGCAACCAAUUCCUCAAGCCUCUCAGCCACCAUUCAGACUAUACAAUCAGAACCAGAACCACUUUCAACCCAGACCAUGGGAGGAUGCAUUCCAGAAUUUCAGGAAUGUUACUCACUCUACGAUUGAGCAACAAAACCGCACCAUUGAUGGACUACGAAAUGAGUUGAGAGCAGGUUUCAACUCACAAGCUCAAUCAGUUUCAAGCCUCGAGAAGAUGGUGGGACAACUUGCUUCUUCAGUUCAGACCUUGGCAAUGACUGUUGAGAAAGGCAAGUUUCCAAGUCAACCAGUGCCUAAUCCUAAAGGAGUACAUGAAGCAAGUACCAGUUCACCACAACAGCAUGGAGAGGUCAAAGCAGUAAUGACCUUGCGAAAAGGAAAAGAAGUCGACAACAAAGUGGAGAUGCCAGUGACAAAAGAAAAUCAAAUUGUUCCUGUGAGUGUUGAGGACUCAUCACCGGAGGAGAAAGAAGAAACCAACCCACGAGAAUAUGUUCUGAAAGCUCCAUUUCCUCAGCGGUUAGCUAAAGGUAAGAAGGGAAAAUCCACAGGUGAGAUUCUUGAAAUCUUCAAACAGGUAAGUGUUAACAUCCCUUUCCUUGAUGCUAUUAAACAAGUUCCAUCUUAUGCCAAGUUUCUUAAAGACCUUUGUACUAAAAAGAGAAAUAUGCAUGUUCAAAAGAAGGCAUUUUUAACAGAAAACGUUAGUUCUAUACUCCAACACAAAAUUCCUUUAAAAUGCAAAGACCCAGGCUCCCCCACUAUCUCAUGUAGCAUAGGGAACCACACAAUUGAGAAUGCUUUGUUGGAUUUAGGAGCUAGUGUAAAUUUGUUGCCUUAUUUUGUAUUUGUGAAACUUGGACUGGGAGAAUUACACCCAACUCCAGUGGUGUUACAGCUUGCAGAUCGGUCCACGAAAAUACCUCGUGGUAUUGUGGAGGACGUGCUUAUCCAGGUAGACACGUUUUAUUUUCCUGUUGAUUUCAUUGUAAUUGACACUCAACCAAUACAGGAUUCAAGGAAGCACAUCCCCAUUAUUCUAGGCCGACCUUUCUUGGCAACUGCGGAUGCUCACAUUCAAUGCAGGACCGGAAAUAUGCAGUUGUCCUUCGGCAACAUGACUAUGGAGCUGAACAUCUUCAACAUUGCCAAACAACCUCACAGUGCAGAUGAUGGAAUUGUUGAUGUGGAUUUAAUUGAAGCAUUAGUUGAUGACACUUUUCUUUCAAACCUUAGUGAUGAUCCUUUACAAACAUGUUUAACUCACUUUGGUUUGGAUUUUGAUAUUGACAGAUCGGUCGAUGAGGUCAACGCCCUGCUUGACUCAGCACCAUCUAUGGAUACUAAUAAAUGGAAGUCAAAAGUUGAACAACUAGCACCAUCAGAGAAGAAACUCAUCCCAUCAUCAGAAUCACCACCGAAACUUGAGCUCAAACCAUUGCCCAACACUCUGGAAUAUAUAUUUUUGGGAGAAGAAAGUACUCUGCCGGUAAUCAUCUCAUCAUCCCUCAAUGACGAACAAAAAGGUAAGUUGUUAGAUGUUUUGAAAAAGCACAAAGGGGCAUUAGGAUGGACCAUAGCAGACAUAAAAGGUAUAAACCCAGUAGACUGCAUGCAUUACAUUCACCUUGAUGAAAAUGCUAAAACUACUAAGGAGAUGCAACGUCGGUUAAAUCCUAACAUGAAAGAAGUUGUUAGAACAGAAGUCCUUAAACUAUUAGACGCAGGUAUCAUUUACCCCAUUUCUGAUAGUUCAUGGGUCAGUCAUGUACAAGUUGUCCCCAAAAAGUCAGGAGUCACAGUAGUUACCAAUGCUGAUAAUGAAUUGAUACCCACUAGAGUAACUACAGGAUGGCGUGUUUGCAUUGAUUAUAGAAAGUUGAAUUCUGUCACACGUAAAGACCAUUUUCCUUUACCAUUUAUUGAUCAAAUGCUUGAUAGAUUAGCAGGCCAUGAAUUUUAUUGCUUUCUAGAUGGCUACUCAGGAUACAAUCAGAUUCCCAUAGCACCAAAAGAUCAAGAGAAAACUACUUUCACUUGCCCUUUUGGCACAUUUGCAUAUAGGAGAAUGCCAUUUAGAUUAUGUAAUGCACCUGCUACAUUUCAACGAUGCAUGUUGAGCAUUUUUUCUGAUAUGGUUGAACGAUUCCUUGAAGUCUUUAUGGAUGAUUUUUCUGUCUUUGGUGACUCGUUUGAUCAAUGUUUACAUCAUCUAACACUAGUUCUGUAGAGAUGUAUCGAGAAGAACUUGGUCUUAAAUUGGGAGAAAUGUCAUUUUAUGGUAAAACAAGGUAUUGUUCUCGGUCACAUCAUUUCGAGCAAAGGUAUUGAGGUUGACAAAGCCAAGGUGGAUCUCAUUUCUAAUCUUCCUCCACCCAAAACAGUCAGAGAAGUAAGAUCUUUCCUUGGGCAUGCUGGUUUCUAUAGACGUUUCAUUAAAGAUUUUAGCAAAGUUUCUAGACCCUUAUGCAAUUUACUUGCUAAGGAUGUACCUUUUAUCUUUAGUGAUUCAUGUCUUAUGGCGUUUGAAAAAUUAAAACAGUUGUUGACAUCAUCACCCAUCAUUCAGGCCCCAAACUGGAGCUUACCAUUUGAGCUAAUGUGUGAUGCAUCUGAUUAUGCAGUAGGAGCAGUGUUAGGACAAAGAGUUGAUCGAAUUCCCCACGUUAUUUACUAUGCUAGUAUGACAUAAAAUGAUGCACAGUUGAACUAUUCAACUACUGAAAAAGAAAUGCUAGCAGUAGUGUUUGCAUUGGAAAAAUUUCGAUCAUAUCUCAUUGGUUGUAAAAUAAUUAUAUUCACGGAUCAUGCUGCUCUUAAAUAUCUUCUUACAAAGAAAGAUGCAAAAGCCAGACUAAUUCAUUGGGUGUUACUUUUGCAGGAGUUUGACUUGGAAUUCAGAGAUAAGAAAGGCACAGAGAAUGUUGUGGCGGACCAGCUCUCUCGUCUCCAUUUUGACACAAUUACAGAAUCAUUACCAUUGAAUGAGUCAUUUCCAGAUGAACAAUUAAUGAAUGUGGAAGUAUUACCUUGGUAUGCUGAUAUAGUUAAUUAUCUUGUUACAGGUAAACUUCCAGAGCAUUGGACCAAGCAAGAUAAGUCUAAAUUCUUUGCAGAGAUAAAGAAUUUCUUUUGGGAUGACCCGUAUUUAUUCAAGUAUUGUGCGGACCAAAUUGUUAGACGAUGUGUCCCAGAAAGUGAAAUUCAGAAUAUCCUUUCAUUCUGCCAUGAACAAGCUUGUGGAGGCCAUUUCAGUGCUAAGAAAACAGCGACUAAAGUUUUACAAUGUGGUUUCUAUUGGCCAACUAUAUUUCGAGAUGCUUACACUUUCUGUUCUUCAUGUGAUAGGUGUCAACGAAUGGGGAGCAUUACACGAAGGAACAUGAUGCCACUAAAUCCAAUUUUAGUGGUUGAGAUUUUUGACGUAUGGGCUAUCGACUUCAUGGGACCCUUUCCCCCGUCUUUUGGCCAUCAAUACAUAUUGGUUGCUGUUGACUACGUAUCAAAAUGGGUAGAAGCAAUUCCAUGUAGAACCAAUGAUCACAAGGUGGUGAUAGGAGUUUUGAAAAGCAACAUUGUUUCACGCUUUGGAUUCCCUCGAGCGAUAAUCAGUGAUGGUAGUGCCCACUUUUGUAACAAAGCAUUCAAGGCUCUUUGACAAAGUAUUCAAUCACACACAAAGUGGCGACCCCGUAUCAUCCGCAAACUAGUGGCCAAGUUGAGAUUUCCAAUCGAGAAAUAAAGCAUAUAUUAGAAAAGACAGUGAGGCCGGACAGAAAAGAUUGGUCAUUAAGACUUGAUGAUGCCUUAUGGGCAUAUAGAACGGCUUUGAAGACCCCGAUUGGGAUGUCACCCUACAGGCUAGUGUAUGGAAAAGCUUGCCACCUACUUGUGGAACUCGAGCAUCGUGCAUAUUGGGCCAUCAAGAAAUUCAAUUUUGACAUGCAGCAAGCCAGCUCAGAAAGAAGAUUACAGCUGGCAGAACUUGAAGAAAUUCGCAAUGAUGCAUACGAAAAUGCCAAGAUUUACAAGCAACGAAUGAAAGUCUUCCAUGAUAAGCAAAUUAUGAGAAAAUCAUUCACUCCAGGUCAGAAAGUGCUUUUAUUCAAUUCUCGCUUGCACCUAUUCCCAGGUAAGUUACGCUCUCAUUGGUCUGGCCCAUUUAUUGUUCAUACUGUUUUUCCACAUGGGGCAAUUGAAAUUAAGGACCCAAAGAACGGUGUCACGUUUAAAGUUAAUGGUCAAAGAUUAAAGCCAUAUCUAGAAUACCAACCACAUGGAGAAGACACCGAAAUAAAUUUGAGUGACCCACCAGAUUUGAAUUGAUUUUUUUUCUUUUCGUUGAUUUGAUUUUUUUUCUUUCUUUAUAUUAUUCUUCUGCUAAUUGAAAUUAUUUUUGCAUAAGUGUGUUUGUUUAACUAUUAAGUUUUCUUAUAUCAUUUUUAAUCAUGAGUCUCAUACUUAGACCGUUCCUCCUGAACAUUCUUAAACCACUUCAACGUGUCAAAACUCAUCUCAAAAGGCAGAUUCAAUUUUGUAAAACACAACGCAUUUGGGCUCUACAACCACCAGAGUUAGUAGCCUAUAUUGAGGGUUUAGAACGCCAACUCAGAGACAUUGAGAGAAGUGUUUACGACAUCCAGUUGGAGCUUGAGGUAAAUUCAAUAAGAGGACGAUUUUAAUUGUGUGUUUUAAUUUGUUUUUCUAUUUGUGUGCUUUAGUUUGUUACCCCGGUGAAGUGGCGGAUAACGGUACUCCGUGACAAUCAAGUCGGUUACUUCAGUUUCCCAUAAUAAUUGAUAUUCUGAGGCGAAGGUAUGGACAGAAACGAGAUUCUAGCGAAGCUUCACAAGCGAUUCCCUUCACUUCCUCAGAAUGCCCUCCUUACGGUCUAUAAAGCUCGGUCCGAACGCAUGCGAUUACUUAUGAGGAAUAACAUACCUGCUGACAUCCGUUGGUUAAUUGAGGCAAAAGUACGAUCGGCAGGUGAGUUACCUCCAAAAUUUAUUGCAUACAUGCCUGGUUGUGGUAAAAGAAAUUAUGCAAGAAAACGACGAGCUCGACGAAUUUCUGUUGCUUGUCAUAAGUGUGCCAGAAUGAGUUGCAAUAAAACCCAUGUUCUUUAGGAAUGGUGUCUGAUAACAGGGAAGAUAAGAUUCAAUUCAUUAGGGAUGGCUUGAAUAAGGAGUCAUUGGAUUAUAUCCUUUUGUCUCUUGAAACGCAUCCCAGUGGAUAUGUGCAAGGAGCGAUUCUCCAGUUAUGGCCAUUAUUCCAGAAAGAGCAUGCACGAUAUAGUCUCGGGAAUCUGACUAUAAACGACCUUGUUUGCCAGUUUAUAAGAAAACUGGAUAGGAAGCCUAUCCUCGACCCAUAGAGGGCGUUCAAGCCGUUUCUGGACGUAAAACCAGAGGAAGAUGUGAGCCACAGUCGCAACUACCUGUAAAUAUCCUUUUACUUUAUUGUUAUUUUAUUUCACUAUUGUCUUAUUGUUUGCAUUAUUGUCUUUAAUAAUUUUAUUACUGUUUGCUUUUUCCUUUUUACUGUUUUCUUUUUUACUUGCGAGCCACGUGCUUUACGCGUUAUUUGACACUGACAUAUUACCUCAUACACAACCAUGACCCACUAUCACCGAGACUCUUAAAUGUGAUUUCUUUUUUGCCAAGCACUCACAAAUUGUUUUUGAGAAGUAUCACAAUGUCAGCUACUCCCAAUAGACAAUUCAAGAACAUUUGUGUGCUUUCUGGAUUUACAUAUGACAAACAUAAAGAGUUCGUUGAGGCAGCCAUAGAUCUUGGUCGAAGCAUAGCAGCGAGAAAAUUACACUUGGUGUAUGGAGGAGGUAAUCGAGGGUUAUCAAAAAUGGUCUCAGAAGCAGCUUUUAUCAGAGGAAGUCAAGUGUUAGGCAUCAUCCCAAGAGUCUUAAAACCAUUGGGCAGUUCAUCUGACUCAUCAACUGGAGAAGAGUUAGUCGUCUCAGGUAUGCAAGAAAGAAUAACUGAAAUGCUUAAUCAUGCUGAUGCUUUUAUUUUCCUUCCAGGAGAUCUUGCAACACUAGAGGCACUUAUCACGCUAGCAUCUUGGGCCCAUCUGCACAUCCACCAAAAACCCAUCGGUUUGUUAAAUGUCAAUAACUUUUAUGAUGGCUUUAUCGCAUUUCUUAACCAUGCAAUAAAAAACUAUUUCAUUCCUUCUAAUGUAAAAAACUUUUUAUUUGUGCUCACACUGCUAAUGAGCUACUUGAUAUGUUACAAGCUUAUAAACCGGAGCCAGACCCCUGGACCUUUGUGUUGGAGCGCCCAAAUAAUAAUGGUAACAGUAGCCGCAGUAAGAAGUACAAAUUAGAUUUAACUCUCCGCUUGUAAAUAUUGUUUUCUGUGUUGCACCACCCAGGUGAUGUCUUCUAAACUCUACUUCUUUCCUUUCAAACAUUGAGGACAAUGUUUCGUUCUGGUUGGGGGGAGGGAAUAGUCGACAAUUGUGGAAUUUUGGUUAAGUUUUUACUAAUUUUUGUUGUAGAAACUAACUGUUGCUAACUUUUUGUGUCGAAGAUGGCUGAAUAUAGAGUGUAGUGACUUUAGAAACGCAUCUUCAUCGUAAAAAAAAAAAAAUUAAAAAACUAAAAAAAAAUUUCAGACAUUUUCUUUUUCUUUAUUAUGUUUUUAUGUUUAUUUUUCUUCUUUUUAAUUUCUCCUCUAUAAAUAUACAUUUUCCAACUUGUGAGUCGAAGAUGGCUGAAUAUGGAGUGUAGUUCCUCUAGAAACGCAUCUUUUUUUUAAAAAAAAAAAAAACAUUUUCGUUUUCUAUCAUUUUACGUGUAACUUUUCUAAUUAGUUUUUAUGCAUCAUUUUCACAUUUCUGCAUGCAUAUUUUCCUUUCAUGUUUAGAAUAGGUUGGGGGGUAGAAUGUUGUUUAAAAAAAAAAAAAGUUUGUGAUUUGUUUUAACAUUAGAUGACAUGAUUAAUUUCAAAUUUUAGUAUUUGUAUUAUCUUUGGUCUUAAGUGAUGUUACAUUAUGUUUGCUACUCUACAUGUUCAUGUCGGAGACAAAUAUGCGUUGCUUGAAGGAAUGAACAUGUCAUAAUAAGUACCAAGUGAGUUUUUGAGCCUAUUAUUUUUCUUGGAGAAUAACCCUUUUGCCCACUCUUUAUACAGCUUAGCAGUUUAUUAUUUUACAUACGAUCUCUAAAUUACUUUUGAGUUAACCCUUAAAAAAAUUGUAUAAUAAAAAAAAAGAGAAAAAAAUGUGUGUUGUUACAUUGGGAGGCCCAUCUAACUAGUAGAUAUGAAUGAUUAUUUAGAGCCCUAAAAGACGAUGGAAAGGCCAUCUUUGAUCCGUUUGAGCCUUUCUAGCCAUCCCUUUUAUUAAAUAUCCAUAGUUAACCCUUUUAAGCCUUAAAAAAAAAAACAUUUUCUUUGUCAACUUAUCAUCUUGACCCACUCCGAUUUGGAGUAUUACCCGAUAUCUUAUAAGUUCCAUCACUUAUUUAUGUUUGAGAAAAUGUAAAUAAUUAUGUUGUUCAGUGAAGUUAUACCAAAAAAAAAAAGCAAAAAAAAAAACAACAAAACAAAAGUUGUUGUUUCAAAAGAAUAAAAAUAACAAUAAUAGGUGAAAUCCACCUUGCAACUUCCAAAAAAAAAAAAAAAAAUCUCUGCAUUUUUCUCAAACAUACACUUUGUUUUCCUUAUUUCCUUUCUUUGUUAACCAUGUCCCUAGCCUACGUUACAUCCUAAUAAAAGUCCUUCCUGAUUUUAGGGAAUUAUAAUCUGAAGUAGAAGCUAGUUAUAUGGGCUAAAAAGAUGUAGUGAUGCAUAAUAAAAAAAAAAGAUAAAUAAAGUGGGUUGAAUAGCAUUUUUGUUUGACUUGAGUUCGUAUUAUUUAUAAGCUGAGGGCAUAUUUAUUUCAUCUUGGUGAGAGCAUGUGAUAUCACUUCUUUAUUAUUUUCUCUCUCAAUUACCAUUCAUUGGAGUGACUAUUUUAUUGGUUUUAAUUUCUUUGUGAGAGUGUCACUACUUCCAGUGAGAUUUUGGGGUUUGAUAUGUCAUUCUUGAAAGUAGCUAUGACAAAGUCUACUGGGCUGAUUCAUGUGGAUGGUUGAUGUGGGUGUGAUGUUACUUUAGACUGGAGAUAAUGCUUAUACUUUUAUUUGAUUGCUAUCAUUAAUCUGACGGAAUAAAUAAGAGUGUUUCUAAAAAAUAUAUAUAUAUAUAUAUAUAUAUAUAUAUAUAUAUAUAUUGAAUUUGAAUUUUGUUUUCGCUUUAUUUGCUAGGGACUAGCAAUAAGCUGGUUGGGGGGUGUGUUGAGUGUUAGAAAAUGCAUAUUUAUAAAGGAGAAAACUGUCAUUUUACAUUUCAAGUCUUACUAACAACCCUUACUUUUAUGUAUUUAACCUUCUUGUGAUUUAAUUACAUGUGUUUUAUUUUAAUUAAGUAUUUUAUGUAUUUUAGGGGCAUUAUAGUCAUUUCACAAUAAAUGAGAGAUCAGACGGCAAAACGGACAUCACUUUUGAACUCAAGACGGUCGAAAACCUUAGGAGGAGCAUAAAAGGAAAAAUGGCACUGUUCACAUGUACGGUACUAUUCACGUGUACGGUACUGUAUACGUUACUGUUCACGACACUGUUCACAUAGACGGACCGAUGACGUGGCAUUGACUAAUGAGGUGUCACGAUCCUGUUGGACUAAAAUUCUUAUAUACUGUUGAUGGUGAUGUGGCAGCAUAUCAGUGGACGAAAAAUCUCGCAUACGGUGCAUGCAUCACACAGGAGUAUUUUCAACCAAACCGCGUUACUGUUCAUCCGGGUCAAACCGCGUUACUGUUCAAAGUCGGGUCAAACCGUGUUACUGUUCAUCCGCGUGGUCAAACCGUGGACUGUUGACUGAUGACGUGGCGCAAUCCUGAGCGUCCAAACUGUUUUUAAUCCGAUGGCCAUGAUUUACUCCAUGUAUCUAUAAAAAGGGGGCCUCUCCCCCCUAAUUUGAUAUCUCUGAAUCCAUUUUUGGGAUCCAUUUUCUGUAAUUCCUUCUCCAUCUUGUAUUUUCUUUGUAUUUUAAUAAAUUCCUAUUUUGCCCCUAGUUCAAUUAUGAGUGGCUAAUUUUCUUUCAAGCUUGGGUUGAAGGUGAAGUCUCAACAUGUGUCAUGGGCUUUAUUUGGUAAAUUUAUUUUCUCUUCCCCUCUAAUUUUUGUGGAUGUUUUGACUUCUCGUCGACAAAUAAUAAUAGUCUUGUCUAGAUACCGCCUUGGUUACACCGGCUCUCUAGUAUAAGGUUAUUAUUAUUUGGCACGAUAAGCCCUUAGCACCAUAUUGAUUAGAGCGUGGUUCAUGAGGUGUGGAUUCCCCCCUCAUGAUUUAAUUGGCAUUAAUACGGAUUAUUUAGCCCAUGAUGCAUGUUGAUACGGAUCCAGAUACCCAAGUACGUCAAUUUAAUAGAUUUUCUCUUCAAUUUAUUCUCUCCAUUGCAAUUCCAAUUUUAGAAUUUAUUCUCGCCAUUUUAAUUUAAGUCUUAGCAUAUUCCAAAUCAUUUCCACCAUAAAUCCAACAACCCAUUUACAAAAUUAAUUCUAUACACAUAAUUAAAAUCCACCUCCUCGUGGGAUCGACACUCGUCACCAUUAGUCUAUACUACAAUAGAUUCGUGCGCUUGCGAGUACAUUAAAAUUUGCACAACAAGCAGCAGUGGUGUUUGAACUCAAGUCAUGGAGGCAUUACUUAUAUAGGGCAACGUGUCAGAUUUUCAUCGAUCAAAGAGUCUCAAGUAUUUAUUUACUCAAAAAGAGCUAAAUUUGAGACAUGGGAGAUGGAUCAAACUGAUUAAGGACUACGAUUAUACUAUUUAUUAUCAUCCGGACAAAGUAAAUGUGGUAGUUGAUGCACUAAGUAGAAAAUCUUCCAGCUCUAUAGCUCACUUGCGAGUGACAUAUAUGCCUCCGUUGAUCGAGUUAAGAUCUUUGGGAAUCGAGUUGAACGUUGAUAAUUAUGGAGCUUUAAUAGCAAUUUUGAGUUAGACCAACUUUGAUUGACAAAGUUCAUCAGAUGCAACCUCAAGACCCACAGUUAAUGAUGUUGAAAGAGGAUGUGCAAAAUUGUUUACAAAUCGAUUUUACAGUGAAAGGCGACAGAGCCUUAGUCAUGGGUAAUAGACUCUGUGUACCUGAUAUUAAAGAUCUAAAAGAAGAGAUUAUGGAAGAAGCUCAUUGUUCAGCAUAUGUGAUACAUCCUGGUAAUACGAAGAUGUAUCGUACCCUAAGGGAUCAUUACUAGUGGCACGGUAUGAAGAGAGAGAUAGCAGAAUUUGUUUCUCAAUGUUUAGUUUGUCAACAGAUUAAGGCUAAACACCAGUGUAAUAUAUGUCAAAAUUAAAAAAAUAAAAGAAUAAAAAUGAGGCGGUUAAAAGUUAAAAUGAGUAAAAGACGAAGCUAGAAAACAGGGGAAAGAUAUGCACGUGUGAGAGAGUGAGAGAGAAGCGGCCAAAACCAACCAAUGACCCGACCCGAUUGACCCGCGAACGUGACCCGACCAUAUCUCCAAUUUUCGGCCACCCCUUCGGUUGAGCAAGGUAUCAAUCGAAAGCCCAUGAGACGUUGGUCAUACUUCAGCUGUAAUCUUUGUCAAAAAUUGAUCGGAACACCGCCGUUUAGAGCUCGAGAAACCGCGACCGAAACCCAUCAUCACUGUUGUUGAUUCUACCAGAAUUUGACCACGCCACCACCUCAGUUUUGUUACUCACGACUCCCUCUUCAAUUCCCGACCAUCCACAGUCACCGGGACUAAUUGUUUCGCCAUCGGCCAAUUGUUGGAAAUUCACGGCUGCCGAGCGUGGAAACUCACCGCUGGCACUAUUAGACUUAACAUUAUUGGAACUUUCAGACUUGAGCUUCCCGGCCAGCGUUGACUAAAUUCUGACGACCGUUGACCGGCAAGGGUAUUUCAGUAAUUUCACACUAUGAGGGCAAUUUUAUAAUUUCUGAGCCUGUGGAUAUUUUAGUAAUUCCUGAAAUUGAUAAGUGGGUGGAAUUAUGAUUCCGAGGGUAAUUCAGUGAUUUAGAAUUUCAGAGUAUUUUAACGAUUCACGGAUUUAAGAGUAUUUUGAUAAUUAUAUCGACACGGGAGUUGCAAAUUAUGGAUAGAUGUUCGUUUCGAGUUUAUUGCAUGAAUUUAGUCCUAAUUCCAAUUUACAAAAAAUAAUUAUGUUGUUUCCUUUAUUUAGGAGAACCCGCGAGCGAGAACCGGUCCGCGGACGUGGAUGAUAACCGAGCGUGAACAUCGUCACUAUGAGUGGAAUAUACAAAACCUAUUUUCAUAGUUAAAUAUGAUAGUAAUGCAUGUUUGCGAAAUAAGUGUUUUCAAUGUUCUGAUUUAAUGAUUUCUCGAAAUGGAUUUUAUUCACGCAUUGAUAUUAUAUUAAAAUGUUUGGUUAAUGGUUUUCCGCAUCGACAUUGAAUAAAAUAUUACAGUAUUUUAAAGAUGAGAAAAAUGGAUUUAGAUGUGAUAAUGAAAAGAAAUGUAUGAUUUAAAGUAUGAAUAGAAUAUACGUGAAUAUGAGUAUAGAGAUUGUUUUUAAAAUCAUUGGACAAUACCCUUUCCUCUAGAUACAGUGAUACAAAUGAGAUAAGAGGCCUUUGGGGCCCGUUUGAACACACAUAGUUUGAGGUACAAUUUUCUUAAAUAUAGUAGAAUUUAUUUUUUUAAGCUAACAAGCCCCUUGAAUUUAUAAUAUUUAAUUUAAAGGAAUGAUGACAUAAGCAAUGACAUAAGAAAUGAUGACGUAAGCGAUGACAUAAGCGAUGAUGUAAGAAGAAGUGAAGAGAAAGUUAAAGAAUUCUAGAAUUUAGUAAGUUAUUUAUGAAGGUUAAUCUCAACCAUUGAUCAAGAGUUAUGGUGGAAAAAUCCUAGCCAUCCAUUAGCCUUAAGAAAUCCUAUAAAUACCCCUCACUACCUCUCAUUUGAAAUGCAACCUAAAAAUUCCAUUCCCUUCUAUUUUAAGUCAUAAUAACAAGAGUAGAGGAAUCUUUAGCUUAGAAAGGUUUAGAGAAAUUAAGAUCAAGAGAUAAGUAACACUUCAACUGCAAUGGAAUGACAAAAUUACUUUUAUACUUAAGUUCAGUUUUAACAAUCCCUUUAUAUUAUGAUGGCUGUUAUAGUGUGAAUAGUUAUAUUCUAAAUCUUUAUAUGGUCAGCUCUACUACCUAAUAUGUGAUGCUAUGGUCGACUCUGCCGCCUAAUAUGUGAUGUCAUGGUCGGCUCUACCGCCUAAUGUAUGAUGCUAUGGUCGGCUCUGAUGUCAUGGUCGGCUCUGCCGCCUAAUGUGUGAUGCUAUGAUCGGCUCUACCGCCUAAUGUGUGAUGUCAUGGUCGGCUUUGCCGCCUAAUAUGUGAUACUUAUACUUAAUUAUACUAUGGUCAGCUAUGCCGCCUAUACUAAAGACUUUUUUUAAAUAAUGUUGUGUGUUGAUUUUGUUACGCAUCGAGAAAUUUUCAAAUGUUAUAAGUUGCAUUGGAUACAUGCAUUACAUUAUGAAGAAGAUGUUUCAGAAAAUGAAUUUAUGAAAAAUAGGUUGUUGUACUAUCAGGUGGCAAAGUUUCUAAGGAGGGCAAGCCCUCAAAGCCAAGUAAAAAGAAAUCUUUUGGGGACGGCAAUACGUAACGCCCAAAAGACCAACUAAUGAGGCCCAAGGACAUAUUGUUUAAAGAGUAAAAGGGUCAGCCUUGUAGUGCAAUAUACCUAAGGCCCAAACAAAGUUGUUUUAGUAUUUCUAAGUUUAUUUUAAGAGCUUAACAUGGUCAUCCAUAUGCAUCAUAAUUAAUACAUGCAUCAAAGUGUUAUCUUACUGGGCUUUAGCUCACUAAGUCCUUACAUUGCAGGAAACGAUGAGUAGGACAAGUUGAUGCCAAGUCCUAACCAAGACGAAGUACAUAUGGGCAUAACCGACCUUGAGAUUUUAUGAUGGGCUCAGCUUUGUGUUAAUAAAAAUAAGUAUCUUGGCUUUAUAUAAUAAUAAAGCUUUUAAAUAAAAUAAGAAAUCUCUAUAUGACUUUUACUUUUCUGUAAGAAAGUUUUUGUUGGAUUGUGCUAAACUUUUAGAAUUCGUAUUUAUAUUAAGAGUAACUGUGUUUUUAAGCAUUUUUAAGUAAAUAAUAUAAUGGAGUGUUACAAAUUGGUAUCAGAGACCAAUGUUUAAAGCAAUUUUGUAGACCGUCCAUAUGCACAAGUCAAGGGGAAGGACAAGGCUCGGCUUUUUAGUUAUAACUUAAAAUUAAGGUAAUUAGGAAAAAUCUUACAUUUGAUUUGUCUGACACGUAGAAACUAGAUUAAAAACUUGUUGAGAUGUCAAGCGCUAGGGGUAACAGAGGCAGAAGGGCGGAAGGAAAUGCAGUGGAGCAAUCUGUAAUUGAUCAACUUACAAACAUUGUGGCUCGACUCUUAGAAAGAGAAGUUAGAAGGGAUGAACAUGGUCAGGCAAUGAACAACGCCGGAAGCGAAUUUAGAAGAUUAAAUCCACCCACAUUCGAAGGCGGUGUAGAUCCUAUCACAGCAGACAAAUGUUUGCGAACUAUGGAAAGAAUAAUAGAAGUAGCCAAAGUGCCAGAAGAAGAAAAGGUCACAUGUGUCUCCUUUAUGCUACGAGGAGCGGUAGAAUACUGGUGGGACUCAAUUAAACGAAUUCAUGAUGAAGCAACAAUGCAAUGGGUGGAAUUUAAAGAACACUUCUAUAACAAAUACUUUUUAGAGACUGUUCGCUCAGCUAAAAAAAGAGAGUUUGUUUAUUUACAACAAGGAAGGAUGUUUGUGCUAGAGUACAUCCAAAAAUUUGAUGAGCUCUCUUGAUAUGCUCCACAUAUGGUUGCAACGGAAGACUUGAAAAAGGACCACUUUAGGCAAGGAUUGCGUAAAGAUCUCACAAAAGACUCAAAGGUGGCUGGAGUUCGUAAUGCUUCCUUCAACGAUCUCAUCAAGCCUUGGUAAUUGAGCAAGCAGAUGAAGAAAAGAAUUAAGAAAAAUGAAGAAACAAAAGAAGUGUGGAACAUGGGAACUUUGUUAAACAACACUCAAAUAAUAAUAAGAGAAAGGGAACGUCAGUGGUCCAAGAUCAGAGUAAAAAUAAAUGCCAAAAGAAUCAUCAGAAGGAAGUCCCACAAAAACCAAAGUGCAACCAAUGCAGCAGAACUCACCCUGGGGAAUGUCGAGCAAAUAUCAAAACAUGUUUCAAAUGUGGAAAGGAAGGACACUUCAUUAGGGACUGCCCGAAAAAUGGUACGUAACAAGAAAAGGCUAAUGCUCGAGUAUUCAAACUCACCAAGACGGAUGCGGAAGGAAACCCCUCAGUAAUAUCAGGUGAACUAUCUAUCUCCAAAACUCCUGCAUAUGUGCUAAUAGACUCAGGAGCUACACAUUCAUUUGCCUCACUAGCAUUCAUUAAGAAAAUCGAUAAUGUCCCUGACAUAGUAAAUAGGCCUUUUAGUGUCAUGCUACUAUCGGGUGAAAUAUUAAACUCGAGGCAAUUAGUUAAGGCAUGUGAAGUCAGCAUUAGUGGUAAUACACUAUGUGUUGACCUAAUAAUUCUUGAGAUGCAUGACUAUGAAGUAAUUCUUGGCAUGAAUUGGGAGUGUUAUAUUUAUAAAGGGGACUUUGCCAAAUUUUCGACAAAUCCUUACUAAUAGAAUUAUUAUCAAGUCCGUUUUGAUGAGACUAGAUUGACUCGCCCGGGGGGAUUCGAGGCUGGUCGUUUCAACCAGAGGCCUGCAGGGUAUUCUCAGCCGCUUCCUAUUCCUGAGUGGAAGUGGGUUCACAUCACUAUGGAUUUUGUAGCGAGACAUCCACGUACUCAGAAAGGACAUGAUAGUGUUUGGGUGGGUAUUGAUCGACUUACAAAAUCUGCUCAUUUCUUACCAUUCAAAACCACAUAUUCGAUGGACAAGUUAGAGAGUAUUUAUGUGGCUGAGAUAGUUCGACUUCAUGGAGUACCUGUGUCCAUAAUCUCAAAUAGGAAUUCUCGGUUUACUUCUAAGUUCUAAACUAGCUUUCAUCCACAGACUGAUGGACAGUCAGAGCGUACUAUUCCAACGCUGGAGGAUAUGUUGCGAGCUUGUGUUACGGAGUUUAAAGGUAAUUGGGACAAUUAUUUACUUUUAAUGGAGUUUACUUACAACAACAUCUAUCAAGCUAGUAUCGAGAUGGCACCAUAUGAGGCUGUGUAUGGUAGAAAAUGCAGAACUCCAAUAUGUUGGGAUGAGGUUGGCGAGCGGAGGUUAUUCGGUCCAUAAUUAGUUUAGGAUACUAACAAGAUGAUACAAUUGAUCCGGGAUAGACUAAAAGUGGCCCAAGAUAGACAGAAGAGCUGUGCAGACAAGCAUAGGCGCGAACUUGAAUUCGAAGUUGGUGAUAGAGUUUUCAUACAGAUAUCUCCUUGGAAAUAGGUGCUUCGAUUUGGGAAACGUGGGAAGCUAAGCACACGUUACAAUGGGCCAUAUGAGAUCAUCGAGUGCAUCAGUCUAUUAGCUUAUCAAUUAACUCUACCACCUAAGUUAUCCAGAAUCCACGAUGUGUUUCAUGUCUCAAUGCUCCAAAAGUACAUAUAUGACCCGAGUCAUGUGUUAUCGAAGCAACCAAUUCAAUUGAAUGAAGAUUUGACUUACGAAGAGGAACCCGUGGAGAUACUGGAAGAGAAACACCAAGUUCUAUGUACUAAGACCAUUCCUCUAGUAAAAGCACGAUAAAGAAAUCCUACAAAGGAAAAGGCUACCUCGGAACACGAGGACUUAAUGCGAGCUCAGUGUCCUCAUCUUUUCUCAUUAGGUACAUAAAUUUCAACAAAAUUUUUAUAAGUGGGGAGUAUUAUAACAUAUGUGAAAAUAAAUAAAAGUGAGGCGGUUAAAAAGUUAAUAAAAGAAAAAGAGGAAACUAAAAAACAGGGGAAACAUAUACACAUGUGAGAGAGUGACAGAGAAGCUGUCAAAACUGACCCAAAAACCCGACCCGUUUGAACCGCAAACGUGACCUGGCCAUACCUGGCGAUUCCAGCCACCAUUCCGGCCAAGCAAGGUAUCAACCGGAAGCCCAUGAGACGCUAAUCAUACCCCAGUUAUGAUUGUCACUAAAAACCAACUGGAUCGCAGCCGUUACCAGCUUGAGAAAUCGCGGCCAAAAACCCAUCACCACCGCCGUUGAUUCUACCAGAAUUUGACCACGCCACCACCUCAGUUUUGUUACCCAUGACUCCCUUUUCAAUUCCCAACCAUCCACAGUCACCGGGAGUAACUGUUUCGUCGUCGGCCAAUUGUUGGAAAUGUUUCCUAAUUAAUUAAGGACUUUUAAUUUCCUUCCCAAUUUAGAAUUUUGUUUCCUUUUUAAAUUAGAAUUUUGUUUUCCCUUAGUAAUUUAGGAUCAUUACUGCUACUAUAAAUAGCUUCCUCUUGUAGCAUUUGAAAGUGGUUCGAUUUCAAUAAUAUUUUUAAUUUUCAAAUCUCUUUGUGAGUAUUUGAGCUCAGUUAAUUCUCGGUAUUUUGCGGAAUCAACGAGUCUUAACCCCUAAAUUCACGGCAUUCUUUUGAAUCAACGUGAGUUUAGUUGUUCUUUUAUUCCAGCAUUCUCUAGAAUCAACGAAAUAUUUUGAACCGUAAACUUCCGUUACAUCACUAUCCUGUAGUGUGACAACCAAGGAGCAAUAUCUUUGGCUUAUAAUCUAAUGUAUCAUGCUAAAACUAAGUACGUAGAGUUAGAUAUUCAUUUCAUUAAAGAAAGGUAGCUACUAAGAAAAUUAAAGUGUGCUUUAUUCCUAGUGAAGACCAAAUAGUAGAUGUCCUUGACAUGCUUUUAACAUUCGGGCAAUUUCAUUAUCUAAGAAGCAAGCUAAACGUCAAUUCUAGACAAUUUAACUUGAACAUGGAUGUUAGUAAUUAUAGUGAAGCAUAUUCUCUGUUGAUGACUGAGCACAAUUAGUUAAGCUAGCUCAACAUAGUGUUGAAGUUGUUAAGCAUUCAUUAAACAUGUAACAUAAUUAGUUUUAGUUGAGAGCUACUUCUAUAAAUACUAUUAAUGUAAUCAUUUUAGUUGCUAAAGAAAUUAUAAUAAGAAGAAGCUUUCAGAUCUUUCUUUUCUCAAUUCUCUUUUCCUUCAUUUUUUAGCUAGCCAAACAUCCUUUGUUUUCCUACAAGAGUUGGGUGUAAGCAUGACAACUUUAUUAUGUAUUGCGACAACCAGAGUACCAUUCACUUGGCAAAGAAUUCAACAUACCAUUCAAAGUUUGAGCAUAUUGAUAUGAGGUAUCAUUGGGUAUGAGACGUGCUUGAGAAGAAACAGUUGCAGGUUAAGAAGAUACACACAACGGAGAAUGGGUCAGAUAUGAUGACAAAGUCAUUGCCCAAGGAAAAGUUGAAAAGUUGUAUGUAGAAAACGAGCUUGGUAGUGCCCCCCACAUGAUCUGGGGGAGAUUUGUAAGGUCCAUCUCAUUUGGGUGGUCUAAACCCAAAGUUUAAUAAGUUUGGGGGUAAUUAAGUAAUUAAAGAAAUAUUGAGGGGCUACGUAAAAUUUUACAAUGAAAUUUGGCUAUAUAAAGAAGAGAAAGUGGAGGCGGUAGCAACCUUUUGACAGAAGAAAAGGCGAGAGAGAAGGGAAGAGACAGUAGAGUUGGGGCUAUUUGGGGGCAAGAUUUUCAAUCUUUAAUUGGGCGAUUGGAAGGUGAAAUUAACUAUGUUUUCCCUCAUUCUCUUAUUGUGCCUUCAGGCCUGGGCGAGUGCUGUAAGGUUAGAUUAGAGGGAGGGGGACUGCGAACACCCGUCCCAUUAAGCACCAGGGAACCAUGCAUUCCUCCCGUGUUGGGCUCCUGGCAUCGCCUUCUACAAUCCUACUGGUGUUGAUUUUUCUUUUAUCCUCUCAUUGGCUAUUAUUCGAGAUACCUACUUGUUAGAGAGACACUGAUUAGGCUGUUACUGUAAGCUAAAAAUAUUGAGAUUCUUGGUGUUGGUAGCCUUUAGUAUUAUUUAGAGAAUGAUUUGUACUGUAAUUCCAUUAAUAUAGUAGAAGAUUAUAUCGGACUACCGUCCCGUGGUUUUUCCCGUUUUGUUUUUACAUAAAAUUUGUGCCUCUUGUGGUUGGUUUUUUUGCUUUGGAUUUAUUGGUUUAUUUUUCUUCCUAUUUAUUUAUGGUGCACAUCCUAUUUUAAUCACAUAAAGAGGGAAAGAUUUUUGUUUCCGCUUAAUUUGUAACUCGUUAUGGUAGUCCCUCUCCCAAUACUCUCAUCCUAAACCAUAGAAAAAUUUUGAUAAUUUUGUUAUUUAUUUUAUUGGAAUUGUUUUCGACAAAACUACUUGUUCUAUUUUUUCUCGAAUUAGUCAAGCUCCUCUAGACCAUUUUGUUUUUCCACCCAUUAUGAGUUGAUUUAAAACUUUUGAGAGCAAACGCAAUGACUUCACUUUCAUGUUAUUUAAUUGCAUUUUCUAUCACACCUGCUAAUUGCCAAACUAAUCCAUCAUUUAUGACGUGCAUUAAUGCUAAACAAGCUGUGAAUCAUAAAUUUGUUUCUACAAUUACCGAAAGGGAUAUCAAAUCCAACAUGAUAGAUUAAUUUUUCAACUAAAUGGACUAGUGCCUACAAUAGGUUUGAUGCCAUUGAUAUUUAAAGGAAAGCAAAAAAGAAGGCAAAUACUUUGGAGUCAAAUUUCCAUAGACCAAUUCAUUCCAAUUUUAAACUUCAAAAGAAUUCAUCUCAAGUCUUUUUGUUAAUCAGCCGACUUCCAACAUGUAACAUUAACCAAUAUUGUUGAGCAUUAAUUGGUCUAACUUUUUAAUCGAGUAAUAAGAAAUAAACAAAAAGAUUUUAGUACAUGCAUAAAAGAACAAAAUCAAACUAGAUCGUGUAGUGGUGGUGCUGUCGUGGUGGGGUGGCAGUGGAGCUGGUGUUGCGUGGUGGUGUCGCGCAGCCAAGGCAGAUCGCGUGGUAGUGGCGCCCGGCAAAGGUAGAUCGCACCGUAGUGGAGCUGUUGUCUCGUGGUUGUGGUAAAGCUGGUCGCAUCGAGGUGGAGCACCUCGUGGUGGAGCUGCUGUCACACGAUUGUCGCUUCACAUUAGAGUUGUUGUGGUGGAGCUAUUGUCGGUAUCGUUUGUUGAAGCACACCAAUGGCUAUGUGGAGUAGUCGUGUGGAGAAUUUGGAGAUGGCAGGGAGAACGUGAGAAAAAAAAUUGAAUUUUUUUUCUUAAACAAAACUAAAACUGUUAGAAAAUUAAGCUUCCUCCCAAAAUCACUCCAAGCAAUUUGUCAAGCAACAAAUUAACAUAAAAAAUUAAAUGUAGAAUACAUCAAUCAUACAACACAAGAUUUACGUGGAAAACUUCAAAUCCGAAUAAAAACUGUAGUUGUUGUCAAAAGACAACCAAAGAAAAAUGUUCACCAUGUGGAAAAUGUUUACAACCACAUUCUCAGAAAUAACUUUCUCUCACCCAAGCCCCAAAUACAUGAUCUUGAGAAAUAUUCCUUAACAAAACAAACUCAUAAUACUCAUAUUGAGAAGCCAAAUGCUUCUUCAAUAUAUUUACAUGCUUAAGAAUAUUACUCUCCUCUCAAUUUGGAUUGCUUCUCUGGGAUAAUGAAAACUUAUGAAAGGCUCUCCUAUUUAAAACCAAACGGAUAGCACUGUUCAAACCGCGUCACUAUUCAUACAGCGUUACUAUUCAUGUUGCGUUACUAUUUUCACCACGUGGUCAAACUGUGUUACUGUUCACCCCGGGGUCAAAUCGUGUUACUGUUCACCGUUUUUUUAAUCAAUUUUCAACAAAAACCGCAUAAACCUAAUUCUCACACGGGUUUGGCUUUGAGGGUUUAACUGCAUUACAAGUUCUUUUGAUUACAUUAUAAUACAACGAGGAGUAGUUAGCAAACAUGAUAUCGUAAUAUUUUAAUACUACGAGGAGUGCUGAUACCAUGUAAUAAGAGUUGCCGAGUAUGUCCAAGAGGAAUACAAGUUGGCGGUGGUUAAUAAAAAACAGAUGCAAAACGACUGCGUUUUGUACAUUGAAGUUGUGCGUCUUAAUCGUUCAAGUCUAAUGGUUUUAUUGCAAAUUUGUUGUCACGUGUAAUACACAUAGGGAUGGCAAAAAUCCCCAUAAGGACGGGCCCUUUGGGGAUUUUUUCCAUUUGAAAAAGGUAUGGGGACGAUUUAUACCCAAUUUCUUAUUCAGAGAAAUGAUAGAGAUGAUUUUUUUACCUAAUUUCUUUUUUGAGGAAGGGACGGGGAUGAGCUUGAAUCCCUAUCCCCUCCCCAAUUCCCCAUUUUCUCAAUUUGAUUUUUAAUUCUAAUUUUAUUUUUUAAAAAUAAUAAUGAAUAAAUAAUAAAAUAUAAAAUAUUAGUAUAAAUCAGAAAUAUCAACAUAUUUAUACAAAUAUACUAUGAAAUUUUUGGGCCCAACAAACAAAUUAGAGUCCUAAAUUACUAUUUGAUUAGAUUUUAUUCAAAAGGCCUUGGCCCAAAAUUUUUUAUUUUUAACGUUUAUCUAUUAAAACAAAACUAAAGCAAAAGCCAAUCUAUAACAUCCAAACUUUACCAAGAUAUAUUGUCAAACUUUUUUUUAAAAAAAAUUAUUUUAAUAGACUAAAUCAAAUUUAGAAACUAAAAAAUGUAUUGGUUAUUUAGGAAUUUUUUAGGGAUCGAGGACCCUCGGAGAUUCAUUUUUAUUAUUCGGGGAGGGGACGGAGAUUCCUUUAAGUAAUUUUGAUGGGGACGGGGAGGAGACAGGAACAUAUGCAAAAUAUUGGGAUGGGUACGGGGAUAUCAAUCCCCUCCCCUACCCUCCUCAUUGCCAUCCCUAAAUACACACGUUAGUCACUUAUUCUGACCAAGUCAAACUUCUGUUAAAGUGUGUUAGAAAGAGCGGCAAAUCUCUAAAAUCAAUUUCCGAGCUUAAUGUAACGUAUGGAAAAAAAAAAAGGCAGUUAAAAAAAUAUAAUAAAAGAAGCUUAGCAAUUUUGUAAUGAGAAAGAGAAAGAGCACACGUGACAGUGACAGAGAGCUGUCAAAACUAACCCGAAAACCUGAACUGAACCUUCAAAAUUGACCCGGUUGUAUCUCUGAUUUUCAGUCACAUCACUGGCCGUGGAAGGUAGCAAACAAAAGCUCUUGUGCCGGCCAUCACUUCCUUGUCGUCACUAUCACCAAAAACCGACCGAAACGUCGUAGUUUGUAGCACAAAAAAUCAUGGCCAAAACUCGUCACCACCCUUGUCGAUUCGCCGAAAUUAGACCACGCAACCACAUUAGUUUUGUUCUCCUACAACUCCCUCUUCAAUUUCCAACCAUCCACAGCCACUAGGGGUGCAGAUUUGCCAUCCAUUAGCUGUGGGAAGAUUCACGGCUGUCAGGCUACAUUCCAGCGUCGUCAGCACGUGGGAGCUCAAUGUCGGUACCAUUGAACUCAGCUCGGCUUGAAGUGCCUAACCUAGGGGUGGGCAAAAUCAAACCGGAACCGAAAAAAAUUCGGUUCGGUUCGGUUUUUUAUUUCAAAAAAUCGAAUAUAAUUCGGUUCAAUUUUCGGAUCAAACUUUAAGAAAUCCGAACUGAACCGAUAAUAUCAUUUAGGUCCCUCUUUUUUAUAAAAUUAUAAUAAGACCCAAUAUUUAGAAAAUAUUUGCAUAUAAAAAUUAUAUUAUGACCUAAUAUAUUUUGCAAAUUUUUCAACAAGGUCCUUGACCAAAAGCCAACAAGGCAAGAUAACAUUCUGAUCCCUAUGUUUUUAAUAAGUUAUAUUAUAGCACAGAAACUUAUUUUAUUUUAUUUAAGUUUUGCGCCAAAAGUUUUAAUAUUAAAAACAAUGACGAUGAUUCUAAAAAUUAUUCAUUUUAGUCCAAAAUUUUAAAUUUUUUUUUCUUAUACAAAUUUGUAAAUUUUUUUUUGUUGAUUAUAAAUUGAUUAUAAUAGGCCUUGUGUGCAAGUUAAGAUAAACCGAAAAACCAAUUUGUUAGUUUGAUCCGUUAAGUGAACCGUUACCGAAAAAUCGAAACCGAAUCAAACCGAACUAUCGAUUCCUGUUCAAUUUUUAUUUUCUCUUAAAACCGAUUAGAUUUUUUUGAAUUUAGGACCCGAACCGAACUGAACCAAAACCGAAAAUUUAUUCCAAAACUGAACCGAACCAAACUGAUGCCCACCCCUAGCCUAACCUGAGCUUCCCGGUCACUGUCACUUGAAUUCUGACCACCGUUGACCGAUAAGGGCAUUUCGGUAAUUUCAUAUUUUAAGGGUAAUAUUGUAAUUUGUGACCCUAUAGAUAUUUUAGUAAUUUCUAAAAUUAAGGAUUGUUUGGUAAUUAAGAAUUCAGAGGGUAAUUCAAAGUAUUUUAAUAAUUUACGAAUGUGAGGGUACUUUGGUAAUUUUAUCAGCGUGGUAGUUGUAAAUUAUGGCUAGAUGUUCGUUUCGAUUUUAUUGCAUGAAUUUAAUCCUAAUUUAGAUUUACAAAAAAUAAUUAUGUCAUUUCCUUGAUUUAGAAGGAUCCGCGAGCGAGAAUUAGUCCGCGGGCGUGGUCGAUAACCGAGUCUGAGUAUUGUCACUGUGAGUGGAAUAUAUAAAACCAAUUUUCAUAAUAUUAUGAUUUAAAGUGUAGUAAAGCAUGUUUGCGAAUAAAUCUUUAAUGCUCCAAUUUAAUGUUUUCUUAUAAAUGAGUUUUAUUUACGUAUUGUUGUAUUUUUAAAAGUGCAUGAUUAUCAGUUUCCCUAUCGAUUUUUUAGUAAUGCAUGAUAGUAUUUUAAAGAAAAGAAAAUAGAUUUUAAGUACGUUAAAUAGAAAGGAAAUGAGAUUUAUAUAGUAUGAUUAUAUGUUCAUGUAUAUGUGUAUAAAACAUUGAUUGCAAAAUCAAUGGACAAUACUCUUCCCCUUAAGUUAUAAUAGCACAGAUAUGAUGAGAGGUCUUUGAGGUCUGUCUGAACACAUAUAGAGGCUUUAGGCCAUGUGUUUGGGCGCUUCUGCCUUUUGGGGGCUUAUGCAAUAUGAUGAUGUAGAGAUAUAGUUACUGAGACACAAAUGUGAUACAUGCCUUUGGGACCCGUCUGAGUACAUAUAGAGGCUUUGGGCCAUGUGCUUGGACACUUUUGUCCUUUAGGGACUAGUUUAUGCAUGCAGAGAUACAAUGAGAUACAUGAACUCUAUGAGAUGGCAUUCCAUUGGUCUACGUACCCGUUGCAGAUCUAGGGCAUGAUGAUAUCUUGAUUGUAUGUCACUGCCUGUCCAUUGAGGUUCGGGUAUGACGAGAUUAUUCUGUUGGGUACUUGUUUAGUGACAAUUUUGAGAGUUCAGUAUUUGAGAUUAUAGUGUGCUUAUAAUUUUCUUGAUUUUUUGUGGUAUUAUAUCUUAUGCUUAUGUUAGUGUAUGAUUUAUAAUUAAUUUAUCUAAGUUUUCUUAUGGUAAUUUGGUCAAAUUAUUUACUGAAAUGAUAUAAUUAUUUUGAAGUAAAUUUAUUUUCAAAACUAUUAUCCACUCACUGAGCUUAUUGAGUUUUUAUACUCACCCCGAUUUUAUUAUAUGCCCUCCACCCCCCCCCCCCCCCAAAGAGGUUGCAAGUACACAAAAUUGACCCAAUGACUAUAGAUAUUUUGAAUUUUGUUCACAUGAUGGCGUUAGAAGAUAUAGAUGAUUUUUGUUAGGGCAUUUUGAUCAUUUCAUUUUUUUCGGAUUGUAUAAUUUUGCAUUAUUCUUUUGAGAUUAUGAAUAAACCAAUGUAUGUUAAUAUUAGUUAUAAUAUAAUCUUUUGAUACUAUAUAGAUAUCUUAGGUAAAACUUAGUAUUUUGAUAGAGGAUGUUGAUCAUUGGAGUUUGUUGUAUAUUGAAUUACUUUGGGAGUGCUUAUUUUACAUAUUUGCAGGUUGGUAGUGUUAUAUUUAUAAAGGAAACUUUGCCGACUUUUGCAUCUAAAAAGGAGCAACUUCUAAAAUAUUUUGCUUGAAAAACUUUGGAGAUUAGAGAGUUUAGGACUUGAAUCAACCGCCACCCUUGCUUGGCCACCAUAGGUUGAUUAAAACUUGUGAAGUCUCGAAAUCCCAAUCCUCUCUUACUUUUUACACAACUCAUCUUGCUCCAUCGAGCCCAAUGGAUGUCGUGCUUGUCUCUCUUAGACCCCCACCAGAAUUUAGCGAUUGCACUUUGAAUUUCCUCAUAUAAGCCUUUGAGGAGCAUGAAAACACUCAUGGCAUAGGUAGGAACGGCUUGAGCUAUAACUUUUAUAAGAAUUUCCUUGGCUCCACUUGAAAACAUCUUGUGCUACCAAUUAUUAAUUUUGCUUAAGACCUUUAGCUUGACUUCUCUAAAAAAACUAGUCUUCUUCUUUCCUAUCAUAGACGGGAGCCUCAAAUAUUUUUCGUAUUUGGAUAACACAUUGAGGUUGAAGAUGUUUCUUAUUGCUGCUCUCUGCCCCUUAGAAAUCUUGCCUCCAAAAACAUUGAUGAUUUUUCAAAGUCAAAAAUCUGCCCCGACGCCUUUGUAUAAUUGUCAAAAAUCCUUUCAGGUGCUUGCAUUAUGUCACUGAUGCAAUUGCGAAGACUAAGUUGUCAUCUACGAAAAGUAAAUGAGAUAUUGUGUCAUCCUUUGCGAAUUUUAGGCCUCUGAUUUUUUCCUUUAUGCCUGAAACAAUAAGCUUAAAAAGACUUAUGUACAAAGGAUAAACAAAUAUGGGGAGAGGGGAUAGCCUUGCCUUAGGCCUCUCUUUGGAUGAAAAAGAAACUAAAGUAAUGCAGCCCGUUAUCAAUUCCAACCACUUCUUUGAGAAACCAAUCUUUUUCAUUAUUUGUUUUAGGAAAUGCCAUUCAACCAUAUCAUACGCUUUGCUGAUGUCUAACUUUAACGCCACCAACCCCUUAUUUUUUCUUUUACUGUGUCUUAUUUUGUGGAAGCAUUCGUAUCCAAUAAUCAAAUUAUCUUAGAUGAGUCUAUUGGGAAUAAAUACACUCUGAGUGGGGGAAAUAAUUUGCGAAAGAAUUGGCUUUAGCCUAUUUGCAAUAGUCUUGGCCAUUAUUCUGCAUAUCACAUUACAGAGGUUAAUUGGCCUAAACUCAACAACCUUCAUAGGCUUAGUUGUCUUGGGGAUCAAGGCAAUAAAAGUGUGGUUAAGGGUAGCUAAGUUACCUCCAUCAUUAAGAAUGUGCAAGCAUGUUCCUAUCACACUACUCCGAACUGUCUGCCAAUGCUUUUGGAAAAAGGCAGCGGGCAAACCAUCUGGACCUGGAGCUUUAGUUGGGCUCAUCUAGUAUAGGGCUUCCUCAAUUUCUUCUGUUGUGAAAGGCUCCUCCAGUUGUUGAUUCAUUUCUGUGAUUACCUUUGGUUUUAUUCCAUCUAAAACAUUUUGAAUCUGGCUUUGAUUAGGGCUGGAAGUUGUGAAUAGGCUCUAGAAAUUCUCAUAAAAUUCUCUCUCUACUUCCCCUUGAUCUUCUGUCCACUACCCUUGAGAGUUUUCAAUGCCCCAAAUUUUAUUUUUUCUCUUUCUUGCUGAAGCCUUCGAGUGAAAGUACUUAGUAUUCCUGUCUCCUUCAUUUAACCAACCUGCUCUCGAUCUCUGCCUUUAAUAAAUCUCCUCGUCCAUCAGCAUGCCAUUGAUUUGAUUUUCAAGCCUUCUGAUUUGGUCCUCAUCCAUUCUUUGGGCUUUACCUUGCUUUCUAUGUUUGAGUUGAUUGAUCAGCUGAUCCUGCUUCUUUUUCCUAUCUGCAAACUCAGUCUUGCUCUAUAUUUUAAAGUUGGCUAGAGUGUUUUUAGCAACCUUCUGGAAAUGCUUCACUAGAUUUUCCCAUGUUCCUUUCCCAAUGGAAACCCAUUCAUCUCUCACAAUGUUUCUACAAUCUUUAUAUGAGCUCCAUAUGUCUUCGUAAUGUUCUCUGUGGAAUGAUCUUUUAACAUAGCUCCGUUCUUUUUUCCUCUCUCUUACUUCUAUUAAAAUUGGGCAGUGGUCGGAAACCCAAUUCACCAAAUUCGUUUCUGCCAAAUCAUGAAAGUUUUCUCUCUAGUCGUUACUGCAUAAGAACCUAUCUAAGCGCUCCUCAAUGAAGUGCUAGCCAUACCUCCUAUUCGACCACGUAAAUGGGUACCCCUUAUACCCCAUAUCGACAAGAUUACAAGCCUGAACAGCCUCUCUGAACUUUAUUACCAUCUCUAUAUUUUUUUCAUUUCCCCCUGAUUUUUCUUGUAGAUUCAAUAUUUCAUUGAAGUUACCAAAACAACACCAAUGGUAAGAGAAGAUACCUACUAACCUCUUCAGUAAAGUCCAAGUGUGGUGCUUUUGGUUAGUUUUUGGGUGGCCAUACACUCCGGUGCACCUCCAUACCUUGCCAUUUUCAUUUUUCACAACUGCAUCAAUAUGGUGUGAGCUGUAGGAUUUUAUUUCAACCUCCACAUCUGAUGACCAAAAUAAAGCUAGCCCUCCCCCUAAUCCAUUUUUGUCCAUAGAAAAAUAAUUUUCGAAAUUAAAAUAUCUACCUUCUAAGUUUAACUUGCUUGGCCCGAAUUUUUGUUUCACAGCAAAAGAAAAUAUCUGGCCUAUGCAGGUGGAGAAUUUUCUUGAUGACUAAUCUCGUUCGAGGCUUCCCCAUACCUCGAACGUUCCAGCUUAAGAUCUUCAUAGCUGCCUAUGGGGCUAACGACCAGUUCCCGUCGAUUUGAUGUCCACCAUUUCCUCCAAUUCCAUCUCUGCAUCAUGCUCUUCAUUAACUAGCUUCAAUUGGGUCUUUGCUCAAGAAGGACUAAGAAAACACCCACUGCUUGGUUGUUUUAAAGGGCUAAAUCUUCUUUUCUUUUUAUUUUCAGGGCUGGGCGAUAUCAAUACAUUGUUGGGCCUUUUGGUGCACAUAGGCCCUUUUUCACUUAAGGGACUAUAGCACUAAUAACCAACUCAUUGCUUCGUAUUAUCUGAAUCCAAAGAACCAGUCAAGAUAUAAUAUAGUGGUCAUAUCGUUGUAGCAACUGAAAUUUGCAUAACAUAAAAACCCAAUCUGAUUGUAGGUUGUGAAGUUCGAAGUUUUGAAAGAAAAUCGAAAAGCAUGCGGAUAAAUGGAAUGAUGAGAGAAAGAGAGAAAGAAAAUAUCAAUUAUAUAAUAUUCAAAUAUGUAAGGUCUGUAAGUCAUCUCAUAAAAAAUAGUGUAAUACAACAUCAAUAAUGAUUCAUCCCUAACUAGAUGAAUCCACUCAUAGAACAAAAAACAUCAAGAGCCUUGAGCCAAUAAAAUUUGAGAAAAUUGACUUAAGAAAAAAUUUCAUUAAGGGCUCCGUUGGAGAAUUCAGACCUAACCAUUAAUCAAGAAGCAAUGGGAACGACGGAAACCGUGAAUAAAGAAGAUUCUAUUGGAAAUGAAUCUUAAUGAUUUAUUGGGUGGGAUGGCGAAACGAACCCAGGAACUAAACUAUUCUUUUAUUCGUAGAGGUCAUGAACUAACCCUACAACUGAAAUAGAUAUUGAAAGAGUAAAUAUUCGCCCGUGAAAGGUUUAUUUUUUUAUUUAAUUAGAUUGAUUCAUUUUGAUCGAUCUGAUACGGUAAAGGGCAAAACAAAAUAAAGAUUUGUUAUAACGAUAAAAAAAAAACAUUGAGAUUAUCUAUAAAUAGAACAUAAAUGUUUCAAUUCUAUAUCUAAACAUGAUAUACAAAUUUAGAAUAGAUUAAUUAGAUGAACUUUCAAAAAAUCCUAUACUUCAGUAUAUUAUUCAUUAAAUCCCCCUAUAUCUUGAUAAAAUCGUUUUUAGUCCUUUCAUUCGCGAGGAGCUGGAUGAGAAGAAACUCUCAUGUCCAGUUCUGUAGUAGAGAUGGCAUUGGGAAAGAACCAUCAAUUACAACCCCAAAAGAACAAGAUUUUGUACACAACAUAGAGGAAGAAUGAAAGGGAUAUCUUAUCGAGGUAAUCAUAUUUGUUUUGGCAGAUAUGCUCUUCAAACACUUGAACCCGCUUGGAUCACAUCUAGACAAAUUAAAGCGGGGCGCCGCGCAAUGACACGAAAUGUACAGCGCGGUGGAAAAAUAUGGGUACGUAUCUUUCCAGACAAACCAGUUACACUAUGACCCACGAAAACCCGUAUAAGGUCCGGUAAAGGAUCCCCCAAAUAUUGGGUAGCCGUCGUUAAACUGGGUAGACUACUUUAUGAAAUGAGUGGAGUAGCUAAAAAUAUAUCUCAAAAGGCUAUUUCAAUAGCAACGUCCAAAAUGCCUAUAAGAACUCAAUUCAUUAUUUCGGGAUAAGAAUGUCGAAACAAAGGAAAUAAAUCUUGGGUAUAAAAAAAUGCGAGUCUUCCCUUUUUUUUCUUUUUUCUUUCUUUUUUUUACUUUGUCCUUUCAGUGCUUUACUUUAAAUUAAACAUUAAAAAAACAGACUCAAAAAAUAAUAUGAUUCAACCUCAAACCCAUUUGAAUGUAGUAGACAAUAGCGGUGCCCGAAAAUUGAUGUGUAUUCGAAUCAUAGGAGCCAGUAAUCGUAGAUAUGAUCAUAUUGGUGAAAUUGUUGCUGUGAUUAAGGAAGCAAUACACAAGCAGUACACAAUAUGCCUCUAGAAAGAUCAGAAGUGAUCAGAGCUGUAAUUAUACGUACUUGUAAAGAACUCAGACGUGAUAACGGUAUGAUAAUACGGUACGAUGACAAUGUUGCAAUUGUCAUUGAUCACGAAGGAAAUCCAAAAGGAACUCAAGUUUUUGGUGCGAUCGCCCGGGAAUUGAGACAGUAGAAUUUUACUUAAAUAGUUUCAUUAGCACCUGAAGUAUUAUAAGAGAGGAUCGCGAUAUAGUGAUAGUAUGAAAAUAAAAUAGAUAAAUCAAAAUUUAGUAGAGUAUGUCUCACGCAUAUACUUUUAAUAAUUUUCAUUAAAAAAAAAGAACAUGUUGAUUAUAUCAAAAUUCGGAAGCAACAAAAUUUUCAGUUUUAUCAUGGGCAAGGACACUAUUGCUGACAUAAUAACUUCUAUACGAAAUGCUGACAUGAAUUGAAAGGGAAUGGUUCGAAUAGCAUCUACUAACAUCACCGAAAACGUUGUUAAAACCCUUUUGUGAGAGGGUUUUAUCGAAAACGCAAGGAAACUCGUGGAAAACAAAAACAAAAAAGAGUUUUUGGUUUUAACCCUACGACAUCGAAGGAAUAGGAAAGGGCCGUAUAGACCCAUUUUAAAUUUAAAACAAAUCAGUCGACCCGGUCUACGAAUCUAUUUUAAUUAUCGAUGAAUUCCUAGAAUUUUAGAUGGGAUGGGGAUUGUAAUUCUCUCUACUUCUCGAGGUAUAAUGACAAACUGAGCGGCUCGACUGGAAAGAAUCAGUGGAGAAAUUUUGUGUUAUAUAUGGUAAUUAUUCUUCUAUCCGAAUUGUAUUUGGAGCUUACUUUUAUGUUGUGAGAAAAAAAAAGGGGGGGGAGGAUUCCUCGAGGUUUAAUUACCGAAUAACUUAUCAAAGGUAUGCUCCAGGUUCUUUUAGAUAGUUUAGAGAGCGAAGUAAGAUUCUAGAUUAUGUUUCAGAAGGGAUGCGACCCGUUUUUCUACAUCUACUUAUACUAUUAUACAUAUACUCCCGAUGGCUAGAGGCAAAAUUGAAGGAAGUCGUUAUGAUUUAGAUUCAACUGGAGGAUAUAAUAAUAAUAUAUAGAUUUGAGUGAUUAGGUGAUUUUUCAACAUUCCUUUCAAGGGGAUACAAAUCGCGGUUCAAAAAUUUCAAGAAACUUAUUUUCUUCUAACUUCCAAUAAGUAGAUUCGAAAUUCAUUUAAGGAAUAACAAUUAUGAAAAUAAGGGCUUCAGUUCGUAAAAUUUGUGAAAAAUGCCGACUGAUCCGCAGGAGGGGACGGAUUAUAGUAAUUUGUUCCAACCCGAGACACAAACAAAGACAAGGAUAAUCUUUCGAAAAGUUUAGAAAGUAACCGAUGAACAAAUCAAAACAAAAGAUCGGUUUUGACAUGAAAUGGAUAUAUCCAUAUAUCUCUGACUUAUAUUUAUGAAAUAAUCAAAUAUGGCAAAAUCUCCACCAUGAAGUGGUUCACGUAGGCCAGGAGGGAUUAGUUCACGUAAAAGUGGACGUCGAAUACCAAAGGUCUUUUGAUUCCUGGCUUGCAGCUUCCACUUUCUAGCUUUGGGUCUAAUUAUUUCUUUGCUUGGCCCAUUCACCACCUCAUCCUCGUCUGAUCUGGCUUCAGCAAAAGUUUCCAGGCUGUCUUCUAAAUUUGUUUCCCUCCAAUUUUCAUUUCCCGCAUGCGCUUUCUUGUUUCUGAAGUGGCUGUCAUUGUCAGUCUCUUCCACUUGCACCUUACUGAUUUCCUUUCCCCUGCUCAGAGUCUCUAUUUGCAGAUUUUCUGUCAGCUCUGGAUCUGUCAUUGAUGGUUCUUCGUCAGCUACUUGCCCCUAGUUUUUGCCUUUUGGUUUACCAUUGUUUCCAUGUUCCUUCUCCCUUUGGCUAUGAUUUGGCCCCUGAUUGCUGAUUGAAAUAGGUGGGUUUUUUUGUGAUUCUCGGUUACUGACUGCUAUGAAGUUUUCUUUGGCUUGGGCUUGCUCCCUAUCACUUUUCUCAUUCAUUCUGUUUUGUUUCACCCUCUCUGCCUAUGAUAUUGCUCUCAUCCAUCCUCCAUAAGGCAAUUCGUCUUUCGGCUGUCUUUUAUAUUUCAAGCAUUCUCUAAUUUGGUGUCCAAUGUGUGCACAACCUUUUUUAAUGGCUGUGUUAUAUUAAUGGAAAUUCUGGCUCAAGCAAAUUGCCCUAUGCAUUCUCCUGCAUCGUCGGUUUCAACUUCCUCUACUUUACCUAUCAUUCUUCCCCAACUCUUGAAUAGUCUCUCGAUUCAUGCACAUGAUAGGAAUAUUGUGAAGCUGAACCUAGAAGGAUGAAUGCAUAAAGGAUUGUUUUUUAAUAGCCCCUAUGCCAUCUGGUUCAGUAAGUACUAGUAACUCUCGAUCAAAGUGCAAUAGUCCCCCCAUUAGUACUCUUUUCUUUUCCCCUUCUGAGCCAAACUUAAACAAAAAUAUGUUUUCCCCCAUGCUUUCGAUCUUAACCUCGUUGACUUUUUUCCAAGCUUGUUUCAUGGCCACUUUCAACCCCUCUCUGUUCACUCUUCACGUGAGUAAAACUUUCCCAACCAAGCAAUUAGCAGCCAUUUUUUCCCCUCUGGUCUUCAUGCUUCCCAUAAAAGUUAAAAUAUCUUCCUCUUCUUCUUCUAAAGCAAUUGCUUGACAUUUUCUAAUCAAUUCCUCUGCAGCCAUAUUUAAAGUAGUACUACAAACAAUAAUAGCUCAUGUGAAAAUUUAUCUCCUAACCCCCUUUUAAUCUGCAAUAAAUAACUUUAACGAUAACAAAAGAUGAAAGUAUGUGGGAAAAGAAACGAAGAAGAUAGAAUAAGAAAGAAAAGAAACACCCAAUCAAGGGAUGACUAAAAGAUAAGCCAUGACCGGCUUUACUCUACUUUCAUUCUAAUACUUUUUUCUCUAGAAGAAAGAUUGCGGAGAGAUUUUACUCCUCACUAGGAGUUUAAUUUUGUGAUUUGUCUACUUUUUAAAGUUAAUCGAAGUGCGUUACAUGAGUAAAUGACAAAAAAAGCUGAAAAAGGAAUGAUUCAAGCACACUAAACGGCCGAAAAUAUUGCAGCUGGCAUGGACUUGGUGUUCAGAGAGCAGGACACAGUCAUGGGAAAAUGAAAUGGUGAUUGAAGUGAUAGUGCACUCAAUGGGCUCAAAUAACUUGAAGGGUGAAAAGGGCCAAAAAGAAUUGACCAAGAAUGAAGGGAUGCUUGGGCCAGGAAAACUUAUAAAGGCUAUGGGAAAGAACAUAACCAGCAUGUGUGUGAUUGGAUGCGCUUUAAGUGCUUCAACUCCAAUGGAGAAUGGAAAGCAAUGGAGAUGCACGGGGAUAUACGGACACCCAGAAAUGCAGCAAAAACAACACACUUGGACGCUACUUCGAAGGCUGUCAGGUUUGUCUAAUCUCCCGUGGUUAUGCUUCGGCGAUUUCAAUGAAAUUUUAAGUCCAAAUGAGAAAUGUGGGGGGAAGGAUCGAAAUUUGAGUAUGAUGGCUAGUUUCAAAGAGGCUGCUCAAGCCUGUAAUUUGGUGGAUUUAGGUUGCAUAGGCUACCCUUUUACUUGGUCUAACCGGAGAUUUGGCCACCAUCUUGUUGAGGAGAGAUUGGACAGGUUCCUAUGUAGUCGAGAUUGGGUUAAUAACUUUUAUGAUUAUGCAGCAACGAAUCUCUUAACCGUGAGCUCUGACCACUACCCAGUGUUGAUAGAAGUUAGAGAAAGAGGUAAAAGUAUCCGCUAUGAGAGGAAGGCACCUCGUAGGAUUCAUUAUGAGGAUAUGUGGAGUGCCUAUGAUAUGUGCAAGAGCAUUGUUCAAGAGGAAUGGAGUAGUCAAGGGAAUUGGAAAUUCGGGAAUCCAGUACUUCAAUUUCAAAAAUCCGCCAAAAGUUCUAUGGCUAAGCUUAAAUGGUGGAGCAGGCAAGAGUUCGGGGAAAGAGAAAAAGAGUUAAAGCAGAUGAUGGAGCAGCUAAAAAGGUUGAAACAGAAUUUUGAUCAUUACAACAGCGGAGAUGAAAUUAAAAAGUUGGAGAGGAGAAUCAAUAAUAUGUUGAUUGAUAAAGAAAUGUAUUGGAAGCAAAGAUUAAGGGCUGACUGGUUAAAAGAGGGAGACAAAAACAUAAAGUUCUUCCAUUUAAAGGCUUCAGCAAGGAAGCGAAAGAACAAAAUUUGGGGGAUCGAUGAUAAACAAGGGCGCUGGACAUAAGAGGAAGCUGAAGUGGAAGCAUAAUUUUGUGAGUACUUUCAAGAGAUUUUAACUUCUUCAAGGCCAAGCCAAGCUCAAAUAGAUGCUGCUUUAGAUGGAUUGUUGCCAAAGAUAGAUGAAACCAUGAAGAAUCAUCUGAAUCAGCCGUUUACAGCUGAGGAGAUUUCGGAGGCUCUAAAGCAAAUGUGCCCCACAAAGGCACCUGGCCCGGAUGGACUUCCUGCUGUCUUCUUUCAGAAGCAUUGGCAAGCAGUGGAGUGUGGAGUUGUUUCAACUUGUUUACACAUUCUGAAUGAAUGAGGUAACUUAACUUCGUUAAACCACACUUAUAUUACUUUAAUUCCAAAAGUUCAUAAGCCUAGAAAAGUCACUGAUUUUAGACCCAUUAGCCCUUGCAAUGUAAUUUAUAGAAUUAUCGCUAAGGUUAUAGCAAAUAGAAUGAAGCCCAUUCUUGAACAAAUUAUUUCGCCGUUUCAGAGUGCUUUCAUCCCAAAUAGACUCAUCACUGACAAUAUUAUUAUUGGGUAUGAGUGUCUCCAUAAAAUUAGGCACAGUAAAGGGAAAAGAAAUGGGUUAGUGGCUUUAAAGCUAGAUAUUAGCAAAGCUUAUGAUAGGGUGGAGUGGGAGUUUUUGAAACAAACAAUGACAAAGCUGGGGUUUCCAAAUAAUUGGGUAGAUUUAAUAAUGAAUUGUAUCACUACAUCAUCUUUCUCUGUGCUUGUAAAUGGGAGUCCCAAGGGCAUGAUUCACCCGCAAAGAGGCCUUAGACAAGGCUGCCCUCUAUCCUCAUAUUUGUUCAUAUUAUGUGCAGAAUCUUUUUCUAACUUACUGCUGCAAGCAGAGCAGAAUCAUCAAAUCCAGGGGCUGAAAUUUGGAAAGGAGAUUACUAUUUCGUAUUUACUAUUCGCUGAUGACAGCUUGGUGUUCACAAAAGCUUCAGUGGAUGGUUGCAAGGUUCUCAAAGCGAUCUUCGACUGCUAUGCUGCAGCCUCAGGUCAACUCUUCAAUUUUGACAAGUCGUCUAUGGUUUUCAGUGGCAAAAUCCUAGCAAACAGAGUUAAUGCAAUCAAGGGGAUAUUUCAACUCAAGGUGGUGUCUAGACACGAAAAAUACUUAGGCUUGCCCUCUAUGGUUGGAAGAAACAAGAAAAACUUCUUUAAUGAAGUGAAACUCAAAGUGGUGAGCAAGAUUUCAAAUUGGCAGCAUAAAUUUUUUUCGAGUGGAGGUAAAGAAGUCCUUAUUAAAGCAGUGGCUCAAGCGGUUCCAGCCUAUGCGAUGAGUGUUUAUAAGCUCCCUAUAGGGCUAUGCGAUGACAUUCAGAUGGCAAUGGCGAAGUUUUGGUGGAGAUCAAAAGAGGACAAGCGUGGAAUCCAUUGGGCAAGGUGGGAAAAGAUGAGUCAAGCAAAGAGUAGAGGAGGCCUCGGACUUAGAGAGAUGUCUAGAUUUAAUCAGGCUUUAGUGGCAAAACAAGGAUGGAGACUGUUGCAAUACCUGCAUUUAUUGGUUACCAAAGUGUUGAAGGCUAGGUAUUUUCAAAAGUCAGACUUCUUGAGAGCUCAAGCUGGUCCUAAUCCGUCCUACGUAUGGAGAAGUAUAUUGUGGGGAAGACAUGUGCUGCAAAAAGGAAUUCGGUGGAGUAUUGGCAAUGGUGAACAGAUUCUAAUUUGCAGGGAUAAUUGGAUUCCAAGGCCUGAAACUUUUAGGCCCCUCUCAAUUCAAAAUCUGCCAGCAGAAGCUACAGUCUCAGAGUUUAUUAAUACUGAAAAUCAAUGGGAUCACAGAAAGGUGCAGCAGUGGUUCUGGGAAGAAGAUGCCAAUGAGAUCUUGAGAAUUCAGCUGCCGAGAAAACCGAGAAUGGAUGAGAUAAUCUGGCACUUUGAUAAAAGAGGAGUUUAUGCUGUGAAAAGCGGGUAUCAGCUAGCGAUAAAAAUGAAGUACCCUGAUAAGCCUAGUUGUUCUUACAAGAGCCUUAAUCACUGGAACCGUUUAUGGACCCUCCAACUUCCAGAAAAAAUCAAAAUAUUUAUGUGGAGAGCUGGCCAAAACUUAUUGCCCACUGUUGAGAACCUAUGGAAAAAGAAGAUAUUGGUAAAGCCUCAUUGUCAAGUUUGCAAACAAGGAGUGGAAAGCGUAUCACAUGCAUUGGUGCACUGUAAAGCCACAAGGAAGGUAUGGAUUCAUGCUCCCUUUGAAAUGCAUUUCCCUGCUGCUUCUAAUCAAGAUAUGUGGAAUGUUAUGCUUGAAAUAACUAAGAAGAUGAGCAAGUCAGACACAGAAAUAUUUUUUGCAUACUGCUGGGCCAUAUAGUAUGGCAGGAAUCACAAGAUUUUUGAAGGAAAAAAUAUGGACUGCUGGCGAGUGGUGGCUAAAGCUGAGGCUGUACCUAUAAACGGGUGAGUCAGCAAGGGCAAGGAUCAGGGGGAAAGCACAGUCCAAUGAAGAUCCAGAAGUGGUGCCCUCCUCCUACAAAUGUUUUCAAGGCUAAAGUGGAUGCCGCUAUUAAUCAUGAAAAAGGAAUAGCAUGGUUAGGAGCUGUAAUCCGAGAUUCAAAUAGCAGAAUCAUUGUGGCUGUUGUCAAGACCAAAAAAUUUUCUGGAGAUGUUAAGGUUGCAGAAGCAGAAGCUGUUGAAUGGGGAUUAGUUGUGGCAAAAAAUGCAGCUCUUAGCUCUUUAAUGGUGGAGAUAGAUUGUCAAGAUGUGGCAAAGUUGAUUAACAACCAAGAGGGAAGCAAGACAGAGAUUGUUUGGGUGAUUUCUGAAAUCCAAGAUCAAAGGAAGGAUUUCCAGCACAUUAGUUUCCAUUACACCCCCAGAUCAUGUAAUGCCCAUGCCCACUCCUUGGCUAAGCUUGCUUUAAGGAGUCUUUCAACUGCUGUAUGGACAGCACCGUUACCAAUUGAUGUGGAAUCUGUAUUCUCUUGUUUGCUUUAAUGAAAGUUUAAUUAUCUUCUCAAAAAAAAAAAAACUCCAACCUGAAUAUGUUGUGAUUGUUCCUUACUGUAAGUUUACUUCAAUAGGUAAGAUUUACAACUCUUUUAAUAGUAUUUUCUUUUUAUUACUUAUAUCUAAACUUUGGUUAUUUGAUAUUUGUCAAGUCCUUGCCUAAUAUAAUCAUGUAUAACACUAUCCAAUUAUGGGUUGGAGGAUUUUGCGUCUACAACUAAUGCUUAAUUAAAAAAUCUAUAAGAUGGUGAUUGUACAUGUUCUACUUGUAACAUGUGAUACUUUGUAAGCCGAUGUUCCAAUAACAUAUCUAAAACAUGUAUUUUUGUUCCACUUCAACACUAGUUAUUUUAUCAUUUAACCAUCAUCAUUUAGGGCGUUAUGAAAUAUGCUGCUGUGAAAUAAAUGAUAUAGCUCUUAAGUAAAAUUAAUGAGUGUUUAGUAAACAGUAAAUAAUAUUUAGACUUUGUUUAAUAUUGAGAUUGGACAAUUGUACUUUAAAAAUUAUAUCUUUGGUAAAUAUUAAUUGUUAUAAACGCUAUUAAAACUUAUAAUAUCUUCAUUUUCUUCAAAAUUAUUAUUUAAAAUUUAUAUUCAUUAUACACUAUUAUAUUUUAUUUCAUAGUAAUAUAUUUUACCUCAAUGCGAAACAACAUCUAAAGUUGAUAAUAGUUUAUAAAUGAAAGUGAUUAUUAUAUUUAUACUUAUUAGUAUUCCGCUACUAAAAUUAAUUAAAAUAUUGAAAUAAAAUCACAGUCGCCGGCAAAUUGCCAGCAGAUAACCACUGGUGACGAAAAACUAUCAUUUUGGUGGUCAUUGGCACCUUUUCGAAUCCUUUCACUACGAUUUAUCUGAAAGUGCUAUUUUAAUUAUUAUAUCAUUAUUAAUGUCGUCGACAUCAUCAUCAUCAGCAUUAUUAAACUAAUUUUUUUAUUUUAAGUAAUACUAUUGUCAUUGUUAUUAUUUUGCCUUAAGUAAAUAUUUAAAAACUUUUAGAUUUUAUGAUUUUGUAAUAAACAGUAGGGACUUAAGUGUUAAUAACCAAUUGAGCACAUCUCAGCCGUUAAACACUUUAGCCAUUAGAUCUAUUGGCUAAACCAGAAAAGACAAAGUUGGGUACCGUGCAACUGUUGCACAGUAAGCGGACACACUAAAUAUGUAUGCUGAAAACUAUCUUGAAACAAAAUUCAAAAUUUAAUUUGUUUUUCCUUUCCGAAGUCCACCCAGUAUUUUCUUUUUAUUUAAUCUCUUAUAUUUAUUUUCAUACACGCUUAUCCCCUUUUCUUUAGAUUUUGUAAGUCUUGUAUCAAUUGUUAGUCAGGUCUCAUAACUUUUAAUAAUGUAACUAGAUGCAAAUAAAUAUGUAAAUCAUUUACUGAAGAGAUAAGAAAAUUAAUGUUGACGGGCACCAAUAAAUUUUAUGUUGAUGCUGAUCACGUAUCAUCAUCAUCAUCACUACUAUUAUUAUUAUAUUACCUUAAGUUAACUGAAAAUAGUUACUUGAACUUUGGCCCAAAUUUUAAUAAAAAGAUUUCUAAAGAAAAUGUUGAAACCUCAGCACUGCCUUUUAUACUUGUGACAUUUACUUCAGUUUUUUUUUUCCUCCGAAAGUUGGCUUGUGAUUUCAUCUUAUCUUUGUACUACUGUGAAAUUAUUUUUCUAUCUCUUUUCUAAAAUUGAUAUAAUAAUUUAAAUAAAGAUUCUUGUUAAUUAUUCGGACAAUGCAAGUUGAAAUAAUAAUGCAGGAUGUGAUAAUUCCUAAUUAAUAGAAUGAAAUGCAUGUAGGACAUAUGAAUGUUUCACUACUAUUGAAGACCGACUAAUGUGAGGUAAAUGAGAAAAAGCUAAAAUAUUUCCCAGAAAAUGCGACAUGUCUUUAUCUGGCAAGUCAAAAUCAACAAUUGCUCAAAGAUUUUGACUAAAAAUUUUCUUUUUCCUCCGAAAUUUACAUUUGUAAAUUCACAUCUCAAGUCACAGUCAUCUAAUUAACUACAAAGUGUCUAUUAACCAAUUCACAUGUACAUCAAUAUAUGACUUUAGAUUUUUCAAUACAUUUUUUCAAUAAAUACACUAUUUGCACCACUUCCACAGACCAAAAUGUAUAAAGUUAUUUAUUAUAUUUUUAAUGCUUCUUCUUGAACACAUGAUUUAUUUAAAUUUGGGCUCGGCUACCUUACAAAGGUACAUUUAAGUUAAGCCAAAUGGAUUAAUUGGAGGUCGGUCUAAGUGGACCAGACACCCUAUUUUACAAGGUCUGUGUCAUACAUAAGGUAGGAUGAUCCAUUAAAUUUAUCUGUUAAUUGUGGUACUGGUACCCAGGGAUAGUAAAUUCUGAGUCCGGGUCUGGGUUUGGCCGUUCCGGUUCCAGACCCGAAUGCGAAUUUACUAUACCGGAUCCGGAUAUAAACCCGGAUAAUUAGACCCCGGGUCCGGAACGAGUUUAACCUGAAAAAAUCCGGGUUUUCGGAUUGCGGGUUUCAAACCCGGAUACCUAUAUGAAUUUUUCUUUUCCACUUCUCUUAAGGCCUUGGGUACAAUGGGAAAAAUGGUACAGCCGCAUAGCAAUUUCACCCAAAAAAGCAAAAGCAGCAGAAUGUGAAGCAAUGCAAUUAUAGAAUCCAACUACUACAACAAAUAAGCAAGCAAAAGAACACAAGCUACAAAAAUUACAAACACAGAUCAUCUCCCUGAUCACCAUGUUCACCGUCACCAAAUUCAGCACCAACCUCCUCAUAAUCCUUCCCCAAAGCCGCAAGAUCCUCGCGGGCUUCAAAGAAUUCACCUUUCUUUAUGCCCUCUAAACAUUACAUCAAAUCAAAUUUGUGGUCAAUGCGAGAAAACACGUUGGCCUCACAAGCUGAGUUCAAUAUCACGCACACAGCCUCUACACCUUCGCGAGAUCAACACAGCCAUGAUGGCAGCAAAGCAGCAAAUGGGCGUCACGACGAUGGCAGCAACAGCAAAGCGGCGUCACCAUGAUGGCAAGAAAGGCAAUAGUUGGUGGCUGUGUUCGAUUAACGAAGAGAAGAGGAAAAUGGUGGCGGCUGUGUUGAGAGAAAGUUGUAAAGUAUAAACUAGGGUUUCCUCUUUUCUUUUUUAUUCUUUUAACUUUUUGUUUUUUCUAUUUAUAUUAAGAAAAAUUAAAAAUAUAAUAUUAAGAAUAAAGAAAUCCGAGUCCGGGUUCCGAAUAUACGGGUUGACUCAUUCCGGUUCCGGACUCGGAUACGUCCGGGUUUAUUAUUUUACUUCCGGAUCCGGAUAUUAUUUUUAUCCGGUAUGGGUUGAACCCGGUCUGGAUUAUCCGGAUUUAUGCGAGUUCGGACCGGAUUCGGGUUAUUUUGCCAUCCCUACUGGUACCCGAAGUCAUAACAGAAACAGUUCAAAACACUGUGGAAUAUAUUAAUGCUCGGAAUCUUCCUGGAAGUUUCACAUUUUCCAAACGCAGGGGACAGCAAGUUUUUCUCCAAUUUCACAGAAGAUGCAACUUUGUUGACUUUUUAUUUCAAGUGAAGAAAGAAAAUAGGGAAUGCCGGGUAAAAAGGUGAAAGUGUAUAUUUGAUAUUUCCCGACAUAUUUAAAAUAAAGUAGCUUUUUUACUCGGCUUUUUUAUCCAGGAAAAUGAUGUUUGUUCCCGGUCAAACCCCGGGGCAAACCCCGAAAUUACAUCAAACGACGCAAAUUCGGCUCUUAAUUUUUUUUGUUUUCAAGCGCUAUUGAACGACGACGUUUCUGCUUCAAUUUUUUAUUUGUUCUUAUUUGCUUUCAACGAAGUCGUUUUGGUUUGUAAAUGGCAGCCUUCUUCUUCCUCUUUCUUUAACACAACUGAAACUUUUCUUCUUCCUUUUCUUCGUUCUCUUAACGGCAAUGUUUCUGCUUGAAUUUUUUUUUUGUUUGUUAUGAUUUGCUGUGAACGAAGUCGUUUUGGUUUGCAAAUGGCAGUCUUCUUCUUCCUCUUUAUUUAACCCAGCUGAAACAAGUAAUUAAUUAAGCUUCUUCUCUCUUUUUUUCUUUUUUUCUUUUUAAAAAUUUUAUUUGUUUAGGGGUGGGUAAAUUUUAAUUAUUAGAUCUAAAAAAACUUUUUUUUUAGGUGGGGGUGUUUUGAAUUUGUGUAUUGUGCAAGUGGUCGUUGAUAGUUAGAAGAUUAUCAAGAAGCAUAGAUAAUAAAAUAAAGAAUUAUUGGAAUACACACAUCAAGCAGAAGUUACUUAACCGUGGCCUCAAACUCACCGCCCUCUCAACCAAAUUCAUAACCAUAAUAAUUUCAACAAAUAGACUAUUAAUAAUAAUGAAGAAAUAAUGCAUAGUAGCACCCAUUAUCAAGAAAUUCUUGACUUAGAGCUAUCCAUUGGACUUGCUUCUUCUGGAUCUGCGAACUCAAGACCACUGCAACAACAACAAUAGCCGCAGCAACAGAAGCAGGUUGUUGGUUACAAAAAGUUUUUUGAAAUGAAGCAAACAGUUUGUUUGUGUUGGCAAUUGGGUUUUGGGAGAAGUAAACUGUGUAAGAAUUGUACUCAAAAUUCUAGUAUGGUGAAAUGAAAAGGAAGAGAAAACAGAUGGGUUCUGGGCUUCUGGCAUUGCUUUUGCCUGAAGCGUGAGAAUUUUGCCCUUUGAAAAACGGCAUUGUUUUAGAUCUCUUUCGAGGUUUGACCCAGGGUUUGACCCGGGGCAAACAUUAGUGCUGUUUUAUCCAACUCUUUUCUUUUUCAUUUUUCUUUUUUCAAAGGUAAUACUAACUUUUGACUUUCCGCACUUAUUUCUCAUAUUGAUCUGAGCAUAAUUGUUGAUUGGCAAGGAUUGUUCUAGGCUUUUUAUUUAUUUAUCGUUAAAAGAUGAGCGUUGACAAAAAUAGUUUAUAGAGAAAAGGUAUUUACUUUAAAACAUUAAAAAAAAUGCACCGGAUUAUUCUCAAGCAAACUGUGUGCAUAACAAUUGGUAUUAAAAAUAAAAAUAAAAUAAUUUUUAAGAAAAAUGACACUUAUACCCCCUCAAAGUAGGGGGAAAUAGUCAUAAAGACCUUUAAGUUUCUAAAAAAGGACACAAAAACUCUUUUUUUUAAUCAUAAUAUCCUUUCAAUUUAAUGGUUAGAAAAUUGGCUUAAAAUGUUUUAAUUAAUACAAACUUAAUAUAAAUAAUAUAAUAUAUCUAGUAGAUUAAUAAUGUUAAAUUAUUUUUAACAGUUAAAAUAAUAUUAAAAUUUUAAAUUGUUCUAUUUGUUUUAAUAAUAUAUUGAUAUUUAUUAUAGUGAUUUUAAAUAAAGAAAAAUUAUCAUUUGUAUACCCUUAGUUUACUCCAUUAUAAAAAAUACUUCAACACUUUGAGGGUGUAUCAAUCGUCCACCCUAAGUUGACAAAAUAUUUCAGCCGACCACUAAACCGUUAGUUGCCGUUUAAAUAUGAUAACGUCAUAAGGGUAAUCUGGUCUUUUCAUAUGAUACAAGUGAUAAUUUAAAGGUAUACAAGUGAUCAAAAGAGAAUUUAAGGGUAUACAAGUGAUAAUUUUCAAGGGUAAAAUCAUCAAUUCACUGUAAUUCCGUUAACUUUCAAACAGCAAUUAACGGUUUGGUGGUCGGCUGAUACAUUUUGUUAACUUAGGAUGGACGAUUGAUACACCCUCAAAGUGUUGUAGUAUUUUUUAUAACAGAGCAACUAUAUAGUAUACGAAUGAUAAUUUCCCUUAAAUAAAUCUUUGGGUUAAAUAGACUUUACAAUUAACAAAAUUCUUCCUAUAAAUAAUAUUAAAAUUAUUUUUACAUAAUAAUCAAAAUAAUUUUAGUUUAUUUAUUUUAAUAUUAUGUUUCUAUUUAUUAUUAUAUAUAAUAAAAUAGGUCUAAUAGAUUGUAAAAUAUAAAAAUAUUUUUUAAAUAUUGAAAUUAUUUCAAAAUGUAUAUAUUGUUACAUUUACUUUAAUGUCAUAUUUCUAUUUAUUAUAAAAUUUUGGGGUCAACUUUUUUUGGGUUUAUAGGGCCAAAGGACAUUAUGGUCAAAAGGGGAUCUUGGUUUUUUAACAUUCUUUGUUAUAAAUCGUUCUAUGUGAAGUUUUUAACAUUCUUGUAAUCUUUAGAUCGUUAAAUCCAUGAAGUCAAUUGAUAUAUCAAGGAAAAUGCAAGUGGAAAGAAAAGAUCAAGCAGAAAAUCAAAUGACAUGCUGCGAAAGACACAACCAGUGUCCUAGUGCAAAUUGUGUUUACACUUUGGAGUCAAAAGAAACUAAACUUUGAUGCAGCGGAAGUUUAAUGUUUAAAAUAUUGCGUUGAUUCUAGAGAAUAUCGGAAUAAAUAAACAACUAAAUUCACGUUGAUUUAAAAUAAUGCUGCGAAUUUAGAGGUUAAGACUCGUUGAUUUCGUAGGAUAUCGAGAAUUAACUGAACUCAAAUACUCACAAAGAGAUUUGAAAAUUGAAAAUAUUAUUGAAAUCGAAUAUCUCUCUGCUUGUAAAAGCUACAAAAAAACACUUAUUUAUACUAACUAAGACUUAUCCUAAUUUGAUUAGAAUACAUAUUUUAAAAAGACUUAUACAUAAAUUAAGAAUAUUACCCAAAUAAGCAAUGCCUAAAAAUUAAGACUCUAAAUAGGAAACCAAAUUAAAUUAGAAUACAAAUUAAUUAAAAUAUUCCUAAAUGUUAUAAAUUUCAAUGUAAUUAGGAUUUCUUCAAUUUCUUGCUUUGCAUCAUUCUCGCCAGGGUGGAGAAAAUUCGUCCUCGAAUUUUGUAUGUUUUAGUCUUCAAGAACAUCUUCAUAUGUAUAAGGAUUAAUUUUCAAAACAGAGCUUCGACGUACACAACGAACUUUAAAUUUUCCAAUUUUUGUAAUAAUGUCUAUCCAAUUACUCCAAUUGUAUCAAAUAAAUUCUUCUAUCAACAAUUUCUCUAAAAAUGUCUUCUCAUAUUGUUCGUGUCGAACUUCAACAUAGUUGAGGAAAAAUGAUUUCUUCUCAUAAUCCACUAAUUGUUGAAAAAUAUCACAACUCUUUUUGUCUUCUUUUGGAAAAUCAAGAGAACAAUAAGAGAUUGUAUCAACAACUCUCUCUCUUUCCUCCACAAGAUCAAAAGAUGGAUGAACAAUUACCUCUUCUCAUCCCACAAUAUCAAGAUACUCAUCAAAUUUUGGCAAUUGAUCCAAAUUAAUGUCUUUGUGUUGAGGAUUUGUUGUAGACACGAAUGGCCAAUUAAUAUUCUCCUCGAAAGAAAUAAUAUUGUCGAGUGAAACAAAGUUACUAUUUUCCUCAUUAUCCUCAUAACAAACAUCAUUACGAACAAUUUCAUCAAAUCCAUAUGCCUGUUUUAUCUGUAAAGAUUUUCUAUCUCGAAGUUUCUCUAAAUCAUGAGAAAUCAAACGCAAAAUCCUCAACAUCCUAUUUAAAACUUCUUUCAAGACAAAAUCUUCGCGGCGAUGUUAUCGUUUCAUGAUUCAAUUUUUUUUUCUUUUCCUCCUUUUUUUUUUCGGUGUUUGUUUGGGUUUCGGUUUUUUGGCUAAAAUCAGAAAAUUAAAGGGCAAUACUGAAAUAGAAGAAAGUACUGGGCCAAAACUGAAAUUAAGCAAACGUUUUAGAUUUCCGGUGACGGUGGUCGGAAAUCGAGCAAGGAUGGGUGGAUCUGAAAGAUUUUAGGUUGGUGAGUAUGACGGUGGCGGUGGUUUGUCCAAAAAAGUGGUGUUUUGGUCGGAAAUUGUAGAUAAAGUCAGCAGUUUUGAGGGCUUCGGUUUCCGGCGGUUUGAGCGUCCAUCGGCGGUGUGGAAUGGUGGGAAAGAUUCAGCUGAUGGAGAGGAAUGGAUCAAUGGUGGUUCUUCUGGCCAAAUCGCGCCGAAAAGUGGUGAACAGAGGCGGCGGCGAUCGCGGGUGUUUUGGCUUUCUUUCCGCCGAUUUGUGGCUAAUCGACGGUGGAAGAUGCUUGGGAUUUGAUGGGCAGCGAUUUAUGAUCAUAAUUGUGGUGGUUUCGUCCGGAUCGGAAAACUAAAGCCGGCAGCCUUGGACGGUGGCCGCGGGCUGAAGCUUUUGCUUCUGUUUCGGGUUUUUUUAUUUUAUUUUUUUAAUGAAGCUAAACGGAAAAAUAAAAAAAGGGAAGAAGGAAAAGUUUGAUGGUAGAUGGGGUUAGAUUGACGAUAUUAUGUUUUAGUUAUUAUACCAAACUGAUGUAGUGAAAGUUUAAUGUUCAAAAUAUUUCGUUAAUUUUAGAGAAUAUCAGAAUAAAAGAAUAAUUAAAUUCACAUUGAUUUAAAAAAAUACCGCGAAUUUAGGGGUUACGAUUCGUUGAUUUCGUAAAAUAUCAAGAAUUAACUGAACUCAAAUAGUUACAAAGAGAUUUAAAAAUUAAAAAUAUUAUUAAAAUCAAACAUCUCUCUGCUUGUAAAAGCUACAAAAAACACUUAUUUAUACUAAUUAACAUUUAUCCUAAUUUGAUUAGAAAACAUAUUUUAAUAAGACUUAUACAUAAAUUAGGAAUAUUACUCAAAUAAGCAAUGCCUAAAAAUUAAGACUCUAAAUAGGAAACUAAAUUAAACUAUAAUACAAAUUAAUUAAAAUAUUUCUAAAUAUUAUAAAUUUCAAUGUAAUUAGAAUUUCUUCAAUUUCUUGCUUUGCAUCAAACUUCAACAAUGAAGAACCAAUAAAAUAAAUAAAAAAUGUAGUUAACUUGGCUGAUGUGGCAGUAAGUUUUAGAGAAGCUUGAAGUUAGCUAAUAUACAGAGCAACAUUGUUCCGUAUGGCCAGAUUCCUUGAAAAUUAAGUAAUACAGUAGACCAAAGGCAAAGAAGAAUGACCAAAUGGAACUUUUAAUAGGAUUAAACGAAGGUUCAAAAUUAACUCUUGUAGCAAAGAGUUUGUCAGAUUGUUUAAACUAAUUCAAAACAUAAUUGUUUCAUAUCGCAAUUUGCAAGCAAUAAAAUUCUGUAUUAAUUUGUACCCUAGAAAACAAUCCCUAGUUGACAUACACACCAAAUUCAAAAGAAAAAUAAAUAGAUUAAGAUAGUUUAUCCACUAAAAUGCCUAAUAUUGGGGCAAUUGUCGAUGGAUCAUGCUGAAUCGAGCAUCUCAUCUUUUAUGAAAUAACACGUCUUUCUUUCAAGUGCCUUAAACUAAUUAAUUUAAUUGCAAGUAAUAGAAACUUAUAAAAAAAAAAGGACACAAAAUUUUUUAAAAAUGGACUAAGCCUAAUUAUAAGCAAUUCACUAAAUAUAGAAAGAUGACAAUCAUAUUCUUAUAUAAUUUCAGACUUCCUCUUACUACCUCAUUUGAAUCAAUUUAAUCAAAACUUGCAUAAAAAGCAUCACUCGUCUUCUUGUCUACAACUCUUCUUGUGAAAUUUCAUCAUUACUGCAAAUGGGCCUUUCUCCCAAAGAGCCCAAUUAACAAAAUAUUUCUAAUAAUAAAUUGAGAUGAAAAAAGAAUAUAAAGAUUAAAAUUUCAUUACUAGUUGUGCAGGUAUUGUUCACAGCAUUGAUCGCUGGUACUGUGUACCCAGCAAUAUUCAUGAAAUUUUAGGAAAAUAGCUAAUGAAGAAGCUUUUCAAUUAAAGUAGAGUUUAGUUUGGGAAUUAUAUAAUUCAAUAAGGACACAAAUGCCAACUUAAAUAAGACUCUAGAUCAUAACAAAAAUGAAAAAUGUGGGUAUCCUUAUCAAUACUUUUUAACACUUGUGAGGGGUGUUCGCGGAUCAGAUUUUACGGAUUGAACAUCAAUUCAUAUCUGAUCCACGAUUUUACGGAUUAUAAAUUUUCAAUCCAAUCUAAUCCACGAAUUGGUGAAAUUCAAUUCAAAUCCAAUCCAUACAUCUGCGGAUUGGAUACGGAUUUAAUCCAAUCCACCAUUUUGCGGAUUUGUUUGCGGACCAAAAUUUUUUAAUUUUGUCCAAUUUACGAACUAACUAAAUAAAAAAAUUAAUAUAAAAAUAAUUUUACUACUGAUCAAAUUUAAAAUUAAAUAAGAUUUAAAUAAAUUAAUUGUUUAAAUAAAGUUAUAAAAUAUAUUUAAAGUUUCAAAAUAUAACACACCAAAAUGAAAAAAAUCUCAUUUGUUUAGAUCGGUAUAUGGAAAUUAACUAUUUAGAAAAUUAUAUUAUUUAUUUAAUUAUUUUUUAUUUUAUAUUAUUAUCGGAUAAGAUAUAAUAUAGUGUUAAUGUAACUAUAUUUUAACUUAUUUAUUUACUAGUAAGUACUAAUGUCAUAUUUGCAAGUUUUAUUUUUUAAUUAAAUAAAUACUUUUUUAUUUUUUUACGGAUUCGCAGAUUUUUACGGAUUUACAGAAGUAGAUUUAUAUCAAAUCCACCGAUUACGGAUUAUUAAAUUUUCAAUCCAAUCCAAUCCACCAAUCCACGGAUUGAAUUUUACGGAUCGGAUUUCUACGGAUUAGACGAAUUGAGCGGAUCGGAUUGGAUUCUAAACACCCCGACUUGUAGUAUCUUCUUGAAUUUGCAAAAAUAAAUAUGAACAAAAUUAAAGACAUAAGAAAAUGUUGAUUAGGCGCGUUGAUCUCACAUUACUUUGACUGAGACUUGGUAAAGCAAAUAGGAAAAUGCAGGUGUUCGUACCACAUUUUGCAAAUCAUUUUGCUUAAAAUUCAAUGCCUUUUGAUACUUGUCCACAUUUUGGUCGAAAGUCAAGUACCUUUUAAUUACCAUUCAAUGUCAAUUAAAAUUUGAAAAAAAAAAGAGUAAUCACUAAAAGCUUUCUUUGAUCCUUCCGGGAAGGCCUGUGACAAUUUCAUCUUAUUUUGGGGCUCUUUCUUUAUUUUUUCAACUACAUAGAGCUUUCUUGUUUCUUUACCUAAUCAGUAUCUUCUAAUAUCGCCCUCCAUUGUCAAAGCUUCAAACCAUGUCUGUAAGUCCAUCUUUUUUCACUCACAAACACAAUUUUAAACGCAUUCAUUAAUUGAUUAAGUAGUAAAUAUUAAUAGACAAUUUUAAACGCAUUCAUAAAAGAGGAGGAAUUAUGUGAUUCAUUCAUUUUGGAACACACGAAAUUCUUGGCCUUGAACAUUAACGAGAUCAAUAAUGGAAAGAAGAUGUAUAACUAAUGACAUUAUGAUAUUUCGACUGUUGUGUCUUUGAGGAUUUUGCUUCCACAUUAUGAGACCUUCCCAUACAACUUUCAGAAUGUGAAAAAUCUAUUGUGCGAUAUGCAUAUACUUGAGCUUUCCCAAAAAAUUUACUAAUAAAUAAAUAUUUAAUUUUCAAUUAAAUAAGGCUCUAGCUCCUAACAAAUUAAAAAAAAAAAGUUCUUCAUUUUUUGCCAAAAAUUGUAGCCAUUUAAUUUUCAUUCAAACAAUUAUAUUAAAAAAAACACUUAAUAAAUAUGUACUUCUUUGAAUUUUCCAAGACGGUUCAUGACAAUUUCAUCUUAUUUUUGUAGCAUUGGAAAAUCACUUAGAUAGAUAAUUUUUUUCUAUUUUCAUGAAGUCUUGCUAAUUCUGCCCAUUAUAGAAUUAAAAUAUCAUUAUAUCUUUAUACAUUAAAGAUCCACACCCUAUUAGAUACAUUAAAAUCUAAAAUACCGAAAAUAUUAAUAGAUCACUUUUAAUUGUAUUUAACAUUAUAUGACAAUCUUCAAUAUAUAAUUAUUCACAUAUAAACCCAACGUUGGAUUAAGAAUCCAACAAUAUUAGAGUAAAAAAAUCCAACAACAAUGGUUUUAAAAGAACUGAGUUGCUAAUAGCUCCAUUCAUUAGUAAAGACCAACCUUGAGCCGUUCAUGUGCUUCUGAAACAAUUCUCCCAUUUUUCUUUUUACGCCAUUUAUGACCAUUCUUAUGGGAAAAUUGAAGGACCCUCUUAUUAAACAGAAACAAAGAUCCACCUGUUGAGAAUAUAUAGGAAACCAUUAAAGUCGACAAAGGAGAGAUUUAUGAAUGAAUUCGAUUUUUCGUACAAAGUUUAAUUUGUCUUUUUAUCGCUAUUAUCAAUUCAAGGACACGUUGAAGCUUGAAUUCAGGGCUUCAGACCUAUGAAGACUGCUCCGUGCCUAGAGCUAGACCUUGGCUUCAUACACGAAGCUUACUUACUAGGUGGCUUUUGAGGUGUCUCCUGCGUUAGACCGAAUUUCUCAUGAUUUUGUAAUACAAAUAGCAUCUCCUCUGGCGUCAGCCAACGUGAUUGGGCUUCUUCGAAUAAAACGUCAAUCUCACAUCCUGCAAUCAUUUCAUACACAAAAAAGGCUCCUUAAAAACUGACUUUACACCAAACAACAUCGUUUACCUACAUAAAUUACAAAUACUUACCUGCUUGCAUCGUACUGAAGCGCCUAGUAUUAGAAAAAUUAUAAGGAAAAGGACAUUUACAUCCCAAGGUUUGAGUAAAUGGUUAUCCACACCCGUAAGUUUUUAAAUAGGGAUAUCAAGACUUUCUUUUGACCAUUAUACCAUCUACCUUUAUUAAUCUAAAAAAUUGAUUUUAAAAUUUUUUGUAAAUACAAAUAUCAUAUAAAUAAUGUAAUAUAUGCAGUAGACUAAUAAUAUUAAAAUAUUUUAAUAUUUUAAUAAAUUUUAGUAUGUAAAUUAUUAUAUUUAUUUUAAUAAUAUUUUUAUUUAUUGUAGACAUUUUCAAUAAAUAUUUGCAUUAAAUACAUUCUACAAUUAAAAACAUAUUAUUUUACAUAAUAUUCAAAAUAAUUUAAAAUUUUAAGUAAUUUAUUUUAAUAUUAUGAUUCUAUUUAUCAUAAAAUUUAGUUUAAUAUAAUAAAAUAUAUCUAAUAGAUUAUAAAAUAUUAAAAUAUUUUUAAAAUAUUGAAAUUAUUUUAAAAAGAAUAUAUUAUUACAUUUAUUUUAAUAUUAUAUUUAUAUUUAUUGUAAAAUAUUAGAGUCAAAUUUUUGAGAUAAUAGAAGUAAAUGGUAUAAUGGUCAAAGGGGGUCUUGGUAUCCCUCUUUAAAAAUUUGAGAAUGUUGGUGAUCAUUUCCCGAAACUUUAGAGGGGUGUAGAUGCCCUUUUCCCAAAUAAUAAUCACAACCGGACGAAUUCACCAAACCACGUCGCUUGCAAACACAAAUUCUUGAUGAUAGCUUCGAUUGCAUAAAUUUUAAAGAAUAGACUUUAAAAAUUCAAUUAUUGAUGAAAUAUAAUGAGAGGAAAAAGCCGUGACAGCUUAAUUGGCGAGAGAUGAAAAUAAUUGAAUGUGACUCUGCAAGAUAUAAACUAAAAUAGAUGCUUUUAGCAGGUUACUCCCUUGAACCUACCAGCAAGUUUCGUGAUAAUUUCAUCUCAUCGUCCUGAUAAAGUCUAAAUUGUCUACUUUUCUAAAUGUGAUAUGAAAUAACUUCAUUGAAGACUAAUGUUGGACUGGGCAAUGAGUAAAGUAAUGACAACGAAAGGUAGAAAUUGCGAUGAGACAAAGAAUAAUUUAUGGACGGCAGGGAACUCUAAAAUUCUGUUGCCCGAACUUUACUUUUGAUGAGAAAAAGAAUAUAGUUUGGACAAUUAUUAAGAGUUUCUGACCAGAAAUUAAAUUUGGAAUCCCAAAGCAGAUGAUUAUGGCUGUGCCAUUCAGACUUUUAUUCAAUAUAAUUAUAUUCAUCCAGAAAAUUUUGUUUCUUUAUAUUCUCUAAUAUUCCGUUUCGUCAACCAUACUACGAAGUGUGUCCAACACAGAAGAAAAUAUAUCACGUUGCGAAAUAAAAUAUAUAGCCCUGCCCUUACAAUAGUAUUCUUCCAUAUGAAAGAGCGUAAUCACAUUGCAAAAGUACGUACAUAACCAAAACAUACAAACGAAAACACGUAUACCGCGUCCUAAAAUGAGGGAGGAAUGAAAAACGAAUAGAAUAUGUGGAGGAAUGAAAAACAAAGAAGAAAUAAUUGUUAUAUAAUGAGACACCAAUUGAACUGUCAAAAUAAAUAAUCGCCGCAAGCUUUAGCAUCAUACAAACUCAAAAUAGUCUUCAAUAGAGAAGUAAAUAUAUGAAAUAAAAUGUAUCCCUCCACGUACAAGAAUUUUUCCAAAUCAUACAGAGGCGUGAGUCCAAAAGUAUUAUAUAACCAGUAUUGAUACAAGCAAACACAACAAUAUCGUCCAAAAAUGAAAACAAAUAAAUAAAUAAAUAAAUAAAGAACAUGACAAAAAUAAUUUAGCUAUGUUGCAACUGGGGUAUUAUACCACAGUUUUUAUCCCUUUUUAGCAUGGUCGUUGGAUGCUUCCUUCUUGAAUCUAGCGGCUGAUAUUAAUUAUUGGUAAUUCGCAGCCCGUUGUUUAUUGAUGUAAUAUCAGUUAAGUCUCUUUUGUUUUGUUAUUUUAUUUUGUUCUUUCUCUUCUUUGCUCUUUUGUUUGCCGAAUGCUUAUCUAAUCAUUUUGUUGUUUUAUUUUACAGGAGUAAGAACAACUAAGAAGGAUUAGAAAUGUUGUCAGACUCAAACGUUAAAAACAAGGUUCCAAAACAAAGUUAAUUUCAUUUCUUAUUUAUUUACUUUAUAAUUAUCGUGUUCUGCCGCUUCAGCUUAAGCGUAACUUAUGAUCUCAACAUAAUCAAGGGGAAUUAUUUAAUGUGCAAUUUUGUUUCUUUUUAUGAAAGAACUAGUAUUUCUCGCCUAUACAACAAUGGAAAUAAAUUAUUAGCAGCUAACUUAAAGCAAUGUUUAAUUUACUUACAACAAUUUUAUUCAUAGUUAUUUCUCUUAAAAAAUUAAUUUACCAAAUUAAUUCUAAAAUUAAAAUAAUAACGUAAAAUUUAUGAAAAUUAUUAUAUUAUUUUUAAGGCUAAUUUGAUAGAUUUAUGAAAAUUAUUAUAUUACUUUUAAGGCUUAUUUGAUAGAUUAAUAUUUUUUCUUUUCAUUAAUAUUCUCAAACAAGAGUAUUAUUAUGAAAACAAAGAAAAAGUAAAAAUAAAAUUGUAAUAUAUUUAACAGUAAGAAUGUUUUAAAAUAUUUUUAUAAUAUAGUAAUUAAACAUAUAUAUAAGUAAAAAAAUAGGGAAAAAAAAUAUUUAUCUUAUAUAAUUCUAUAAUUUCCUUAAUCAUAUUCAACAUACUUUUUUUUUUAAAUUUAGCUACCUUACGUUUAUCGUAAGGUACAGUCUCUCAAACAACUGAAUCAUAAAUUUCAUUAGGACCUACCAUUGAUAAAGAGAGUUGUACCUUACCUUAAACGUAAAGUAGUAGCUUUUUUUUUUUUUUUUUUUUUUGUCUUUACUACAUCUCCCUUCUAUUAAUUGUUUUCACUUUUCAGCCUUUGUUUGGCUCAUAUUCCAAAAAGAAAAAAAAAGGGAAAAGGAAAAGGAAAGAGAAAAAGAAAAACACUUUUUUUAUGCACUUACAUGAUUCCCUCUUAAGUAGUUUUCAACAAACAAAAUUGUUAUUCCCUAUGCGUAAUAAGUUGUUCCCUCUCCAAUUUACCUUUUGUUUACCGAACAAUCAGGUCUUCAGCACUGCUACGUGUCAUACUUUUGUCCUUUUCGAUUUUAUCUACAGAAAAUCUAAUGGUUGCCUCACAUAAGGACCAAAAACAUGUUAGUCAUUGCAUCAAUUACUCGAUAAUUAAUUUCAACCGUUCGAUUGAAGAAGAAAGCAUCCAACGACCUUGCUGAAAAAGAACAAAGCUGUAGUAUGGUACGACAGCCGCAACAUGUCGAAUACAUUUUGAAUUCAUUGUUUUGACAUGAUGCAAGCCAUAAAAUCCUGACAUCCAGGAAGUAUGGAUCCUGAGUACACAAACACCCUCUUCUAACCAAUCAGCAAUCUCAAUGAAGAUGCUUAAAAUGACAGUUAACUUGCAACUGGAAGACGUAGAAAAAAGAUUUAUGAUAAAUGUCUGCGAAAACUAUUUUGAAACAAUAUUUUGAAAUUUAAUUUCUUUUUCCAUUUUGAAGUCCACCCAAUAAUUUCUUGGAAGCUCUCUUAUAUUAGAUGCAUAGGAAUUUUGAAUUUGUUACGAGUAUGCAACUGGAGAGAAAUUUCAAAAAAUAAUAGAGAUAAAAUUACACACAAGAAUUUUAUGCGGAAAUUUUCUGAAAUUAUUGGGAUAAAAAAUUACUGAUAAAAAAGAAUUGACGACUACAAGACUUCUUUCUAAAUAAAAUAAUAGAACAGCUACACUCUCUCUUAUACUAGGAGAAAACAAUUCUCUUACUAAAAAAAAGAAAAAACACUUUCAAAUGAGAAAUUGAUUUUUCUCUUUACACUAGCUUACAAUAAUGUGGAAUGUGAAGAUAAUUAAUUAAUUGAAUGAAAUGCGCGUGGGACCGAUAUACAUACAUAUGGAUGCUUUACUUCACUCUUCACUGGUAGUUUAAUUUUGUGAUAUGUCUACUUUUGUAAAUGACAAGAAAAACUGAAAAAGGAAUAAUUCAGGCACACUAAACGGCCGACAACAGGUGGCAUGGACUUGGUGUCCAGAGAGCAGACAAUGUAACGGGAAAAUGAAAUGGUGAUCCAAGCUGGAGUGGGCUCAAUGGGCUCAAAUAACUUGAAGGGUGAAAACGGCCGAAAAGAAUUAACCAAGAAUGAAGGGAUGCUUGGGCCAGGAAAACUUAUAAAGGCUACAGGAAAGAACAUAACUAGUGUGUGUGUAUUUGUGUGCGCUUGGAUGCGCUUUAAGUGCUUCAACUCCAACCUGAUUAUGUUGUGAUUGUAAUAUUUUCUUUUAAUAGGUAAGCUUUACAACUCUUUUAAUAAUAUUUUCUUUUUAUUAUUUAUGUCACAAAUCCUUGCCUAAUAUAAUCAUCUAUAACACUAUCCAAUUAUGGGUUGGAGGAUUUUGUGUCUGCAACUGAUGCUUAAUAAAAACUUCUAUACGAUGGUGAUUGUACAUGUUCUAUUUGUAACAUGUGAUACUUUGUAAGCCGAUGUUCCUAGAACAUAUCUAAUAUGUGUAUUUUUGUUGCACUUCAACACUAGUUAUUUUAUUAUUUGACCAUCGUCAUUUAGUGUGUUAUGAAAUAUACUGCUGUGAAAUAAAUGUUGUAGUUUUUAACUAAAAUUAAUGAGUGUCCAGUAAACAUUAAACACUAUUAAGACUUUAUUUAAUAAUGAGAUUGGACAAUUGUACUUUAAAAAUUAGAGUGGAGCUAUUGGCACCCCUACAUUAUUCUUACGAAACCCCAUUUUAAAUAAAAUUACAAUUAAGGACAAUUGAAAAUUAAACACAUAUAGAUUUUUUUUUCUAGCAAAUUAUUUAAUUCAUAAUCCAUCCUUUUCAAAAACAAAAUCUAUAUGUUACUUCUUAUCUAACUAAAAUAAAUAAUACAAAUUUAAAAUAAUCUAUUAUUCUCUUUUGAUUUCUUAUUGAUUAAACAUUUUUAUAUUUAAAAUUGCUUUGAAAUUAUAAUUUGAAAUAUGUGUUAUUUCAGCCAAUGAUUAACACUAAAAAACUUAUCACCCAUAAAACUUUUUAAUUUGUGUGUAGAGUAAUAAUAAAAUUGAAAAUAAUUAAAAAAUAGCACAAUAAUACUUUCAGUUUUAACAAUAAAACAAAUCAAAUGAAAAUUGAGAACUUAGAAAAGUGUACCUAAAAAAAGGGGCAUUUUCGAAAAUAAAAUGAAUAUAACUAAAAAGGGGGUUUCAUGAGGAGAUCAGAGGGGUGCCAAUAGUCCAAUUCUAAAAAUUAUAGCUUUGGUAAAUAUUAGUUGUUGUCAAUGCUAUUAAAACUUAUAGUAUCUUCAUUUUUUUUCAAAAUUAAUAUUUAAAAAUUAUAUUCAUUAUAAAGUAAUUUUUAGGUUGUUAUGAUCAAAGGUUAUAAUAGGAAAAUAGAUGUAUGUGCGACUAAUUAUGAAACUAGAAGAGUUAAUUUAAUUAUUUAAGUAUGCUUUGAGAUUGCCUGUUGGAGUUAGGGGUGUUCGCGGAUCGAAUUUCACGGAUCGGACAUCAAUCCAUAUCCAAUCCACGAUUUUACGGAUUAUGAAUUUUCAAUCCAAUCCAAUUCACGGAUUGGUUAAACUCAAUCCAAAUCCAAUCCAUAUGUUUGUGGAUCAGAUGCAGAUUUGACUCAAUUCAUAUCCAAUCCAUCAUUUUGCGGAUUGAUCUGCGGAUUACAAAUUUUUCAUUCGGUCCAAUCCACGAACUAAUAAAAUAAAAAAAGUAAUAUAAAAAUAAUUUUACUAUCAAUCAAAUUCAAAAUUGAAUAAGAUUUAAAUAAAUAAAUUAUUUAAAUAAAUCUAAAAUAAUGCAUUAAAGUUUUAAAAUACAACACACCGAAAUUAAUUGUUCAAAUGAAGAUAAAAUAAUACAUUUAAAGUUUUAAAAUAUAAUACACCAAAAUUAAUUGUUCAAUUAAAGUUAUAAUAAUACAUUUAAAAUAUCAAAUUAUGACACAUCAAAAAGAAAAAUGUAUGUUGCCAAUUUGUAUUUCGUACUUUAACAUGAACUAAAUAAACAUAAUUGACAUAAAUAACAAAUAAAAUAAUUUUAUUGAAUAAAAAAUUAACAAAUAAAAUAAUUUUAUUGAAUAAAAAAUUAACAAAUAAAAUAAUUUUAUUGAAUAAAAAAUUAACAAAUAAAAUAAUUUUAUUGAAUAAAAAAUUAACAAAUAAAAUAAUUUUGUUCAAAUGGCUGCUUGCACAAAGAUCAAGAAUCGUUGGAGAAGAUGGCCGAAGGAGAAGUUUAAAGCUACUAAGAAACAUUGGGUGCUGGUGGCUCUCUGCUUGUGACAGGGAAGGAUAGGAAGUCAAGGGGUUUUUGUGUACUUGUGACAGGAAAGUUUAAGAAGUCAAGGUUUUUUGUUUUUUAGUGGCUGCUUCGGUGAAGUGGCAUUUAGGAUAAAUAUUUUGUUUGGUUUAUAAUUUUUUAUUUUGUUUAAGAAUUUUUACAACUUAUCUUUGUAUAUUUUAAUUAUUUAUGUUAUUUUUGAAUAAUGGAUAAGGUAUCUUAUGGUGUUAAUAUAAGUAUGUAAUUACAUUUAACUUACUUAUUUAUUAGUAAUGUCAUAUUUAUAAAAUUUUUAAUUAAAUAAAUAUUUUUUUGUGGAUUGACGGAUUUUUGCGGAUUUACAGAAGUGAAUGCAUAUCCAAUCCACCGGUUGCGAAUUUUUAAAUUUUUAAUCCAAUCUAAUGCACCAAUCUACGGAUCGAAUUUUUACGGAUCGAAUGGAUUGAGCGGAUUGGACCGGAUUCUGAACACCCCUAGUUGGAGUGCAUUUUUUUAAUUCUGUCCCUUUAGGUUGGAGCUCUAUUUUUGCAUUUGGAUAUGUAUGGGGUGGCACACCCCCGUUUUGUGCCCCUCUAGCUCUUCUCCUUUAGAACAUUCUUUUUAUAAAAAAAAAAACAAAAUUUAAUUAUUUAAGUAAAUCACAUGGGUCUGGCGGCAUUUUUCUUUACUUUUUUUUUUUAAGCAUAGCACGAAUGUAUUUAAACUUAUUAUCAACUGAGUGAGGUUUGAGCUUAGACCUCUCAUUUCAACUCAUAAAAUUUGACCGACUAAAUUAGCUUGCUUCCUAAACCUAUUAUAAAUAGCAACAAGAAAAUAUUAAUCAGUGAUCGUUGUCCAAUGAAUUAAUGAGCACUAAGAUUUUCCGUCACUUAUGUCCCGUAGGGGCUACUGCUCUUCUUUGUUCUUCGGAGGCGGCAGCUAGAAACCUGCUAGCUGACACUUCUGCAGUUUUACUGACAUGCGAAAAGGUAAGCUUUCCCUGUAUAUUGAUUUGGUGUUUUCAUAAAAUAACAAUAAGCUUAUUUGUUGGGGGAAAUGGUUAUGUAUACCUUAAAUUUUUAAUAAGGGAUUUUAAGAUUUUCUUUUAACUAUAAUACUAUUAAUAUAGUAACUAAAGAACAUGAUUUUAAAUUUUUUUAAUAAAUAUAAAUAUAAUUUAAAUAGUUUAAUUUGUCUAGUACACUAAUGAUAUUAUAAUAUUAUAAUAUAUAAAAUAAUUUUUAAAAUAUAAUUUAUUUUAUUUAUUUUAAUAAUUUAUUUGUAUUUAUUACAAAAAUUGUUAAUAAAUAUUUUUAUUAAAUAUAUAUUAGAAUUAAUAAAAUAUAUCUCAUUUAUUAAUAAUAUUAAAUUAUUUUAUAUAAUAUUAAAAAUAAUUUUAAUUUUAUAUAUUUAUUUUAAUUUUAUGUUUUAUUUAUUGUAACAUUUAAGAUUGUAAAGUACUAAAAUAUUUUUUAUAAAUUUUGAAAUUAUUUUAAAAUGUAUAUAUUGUUACAUUUAUUUUAAUAUUAUAUUUCUAUUUAUUAUAAAAUAUUGUAGUCAAUUUUUUUGAGUUAAUAUAUUCAAAGGAUAUUAAUAGUCAAAAGGGGGUCUUAAUAUCUUUUGUUGAAAACUUGAGGGUCUACAUGAUUAUUUCUCAAACCUUAAGAGCAUAAGUAUUCUUUACCCUUCAUUUAUAAAAGUUUACAGCAGCAAAACGACUAUUUCAAAUACAAAUGUUAUUUUGUAACCCAAAAAAAAAAAGGGAAAUUUACAAAAAUAGUCAAAAAAAUUAGGCACUUUUCAAUUUUAACCCCUCAAACUUUUUUCUAUCAUAACUAGGCAAACACCCUAUUUUUGGACUACAUUACCCUCAUCAUUUUCAUCAAAUUUACAAAGGCAUGCCACUAUUCCCUUUUCAAUUCCAGCACUUCCACCACUUUUCUCUUUUCAACUUAACAAACUUCAUCACUCAACAAACUCCAUCACUCUCAAUAAAUUAGCAAAUUUCAUCAAACAAGCAUUACAUAAUUGAAGAUAUAAUUAUCAAUUGGAGAGCUUCUUAAGGUUAGUUUAUACUCUUACCAUAACCUAAACUUUUAAUCUAGUGAUUUUAUCAUUUGAGUUCGAAAUUGAAGUGAGUUUUUAUUGCAAAUGUUGUUAUUUUUCAUUAACAAAACAAUGUGACUUGUUAAAGUAGUUAGUUUGAGUUGAGAAAUGAAAAUCAAUCAUUGAAACCCCUGAAAAAUCGAGUAAAACAAAAGCCCAGAACAAGUGAGACAGGCACCUGUCUCACAUAGAUCUGCUGGUUUUAUGUGAGAUAUGCACCUGUCCCACUUCCCACUUGUCUGUCUCACCAAAAUAUGUGCGACAUGCAAGUGGGACAGGCGUGUGAGACAGACGCCUGUCUCACUUGUUACCACUGGUUUUAUGUGAGACAGGCAAGUGGGACAGACGCCUGUCUCACUUAUUACCACUGGUUUUAUGUGAGACAGGCAAGUAGGACAGGCGCCUAUCUCACAUAAAUGUGCUGGUUUUAUGUGAGACAGGCACCUGUCCCACUGUCUAUCUCACUAAAUUUAAGUUAUUUUCCGAAAGUAAUAACUUGGGUUACAUGUGUCCGUUUUAGGCGUAUAAUAUAUCGUUUCGAAGCUUACGAUGAGACGAAGUAAAUCCAAAAUUGUAUACUUCAUUUCAUCCACAUAAAUGUACUGCAUAUUCAUUUUUACUAGGUUUUGUAGCGUGAAAUCUUAUCUCUUUUAUUUUUUUUUUUAGGUUUAAUGGAUUCCGUUGUACUUCAAUUAAGUUACGACGGUUGGUGGGAGACAUUAGCAGAUGGCCGUAUGGAGUACGUGAAUUCGACGAAUACAGCAUUUUUAGUUCGGAAAGAUUGUACGUUUGAGCAAUUUAUGGCAAGGGUGUAUGAAGUUUUACAGAUAAAUCCUAAUUAAUAUAGUUUGUCGAUGAAGACAACUUUGAGAUCUAGUAACACAAUGUAUCGUGCAUGUUCACUACCUAUGGAUAUAUUUAAUGAUGAAAUGGUUAAUGUUGUGCUGCACAUGGCCUCUGAUGUGGUCAAUUAUGGAUGCAUCUCUAUAUUUGUCACCACACAUCCUCGAGUUCCGGCCGAAAAUCCUGAGCCACUUGUGGAAAGUGAAAGUUCAUUUAGAGCAAAUGAGUCUGUCCCCGAUAUUGAGGAAGAUGUGUUACCACAACAAAUGUCGUUCCAACAACAUUACUCACCAGUCAACGAAAACAAUGACACUAUUGAUGAUAAUGGCAUUACGUUAGCGGAUGUUGAAGAUAAUGUGUUACCAUUAGGGACAUCGUUAGGGCAACAUUACUCUCCAUUUCAAAAUAAUGAGUUCCGCAGUUAUGAUGAUCCUGGUUAUGACAUCAACAACACAGAAGCUGAUAAUGUGCAAGGAAUGAACUCCAAUACUGAAGUUGAUGAUAGGGACACUGGUCAUUCUGAUAUUCCUAUCAAUGAUGAGGAUGAGCAUUAGUAUGAUAUUCCUGUUAACAAUAGAGAGAACCGACCUAUUCCUCCGAUGGCCCGUUCGAGGAGGAGGACAACAGUUGAUCUCCUGGUGAGUCUUGCUCCAGUUUUGCCUUCAAACUUGGUUGCUCCACACUUAGUUAGAAGCUGUAAUUCUGCUGACAUUGGUGUGGGAAAGUUGUUCGCUGAGAAGAAUGAGUUAAUACUGGAAUUGCGCAAAGUGGCCUUACGGGAAAAGUUUGAUUUCAAGAUUGCACGGUCCACAACGACACGCUUUGAGGCUCACUGUUCUUCGGAAUCAUGUAAUUGGCGUCUUCGCGCAACGAGAGGGUCGGAUGAACUAAUGUUCCUUGGGUAGUGAGAAGAGUUGACAAUGUUCAUACGUGCUCUAAUGAGGUUUUGCCUAGUGGCCUCCGUCAAGUUAGGAGUCGGGUUGUUGGUCAUCUUAUCGCGGAUAAAUUUAUUCAGGAUAAACGGAUAUACACGUCGAAUGACAUUAGAGCAGACAUGCAGCAAGAAUACGGGGUCCAGUUAACAUAUCAGCAAGCAUAUCGGGAUAAAGAAGUAGGUCUUGAAAUAGUAUGAGGGAACCCUGCAGAGUCAUACAACUUACUUCCCAAAUACUCUCACGUUUUAACCAAAGCGAAUGAGGGCACAGUGACACACCUCCAGCGGGAUGGAGAUGAUAAUUUCUUAUACUACUUUGUUGCGCUUGGAUCUUCCAUUAAGGGCUUCACACAGUACAUAAGGCCUGUGAUCGCUGUAUAUGGCACUCAUUUGAAGGGGCUAUAUCGUGGAAGCAUGUUUGUAGCAACAUGUCUGGAUGGUAAGAAUCAACUGUAUCUGUUAGCUUUUGGGGUCAUGGAUUCAGAAAACAAUGAUGCUUGAGAAUGGUUUAUGACGAAGUUACACGGAGUGAUUGGCGAUAGGCCAGAGUUAGUAUUUAUCUCUGAUCGAUGCACUGCCAUCAAGAGAGCCGUUUUAAAAGCAUUUCACACUGCUGGUCAUGGAGUUUGUUUUUACCAUGUCAAAGGCAACAUUAAGUCUAAAUUCAGGAUGUCCAAAGCUAUUUGGGAUCAAUUCGAGCCAGCUUUUAUUAAUGCAGCAAAGGUAUAUGGACACGAAGAAUUUAAAAGACAACUUGAAGGGUUGUGGAUGCUCCACUCGGGCGCGGCUGAUUACUUAGAGAAUAAUGUGGGCACGUGUAAUUGGGCAAGGUCCGAAUUUGAAGGUAGGAGAUACAGCAUACUUACCACCAACAUUGCGGAAAGCGUGAAUUCUUUAAUGAGGGAACUGCGAAAAUUUCUUGUUACUCAUCUUGUUGAUCACUUUAGAAAAACAUUACAGCAAUGGUUUUAUGAUAGGAAAAUUGUGGCUGAAUCAAUGAGCACUCGUCUAACGACGUGGGCAGAUGAGAUAGUCAGCGAAAGGAGAAUUUUGGCUGAAAGAAUGACCGUUCGGCCAGUGUCUCAGUAUCGAUUUCAUGUUUUGGGUGGUGGUAUGAAGGAAAUGAUAGUUGACAUUCAUGAAAGAACUUGCUCCUGUAGAGUAUUCUAACUCGAUCAGCUUGUUUGUGCGCAUGCAAUUGCUGCUUGUCUGACCGUCCAUGUGGAUUACAUAUGUCUUUGCUCUGAUUAUUACUCUAAAGAUUCAUUGGUCAUGGCAUAUGCAGAACCAGUGGAGCCGGUUGGGGACAUGACAGAUUGGGACAUUCCAGAAGAAAUCCAGGAAAUCAGAGUUAACCCACCGAUCGAAGCACCACCACCUGGUCGUCGUCCAGAGUUAAGAAUUCUUUCUAUCGGUGAGGAUGUUAACCGAAGAACUGUGAGAUGCGGUCGAUGCAACCAACCAAGUCAUAACCGCAAGAGAUGUAAAAAUCUCAUUGUGUCGAAUCCAAACUGACUGUGUCAUUGUAACUAAUUAUGGAUUCUGAACUCUUAUUAUAAUUAAUAUUACAAUUAUAUGUAAUGAGGUAUAUUAUGUUAUGUUCAUUUGCAUAAUGAGUACUAAAGUAGAUCAAUAAUUACUUAUAGCUAAAUAUAUGAAUAUAUCAAAAGUUUAUAUCUAUUAGAAAAACAAUCUACAUCCAUACAUCAAGUCUUAAUACAAUACAAUGACUUACAAGGCAAUAUCGCCCGUGAAUAUAUCUACAGCAAUUUUCUUCCUGAAGUAAUGCCCGUGGCUACUAUCAAAAUUAAGUUUUAGCCCGAACAUCAAAUACAUUGUAAACAUCAACAUAAAUACACCGCAAUCACCACUUCCAGCUUCUUGUUGGGGCACAUCCUUAACGAUUCUUACUUUCCAAGGGUCGGCACUCUGCAGCUCAGGUCGAAUGUUGUAGAAUCCAACAUCUUGAAGCCAUUGAGGGAAGACGACCUGAAAGGGUUUGAAUUGACGCAAAUAUGUUUUGUCCUUGCGAAAGGUAACCAACGAGUCGUAAAUCCACAUCCUCCUCGCGCGAAGGUCCGCUCGAGCUAGUACCCAAUGAUCACCGCCCAAAUUCACAGGGAUGAAUAUCUACAUAAAUAAAUUGCUAAAUUAGUAUAUUUUAUACACAAUUACCAUAAGAUUGAGUGAUAAUUCUUACCAUAUUGACGUCCGUAAACGGUUUGGACAUGAGAGCUUCCUGCCCAUCCAUAUAGAUGUUCAAGUUGCUGCCAUAUUGUAAUGGAUGGACAUCACAACUACCAUUGUUCCAUAAUUGCUUUAGGAACACCUAUUACACGAUGAGUAGAAAAUUAAUAACAUUUCGAGAUAUUUAAAACAUCGAAAUUAUAGUUAAUGAUUAUAGAGUUCGGAAACAUGCCCAAAAGUAUGUAUCUGUAUGCGUGACGCGCUGCGGUAGUGCAUUUGGAAACCGCCGUUGCUUCUCGCUGAUCAAGCGGUAAUACGUGUGAAUAUGCUGUGAAGGGAUUAUACCAAGUAAAUUUAUAUCAUUAUCCAUGGCAGUGGAAAUAUUGUUGUGUAUUGUAAUGUACUGACCAUUAAACACACUUACCUCGUCACCAAGCCACCCCAUCGAAGCAUUGCCCAUGAGUAUUUCAAAGAAAUUUCGAGACUGUUGGACAGGCCGAUCCACGGAAAUGUUGCCGGCAAACCACUGAUCAAACUCCUCACAUAUCCUUGAGUCGUCUAGUCCCCUAAGCGAAUUCAUAUCCACACUCGAUCUUUCAUCAAUUUCAUAGUCCGUAAUGUUAAGUGAGGGUAGAGGCCUGACAUUCCUAACUCUCUUGAAAGGAGAAAUGAAGUAAGGACUGCCAAAUAUAUACGACAGUCGGUACGGACGCCCAAACUUACUAACUCCGGGAGGUGCCUCCGUGAAUAUCUGUACACUGUCAUCACUUAUGUCCCCAUAUAGACUGUACAAGGACAUAGGGGUGUGCGCGUCGUAAUUAUCAGCAUCAGUAUGCGUACCAUAGCCAGCAUCAACGUUCGAACCAUAGCCAUCUGGGGCCUGUUGUUUUGAGGAGAUGAACAUAUUAACAUAAUUUUGGGUUUGAAAUCAUAAUAAUAUAACGAAAGCAUAUGAAACUUGCUCACCGUGUGCGAGGGGCCAAACGGAGAAUCACCGUACGCGCCCUUUGAAGCACCCGCGCCAAAUGAAUUCAUAAACCCCAUGACCGUUGCUCUAUAUUGUUGUGCUUCUCUGCGUUCCGCCAUAAGUUCUUACCUCAGUUCGUUAAUGGAACUGUGUCCAGUCUGAAGUUCCGACCUCAACUCGUGAAUGGAAGACUCUAUUUUAUCCAGUCGUUGAACGAAAUAAUCAUUGCGGAACUUAGUCCUUGCCUACAAUUUACGCAAAUAAGAAAGUAAUGACAAAAUGCCGGAUAGGUAUAUGUGCAUUGUAAAUGUUCAGGAUAACAGAAGUUACCUCUGGCUCAUUUCUGUCAUCUGAAUCAUGUGCGGAUUCAUAAUGGUCGUCGGUAGCACCGGCAUCCUCAACAGGACUCUGCUGCAGUCCUAUUUGGCUCGUGGGGUCAGGAUCCACCUCGUUUGGCCCUGUAAUGGAUGGCGCAUUGAUUGAAGGCUGGUGCUGUACCAAGUAAAACAGAAAACAGUAAAUACCAAAAAAACAAACAUAUAAAUGACUUUGCAUCCGGUUUUCAAUGAUACUGUAGAGGAUACCCACAUUACGGACCCAACUUGGCAAAUAUGGCACGUAAUCCUCGAUACUCUUCCAAUAAUUUGUGGCUCUCUCCUUUGCAUCCGGUUUGAGGGUUUGGAAAAUGGUGCCAUCCUGUCGUAAAGAUUACCAAAUUUCCAAUUAGUAUAACCAUAUAUUAUGUAACAGUUAUAUACAGACAUACAUAUAAAUGACUUACAAGACGCUCAUUGAGGUAUGAAUACACUUCGCCGAAGUUAAUAUUUGAAGAAGCCAUGGGCUUCCAUCGCACGAUCCGAGGACCCUUCCUCCUAAUUUUAUCCACCCACUCUAAUGGUAGUUCUCCAAUCGCUUUAAAAAUCCAUGCCUUCAACAAGGAAAGAUAUGAAGUAAAAAACGUGUCAUUAAAUAUUUAUUAUAACAAAACUAAGUUAUAAAAAAAAUUCUUCACUCACAUGCACUGUAGACGUAAAGCCGUAAAAAUUGUAUUUCUCAAUUCUAUGCAAGGGAUUUUCUGCGUUUGCCCUCUUAAAUUUAUUGGCUUUGCCGUUCAAUGCAUUAUCAAUGCCCUUAUAUAUUGUUUCCCAUGACAAACGACCCCACGGAAUACUUCGAAAGUGAUUUAUGUCAUCUACCUCAUUAAGCAAAUUGAAAUUGAUUUGACAAUAAUCCUUUCUUCUGUGUAGUACUCUAUCAGCAAAGUAAAACAUGGCGAUUUUUAGCGCAUCAGUGUCAUUCAUAGUCUUGAAGUCUAAGUUCAUAAAUCUUUCCUCGAACUGGCCAAGAUUUAAAUCGCGAUUCCUGCCGCCAAAGUACUUAUUAAGUAACCUAUGCAUUGUUUUAUGCUUCGUCAGGAACACAUUUUUGCCAUAGCAAAGUCCAGUUACUAGGCACCACUCUCCAAUCGAUAGCCGUAUCAAAUGGUCACCAACUUGAAACCAUAACUCAUCUUUGCCUUUUCCAUCGCCAUGGGACACCUGCCGAAGCAAAAUAUUAUGCACAAUUACGCCACUGAACGGAUAGCUCCGACACUGUAGGAAAUGCCCAAAUAUAUUGUCUUUGAAUAGUUUCAACUGUUGCCUUGUUAAUUUUUCCCGGAUGGCAUUAACAACGACAUCUAACUUGCACAUACUCGUGAUACGGCCGGGAAAGUGAUCAACAUAAGGUAUCUUCAUCAUUCCCGGUUCUUUCAUCGGUCCGGGUGGGUUAUGCAAUGCUCUUUUUGAUUUGCUCAUUUAUCUGGUACAAGUAAAAAGACAUGUUAAUAAAUUAUGAAUAAAAGAAAAAAAAUAAAGGCAACACCACGCACUGUCUCAUGGUGCGACGGGCACCAAGAGGCAGCAACAAGAGGUGCUGCCUCUUGGUGUGACAGGCGGGCGUGGGAUGCGCAAGCUGUGCGCGCGAGUUGCUGCGCGCAGGCUGGCACGCUGUACGCAUCUCGCGCGCGAGUUGCUGCGCGCAUCUCGCGUGCGACGCAGCGCCUAUCGCACGCGAGAUGCGCGCGGCUUGGGCAUCUGGCACGCGACGCAGCGCCUGUGGCACGCGAGAUGCGCGCGGCUUGCGCAUCUAGCGCGCGACGCAGCGCCUGUCGCACGCGCUGCGCGCAUCUGACCCACAUGCAUCUACAACACCACACCACCAAAAACCGCCAUUAAACACCACACCACCAACAACAACGACAUUCCAAACAACAACAACAACCCAAACAACAACAACAACAACAACAACAACAUCAACAACAUCAACAACAACAAGAAUGGCAAUAACAACUCACCUAGAGUUUUCAAUUUCAGCCGCUGUGGGUUGAAAUGCUGCCGAUCUACGCCGCCGCCGACGAUCUAUACAACUUUCGGUGAUGCGAUUUUGGUGAGAGGGGUAGGAAUUUGCCUGAGGGAAACGUGAGAAUGAGGAGGGCAAUUUCGUCCACAAUUUGGUGAUUUGGCUAAUGUUGAUAGAAAAAAGUUUGAGGGGUUAAAGUUGAAAAAUGCCUAAUUUUUUUGGCUAUUGUUGUAAAUUUCCCCAAAAAAAAAAAAGAAUUGAUGGUAAUAGGUUAAUUUGACCGGCAAAUUUUUUGAAAAUAUGUUGUUGGUACUUCAAUGGUUCAACACCUCUCAUAUACAGCUCAAAGUUACAAUUUUUCAUCCAAAUGGCAAAAUUUUAAUAGUGGCAUAUCAAUUGAGAUACAAACUAUCUUAACUGAGAAAGCAUAAUAUUAUUCUUAUAUUCAAGUAAUAAUAUUAUACUUACUAAUUAGUUGAAAUAUAAAUAAACUGUAUAAAUAACUUAAUGAGUAAGCAUAGCAUAACUCGUACUCAUCAAGACUUCUCUAUAUUAAUGGUAGUGCUAAUUUAAAUAGAAUUAUAAGCUUACAAAGAGCUUGAACCUAACAGAGAUCAGGAGUACAAUUAGACUCUAUCAAUCCUGAAAUAAUAUAAACACAACACAACAAAUAAUUUUACUGGAUAAAAACACACUUUGAUUGCAACUAAAGAGAUAAAGCAAUUAAAAAUUAAUGAAAGGAAUUUAAAAAUAAAUAAAAAAUUUAGAAUUAUUUUGGAAGACCGUGUCAAGGACAUAUAGAGUAAAAAAAAAGGAUUUAUUAAUUCCGACUGGCUGUUUGUGUGCAAAGUCCAAUUAAAAGAUAAGUAAAUAAUUUCUUUUGUCAAAUUAGCCCUUUUAAUAUAUGCUUUUCAGCUUCACCGAAUCUACCAAGAACAAACCUUCACAGCACGACUACAAUUUUCCAACAUCAAUUUGAAAAAAUCAAUGCACAAGGAUUGACUGAAUUUUCUAAGAAGUGAGUGACAUGACGUGCGAAGUAGAUUCACAUGUGAUAUACGGCAACAGCUAUUAUCGAGGGAUUUAAAUUCCCUGCUUUAUGAAGGGGUUGACUUAAACGUUGGAUUGGAAUUCAAUAAUUACUAUUUAUUAUUUUUCUAAGUAUUAAUAAAUAUUAUUUUUUAAUUAUUUAAUUUAAUUAAUCACAAAACAUUAAUAUAAUACAAUGCAACACUAAAUAUAAUCUAAUUAAAAAUUAAUACAAUAUAGUGCAUUACCAAAUAUUAUACAACAUUGUUAUAAUACAAUGCUAACGCAAUACAACAUAAUACAAUACACCAACAUUAAAAUAAUGUAAUACAACAUAAUAUAAUACAGUGUGCCAAACGCAUCCUAAUAGCAUUUAAGCAUUCAACAUAACUUACAAGAUUGUCACACUUAUAAGAGAAAUUUUCAGCGUUAUCUCUGAGGUCUAGAGUAAAAUCCGAUUUAUCCCCUAAUUUGAGGACCAAGAAUGUCAAUAAAAACCGUGAUAGAGAAAUUACAAAUUAAUUGGAGUUGGCUACAACAGAAAAGCAAUGAAUAUAUGGGGCCCAAAUAUAAAUUAUACAUAAAAAAUACUAAUUAAUUAACAUUUACAGAAAGGGGGGGAGUGUUCAUUUUCCUGAACCGACAAAUGUUAGAGAUUGAGUGUAGUAUUAGCAAUUCAAUUUUAUCCACAAUCUAUGAGCAAUCUCUUACAAGAAGUCUUCAAAAAAGAAAAAAAAAUUUCCAGUUUCUUUAGAGUUUUUUUUUCUUUACAUUAACUUAUUUUUCUUUUUCCCUUUAAGAAUUUCAUAAUUAUUGAAAUUAACAAUAGAAAGAAAAGAAGGUUAAUUUGUUUACUACCAACUAUAUUUGAAAAACUAACUGUAAAAAUAACAAUAAAUUGAAAUUUAUAAAAAAAAAUUAAAUUUGAAUUUCAAAAGUCAUCUAAAAUGAGAUGCAUAUCUACUCAAAGGAAAUUGUUGAUUACAUUUGUAUAUCCUAUAUAUAUAUAUAGAUAGUAAUUUUCUGGUCCAGAAUUUUAAAGUGCGGGAAAGUCUAGGAAAAUUUUAAAACCGUGCGGUUUUAAAAUUUUUCCAGACUUUCCCGCACUUAAAAAUCUUGUAUUAGAACAUUUCUAUAUAUAUACGUUCUAAUCUAAGAAUCUUGGACUUUAUUAAAGUUUAGGAAAGUUAUUAAACCAUGCGGUUUAAUAUAGUUUUUUCAAACUUUAAUAAAUUCAUAAUCUUAUAUGUGUGUGUGUGUAUAGAAUCCUGGAUUAGAACAUAUAUAACACUGUAUUAUAUAUAUAUAUACAUAUGUAUGUAUGUGUGUGUUUGUGGGGGGAGGGGAGGGGAGGGGAGGGGAGGGGGGGGGGAUGUGGGAGGAGAUUGCCAACUUCCUCCCUACUGUUAUCAAGCCAAUCAUCCCCUGACAUCAUAAUUUUAUAAUUUUAUCCUUAUUUUUAAAUACACUUUUAUCCAUAUUUAUUAUAAAUUAAAUAAAUCUUAUGAAUGGAAAUUAAGUAUUAAAAAAUAAGAAAUCUAUGUUUUGACAUAAAUAAAAAAUUAAUAAUAAAAUAUUUUUUGUUCUAUUUUAUAAACUUUUUCUUAUAAUAAAUAUUUUACAAUAUUUUAAAAUUAAAUGUAAAAAGUACAUAAUAUUAUUCAUUUUAUAAUAAUUUUUAUUUAUCAUUUAAGUUUUCUAUAAUAAUUUUUUUGUCAUUUUAUAAUAAAUUUAUUAUAUAUUUAUUAUAAUAAAUUGUUUAUAAAAUAGAAAUGUACAAAGACGUUUAGUAUUAAUAUCUUUUCACAUCAAAAUAUAUAUUUCUUGUUUUUAAUUUUAAUUUUUAAUUUUAAUUUUCAUUUUCAUUUUUAUUUAUAUGAUUUUUUAAUUUAUAAUAAAUAUGACUAAAAGUGUAUUUAAAAAUAAAGUUCAUAUUGUAAAAUUAUGCUAUCGGGUGUUAUUAGUUAUUAUAAAAAUAAUAUAAAAGUAAAUAGUAUGUAUUGAUUAUAAUGCGGAAGAAACUGACAAUCUCUCAAUAUGUGUAUUGGUGCUAAUUAUGGCAUUAAAUAUAUAUUUUUAGGAGCUGAUUUAAGAACCUCUGCAAAGUGGUCGCAAUGGUUUCCUGACGUGGGGUUUCAAAUUUCAGAAGCAAAUAUCGGCUGCAACUAAAACAAGAUUUGUAUAGAAAUGAGAUAUAAAAUUUAAGAGAUGGUCGUUCAAUUUUAUCAAAUAGGUACGUACGAGUGAUUCGAAAAAAAAAAAGAAGGUACGUACGAAUGUUCAUAAAACAUCAACAUUACACAAACCGAUAUUAUCAAUAUUUGUUUUUUUACGUUAUAGAUUAGUCGAUAUCAAAUACAUUUUCUUAUAUUACAGUUAUAGAUUAGUCGAUGUUAAAUGUAUUUUCUUUUUACAGUGAUGAAAUUGCAUUCCUAAUUAAUUUAAAGUCACUUCCAGUCAAAUCUUCAGGGUGCGUUUGGCACACUGUAUUAUAUUAUGUUGUAUUGCAUUAUUAUAAUAUUAGUGUCUUGUAUGAUGUUGUAUUACAUUAACACUGUAUUAUAAUAAUACUAUAUAAUAUUUGGUGUUACACUGUACUGCAUUAGAUUUUAAUUAUAUUAUAUUUAGUGUUACAAUUGUUGUAACAUAAACACGACCAAAAUAAAUUGUACUAAAUAAUCUAAGUAAGAGUUCUGUAGUAUAUGUAAUAAUACUAUUUAUAUUAUUAUUAUUAAUUCUAAAUUAAUAUUAUUCAAUUUUAUUCAUAUUUAAAUAUGUAUUAUUAGUUUAUUAAAUUAUUUAAAAAUAUUUAAUUUAUAGAUAUUAAUUAUUGUAACUUAAUUAAAUAAUGUAAUGUUAUAUUAUAUUUUUAUAUACUAUUUAAGUAUUUAUUAUUAAUUAUAUUCAAUUAUAAAUUUAUUAAUAAAUUAUAAUGUAAAAAUAAAAAAUAAAAAUUAAUAUUGUAUAAUAUUCUAUUAAAUUAAAGUUUUAUUUUUUUAUUACUAUUAUUAUAAAGUAAAAAAAAAAGGUUCAAAAGUCAGUAAUACAGCCUAAUCAUGAGGGGGGGGGGGGCGCGGGUUUUGAUAAUGCGGCAAAAGCUGCAUUGUAAUGCUGCUCAAUGCAAUCCAUUUGAUCACCAAACACAGGUAUAUUUUAACUAAUGCUGGGCCCACAAGAUAAUACAAUGCAAUACCACGUGCCAAACAUAUCCUCAAUGACUAAUGCAGAAAUUGUUAAAAGUGGUUAUUAAUUUCCACUGAAAGCCCACAAACUACUUUUAUGAGAUGCUCAAGACUUUUCGACGGAGUUUCUUAGUUAUCUUUUCCAUAUAUGAUUAAAAUAAAUUCUUUUAUUUGAACACUCGACAUUUAUGUUUUUUUAUUAAAAAAGAGAAAAGGACAAACACACCCCCAACGUUUAGGUAAAGGGACAAAAAUCUUCAUUAAUGUUUCAAAAAAGAUAUUUACACCAUAAUUUAUUAUACUUUUACCAUUAUACCCUUGUAGCAUAUAAAAUAACUAUUAGAUUAUCCAAUUUAUCUAUAUAUUGUUAAUAAAAUUAUAAAUAUACCCCUAUUGCCUCAUUCCUCUAUUUAAAUUUUUAUUAAUAACCAAUUUUCAAAAAAGACAUCUACACACUUAAAAAAAAUUGUAAAUAAAUUAUAAUUUUAAAAAUAAAAUUGGUUAUUAAUACCAUAAUAAAUAACAUAAAAAAUUGGUUAUAAAUGUACAAGUUUAAAUGAUUGACAUGUGGAGAAUUGUUAAAUAUACAAGUUUAAAGUUUAAAUAAAAUUGGUUAUUAAUAACUAAUUUUAUUUUUAAAGUUAUAAUUUAUUUACAAUUUUUUUAGGUGUAUAGAUGUCUUUUUUGAAAAUUGGUUAUUGAUAAAAAUUUAAAUAGAGGAAUUGGGCAAUGAGGGCAUAUUUAUAAUUUCUUUUAUAAUAUCCAAUUAGUCUAUUUAUAAUUUUAUUAACAAUAUAUAGACAAAUUGGAUAAUCUACUAAUUUUUUUAAAUGCUAGAAGGGUAUAAUGGUAAAAUUAUAAUAAAUUGGGGUGUAAAUGUCUUUUUUGAAACAUUAGGAAAUUUUGUUGUUAGCCUGCUUGCAAGUAGUGUUACUAAGAUACAAGGAAGGCUAGUAAGAUGUCUCUCUCUGGCUCUCUUAGAGAAACAGAAUGAGAGUUAAGAGUGAGUCUACAGGACUAAAGCUGUCACUCACAAAAGUUGGGUGUUGUUUUAUUUUCUUUUUCCUUCUUUUUCCUGGAAUCAGUCUUGUUUUUUAAGAAUUAUUAAAGAUCUUCUCAAGUUCAGUAGCACAGCUGUCUUUGCACUUGUAAUGGACACCGACGAAUUGAUAAGGAGAUGCCAAGAAAUAUCAUUGGAGGGAGAAAAAAGAGGUAGAGUAUCUUUUAAAAACAAAAUGAAGACAAUGGGCCAGAAGUUAGCGGAGGGAUGUCUGUUGGGGAAGAUGCUUUUGAAUAGAGAAAUCAAUAUAGGGGGUUUAAGGGCAUCCCUGCACCUAGUGUGGAAAACCCUUCGAGAAGUACAGAUUGAAGAAAUGGGGGAAAAUGUUUUCUUGUUCAAAUUCGGAGUAGAAGUAGACAAGAGGAAUAUACUAGCAGGGGGGCCAUGGCAUUUUGAUAGAGCAUUAAUAGUAUUAGUUGAGCCAAGAGGCAUUGGUGAGAUAAACAAACAAUCUUUCACCCAUGCGUCCUUUUGGGUGCAAAUACACAAUAUCCCUAUUCUAUGUAUGAAUAAAGAGACAAUCAAAGAAAUCGGGGGAGAAAUUGGAAGGGUGGAAGAGGUGGGAACAAACGCUUCAGGAGAAUGUUUUGGCAAGUACGCCAGAUUGUGAAUCUCAGUAGACAUUACUAAACCAUUGAUAAAAAUCUUGGAGCUAGAAGCUGGAGAAGAUGCAGAAAUGGAGCUUGCUGUAGAAAAAGAAUCAGGGAUUGUGCACACACAAAUGGUAGACCUGGAAGCUGACAAAGAGGAAAUAGGAACUGUUGGGGGGAAAAUCAUCCCUAUGCCGGUGCUAUAUGAAAGGCUGCCGGAUUUUUGUUUUGUUUGUGGCUGUAUAGGACACCAGUACAGGGAAUGCAAGCAAUACAAAAACCAAACUAGAAAGGAAAUGGCGUAUGGGCCAUGGAUGAAAGCUCUCACAACGGCUGAAAAAAUCAGGCUGAACAAAGGCAAGGAGCGGUAGAAAACGGAAGCCGAGAAAAAAGAUGGUAGAGUCCCUAAUAAUUCCAAAUCAGAGGAUACAACAGAGAUGAUGAAGAACCAAACCAGAAGCAAUGGCAGUGUAAACGAGGAUGAAGAUGGGCUGACCUGAUUACAAACAGCUACAAAUUUGGAUAAUCCGCAGACUAAAGGGGCAGACAUCCCAAGGUUGUCAGAGGAAAGAUUCAAAGAGUCAACGCAGCCAACUGACAUUGAUACAGUACCUCAAAAACAGAGAAAAGAAGCGGGAAACAAAAAUUUAAAUGAGAGGGAAGGAGAAAUAAGAGGUGAGCAAAAUGAAGAGAUAGAAAAAGAAGCGGGAGAAAUAGGGCAGAAAUCACAAGUGAAUGAGGCCCAUGUAGAAAAGAGCCCAAUAAACACCCGUGUGGUGACAAGCCUUGGAGAGGAUGAGAGGUUGAAUAAAACAAAGGCUAAAGCAACAAAGCGUAAAUGGAAAAUCCAAGCGAGAACAAUCGAAAAAAGGUCAGUGAACGAAAAUGGGCCAAAGAUUGUAAAGAGGCUCAAAGGAGAUGCAAAUGGGACAAGCCCAAACGGAAAGAAAAGGAAAAUAGACAAAGCAAACUACAUUGACAGCUCCCUGUUAAUUGCACAGAGCAUGACCAAAUGGGAGACACAGCAUAACAGAGAGGUAGAGAUGAUAACAGUGGCAGCAGAAACAAGUUCGAAGGAAUUAAGGGUGGUGGCUGGUGACCAGCCCCGCCCACAGCAAUGAAGGUCUUAAGCUGGAAUGUUCGGGGUUUGGGGAAUGACCGAGCAUUCCGUGAAAUCACAAAGAUUCUCCAGUUGAACAGGCCUCAGAUUGUGUUUUUGUGUGAAACUAAGAUGAGGACUGAACAGAUGCGGGUGAUAGGUAAGAAGUUAAAUUUUGAAAGCUGCUUUGCCGUUAGUUGUAGAGGUAGGAGUGGGGGGUUAGCUCUAUUAUGGAAUUCGGAAGUAGUUGUGGAUAUAAAGUCCUAUAGCAGCCACCAUAUUAAUGUAGUGAUCCACUCCGAAAAUGGUAGCUAUUGGAGAGGCACCGGAAUUUAUGGCCACCCUGAAAUAGACCAAAAACAGCACACAUGGACUUUAAUGAGGAGAUUGGCUAGCUUAAGCUCAUUACCAUGCCUUUGCUAUGGAGAUUUCAAUGAAAUUUUACAGAUGAAUGAGAAAACGGGGAAGAACGAAAGGAGUGUAUCCAAUGUAAAUGAGUUUAGAGAAGCUGUCAAAUUCUGUGGAUUGAGAGAUAUAGGUUUCAAAGGCCACCCUUUCACUUGGUCCAAUAGAAGGUUCGGUCCGCAGCUAGUGAAAGAAAGACUAGACUGAUUUCUUUGCUGUAAAACUUGGGGGGGUAUGUUUCAUGAAGCAGCAGCUGAACACCUUGUAAACUGGAACUCAGAUCACAAUCCAAUAGUGAUGCAAGUUGAAGAAAGAGGCAGAAGCAGCAAGUUUAAGAGGAGAACUUUUACAAGGGUGCAUUAUGAGGACAUAUGGAGUCCAUAUGAGAAGUGCCAAGAGAUUGUCAAGCAUGAAUGGGAGGAGAGUAGAAGUUGGAAUUGUGAAGAUCCUGUCUCUCAGUUUAAAAAGACAGCCAAGGACUCACUUGCAGUGCUUCAGUUGUGGAGUAGAGAAGAAUUUGGAGGGAGGACAAAGAAGCUGGGGAAUUUGUUGGAAGAUUUACAAUCCUACAAACAGAGCAACAGCCAUUAUGUCAAUGGAGAUGAGAUCAAGCGUCUAGAAAGGCAGAUUGAUGAUUUACUCGUGGACGAAGAAAUCUACUGGAGACAGAGGUCGAGGGCUGUUUGGUUGCGAGAAGGAGAUAAAAAUACAAAGUUCUUCCAUUCUAAAGCUACAACGAGGAAAAGGAAGAACAGAAUUGGAGGAAUCUUAGAUGAAAACAACAGAUGGAAUGAGGAACCAGAGGAUAUUGAGAGGAUUUUUUGUGACUAUUAUGACAACUUGUUCACGUCCAACAAACCUUCUCAAAGCCAAAUGGAGAAUGCACUGAAAGAUCUGCCUUGCAAAGUCACUGAAGAGAUGAAUGCCCAGCUAAAUCAGCCCUAUACAGAAGCAGACAUCACAGAAGCUUUAAGCCAAAUGCACCCUAUAAAAGCCCCUGGUCCAGAUGGCCUUCCAGCUACUUUCUCCCAAAAGCAUUGGAAAUCAGUGAGUCAAGGUGUUAUUACUACAUGCUUGCAGGUCCUAAAUAACAGAGGUAACCUUACUCCACUAAAUCAUACUUACAUAGCUCUGAUUCCAAAGGCUGAAAAACCUAAGAAAGUGGCGGAUUUUAGACCGAUUAGCUUAUGUAAUGUAAUUUAUCGGAUAAUUGCAAAAACCAUUGCCAAUAGGUUGAAACUGGUUUUGAACGAUGUAAUCUCACCAGCUCAAAGUGCCUUUGUUCCAAAUAGGCUCAUAACCGAUAACAUAAUUAUUGGUUACGAAUGCUUACAUAAAAUAAGGCUUAGUAGGGGGAAAAAAACAUGGGCUAGUGGCUUUGAAAUUAGAUAUAAGCAAAGCAUAUGACAGGGUAGAAUGGGACUUUUUGAAAUGUACCUUAGAAAAAUUGGGUUUCUCACAUGGCUUUGUUGAAUUGAUAAUGCAAUGCAUAACUACCUCCUCCUUUUCUGUGCUGAUAAAUGGGGUGGCUAAAGGGCUGAUCCAACCUCAAAGAGGAUUAAGGCAAGGAUGCCCAUUGUCCCCAUAUAUUUUUAUUCUCUGUGCAGAGACUUUUACAAAUCUUUUACAGCAAGCAGAAUCUCAGCAACUGAUUCAUGGGAUAAAAUUCAGCAAUGAACUUUCCAUCACUCAUCUUUUGUUCACUGACGAUAGUUUGAUUUUUACAAGAGCCACAAGGGAGGAUUGCACAAACUUAAAGAAGAUUUUGAGUGUUAUGCUGCAGCCUCUGGGCAGAUCUUCAAUUUCGAGAAGUCGUCUAUGUUUUUCAGUGAGAGUACCAAGCCGGAGCAGAUUUCUUCAAUUACAACCAUCUUCCAACUUCAGGUGGUAUCCAGACAUGCAAAAUACCUGGGGCUGCCCUCCAUGGUGGGUAGAAACAAGACGAGUUUUUUUAAGGAUAUCAAACUCAGAGUUCUUGGAAAGAUUUCGAGCUGGCAAGCAAAUUUGUUCUCUUGUGGGGGGAAGGAGGUGUUGAUAAAGGCUGUAGCUCAAGCGGUGCCUGCAUAUGCCAUGAGUGUGUUUAAGCUCCCCCUAGGACUUUGUGAUGACAUGCAGAGGGCAAUUGCUAGCUUUUGGUGGGGAAGCAGCCGAGAUCACAAGUCAAUCCAUUGGUCGAAAUGGAAUAAUUUAUGUCAAGCAAAGAGUAGAGGUGGCCUGGGAUUUCGAAACUUGUCCAGCUUUAAUCAGGCUUUAGUAGCAAAGCAGAGCUGGAGGAUCAUCCAAGAGCCGGAGUCACUGGUAGCAAGAGUCUUAAAGGCAAGAUAUUUUAAAAAUUCAAGUCUGAUGCAGGCUCGGUUAGGCUCAUAUCCUUCCUUUAUAUGGAGGAGUAUUUUAUGGGGCCGAAAUGUAUUAGAAAAAGGGUUGCGCUGGAGAAUUGGAAAUGGUGAGCAGCUAGUGUAUCAAAGUCAAUGGAUUCCCAGACCUAUAACUUUUCAGCCAAUAUCCCCCCAUCAUUGAGCCCAGAUACAACUGUUGCAGAGUUGAUAAGUGAGGAGCAAAGCUGGAAAGAAGCUGUAAUUAGGCAACAUUUCCUGAAAGAAGAUGCUGAUCAAAUUCUGAAAAUCCCUUUGCCAAGACAACCAAAACCAGACCAAGUGUUGUGGCACUAUGACAAGAAGGGUAAUUAUUCAGUAAAAAGCGGUUAUCAAGUGGCUAUGAAAAUGAAUUUUCCUGAGAAGCCAAGCUGCUCGGGGGAGAAUGCUAAGUCUUGGCAUGCUAUUUGGUAUCUGCAACUUCCGGAAAAAGUUAAAAUCUUCAUGUGGAGGGCAGCAAAUAACUUGUUGGCAACGGCAGGAAAUCUUUGGAAGAGAACAGUGGUGCAAUUCCCCUGGUGCCAGAGAUGUAAGUUAUCAAAGGAGAUUGUUUUUCACACUCUUUAUGAAUGCAAAGCCUCAAAGAAAAUAUGGAGGCUAACCCCUUUUGGUGAGGAUAUUGAGUUUAGCAAGGGAAGAGAUGUUCUAAGCUUGCUGCAGGAUUUGAAUGAAAAAAGGAGAAAAUCUGAGAUGGAACUGAUUGUUGCUGUGUGCUGGAGCAUCUGGCACUCAAGGAACCUUUUCCUUUUCAAAAACAAAAAAGAAGAUCCCCAGCUAUCAGUUGUAGCAGCAGAAGCAAUGGUGCAAUCUUAUAGCAGAAUCCAAAUGCCCCAAAUACAAGGUAGCUCCCAGCAGAGUACUGCUAAUCAGAACCAAUGGAAACACCCUCUAGAGAGCUGGUUCAAAGUUAAUGUUGAUGCAGCAGUAGGAGUGGAACAACAAAGAGCUGGCCUAGGAAUUGUUAUAAGGAAUUCAGAAGGAAAGUUUAUAGCUGCAGCAAUGAAGCCCUCAAAGUUUAUUGGCAAGAUUGAUUUUGCAGAAGCUGAAGCUAUCAGGUUCGGGCUGGAAAUAGCAGAAAAUGUUGGAUGCUUACCACUAAUUGCGGAAUCUGACGCCCAGGAAGUGGUGGACUUAGUCAAUUUCAAGAAAAGCUCAAGAGCUGAAAUAUUCUGGGUUGCUUCUGAAAUCCAAGACCAAGUAAAGAGGUUGAACCAGGUGAAAGUACAAUAUACCCCAAGAGGAUGCAAUACAUUAGCUCACUCUCUUGCAAGGUUAGCAUUAGUGCUAAAUGAUUUUGUUUUUUGGGUAGAUAAUAUACCCUCAGAUUUUUUGUACCUAUUCACACAGUUGGAUGAAUGAAAAUAAUACUUUCUCUAAAAAAAAAAAGAAACAUUAAGAAAUUUUUAUCCCUUUACCUAAACGUUGAGGGUGUGUUUGUCCUUUUCCCUUAAAAAAAUAUAGGAAACAGUAAAUUUUUAUUUUAAAUGUUAUGAGUCUCAUAACAUUUAAUUAUGAUUUCUAUCGACAUGCGUCUGACCGGGCACACCAUCUCUACAAGCUGAGAUGGUGCAGCCGCCCCCACACAAGUCCGCCUCUUGAUUUAAUAUAUACUUGACAAAUAGGCCCCAGAAACGCGCAAAGUCUUAUUUUUCUUCGUACACGUUUACUUGACCCGUACGAUGCAUUUGUUGACAAUUAAACAAACACCAUCAAAGGGCCCAGCACCGAAAGAAAAGUUUCACAUGACAUACAAGUUGGAAAAUUCUUAGUACUCACGCCACUAGCCUAAACUUUCUUUAUUUAUAUUUAUCAAAAAAAUUUAUUUAUUCAUAUUUAAAAAAAUUACCAAGUACCACAAAGUUUACUUAAAUGAUAACAUAAUCGCAAUUAAUAUUUAAAAUAAUCAUAUGGACUUAUUUUCUUACUUUUAUAUCAUUUGACUAUACUGAAAACUACUAUAAUAAAUAUAAAUACAAUAUUAUGAUGAAUAUAAUAAAAAAAAUAACACAUAUACUAAGCAAAUUAUUUUUAAUAUUAAACAAUUAUUAGUUUGUCCUAGCAAAUUUUAUUAAUACUAAAAUCUACUAAUCCAAAAUUGAUUUUAAAAAUUAUACCACUUAUAAAUACUCGAUAAAUUGAUAAUCUCGAUUAAAUAAUAAUUUUUAUUAGUCAUGACUUAGUUCCAACAUGGUGAACUAAUAAUAAUUAGAUAACUUUAUGAGAUAAUAAUUUUUUUAAAAAUCCUUAUGUUUCUAUGGGACCCAACUAAUAUAUAAAUUAAUACUUAAUUAAUUUCAAACUAAAUACAUAUGAUAUGUCUAUAAUUUUCUUUGUUGUACUUGCAUAAUGUUUUAAGCAUUUCAUUGGUCAUUAUUACUUUCUUUAUACCUUUCAAAUGAGAAGUCACUAUUAUAUUCCACGUGCUAUGUUAAGAGAAAUAAGAGAGAGAUUGGCUUAAAAAAUUGCCCCCAAAAAGUGCCUUUUGAUGAGUUACCAAGUAAUGUAAUGUAGCCAUGCAAUCCAAUCAAAGGAUUAUCAAGCAGUUAAUUCACUCAAUCGAGAUCAAGUCAGAAUGAUAUAACUAAAUUUUUUUAUUAUACUACCUCUAUACCUUAUAUCAUUCUAAUUAUACUACCUCUAUAUCUUAUAGAAAAUCAUAUUAUGAAUCUGAUAUUAUCUUUAUAAAUUAAUAAUUUCUAAUUAUCAAUAUAAUAAUAUUACCUAAAUUAAUAAAUUUUUCAUGGUCACAAGGAUAUUAAAUUAUCGAGGUUCUAUUGUAAUAUUAAAAUAUAUUACAAGUUAAAUAAUAUAAAUUUUGUAAAUUAUUUUGUUCUAUUGUAGUAUUAAAAUAUAUUACAAGUUAAGUAAUAUAAAUUUUGUAAAUUAUUUUGAAUCUUUUUAUCUAGUUUCAUUUAUUUGUUCAAAAGCUAGGGGAGGGGCAAAACCCAAAUCAAUUUUUAAACCCCUACCUUUCCUAGGACUUGAACUUGGUUCAACAACCAAAUAAUUCUGCAUAAAAACUAUUCAGUCAAGCGCCUUUGGCGCAAAAUCAUUUUGAGUGUUACAUAUAAUUUUUUAAUAUUAUUAAUCAAAAAAAUUAUUACAUUAAAAUAUAUAUGAUAAAUUAAUAACAUUGAAAUAAUUUUGUUUAAUAUUCAAAAUAAUUAUAAAAUAUAUUAUUCUAUAUUACUUCAUUUUAGUAUUAUAUUGGUAUUUAUUAUAAACUUUUAAAGUCAUUUUUUAGGUUAUUAUAAUCAAAGGUAUAAUAGGAAAAAAGAUGCAUAUGCAACCAAUUUUGAAACUAAAAGGGUUAAUGUAAUCAUUUAAGCAAACCUGAGGGGUCUGAUGACAUUUUCCCUUACCUUUUUUAAGCAUAGCAUAAAUCUAGUUAAAUUCAUUAUUAACUUAUGUGAGUGAGAUUUGAGCCCUAGACCUCUCACUUCAACUGAUAUAGUAUCACCAACUAAAUUAACAGACUUAUUAAAUCUAUUAUAAAUAGAGUUAAGAAAAUACCAGUAUGAUAUCCUUCUCCAAUAAAUAUUCCUCUAUUAUAAAAAGUUAAUGGGCUCUAAGAUUUUCCUUGUUUUUGGUCUUGUAAUGGCUAUUGCUCUUCUUUCUUCUUCCGGGGUGGCAGCUAGAAACCUGCUGGCUGAGACUUCUGCUAACAUGCGAAAAGGUGAGCUUUCUCUGUAUCAUAACUUGACGUUUGCAUAAAAUAACAAUAAGAUUAUUUGUUUCCACAAAAAUAAUUUGUUUGGCAAGGUACAAUACUUCAAAUCUCUUGAUCGUCCAAAUAUUUGAAAAAAGUUCAUUUACCUUUAACACGUUAUAUUUAGCACCAGUUUUUUGUAUUGGUAUCUGAUAUCAGUAAGUGCAAUAUUUUUAUGUUGUAAUUUUUAUUUAUUAUAAUUAUGCUCCGUAGUUGAAUCUUGUACGAAUUAUAUUUUCUAAUUAUGUUUUAGAAUUUGUAUUUUUUUGAAUCUAGCUAUGAGGUUAAUAUAUUGUUUCUUGAUUAACGUUAGUUCUAAUAUUGAAUUAAGUAUGAUAGAAUUAAUCAAUCACUCAUUCAUAAUUUUAGUAUGCUGGAUUUCAUUUCACCGUGCGAUGGUCAAUGGUUAAAUGUUCGUUCUAGUGAUAAUGUUGUUCUGUGUUUCUUGUUUUAAUAAAUUUGUUUCUACUUUGAAGUCUGCUUUAAGAAAAAAUUAAUUAAUAAUUGUCUUGUACCGUUGAAUUUGAUUUAAAAUUAAUAUAAAUAGAUAAAUAAAUAUCAUGUUGCUAUACAUGUUCAGCUGAGGCGAACGCAGUUGGUUGUCCCUAUCACAGACUGAGACCCCAAGGUGCUAUUAUUGGAUGCCCUCCUGCAUGAGUCCAUUCCACUCCCAGUAAUGGAGUGUAUAUAAUAUAUAAUGAGUGAAAUAAAGAAAAAAUUCAAUCUGGAAAUUCUGGAUUGAAAUUUUUUUCAUAUGCAUACUGUGUGUGUAUGUAUCCAAAUGGAUUCCUAAAAAGUUAAGAUAUUACUUUUAUGCGUAAUUAGCUACUCUUUCCGAUGCUUCAUUGUAUUAAAUAAAAGUUGGGUUUAUUACCCAUCAUUAAUGACAUGAUACUACGAAACUAAUUAUUUUCUUUAUAAUUGAAUGUCAUGUUAAAUAUCACAUAACUAAUUAUUUGUUUCUGAAUUUACCCUCUAUUGAUGAUAUACAGUAAACUUAUUUUCAUUCCAAAUACCUUUUAUUAUUACUAUUAUUAUUAUUAUUAUUAUUAGUGGUAGUAGUAAAUUCAUUCAGAAAAUUCGAAAAAACCGCUAUUUUCCUACAAUGUUUUAUAGGACUGAAGAUUGAAAAUGAACCGUAUAAGAAGAUAAAUUGAGAAUAAGUUCGAGGAAAUUACGGCCAUCAACAGACAGUUGAUAUUUUUUGUUUUUCUUUCACAAGAACUGAAGGCUUAUUUAUACUCAAUUCAAUUAUGUUGACUCAAAAUAACAAAGGUCGGCCUUCUUCUUCUUCUCCUUCAUUUUUUUUCCGUUAAAAUUAAGAUUUCUUUGUCUUGCAAUGAUAUAGAAAAGAAGCUCGUAAUAUUACUAGGUAGUAAUGAACUAAUAGGUCACUAACUUUCGUGACUUUGAGUCAGUUUGGGAUUGUAGUUGCUAAUGAAGUAAGUGCUUUUGCAGCAUAGAUGAAAUAAGUUGUUGAUUAAAAAAGCAGCUUGAUGUUUGGUAAAUUGUGUAAUUGUGGUUGCUAUGAAUUUGAAAAGCACAGUAUGUGUUUGGUAAAUGUUAUUACGAAGGUAUGACCAAAUUAUACACAGGUUUAAAUUAUAUUUUAAUUAUUUGCAUAUUAGGAUUUAUGGAAAAGUAAGACAUAAUUAUUUUUUCUUAAAAUAUUAAGAUUAUAACAGAAACUUUAAAAAGGUGUUGAUGCUUAUUUAAUAAGCAGCUUAUAAAAGUAACCUUCUACCUGCUUCUAAAAGAUGUUGUCAAAAUGUAGAAACUUAUGAAAUAGGUAGCUUUAAAAAAAAUUAUCAAACGUUUUUUUUUUCAAAAAUUAUGAAAUAAAGUGUUUAUAGCAUUUCAACCACAAUUCCAAGUGAGGCCUUGGACCUUGGUUUAAUUUGGAAGUGAAGCCUCUUUAGGAGAAUUGUUCCAACAACUAUAAAAAAAACUUACCAAACACUAUUUUUGUCAAAAAUUACAAAAUAAAUUACUUACAGCAUUUCAACCAUAAUUCCAAAUAGGACUGGGCUUAAUCGAGUUUGGAUUGGGUUUAGAUCAAUCGAUCGGAUUUCAGAUUAAUUGGGUUGAAACAAAAUUCACCUGAACUCAACCGAAAUUUGUAACCUGAUCGAAAUAUGUUUGAAUCGAAUCAAAUCAAGUUAAAAAAUUGGAUUGAGUUCGAAUCAUAUGAUAUUCAGGUUAGAAAUGGUUCGAGUCAAUUCGGGUGAAAUUGGGUCGGGUGAAAUUGGAUCAAGGUCAAAGUCGGGUCAAAUCGGGUUAAAUAAGGUAAUAGCAAAUUUGAGAUUUUUUUUCUUAUUUUGGGUUAUUAAGAUUGCUUUUAUGUAAUUUUAGUCUUUUUCUACCAAUUUUCAAUCCUAAAAAAAAAAGGAAAGCUACUAUGUAAUUAAAUGAAUAAAAGUUAAAAUUAACACACAAAGUCCAAAUUAACUUAACAAUCUUUAUCCAAAGCACAACGUCCAAAUAUUAGUCCUUAGAACACAAAAUCAAUGUUUAAAAAUAAUUAAAUGGUUUUCAAAACACAAAAAAAGUUUCUUUAAAAACACAAAGUCACAACUAAAUAAGCUUCCUCCAUUGCUCCAUGCAAACACUUGGACAAGUUCCAACUUCAACUUCUUGUACUCCAAAUUGGUGCAUCGAUCCCCUAGAGAAAAAUUGAAGAAAUAAUAUGGAAUAACUUUCUUUAAGCCGCGUUGCAAAAAAAGGCACAUCAAACACAAAUAUAAAUAAAUAAACCGAAUUCAUGUCUUUGAUUGAACAAACCAUAACUAUCAUUUGAAUUCAAAUUGAAUGGCUAGUAGUAAAGCUUACAUAUUUGAGCAAAGAAAGGGCACCUAUAGUUUAAAAGCAAAAGGGUUGUCACAAUCUUUCUAAUUUCUAUUAUAUCAUUAGGAUCUAACAUGUUUAGCAAAUUCUAAAAAAAAAAAAAAAAACAUAUAUACUUGAUUAAAUAUAAAGAAAAUUAAUUUAAUCAUGGCUUAUUUUAUGGCAUUCAUCAUCAAGUCAAGUUAAUAAUAAUCCUAGGCAAUACCAUAUUACCAUUCUACCAACUUCAACUUGCCUAGCUAAAACAAUUAAAAUGUUACAAUUAGACUUAAAACUUAAAAGCAUAACAACUAUAAUUAUAGUUUAAAUUGCAACCUAAAAUUAUAAUAUGAAAUUAUGAAUAAUAAUAUCUAUUAAGAGUUACCUUUCUAAUACCAAUAACACCAAUGUUAGCACUCACUGUUGAAACCAUUGAAGCUUGUGAUCUUACAAACCCUUUAAAAUGCGAAAAAAAAAAUCGAAAAAAUUGAAGUUAGUAAGUAACCUAAGUGCAUGUGGAUGUUAAUUAUAAAGUUAUAAUACAUUUUACGAGAAAAACAUUAUCUUCUUGUAGCUCCGUAUGAAACAUCUGCUCCUUAAUCUUUUCUUGAAGGUUGUAGACAAGAUUGGAAAAAAGUUUAGAUUGCAACUAAUUUUUGGUAAAUAUCAAUGUCUCAAUCAUAGAAAGAAUCAAAGUACUCCUACAAUCAUCAAUAACACGGCACCUAGUGCUGAAGGCAUACUCAGAGGCCAUUGUGGAAACUUGAACAACGAGGAUAUCUCUUACAAUUUUUUCUAAUAUUGGUAUUUGAUCCAUUCUCCUUCCCCAAAACAAAACACGGAGCUUAAAAUUGUUAGGAUCUUUAAUUGGGUUAAGUAAAUAUUGUUCCACCUUAGAUAUUACUUUCUUGCCCUCAUUUUGAAUAGAAACCUUCUUAGCAUAUCUAAGGAAAAAGCGAGCAACUCAGAUAGCGCCAUCACCUUCACCACCACCAGCCUCCACCAAACUAACCUCAAUUAUAUUAUGUGGAGAAGAACUUAUACCACCAUAACCACCACUAGGAACACUCUCACUAGAUAUCGAUGGUGUGGAGCACAAUGCACAAUGGGUGCAUUUGGCACACUGUAUUAUAUUAUGUUGUAUUGCAUUAUUUUAGUAUAAGUGUAUUGUAUUAUUCUGUAUUGCAUUAACAUUGUAUUAUAAUAAUAUUGUACAACAUUUGGUGCUAUAUUGUACUAUGUUAAUUUUUUAGUUAUACUAUGUUUGGUGUUACAUUGUGUAAUAUUAUUUUUUUGAUUAAUUUAAAUUAUAUAUUUAUAAAAUAAUAUUUAUUAGCACUUAAAAAAAUACUAAAUAUAAAAUUCUUAAAUUUUAGAAAUUUAACAUUAUCUUUUUUAGUAUGAAUGUUAAAAAAUCAAAAUUCUUCAUAAAAAUCGAAGCUCAUGGCCGUAAACUUUCAGCAAUAAAACAUUUAUUUUCUCAACAUUUUCCAAAUAUAUAACCCGUGAAAUAAAGAUUGAAGCUAAUAAUUCAAUUAAAUAGCAAAACAAUUUACUCAAGCAUGUUAAAAGUUUUCAAAAUUAUUUGCAGUUUAAAGCGAAGUGAGAUUAAAAAUUCUACCAUUUUUUGUUUCUAAAAGAAUGUCAUUAUGUCAUCAAUACAAUAAAAUGGCAACCAAAUAUGUUCUCUGUUCAGCCACUAGGCCCACUACCUUCAAGUCUAUUUCAUUCAAAAGAACAACAAUGAAGAAUUAAAUGGCUUGCAAUAAACACUACAAAUGCACUUCUUUUCUUUUAUUACUAGAAAAUAGAACCGCGCUUCACGCGGCUUUGAAAAAAGAAUUUAGUAUUAUCAUUUUUUUUUACUUUACACUUGAUGAAACUGAUAAAAAAUAUGAAUUGAUUUUUUUUUAAAGAUAAGGCAGCCUUAUAAAAAACAGAAAAACUAUUACCAGCAAUACAAAUAAAGAAGCAACGCAAGAUAAAGAAUAAAAUGAGAGAAUAUAUUAUAGAGUGAUUUUAUUCAUUCCAAUUGUGUGUGUACAAAACAAAAAGAUGAGCUCUCCUUUUAUAGUUACAUAAUCACUCCAUGAAAUUAAUGAAAAAUUAUGGAUCAUAAUUCCUUGUGAGAUAGUGGGAGUUAUAGGGAAGCUAAAGGUUGCUAAUGGGAGAUAGUGGGGAGACUAAGAGAUAUAUGUUAUGAACAUCCACAUUUAUUUUAAUAAAUGUAUAACACUCCCCCUUGGAUGUUUAUUACAAAGAAUAUGCCUCAUUAAAACCUUUACAUAAUUGUUAUUGUGUAAUAACAAUCAAAUUAAUUAUGAGAAGAUGAAAAGCCAAAUCUAAAAGAAAAUUUUUCUAUUUAUUAGAUAAUAGAGAAUAUACAAAGAUGAGAAAUGGUGAUGCCACAUCACCUCCUCAAGUUCCAACUUUAUAUAUAUACUAGAAAAGAGAACCGCGCUUCGCGCAGCUUUAAAAAAACAAAUUUACUAUUAUCUUUUUUUUUUACUUUGCACUUGAUGAAACUAAUAAAAAAUAUGAAUUGUUUUUUUUAAAGAUGACGUAGCCUUAUAAAACUAAUCUUAUUUAUGAAAGUUAAUUAUUUUUUUGUUAACUUUAAAAAUAUAUAUUAAUGUGUAUAGUUAAGUGUACACAACUUUUUCAUCAAUAAAAAUUAUGUUCACACUAAUCAAUUCUCCAUUCUUCUUGGUAUUAAGAGACUCUCACAUCCUCCAAAGCCUAACUCUUAUCAUCCAACUAUCUUUAUCAUUAUUCAACUUAUGAAGAAAAUAGUACUCCAUGAAGCACACAAUACUAAAAAUUCAAAUAAGUCAAAAAAUGAAAACACAAGAACAUUUCUAAAGAGGAUGUUGGUUAAAUAAUAAAAAAACCUAAACAUAACAAAUCCUAAAUACUUAAUAUUUAUAGAGUUUAAAGAAGCCAAAAGACACUAAACAAAAGGAUGCAUAAUUAAAUAUGAGAUUAUGGCAUUAAAAUUAGGCCCUAGUGGCAUUGGUGAGGGAAGAUGAAGGAACCUUCCUUCCUAUAUUAAUUAGUUGAUGUAUUUUAAACUACUAAAGUUUAGUUGUUGGCUUAAUAAAGUAAAUGAAUGUUUCAAAACUUAUAAUUAAUUAUUAUUAAUGGUUACAUAUUGUUGAAUUUAAAUAGAAAGAGGAAGAGACAUGUAAUCUUUUGUAAUCUAAUAAUUAUUUUCUAUUUAUUUUCUAUUUUUAAUAUUUUGUAAUAUAAUUAUUUUUUAAUCUCAACCAAUAAAUUAGAUAAUAGAGAAUAUAAAAAGAUGAGAAAUAAUAAUGCCACAAAUCUUAACUACUUAAUAUUUAUAGAAUUUGAAGAAGCCAAAAGGCACUAAACAAAAGGUUGCAUAAUUAAAUAUUGGAUUAUGGCAUUAAAAUUAAGCCCUAAUGGCAUUGUUGAGGGAAGAUGAAGGAACCUUCCUUCCUAUAUCAAUUAAUUGAUGUAUUUAAGCCACUAAAGUUUAAUUGUUGGCAUAAUAAAAUAAAUGAAUGUUUCAAGACUUAUAAUUAAUUAUGAUUAAUGGUUACAUAUUAUUGAAUUUAAAUAGAAAGAGGAAGAGACAUGUAAUCUUUUGUAAUCUAAUAAUUAUUUUUUAUUUUUAAUAUUUUGUAAUGUAAUUAUUUUUUUAAUCUCAACCAAUUUAUUAGAUAAUAGAGAAUACAAUAAGAUGAGAAAUAGUGAUGUCACAUCACCUCUUCUAAUCCCAGCUUUAUAUAUAUAAUAGUAAAUAGAACCGCACUUCGCGCAGCUUUGAAAAUGUCAAAUUAAAAAUUAAAAAAUUGAUGAAAUCCAAAUUUCUUGAGAAAUCGUACUAAUCUCUUCUCAAAAGGAAGAUUAAACAAGUUAAUUUUGUAUGUUUAUUUCAAUAAUAAUAAAUAUCGCACAAUAAUAAUAAUAAUAAUAAAAAAUAUCACACAUAAAUUUUUUAAACCAUUUAAAAUAUUUAAUCUUUAAAAUAUUGUUAAAGACUUGUGUUCUUGUUGAACAUUGUUUGUGUGGUGAGUGUUUACCUCUGGUGCCUUGGUAGCAUUUGGUCGUAAGUCCCGAUUUGGUUGAAGGGCAGUAAAACCAAUUCUUAGCCUUAGAUUGUAGCCAUACUUACAGAACUAAAACUAGAAUCUAGGUUUUUUGUCCAUGGAUUCUCUACUCUGUAGAGCAUCAUCCUUUUCUAGUUCUUCUUCCGGGAAGACUAGUGAUUCUAAGAAUGUUGUCAAUUCAGAAGAAUUUGUUAUUGAAGACUUUAAUAAAGCAAUUGAUAAUUGGGAAUUACCAAAGAUUUCUAAAGAAAUGAUUUACAAAACAAAAAAGCUUGAUUUUUUAAAGAAUGAUUAUGUCAUAAAAACUAAAGAACAUGACAUAACCCUUUCAAAGCCAUUUGAAACUAUUCACCUAUUUUCAGAACACUCCUUAAAGAAAUUAAAAGAUAAAAAUUUUAAUUAUGUUCACAUCGGCUUAAUACAAGUUGGUAUAAAGCCCUUAACAAAAGAAGGUCUUAAUACCUCUAUUCUUGCUGUCUUAAGAGAUGGGCGAUUCAUCUCUUUUGAUGAUUCUUUACUAAGUAGUAUAGAAUCAAGUCUUUGCAAAGGUCCCAUCUCAUUUAGCUGUUAUCCGAACAUAACAAUUUCUCUAAAAGACAAAAACAUUCUGAAAAGCAUGAUCUUGCAAAUCAAGACCCAUAAUUAUCACAUGAUUGAGGGAUCAGUCCCAGUAGCCUUAAUUUUUAAAAUCUCAUACAAAGUCAUGAUUUCUGCGUUUAGUACGCAACAUAAGUUCCAGUCAAAAAGAUAUGAGACUCUUCUCUUAUAGACUGAUCUGUCUAAAGCCAAAACCGUUAUUCCAAAACCAAUCCAAUGGAAAGAUGUCAAUCUUCCAAACGAAUGGAUUCUUGAAGGAGCCACUGCACCAGUGAUUCCAAAACAACUUGAGCCUAAUACAAAGUUGUAAAAUGUGACUCAAUAUUCAGAUGAGAAGGUUAAAUUGUCCUUUAAGAGAUCUACAUCUUCUAGGUUCUCUGAUAAAGACUUAAGUACGAAUAUUCCUUCAUUAGAAAGAAGAUUUUCAAAAAUUCCUUCCGUUAUAAACCUCCCUUUCCAACCAGUAAAAAACCAACCUAGGUUUUCCACAUCGAAUAUACCUAGUUCCUCUAUCCACUCUGUUGACUAUACCACUAGUGUUCCUCACCCAAUCUACACUAGCAGUCAACAUGAACAAAGACAGGAAGAGAAGGAACCUUCUCCUCCAACCUCUCCUACAUUUUCCGCUGUCACUGAAAAUGUAGUAAAUGUUCUUGAAAAAGAUUUUGAAUUAGAUAAAACUCUUCUUCAUAACGACUUUUAUUCUGAUUGCAAAAAAGAAAAAAGACUUUGGUUCUUCAAAAAUUUCUUAAGCCAAAGAAAACAAAUACAAGAAAUUUAUUAUGAAUUUGUAAAUCUGCAUAAAGUUCAUAUUUUAUUCUUUAAUUGGUUUAAAAUGUAUGCCUCUGAUAAUAACAUUGAUUAUCCUUUUAAAGAAUCAAAUCCUAUUAUUAUUAGGAAAAAGAUUCCUGAAUGGAAUCUUACUGAUAGUGAUCGAACCAUAGAAUCUGAACAUCCACCUCUUAGGAGUUUGACCAUUGAAUAUGGUAUGCCUCCUGUUGAGAUUAAAGCCUCACCCUACAAAAUCCAUAAACCAAAUGAUCCAGAGAUAAAUUUAGGCAGCAUUAUUCAACAGAAUAAUUUCUGUAAUGCUAACCUAAACACAUUAGGAAAAUAGUUGACUAGGAUAGAAAACCAAUUCCAGAAGUCUACCAUAACUGUUUCUCCUAUUACUUCAAAAUCGGAUUCUAACAAAAAGCUUAAAGAGUCUAUUUUCAAACCCUUUCAGGUUUCGAAAACUAGUCAAAAGCUUGUUCAAGAGUCAAAAUCAGAUUUUCCUAAAGCUAUUAGAGAACAACUAGAUAGAAUAUAAGCUUCUUCUUCUUCGUCUAGUAAAAUCCAAAUAGCCCCUGAUAGUGCCCAAUCUAGUAAAAUUGGAGUACUAGAACAAGACGACAUGUCUAUAGCCUCUUCUGAUAUAGAAGCCUUUAAAGAAGAACUUGUUUCUAAAGCCAACAAAAUUCAUUGGGAAUUAGCCCUACCUACUAUCAAAUCUCCACCUGACUUAGCCAUAGACAACAGACCUAGUGCAUUAAACCAAUCACGCUUUAAUGCAUCCUCUGUCUAUGAGUGGAACAUUGAUGGUAUGUCUGAAUAUAACAUUCUAGGAUUGUUGCAACAGAUGACCAUGGCAGCGAAUGCAUAUAAAACUCAGUCGGGAACUUCUGACAAACCUAUUGCAGAAAUUCUCAUUGCUGGUUUUACUGGUCAACUUAAAGGUUGGUGGGAUCAUCUUCUCACCAAACAACAACAAUCAGAUAUCCUAAAUUCAAUUCAAACAGAUGAGAAUGGAGCCCCCAUCUGUGAUGAAUUAAAUGACCCUAUUCAGGAUGCUGUUGCUACCCUAAUUCUGACUAUAUCCUUUCAUUUCAUAGGUGAUCAUUUACACCUUAGAGAUAAAAAUGCUGAGUUACUACACAACCUGAGAUGUAGGAAACUUAGUGAAUUUCAAAGCUAUAAAACCACUUUCUUUACUAGACUCUUCCUAAGAGAUGAUGCAAACCAUAUCACUUGGAAAGAAAAAUUCCUUGCAGGUUUACCAACCCUCUUAGGAGAAAAGGUUAGGAACUCUAUUAAAGCCUUGUAUGACAACCGUAUUCCUUGUAACGAACUCACCUACGGUGAAUUAGUUGGUUUUGUUAAUAAAGAAGGUUUAAAGAUUUGUCAAGACUUGAAACUUCAGAAACGUCUAAAAUGGGAGCUUAGAAAAUCUAAGCAAGAAUUAGGCAGUUUCUGUAAGCAAUUCAAUUAUGAUCCCUUUAAAACCUCCACCUCUAAAGAUUGUAAUGGUGAGUGUUCUUCAAAACCUUACAAGAAACAUUACAAAUCAAAAAGCCAUAAAAAACCCUUUCAAGAUUUUAGAGAACUUUCUUAUAAGAAACCUUCAAGGCCUUAUAAGAAGCCCAGAUUCUCUAAGAAGAAGGAUUUUAGACCCAAAUAAAAAACCCCUUUUAAUUACAAAGAAGCUACAUGUUACAAAUGUGAAAAGAAACGCCAUACUGCAAAAUUUUGCAGGAUGAACAAAAAGCUCCAUGAGAUUGGCCUUGACGAAGAAAUACUUUCUAAAGUUUCCCCUUUACUUGUAGAGUCUUCUGACUCUGAGUCUUCCAUGACGGGAGAUAAUGACCCCCUACAAAUUGAUGAGUUGAUGGAUUCUGAUACUUCAGAAUCUAGUAGUAGUGAUUCUGGCAUAGAAUCUCGUUUAAAGAAAAUCAAUGUAUUAACUAAAGAUCAAGAAACUUUUCUUGAAUUAGUCAAACACAUUUCUGACCCUACUCUUCAAAGAGAAUACCUUGAUAAACUUCUAAAAACCUUAGAAGUAAGAAAUAAAACAGAAAUUUCUAAAGCCCCAAUAAUUAAAAAGAAUACAUAUGAUCUUACUGAAAUUUUGGAUAAAAAGAAAACAAAGAAAACAACGACUCCUAGCAUCCAAGAUCUUCAGAAAGAAAUAAAAGAUAUCAAACUCGAGAUAAAAGACUUAAAAGAAAAACAAAAAAUGAUUAUGAUACUAUCCAACUCCUCUUACAAAGACAAUUACAAGAUAAUUCUGAUAAAGAAUCAGAAGAUAAUGGUGAUAAUGGAGAACACAGUUUAGAAAACAUUGAAUCUAUACCCAAUGAUUUUCUUUUCGUAUUAAAACAAAUCACCACAAGAAAAUAUUUGAUCAAAAUCACCUUGAUCUUUUCUAAAGAUUUUGAAAUCGACACCAUUGUCCUCUUUGAUACUGGUGCUGAUUUAAAUUACAUUAAAGAAGAUAUUGUCCCCAGAAGGUUUCAUGAGAAAACAAAUGAGAGACUUUCUGCCGCUAAUAAUUCAAAACUUAAUGUCAAAUCUAAAGUUGACACCUCUAUUCAUAACAAUGGUUUUGAAUUCAGGACUUCUUUUAUUCUUACAAAUGACAUACACCAUACUGUCAUUUUAGGAACCCCUUUUAUCAAUCUCAUUACUCCUUAUACUGUCAACUAUGAUAGUAUAUCCUUUAAAGUAAAAACCAAAAAACUUGUUUUUCCUUUUAUUGAGAAACCUAAAACAAGAAAUUUGAAUAUUGUUAAAGCUUGUUCUGUUUACCAGAACCAAAUCAAUACACUCCUCAAAACAAAACAAAAUGAUCAGAUUUUUUUAAAAAAUGAUUUGAGUUUACAAAGAAUCGAAAACCAAUUACAAAAUGAAUUUGUAAAAAGAAAAAUCUCUAAUCUUAAAGACCUCAUUGAAAAAGAAAUAUGUGCAGAUCUACCAUCUGCUUUUUGAAACAGAAAACAACAUUUGGUUGAUUUGCCUUAUGAAAAUUCUUUUGAUGAAAAGCAAAUACCUACCAAAGCCCGUCCAAUCCAAAUGAACAUGGAAUUGGAGCAACAUUGCAAAGAUGAGAUAAAAGAUUUAGAAUCUAAAGGUCUCAUAGUCAAGUCUAGGUCUCCUUGGUCUUGUGCUGCUUUCUAUGUCAAUAAAAAUUCUGAGAUAGAAAGAGGGACACCCAGACUAGUCAUAAAUUAUAAACCCCUUAAUAAAGCAUUAAAAUGGAUUAGGUAUCUCAUACCUAAUAAAAAGGAUUUGCUCCAGAAACUACAUGCUGCAUUCAUUUUUUCAAAAUUUGAUAUGAAAUUUAGAUUUGCCAAUCCAUCCAAAAGACCGUUAUAAAACUGCAUUUACUGUUCCUUUUGGACAGUAUGAAUGGAUUGUUAUGCCUUUUGGAUUAAAGAAUGCACCUUCCGAAUUUCAAACGAUUAUGAAUGAUAUUUAUACUCCUUUAUCUGAUUUUGCAUUGUUUAUAUCGAUGAUGUGUUGGUUUUUUCUCAAACGAUCGACCAACAUUUUAAACAUCUAAAGACGUUUUUCCUUGCCACUAGAAAGGCUGGUUUAGCCAUUUCUAGUUCUGUCUUUAAACACAGAAACUUUAUCCUAUAUUACACUAUCUUCCUCAUGGCUCUGAUACCAGUACGACCAAGAUCGUGGAGUAUGUGUGUGUGUUCAAAAGAUUAAAUAUUUUAAAGACAAAAUAAUAAGCAAUAUUAAAUUGGUACGUGGCAUUGUUUUACCAGAUCAAUGCAGAGCUUAAUCUGCCUUAGGGACCAGAUCUGACUUAGAACAUAUCAAUAUCUCGCAUGUUCAGGUUUCCAGCCGAUAUACCAAAAAUUUUAAAAAUUCAAAUUCUUUAUGCAAUUAACGUAAAGGCUCAUGGAUAGUACUAGAUCUGGAUCCCAGAAAUAGUACUCUGAUUGAAUGGAGGGAGAAGAGAAAAUACGACUAAGGGAAGAGAUUAGGUCUCUGUGCCUUAGAAGAACGUAGCAGUUUAAAUAUGCAUAAACUUAAAUUGCAAAAUUAAACAUACAUUUAAAGCUUUAAAUGAAUUAUAAAUUCUUUAAAGAAAUAUUGAAUACUUACAUGAUUUGCUUGAAUCCAAAAUAAGUUACAGCUUGUUAAGAAAGGAAAAUUACAAGACAGGAAAUGUUUCCUCUAAGUCUUGAUCCAGAUUUCCCGAAGAGAGAGAGAGAGAGAGAGCUCUCGAGCCUGCCCUAGGAUCUGCCUUCUGUCCUUCUUUUAAGGGUACAAGAAGGAAGGCUGUUUGCUGUAGCUUCACAUGCGUUGGAGGAGAAUGGGGUCAGCAAUAGUUAAAGCAGGAUGUGCUUUUUGAAAUGUGGGAGACAGCAUUAUUGAAGGCAUCUUCUGCUAGGAAAGCUUCACGUGGAGAGAUGCUCUACGAGGCAAUAAUUUAUACCUUUUGAAAACAUGGCACAUGUGCGGCCACACUUGUGUCUCGAAAGACAUUUUCAAAAGAUAUUCUUAUCAAAUUCUUUAUAGGAUGAUUUUGACUUCUUUCUGGACGCGGCAAUGAAGGCUUUAAAAGAUUGGAAAAUUACAAAAAAUACAAGCGAUAAUUACAAAUAAAAAUUACAGAAAUGGAAAAUACAAGGGAUAAUAAAAUUAUAGAGAAAAUACAGAAAUAGAAUUACAGAGAAAAUACAGAAAUGGGAAAUUACUUUUUUUAAAAAAAAAUCAACAAGCUUUAAGUAUGCUUUAAUGGAGGAAGUAUUCUGAAGCAAUCAUCUUCAUUGUCAUCUCCAAGGGAGAUGAAAGGCUCAGCAUCAUCAGAAGAACUUGAACUAGCAACGGAUGGUUCUGAUCUUGAUGCAAGGAGCUGCUGCAUGACUUGAAAAUAUUCUUCCUCCGUCUUUGCACUGGCCAAAAGUGAUUGGGCCUUUGUCCUUUGAGCGAGGAAAGUGCUUUGGGCUUUAACAUCUUGAAUGCUCGGGGUUAGGAGGCCUUUGAGGAAAGCCAAGCCUGGACUGUGGCUUCCGAUAGUUUGGAUUGUUCAUCAAACUUAGACCACUAUUUUACUUUAAAGGUUCUUUGUAAAAUGAGUUGGGUAUCUUGAGUGUGGUAAUUGAAGUUCCACAUCCAGACCCAAGGAAGAAAGAAAUUUGUACAGAAACAGAGAAAAUGAGAAAAUCUCUUCUCUGACUCAGAAGGGACAUAAUGGGCUUUAAAAAGGUUUAAACAAUUUAUGGCAUUUGGGGUUAGAAUGUCUGGGCUUGGCCCAAAGUAGUUCUACCAUUGUUGGAACCAAUUUGGAAGGCUUUGUACGAUUAUUUUCGAGUUGAAGAAAAAUAACCAAGAAUGGGUCUUUUUGGGGUUUUGAAUGAAACAUGUGUUAAACCAGGCCUGUUGGUAAUCCCAGUAAGAAAAGGAUAAACAGUGGUUUAGACGCAUUUGAAAAUUGGCGGGAAAGGUUUUGGGUCUGUGAAGUUGGUCACCCCAUUGUUUUGGGCUUAAGACUUUUAAGAUGGUAGCUGUGGAAUAGGCUGGCUCAGAAUGAGCUUUACUAAGAAAGAAGUGUUUAAAUUUAACAGACUCAGUGAACUCAAGAAUGCUUUGAUAGAAAGCCUGGGGUUUUGAUAAAUCCCAUGGUUUGAAAAAUCAGCCUUUCAGGAAAAUCUUUGAAACGGCUUGAAAUGGAUCAGAGUGAUAAAACCUAUCUUCCAUUGAUAAAACAUUUUAAUGAUAGGUUUUACAAAUCCAAUCCGAAGCUUUUUGUGAAAGCUUUGAUUCAGGAACAAUAAUUUGAGAAGAAGAGCUUUCACAAGAAAUGACUUCUUUAGAAGAAGAAGGUUUUGAAAUUGCUUUAGAAAUAGUUUUUUCUUUCUCGGGAACUUGAGAAAGAGCUUUAUUUUGGGAAAUAUUUUGUAAAGCUAACAUAAGCUCAGGAGACUUUGUAAUGGAGUUCAUCCAUUCUUUUACUUGCUUAUCGGAGGCAAUGGCUUUAGACUGUGCUUCUUGUUCAUCGACCAUGUCAAUCCAAGAUUUAAUAGGCAUGGCAGAAGAAAGUAAUUUUUCUUUAGGAGGGGUUAUCUGAGUUUCUUUAGAGGUUGUUUGAGGUUCAGGGUCUUUAAUGAUACCCUUGCCCUUGUCUCUUCGUUUGGGCGGCAUUAUCUGUUUUGAAGAAAUUCCCUGGUUAGAAAAUCAGGGAGAGAAUUUGUAUCUCCUUUAAUGAAUUCAAUGUCAAAAUAAAAAACACUUAAAAUGGCUUGCCAUCAUGCAAAAAUCUGUUUUGAUGCAAUGUUUUGAACAUCCUUUUCUAAAACGUGUUUUGCAGCUUUGCAGUCAAUUCUAAGUAAGAAUUUUUAAUUUAACAGAUCACUUUGAAAUUUAGAAAUGCAUAAAACAAUAGAAAGAAUUUCCUUUUUAAUAGUAGAGUAAUUUCUUUGACAUUCAUUCCAAUGAGCAGAAACAUACUGUACUAUUUGUUCUUUAUUAUUUUCUUUUUGCUUUAAUAUUCCUCCAUAUCCUAAAUUAGAUGCAUCAGUUUCAACAAUCUUAGGUAAUGCAGGAUUAGCAAAAAAAAAGCAUGGAAUAUCUUUAAUAGAACUUUUUAUGAGCUUAACAACUUUAGUGUGUUCAUCAGUCCACGCAACAGGAUUUUUCUUUAAUCUAUCAUGCAAAGGUUUUGAAAUUCUAUUAAUAUUAGGACAAAAAUCAAUGACAUAAUUUAAACUUCCUAAAAAUCUUUGCAAUUGGGUUUUAUCAAGGAUUUUAUCAGGAAAUUUGUCAACAAAAACAAGAGAUCGCUCAAUAGGUGUAAUGGUUUCUUUGGAAAUGUAAUGACUAAGGAACCUGAUUCUUGUUUGAAACAAGGAAACUUUAGAACUAGAAAUGGCUAAACCAGUUCCCGAGAAAGAAAAAACUAUUUCUAAAGCAAUUUCAAAACCUUCUUCUUCUAAAGAAGUCAUUUCUUGUGAAAGCUCUUCUUCUCAAAUUAUUGUUCCUGAAUCAAAGCUUUCAUAAACAGCUUCGGAUUGGAUUUGUAAAACCUAUCAUUAAAAUGUUUUAUCAAUGGAAGAUGGGUUUUAUCACUCUGAUCCAUUUCAAGCAGUUUCAAAGAUUUUCCCGAAAGGCUGAUUUUUCAAACCAUGGGAUUUAUCAAAACCCCAGGCUUUCUAUCAAAGCAUUCUUGAGUUCACUGAGUCUGUUAAAUUUAAACACUUCUUUCUUAGUGAAGCUCAUUCUGAGCCAGCCUAUUCCACAGCUACCAUCUUAAAAGUCUUAAGCCCAAAACAAUGGGGUGACCAACUUCACAGACCCAAAACCUUUCCCGCCAAUUUUCAAAUGCAUCUAAACCAUUGUUUAUCCUUUUCUUACUGGAAUUACCAACAGGCCUAGUUUAACACAUUUUUCAUUCAAAACCCCAAAAAGACCCAUUCUUGGUUAUUUUUCUUCAACUCGAAAAUAACCGUACAAAGCCUUCCAAAUUGGUUCCAACAAUGGUGGAACUACUUUGGGCCAAGCCCAGACAUUCUAACCCCAAAUGCCAUAAAUUGUUUAAACCUUUUUAUGGCGAGUGUUUAAAUUUAAAAUAUUUAAUCUUUAAAAUAGUUUUUUCUUUCUCGGAAACUUGAGAAAGAGCUUUAUUUUGGGAAAUAUUUUGUAAAGCUAACAUAAGCUCAGGAGACUUUGUAAUGGAGUUCAUCCAUUCUUUUACCUGCUUAUCGGAGGCAAUGGCUUUAGACUGUGCUAUUUUAGGAACCCCCUUUAUCAAUCUCAUUACUCCUUCUACUGUCAACUAUGAUAGUAUAUCCUUUAAAGAAAAAACCAAAAAACUUGUUUUUCCUUUUAUUGAGAAACCUAAAACAAGAAAUUUGAAUAUUGUUAAAGCUUGUUCUGUUUACCAGAACCAAAUCAAUACACUCCUCAAAACAAAACAAAAUGAUCUGAUUUGUUUUAAAAAGGAUUUGAGUUUACAAAGAAUCGAAAACCAAUUACAAAAUGAAUUUGUAAAAAGAAAAAUCUCUGAUCUUAAAGACCUCAUUGAAAAAGAAAUAUGUGCGGAUCUACCAUCUGCUUUUUGGAACAGAAAACAACAUUUGGUUAAUUUGCCUUAUGAAAAUUCUUUUGAUGAAAAGCAAAUACCUACCAAAGCCCGUCCAAUCCAAAUGAACAGACUGUGCUUCUUGUUCAUCGACCAUGUCAAUCCAAGAUUUAAUAGGCAUGGCAGAAGAAAGUAAUUUUUCUUUAGGAGGGGUUAUCUGAGUUUCUUUAGAGGUUGUUUGAGGUUCAUGGUCUUUAAUGAUACCCUUGCCCUUGUCUCUUCGUUUGGGCGGCAUUAUCUGUUUUGAAGAAAUUCCCUGGUUAGAAAAUCAGGGAGAGAAUUUGUAUCUCCUUUAAUGAAUUCAAUGUCAAAAUCAAAAACACUUAAAAUGGCUUGCCAUCGUGCAAAAAUCUGUUUUGAUGCAAUGUUUUGAACAUCCUUUUCUAAAACGUGUUUUGCAGCUUUGCAGUCAAUUCUAAGUAAGAAUUUUUGAUUUAACAGAUCACUUAAUAAUAAUAAUAAUUGACACCUGGCGACGCUGAGGCUCAUGAACAUUCCAAAAAAUAUAAGUUUCAAUUGUAUCGAACCUUCCAUCUUUUGCCUUCUGUAUAAGAUCUGGCCACAUCUGCACAAAUACAACGCCUAUAGAAAUAAAUCAUAUAAAAAUUUGCAUAUUUAAAGAAUAACAAUGUUAUUUGAUCCAAAAAUAUUGCCCAUAAUUUUUUCUAAACAUGAAAGCACACCGUUUUGAAUGUGGGAUCAUGUUUGGCUUGUUAGGAAUAAAAAAAAAUUAAGAUAAUAUUUUCGCAGCAAAGUAGCAUUUUUUUUUGGGUUAAAAGAAGAAGAAAAUGUGAAAGUGCAAGUGAUUUCAGAAAUUGUAAAUUAAUUAUUUGCAUGCAGUACUUGUGGAGUGCUGCGAGGAUAUAGUGAAUUGCACCAGAGAAGAUAACUCGUCGUUCUCAAUUAAUUAUAAUGGCAGUUGCAUCAUAAUCGACUUGUGUUGCUGAUGAUAACAAGCAAAUAAAACUUAAAUUUAGAAUAAGAAGAAUUAGGCUCUGGUGGCAUUGUUGAGGGAAGAUGAAAGAACAUCUCUUCCUAUGUUAAUUAAUUAAUAUAUUUUAAGCCACUAAAGUUUAAUUGCUAGCAUAAUAAAAUUUGAAGAAGCCAAAAUGCACUAAAUAAAAGGUUGCAUAAUUAAAUAUGGGAUUAUUGCAUUAAAAUUAGGCCCUAGUGGCAUUGUUGAGGGAAUAUGAAAGAACCACUCUUCCUAUCUUAAUUAAUUGAUGUAUUUUAAACCACUAGAGUUUAAUUGCUAGCAUAAUAAAAUAAAUAAAUAAAUGUUUCAAAAGACUUAUAAUUAAUUAUUAUUAAUAGUUACAUAUUGUUGAAUUUAAAUAGAAAGAGAAAGAGACAUUAAAAUUAAACUUAGGCCCUAAUAGCAUUAUUGAGGGAAGAUGAAAGAACCUCUCUUCCUAUGUUAAUUAAUUGAUGUAUUUUAAGCCACUAAAGUUAAAUUACUAGCAUAAUAAAAUAAAUGAAUGUUUCAAAAGACUUAUAAUUAAUUAUUAUUAAUGGUUACAUAUUAUUGGAUUUAAAUAGAAAGAGGAAGAGACAUGUACAAAGAAUAUCCACCAAUAUUUUAGAUAUUUGAGGAAGAGACAUGUACAAAGAAUAUCCACCAAUAUUUUAGAUAAUAGAGAAUAUAAAAAGAUGAGGAAUGGUGAUGCCACAUCACCUCUUGGAAUCCCAGCUUUAUAUAUAUAUAUAUAGAUUGUUCUUGUUCUAUGUUUAUCACUACACUAUUUUUUAUAUAUAACAAUAAGAAAUAAAUACAAUGAAAUCUCAUUCUAAGCAUGCAUCAAUUUCAUAAAAAAAUUCAUGUAAAUUCAAGGACAAUUCUCUAGUCAGCACUUUUCUCAAACAAUUUAAUAGCAGGUGCCAAAAGCACCAAAACAAAAAUAAUCCAGAAGCUAAAAUCAAUUAUAAUGUGAAUGGAGUGAUUGUAUAUAAUUAUAAAACAAGUUCAACAUAAUCAAACAUCAAAUUUGAUGCACAGUUUAACCAAACAAAUAAACAGAAAAAAUUAAAGUCAUUGGAGUUAAUCUUUGCUCGCUUCAACAUCAACAUAAACUUGUUCCCCUGUAUCCCAUGACAAUUUGCUGCCCUCUAUUUGUUUGCAUCAAUUAUAUUAACAUCUUGGCAAAGACAACUAAUGGCAAGUACAAUGGGAGAGAGAGGGAGAAAGACAAGGGAAAGUUUACAGUGCAAUGACACAACAGGAUAUAGAGAACAACCAGUGAAAAAAUAGUACUGAAAGUAUGGAAAUCAUUAAUCUUAUCUGCCCUAUGACAUUGGCAUAAUGUUACAAAUAUUGCCUAUCAAAACCUUGUGUGAAUGUUAAUGUGAACGAGCCAAAAAGCACAGUCAAACACAACUCAAAGACAUCGUCCAUGCAAAAUUUAGCUUAUAAUAUACACAUGACAGCUGUUUUACUAGAGAGGAUGUCUGGUGUCAAACAUCAGAAUGUAGAAUAAAGUUCAAUUACAUAUGAACAAGGCUUUGAAUUUUUCAGAAAAGAACUUAAGAACAAGUCCGUGACCAUUUUCAUAUGAAGCAAAACCUUUUAUUGUUGGACCAUCUUAGUUUCACACAAGAAUAUGAAUGAAUCAAUUUUGAACUAACUAUGUUUGACAGCAUGAGUUUCAAGCUGACUGGUACAUAAAUAUCCUGAAAAUUUUAUUCAUUAGGCAAGCACUUCUUCUAGCUUUCAAAAUCCCCCAAUUUGUACAAGUCAAUAUGGACCAGUCAAACACCAAACUUAAUAGAUUAAGAAAACAGAAAAUCAAGUGAAUAAAUUAUUUAGGACAACAAAGAAUAAAAAAUUAAACAGAAGGAAUCUGACUAUGAAGAAAAAUAAUGGUACUACUAUCAGUGGUCAACCUUCGCCGUUGAAGUUGAAGUUUAGUUUCUCCAGCACUACUGAUAAAACCAUGUACCUCACUUCCUUUCCUGCAAUUCAUAUCCACAUACAUCAAAAAAUGAUCUAAAAACUGCAGUUUAUUAUAAGCACACACAUGCAGGGCAGUUUAUUAUAAACAAUUACCACUACACUAUUUUAUAUAUAACGAAAGAAAAAAAUAUGAUGAAAUCUCAUUCAAUGUAGGCAUAAAUUUCAUAAAAAAUUCAUGUAAAUAAAAUCCUUGAGCUUUAAUACUUAGUUGUAAUUUCCACAGAGGGGGAAAGUCAAGAAAAGAAACAUAAUGGUAAUAUAAUAAUGAGGAGGACCAAAUAAUAGAUAAUGCUGCAAAUUGAUUUUAAUAAAAAGACCAAUUAGUGUUGAAAAAAUAGCAUGUAUAUAUGCUAAUUUGAGGGCACAUUUUGAGUGGGUCUCACUUAACGAAAGUGAAAAAUAUUGUGAGGUUCGGAUUCUACUCUGUUGAUACUUUAAAAGUAUAAUCUUAAUUUCUCAAAAUGGUGCUUGGGUGAAUAAGAAAUUGUCUCUCAAAGUUCACCCUUGAAGUUGGAAAUUUGAAAGGAAAUGAGGCUUAUCCCACAUGGGAAAAAGAAGCCUAGUGAUUAGUGUUUAUAUAUAAACACUUGACCAUGCAUGAGUAAGAAUUACAAGGAUAAAGGCUCUCUUUACACGCGCAUGCGCAGGGGUGGUGCAAAUUCAAGACCGAUUUGGUUGAACUCGUGUGUGCCCGCGCAUUCUGCGUACGCGAAUGUCAGCCCAAAAUCAUCCAUGCAAGCUUGGCACGUUUUUAAUUUCUUUUUGAAUUUUUUAUUUUAACAGUUUCACGUUUUGAAUUCAAAGAACUUGUAACAGCUUCAACAAUUAUUUUUUGUAGCUGUUAUUCACGUUUAUUUUUUGAAUUCAAUUUUGAAAUCAAUUAAUUGAAUUGAUUUGGCUGUUAUAACAAUUAAACAUAUUGAAUUUUCUGAAUUCAAUACAAAGCAGCUCUUACAUCCUCACAUGACUAUAAAAAGGCAUAUCCUCUUCUGUUUUUUGAUAUACUGAAAAAACCAGCACACUUGUUUUCCUUCCUCCAUCUUCGUAGUCUGUUUUCUCUGAUCGAGUUCACUGUUGUGGUUCGCCGGAAUUUCCAGCCAGUGCUUAGCCAGAAAUUCGUGCCCGUUGUAUCCUGGGAAACAGAUACCAGCUGACCUUAAAGCACUCUAAGAGGUGGUAAAUCUGUUUUAAGGAAACUGUCCGCAGGCCUCGGGUUCUAUUUUAUUUUUCUGUUUCGGCUUCAUCUAUCUUCUGUUUUGCUUUCUGUUUUUCAUUUCAAUUUUCCAGUAGCUGGUUUUCGUUGUUCAGCUACUAUAUAAUUUGUUAUCUCACUGUUGUGUUUGUUUUUUCUUACAUUCUUCAAACAGAUUUUAAUUAUCAUUGAGAUGGCAACUUAAACCGUUGAUGAUAUUCCGUAUGUCCCAGUUUCAUCUUCUGUUGCUGCACCAACGUUUGUGAAGGAACCAACCUCUGUGGCAAUUCCCGUCAAUCAUGCGGAAAGGCCUGAAAAAUUCAAUGGCCAGAAUUUCAAACGUUGGCAGCAAAAGAUGUUCUUUUACUUGACCACGUUGAACCUUGCGAGGUUCUUGACCGAGGAUGCUCCUAAACCCAAAGAGGGUGAAACGGAUAUUCAAGUUGCAAGUGCAAUUGAUGCAUGGCACCAUUCAGAUUUUUUAUGUAAAAAUUAUGUAAUGAAUGGCCUUAGUGAUUCCUUGUAUAAUGUAUACAUAGGAAAGAAAACAACCAAGGAGCUAUGGGAAUCUUUAGACCGGAAAUAUAAAACCGAGGAUGCGGGUACCAAAAAGUUUGUUGUUGGUCGCUUCCUAGAUUAUAAAAUGGUGGAUUCUAAAACUGUAAUAAGUCAAGUACAAGAGCUUCAAAUUAUAUUAUCUGAAAUCCUUACAGAAGGGAUGCAUCUAAGUGAAACUUUUCAAGUUGCCGCAAUUAUUAAAAAAUUGCCUCCUGCUUGGAAAGAUUUCAAGAGUUGUUUAAAGCAUAAACGAAAGGAGAUGAAUAUUGAAGGGCUAGUUGUUAAGCUCAGAAUUGAGGAAGACAACAGAAAUGCAGAAAGAAGAGGGGUUAUUUCUAUGGCAAAGGAAAAUUUUGUUGAACAUGGACUUAAAAAUAAAAAUAAAAAAUUAGGCCCGAAAGGAGGAAUUUCCAAGAAACAAACAAAGUUUCAAGGAAAAUGUUAUAAUUGUGAUAAGAUGGGUCACAAGGCUUCGGAUUGCAGGUUGCCUAAAAAGAAGCGAGAGGCGAAUGUGGUGGAAAACAUCACUCAAUAUGUUUCAGACAUAAACUUCUCUGCAGUGGUUUCAGAAGUGAAUCUGGUUGGCUCUAAUCCAAGAGAAUGGUGGAUAGAUACAGGAGCAACCAGACAUGUUUGCUCGGACAAAGGGUUGUUCACUUCACUUGAAGCAGUUACCAAUGGAGAGAAGCUAUUCAUGGGGAAUUCGGCUACGUCUGAGAUUGAGGGUCAAGGGAAGGUGAUUUUGAAGAUGACGUCUGGGAAAGAACUGACUCUGAACAAUGUGCUCUAUGUGCCAGAAAUUCAGAAGAACUUGGUGUCUGGAUCGCUGCUGAACAAACAUGGUUUCCGAAUGGUGUUUGAGUCAGAUAGGGUAGUUUUGUCUAAAAAUGGGAUGUAUGUGAGAAAGGGUUAUGUUAAUGAUGGGCUAUUUAAGCUCAAUGUAAUGACUCUGAAACCAACAAUUAAUAAUAAAGCUAUUUCUUCUGCUUAUUUGCUUGAGUCUUCUAAUCUUUGGCAUGGUAGAUUAGGACAUGUUAAUUUUAAUUCUUUGCGUAAAUUAAUUAACAUGAAGCAUAUUCCCAAUUUCCAAAUUGAUUUGAAACAUAAGUGUGAAACUUGUGUUGAGGCAAAACUAACUAGGUCAUCUUUCCAAAUAAUUAAAAGAAACACCGAUCCACUUGAUUUAAUACAUAGUGAUAUUUGUGAUUUUAAAUCCAUUCAAACAAGAGGUGGUAAUAAAUAUUUUAUUACCUUUAUAGAUGAUUGCACAAAAUAUUGCUAUGUAUAUUUAUUGAAAAGUAAAGGUGAAGCUUUGGAAAAGUUUAUUCUCUGCAAAAAUGAAGUUGAGAAUCAACUUAAUAGAAAAAUCAAAGAAUUAAGGAGUGACCGUGGUGGUGAGUAUGUUGUUCUGUUUAUGUCACUAUGUGAACAAAGUGGAAUCAUACAUCAAAUCACGGCUCCAUAUUCACCUCAAUCUAAUGGGAUUGCAGAACGAAAUAAUCAAACUUUAAAGGAAAUGAUGAAUGCAAUGUUGAUAAGUUCUGGGUUACCCCAGAAUAUGUAGGGAGAAGCUGUUUUGUCAGCUAAUUAUUUGUUAAAUAAGAUACCCCGAAAGCAAGAAGAUAAAACCUCGUAUGAGCUAUGGAAAGGUAGAGCACCUUCAUAUAGAUUCUUACGAGUGUGGGGGUGUCUUGCUAAAGCAGUGGUUCCUUUAAAUAAAAAAGUGAAAAUAGGACCAAAAACUGUUGACUGCAUUUUCAUUGGUUAUGCACAAAACAGUAGUGCUUAUCGAUUUUUGGUGCAUGAGUCUAAAGUUCCAGAUGUCCACAAAAAUACGAUAAUAGAAUCAAGAAAUGCAUCAUUUUUCGAACAUGUGUUUCCUUGUAAUUCUAGAGUGGAAUCGAGAGAAUUGCGACAAUUUCACGAAACAACAAUUGAAAAUGAAGAAAAUGAUGAAGCAUCAGAAGAAGAAGAACAAGAAAUUGAGGUCAGACGUAGCAAAAGAGCUAGAAUAGAAAAGUCUUUUGGUCCAGACUUUCUGACGUAUUUGCUAGAAAGUGAACCUUAAAGCUUCAAAGAGGCUGUAACUUCAGCUGAAGGCACUUUAUGGAAAGAAGCCAUUAAUAAUGAAGUUGAAUCCAUUUUACAAAAUCAUACUUAGGAGCUAGUAGAUCUUCCUCCAGGAUGUAAACCUUUGGGGUAUAAGUGGAUUUUCAAAAGGAAAAUGAAAGCCAAUGGAUCAAUCGAUAAGUACAAGGCUAGGCUUGUAAUUAAAGGUUAUAGGCAACGAGAAGGCCUUGAUUACUUUGAUACUUAUUCUCCUGUUACGAGAAUAAAUUCCAUUCGGAUGAUAAUAGCAAUUGCAGCUUUGCGCAAUCUCGAGAUACAUCAAAUGGAUGUAAAGACGACUUUUCUAAAUGGAGAUUUAGAUGAAGAAAUCUACAUGGAGCAACCUGAAGGUUUUAUAGCUCCAGGACAAGAAAAGAAAGUUUAUAAAUUGGUAAAGUCAUUAUAUGGCUUGAAAUAAGCACCGAAACAGUGGCAUGAGAAAUUUGAUCAUACGAUGAUCACAAGUGGCUUUAAGAUCAACGAGUGUGACAAAUGUGUUUAUGUCAGAGAAACAGAAAAUGGCUAUGUCAUUUUAUGUUUAUAUGUUGAUGACAUGCUCAUUGUUGGGAGUGAUGAUGACAUGAUUAAAUCUACCAAGAAUAUGUUGAAGUCUAAGUUUGACAUGAAAGACAUGGGUCUUGCAGAUGUCAUUUUGGGAAUUAAAAUCUCAAGGGCUUCUAAUGGACUUAUUCUAAGUCAAACUCAUUAUGUAGAUAAAAUUCUUGGAAAAUUUAAUAAAGAUGAUAAUACUAUGUCUAAAACUCCAUUAGAUACUAGUAUCCAUCUAUCGAAAAAUAGAGGAGAGUGUAUUUCUCAAGUAGAAUAUGCCAGAAUAAUAGGCAGUCUAAUGUACUUAACAAGUUGUACCAGACCAGAUCUAACCUAUACAGUAAGCAAACUUAGUAGAUAUACGAGUAAUCCAGGAACUGAUCACUGGAAAGCUAUCGUAAGAGUACUUAGGUAUCUUCGAUACACUCGUAAUUAUGGACUGCACUAUACUAGGUAUCCAGAAGUAUUAAAAGGAUUUAGUGAUGCUAACUGGAUAUCAGAUGUAAAAGAUUCAAAAUCUAUUAGCGGCUAUGUAUUUACACUAGCAGGUGCAGCUGUAUCAUGGAGAUCUUCUAAACAAACAGUAAUUGCCAGAUCUACAAUGGAAUCUGAAUUCAUUGCAUUAGAUAAAUGUGGUGAAGAAGCAUAAUAGCUACGCAAUUUUUUAGAAGGUAUUACAAAGUGGCCAAAGCCUGUGCCUACAAUUUGUAUACAUUGCGAUAGUCAAUCAGCUAUCGAUAGGGCACAAAGCAAUAUGUAUAAUGGUAAGUCUAGACACAUACGUCGUAGACAUAAUACCAUUAGACAACUUAUUUCUACUGGAGUUAUUUCUAUUGACUAUGUGAGGUCAAAAGAUAACAUUGCGGAUCCGCUAACCAAAGGGUUAAAUAGAGAGCGAGUAGAAAAAUCAUCGAGGGGAAUGAGAUUAAAACCCAUAGAAUGAUUAGUCAAUAACGAAGGAAAACCCAACCUAGUUGACUGGAGAUCCCAAGAUUUAGGUUCAAUAGGACAACCUAUUUGUUAAAGACUAAAGUUGGAUCACUGUGGGGGUCAUUCUCUUGAGAGGAUUACCUCAUUGACCAUUCCUAUGAUGAAACAAUGAUGCCCGCGGGGAAUAAGGUUGAGCUAGGCUCUUAAUGAUUCUUAUGCGUCGAAAAAUUCGAGCAGAGUAAUGCGAGUUACUCUUAAUCAAGAUAUCACCUAUGUGAGAGAGAAGUGGGGCCGCUUCAAAGGGAGCUAUUAUGGGUUCAGCUCUUAGAAACUCUUGUAGAACCAGGUAGAUGUUCAAGGCCAAAACGAAUAUAGCCAUGAGAACUCAACAGUGUUAGGAGAAAUACCUAUGUGUAGUAUAUGAUCGUUUACACUAACGGCCGCACAGUUCAAAGACAUUCCUGAUGAUAUAUCCCUUAGGAUUUCAGGAAAAAAAAGAUUCUCCCAGCCGGCCUCCCAGGGGAUACGUUACUCUUUUUUUGGAAAGUUUUAAGUUUGGGAUGAGGUGCCCCCUACAACCCUAUUUUGCCCGAAUGCUUAGUGGGUUAAACUUAGCUCCUGGUCAACUUAACCCCAACGGGUGGAGGGUACUUUCUGGUCUGUUCAUAUUGUGGAACAGAUGCUGCCAGAGUGAGCCCACAGUUGAUGAGGUAAAGCACCUGUACCAGUUAAAGAGUAGCCCCAAAGACGCCGGCUGGUAUUACUUCAUGUUGAGUACCAAGACCAGGAAACCCAUAACUGAGCUUCCAACUGGUGGUGGUGGGAAUUGGAAGAAAAAAUCUUUUUUUGCUGGGGGUCCCUGGGGUCAAGUUGCACAGAUUAAUGGGAAGAACUAUCGUGUCCCAUCCUAUUUCAUGGUCCCAGGUUGCCUGCUCGCUUUAGAUGUCUUGUAUCCCUAGUUGUUCUCAGUUUUUAUUUAACUCUAACCCAAUUUUUGUUCGAACUGCAGGUUCUUGGGGUGUCCACUACAAGCUUAAACUUGAACCGCUCAAGCGGGCCGAGGUUGUGUUAGUCAAUUCCUGCUUGAGCCAAGAGUUGCUAUCUACUUACAACUUAUUCGAAUCUCGCCUGGUGUCCACUGAUCUUAAGAUGGAGGAUGUUGUGAUCGGGGCUUUGAAUCAGAAACGUCCUCGACCUCAUGCUGCUAAGCGAGACUAGAAUAAGGAUGCUCCCUCUGCGAAACGGGUGAACAUCGCGGAGCAGUUCCCCCCCUUGAGGACUCUACCACCUCCUCCUACCAAAGUCGGCGAAAUUAGUGGAACAGCCACUGAUCCCACCUCUCCUCCUUCAUCAACAGGUUCGAAACCUCAUUUGCCCGACAAUCGAGCAGAGCAUCUGGUCCUCUAUAUUAGUGAGUUUUCUAGGCUCGUGAGCAAAAAGGACUUGGAAGACUUUGACGGCAGCACUUUGGGCGAGCUAGUGGGGGCUAUGCAGUAUAGUGCUUUUCAUCUCGGCUGCAUGGCCACUUCCUAUACGGCAAAGGUCGGCCGCUAUGACUGAAAGAUGAGAGAAGACGUUCAGUUGGCCAAAAACAAAGCCGACGCUGCCGAGAAGAAAGCCGGAGAUCUCAACCUUAAGAAUACGAAGUUGAUAGAGCGGGAGUCUCUCACGCAGGCAAAGGCCAUCACUCUUAACGAGGAGCUUAAUAAGGUCAAGGAGGACCUGCAGAAGCAAAAGGCUACUUACGAGGCUCAGCUCGAAUCUCUCAAAGAUUCCCACCAGGUUCAGGUUGAAAACCUAGAGAAGGAAGCUGACAACCAGUAUAACCAGGGGCUUCGGCAUUCUUAUUGCUGCAUCAUGGCCGUCUUAGGGAAACAACAUCCUGAUCUGAAGAUUGACGAACUUGCCGCUGGUGUUGCUCAACAUAUGGAUCAGGAGGCAGCCAAAGAAGAUGUCGAAAAGUUGGGGCUAAAUGCAACUGAGGAGGGAACCUCUCCUCCUUGUGCAGUCCCUGCUGAUGUUGCCGAGGCAAGUACCCCCCAGGUGCAACUGGCGAGACCCCCCUGCUCCUGAGGUGGACUAGCCAGCGGAGAUGGCUUAGCUUACUGACUCGCCGUCCUCUUGAAUGUACCCUGUGUUGUAGGUUUCUUUUUUGGAACAUUGUAUGUUAAAACUAGCAGCUUUUCAUAAUCGUUGGCAGAUUAAUAAGAAUGUUCUUAUUUGCUUUCUUCGCUUCGAGCUCUUGGCAGAUUAUUUUAUUUUUUAUUUACUUACAUUGUGGUUGAGCAGGUGCCAAAAAGAUCGGCUUCCUGUACUGCCAUUGAGCAGGCCUGGAAAUUCAUGGAGUUGUUCGCCUUACAUUUGAUGGUUUGCUCGCCUUUGCUUGGUCGAGCAGAUCCCGGCAUGCUUGGCUUCUAGUCUCGCCAUAAAUUAGGCUUUGAGACUUAGUGAGCCUUUGCAUGCCUUAGAAAUUUUUAUAACAUUUGAGGGUAUGCUCGCCUUCGCUCGGUCGAGCAAAUCCUGGCAUGCUUGGCUUCUGGUCUCACCAUAAAACAAACUUUGAGACUUAGUGAGUCUUUUCAUGCCUUAGAAAUUUUCAUAACAUUUGAGGGUCUGCUCGCCUUCGCUCGGUCGAGCAGAUCCUGGCAUGCUUGGCUUCUGGUCUCGCUAUAAAACAGGCUUUGAGACUUGGUGAGCCUUUGCAUGCCUUAGAAAUUUUUAUAACAUUUUAGGGUCUGCUUGCCUUCGCUCGGUCGAGCAAAUCCUGGCAUGCUUGGCUUCUGGUCUUGCCAUAAAAUAAGCUUUGAGACUUAGUGAGCCUUUGCGUGCCUUAGAAAUUUUUAUAACAUUUGAGGGUCUGCUCGCCUUCGCUCGGUCGAGCAGAUCCUAGCAUGCUUGGCUUCUGGUCUCGCCAUAAAAUAGGCUUUGAGACUUGGUGAGCCUUUGCAUACUUUAGAAAUUUUCAUAACAUUUGAGGGUAUGCUCGCCUUCGCUCGGUCGAGUAGAUCCUGGCAUGCUUGGCUUUUGGUAUCGCCAUAAAAUAGGCUUUGAGACUUGGUGAGCCUUUACAUGCCUUAGAAAUUUUUAUAUAUGACGACUGACUGAAAUUCCUCCACCUUUCAUUAAUUAUUGAACUUGGCUUACAAGAAAUAUAUAAACAUAAAGUGAAUAACAAUAACAACGAGUAGAAAUAACUCUUAAACAUGAUUGAGUCUUACUGGAAAUAUUUUCUGAGGUGCGCUGCGUUCCAGGGGCGUUUCACCUCGUGGCCAUCUGCGCGAACGAGCUUAUAGGCCCCGGGUCCAGCGACCUGCUUGACCCUAUAUGGCUCCUCCCAGUUUGGACCGAAUACUCCUUGUGUCAGGUCUUUCGUGUUCUGAUUCACCCUCCUAAGUACUCAAUCACCGACCUUGAACAAUCGUAUACGCACCUUCUGGUUGUAAUAACGAGCAACCCUCUGCUGGUAGACAGCUGAUCGCUUCGAUGCUUGCUCCCUCUUCUCAGUCAGCAAAUCCAGAUUUAAGCACAUCUGGUCGUUGUUUUCCUGUUCAUCGAAGUGAUCUGUCCGGUGCGUGGCCGGCCCUAUCUCCACGGGAAUAACAGCUUCAUGUCUGAAGGCCAAAGCGAACAGAGUUUCACCGGUUGUUGUUUUGUGGGUUGUCCUGUAUGCCUAUAAUACACCUGGUAGCUCAUCAACCCAUGCUCCAUUCUUUGCUCCUAGCCUAGUUUUCAAAAGCCUCUUGAUAACCUUGUUGGCUGCUUCUACUUGUCCGUUAGACUGAGGGUGAGCAGGUGAGCAAAACUUCAGCUCUAUCCUUAGAUUCUGGCAGAAGUCUCUGAAGUUAUGAUUAUCAAACUGCCUGCCAUUGUCUGCUAUCAGGGCAUAUGGGAUCCCAUAUCUACAGACCAAGUUUCUCUAUACGAAGUCAAUCGUCUUUUUCUCUGUGAUCCCGCUGAGGGCUUCUAUCUCAACCCACUUCGUGAAGUAAUCAAUCGCUACUAUUACAUACGUUGUUGCCCCCCGUCCUUUGGGCAACGGUCCAAUCAGAUCAAUUCCCCAUUAAGCAAAUGGCCAUGGCGAGGCCAUAUAAGUGAGCUUCUCUGGUGGUUGGGUAGAGAAAUUUGCAAAACUCUGGCAACUCAUGCAACUCCUGGUUUUCUCCUAUGCAUCUUGGUGCAUCGUCGGCCAGAAAUAUCCCUGCCUCAGAGCCUUGUGGACAAGGGACCUCGCACCAUAAUGGUUUCUGCAAACUCCCUCAUGUACUUCUCUCAGUACGUAAUCUGCAUCGUCCUCAUCCAAACAUUGGAGGACCGGUAGAGUGUAUCCCCGCCGAUAUAACACCCCAUCAAUCAUGGUGUAUCUCGACGCUUGAGCUUUGAUCUUGCGAGCUCAUAACUUAUCUGGUGGUAAUACCUCAUCCCUGAUGUACGAGGCUAUCGGGUCCAUCCAUAAGCACUUCUGUUCUACCCUCAGUACCUCCAGAUUCUACUCAAUGUUGGGUCUAGUCUUCACCUCCAAAGGGAUUGACUUGGGUAGUUUCGGAUCUACUACAGCAGCCAUUAUAGCUAAAAUGUCUGCUCGAUAAUUCUCCUCUCUUGGGAUUUGUAUCACUUCUACUGACUCAAACUUCCCCAUCAUUUGUCUUACCUUCAUUAAGUAUUGUUCCAUCUUCCCAUCUCUCUGUUGAAAUCUCUCACUGACGUGGUUGGCAACCAGUUGGGAAUCAGUUCGGACUCUCACUUUAUUUGUUUUCACUGCCUUAGCCAGUUCUAACCCCGCUAUUAAAGCUUCGUAUUGGGCCUGGUUAUUUAUGGCCGUGAACUCUAAUUUUACAGUGUAAGAGAUCUUCUCCCCUUCUGGGCCUUCCAACACAAUCCCUGCUCCGGACCCCUGCUUCCCUAAAGAUCCAUCCACCGACAUAUGCCAUACUCGAUCCUCGUCGUUGACUACAGCCAUAUCCAGCUCGUCCAAACUUACUUCGGGCUCUGUAAAUUCUGCCACGAAGUCUGCCAUUGCUUGGGCCUUUAUUGCUGCUCAGGGUUUGUAGCUUAUAUCGAACUCACUCAGCUCUAUAGCCCAUUUCACUAGCCAACCAGAAGAAUUCGGUUUGUGCAAAGUUUGCCGCAACGGUUGGUUUGUUAUUACCAAGACAGGAAAUGCCUGAAAGUAUGGCCUCAGCUUUCGAGCAGCAACCACCAGAGCAAGUGCCCAUUUCUCCAACGAUGGGUAUCUAGUCUCGGCAUUGAGCAGGGCUUUGCUUGUGUAGUAGAUCGGAUACUGAACCCCUUCUUCAUCUCUUACUAGAACCGAGCUCGUAGCAUGAUCUGAUACUGCCAUAUACAAGAACAACACGUCCCCCUCUCGUGGCGUGGACAGCAAAGGUGCUCGCUGCAGAUAUUGUUUCAAACUCUAGAAGGCUUCUUCGCAUUCGGGGGUCCAUUCCGUUUUCUUUCCUCUCCUUAUUACUUGGAAAAAGGUCUGGCACUUAUCUGUCGCCUUGGAUAUGAAUCGGCUCAGUGCUACUAACUUCCCAGCAAGGCUCUGUAUCUCCUUCAGGCUACUAGGGGACCUCAUACGCACGAUUGCCUGAAUUUUCUCAAGAUUCGCCUCGAUUCCCCAAGGAAUUUUCCCGCUUCGACCCCAAAAGCACACUUCUCCGAGUUUAGCUUCAUCUUAUACUUCCUCAGAAGCCCAAAUGUCGCUUCGAGGUGCUCGACAUAUUUGCUCAGGUUUUUCGAUUUGGUUAUCAUGUCGUCUACGUACACCUCCAUUGUUCUUCCAAUCAGGGGCUUGAAGAUUUUGUUCACCAACAUCUGGUAUGUAGCACCCGCAUUUUUUAGGCGUGUAGAUGGUGUAUUUAAAGAAAAAAUGUACUAAAAAAUCUAAGACAUGUAUUGAUGUGCAUGUGAGUUGUUAAUAGACAACUGUUAUAGUUAAUUACAAACGUAAAUGUCGGUAGUAAAGAGAUUUUCUUGUCAAAAUCUCCAAAAAAUACGCAGAAAUUUCGGGGAAAAAUUUUAGUUCUCCCUUUUCAGAUUCAGACGUAUGGUUUGGGGCAAGAAAAGUUUUUUUCUCUUCAAAUGUAAAUAGGAAAAGUUUGAUUUUUUGUCAUCCACACCCAAGAAGGCUGAAGGAAAGGAAGUAAUUGUGAGUAUGAGUCUAUUGGAAUAUAUGCUGUGAGAUUAAUAGUAUUUUUCAACUUUUUUUAUUCCAUAUGUAUGUAAAGUAUCAAAAGAUGAAAAUAAAAUUUGCAAUUUGUAUUAUUUACUUAGUUUUUCGUCAAUUCCUUGUUUGCUGUCAUCAAUUAUUUGAGGAAGUAUUUAAUAAAGCAUCUUUAUACAGUGGAAAAUGCUUGUCUCCACACAGCUUUUGUCACUUUGACCUUUUUAUUUUUUAUUUUUUAAACAUUAAAAAAUUAUCGCGAAGCUUGACAGAGGAAAGAGGCGAAACGACAGCAACAGAUGUCGUUUCUCUCAGGCUUCGUUAUACUGUAUAACCUCCACAGUCACGUUAAAUAAUUUUCGCAUCCCAAAUUCUCUCAUCCACUGAACUGUUAUGGCUUCUUCUUCUUCUUGUCCACCUCGAAACGCUAAGAAGCUGCAUGAUGUUUUCCUGAGUUUCAGAGGAGAGGACACCCGUGACAACUUUACUAGCCAUCUUCACUAUGUUUUGUCUCUGAAAGGUAUCAAAACUUUCGUUGAUGACCAACUUAUCAGAGGAGAUAACAUUUCACGGUCUCUUCUUGAUACAAUUGAAGCAUCAAGCAUCUCAAUUAUUAUUUUCUCAGAAAGGUAUGCUUCUUCUAGAUGGUGUCUCGAUGAACUUUUGAAGAUCCUCGAAUGCAAGCACGAUUAUGGACAGAUUGUGAUUCCAGUUUUCUAUCGGGUCGAUCCAUCACAUGUGAGAUGGAAAACUGGGACUUUUGGAGAUUAUUUUUCGGAGCUUGGAGAACGAUAUCCAGAGAAGAUGCAAAGAUGGGGGAAUGCUUUGACCGAGGCAGCCAAUCUUUCUGGCUUUGAUUCUCAUGUAAUUAGGUAACAGCGAUCUUCUAUCUAAUUCUUACUAUUAAUUAAUCUAGUAUAUGUAAUAAAUGACAUUAUAAGAAUGAGUUUAACUUAUCAAUAGUUUAUUAGUUAAAUAAUUUUUACGAAGAUUAUGUUAUUGUCUUGCAUGUUUAAUUAAUUUUCCAAUUAUUUUAUUUUAUGAAAUUGAUCUUCACAUUCCAUUAAUUAGCUAUUUUCUAUUGAAACUAAUUAAAAACACACGAUUCUCUGUUUCCUUUACAUAUAUUUGAACUAAUUGCUGUUAUUUUUUUAACUAGGCCUGAAUCUAAACUUAUUGAGGCAAUUGCCAAUGGCGUUUUGAAGAGGCUAGAUGCGACUUUUCAAAGUGAAAACAAAGGCUUGGUCGGAGUUGCAUGGCGCAUUAAAGAAAUUGAAUCAUUAUUGUGCAUUCGGUCUGCCGGGGUUUACGUAUUAGGGAUUUGGGGCAUCGGUGGUAUAGGCAAGACAACAAUCGCUGGUGCUGUUUUUAACAAAAUCUCUAGAUGUUUUGAAGGUUCUUACUUUGCGCUUGAUGUUAGAGAAGCAGAAGAAACUGGCAGAAUAAAGGACUUACAAAAGGAACUUCUGUCCAAGUUAUUGAAUGAUGGAAAUGCGAGGAACGUCGAGUCUCAACUCAACAGACUUGCUCGCAAGAAGGUUCUAUUAGUGUUUGACGAUGUGAAUCAUCCAGGACAAAUAGAAUCAUUAAUUGGAUGCCUUGAUGAGUUAGCUUCAGGGAGUCGAGUGAUAAUAACAACAAGGGAUAAACAAGUUCUUGAAAAUUGUUGGGUCAAUCAAAUAUAUCGGAUGAAGGAAUUAGUGGAUGUUGAUGCUCAUAAGCUUUUCUGUCAGUGUGCUUUUAGGGGAGGCCAUCUCGACGCAAGUUACACAGAGGUCACGCGCAAGGCAAUAAAAUAUGCGCAUGGAGUUCCUUUAGCUCUUCAAGUUUUGGGUCGCCAUCUAUGCGGAAGGAGCAAAGAGGUAUGGGAAAGUGCAAUGAGAAAACUGGAAAUAAUUCCUCACGUGGAUAUUUUGAAGGUGUUAAAAAUCAGUUAUGAUAGCUUGGAUGACUCUCAAAAGAAUGUUUUUCUAGAUAUUGCAUGUUUAUUGGAAGGAGAGCAUAGAGAUGAGGUGACAAGCUUUUUUGAUGCUAGUGGCUUCCAAGCUAAAAUAGAAUUAAGUGUUCUUGAAGAUAAGUCUCUCAUAACUUGCUUGAAUAACCAGAUAAGAAUGCAUGACUUGCUACGAGAUAUGGGAAGAGAAAUUGUUCGAAAUGAAUCUAUCGAUCUUCCAGGAAAGCGUAGUAGGUUGUGGUAUCACAAGGAUAUUGAUGAAGUUUUGAAGAAAAAUACGGUGAGAAAUAAUAAGUUUUUAAUUGUAUCUUAUUUGUGUUACAAUUAUUUUAGCAAUUUGUCUGAAUAUGUCUUUUUGAAUCAAAAUAGCAUUAAUACAGCUUAAAAUUAAUUGAAAAAUAAUAUUAAAAAAUUGGUCAAAUAAAAUAGAUAGACUGAUGUUUCCCCAACUCAGUUUGAAACAUGCUCCUAAAAUCCCCAGCAAACUAGUGCCUUCGGAGAGAGACCCCAAAAAAAAGAAAAAAAAACACCUCAAUGUUAUUGCAUUUCCUUUUCAACUCAAGCUCUGCCCCUAUCCUUAUUUUUCACUAAAAAAGAAUUGAUUGAAUUAAUUUUACAGUUUAGAUAUUAAGGAUUUUCUUGAAUUUUCUAUUCUACACUUCCUAAAAGCCUUACCCAAAUAGUUUAUUAUAAAGUGAUUGUAAUAUCUCUAUUUGGGUUUGACGGCUUAAAAAUAAUUGUUCAUUUGUUUGCUUCAAUUAUAUGCCAACUUAUGAUCUCCUAUUUGAUUGUUAGGGAACUGAAGCAAUCAAGGGUAUCUCCUUGGAUAUGAAUAAAGUCAAUAGAAAGAUACACAUGGAUUCCUUUGCUUUUUCAAAGAUGCCUAAAUUGAGAUUCUUGAAAUUCUAUGGAUUUGAGAACAAAUGUAUGGUGUCUCAUUUGGACGGUGUGCUGUUUGCUGAACUAAGGCACUUAGAGUGGCAGCAAUAUCCAUUGAAAACGUUGAAUAUACAUGCGGAGAAUCUUGUUUCACUUAAAAUGCCUUUCAGCAAAGUUGAACAACUUUGGGAUGAUGUUCAGGUAUAUAUAUAUUUGAAAUUCUUUCAGAAAUAAAUUCUAAAUACAAUUGAUUCUAUAAUUAAUAUAUGUGAUGGUAUCUGUUUAUUUAUAAAGAUGAUGAUGAUGAUAAUAAUAAUAAUAAAAAAAAAAAUUUUGGGGGUGCAGGAUCUUGUUAACUUAAAAGAAAUAGACCUCUGUGGAUCCAAGUCGUUAACGAAACUCCCAGACUUGUCACAGGCCAAAACUCUUGAGACUCUAUCGUUAGAAGGCUGUUUAAGUUUGAUGGAGACUCACUCAUCUAUUCAAUAUCUAAAUAAACUUAAAGUUCUUGAUCUAGGAAAGUGCAAAAGCCUGACGAGUCUUCCAACUAGCAUUCAUUCGAAAGAUCUCAAGACACUUAUUCUUUGGGGAUGCUCAAAUUUGAAGAACUUCCCAAAGAUCACAUCCUGCCAUAUAUCUCUUUUACAGUUAGGAGAAGUUGGAAUCAAAGAACUGCCCUCAUCCAUCGAGUGCCUAUCCAAUCUGGGAGAACUUCUUAUUACGGACUGUUCAGAGCUUGAGAGCAUCUCGAGUAGCGUAUUUAAGUUGAAGUCUCUUAACUAUAUUGAAAUCUCUAAUUGUUCAAAUUUGAAGAGGUUUCUAGAGAUCCCAUCUUGUAAUACAGAUGGAAGUACUGGAAUUGAGCGACUAGGCUCAUGUAAGUUGGUAUUGAAAGAAUGUUCAAAUAUUGAGAGUCUCCCAAGCAGCCUGUGUAUGUUCAAAUCUCUGACAUCUCUUGAAAUUGUUGAUUGCCAAAAUUUCAAGAGAUUGCCUGAUGAACUUGGAAAUUUAGAAGCAUUGAAGACGUUGACCGUUGAUGGAACAGCUAUAAGAGAAGUACCAAAAAGCCUUGGUCAGUUACCUUUAUUAUAUUCCUUACAAUUGAAGAAGUGUUCAGAGCUUGAGUACAUCUCGAGUAACAUAUUUAAGUUGAAGUCUGAUAUGUUGAUUGAAAUCUCUAAUUGUUCAAAUUUGAAGAGGUUUCUGGAGAUCCCAUCUUGUAAUACAGAUGGAAGUACUGGAAUUGAGCGACUAGGCUCAUGUGAGUUGGUAUUGAAAGAAUGUUCAAAUAUUGAGUGUCUUCCAAGUAGCAUGUGUAUGUUCAAAUCUCUGACAUCUCUUGAAAUUGUUGAUUGCCAAAAUUUCAAGAGAUUGCCUGAUGAACUUGGAAAUUUCGAAGCCUUGAGCACGUUGACCAUUGAUGGAACAGUUAUAAGAGAAGUACCAGAAAGCCUUGGUCGGUUACCUUUAUUAUAUUCCUUGCAAUUGAAGAAGUGUUCAGAGCUUGAGUACAUCUCGAGUAGCAUAUUUAAGUUGAAGUCUGAUAUUGAAAUCUCUAAUUGUUCAAAUUUGAAGAGGUUUCUGGAGAUCCCAUCUUGUAAUACAGAUGGAAGUACUGGAAUUGAGUGGCUAGGCUCAUAUGAGUUGGUAUUGAAAGAAUGUUCAAAUAUUGAGAGUCUCCCAAGCAGCUUGUGUAUGUUCAAAUCUCUAACAUCUCUUGAAAUUGUUGAUUGCCAAAAUUUCAAGAGAUUGCCAGAUGAACUUGGAAAUUUAGAAGCCUUGAGAAUGUUGACCGUUGAUGGAACAACUAUAAGAGAAGUACCAGAAAGCCUUGGUCAGUUACCUUUAUUAUAUUCCUUGCAAUUGAAGAACUGUUCAGAGCUUGAGUACAUCUCGAGUAGCAUAUUUAAGAUGAAGUCUCUUGAAUCUAUUGAAAUCUCUAAUUGUUCAAAUUUGAAGAGCUUUCUGGAGAACCCAUCUUGUAAUACAGAUGGAGGUACUAGAAUUGAGAAACUAGCAUCUUCUAGGUUGAAAUUGGAGGGAUGUUCAAGUCUUGAGAGUCUCCCAAGCAGCCUGUGUAUGUUCAAAAAUCUGACAUCUCUUGAAAUCAUUGAUUGCCAAAAUUUCAAGAGACUACCUAAUGAGCUUGGAAAUUCAAAGUGCUUGACGGUGCUGAUAGUUAAAGGAACAGCUAUAAGAGAAGUACCAGAAAGCCUUGGUCAGUUAUCCUCACUAGAAAGUUUGGUACUAUCUAAUAACAAUUUGGAGAGAUUACCAUAAAGCCUCAAUCAGUUAUCCUCACUAGAAUAUUUGCAACUAUUCAAAAACAGUUUGGAGGGAAUACCAGAAUACCUGAGGAGUCUUCCAAGUAAGUUGACAUCGCACAAUUUAUCUGUUGACUUGAGAAAUUGUUUGAAAUUGGACCCGAAUGAGCUCAGUGAAAUCGUCAAAGAUCAGUGGAUGAAGCAGGUGUGUCUCUUAACUCACUCCUUUCAUUCUAUUUUCUUUUUCUUUUUACUUUAAUUCAAGUUAUCAUUAUUUUUCAAAAAUUAAUAAUUUUUUAUUUUUGUGUUGCAGUCGUUUGAUGUUAACUUUGGGACUACUAAAAGUAUGUAUUUCCCUGGGAAUGAAAUUCCAAAGUGGUUUAGGUAUCAAAGUAUGGGAUCUUCUGUAACCUUCAAGACGCCACCAACAGAUUUCUUCAACAAUAAAAUAUUAGUAGGCUUUGCUUUUUGUGCUGUUGUGGCAUUUCCAGCCUCAGAGUGCUUUGAGGCUGUGAAGUGUGUAGUUUCCUGUGAUUGGAAAAGCAAACCCAAAUACUGCCCAACGGUCGGUCUUUUGGGAGAAUUAUUUAUGUUGAGUUAGAUCACGUGUUUUUGGGAUAUUAUUUAUUCGGUUGGCGGGAUUUAAGUACGAGACAUGAUUAGGGAUGGUAAUGGACACCGCCCGCAGCGGGUUUGCUAUUACCAAACCCAAACCCGCACAAAAUUUAAAUUAUCAAACCCACCCGCAACCCACAGUGGGUUUUAAUUUUCUUACAAAAAUUCACCCGCAGCGGGUUUUAACAAUUACCAAACCCGCAAUGGUAUCCGGCGGAUUUUUUGCGGGUUUCCGUAUUUAAAAUCACAAAUGUUUAAUAUAUAAAUUUAUAAUAAUAACCUCAAAUUCCAUAUAACAUACUCAAUUUUAUAUUUAAAUAAUGUAAAUGAAAAAUUAAAAUUUCCACAUCAAUUCAACACAAAUUCUCAAAUUUAAGUAUAAAUUACACAAAUCCAUUUAAAAAACACAAACUAGCAUCUAAAAAUAAUAAUUACAUUUCAUAUUAUCAUUUAAAACAAGCUCUAAGAGAAUAUAUUCAUUUCAUUCACCACCAUAAGCACCCAUCCAACACAAUGCCUAUAAUAAUAAUUAAGAUUAAUAUUUUCAAAUACUAAUUCGAAGGAAAAUGCCUUUUAAUUUUCUUUAGAUUAUGACUUUAGAAUAAGAUAUAGGCCACAUAUACACAUACACAACUUUGAGCCUUUGGUUAUUUGAUAAUUUAAUUAAUGACAUUAUUUUCUUUAUACAUUUUUAGAUUAAAAUUAAAUUAAAAAUAUUUGAAAAAAAUAUUACGGGUUUGGUGGAUAUCCAUGCGGGUAUCCACCGGAUAUAAGGUUAAUACCAAACCCACCCGCAUCCAUGUGCGGGUGUUAAUUUAUAAUACUAAACCCGCCCGCAACGGGCGGGUUUUGGCGGGUGGGUUUGGGCGGGUUUGUGGGUUUGCGGGUACAACGGGCGGGUUUUGGCGGGUGGGUUUGGGCGGGUUUGUGGGUUUGCGGGUACAAUUGCCAUCCCUAGACAUGAUGAAGGCUAUUUUGAUGAGGUCUCUUUCUACAUUUUUCCUACUUACGCUGGUGGGGGAGUGAAACAAUGUGGUAUUCAUUUUGUGUACGCUCCAGUUUCUAUGGAAUCAAGAGAAAAGGAAGAGGAACCACACACCAAAAGACUGAAAUGUUCAACUCGAAAGCAGCUGGUACUCCUUGGCAAGAAAAUCAAUCUGUAGACCUUGUUUUUGUCUUCAUUUUUUAUAUGCGUUUUUUCAAUAUGCUCGUUUAUGUAAUAUUUAUUAAUUGUUUGUUGUUGGAUGGAUGAAUCAAUAAAUUCAAAAAAAUGGUAAUUAACCGAGGAUGUAGAUCUAUGAGUUCUCUUUGUUUUAUCUUUAAUUUCUGUUCGGUUCAUGUCUGGAAUAUCCCAAAAAUUACAUAUCCAUUUACUAACUAAAAAUGCGCUGAUUAGAUUAAGAUUAUUUUAGUUAUUCUUACUUUUUCAGUUUUCAAACUUUAUAAGAAUAAAAUCGUUAUAUUAAGUUUUGAGAUUUGAAUUUAAAAGAAAAUACAAAUUUGCUCUCGAGAAUUAAAUUUACAGUAUUUUAAAUUAAUUACUAAUUAGGUAUGAUAAGGUGUAUGAUGUUGUGAAAAUUAUUAUUACUAUGUGUUUGGGGGAAAAAUAAGAAAGAUAGUAUAACGCCACGUGUCGACGAAUGGAAUAACUUCAGUGCAAUCUGAGGUACCCGACAUGAUUAGAGGUACCCCGCAAGAUUAGAGGUACCUGCAAUGAUUUGAGGUACCCGAUAUGAUUAGAGGUAUCCGGCACGGUCAGAGGUACCCUGCAUAACUCCAGAAUAACUCGAGGUACCCCGCAUAACUCCAGAAUAACUCGAGGUACCCCGCAUAGACUGGGGUACCCCGUAUAAUUUGAGGUACCCGAAAUAACUCCAGCAUAAUUCAAGGUACCCAGAAUAACUCCAACAUAUUUCAAGGUAUUCGGAAUAACUCGAGGUACGCAGCAUGAUUAAAGGUACCCGGCCUGAUUAGAGGUAUCCCGCAUGAUUAGAGGUACCCGGCUUGAUUAGAGGUACCCCGCAUGAUUAGAGGUACCCGGUGUGAUUAAAGGUACCCCACAUGAUCAGAGGUACCCGACGUCAUUAGAGGUACCCGGCGUAAUUAGAGGUACCCAACCUGAUUAGAGGUACCCCGCAUUAUUAGAGGUACCCGGCUUGAUUAGAGGUACCCAGCACAAUCUGAGGUACCCUACAUAACCUGAGGUACCUGGCAUGAUUUAAGGUACCCCAGACAAAUAGAGAUACCCAACAUAAUACGAGAUACCCUGCACAAUCUGAGGUACCCCGCACAAAUAGAAGUACCCCACACAAAUAGAGGUACCCCACAUAAAUUGAGGUACCCCACGUAACUCGAGGUACCCGGCAGAUCAGAUGCAAGAGAAUCCUCCGAAAAUAUCCGCCGAGAGAAACGUCUCCAUCUCUUAAAAGAUAUUAUUCGAUUUUGUCAAAAUUAGGAAUCAAGAACGUCGUACAAAAAGGGGGGGACAGCCGCAUGCUACCUCUGCCAAAAGUAAAGGAUAUGUCCCAAGGACGGUGGUCCUCAGCCGCCUACCCGACAGCUACUGCAGAGGUACCCUGGACCACUUUCCAGCGCGCGCCACGUUUCCAAAGGAUGAGAUACGCCACGAACAUGCACAUAACGGCCCAAAAAUCAUAAAAAGGCAAAAGGACGUUAGCCAAAAAGGGUACGCCACGUGGCAGCUGAGGUACUCCAUAUAUAAAGGUGACUAGAUUUUAUUCUCCAGGAGGUUCUCACUUACCAUUAAUACUCACACUCCAAAAAAUAGGUUUUCUUCAACCUUAAACCCUAAUUUACAGAGGGCUAGCCAGCUCUCUUUGCCAUAAAACCUUGAGUUUGCUAACUUGAGCAUCGGAGUGUGAACGCCGGGGUACCCCGGCUUCACCUCUAACCUCUAUUUCAUUGUUUUGCAGGCGUGGAGCCCAUUUUGAAGGACAUCUCUCUUGGUUUUGACCUUUCACCAUUGUUACCACUUCCUCUCCCUUUCUCACCUCCCCCAAAUUUCAGAUACACCGCAUUGCACACAACAAACCAGUGAGGUACUCCAUCUCCCCCAAAAAUACAAAUUCAUUGUUUAAGAUAGAUUUUGGUUUUUCCUACCCCAAAAUCAGUUGAAAACAAUUGGCGCCGUCUGUGGAGAAUCGCACAAAAAGUUUCCACCGCGGUUACCAAACUAGUUGUUGUGUGUACUCCAAUACAUGGCACCCGACGCACCUCCCGAAGGUUUAAUGGCGGAUCCUACAAGGAUGGGAGAUGACAUCAGUGGUGAAGAUAGUGAUACCGUAAGAAGGGUAGCUCAUCUCAACAAGGGCAAGGGUAUCAAGCAAUCAACGGGUAUCCGUCAAGAUGAUGAACCCAUCUCUCACAAGCGCUUUGAGAAUCUUGCCCAUGCAAUACUUAGGGCGGUUGGAUCUCGGGCACCCGAAAGUUCACUUCCACCAGUGACACUAGAUGCUCCACCACCUCAAACGGACAACCAAGCUAUGGUCAGAAGAGAAGUACCCGAGGCCAGCAAACCAAAGCAUAGGCCAUCGGGUACUCGUUCUAAGUUUCAAACCGUGGGCUCCCGCGACGAGCAUUCCACCACCUCUUGCAAUUCCCGCAGCAGCCCGGGUACGAGGCGUGCAAAGCAUACCCACGAAGAUCUCCGUGAGAAGUUAAACGCCAAAAUGGAUUCUCAAAUGGCGGCAACAUCAUCGGGUACACCUAGGGUACCCCUCGAACUUGUGGAAAAGGUGGAGAACCUGGAAGCCCAAGUGAAGCUCCUCUCCGAGAAGCAAAACACCACAACUGCUCCAACACCAAUGACCUACCAAUCGCCAUUCACUAUGGAGAUUCGGACGGCAGCUCUUCCCGAAGCGUUCACCAUGCCUCAAGUACCCUAAUACUCGAGUACCACUGAUCUAUACCGCGACCAAAUACCUAUCAAGGGUGUAUAUGAGAAUGCCAUGUGUAGGAUGUUUACACACACACUCACUGGCCUCGCGAAGUCAUGGUUUCGGUCCUUGAAGGCCGGUAGCCUAUCUUCUCUACACCAAUUGUUAUCCGAAUUUACUAAAGAGUUUUCCUAUGUUUCCACUCAAGAUAGGGUAGCCUCCAAACUUGCCUUUAUCAAGCAAGGAGAAGCCGAACUUUUGGCGGAGUAUGUGAGCUGUUUCCACCAAAGACGUGUUGCGAACCGGAGCAUUUGGAAACCAACACACACUAACCCAUUUCGAGAAAAAUUUACGGUUGGGCAAGUUAUGGCGUUCCUUUCAAAAGAAGCACCCACUUUCAUAUGGGGAAGCCCGUUCCCGGGCGUUGCAGCAAGUGGAGAUGGAUGAGAAAUGUCAUUUGAAGUGCCAAGAAGAUAAAGUCGAGGUCACAAAGAAUAAGGAAAAGCCGAAGAGGACGGAAGCCCCAUUACCAAGGGUACCCCGAAUGCGGAGCCCUCCACGGGUUGCCCCGCGGGGACGAGUGUUUAACACUCAGGGUAUCUCACGGGUACCCCAACCUCCAAGAUCGCCACCACCAGAGCAGCAACAGCCACCAUCGAGGCCUCGGUGGUAGGGUACCCCAUAACUAGUUACUCUAGAGUUAUGCGAGGGUACCCCACGGGGACCAGAUUAAGCCUAAAUGUGAAUUGGAGGCACCUUUGGAUCCUUGAAUACUUAAAGAUGAAAAACGGGGUACCCCGGUUGAAGACUCGAUUUCAGUCUCGAUUUGGGCCACUGAUCCAACAAAGAAAAGUCACACUACUAGUAAAAGUAUUGUUUAUUAUGAUGCAAGAGGGUAUCCAGAGAUCACCUUACUCUAGGGUACCCGAGGUACCUGACCUAUCCCCAAUCAUGAUAAUCUACUUAACAUCAAAGCCGCCUUUAUCAUUAUUUGUUCGCCAUAUUUAAUUCUGAGCGAAUGGUCGAUCAUGAGGUUUCAAUCAUUUCGCAUAAGGGUAGGCGAGCAGCCACCUUCAUUUUUAUUUAUUUUGUCUAUUUUAUUCUAUGCGAAUGGUGGAUCAUGAGAUUUUCGACCAUCUCGCAUAAGGGUAGGCUAGGGAUGGCAAAAAUCCCCACGGGGACGGGUACCUUCGGGGAUUUUCCCCAUUCGGGGAGGGUAUGGGGAUAAUUUCAUACCCAAUUUCUUAUUCGGGGAGGGGACGGGGAUGAGGUGGAAUCCCCAUCCCCUACCCAUUUCCCCAUUUUAAUUUUUUAAAAUUAUUAGUAACUAAAUUAUAAAAUUAUAAAUAUUGGUAAAAAUAAAAAAUAUCAAAAUAUUUAUAUUAUUAAACUUUUAGGCCUAAUUAACUAAUUAAAGUCCUAAAUUUUUAUUUAGGACAUUAAAAAGACCGAGUAGAUUCUAAUAGCCAAACAUUUUUUUUAAUUUUAAUAUUCUUUAAAUAUUUUAAACUUAAAUAUAUUUUUUAUUUAUUUUUAGAUGUUAUAAUUGUCCACAACGAAUCACAAUUUUAAUACUAAUCUAAUCUAAUAUUUGCUUUUGAUUUGCUCCGAUUUAACUAUUGUAUUGUAAAGGGAAUAGUCCACAUUUAUAAAGUGUCCACGCCACUAUUGAAAAAGUUAAUUUUGAAUCUAAAUUCGAUUUUAUUUGUAGCAAUUUUGUAUUAGACUAUUAAUUUAUUCAUGAUAGUUUGUAAAAGAAGUUUGUAUCUCUUGCAUGUUGCGUUACUUACUAAUUUAAUGUAUGUGACUUUUGUAAUAGAUAUUAAUGUAAGGUAUAUUUCGAACUUUACUUUUAUUUGAAUUUUUUAUUUUAAUAUGAUUAACUCGAAAUCGAAAAAAAAAUGUAUUAGUUAUUCGGGGAUCGGGGACCCUCGGGGAUCCCCUGUUAUUAUUCGGGGAGGGGAUGAAGAUUCUCUCAAGUAAUUCUGACGGGGACGGGGAGGGGAUGGGGACAUAUGCAAAAUAUCGGGGAUGGGUACGGGGAGAUCAGUCCUCUCCCCUCCCCUCCCCAUUGCCAUCCCUAGGGUAGGCGAGCAGCUACCUUCAUCUCAAUCUAUGUUGUCUAUUUGAUUCUAGCGAAUGGUAGAUCAUGAGGUUUUCGACCAUAUCGCAUAAGGUUAGGCGAGCAGCCACCUUUAUCUCAAUCUAUGUUGUCUAUUUGAUUCCACGCAAAUGGCGGAUCAUGAGAUUUUCGACCAUCUUGCAUAAUGGUAGGUGAGCAGCCCACCUUUAUUACUAUUUGUCUUACAUAUUUGAUGUAGAGUGAAUGGUGGAUCAUGAGAUUUUCCAUUAUCUCUCAAAAGGAAUUGCCACAAGUUUUGCGAAGAUUUGUGGCAAGUAUUUCUAUGAAAAUCGUCAUACACUAAUUAAGGGUACCUCCGAGAUACCCCACGCCAGAAAGUCACUCCUCAAAUAUACCAAGAGGAACCCUAAGAAAGAUUGAGAUAAGCAACAAGUAUAUCCGGAGGAAUCACCAUAUGUUUGAUGAAAUUGGGUUGUUCCACUAUGAAUUAACCGCAACAAGCAUGUCUAAAUAAACCGCGAUACACUGAUGAGACAAGAUUAAGGGUACCCAUAGUACUCAGGGUACCCUAUGACAGAAAAUCAUUCCUCGUGUACACCAAGAGGAACUCUAAGAAAGCUUGAGAUAAGUAGCAAGCAUAUUUAAAGGAAUCGCCAUAUGUUUGAUAAAAUUGGGUUAUCCCGCCAUGAAGUAACAGAUAGCUCAGGGGAUAUCCAAGCUUAAGGGUACCCGAGGUACCCCAUACGCCUUGUCGAUAAUGCCGAACAAUGUUACAUAGUAGGAUGGUUAUCUUCACCUUCAUCAUUUAGGAUAAGAGGAUCAACAAAAGUACUAGAAAUAACAGAAACACAAGCGUCGGUAUCAGGGGUACCUUAUGGCGACUUCAUCCGAGGUACCCCAGUUGAUCUCAAUGGGCUUUCAAACUAAGAUGUGUGGGGAGCCCUGCUAUUCUUAAUUGCCUUUAAGAUAGCCGGCUUAUCUACCUAGUUCUCUACCCUUGGCACCACUAGCCCCAUAUCAGCACUCAAUUCCUCGGUCAUGAUGCGCUCAAAAGCAUUGUCAACUAUGUUCUUAUGUCGAGGUACCAAGUCCUCAAGCUUAACUUAAAGCUCCUCAGGGUCUUCCACCUUAUGGGCCUUCUCCUCUGAAACUUCAUCAAAGUGUCCCCUCAAAGUCUUGUUCACCCCAAAGAUCUUCCUUUCAUGAGGGCACCCCUAAAGGCGUCCUCUAUUCAGCUGCCCAUCGAGCUAAACUUCAUAUCGCCACGUGUCGCUCCUACUUUUUAUGUAAGUUUCUUUUGCCUCUAAUACUUCUCGCCAAAAGAAACUAGGGGGAUAUUGUUUGGGGGAAAAAUAAAAAAGAUAGCAGAACGCCACGUGUCGAUGAAUGGAAUAACUUCAGUGCAAUCCGAGGUACCCGACAUGAUUAGAGCUACCCCGCAAGAUUAGAGGUACCUGCAAUGAUUUGAGGUACCCGGCACAGUCAGAGGUACCCCGCAUAACUCCAGAGUAACUCGAGGUACCCCGCAUAGAUUGGGGUACCCCGUAUAAUUUGAGGUACCCGGAAUAACUCCAGCAUAAUUCAAGGUACCCAGAAUAACUCCAACAUAAUUCAAGGUACUCGGAAUAAUUCGAGGUACCCAGCAUGAUUAGAGGUACCUGGCCUGAUUAGAGGUACCCCACAUGAUUAGAGGUACCCGGCGUGAUUAGAGGUACCCCGUAUGAUUAGAGGUACCCGACCUGAUUAAAGGUACCCUUUAUGAUUAGAGGUACCUAGCACAAUCUGAGGUACCUGGCAUGAUUUAAGGUACUUCGGACAAAUAGAGGUAUUCGACAUGAUACGAGAUACCCUACACAAUUCGAGGUACCCCGCACAAAUAGAGGUACCCCACACAAAUAGAGGUACCCCACACAAAUAGAGGUACCCCGCACAAUUAGGGGUACCCCACAUAAAUUGAGGUACCCCACGUAACUCGAGGUACCCGGCAGAUCAGAUGAAAGAGAAUCCUCCAAAAGUAUCCGCCGAGAGAAACGUCUCCAUCUCUUAAAAGAUCGAUUUUGUCAGAAUUAGGAAUCAAGAACGUUGUACCAAAAAAGGGGGACAGCCGCCUGUUACCUCUGCCAAAAGUGAAGGAUACUGUCCCAAGGACAGUGGUCCUUAGCCGCCUACCCGACAACUACUGCAGAGGUACCCUGGACCACUCUCCAGCGCGCGCCACGUUUCCAAAGGAUGAGAUAUGCCGUGAACAUGCACAUAACGACCCAAAAAUCAUAAAAAGGCAAAAAGACGUUAGCCAAAAAGGGUACGCCACGUGGCAGCUAAGGUACUCCGUAUAUAAAGGUGCCUAGGUUUUAUUCUCCAGGAGGUUUUCACUCACCAUUAACACUCACACUCCAAAAAAUAGGCUUUCUUCAACCUUAAACCUUAAUUUACAGAGGGCUAGCCAGCUCUCUUUGCUAUAAAACCUUGAGUUUGCUAACUUGAGCGUUGGAGUGUGAACGCCGGGGUACCCCGGCUUCACCUCUAACCUCUAUUUCAUUGUUUUGCAGGCGUGGAGCCCAUUUUGAAGGACACCUCUCUUGGUUUUGACCUUUCACCAUUGUUACCACUCCCUCUCCCCUUCUCACCUCCCCCAAAUUUCAGAUACACCGCACUGCGCAUAACAAACCAGUGAGGUACCCCAUCUCCCCCAAAAAUACAAAUUCAUUGUUCAAGAUAGAUUUUGGUUUUUCCUACCCCAAAAUCAGUUGAAAACACUAUGAGUAGUGAUCUAAUACUUGUGAUAAAUUACAGGCUCUGUUUAACAUAUCAAGUACCAAAUUUUAAAUAUUACAAACAAUAACAAACAGAGUGCAGCUCCUAAUCGGUUUUUUGUUACAGUAAAUAAACCCCACCAUUCCAUUUCAAGUUUCCACAGUCAGUUCCAUUGAUCAUAUGCUGAAGCUACGGUGGAAUGAUAGAUCUUCUUUUAGUUUCCUACACAUUGAAACUCUCUAAUUGGUGUGUUAUUUUUUUGUGAAAUUUCUAUUAAUAAUUUCUUAAUGUUAUUGAAAAGUUAGUAGAUCAUGGGAUGAGAGCAGAAGACUUUUUGGCUGAUCCAACUCCUAUUACAAUCCAGUUGGUAACUGCAUUUGGUAAUUACAUCUUCAGUACUUGCAAUCUCUUAUCGCCUUUUCAAGUUGAUUUUAGUUAUUUGUUCUUAAUAUUCUAAGUGCAUGGACUUCAUGGAAGGUUCAGGUUCUGUGGUGGUGUUAGAAUUGCUAGAAAACAUUGUUGUAUAGGUUCCGUCAUGAUAUUCUCAUGUGCCAUAUAAAUCAUCAUUGUUUUGCAAGUGCUCUACGGCAUUCUUUACUGGAUAGGCUAGCCAGGGUGCCUUAGAGGCAAGAGUCAAGACGGAAAUGAAAUAUAUCUAAAGCUACACACAAGCACAGGUGGGUCAUUUUAUUAUUUAUAAGUCUUCUUUCUCUUUUAACUUAGUCUAACAUCUUGUUGAACCCAAGCAUGAUUCAUUUCACAGAGGCUUGACCUGCUAUGUGGUCCAAACUUCAUUGGAAACUCCUUGGUAACGAUUUUUAUAUUGCAGAUUCUAUUGCUCAAUUCUGUUGCUGUGCAGUUAGGCACGAGUCAACAGCAAUGAUAGACUUGAAAGUAAUUUUUGCUGGUUUACAAAUAGAUUGCAGAAUUAUUCAAGGUUUUCUGCAUUUUUCAUAAUUGGACCAACGAACUAUUCACAAGUCAGUAGUGAACGAGUGUUCUAUAUGGUGGUUUGCUUUAAAUAUUGAAGGAAAAAUGUGGUCCAUUGACCAUUGUGUUUUUUUUUUUUGGUCGUUAUAGCUCUAAUCUUUUCUUAUGGCCCCAGUGCAGGUUAGUUAUAUGUUGAGCACAAUGAUGCUAUUUUAGUAGUCAUAAUUCCUGCAGCCAAGCACCUGAAAUUGCUUCAUCUCAAGUUCUAAGAAUUGCGAAGGAGUUUUCUGGGGGUCGUAGAGUGCUGAGGGCACGAGAUAAGCUUGCAACUUUGCUGCAAAUUUGAGGAUAAGUUUCUGCAGCACAUUACAACUGGUGAGGUGAGUUUAAUUUGUUUUAGAUAUUUAUUAUUGUUCUUGCGAAUUUCCAAGUAGCAUAUUAAAAAGUUUGAUUUUUUAAUGACUUUGCUUAUGUUCUUUUCAUUCAUACAAUUUGAGAAUUGAAAAAGGAGAAAACCAAGACGUAAAUGAGAAUGUGAUAAUAUCCUCUCUUGAACUGAAGCCUAGAAGAAAAUUUCUUGAUUAGUAGCUGUCAUAAUGCGUGGUUUCUGGUUGGAAAGCUGUUGCAAAUUUAACGAGAUCAAACAGCUCUCUUUGGACAGACAUUUUGAUUCGAUAAUGUCAAGAGGGAUUGUCUUGUGCCAGUUCCCCGCCUGAUCUUUUAAUCUUUUCAGGAUUUGCAAGUGAAGCGUCAGGAUUUGCAAGUUAAGCGACCUUCUCAUAUUCAUUUUCUGUUCGAUUGUGUUAGAAGCUAAUGGCUACCAACCGUAUCUAAUAUACCCUGAGAUCUUUAAUAAUAGGUUUCCUCGAGCUUGCAAAAGAACUAUCACGUCUGUGUUGAUGAGGUAAUGGAACCAUCUGUAUCCGAAGCUCCUUACUUCUAAUUCUUAGAGGCUUUUGCCCUUCUACCCUUUUCAUGAUGCUGGAUGUUCGAUUUUUUGUUUUGGUCAUAAUUUAGAUUCUUUACAUUAGAUAUAUUGAUGGGUCCUACAUAGAUAGUAUUGCUCUCUGUUGGGUGCAAGAUUUGGAUAAUCUUAUUAUACGCUAAUAAAAUAGCAAGGUAAAUCUUGUUUCUAUUAAUUGAUGAAGUUACUGGCUGACUUAUGAAACAGGUACAUGUUGUUCUGGGGGAGGUGGUUUCUGGUGCUUCAAAUGCUACACCAAACCUGGAAGAUAUCCUUUGCUCAAGAGAGAGGUGUGGCUCUUAUGAUUAUGUCACAAAAUAUUUGUGUGCGCACACGCACUGAUUUGACUUGUAUGUGGUUCAAAACUUCAAAUUUCCUUUUUCUUGUCACAAUAGUUGAUUGUUUGGAAAUGAGGCAGAGCACGCUAGUGACACUGAACAGUGUCAUUUUCCAUUAGUUCAAGAUUUUUGGGAUGAAUGGUUCGAUCAAAACUGCUAAAUGGUUGCUAAGAUCUUUUCUCAAUGUCCUCCGAAAUCUGUUUGCUUUUACUGGAAUGGAAAUACAGUGCCAAGAGGAGGUAAAGACACGAUCUUCGAAGAAAGAAAAUGAGGCAGAGGAAGUUAGCGACAUUGGACAGGGUAUACAUGCAGGGCACCAUGGCUCAUAAACCUUCUGACAUUGAAUAAGAACUUUGAUGGACGUGUGUCAAGAAUUAGGUGGUUAUGUCAUAGUGAAGAUUUGAAUAGUUUGCCAAUUAAAUUUUCCCUGCAGUUACUUACAGACAAGUUCCGAGACUCGUGUGAUUGCUUAAGCAGGCAGUUGUUUUUUUCCAAGUUGACAAAGCGAAGGAAGACAUGUUGAAUCAGUUACAUAUCUAUGUCAGGUUGACGGCAAUCUUAUUUCUCUCUCCAUCAAUUCUUAUUAAGGAGCCGAAGGGAUUUAUUUUAUUUCAUAUAUUUACUUCUUUAUUGAAGAUUUUUCUACUAUACCAAUGAUGCAACUUUUUAUAAUAUAUCUGAGUUGGAAUGACGCUAGAGCUUGAGGCGAUCUUUUUUUAUUGCCUUUUUGACAGUUCAAUUGGUGCCUCUAAUAACUCCAUUGAUUGCUACCUAGGUGUUCAACUUUGUAUGAAUACACAGUGAUCAUCGGCAUGUCUCUUCUUGGCAUUUUUGGGACAUCAAUGGUUAUGUCCAGUCAGAUCACAUAGUUUGGGAAGCAAUUCCUUCAGCAGUUUUGAUUUGGAUGUUGACAGUGAAUAUGAUUAUGGAAAUAAUAAGGUCUUUUUUCAAUUCAAUCCGAGUACAAAAAUAAUUUGUGAACAGAUCAAGUGGUGCCAGAUGGUGGAAAUAUGUGGGAUUUAUUUUAUCGACAGCCAAGAUUCUAGGAAAUCAAAUGAAGAUUAAGCAGAAGUUUCAGCUGAUCUAAUGAGGGAAGAGUAAGCUUUAAUUGAAAGUACAUGAGGUGAGUACUCUUCGUUAUUCAAUGUGUAUUUUGGAUUUUACCUAUAUGGCUGUAUCAUGUAAGCUUUACGAGGUUGUGGCCAUUUUAUUGGCUCUAAAAGUAAAAGUAAAGCAUUAAAAUGGUGGGUGCAAUAGUUGAUCUGGAGAACGUUAUUGUUCCUCCCCAAAAUUUCAUCUCAAAAGGUAUUUAGCUGUGAAUGUGAUUAAGCUUCUUUGAUCGUUUAGUUUUAUGCAGGGAUAUGGAUAUAUAUGAAUCUGGGUAAUUUCCAUGGGAUGACACAUGUCAAUUUCUUCCAGAAACAUGGCACUUAUCAAAUGCCAACAUUACACGCUCCCUGAAAUUUAUGUCAUGGAAUCCAUUUAUUCUAUCUUGAUCGCUCUCUGUCCCCCAUUUUUGUAUGUGUCGAGUAUUGAAAUGCAUGCCAAAGAGACUCCAAGGUCUCGAACGUUUGGUAUUUAUUAGAGUUUAAAUACUAUUGGUAAAUCCUUUCCUAUCAACGUAAGGAUGGGGAUUUGAGUGGUUAAUCAGCUUGGUGAGCUAGACUGAUAGAGUAGAAAAUGAUAUUCUCACAAAUAUUUGUACAACACUUUGCACAAAACGGUGAGUUUUGUCCAAACGGAACACCUCACACACGCAACAAACACGCCCAACAAUCACCUUCAUGCGUCUGGCUCUUUUCUUUCUGCCUAUUACAACUUUUCCUCUCUCGCCUCAAAGCUGCCAGUCAUUGCAACAAGCUCCACGACAGCAGCCUCUUACUCCCAACACAAUCGCAGCAGCGUUUUGAAGUGAUUUCACAACUCUUUCUCUUUCAUCUGUCAUUCAAAUCUUUCAAAGUGAUUUCACAAAAUAGCUCUGUAUUUGUUUUUUUUAAGAAUGAAGAAUCCAGUAGUGUUUCUUUUUCUUUUUUUUGGAUUGUAUUACUUGGUGCUUUGAACGAAAUUAGUUUGUUUAUUAAGUUGUGUGCUUUUGCUUAAUCUUUUCUGCCUACUCAAAUUUAACUUUGCUGAGUUUUUAAUUAACUUUAGAAGUAUCUUGCUGAGAAUUGUAAUACAAAGAAGCAAAUUAAAACAAAACACGGGAAGAGGAAGAAAAAUAAUUAAUUAAACAACAUAGUCGCUUUAAAUACCACAAAAAAAAAAAAAAAUGCUUCACUUUAACUGAUAAGCAUGGGAAUUUUAAUCAAAGUUACAAACUGUAAAUUUAUUUUUUCUUCUGCAAUAGUGGGCAAUAAAUUUUGAUAAACAAACUAGAAUAAUUUGACCAAUAUACAUAAAGAUCUAUACUCAAGAGGCUGCAAAGUUGGUGGAAGAGAUAGAUGGCAGAGUCAAGAACAACAACAACAAAGACUCAGUGAUGACAUUAUUGCUAGAUUCAAGCUUUUGGAAGUUAGAGUGAAGCUUGAUCACCUUGAAUCACUUCUUCGUAACCCGCCUUCAAAACCCAGCCUUCACUUCUUCGUAACCCGCCUUCAAAACCUUAAGAGAUCGAUUCGUUGGUAUGAGAGCAGUGCUAAAUUUUUGUCCUCGUCCUGUUUUUUAAUUUGUACGAUCAUUUCAUCAUAGCACUACUUGAAUGCAUUUUGAAAACAUUAUCUGCAUGAUGCCCAGCUGUUUAUGUAAAGGUUGCAUGAAUGCUAAUUCAUUAAGAUAAUUUGUGCACAUUAAGAUAAUUUGUUAAAAUCUAUAUUCGGUCAUCACUCUUCUUUGCCUCUGUUUUCCUGUGUUCUAAAUUGUUAUAGUAUUCAGAAACAUGAAUUAUUUCACUAGUGUUUGCCCCAAUGCAACAAUGUCUUCACAAUCACAGCGGUCUUUCAACUUACUGCUAAAUUAGCCAUACUGAAUUUUAGACAACAUAAUUAAAACCAAUUCUCCAUUUUGAUUCCUCCCAUCAGGUACCACAAUGAGCACAAAUUAGCAACUGCAAUUUGCUACAUUGUUUCGUUAAAUGAAAGAUGGCAGGAAAGCGAAACACUGGCAUAGGUUCACUUACCCACAGCCGAGACCUCGGGAAUUAAGUUACGGGCCUGUUGUGGAUAGAUGAGAGGCAGCUGGGCUGUCAUAACACUUUUCAAUUGGGUUCUUGGGAGCCCAUCUGCUUUUUAGCCCACAGCAGUGGGUGAAAUAUUUGCCCUGCCCCUAUGACCUUUUAACUGCAAAAACCGAAAUUUAUUAAUUCAAUAAUGACUAAAGUUUGCUACUAACUGAAAUCUAUUGUUAGUUAAUAUGGAAAUUAAUAAAUGUAAAAUUGAUAGUUUUUUUUACAUCACUAAAUAUUUGUAAAUUCACAGCUAGCAGCAUUGCACUUAAAUUACACAAUCUGUUGAAUGGUGUUGAUAUUUUCGUCAAAUAACGAUUUAAGAUGCCGCAUCACAUAUAACAGCCAUGAGCGGUUACUUGGUGGCAGUUCGCCAGCGAUUGUGAUUUUAUUUCAAUAUUUUAAUUAAUUUUAGUAGCGAAAUACUAAUCAAUAUAAAUAAAUUAGUGCAUAUAAAUUAUAAAAAAUAAUAAUCUUAACUUUCAUUCACAGAAAUAUUAUCAACUUUAGACGUUUCGUAUUGAGGUAAAAUAUAUUAUUAUGAAAUAAAAUAUAAUAGUGUAUAAUGAAUUUAAUUUUUAAAUAAUAAUUUUGAAAAAAAUGAAGAUAUUAUAAGUUUUAAUAGCGUUUACAACUAAUAUUUACCAAAGAUCUAAUUUUUAAAGUACAAUUUUCAAAUCUCAAUAUUAAAUAAAGUCUUAAUAGUGUUUAAUGUUUACUACACACUCAUUAAUUUUACUUAAAAACUACAAUAUUUAUUUCACAGCAGCAUAUUUCAUAACACCCUAAAUGACGAUGGUCAAAUAAUAAAAUAACUAGUGUUGAAGUGCAACAAAAAUACACAUAUUAGAUAUGUUCUUGGAACAUCGGCUUACAAAGUAUCACAUGUACAAUCAUACAUAUUUUUUUAUUAAGCAUCAGUUGGAGACAUAAAAUCCUCCAACCCAUAAUUGGAUAGUGUUAUACAUGAUUAUAUUAGGCAAGGAUUAUCAAAUAACCAAAGUUUAGAUAUAAGUAAUAAAAAGAAAAUAUAGUAGUUUUUUGGUCAGGGAUUUUAAAAUACAGGAAAGUUUGGGAAAACUUUAAAACCGCACGGCUUUAAAGACUUACAAUUUUAAGCUUUUAAAACCAUGCGGUUUUAAAACUUUACUGCAUUUUCCCGCAUUUUAAAAUUCCGAACUGAAAUUUUUCUAAAAGAAAAUAUUGUUAAAAGAGUUGUACCUAUUGAAGCAAACUUACAGCAAGGAACAAUCACAACAUAUUCCGGUUGGAGUUGAAGCACUUAAAGCGCAUCCAAGCACACAAAAAUACACACAUGCUAGUUACGUUCUUUCCCGUAGCCUUUAUAAGUUUUCCUGGCCCAAGCAUCCCUUCAUUCCUUGUUGAUUCUUUUCGGCCCUUUUCGCCCUUCAAGUUAUUUGAGCCCAUUGAGCCCACUUCAGCCUCAAUCACCAUUUCAUUUUCCCGCGACUGUGUUCUGCUCUCUGGACACCAAGUCCAUGCCAGCGGCAAUAUUGUCCGCCGUUUAGUGUGCCUAAAUAAUUCCUUUUGCAGCUUUUCUUGCCAUUUUCUCAUCUCACGCACUUCAAUUAACUUUAAAAAGUAGACAAAUCACAAAAUUAAACUCCUAGUGAAGAGUGAAGUAAAGCAUCCAUGUGUUUCAACUCACAGCAUUACCUGACAAACAAAAUUCCUCUGCAGCUAAUAUAAGGCAGCUUCCGAGAAAUUAUUGGGUGGAUUUAAAAAGAAAUUAAUUUUUUUCGAAUUUUAUUUCAAAUUAUACAACAAUUUUUUUAUUGGGCGAUUAUCUAUUUUGACAGCUCAAUGGGUGUCUAAUUAUAUAACAAUUUUUUUUAUUGUCUAGCAAGGGCAACACCGGCAAUAUCUAAUAUAUUUUCCCACCACAUACUCUAUUCAUUUUCCGAUCCUCCCUCAUUUUAGGACGCGACUGUUUCAUAUGCAAAAAUAUUCUUGUAAGGGUAGGGCAAUAUUUUAUUUCAUAAUGUGAUAUAUUUUCUUCUGUGUUGGACUCACUACAUGGUAUAGUUGACGAAAUGGAAUCGUAAAAAAAAAUUUCUUAAUGAAUAUAAUUUUGUUUAAUAAAAAUCUGAAUAGCACAGCCAUACAUGCUCAUCUGCUUCGGGAUUCCAAAUUUAAUUUCUGGUCAAAAUCUCUUAAUAAUUGUCCAAAUUUAAUUUUAAUUUCUCUUCAAAAGUAAAGUUUGGGUAACAGAAUUUUAGAAAAAUUAAAGAAUUAUUUUUCUAUCGUCCCUGCAUUGGUACAUGAAUUAUUCUUUUUCUCAUAGAAGUUUCUACAUUUCAUUGUCAUUACUUUAUUCAUUGCCCAGCCCCACAUUACUCUUCAAUGAAAUUAUUUAAUAUCACCCUUUGAAAAGUAGAUAAUGUAUAAUUUAUACUUCACCAUGCCAAUCGGAUGAAAUUUAUGGGGGGUAACGACGUCGUUUGGUGUAAAGUCAGUUUUAUAGAGCCUUUUUUGUGUGUGAAAUGAUUUCAGAAUAUGAGAUUGACGUUUUAUUCGAAGAAGCACAAUCACGUUGGCUGAAGCCAGAGAAGAUGCUGUUUGAAUUAAAAAAUCAUGAGAAAUUCGGUUUUACGCAGUAGCCCCCUCAAAAGCCACCUAGUAAGUAAGCUUUCUAUAUGAAAACAAGGUAAUCUUCAUAGGACUCAGGUCCUGAAUUCGAGUUUUAACAGGUGCCUGAGUUAAAAAUAACAAUUAAAAACAAAGUAAACUUUGCACUAAGAAUUGAAUUCAUUCAUAAACCUCUCCUUUGUCAACUUUAAUUGUUUCUAAUACAUUCUCAACAGGCAGAUCUUUGUUUCUGUUUAAUAGAGUCCUUCGAUUUUUCCGUAAGGAUGGUUACAAAUGGCGUAAAAAGAAAGAUGGAACAACCGUUGAUGGAGACGCACAUGAACGACUCAAGGUUGCUCAAAAUUAUUAAAGUCGUAUGUUUACCAAACUGACACAAUAAAUUUUUAUUUCACAACAUCAUUUGUCAGGCUCACCACAAUGCCAAAUAGAGCCUUAGGACCUGGGUAGCAUGCACAAAUAUUCUUUGAAGCCAUUCUCUCUUACUUCACUUCAGUGGUGGUCCGACAAGAAUGUUGUACUGUCUACUGUUUGUUUCAGUUUGAAGUAUGACAUUAAUUUUAUCUUCAUUGUAAGGUUAGAAACACUGAAGCGGUAAGUUGUUAUUAUGCACAUGGCGAGGGAAAUCCUAAUUUUCAGAGGCGUAGUUAUUGGAUACUGGAUCCGUAAGUGUACUUAUAUCAUUAUGUAUUUAGGUUGCAGAGAAAAAUAUUUCAGUCAUUGGCAUUUAUCUUCUUAUAUGUUUGAAGUUCCCUAAUCCCUAUACAAAUGAAGAAUAAUUAUUUACGCUAAAGAAAAAUGUGGCUUCAUUAUACUUAUCUCUUUGUUGUCUUUCUGACCAAGGAACAAUGUGGAAAUGGUGAUUUACAUAAUUUUAGUCAGCAGAGAAAUUUUCUGAUAAUUACUCUCUUGGGCCGGUUAUGUGAGCACAUUGUCCUUUGUUCAUUAUAGAGAUGUAAGUUUAACUAAGGUGAGCCUUUAUGAGUCUUGAGUGCAGCAAAUCAGAUCUUACGUACGAUAACUUUACUCUUGGAUUUGUAUAUAAUCUUUGAGAAAGUUUUUAAUAUUAAAAAUCAUGCUUAAGUGAGGACGUUCAUAUGAGUUUUUAUGUGGAGACGGAAUUUAUAAUGAGAUAAGAACAUUUGACGAUAUUGUCAAUUUACUUGUCCACAUCUAAGUGUGCUUUUUAUAUUAGUGUAUUAUUUUUCAGUUGUAAAGGAACAUAUAUAUCAUAAAAAUAAUUAAAAAAUAGAUUAAUAAUGAGGCAAUUAAACAUAAAAUGUAUCACUCAUAAUUAUCAUGGAGUGUGCUGCUGUGUAGGAAGAGCAAGGACUGUAGCCGGUACUCAAUUCAAUUUUCUUAAUUUCUUCAAAAUUAAUUUCGUUUUUUCGGUGUAGAUUGAGUUAGAGUGGAUCUUCGUAAUCACCAACUUUGUGAUGGAGCUUCCAUCAGCUGUUUUUGACCAGCUUUCUUCUAUGCGGAAACCUCAGUAUGCGCUUUUGAGUAUGUAAAUGUCAUUUGCAGCCCUUUUUGUAUGCAUUGUAGAAAUCAUUUACACAUGUCAAAAGAAAAAAAAGUUGAGUGGAGAUGGAUAAGUACAUUACCUGGUUAUAUCAUCCGCGUAACAGGCCUUUUGGUAACUUCAAGGAUAUUAUUGGACUAUUAUGUGCUCUCAGCUGUCAGUGCAUUUUUGCUGCAGUUACUUAUGGUUUUGCUCGCCAACAUGCUGAUUCUCCGAUUAAAGUAUUUUUUUGGCCCAUCGUGUUUGCCUCUGGUCGAUUAUUGUCCAAAGUAUUUGAGUAAAAAUCCAAAGAGGGCUACUUCAUAAAGCUGAGAUGCUUGCUUUCAGUACGUACCAUCAAAUAAUUGCUCCGCCAUUUGGCAUUUUUGUGGAUAAACUAUCUUAAUCGAUUUAUAUUUCUUUUGAAUUGGUGUGUAUGUCAACAUGAGAUUGUUUUUUAGAGUACAAAUACAUAAUUUUAUUGCUUGCCAAUUCCGAUAUGCAACAAUUAUGUUGUUGAACUGGUUUCAGUUAAUUUUGAACGUUCAUUUAAUCCUGUUAAAAGCUCUAUUGUCAUUCUUCUUUGCCUUUGGUCUACUGUGUUAACAUAUUUUUAAAGGAAUCAGUUCACAAAUGUUGGCCAUAUGGAACAAUGUUGCUCUUUAUAUUAAGUUUUAACUAACUUCACAGCUUCCCUAAAACUUACUGUCACAUCAGCCAAGUUAACUAUUUUUUAAUUUCUUUUGACUCCAAAGUCUAUCACAAUUUGAAGUUGGACGCUGGCUGAAUCUUUAGCAGCAUGUCAGUUUGAUUUUCCGCUCGAUCUUUUCUUUCUACUUCCAUCUUCCCUGUUGCUUUUCUCCCUUAUAACUUCUGUCUCACGCAUGUUUAUAGGGUAAAGUUUAUUAUGCCUCUGCCUUGUCCUACUUGAAAAAAGAUAAACAUUGGCGUCAUUAGACCAAGAUUGCACUCAUAAGAUCUAAAAAACGACAUGGAAACCCCAAUUGCAAACAAAGAAUUAACAAAAUAGAUCAAGAAAAGAAGAUGAACACACAGAUUUUGAUGAUUCAGCCACCAAGUGGCCUACUUCCAUGCAAGUGACAAAUCAAUUGAUUUAUUGAUUUAACAAUCUAAAGAUUACAUGAAUGUUAAAAACUUUACAUAGAAAAAUUUACAAUAAGAAAUAUCACUGCAAUCGCUUCUAAAGUUACGAAGUGAUCCAUGAAGUUAUGCCAAUAACAAGCCUUUUAUAGCAGAGGUCGUUAAGCUGGGAAAUUAAUUUCAGAGAUUUGCCGCUCUUCCAAACACACUUUAACAGAAGCAAUUGAGAGAUAAAUUUGGCCACUCACAUUACAUGGUAGGCUAUCAGCACUCCUCGCAGUACUAAACUAUUACGAUAUCAUGUUUGCUAACGGCUCCUCGUUGUAUUAUAAUGUAAUCAAAAGAACUUGUAAUCCUGUCAAACCCUCAAAGCCAAUCCCGUGUGAGAGUCGGGUUUAUGCGGUUUUAGUUUUGUUUUGAGAGGAAAAAAAAAAAGAAAUUCAAUUUCUUUCUCGCGUUCUCCCUGCCAUCUCCAGAUUCUCCACACUGCCACUCCCCAUAGCCACUGGUGUGCUUCAACACACGACAACGACAGCAGCUCCACCACUUCUGUGCGACAGCAGCUCGAACGCGAAGCGACGACGGCGCGACAGCGGCUCCACCACGAAGUACUCCACCUCGACGCGACCAGCUCCACCACGGCACGAUCUGCCUUGGCUGCGCGACGCCACCACGCAACACUAGCUCCACUGCCACCCCACCGCGGCACACCAACACCACCCCACCGCGCCACCACUACACAAUCUGGUUUGAUUUUGUUCUUUAAUGCAUAUACUGACAUCUUUUGGUUUAUUUCUUAUUGCUCGAUUAAAAAUUUAGACCAAUUAAUGCUCAGCAAUAUUGGUCAAUGUUACGUGCUGGAAGUCGGUUGAUUAACAAAAAGACUUGAGAUAAAUUCUUUUGAAGUUUAAAAUUGGAAUGAAUUGGUCUAUGGAAAUUUGACUCCAAAUUAUUUGCUUUCUUUGUUGCCUUCCUUUAAAUUUCAAUGGCGUCGAACCUAUUGUCGAUACUAGUCCAUUUAGUUGAAAAAUUAAUCUGUCACGUUGGAUUUGAUAUCCCUUUUGGUAAUUACAGAAACAAAUUGAUGAUUCACUGCUCGUUUAGCAUUAAUGCACAUCAUAAAUGAUGGAUUAGUUUGGCAAUUAACAGAUGUGAUAGAAAAUGCAAUUAAACAACAUGAAAGUGAAGUCAUGGCGUUUGCUCUCAAAAGUUUUAAAUCGACUUGUAAUGGGUGGAAAAACAAAAUGGACUAGAGGAGCUUUUCUGACGAAUUCGAGGAAAACUAGAAUGAGUAGUUUUUGUCGAAAAAAUUUCAAUAAAAUAAAUAGCAAAAUUAUCGGAAUUUUUUUGUAGUUUAGGAUGAGAGAAGGGUGCUAUUUGGGGGAUGUAUUUCGACAAGACCAGCCAAUCCUUGAACGAUGAGCCAGCCUCCUUAUAAUGGAGCAGAUGAGCAUAUGUCUGGUAGCAGGAUUCUAUGAACAAGAAUAUUCUGCAGAAGUCUAGUAGCAGGUGUCCACGAACAGGAUAAUUCCGCUCGUUCACGAAUGCACCCUCCAUAGGACCACAGUGGGUGCCGGCCUCCUACUAGGAACAUAAGGCCAUUCCUGCUAGAGGUUGAAGUGGGUAGACCCGGUCAAUGACGGUUGGCAAGACGUACACUCUUGCCCGAGAAUCAAGGCACGAAGUCCACUCAGCCACAACUACGAUAAUGAAGCACCCACUUCCGAGAGUUGAGGGGGGUGAUGGACGUGGAUUGUAGGAAAGGCCGGAUUCAAAGGAAGGCUAUAAAAAGGUAACCAACGAAGGUAAAGGGGUUAGACUUUUUGAGAUUAGAACUUAGGAAAAGAGCUUUCUAUUGAGAUAUCAUAAAAAGCCAUAAUAUUAGUGGCCGUGUUUCCCAGAAAGGCAAAACCUACAUUUCUGACUUGAGCGUCGGAGGGUUUACGUCAGGAAAACACCCGGCGUGCUCUGACCUGUUUCUGUGUACGCAGGAGUCUGUAGAGAGGAAGUCUUAUGAGGAGAAAUCCUAGUCGUGGACGAGUUAGUUGAGGAGAGAUCCUGGUCGUGGACGAGCAGAAAACCAGAAUCUCGCAUCAACAUUUUGACGCCGUCUGUGGGGAGUUGAGCAAAAAGCUUCUGUUAAUAGAAAGAAGAAGAGGCAAAGAAGGGAGGUGACAAUGGAUGAAGGCGGAGGUAGUGCACAAGGAGGCGACUUGAGGCUUAACGAGUCUGUGACGUUGAGAGAAAUAGCCAAUGAGGCGAGGGAAAAAGCAAUGUAUGAAUGGAUGGAAUGGGUGGAGAAACAGAUGAAGACCUUGACAACCAUUUUAUACGAGAUGAGAAGUGAACGAAGGGGAGUUCACGAAGAUGGGGUGAGAAGUGGUGGAAUGACACCAGGGCACAUCGACAGAAGGAACAAUGAUAAUAUGGUGAGAGGUCGGACCACCAGGAGAUUUGGUGGUGAGGUGGGUAACUCAUCUCUACGGGGAGAAAGCCAUGGAGGAGGAGAUCAAUCCCCGGGAAGGCAGGCCUUCGAUAAUGAUGACUGAGUGGUAAAUGCAGAGGAAAGAGAACUCCGACAACACAUGCAUGAUGUCGAACAAGAACGAGAUCAGGUUGCAGCACGUGACCCUGGUCGUGCCGUACAGCUGGAAGAGGAAGUGCGCAGAUUAGCACGGAUAAUAGAUGACAUGCAAGGACGGAGCAGAGCACCUGGUUGGAGGAUAAUGCUGGACGGAGAAUCUCCGCUCUCGACAGAAAUCAUGAGUGCGGUCAUUCCGAGGGAUUUUUGCCUCCCAGACCUCAGGUACUCGGGGCGAAUCGAUCCGUUGGCGCACAUAGAGCGCUUUAACGACAUAACUGGGGUGCAUGGAUUAUCUUAUGCUCAAAGAUGCAGGGUGUUCCCGUUGUCCUUAGAGGGACGAGCACGUGAGUGGUACCGAAAACUUCCACGAGGGAGUAUUAAAUCCUUCGAGCAGAUGUGCCAGGAAUUUGUAGAGCAGUUUCGUGGGGCAAUGGGGCCUGAAGAUGAUAUGAUGGAGCUGACGAGCAUGAAACAAGGAGAUGAGGAAACACUUCGGGAGUUCAUUAAAAGGUUCCAUCGCGCUGUCCUCGAUUUGGGAGCCUUCAACAAUCCCCGGACGUGAGAGGACUGAAAGAAUGGGUGAAGAUAAGGCGCUUGUGGUACAAUCUGAGGAGUCCAGCCAUUCAGUCUUACUCUGCUGCUUACGAGCAGGCCAAGAGAGACAUAGAGAUCGAAGAGGAAAAGGUGGCCAAGAUCAAAACAGACCAGCUGGAAGGGUUGAGGAGGAAGGAAAAGAGAGCCGUUCCAGGGAGUGGCCCAAUUAAGAGGAAGGACCGCCACACCUCGGGAAGUAGGGGAGGAGGCCAGGUCACUUCUUACCAGCCUCAUCAAAGGCCACCCCGAUAUCAGCGGAGCAGGAUGCAACCUCCUCGCUCACUAGCCAGGGAAUCUUGGUGAAGGCAUGACCAGACAUACGGUCAGCCAUACCCACACCCACACGGUGGUAGAGCCAGCAGACCAGAGGCACCGAUACCCCCUAGCUCAGAAUGGCAACCACAGGGAAAGGGCGGUGCACAUGAUCGAUCAGAGCCAGAGUUAUGGGCGGUAUACUUUCUUGAAGGUGACCUUGGACGAGGUGUAUGAGGCAAUCAAGGAUCGGGGAUUACUAUACCCCCCAACCCCAAUAACAAAGCUUCCUAGCAGGAGAGAUAGGGGACGGUAUUGUAAAUUCCACGGCACCCACGGUCAUACCACUAACGAAUGCAGGGAUCUCAAAACUCAGGUUGAAGAUUUAGUGAGAAAUCGUUACCUGAAUGAGUUCGUAGAUGGGGCUAUCCCGAUGGUGAGUUCGUCAGGGGAAGGGGAGCAGAGUAAUAGAAAUAUGGCCACGAGCAGCCGAUAGUAAGGGUAAUCGCGGGUGGCCCCACGUUGGCAGGGAACUCCAACAGAUCGAGGAAGAACUACGCUAGGUACGCCAUGACUAGCAAAGAAGUGUUCUUCAACACCCCAGCAGCCAAGCGAGCAAGAAUCAGGCAAGUCCCGAUCAUGUGGACAGAUGAGGACGAAGAGGGAAUUCUAUAUCCACAUGAGGAUGCCUUAGUUAUUAAAGCCACCGCUGCCAGCAAGAAGUUCGAUCGGAUUCUGGUAGAUACGGGAAGCUCGGUCGAUGUCCUGUUCAAGUCAACUCUGGAGAAAAUGGGAAUAGCAGACCUGAAGUUAGAGCACACCAACACCUCCUUGAAGGGAUUUAGUGGAGGAAAGCUAGUCCCUCUAGGUAUAGUCGAGCUGCCCAUCACAAUUGGAAGCUCCCCAACAGAGAAGACUAUGAUCCUGGACUUUGUGGUUGUCGAUGAAGAUGGUCCUUACCAGAUGAUUCUAGGCCGUCCAUUCCUAAGGAUGAGCAAGGCAGUGCUCUCCAAUCAUUACUUGGCUCUCAAGAUGUAGUGGGGGUAGUACGAGGAGACCAGAGAAUAGCCCGAAGCUGUUACUCCACAGCAGCGAGAGAAACAAUGCAUAUCUCGUCAUUUGACACUCGGGGGGAAGUCAAUGAUGGCAGACAGGAGCCGGUUGAGGAGCUGGAAGCGAUAAAAUUGGAGGAGGGUGAUUCGGAAAGAACAAUCUGAAUUGGGUCAAAGUUUAAAGAAGAACAGAAGCAGGAGCUGGUUCAUUGCCUCCGGGCUUAUACAUAUGUGUUUGCUUGGACCCAUGAAGAUAUGCCGGGCUCUAAUUGCGAGCUAUUAGAGCGGAUUUUGUUCCGUUAUUCUUGACAUUUGAAAUCUAGAUUUGCCUAUAAAUUGGAUGCAAAAUCCAUGAGCCAGUAACUGAGAUAAUUAAAAUGUUCUCGAGCGAUCUGAGAAUUUAAUUGUAUUAAGAUUUUGGAUUAUGAGAUAAAUAUUUUAAUAUUUGUAUUCCCUAUUUUAAUAAUAAAAUAUAUUUUUUUUAUCUUUCCCCGUAAACAUUGACUUAUCCGUGAAUGCUUUAUGUGAUUGAUACUUGCCGUAUAUUAUGUGAAUGACAGUUCAAUUUGAUGACGGUAAGUUGAAUUAGAAGACGAAGAGAAGAGAGCACCAAAUGGUCAAUGAUCAGUCAAUGUCAGCGAGCAGCUUCCAAUCAGAUGAAAAGACAAAGGCAGAUUGUGGUCCAAAAACUUUAAAACUUCAUGAUGUUGGUCUAACAAAUUUAAUUUCUUUUCUCAUUUUAAAGUCCACCCAGAAAUUUCUUGGAAGCUUCCUUAUGUUAAUUGUAUAUGAAUCUCAAAAUAGGAUUCCCCUACUAGUUCCGUUUCACAUCUUUUGUCUUUUAUAGCCGCAGUGCUGUAAAUUUUCAUAUAAUUAUUUUUACUUAUCUUUAUUUAAAUUUUGUUUCACAAAUAUUAAAUUAAUAUUUACUGCAUCCAUGUGAACAUUUUAAUUAAUACCUUAUACUAUUUAUUAUUUAUAAAUUUUUAUUCUAUAUUGCACCUAUAUCACAAUACUCCUUUAUUUAUAAUUUUGAGAUUAAAUAAUUAACGGGAAAAAGAACUGGGUCAACCCGAACUCAAGAACCCCACCCGGAUGCUAUUUCCGUUUCCGGCCACUCCACCGCCCAAGGUUGGUACCGAUUGGAAGAUCGUGCGACGCCGGUCAUCUCCAUGACAUCCUUGCCGCCGGAAAGCGAUCAGAAAGCUGCCGAUUGAAGCCGUAAAAAACGGUGAAAUUACCGCUUCAAUUCGUAGCAAUUUCUCUACUUUCCGGUGACACCACCACUUAGGUUUUAUUCCCCACAAUUUCCUCUGUUUUUUCCGACCAACCAUAGCCACUGAGGGAGCCAAUUUGCAGUUAAUCGGUCGUUGAAGGAUUCACGACUUUGGGAGCUUGAUCCGGCGCCAUCACCACGCGUGGGAGGUCACUAUUGCCACUGUUGGACUCAACUCGGACAGAAGUGUCUAACUCGAAUUUCUCGUCGCUGUCAGUUGAAUUCCGAUCACCGUUGGUCGACAUGAGCAUUUCGGUAAUAUUUAUAUGGAUGCAGUAGAAAUUAACUUAAUAUUUAGGAAACUAAAUUUAAAUAAAAAUAAGUGAAAACAAUUAUAUGAAAAUUUGUCAAAAAAAAAAUGGCACGGUACAACUAUGGUACCGCAGGCGGAUCCUGCCGUAUAUUAUGUGAAUGACAGUUCAAUUUGAUGACAGUAAGUUGAAUUAGAGGACGAAGAGAAGAGAGCACCAAAUGGUCAAUGAUCAGUCAAUGUCAUCGAGUAGCUCCCAAUCAGAUGAAAAGACAAAGGCAAAUUGUGGUCCACAAAGUUUAAAAUUUCAUGAUGGUGGUUAUCUUUUCUCAUUUUUGAAGUCCACCCAGUAAUUUCUUGGAAGCUUCCAUAUGUUAAUUGUAUAUGAAUCUCAAAAUAUUGUCUCCGUAGGACAAAAUAAAUAUGCAGAAAUUUUUCACAUACAAUGUUAAGGUUGAUGCAGAAUAAAUAUGCAGGAAAUUUACUAAAGAGAUAAGAAAAUCUCGAUGGGACCCGUCGAUCUCAUAUUAUUAUUAUUUUUUUAUAAAUUAAUUAAAAGUUAUUUACUUCAACUCUGGCUGAAAAUUGGGUACAAAAGUAGAGAAAAAAAAUCAAAUGUUGGUGCUGCCUUUUUUUUUUUUAAUACUGAUUAAUCAUCAGAUUACUGCAUUACACAGAUAUUUACAACAACUACUAUUGUAGCAGAGAUAUUACACUGAUAUUUACAAUCAGACAUACAUGAUUGAGACGUACAUUAUUACAUUGAAUUCUAUGAAGUACAUGCCCAGAUAUACAUGAUUGAGACGUACAUUAUUACAUUGAAUUCUAUGAAGUACAUGCCCAGAUAAAUAACCCCUCAUAGAAGAGGGAUGUCCAUACUCCACUUGCAUUUCACAAGGGAAAAUAAUUUUUAAAUAUAAAGAACAUUUAGCCCCCACAAUGCUUUUGUGGGGGCUAGAACCGCUGCCCUCACAAGCCCACCACUUCGGCUAAGGCCGAAGUGGCAAUGUUGGUGCUGCGUUACUUGUGAUACUUGAGUUUUUGUCAAAAAUUGGAUGGUGCAAAAUAUAAAUUUUUUUAAUGAUAUUAUUAGAUUUUAUUCUAAUUUUUUUUAACUUACACUUUUAUAUAAUAAUGUAUUCGAAACUUUGUAUGACAAUAGGUGAGAAAUUGUGAUUCCAUUCAAAUCCAAAAUAUUGAAGCCAAACAAUGGAGAGGAGAUGGAAACGGAAUUCUUCGCAACAUUUGUAGCUCGAAUUGGAGAAGACAAAAGACAAAAAAGAAAAGAGAGGGCACUACCUAAUACUGUAUUGCUAAUGGUCAAUGAGUCAAUGACAGCCAGAAGCAAAUAAAGUUGUUUGAGGUUCAUUUCGAUAAAAUAAAGUAUCUGCAAGAUCAUUGUUUGAGAGCAAGUAAAGGUACGUUAGUAUUGUUUCCACAUCCUGCUUCUUGUUUUUUGCAUUUAUAAAACACUAAAUACUUGUUCGGUAGACCAUUUUUUAACAUAUUUUUGAAAAUAUAAAAUUCAUUCUACAUUUUUAACAAAAGAAAUAGGAAAACAACUUUUUAUUGUUUUCCUUAUUUUCCAAUACAGUAUUAAGUUUCAAAAUGAACAAUUUUCUUCCAACACCUCACAAAAUAUUAAAUAUUUCAACAUUAUUAUUAUUAUUAUUAUUAUUCCCAAAAAAUUGAUUUCCCUCCUCCACAAUAAUCUUUUCUUUUUAUAUACAUUAUAAUAUUUAUGUUUUUAUAUAUUAAUUAAAUCAAAUAUGUAGAGUUUAUAACUUUUCUUUAAACAAAAAAAAAUAAUGGGAUCACCUAAUUUAUUCUUAAAAUUAAAAAAAAUAAACUGAUUAAAUAAUAAAAAUAAUUAUUCAUUACUCAAUUUUAAGUUUAGGAAAAUUAUUCUAAUAAUAAUUCUUGAAGAUUUUCUUAUCGAAAGUAUUUAACUUUUUUCAUUUUCAAGAUUAUUUUUUAAAAUGAUACAAAACACACUUUAAAUUUUAAAAACAAAUUUGAAAACAUCAUUUCCAUUCUCAUUUUUGUUUCAUGAAAACAUCAUUUAGAAAAUAAUACCAAACAGGGCCUAAGCUUUGUGAGAGAGUGCUGUGUUCUCUCUAUUGAGUUGUGUGUCCCAAAUUCACUAGUGAAAAACUAGUCAUUUAAGUUGCAUACAUACCUUUGCAUCUUAGGCCUAAGCUCCCAACUAUUACGAAAAUGAGUAAUAGUUCUCUCUUACUGUUUAGAGAAAAUAUAAAUUUGUGAUCCUCGUUUAAACUAGUGAAAUCCACCAACGUUGAAGGUUUUGUAGUCCUCGUUUAAACUAGUUAAAUCCUUGCUUGUGGUUUUUACUGUUGAACAUGCACAUGCAUGUGGCAAACAAUUUCAUGUGGCUCGCAUGCAACUUUUGACUUUUGGCAUAAUUUGUUAAGUAAGUGGGAGACAUGAGUAAGUGGAAAGCAUUUAGCUAGCACACAACUUUUGUUUUUGACACCAAAGGGGAAAGUUAAAUGAAAAUAUAUAUUAUUUUAAAGCCCACUGUUGUUGAUUUUGGGGCAUUGCUUGGCCUAUAAAUAGAGGCUUCAUUUGCCCUCUUCAUUCAUCUCAUUUUCUUUAAUUCUCAAUCUAAUUGAGAAGUGAAAGAGCCAAGAUUUGGAGAUUGAGAGUGUGUUGAGAGUUUUAAGCUCUUAUUCUAGUGUCUUGAGAGUUUCGGUGCAUUGGGUUUUUUGGGUUGUGAGACAAAAUACUCCAGUACUUAUAACUCUUUUUCACUAGUAAAAUAUUUCCUUCUGCCUUCGCUCGUGGAUGUAGGCGAAAAGCAGAACCACCUAAAUUAUGGUGUCAUCCUGUGAUCAUUAUUUCUCAAUUUCAAUUUAAUUAUAUGUCUGCUUCACGCAUCAAUUUCCUAAUAGUGGUAUCAGAGCCAUUUAGUUAUAGUUUUUGGAGUCAACUAUUGUUCACAUAUAUGGUGUUGUUCACGUAUACAAUACUCUUCAUGUCUACGAUACUGUUUACUUAAAAUAGUGGGAGCGAUCGAAGAAUUCCACAAUGUAAAGUAAGGAGUAUUGGUGUGAGUAGAAGUAAUCACGUGGUCUUGUACAUGUCUAGGAUAGUUCUGUCACAAAGGCGAUAACAGCCUAGAGAGUUUGGGUUUUAAAUGGCACCGUUGUGAUCCCUCCAGUCAUUCCUGGAAACUUUUCUGCUGUGCAUUUUCACACGUGCGAUCACUCAUAACUACUCAAGGUGGUACACUAACUUGUGUAUGGUAUUUAUUAACAAAAUGGCAACAAAGUUUGAAAUUGAGAAGUUCAAUAGGAGCAAUCUCUCAUUGUGAAAAAUGAAGAUGUGAGCAAUCUCGAGGAAAAAUAAUUAUUUAGAAGUAAUUGCAGAAAGGUUUAUAGAAAUCACCGAUGACAAAUGGAAUUAGAUGGACGACAAUGCAAUUAUUGAUCUACACUUGGCACUUGCAGAUAAGAUAUUAUCCAGUAUGGCAAAGCAAAAGACAGCGAAGUGUAUUUGGAAUACCCUUGCAAAAGUAAACAAGGCUAAGUCGCUACACAACAAAAUCUUCUUAAAGAGAAGACUUUUAUAGUGUUCAAAUGGUAGAAACCAUAUCAAUGACCGACUAUAUCAACACUUUGAAAACUUUUUUUUUACAACUUACAAUGUUAGGUCAUAAAAUAGAGAAAAUUGAACAUGCAAAGCUUCUAUUUCAAAGUUCACCUGACUGGUAUGAUCAAAUCAUCAUCAACUUGACAAAUAAUAUCUGCACAGAGUAUUUAGUCUUUGACGGUGUUAUAGCCUCUGUAUUAGAGGAAGUGGGUAGAUGCAAAAACAAUAAAGAUAGGCAAGUAAGUUUGCAGCAAGCAGAAACACUAAUAAUGGUGAGACGAAAAUCAGUGGAACGUGGUUCCAGUGCAUGGUAGAUCAAAAUCAAGAAGAAAAUUAGGUGCUACGAAUGUGGUAAGAUGAGGCAUGUUAAGAAAGAGUUUUGGAGUAACUAAAAGAGAAAAGAGAGAAAAAAUAUGAGUCAUCAAAUGUUUAGGGAUGUGUAGCAAGUACCUCAGUUGAUGGUGACAUUUUAUACAGCAAGGCAGCAAUGGUUGCAGAAGACAAAACAAUUAUUUGAUGUAUGGCUUAUAGACUUAUGAACCACUUGGCACAUGACCUCUCGAAGAGAAUGGUUCCACAGAUAUGAACCCAUCUUAGGAGAAUAUAUGGGUGAUGAUCAUGUCUUGGAGAUCGUUGGUAUUGAUACUGUCAAAAUAAAAAUGUUUAAUGGUACAGUUCGCACAAUUCAGAAGGUACAACAUAUCAAAGGAUUGAAGAAAAAUCUAUUGUUUUUAGGAUAAAUAGAUAGUCUUAACUAUAAAACUCAUGUGGACAAUAAAAUCAUGAAGAUUUGAAGAGAUAUGCUUGUAUUGAUGAAGAUGGGAAAAUCAGUGCUAGUCAGUUUAUACUUAAAGAGGAAACAUUACAAGAAGCUAAUGCAUGUGUCUCGUCAAAUGGAGAAAAGUCGGUGAUGAUGUGGUAUCUCAAACUUGACCACAUGUCAAAAUAAGGUUUGAAGAUUCUCUUAGAACGAAAAUUGCUUCGGGGCUCAAAUUGGUGAACUUACUGUUUUAUGAGUAUUAUGUUACCAAUAAGUAACAUAGAUUGAAGUUCAGCAAAUCUGAUACCAAAAGUAAAUGCAUUCUAGACUUGGUUCAUUCUAAUGUUUGGGAAACAUCAGAAUAUGUCCCUAGGAGGUGCAACGUACAUUAUGACUUUCAUAGAUGAUUAUUCCAAGAGAUGUUAGGUGUAUCUAAUUAAGAAAAAGUCAAAUGCAUUUUCAGUGUUCCAAGAAUACAAAGCACGGGUGGAACUUAAAUUCAGGAAAAAUAUCAAGUGUUUGGGGACAAAUAAUAGUGGAGAAUAUACAAAUAGUUAGUUUUUUAUAUACUGUAAGCAAAAAGGUAUUAAAAAACAGUUCACUGUGGCAUACACUCCUCAACGGAAUGAAGUGACAGAGCGAAUGAACAAUACUCUUACAGAAUGAAUACAAGUUAUAUUGAAGACUGCUCUAGUCAACUCAUUUUGGUUAGAAAUAACCAAAUCCACCUAUUAUGUAGUAAAUUGAUCGCCACCUACAAUAAUUAAGUUAAAGACACCAAUGGAGAUGUAGACUAGGAAGCCUGCUGAUUAUUCUCAUUUGCAUGCAUAUGGAUGCCUUAUGUACUUACAAUGCUCAAGAAAGAAGAUUGACUACAAGAUUCUUAUCAAGAUUGUCUGUAGGGUCCCAUUGCCCACAAGAUUGUCAUCAGUAGAGAUGUUAUCUUUGUAGAAGAUCGACUACAAAAGAAAAAUGAGAAUGAUAGCACUUUAAAGAACAAGUCAGAGAUUGUACCAAUGUAUAUGAAAAUAAUCCAGGAAAAGAAGAUUUAGAUUAUUCUGAAACACCACUAAAGCAUGAGAAGCAAGAACCAAUAGAGUCUGAGGCUACAGAAGUUCAUCGGUCAACUUGCGAGAGACAACUGUCGGUGUGGCACUUAGAGUAUGUUAUAGGAUCAAUGUUGUAUACUAUAUUCUAACAGAGGAUGCAGAGCCAUCAACUUUCCAUAAAACUUUAAAUGGCUUAAAUGUUGUUUUGUGGAUGACAACAAUGCAGGUAGAAAUUAAAGCUCUACAUAGGUUUAAGACGUGGGAACUUAUACCACUACCACGUGGAAGAAAAAUCAUAGGAAAAAAAUAUGUUUACAAGAUCAAGCGUGAUGGCAAUGACCAAGUAGAGCGGUAUCGUGUAAGAUUGGUAAUGAAAGGAUAUGCUCAGAAAGAAUGUAUUAACUUUAACGAUAUAUUUUCCCUAGUAAUUCGACUCACGACAAUCAAAAUAGUCCUUGCAAUAUGUGUUGUAUUUAACCUAAACCUAGAGCACUUAGAUGUGAAAACUGUGUUUUUUCAUAGAGAACUUAAAGAAAAAAUGUAUAUACUCUAACCAGAAGGUUUUGCUGAAACAAGUAAAGAAAACUUCUUUUGCAGGUUGAACAAAUCUCUAUACAGUCUCAAACUGGCAUUGAGAUGUUGGUAUAAGAGAAUUGAUUCCUUCAUCAUGAGCCUUGGCUACAAUAGACUCGGUUUAGAUCUGUGCAUAUUACAAGUGGUUUGAGGAUAAUAAUUUUAUCAUUAUACUAUUGUAUGUGGAUAACAUAUUAGUAGCAGGCCCAAACAAAGAUUAGGUCCAAGAAUUAAAGGCACAAUUAGCUAGGUAGUUUAAAAUGAAGGACUUAAGACUAGCAAACAAGAAUAUAGGAAUGCAAAUUCACUAAGACAUAAAUAACAAGAAGAUUUGGCUAUCUCAAAAGAAUUACUUGAAGAAAAUCUUGUGACGCUUCAACAUGCAAGAUUGUAUGCUAAUUUCUACCUCACUUCCUGUUAAUUUCAAGUUAUCCUCAAGUAAAUAUUCUAGCAACAGAGUAGAGAGAAAUGAGAUGUCUCAAAUACCUUCUGUAUCAGCAAUAGGAAGUUUAAUGUUCACUAUGAUAUGUACGAAAUUAGAUAUUGCACAAGCCGUGUGAGCGGUCAGUUGAUAUAGAGUUAAUCCUGGUGAAGAAUAUUGGAAAACUGUAAAGAGGAUUCUCAGAUACAUCAAAUGAAUCUUAGAUGUUGCAUUAUGUUAUGGAGGAUUAAAAUUUACUGUCAGAGACCUUGAGGAUUCAUAUUUUGCAGGGGACCUUGAUAAAGGAAAUCUACUACUGGCUAUGUGUUUACACUUGCAAGAAAAGCUGUAACCUGCGUUUCAAAACUGAAAACCGUUGUGACUUUAUCUACAACAGAAGCAUAAUAAUGGUAGCUACAUAACCCUGCAAAAAGGUUCUUUAGAUACAAAGGUUGUUGGAGGAGUUUGGGUACAAACAAGAGAAAAUGUUUCUAUUUUGUGACAAUUAGAGUAUCUUGUACAUUGCAAGGAAUCUAGCCUUUCAUUUCAAGACAAAGCACAUAGGGGUACUGUUGUAAUCUUUAACUCAAUUGCUAGUAGUGUCAAUGUGCAAAUGUACACAACAAGUAAUAUAAGGGUGAGUAUCCAAGAUCGUCUCCAUAGGGAUUGAUGCUAUCAGACUUGCUACAACAAUUUCACAGUGUAAUCUAUAUUCUCAAUUAAAAAUCAAUGCAACUAAUACAACUAAUAGACUACGUAAAAUAAACCGCGAUAAUAAAGAAAAUGCAAUGAAUGAAAAUUGCAUGUUAAACACAAAAGUAAAUUCAAUUGGAAUAGAGUGGUUGAGUGAUUAAUCUAUUUUAAUGGUGUUAACUGUUUUAUAUAUAUUGAGUACGGUUACUGCAGCAUCUGUUACAACACUGGACAGAAACCAUCUUUUGUUAACAUAUAUGUUUGCAUAAUGUUGAUUUUGAUGAUAACAAACAAGAUUAAGAAUGAUUAAUCUUUUAAGCUCAAAUUAUUUUUUAUAUAUUUUAAAUAAAUCAUUAUUUUCAUAUUAUAAAGGUUUUAUAUUUAAUGGAAAAAUAAUUUUAUGAAAUUAGUUGUUUUUCAAGUUUAUGAUUUAAUUGAAAGAGUUUUUAAAACUUUGAAAUCAACAAGUAUUGCUCGAAAUUUUGGAGAAUGACUUAUUGGAAAAGUUUCAUAACAUUUUGGGCUAUAUCAUAAUUUCAAAAAAUUUUGGGAAUAGCAAGCAUUAUUUAGAGAUUCUUAAAUUGGACCUAUUUGCAAAAUAAUAUAACGUUUUGGGCCAUAAUACAGUUUUAUAAAGUUUUUGGGUCAAACUGUAAAUUUUAAAAAUAUUUCACUGUAGAAGUUUCUGUAGCAAGCGGCUUACCGGAUAUGAUAAACGACAAACCAGAUUUUGGGCAGUAAGCUUCUGGAGCAUAAACGGCUAUCCAGAUUUCGCAAAGCGGCAAUCCGGAUUUCAAAAGCGGCUUACUGGAUAUGAAAAGCGGCAUACCAGAUAUUCUGAAAUUCAAAUUUUUGCCUUAAUGGCAACAUAAAAGCGGCUUACCAGAUUCCUAAAUGGCAAGCCGGUUAUGACCAAAAUGUGCAUAACGGCUAGUUUUUUAGAUCAAACUAUAUAAACUCAAAUCCAACUCAUUUUCAAGCUCUCUAGCAAGCAUAAACAAAAAGCACACGAGAUAUCUUGAGCUUUCAAUUUUCAAAUCACAAAACAUUGAAUCAUCUCUUGUUCUUCAUUUUUGAAUAUCUACUCUUUGAGUGAGUUUUAUUGUAACUUUCAUUUCUUCAUCUUAAUUGUAAGAGUUUGAGUGUGUGAGACACUUGAGUGAAGAGAUUGGGAGAUAAUCUCUUUGUUGUAAAGGUUCAUUGACACCUUGAAGUCAAUUGUAAACGGUUGAAGCCUUGGAAAGACUUGGAUAGUGAAAUCCUCAAGCUUGGAUCACUUGGAGGCGUGGACGUAAGCGAGGAUUGCCGAACCACGUAAAAAUUCGUGUGUUUGUUUCUCUUCUCCCUUACUCAUUUGUUAUUGUGUUUUUAUUGAACUUAUUGCUUUCAAUUUUUAUUAAAACAUUAGAUUGCUUGUUGUGUGGAUUUGCUAGGAUAAUUUUUAAAAUUCCAAUUCACCCCCCUCUUGGGUUGCACACUUAUAUUUCAUCUUUAUCCUCAGCAGUAACAUGUUGGAUGUCUUAUAUCUUUAUGCAACCUAAUAAUGACCAAUUGUUAUGUCAACAUAAGAUAUAACAUUACAUGUUCAUGUUCUCUUUACCCUACAAGGUGAAUCCCCACAUUUGGUUUAUCACUAAUCUUUAGAUUAAGCAUGACCCUUUUUGGACUCAAGUUAAACUCAAUUUAGGAAACUCAAUCUAAAACUAAGUAUUGCUCUAAUAUGUUCCACUAAAAUAGGCCAUUUUGCGGCUCUUUCUUAACUUGUAUCAUUAAAUAAGUGGUCAACCAGAAUAAUGAAUGUAAAUAAAUGUUAUUAAAGCAAAAUGCUAUAGCAAACAUGCAGCAAUACUUAUUUUCGGUCAAUCAACCAUCAAGAUAGCUUAACAGUCAACCAUAAAUAAAUUUAGCUCAUAAUUUGUGCAUAGAAAUUAAACAACUAAGUGGUAGCCAUCGAGUACAUAGUCAUGAUCAAUGAAUGACAAGAAAACAAGAAAAGAAUGAGAAAGAGUGAAUUCCAAUUGAAUCUGUAAAUUUCUUCUAUUGGUGAAGCCUUGAAUUCUGCUCGGGAAUUCUGUUUCUUCUUCAUUUCUUUUCUAUUUUGGUUUUGAUUGACGGCCUCCUCUUUCCUUUGCAUGUAUGCCUCAUUUUAUAAUCACAAAUUAGGGUAACUGGAAACUCUAGGGCAUGCAUCUUCAGAUUAGAAAACUGCAGAUCGCAAUAUUCUAAAAAUCUUGCCCAUAUUUUCUCUGUCAAUGUUCAAGGAUUGCUACAGCCUACAACAAUGCCUAUAGCAUCUUCACUAUUCCAGAUGUGCUCCAAUUCUUCUAUAGCCAUGCUCGUUUGUCCUCUUUAUAGGUCCAUUGCAACAACAUCUUUUCCAUAAAAUUCAGGUUUCCAUUGACCUAUAGUUGAACAUAUGUUUUAGGCAUACAAUUAUUCAAAAUUCACGUAAACUUUAUUAAACUUAAACUAAAAUGAAUGUAAUGCAAACUAUCGUUAAAAUGCACUAAAACACAUCAAUUACUCUCUAAGGAGUCUUGAUUUAAGCCUAAAAAUGCCAUGAUAACUCUCAUUUUCUAGAGUUAUCAGGUACAAUACCACUUUAUUACAAAAAAAAUCCAUACCAAAGAGAACUGAGGAGAUGUUUUGACCAAGCGAAUCAAUGCUGACAAGUUUGUAUGGAGUAGAUCCUCUUGUAGCCUAACAGAGAUGUAAGCAACAUAACAAUGACGAAAAAGAAUGGAUGGUGUAGAGACAUGAUUGGUUCUCAAUCAAGUCUCUAAGUGGGAGAAUUGUUGAACAUGUGCAUGUAUAUGGCAAACAAUUAUAUGUUGCUAGCAUGCAACUUUUGACUUUUGGCAUAAUUUGUUAAGUAAGUGGGAGGCAUUUGUCUAGCACACAACUUUUGGCUUUGUCACCAAAGUUGAAAGUUGAAUGAAAAUAUAUAUUAUUUUAAAGUCCAACAUUGCUGAUUUUGGGUAUUGCUUGGCCUAUAAAUAAAGGCUUCAUUUGUCCUCUUCAUUCAUUUCAUUUUCUUCAAUUCUCUAUCUAAUUGAGAAGUGACAGAGCUAGGAAUUGGAGACUAAGAGUGCGUUGAGAGCUUUAAACUCUUGUUCUAAUGUUUUUAGAGUUUAGGUAUAUUAAGGUUUUUGGAUUGUGAGACAAAGUACUACAAUACUUGUAACUUCUUUUCAUUAGUAAAACAUUUCCUUCUGUCUUCACCUAUGAAUGUAGGCUAAAAGUUUAACUAUGAAAAUUCUGAUUGUUGUAUGCUAUGGGUGUCAUUGUGUAAGUGUACACAACAAGUAAUAUAAUGAUAAGUAUUCAGGAUCGUCUUCAUAGGAAUUGAUGUUAUAUGAAUUGCUACAGCAACCUUAUUUUGUUCCAAAAUUAAAAAUAAAAUAAUUUAUAAAACUAAUGAAUUAAUUAAAAUAAAAAUGCAAUAAGUGAAAUGCAAUAAGGUAAAUCAUCACGUCAAAUACAAGGAUAUAAUCAAUGAGAAUGGAGUAGUUGAGUGAUUAAACUCUCUUAAUGGUUUUGACUAUUUUUCUAAUUUUUGGUUCUGUUGCUACAUCAUCUUUUACAGUACUAUACAGAAUCCUUAUGUAUCCUUAGCUAUCACUUAUUGGAUGUCUUAUAUCUUGAUACAACUUAACAGUGACCAAUUGUUAUGCUAACAUAAAAUAUAGCAUUACACGUUUUAGAUUCUAAUUAUCCUACAAGGUAUAUCUCUAUGUCUAGUUCAUCACUAAUUUUAGAUUAAACAUGACCUUUUUUUAAUCAAGUUAAACUCAACUCAUGAAAUCCAACCUAAAACCAAGAAUUACUCUGAUAUGUCCCACUAAGACAGACCUUUUUUAGGCUUUUACUUAGCUAGUACCACUAAAUGGGUAGUCAGCUGAAAUAGUGAAUUGAAAUAAGUAUUAUAAAAAAAACAUGCUAUAACAAACAUGCAGCAACAUAUAUAAUCAGUCAAUUAACCAUCAACAUUGUUUAUCACUCAACCAUAAGUAAUUUUAGUUCAUAAUUUGUUAUAAAACAAAAACCAAAAUAGUUUCAGCCAUCAAACAAAUCUUCAUAACAAGAUAAAAAUACGAGAGUAAGAAUAAGAGUUGAAAUCCGCUCGUCCUUAUGAAUCCCCUUAAUAUUCUUCAUAAAUCCUUUGAUGCAACCCUUAAUUAUGUCUCUUUAUCUUUAUUUUCUCUUGUAUUGUUUCUCGAUUCUUUUCUCUAAUGACAACUCUCCUUUUUUCAUUGUAAUGUGCUCUUUUUAUAAAUCAAAAUUAGGGUUACCAGAAACGUAUGGCAGUGAAUCUCUUAUUUUUGGAAACUUUAGAUUGCGGUCUUCUAUUUAACGUGUGAUAUCUCAUUUAUCGUUGCUCCAGGAGUUGCUGCAGCAAUAGUACUACAACAUAUUGCUCCAGCAUCUUUCAUUAUUUCAAAAUUACUUCUCAUCCAAGUUCUUUUGUAACUCUGCAAGCCUGCUACAGCAACGUUCCAUCCAUGAAAUUUGAGCUUCUUGGUCACCUACAAUUAUGCAAGUAAUCAAAGCACACAAUAAUCUAAAAACACAUGAAUUUUAUUAAAAUUAAACUUAAAUGACUACCCAUGCAAAAUGUAGCUAAAAUGCAAUGAAAACAUGUCAUUUACUCUCUAAGUAAUGUUAAUUUAAGCAUAAAAAUAUUAUGAUAACUUUCAUUUCAUAGUGUUAUCACUGGUGUUCUUUUAUGAUUAUUGUUUCUCAAUUUUACUUUAGUUGUGUGUCAGCUUUACCUAUCAAUUUUCUAACAUUUAACUCAUACUAUUGGAGGUUUCCAAGUGAAACCAAGAAAAAUACUUGUAUCCAUUUCAUCUUCAUUAUUUUUCUAAUUUCACUUUAGUUGCAUGUUUACUUUAACCCAUUAAUUUCCUAAUUGUUUUAGCUUAUUAAAUUCUUAAACCUAAUGUAAUUUUUCUUUUUGUCAAGAUAAAACUUAAAUUGAACAUAUUGUUAAUUUUUAUUGACCAGUUAAGUUGCAUUAAUCUAUCUUUUGGAAAAGUAAACCCUUGAUGUUAUGUAUGAAAUAGCUUGAAAAAAUUUAAUAUGUUUCUGAAAGAAAGAGAAAAAUUACUCCCACAAUGCACAUACGAAGACUCAAAACUUUUCAACCUCCAUCAUUAGGAAGAUCAACUAUUCUAGCUAUAUGCAGUGUUUUUUAUGAACAAGAUCAAUUUCAAUAAUUUAUAUAAACUGAUUAAUCAAUUUUGAUUAGUCAAUUUUGAUCACUAAUUAUUUAUAACCAACAAUUUGUUUAACAUUAAAGAAAGAAUACACUGACGGCUGAUCCAAAACUCUAUUAUUUUAUCCACGUGUAAUGUUGAAUUUCUCAACUAAUAUGUCAUUCAUCCAUUAAAUAAUUGAAUAGAGUUAUAUGAUCCCACAAAGUACCUGAGUUUUCACCAUUGUUCUUCCUGGGAGUCAGAUUUCAGCAUAGCUAUUCCUAGACGUAAGAUUCCGGAGAGGUUCGACUAUCCGAAUGAGGGAUCUUCAAUAACAAUAAGUCCUCCAGAUUCAUACGAUAAGAAGAAGAUGGUUGGAUAUGCUAUUUGCUGUGCGUUUCAUGUUAAUAAACAUUCACAUCCUGUCAGAGGCAAACAUAAACAUCACUACCACUACCACAUGAAAGCUGAUCAGAUAGAAGCUCGUAUACAUUAUAUUCUUGAUCUUCAACAGUGCAAUAAUCUUGACUGGAAGUUUGGAUCUGACCAAGUUUAGUUGUUUCAAACUAGUUCGGGAUUGAAGGUGAAGAAGUGUAGUCUCCAUCCAGUUUCCAUACACUCGGGACACUCGGGAUUGAAGCUGAAUGGAGUCUCUCUACUGUUUAUAAUCUUGAUUAUUACUGAAGUUGCUGUUGAGCAUGAAUUCCUCAAGGUGGUUCUGAAUGUAUCUCUGAUUUCAUUCCAACUGAAGGUUCCUAUUUAUUCUGUGGACAGAAAUAACUCAACAAGUAUUGCUUCAAUCCAAAGUGCUACGCUUCCCAGCAAAAUUCUAGUGCUGAUACGGACAUGUAUCUGUAGUCUGCAGACUUGCUACAAGUUUCAGUUGCUCUGUGUGUGCGUUUGUGUACUAUGCUCAACUUCUUAGAUCUUCCGAGGAUGUUUACAUGUAGGUAUAUUGUUGAGUGUUCAUUUCCCUAAUGUUUAUUUGCUUUUACUGCUUAUUUUCUUAUAAUUCCCAUUGAUUGAAUUCGGCUAAAACAGUGUUUGGUUAUAGAGAAAAUGAAAUUGAAAGUGACGGAAAAUGUAUUUUAUUCAAUCAUAGCAUACGUAACAAUGUGUACAGAAUCUACAGAUCACUCUACUUAUACUACAAGAUGGAUACAAGAAUCUAGUAGCUAGAUUGUUCUGGAAUCUUCAUGCGUGGUUAAAGGCUACUGAAUCAGUUAUAACCAACUUGACAGCUCAGCAUAACUAAUUCUCAGCUGGUAUACUAAGCUACAUGCUAAACCACCAGCCUUAUCAUGUUCUUCCAUCAUGCUCUGUAAACUCUGCAUAACACCAUAUCAGCAUCACUACAUAGCACCAUCAGCUCAACAUCACUGCACAACAUCAUCAGCAUCAUCAGAUACUCCUAACACCCAUAAUAUAUUUGAGAUUGACACAACAAACCUUAUCAUCUUUAUAUUCUUUCUAUAGAAACUCCUGGCCCUUAGAUUAAUCUUUUCCACAGCAUAAAUUUUUAUGCAUAAGGCUCAAGAGCAUUCGAGAGAAACAGAGUGAAAAGGCUGGCAUUUGUUGACAUACUCUCUAAAACUGAAAAGGCCAAACCGUUGUUACCAAGCAAUUUCAAGCACUGUGCACAGCUAAUAUGUGAGAACUUUGACUCACAUAAUUUAAAUGCCUCCGAUUGCAUAGGCUAUAUAAAAAAAUUCAAACAGAUUCAAUAAGCUAAUCUAAUUUCUUUGUUAUUCAUUCAUAGCAAUGCAAUUCAUGAACUAUGACACCAGCCCCUUCAAGUGUACCAAAAAACUCACCCUAAUUGGCUCCGAAUCUGCCAACUUUUGCACAAAAAGAAGGGAAUUGAUAGUUAAGUUGUCAUGUUAUUUAAGUUCGAAAGAACUCUGAGUCAUUUUGAAUCCCUGGAUUGAAUUAAAAAUUAAGUUAUUCUUGUAGUAAAAUUAGUGGCUUUCAGUUAAGCUUCUACCAAAUUAUGCACUAUUUACAAAAAUGAGAAAUUUAUGAGAAGAAAUAUAAUAAGAAUUCAACAAAACAGAAGAUUUGUUUCAAUCCUUAAUUUUCAACUCAUGAGAAAUCAAAAAAUUCAAGGCUUUAAAAAAAAUACACACACACAUUCGCUAAACUUUACAUGCUUUCUUUUUCUUCUCAUUUCUUCUCACUCUAGUGCAGUUCUAAUUCCACAUCUUCUCACAAACCAAACAACAAAAACGAAAAAAUAUCAAAUAAGAAACACUUGCAACAAUCACAACAACUGCUUGAUUUUAUCAACAGGGCAAAAGCAUAGGAUUAUCUCGAUCAAAAUCCAUGUUCACUGGAAUUUGGAAUUAUUAACAAACAUCAAAGAAAUUCAAGUGAGGAGCCAAGCUAAUAGAGCAGUAAUGCUAUUUCAAUUCAUGAAGGCACAUUCUUAAACAACUAUAGGUACUCUUUGCUUUUGAUCCAAGCAGAGGAUUUCUGGUAAUUUAACAUCAAAUGUUUUUCGAUAAGGAGAUGCAAUAAAUAAAUAAAAUUAAUGUAAAUGAAUUACCAAGUGCAAAGAACAUGAACUGAAUUUGAAGAUGAAUGCUUAUCGAUGAAUUCAGAGAAUAAGCAGGCUUCUGCAUUAAAUUUUUCAGGCUGUGGUUCCUCAUCAACAGAACACCAUUCCCACUCUUCAAGCCCAAAUAUUCAUUCACACUUCACCUUGACGUUGUGGCUACAAGUAUCUUUGAUCAAACAGAAUCGGGAUAGAAUUCAUUCAUAUUAUAGGCAGUGUAGUGAGUGAGUCCAUUGGUUUCUUAUUUGGUUGAAGAACUCAACUUUGUGCCUAUAAAUGGGAUGGAAACCACAUCUCUUCACCUGCAACCCUGAGCCAGACACAGGCCGAAACGACAACUCAAUGAGAUUAUUAUCAAAACGCCAAUUGCUAUAAUAGCAUUUUUUAAGAGACAAGUAGAGUAGCCAAAGAUGGCCUGACUCUGCUUCAGCAAAUUUCUCUCUGAACUCGAUUGAAUAACUGGUAGAAGAACCUUUCAUCUGGCAGUUCAAUUGAUGUGUGGGAUAUGAACGCCUUGUUUGGAUACCAGGGGAAUGUUCACGGACAUGAAAGACGCAGCAGACGGCAUAUCCCAGCGCCUUAUUCUUACAAUAUAAAUUUGAAGGCAUUAUGAAUUUUAUUGAAGAUCCAUCAUUCUGAUGCAUGAACCACUCUGGAAUUUCACUUCCUGGAACAACUAUACCAAACUUUUGCAUUGGGCGUGACACUGCCUGUAACCGAAAAAAGGGGGAUAAAAAAGGAGCCCAUAAAAAUGCAUCAUUUUUAGGCAUAAUUUUUUGCACAAAUGAGAGAGGAGAGAGAGAGAGAGAGACUGACCUCAAGAUACUCUUUUAGCAUUGAAAAUGCCAAACCAUCGUUGCUGAGCAAUUUCAGGUUGUCUAUACAACUAAUUGAAAUGUACUCCGAUUUGCAUAAUUUUAAGGCAUCUGAUAAUUUUUCCAAUGAAGCACAACCAUUUACUCCGACUUCUUUUAUGUUGGGUGGAAGUUGCGGCAUAGAUUGUAGUCUUUUGCAAUCUUCCAACUCUAGUUCUUCAAGAUUAAAAAGACGGUUAAUGCUUGCUGGCGCUGUAACGAAACUGUUUUUACUCAGAUACAACUCUUCUAACGACCAUAAGUUGCCAAUAUCAUUUGGUAUUGCUCCUUCCCCUAGAUCACAGUCACUGAGGUCCAAUUUCCUUAAAGACCACAAACCUGACAGAGAAGGAAGCCUCAAAGCGGUAGGAUCUGAACAGCUUCGCUUCAAACUAAUGGGGGAGGGCAGAUACCAUGAUGAUGAUACUGGUGGUCCUUUGCACCCGCUUAAUUCUAGCACCUCCAAGCUUUCUACUUUCCCCAAGUUCUCUGGCACAUUUUUAAGUUUGGAGCAGCCAGAGAGAUACAACUUUUUAAGAGACUUCAGACCGUUAAUAGUACACGGAAGACUCAAGAGAUUUUUGCAAUCUCUCAAAUUCAACAAAACAAGACCAGAGAAAAGUUCAAUUGAUAUAGGCAAUCCUCUUAUGGCAGUUCCUUCCAAAUGAAGCUCCAACACAUGCUCCAUAUUUGUCAUGAUCUCUGGGAAAUUUGAGAAUUUCAAUAGGCCAGAAAGAUUCCAAGUUGGAUGAUAUUUUAGAGCGCUUAUAUUUCUUGGAAGACGCUCAAGUUUAUUACAGCCUUCCACAUUUAACUGAACAAGUCCAGAUAGAAGUUCAAAUGGUAAUAUUGGUAGUUCUUUAAUAUCGGUUCCAUCCAAAAGAAGAUCUGACAGACACUUCAUACUACCCACAAUCUCUGGAAAGUUCUUCAAUUUCAAGCAACCAGAAAGUACAAGUAUUUUUAGAGAUUCCAUAAAAAUCUUGCCCGGAAGAGUCGUGAGACUUGUACAGUCUUUUAGAUUCAAUAAAGUAACCUUCUUGUGAAGUAGCAAUGUUGGGUGAAUGUCACACAAUCUUGUACAUCCUCCAAGAUCCAGCUCCUCUAAACAUGGCAUCCCUGAGAAAUCUGGCGUUCUGAUCAGAUUUUUGGAUUUGCCAAGUCUCAUGAAUUUCAAAUUGCUUAAAGGCUGUUCAAAAACAAUGAUUUCAGCAAUUUUUCAGGGGAUGAAUGAUAACUCUAUCAACAUUUAUUCACGGGAAAAAAAAUAAAUGAAAUAAAACUUACUUUGAUUCCAUUCCACAUUUGUUCGAUGUGACUGUAACACAUGUUAAGUUCAACAAUUUUAUCCGGUUGAAAAUUUGAUGGCAAGGAUUUCAGAGGAUAUCCAGGCCAUUCAAGUAACCGUAACUCAUUGGAGAGAUAUUCAAGGCCUUCAGGAAGUUGCACUUGCACAUUACGGAUAAGAAGCAUUCUCAGGUUAGUCAUCUUCAAAAAUGUAUUAGAACUUGCUCUGAAAUGCACUUCUGCUUCUGCAGGGAAGUUGAGAUAUAUGACUUCAACAGUUUCAGAUCCCUGAAAGUUAAAAAAGUAAAGAAUAAGCAAAGAUAAGAAUGUGAAUGGGUUGAAAUCUUAGAAGUACAUGUUUUUGACUUAUCAUUGCUUACUGUGUUUCUUGUUAACAGCUGACGUACAUCUGCUUCCUUCCACAAUCUGCUACGUUUCCCAGGAUCUUCAGGGCAUUGUCUCUUAACAAUUUGUUGACCCAUUUCUCGUAAAAAAUCGUGCAUCCAUAGUUGAUUGUUGGAUAAAACCUCUAUGAGAGAUUUAUCAAUAAGAACCCUUAUUCCAAUAACUGGGUCAAAAUCACAGUAAUCAAGAAUUUUUGUUACAUAAUCUCUAUUCUCCCCUCGAUGAAAGCACGCAAUGUCAAGAAAUAUUUUCUUCUCUGUUUCUUUAAGCCCAUCAAAACUUAUUUGAAGUAUAUCCAAGAUUUCAUUUUCUGAAUCUCUUUUCAGUCUCUUUACUGCGCUUUGCCAUUCUUUUGUUGUUUUACCAUAUAAAAAGGAUCCCAAAACUUUGAGAGCUAAUGGAAGACCACCUGAAUACUUUGUAACCCAUUCAGACAGCUGCUCAUAUCCUUUCUUAGGCUGAUGGGUUUUGAAGGCUUUUUUACAAAAUAAUUGAAGAGCGUUAUCAUCAUGUAGUUCCCUGAGCUUAUAUACUUCAUCUACUCCAUGCGUCAUCAACAAAUGCUUAUCUCUCGAUGUUAUUAUGAUCCUGCUGCCAGGACCAAACCAUUCACGCUUUCCAGCUAAACAUUCUAAUUGCUUGAUAUCAACUACAUCAUCGAUAAGCAAAAGAACCUUUUUGUGGUGCAGCCUACUUCCUAUGAUGUUGAUACCAUCAUAAACAUUCCAUAUGCCAUUAUUUGGAAGCUUUAGUAACUGGGAAAGGAGUUGCUUCUGUAAAGAGAUCAGGCCGCCUUCUUUUGAAAUUUCUCUAACAUUGGCAAGAAAGCUACUUCCUUCAAACUUAUGAGAAGUCAAGUCAUAAACAACCCUUGCAAGGGUUGUCUUCCCUAUACCUCCCAUACCGCAUAUCCCUAUCAUGCGAACAUAAUUAGAUCCUUUAUCCAUGAGAAGCCUCAGAUUCUUCAAGUGUGAAUCUAUUCCUACUAGAUUCUUAAGAAUCCCUGAUAUUAUAGGACUUUUACUUGAUAUCACCUUGACAACCUCCAAAAUAAAUUCAGACUGAUUCCUGCAGCUUGCAAAAGAUUAAGAAAACAUUGGUGUUGUUGAAUUAAAGUGAGUGUAAACAUAGUUUCAAAUCAAAUCUAUUAUAGGUAAUUAAUCUUUGAGAAUAAGAAAGACUACCUGUCCUUCAAUUCCCAGCCACAGAUAUUAGCCACUUCUUUCAAAGUAUCUCUCCACUUUUGCACCUUUUCUUUAUUCUGAGCAAGAAUUUCUUCAUGUCGAGCAAAAACUGCUUCAAGAAUUCCUGACUGUUUCCUUACAUCAGUUGGUUCCACAUCAUAGAAAAUUGGAUAAACCAUUUGUUGAUGAUUUUUGUUUUUGCAUUCAAGAAUAUGAACAAGUUCGUCCAAGCACCAUGUCGAACAAGCAUAGUUUCUAGAGAAAACAAUAAUUGAAAUUUUUUAUUCUUCAAUUGCUUUAAAGAGUCCAGGUGAAAUGGAUUCUCCUCUCUCAAGUUCUUUGUCAUCCCUGAAGACUAUGAUUCCCUUCUGAUCCAAAGCAGUGUACAAAUGGUCUGUGAAAUUUUUGCGGGUGUCUACUCCUCUGAAACUUAAGAAGACGUCAUAUUUCCAGUGAGGAAGAGGAUAAGGAACAAAAGGAGAAACUUUGUGGAUGCUCAUGAUGCGAGCAAUUGACGCCACGACAGUCGCACUCUAAGUCCCUAAGAACUAAUUUAGAAUUAGAUGCUGUAUCAAUGCCGAAUUGAAGAAGACUUAAAACCUGCACUGCCAACUUUCCUGUCCAAGAAACACACACUACCUGCAGAGUUGGAACCAGUUUUUAUGUCUUGGCAACAAGAGAAUGAAAUUUCCUCUAAAUUGAUUUUUUGGAAUUAUGUGAAAAAAUUAAUUAUAUAAAGAGUGCUUUUGGGAUAGGGGGUGGAUAUUUAAGCUACAACAUAAAAAUAUUUGGUAAAUACUAAUUGUUGUAACUUAAAAAUUAUAUUGAUAUGAUUUUUCACUUAUAUGAUAAAAAAUUCAUUAUAUCUCUAAUAAUUUUAUCAAAAUUAUUAUUUAAAAUUUAUAUUUAUUAUAUAUUAUUAACUUUUGUUUCAUAAUUACAAUUUUUUUCAUAGCUGCUGUAGUUUAAAAGCUACAAUAUCUCAAUUCCAAAUAAGAUUAAAAUAUGUCACAAAAAACAUACAUAUAAAAGUUCAAAAAAUAAGCUGAAAAUACAAGACACAUGCAAGUAUUUGACCACAGUUAGAUGAAUUUUUACGUUGUUUCAGUGAAAUUAAUGAGAAGAUUUUAUGUGUUCUAGUUAAUUUUUACUCUUUUAGUCCUUUGUAUGCCGACAAGAAGUUUAUUUUAAGUACCUAAGAAUUAAUUAAAAAUAUCUUUAAAAUAGUUCAUAAAAAUACUGCACUAAACGCAUAAAAUUCGAUGUCGAACUUAAACCUAGCAAAGCUGAAUUAAAGAGCCGAAACCCACACUAAUUGCCAGCAAUGUUGCAAUAAGUUUUGAGCCUUGGAAGCAAGAGAUCAAAACUUCCUAUUAAAUUGAAUUAUGUGAGAGACUAAUUACACAAAUACAAGAGACAUGUAAAUAUAAAACUGUCAGAAAACUUACUGCUCAGAGCUUGUUAGAAGUUGGAACCACCGCUGAAAAAUGACGAAUUUUCACUUUGAUUACAAAUUAAGUCUGUUUCAACGAAAUCAAUGAGAGGAAUCUUUCCCUAGGCCCUCAACCUUCAAACCAAUCCUGGUACAGUCCUUGCCUACUGAAUCUAGAGUCUCAGAGCUUCUUGAUCAAAAUCACCAAUGGAAUGAAACAAUGAUCAAUCAAAACUUUGCAAAGGAAGAUGCUGAAAUCAUAAGGAAUAUCCCUUUACCGAGAACUCCUCAAGAAGAUAUGGUGAUAUGGCAUUAUGAUAAGAAAGGUAUAUACUCAGUAAAGAGUGGAUAUCAACUAACUCUCAAAAUUAAGUUCUCUGAAUCUCCAGCCGGAUCUACAGGAGCUCCACAGGGCUGGCAACAUAUUUGGAGGCUAAACUUACCAGAGAAAAUUAAGAUCUUUGUGUGGAAAGCUGCAAAGAACCUGCUGCCAACGGCAGAAAAUCUGUGGAGAAGGAAAGUGCCGAAGGAACCGACAUGCCAUUUAUGCAAAGCGGGUUGUGAAGAUGGUUUCCACGCCUUGAUGGAAUGCAGAGUGGCUCGGAGAAUCUGGAAAUGUACUCACUUGGAGAAUGAGGUGAAGAGCGUCAUUAGAGAAGACAUGCUUAGUGUCAUGAUUGGGACUAUGAAUAAUUGGGCUAAGUCUGAGGUAGAUUACGUGGCCACGAUUUGGUGGGUUGCUUGGCAUGCUAGAAGCAAACUCCUUUUUCAAGGAAAAAAGUUAGAUCCAUUAGGGUCAGUGGCUAGGGGCAAAGCAGUUAUGGAAGUGUAUCAGGCUCAGCAGGCUAAAGAACGGGAGAGCCAUGGAAAUACAGUAGAGGGAAAGAUGCAGAUAUGGACUCCACCACCAAACAACAAAGUGAACGUCAAUGUUGAUGCAGCAGUCGAAGAAGAUAGGAAGAGUGCAGGCUUGGGCGUGGUCAUCAGAAAUCAUCGAGGGCAAGUGUUAGCAGCAGCAGUAAAAAGCAUGAAUUUCCAGGGGAACGUAGCUAUAGCAUAAGCUCAUGCUGUCAAGUCGGGUAUGGAGGUAGCCAAGGAUCUUAGUCUGUCAAAUGUGAUUAUAGAGACCGACUGCAAAAAUGUAGCUGACUUAGCAAAUAAGAAAGUUAGCAACAGGACAGAGAUUUGGUGGACUAUAUCAGACAUCCACAAGAGCACACAAGAUUUCCAACUGAUAUCUUUCCAACAUGUUCCAAGAAAGUGUAAUGGUUUUGCUCAUUUUUUAGCUAAAAGAGCUUUGUGUAGCUCAGAAUCUGUUAUCCGGAGAAACAAUUUACCAGCUGAUGUUUUAUGUAUGGCUGAAAGUUUAGUUUAAUGAAAGGUUUACUUUCUUUUUAAAAAAAAAAAAAGAGGAAUCUUUCAUGUGUUCUAAUUAAUUAAUAAUUUCAUCCUCUUAUGCUUGCCAACUGCAAGUCUAGUCAAACAUGUCUUUAAUAAUUAUUAGUACUUUAUUAAAGAUCUUUUAAACAUAGUUGCUUUUUCUCGAAUGAAGUCUUAAACAUAGUUGCUUUUUCUCGAAUGAAGACAAUCUUGAUGAGACUUCAAUGAGUUGACCUACCAUGCAGCCCUGUAUCUCAUACAGCGCAUGCAUGCAACUGGUACAACCGGUUUUUACGGAUAAUAUACUGAAAAUUAUAUUUUUAUUUGUUUUUAAUGUAAAAAAAUUAUGAAAAAAUUAGAAAAAAGAUUAAAAUUGUAAUUAAAUGAGGAAAAAGAUUGUAAUAAUUUAAAAUUUAAAAAUAUUACAAAAAAUAUAUAAAAAAUAUUAACAUAUCACAAAAUGGUUAUAUUCCUACUUAUUUUGUUACAUUCCAAUAUUUAUAAUGCAUAUUUCAAGUUUAUUUUUUAAAUUUCUAUUUUUCAUGGUUAUUUAUCUAAAUUUUGGUACGUUGUUUCAACUCGCUUUCCCACUAGUUUUUGGUUUCAUAUAUCCACUUUUUUCAUUAACUUCCAGUUUUUUAGGUGUAUAUUUCAAGUUUAUUUUUAUAUCUCUGUAAUGUAUUAAAUUUUAUUUAUUUUUUGGUAAAUUGUUCCGAUUUAUUUUUCUACCACUUUUUGGUUCUAUAUUCCCACUAUUUUUAUUGAAUUUUAAUAUUUUGGGUAAAUAUAUCAAGUUCAGUUUUUAGAUCCUUACUUCUCAUUUGAAUUUAUUAAACUCUUGGUAAAUCAUUUCAACUUUUGGGUUAAUUUUUUCAACUCUUGUUCGUACCAUUUUUUAGUUCUAUAUUCCUACUCUUUUUAUUGAAUUCUAAAAUUUUGUUUGGAUAUUUCAAGUUCAAUUUCUAAAUCCCUACUUUUCGUUGGAAUUUAUCAAAUUUUUAGUAAGUUGUUUCAACUCAUUUUUCCAUCAGUUAUUAGUUCUAUAUUUCAAGUUUUUUCAUUAAAUUUCCAGUUUUCAGGUUGAUAUUUCAAGUUUAUUUUUUAAUCUCAAUAUUCUAUUAGACUUUAUCUAAUUAUUACUAAGUUGUUCCAACUUAUUUUUCCACUACUUUUGGUUCAAUAUUCCUACUAUUUUUAUUGAAUUCCAAUAUUUUGGGUAAAUGUAUCAAAUUUACUUUUUAGAUCCCUACUUCACGUUUAAAUUUAUCAAAUUAUUGUUAAGUUAUUUCAAUUUUUGGGUUAACUUCUUCCACUCUUAUUUUCACCACUUUUUGGUUCUAUAUUCCAACUAUUUUCAUUGAAUUCUAACAUUUUGCUUGGAUAUUUCAGGUUCAUUUUCUAGAUCUCGACUACUUGUUAAACUUUAUCAGAUUUUUGUUAACUUCUUCAAACUUUUAGGUUAUGCUCUUCAACUCUUGUUUCCACUAUUUUUUUGUUCUAUAUUUCUACUCUUUUUACUUAAUUCCAAUAUUUUUGUGAAUGUUUCGAGUUUAUUUUUUGAUCCUUACUUCUUGUUGGAUUUAUCAGAUUUUUUAUAAUUCUUUCCGAGUUUUAGGUUAAGCUCUUCAACUCUUUUAACCGCAACUUUUUGGUUUUAUAUUCCUACUCUUUUCAUUGAAUUCCAAUAUNNNNNNNNNNNNNNNNNNNNNNNNNNNNNNNNNNNNNNNNNNNNNNNNNNNNNNNNNNNNNNNNNNNNNNNNNNNNNNNNNNNNNNNNNNNNNNNNNNNNAUCAUAUUUUAUAUAGAUGUUUCAAGUUCAUUUUUUAAAUCCUAUUUAUUAUUGAAGUUUAUCAAGUUAUUGGUAAGUACUUACAACUUUGGGUACAGAAGCAAUUUAUAAACAGAAAAAAAAGUUGCAUUUUUUGGUUAAUAGCGUCCAGAGAAUCUUCAAUGGAGAAGAAAAUAUAUCGCAUUGGGAUAAAAAAAAUGUAAUAUUUCCAAAUGAUAACCGACCAGAACUUAUCAAACAUGUUCAUUAUAUCAUCCAAAAAUGAGAUAGGAUUGAAAAAUGGGGAAAAAAAGAGAGAAAAAAAAAACAAAACAAUGAAGUGAAGAAUAUGCUUAGUGGAUUUCAAAUGCAAUUUAAUUAAAUCCAUUGUUUUGACAUAGAGGCAAGGGGCACGCGUAAAAAUCCCAACGUUCAUCAGGAACUAUAUGUAGUCCUAAGCACACAAAUAUAUUUCCUCUCCUAAUGAUUCCAAUUAUUCUAAUAAAUUGAAUUUUAUACAAAGUGCGUGGUGGGACUGGGAUCAUGGAAUGGGUUUUUUAAGCAAGGCUUCACUCAAUUUAAUUUUGUUGGCUUUAUAUAUGGGGAAUUGGCUUCAUUAUCUUCCUUCUUUGACGUGAAUAGUGUUACACUAUUUCUAAAGUCAAAAAAGUAUUUCUAAAGUUCAAAAUUUUUUCACUCCUUUCAUAUAUAUAUAUUUAUUUUAAUACUGGGAUCAAAUCUUUUGUUUGUUUCAUUCAUCAAAGUCAUUUUGGAAAAUAGUAGGGAUGAUUUGAUAUUUUAAUUGUAUUUACAUCUCUUUGGCGCCAAAACAAACAUGUUGGUACACAAUUCUUUAUUUUCAGUAUACAAGUUAUUUUUUUUUUUGGGUAACUUGAUCAUUUUAUAAUGCAACAAACGGUUAAAGAAAUGGGAUACCAACAUUAGAGGAGGCAUAUGAGAAUACACGAAUAUAAUAUAUCGAACUGAGAAUACACCAAACCUCAAAAUAGGUUUCUGAUAAUUAUCCCAAAAUUAACUUGGAAAAGCAAUAAAAGGUUGCAAGUGAUGAAGAUAUAAUUACCAAAAGCAGCUACCAACUUCGAAAUUUCGAAAUCAAUCACUAGGCAGUAGGCAGAAUAUAUUAUGCUUGGAAGUGGGAAUCUUCCUGAAACUUAAGUAAUUUACAAUCCAAACAAAACAUGUAGAAACUAGUAAUAUGGUAGCGGAGUCCACUAUUUUGUUAUUUGAGCUGUCCCGAGUAAUAAUAAAUUUCGUCUCAUUUUCCAAGCACUGCGGAUAAGAAUUCCACUGAAGAUGCAGCUUUACUGACUGUUUGAUCCCAAGUGAAGGGACACGGCUAUGAUGAGUCCCUGUAUCAUUGUUGGCAGCCAAAUAACUUUUAUAACUCGCAGCAAUCAGUUUUUCAGCCGGUUGCUAUCAUUAAUAUGUAUUUUUUUAUUUCAAUAAAUUAAAAUAAAAAAUAUUUAAAAUGAAUAAUAUUUUAAUAAUAAUAAUAAUAAUAAUAAGUAGAAAAGGAUAAUUAAAGUAAAAAUGGAAAAAAUAUUUUUUAUUGUAAAUAUUUUUAAAAAUAAAAUAAAAUGUGUGUUAACAAAAAGACAAAAGUUUUAUUUAUUUUCUAUAAAAUGUAUCUCAUGUUUAACAUUUUAAGUUUCAUAUUUUAUGUUUUAUGUUUCAUGUACUGAUUUUUCAAAUAUCCCAAUAUUUUUUUUUUUACCCCCGUUUCAUGUUUACGUUCAAGUUUCAUGUUUGAUAUUCUAUAUUUCAUAUUUUAUGUUUUAUGUUUACUGUUACGGAGGUACAUAUAUUUUAUGUUUGUUGUUGCAUAUUUUAAGUGAUUUGUUUCAUGUUGGUUGUGCAAUGUUUCAUGUACUGAUUUUUCAAAUACCCCGAAAUUUUUCUUUUUUGCCCCCGUUUCAUGUUUACGUUCAAGUUUCAUGUUUGAUGUUCUAUGUUUCAUGUUUUAUGUUUCAUGUUCACUGUUAGAGAGGUACUCAUAUUUUAUGUUCGUUGUUGCAUAUUUUAAGUGAUCUGUUGCAUGUUAGUUGUGCAAUGUUUCAUGUACUGAUUUUUUAAAUACCCAAAAUUUUUCUUUUUUGCCCCCGUUUCAUGUUUACGUUCUAUGUUUCAUGUUUGAUGUUCUAUGUUUCAUGUUUUAUGUUUCAUGUUCACUGUUAGAGAAGUACUCAUAUUUUAUGUUCGCUAUUGCAUAUUUUAAGUAUGAUGUUUCAUGUUUGUUGUUUAAUGUUUCAUGUAAUAAUUUUUCAAAUACCCCAAAUUUUUUCUUUUUUGCCCCCGUUUCUUGUUUACGUUCCACAUUUCAUGUUUGCCGUUCCACUUUUCAUGUUUGAAUGUGUGUGUUCACUGUUACCCAAGUACUCAUAUUUUAAGUUCGCUGUUGCCAUAUUUUAAAAAAGAUGUUUCAUGUUUGUUGUUAAAAGUUCCAUGAAAAAUUUUUCAAAUACCCCCAAUUUUUUCUUUUUUGCCCCAUUUCAUGUUUACGUUCCACGUUUCAUGUUUGUUGUUCUACGUUUCAUGUUUGCUAUUCUACGUACGUUUCAUGUUUGACGUUGUAUGUUCACUGUUACCGUGGUACUCAUAUUUUAUAUUCAUUGUUGCAUAUUUUAAGUAAGAUGUUUCAUGUUUGUUGUUUAAUGUUUCAUGUAAUAAUUUUUCAAAUACCCCAAAUUUUUUCUUUUUGGCCCGCGUUUCAUGCUUGAUGUUCUACAUUUCAUGUUUGACAUUGUAUGUUCACUGUUACCAAUGUACUCAUAUUUUAUGUUCGUUGUUGUAUAUUUUAAGUAAGAUGUUUCAUGUUUGUUGUUUAAUGUUUGUUGGAAUGAUGAAUGUUGCAUCUUGAUUUAUAUUUUACUACAUGGCUUGAUAUGUUUGUUAUUAUAUGAAUCUAUGCUUCAUGAAUUAGAUAGCUUGAUAUGCUUGUAAUUUUAUAAUUUUAUAUUUCAUGCAUUAAAUGGCUUAUUGAAAGGUUUUAAAUCUCAAAAUGAUUUAAAAUUAAUCAAUUUUAAAAGGUCAAAAAUAAAAUGGUGUGUGUAAUACAAGUAUAAGAGCUUGCCCAAUUAGAGACAAAAAGAUUUCCAAGUCUAAAUCGGUAUACCACUUCUUCUCAUUCGGAAAACCGUUUUUCUUAUUGAUUUCUCUCGGGACAAAUUUCAGAUAACCGAAUUGUCCAAAUCGGUGAGCCGCAUUUUCUUUGGUUGCUCUCAGGUCAAUAUUCGGAUAACCGGAUUAUCAAUCCGGAAAACGGGAUUCGCGUAUGGCCUUCACUGGAUUUAACCGAAUAGCCGGUUCUGUAAAUUCGGAAAUCCAGAUUCGAGCUGCACUUUGGCAGCAUUCUGGAUUCAUUCGGCCAAUCGGUUAAGGAAACCGGUAAGCCGGUUUUAACGUGUUAUCUUCUGGAUCCAACCGGCAAGCCGGUUUGUGAUAUUUGGAAAAUUGGAUUCGAGUGAAGGACUUGCUGGAACAUAACCGAAUUUCCGGUUCAAGUAAAACCGACAAGCCGUUUACGGCUUGUAAGCUUCUGGUCACAACCGGCUAGCCAGUUAGUGAAAUCCGACAAACCGGUUACGGGACCUAUUUCUACUAUUCAUCUUCUUCCUCUCAUUCGGCAUUCCGAAUCUCCCCCUCUCUCUAAAAACCGUUACUCCUCACUCAAUCUCACUCCAAAUCCAUCAUUUUCUUCCUUUUUUGCAUCAAAUUGAGUCUCAAAAAUGAUUCCCCAUCACUUCAUUUACUCAAAUCAUCUGUAAAAUUCAUUUUUAACAUCCAAAACUCUAGAUCUCAAAUUCAUCCUAGGGUUUAACCGAACUUUUCUCUCUCUAAAUUUCUCACUCUCAAGCCGUUUUUUAUUCAAGUUGCUUCUCAAAAUCUCUUUCAAUCUUCAUCAUCUUCAUUCUCUUUAUCUUUUUCAACUCCAAAUCCAUCAAAAUCACAAUAUCAAGCUCUCGGCCGGUUCGAAUUUGUGAUUAGGCUUGGGUUUUGUUUUGCAAUUUCUUUUCUGAUAUAAUUUGUGAUUCAUCUGAGAACGUGUUUAACACGAGAGCGAGAGCGGGAGCGGGAACAUGAGUGUGAGCAGGAGCGCGAGAGCGAGGAAGAAUGUGGGGAUGGAGAGGGAAAAAGAUGAGGAUUUUCUGGUUCAAUUUUCCCGCCGGGGGGGAGGAAGAACAAGGGGGUGGGGGAGAAAGAGGGAGAUGAAAAUGCUUUUCUUCCGGUUGCCCUUCUUUUUACGCUUUUAUUCACGUUUUUUUCCUUUUCUUUCAAAUUAAAAUCCCAACCGUUGGAUUCAAAUAAACUAAAUCCAAUGGCUCAAUGUCAGCCCCUGCACCAUACAGGGAUUUUAGGCCCUGCAUGGUAGCCGUGUCCCAAGUGAAGAAAGAAAAUAGAGCAUGACAGCUAAAAAGGUUGAAAGGGUGCAAAUAGUCGGUCUUGUCGUGUACGUGCAGAGCAAGAAACAAAUAAUUGAUGACAGCUUAUUCAAAAAUAAAUGAAAGUUAAAUAAAAAUAAAAUGAAAAUGUUUGUCGUACAUCAAUACGUUUCACACGCCACAUUCCCUCAUUUGUAUAUUUCUUUCUAAAAAGUUGACUCAUGACAAAGGACACCCGAUUUCAUCUCAUGUUUUUUCACUAUUAAAGAAAUUUUUUUCUUAUUUCUAUUAAAAAAUUAAUAUAAUAAUUUUAAUGAAAAUUUCUGUUAAUUGUUACGACCGUGCAAGUUGAUACAAUAAUAAUAUGAUAUGGGAUGUGAUCAUAAAUUAAUUAAUUGAAUAAAAUGCGUGUGGAAAUAUAUGGCUGCUUUACUAGUCCCUCACUUGGAGUUAAUUUUGUGGUAGUUCCAUCUCCUUAUCUAACAUUAACUGAAGACCGACUAAUGUCAAUGUGAGCCAGUGAGUAAAUGACAAGAAAAAAAAAAUUAGUUGUACCGACAAUUUAUCCUUCAACUUUUCUUCCCCCAAAACUUUACCUUUAAAGAGAAAAAGCAAAAAAUUUCCCGGAAAAGUCGGCGCAUUUUUCUCGAGCAAACGUUAGUGACUGUAGUAUCUGCGCAGGUAAAACGAUGCUUGGAACUUUCAAGGUUGUUUCUUGAUAAUUUCAUCUCAUAUGAUUUCCUUGGCUCUCUGGACAAUAAUUUUACUUAAAAUGCAGCUUUGUUCACUUUUAUUUGAAAUUAUUCCGCGUUAUUCAAGUGGAGAAAGAAAAAGUGAAUGCCAGCUGGAAAGGUUCUAGAGGGUGUGAAUUGCCCAAAACUUCAUACGCUACCCUUUGCUUUCUUGGUCAAUUCUCGAAUUUGUCGGACCAUAACCAUUGGCAAUAGAAAUAGGGUCCUGUUCCAGUCCUUCCCGCCAAAAUAUGAGCUCUAUUUUGCUCUAACAAAAACAAUUUGUGAACAAAAGCUAUUUACUUUCCCUAAAUAUUCCAUAAAUAUGUGAGACAAUCAAAGAAGAGAUAUGCUGUCAAAAAAUAAUAAUAAUAAUAACAACACAAUUCAGACAACUACUGAAUUUUUUGGCAUAAAUAAUAGUUCAAAAAGUUGCAUCUUUGAUUACAGUAGCAGAAUCUUGAGCAGAGAAGUGAAUUUAUGAAAUAAAAUACAUACCUCCCUUUACAAGAAUUUUUUUUUUCUAAACAGAGCCACGAGUCCAAGAAUAUGUAUAUAACCAGAACUGAUACAAGCAAAUACAUCUAUAUCGUUGUCCAAAAAUGAGGGGAGGAACCAAAAAUAAAAGCAAAAUAAUGAAAAGAAGAAAGAAUAUAGUAAAUGAAUUUUGAAUACACUUUGAAUUCAUUGCUUUGACAUGAAGCAAGCCGUAUAGAGUCCCAUGUCUAUGUACACAAAACACCCUCUUCUAAAGAUUCUAGUAAAGUGAUUUUUGAACAAGCACUGGAAUCACGGAGUGGUUAAACAGGGCUUCACUCACUAAAAAUUUACAGUGAAUAUAUGAAUUGUCAACCAAAAUCUGUAAGCCAACUAGAAGUGCCUAUAGCCUCCUAACUGUGCUGCUGGUGGGGGUGGUGCCAGCACCUCAUUAGGAUUACGAUGACUGCCGGAGUUUGAACCAGAUCUCACUUCACCAUUCUAGGCCAGAUCACCGUAAUCCCCGCUAUGACCAUUGAAUGCAGAACGAUAGUAGCUGCGAUGGCUUAACAGGUCCAUUGGCAGCAGCAUCAAAUGCAGAUUUCCAGUCAUCACCUGAUGCGGCACUUGUUUCUACAAAGAACUUAUAGAAAUAAAUAAAAGUUGUUAAUGCUAACAGCAAAAUGCUCCAUAUAUCGGUGCAUCUCUACGAAUACUAGCUAUAUAGGAAGAAAUGUUAAAUUAGGUAUGUACCUCUGUCUAUAUAUUUAUAUGGAAAGACAUAAAAAUCAGUGAAUAGAGGCUAAAAUGUAACUCAUUUCCAAAGUUUUAUAACACUAGAACCAUUGAGCAGCUUAGUUUUGAUACUCAUUUCAAAGGAAAAAGUGUCUACUCAGUGCAUUUGUCAUUUGAAGUCGUAAUCCGAUUAUAUCAGGAAAAGGACCCCAUACCCUGUUCACAAUCCCUUGAUCUACCUCAGUUGCCUUUUUUGAAGUUCGCUUCUAGUUCACCUCCAACACCUGAUGCUGUCUUUUCAGCCAAACAAGACUACAGAGAUUUCAACAUAAGCUAGUUGCAGAGAAAUUUUCCCAAAAGAAUUCAGCAAAAAUUUACUACUGAUAAGGAAGCAUUGAUCCAAACAUCUUAAAGUAAUAGUGGCCGAAAAUUAUGUCUAAACUAUAAACGGACUUACAUGCAUUGUAAAUUUGAUUUAAUAUACAUUUCAUGCAGAAACCAAAUAAACACAAAUACACAAGGAUCUAAACACUAGCCAGACCAACCAAAAGUCAAACAAUAACUGCUUGGACCCAACAAUAGUAACUGGACGUGAAAUAUAGCUUUUAUCAAAAUAAAAGAGUUGAAAAACAUCUAAAAGUCACUUCCAUCUUCAUAUAAAAAUAUAAAAUCAUAAAAGAAAUGUUUGGAAAGCAACAUUUUAAGAUCAAAUAGUACCGAUGAAUUAAUCUAACAUAUCUCUUCUCAAAAAUACCAGCUGCAAUACACGUUUUCAAGAAUAUUUGAGUCUUUUGGGGUGUCGUUCCUCUUCAUGGUUAUGGUAGAAAAAUUCACUUGGAUCUUCCAUUGAUUUUGUAGAGUCUGGUACAUACAAUAAAUGGAUCCCACAUUUUUUCACCGAGCAACACUCCAAACGUUCAGAGCGAUAAAAUCCUCCUUAAAAUAGAAUUGAACUGCCUCAAGAAUGCAAUUGUAUUUCCAAAAACCAUUCAAAUCCUGAUCAUCGAAGAAAUAGUAUCCCAAAAGUAAGUGAUCUGACUCUACAUAAUCAACCAUCCCCAUAAAUCUCUGUAUGGCAUGCGAAUCUUUGGGUCUGACUUUGAAUUCACAAAACAAUUCGAACCACCUCUUUUCUCUGACAUUAUGUUCUCCAAAUGCCACAAUAGCACUAAAAGCAAAGCCGAGUACCUUUUUAUUACCGAACCAACCUGGUGGCAUCUUCAAGGUUAUAGAAGAUUUCAUACUUUGAAAGCUAAACCACAUCGGAAUUUCAUCCCCAGGAAAAAAGACACGAACCAACAGUGCAUAUUUUUGAGAAUAAUAUAUCUGUACCACAGAAAAUCAUAAUUUUAAUCAAAUAUUAAUUGUCAACUUUAAUUUGAAGAAAAAAGAAAUUAAUAACUCCGCUUUUACUUCUUUCCAUCGUGCAGUUGCCAAGAGUUGAAUUUCUUGCAGAGCUUCUUCAAGAAUUCCUCUGAUCUCAUUUCGAUCCAAUUUAUAAUUAUAACUCAGGUCAAAAUACUGAGUACAAGCUUCAUAACUUGAGAAUAAACCUGAUAACGAUUCCAGUGCCGUGCAAUGAUGUGCAUCCAACUCAUGCAGUUUGCAUGGAAGCUUUGGUAAGGAUUGAAGCCUCUCACAAUACCUUAAGUAGAGCCUUCCCAACUUACAAAGUUGUAUGAUGCUUUCUGGAAUUCUCUCGAGGGUAACUGGCCAAUAUUUUCAGGUAACCGUGUGAUGCCACAAUCAGUUAGAUUUAAAUACGUUAGAGUGUGCAAGCCAUCUAAAGAUAACAUGAUAGGCAAUGAUAAACCCAUCUGCUUAUGACCCCUGCUUCUCUGGAAACUUAAGAGAUCAAUGUUGUU